rnacentral:lncRNA from 1 species
CUUCACUCCUCUAGAGGUGAGUCUGAAGGAUACAGUUGAAAGCUUGAAGGAGAAGAACUUUGUCAGUUUCUGACUCAUGGUAUUUACUGCUAGACUUGCAACUAAAUCAUAAACUAAUGGUGCUUUCCUGCUAAUUUUAUUGUUAUGAACCUCAUUGCACCUAUGAUUUGCUGGGUUUUGGGGCUUUUAUCUGUAUCACCUAUAGGUUUCCCUGUUCAAGUUUCCUAUUUGUGUUAGAAUAAGGUGAAACUCAAUCACACUUAGGAAGAGGGAAUUAGUCCAAGUGGAUUAUGAGGGUCCAAGAAUGGAAUCAGUUGAUGGAAGUGGUAAAAUAUGUUGAAAAAAAUUUAUAUACUGCAGUAAGACACAAAACCGAAAAUUGCUUCAUAUUAAUAAUUAAAAGACACAGGAAACAAAAGGCUUGUGUCCUUGAGCAUCAACCCCAUUAUUCCACUGGACAUGUUGCCACAGAAGUCGGUAUAAGGAAGCAUAUUCCGAUCAUCCAAGGACACUGGGUGUGACUUCACCAACAAAGCUCACAGCUGAUAUAAGCAAACCAUGUAAACUUAAACUUGUUACUUCAUUAAAUGAGUGCCAGCAAAAAUGGUAAUAUUUUUAAUGAUAGGAAAAAAAAAAACUUAUUAGGCGUUUAUCAUUUCAAAAUUUUCAAAGAUAAUUAUUUUAAAAACAUUGAGCAAUGUUUCUAAUUCUUCAAAAAUCAAAUCCUAAAUAAACUCCAAAAUUAUGAUAGCAUGUAAAUGACCGUAGAAUAACAUACCAUUAGGAUAUUCUUAAUUUGUGUGAAACAAUAAAAGAAAUAUCACCAUGCACCCAUUUUGACUCAAUUGCUUUGGACAACAAAUGAAGGUUUUUUUUUUUUUUUUUUUUAAUCCAUGAGCCUAAGUUUGAACAUCAGAUUAAUGAUAUGAACAAGGUUUUGAAACAUUAAAAUUUUACAAAUUUGUUGAAGUGUGCCCAAACUACCUCUCAUAGGAACAACAGUAGAAUGGCAUAAAGAAAACUAGGACUGUUUCACAAAAUCGAAGGAAUAUCUUUGUGGGAAGAGAAUAAAGAGAACAAAGAGGAUGCACAUAUUCGAAAUUUGUGGCUGAGCUAUUUAAACCUUUCAUGGAUACUGGUUGUGCUUCUCCCGGUAUUUGUAGGGUGUGCCCCCUCCUCUUUUGGCACUCUUUACUGCAUGUUCUUGUUGUCUAUAAAAAAAAAAAAAUACUGGUUGAGCUUCUUAAGAUUGACAUAACAGUUUUUCUCCAUUCUUAAUUUAUAAUCAAAAGACUGGCUGAGCUAUUUCUUUGUUCUUAUUGAGUUUUGAGAUGAACCCACAUGUGUUUGUCACUCAUGGCAGGUGUGCAGAUGACAAACCUUAUGUGCCAGCCUUCCAGGUGUCCCAGAAGAAAUCCAAAAAGCUUGGGUAUUCACUUCACUGCGCUGGAGGUGCCUAAAGUAUACUGUAGAAAGCUUGAAGGAGAACCAACUCAUCAGCUUAUGAGCCAAUUAUUGGCUGUCAUGAUAGAAUAAAUAUGGACCUACAUUAUAUUAACCAUUGUUCAGGAUUUAGCUAUCCAUAUAUAUACGAUUUCUAUUUGAUCAAGAGUAUGGGCCACCUAUGUGUAGAGCCCAGCGCCGUCACGGGCCUUAGAUGAUGGGCCUAAGACUCGUGAGGCCUAAUAGCCAAAGGGUAUGGUCCCUAAGGCAGGAGGGUAUAAAUCCAAGUGUCAGUGUCUGUUCCUUGAAUAAUGACAACGUUUUGAAACAAAAAAACCUGUUCUCUCCCGCUCCCAUCGUCAGAGAGAAUUUAGAGGAAAGGUGGUGCCCUCCACAGUCUUAGAAGAUCCAUACAUCCUCAUCAAAAGUGAAAAAUGGACUCGGGUAUGUUCCAAAAUCAAAAGCAAAAGGCAUGUUUGAAUGAAUUCGUAUAUAUACAUAUUUCCUGUAUGUGAGUAUGGUGAUAAUGGAGAAUAUAUAAAUUUAACAAUUGGUAUUAGAUCGAGGUUCCGGUUCCAUUUUCACCAAAAACAAUCUUUAAAAACAAAAAAACGAAAUAUCCAGGGGAAACAAUACAAAAUCUGGGCCAAUAAAAAUAACAAAAUCAAAAAUGGAUUCAGGUUGGUACCCUGUCCAGAGAUCAAAGAUCAAAGGAAUGUUUUGAAUGCUUGAUAUACAUAUAUCCUGUUUUUGUGUCUUGGGUGAUAAUGGAAAAUAAAGAAAUCUAACAAUUGCUAUUUGUGCUACGGGAAAAUUUUAUGUUUGUGCUACAUGUAAAGUGAUCAAUGUGAAUAAUGAUAAUAAAAUAUGGGUAAUAUUUCAUCUAAAUUGCACGCCCUUGCAUCAUUAUUCACUUUGCAAUUUGGGGAUUUGAACCCUGGCCUAGGUUCAAUCCAGGCCCACCCAUUUGACUAUGAUGCUUUUUUAGACCAGUUAGUAAAAUAAUAUAACCAAGGGGAUGGGUUGGCUUGAACCCAUGACCAUUGGUUGUUGCCUUAAAAUCAAGCCCAUGCCUAAACCAUUAGACAAAAGCUUUUAUAUAUGUUUUAUGCUUCAAUUGUUAUAUAUAUACAUGAGAUUAUGCAUAAAUAAAUAAAUAAAUAAUUUUGAUUGAAUUAUUUCUUGUUGUAUUUAUGUUUAAUGUUUUAAAAUAAAUGAAUUAUAUAUAUUUGUUGCCAAAGUAACAUAUAAUAUAUAAUUUAUUUAUUUUAUAAUAUGUAAACAUGCUAUUUUUAUUAUUAUUUAACAUAAUCAGCCCAAAGGAAGAUUAUUUUAAUAUGAUAAUAAAUAAAGUAGUCAUAAAUAUGUGACAUAUAAAGUUUAUCUUGUAUAUUGUAUGUCAGUCCAAAGAUAGACAUAUUGUUUCUAUUUUAUUGUCAAUAUUUAUUAAUUAAUUUUGUAUAAGGAUAUCAAUUACAAGUUAAUAUUUUUUUGUCCAAAGACUGAAUAUUAAUGUUUGUGCUAGGUAUCUUAUAUGAUGUUUAUUUAUUCAUGUAUAUAUGAUGAUUAUAUGACUGAUUGUGAGCUUUAUUAUUAUGAAUUCAACAUAUUCUAUAUCUGUAAAUGUUAAUAACAUUCCUGUGCUUAAUGACACAAACUUCAAGAAAUGGAAGGAGCACGUUAUAAUUGUGCUUGGGUGCAUGGAUUUAAACUAUGCAUUAAGAGAGGAUCACUCUCCAGAUCUUACUAGUGCUAGCACUGCUGAGCAAAAGUCUAUUAUGGAAAAAUGGGAGCGAUCCAAUCGCAUGAGUCUAAUGAUAAUGAAGCACUCAAUUCCAGAAGCUAUAAGGGGUGCAACACCUGAGGAAACCCGAGUCAAGGCAUUCUUGGACCAGAUAGUAAACCGAUUCGCUGCAAACAAAAAGAUUAAGAGAAACACUAUUCUUAGUAAGCUUGUCUCCAUGCGGUAUAAAGGGAAAGAAAAUAUAAGGGAGUACAUUAUGGAAAUGUCUAAUCUUGUGACUAGACUCAAGGCACUAAAGUUAGAGUUGUCGGAAGACAUACUCGUGCACUUGGUCUUGAUCUCUCUGCCUACACAAUUCAGUCCAUUCAAAAUCAGUUACAAUACACAAAAGGAAAAAUGGACUUUGAAUGAGCUUAUUGCUCAAUGUGUACAAGAGGAAGAGAGAUUGAAACAAGAGAAGAUAGAAAGUGCGCACUUGGCUUCCACAUCUUAGGGAUUUGGUACUAGCAAGAAAAGAAAGAGGGAUAAUAAAAGAAAACAAACUGCAGUUUCUGGGAUAUCAAAGCAGAAGAAACAAGAUAAGGAGAUCACUUGUUUCUUUUGCAAAAAGGCUGGUCAUAUGAAGAAGACAUGUACCAAAUACGCUACUUGGCGUGAAAAGAAAAGUACACUUUUCAACUUUGUUUGUUCAAAAAUUAAUUUAGCUUUAGUGCCUACUGACACUUGGUGGAUAGAUACGGGUACAACUACUCACAUAAGUGUCACUAUGCAGGGUUGCCUAAGGAGCUGAAUGCCAACUGAUGGUGAAAGAUACAUCUAUGUGGGAAAUAGAAACAAGGCUACAGUGAAGGCUAUUGGUCUUUUUAGAUUAUAGUUAGACUCUGAAUGUACUUUGGAUUUGGAAGAGACUUUUGUAGUAUUGUCGUUUAGAAGGAAUUUAAUUUCUGUUUCAUGUCUGGACAAAUUUGGAUAUUGUUGUUCAUUUAGAAAUGGAAUGGUUAGUCUUUAUCUAAAUUCAAAUGUUAUUGGUACAGGUAGUCUAACAGACAAAUUAUACAAAUUGAACAUAAAGGCCACUAAUGGAAAUGAAACCUUGCAUUCAAGUAAUUAUGGCAUUAAGUGAAAAUUAAUAAAUGAGAAUUCAUCAAUGUUAUGGCACAGGUGUUUGGGUCAUAUUUCAAAUCAACGUAUUCAAAGGCUUGUGUUAGAAGGAAUUCUUGAUACACUUGAUUUCUCAGACUUUCAAGUAUGUAUAGAGUGCAUUAAGGGUAAACAAACAAAUAUGAGGAAAAAGGAUGCCAAUAGGUGUAAUGACGUCUUGGAAUUGAUACAUACGGACAUUUGUGGUCCAUUUCCUACCCCUUCUUGGAAUGGACAACAAUAUUUUAUCACUUUCAUUGACGAUUACUUGUGCUAUGGCUAUCUUUAUUUGAUUCAUGAAAAGUCUCAGUCAUUGGAUGUGCUCAAGAAUUUUAAAGCUGAAGUUGAGAACCAACUAAGCAAGAAAAUAAAGGUCGUCAAAUCUGACCGUGGAAGUAAAUAUUAUGGUAGAUAUGAUAGAUCUGGUGAACAACGUUCAGGUCCAUUCGCCAAAUAUUUGAUGGAGUGUGGUAUCAUUCCUUAGUACACCAUGUUGGGGACUCCGAGCCAAAAUGGUGCAGCAGAGAGGCGAAACCGUACUCUUAAGGAUAUGGUAAGAAGUAUGAUAAGUCAUUCCACCUUACUGGAAUCACUUUGGGGUGAGCCAUCAAAACUGCCGUUUACAUUUUGAAUAGAGUCCCAAGCAAAACAGUAGCCAAAACCCUAUAUGAGUUAUGGACUAGCAAGAAACCUAGUAUUAGGCACUUGCAUGUCUGGGGUUGUCUAGCUGAGGCUAGGCCUUAUAAGCCAAAUGAAAAGAAAUUGGACUCCAGAACAGUGAGUUGCUACUUUGUAGGGUAUUAUGAAAGGUCGAGAGGUUUCAAGUUUUAUGACCCCUCAACAAGAUCCUUCUUUGAAACAGGCAAUGCUAAGUUCAUUGAGGAUGUUGAGUUAAGUGAGAGAGAACCAUUAAGAAAGGUGGUAUUUGAAGAGAGGAAUCUGUUAGUAUUCCUAUUAUUAUAACUGGACAUGGUCAUAUUAUGUUUGAUGACACUAUCCAGAGUGUACAGCCAAUAAUAGAGAUUGAAGACACACCUGAGAUUCCUCUUGCUGUUAUGGAACCGGUUCAAGUUCAUGAAGAAGUAACUCAAAAACCUCAAGAACUAUAAGUAUAAGUGCCACUAAGAAGAUCCACUAGAGAAAGGAGAAGUACAAUUUCAGAUUAUUAUGUUGUAUAUCUCCAAGAACAUGAGUUUGACAUGGGUCUGGAAGACGAUCCAAUUUCAGUUAGUCAAGUCAAACAAAGUUCUGACUCUGAAAAGUGGAUAGAAGCCAUGAAGGAUGAGACGAAAUCAAUGAAAGACAAUGGUGUUUGGGACCUAGUAGAGUUACCUGAAGGCGUAAAACUGAUUGGUUGUAAAUGGAUUUUUAAGACCAAGCGGGAUUUAAAAGGCAACAUUGUUAGGUAUAAGGCAUGCCUAGUUGCAAAAGGUUUCACUCAAAAGGAAGGCAUUGAUUAUAAGGAGACCUUUUCACCGGUUUCGUCAAAGGACUCCUUUAAAAUCAUCAUGGCACUUGUAGCUCAUUAUGAUUUAGAGCUGCAUCAAAUGGACGUUAAAACUGCAUUUCUUAAUGGCAACAUUGAUGAGACAAUAUACAUGGUGCAAUCGGAGAACUUUGAGUCUAAUGAUUCAAAGCAGCUUGUAUGCAGAUUAAAAAGGUCCAUAUAUGGUUUAAAGCAAGCAUCCCGACAAUGGUAUCGAAAGUUUGAUAAGGUGAUUACUUCAUUUGGUUUUAAGGAGAACACCGUUGAUCAAUGCAUAUACCUUAAGUUCAGUGGGAGCAAAUUCAUUAUCUUGGUGUAAUAUGUUGAUUAUAUUCUACUUGCAAGUAGUGAUGUGGGACUUUUGCAUGAAACCAAGUGAUUUCUAUCUAGUAAAUUUGACAUGAAGGAUCUUGGUGAUGCCUCUUUUAUGCUCGGUAUACAGAUCUAUAGGGAUCAUUCAAGAGGUAUACUUGGGUUAUCACAAAAUUCCUACAUCGAUAAAGUGUUGAGUAGAUUUGGCAUGAGCAAUUGUACACCAAGAGGCACGCCUGUGGAAAAAGGCGAUAAAUUUAGUUUGCACCAAUGUCCGAAAAAUGAACUCGAGAAGAAGGAUAUGGAGAGGUUUCUCUAUGCCUCGGCAGUAGGAAGUCUCAUGUAUGCACAAGUUUGUACGUGUCCAGAUAUUGCAUAUAGUGUUGGAAUGUUAAGUAGAUAUUUGAGUAACCCAGGUAUGGAUCACUGGAAAAAGGCAAAAUGGGUUAUGCGGUAUUUACAAAGAACUAAAUAUUACAUGCUCACAUAUCGUAGAUCCAGUCAUUUAGAGAUCAUGGGAUAUUCAGACUCCGAUUUCGUGGGAUGUCUUGAUAGUAGGAGAUCUACUUCAGGCUACAUCUUCAUGUUGGCUGGAGAAGCAGUUUCAUGGAAAAGUGUUAAACAAACACUUAUUGCUUCUUGCACCAUGGAGGCAGAAUUCAUAGCUUGCUACGAGGCAUCAAACCAUGGGAUAUGGCUGUGGAAUUUUAUCACUCAAUUGUGAAUUGUUGAUGGGAUUGAUAAACCAUUAAGAAUCAAUUGUGAUAAUAAAGCUGCAGAAUUGUAUUCUAAGAACAACCGAAGUUUGUCAAAGUCCAAACACAUUGACAUCAAGUUCUUGGUUGUGAAAGAAAGAGUUCAGAGUCUUCAAGUAUUGAUUGAACACAUAAGCACAAACUCCAUGAUUGCGGAUCCGCUCACUAAGGGUUUGCAACCCAAAGUAUAUCAUGAGCACGUCACACAUAUGGGUGUUGUACACAUUGAUGAUGUGCCAGUAUAGUGGGAGUUUGUAUUUAGAUUUUAUGUUUAUUUUCUUGAUGUGAUAUUAUGUUGUGUUAUCUGUAUGGACCUUGAUUUUAAAAGACUAUUGUGUUUGAAUGCUCUGAAUUGAAAUGAUGACUUUCAGAAGCAGUUUAGCAUCAAGUGUUGAAAGUGGAAUUUGACUUUUUUUUUUUUUAAUCAUAAAGUGGGACCAAUUGGAAAUAGACAUAUUAGAGAUCACAUUCUAUGUAAUUUCCAUGCUACAUAUCCAUAAUUGAUCCAUGUUGCUAAUUUUGUUAUGAGUCUAGUUAUAAUUAUGAUUAACGAAGGCCACUUUGAUACUAUGUUAGCAUAAUUAGUAGAUCAGAUUGUUUAAGGAUAUUUGAAUAGGAUAGCAAAGAUGAGCUCAAUAAAGUACUAUCAUGAACAUUGUUUUAUAAUAUAAUUGGUCCAAGUGAGAGAUUGAUAGAAUAAAUAUGGACCUACAUUAUAUUAACCAUUGUUUAGGAUUUAGCUAUCCAUAUAUAUACGAUUUCUAUUUGAUCAAGAGUAUGGGCCACCUAUGUGUAGAGCCCAACGCCGUCACGGGCCUUAGAUGAUGGGCCUAAGACUCGUGAGGCCCAAUAGCCAAAGGGUAUGGUCCCUAAGGCAGGAGGGUAUAAAUCCAAGUGUUAGUGUCUAUUCCUUGAAUAAUGACAAUGUUUUGAAACAAAAGGAACUUGUUCUCUCCCAUUCCCAUCGUUAGAGAGAAUUCAGAGGAAAGGUGGUGCCCUCCACAGUCUUAGAAAAUCCAUACAUCUUCAUUAAAAGUGAAAAAUGGACUCGGGUAUGUUCCAAAAUCAAAAGCAAAAGGCAUGUUUGAAUGAAUUCGUAUAUAUACAUAUUUCCUGUAUGUGAGUAUGGUGAUAAUGGAGAAUAUAUAAAUUUAACAUGUAAUUCAAACAAAUCACAAAUUAUUAGUGUACCGAAAAUACCAUUAUUGUUAUGAAAUAAAUUAGUGGCUAGGAUAGGGCUGAUAGGUGAUAGAAGGAGAUUGCUUAGGAAGAAUACCAAUCAACAUUAUAGUAAGGCAUCUAUUGGAAAAAGACAUGACUUCAAACUAUUUUUUGAAUAAUUUCCAAUAAACAAAGAUGAGUUUUAUGUUUGUAAAAAUACUCAAACCUCCAAGCUUGUGAUAUAAAAUCCAACACAAAUUCAAAAACUAAUUUGCAUGGGAAUUCAAGUAAUUAGAACAGAGCAUCAACACCAGUUUGACAACAAUUUUGUAUAGACUCUUUCUAAUGAGAGUUUGUAGGGGACAUGACCAUAUGUUCUUUACAAAAUUUGAUCUUAAUACUUUUAAUUAUAUUUUCACAUUUUUUUAUAGUAAAAUCAAAUAUGAAAAAAAAAAAUUUCUUUAAUAAUUUUUUUCUUUCUACACUUCGGUUGCUCCUUAUUAAUAUUCCUAAGCCAAAGGUGGAAUUCCAAUUUUCCCUUGAUCACUGCUAAAAGAAAUAAAUCCUGAGUUUUUGAACUGUCAUUUUGAAGGUAUGAUGCUUUUCAUUUGUAAAAUUAUCUAGAGGGAGAUUGAACAGGCAAUUUGGUUGUUUAAACCCAAAAAAUAGAUUUUUCCAUCAUACUUGAAUUUUUUAGUUAUUCAAAUUAUUUAGAAGUAAGAAUGAUAUACAUAAAAAUCCGAUUUCAUAUGACUACGAAUAUAAGAAAAUUCAAGUCUAAUCAACCCAAGCAAAUUUGCUAAUUCUAAAUUAUAAGUUCACAAUUUUAGGAAGAUUUAGAUGCUAGUAAUUUCAAAGAAACUUGUUUUGAUUAUUAGUUAGGUUUUGUUAGGUAACUAUUUUCAAAGACAGUUCUGAAAAACAGUUUUUAAGAAUAAUUUUUUAAAAAUGUUUUUCGAUAUUUUGAAAAAUAAAAGUUUGUUUGAAAAUCUGAAAUAUUUUUAACAUGUUUUUAAUAUUUUUAAAUAUGUUUAAAAACAAUUUAUGUAUCAAGUAUUUUAUUUUUAAUCAUUAUAUAUGUUUGUAUAAUUAUUUUUUAAAACAAUUCUUAAAAAAUAAUUAAAAGAUAUUUUAUGAAAAUAUCAUAUUUUUUAUUUUUAAGAGUAGAAAAUAAAAAUAUUUUUUUUUAUUAUGAAACGUGUUUAUUCUAAAGAAUAGAAAACUGUUAUAGAAAACAGUAGUCAAACAAACCUUUAUAUUUUACUUUUAUAUUUUUGGCACAAACAUAUAUAUAUAUAUAUAUAUAUAUAUAUAUAUAUAUAUAUAUAUAUAUAUAUAUAUAUAUAUAUAUAUAUAUAUAUAAAAUAAAAAUAAAAAUAUCAGGUGAUAUUUUUUUUUUCCAAGGAAGGGAGGCAUUUUUCUUGGCAGCAUAUCCUGAUUCACAAAGUAUAAACCCUUGCAAAUUGAAAGAAAGACAAUUUACAUAUCAUUAAAGGGUGAUCUGUAAGCACUCUUAUAGGCUUACACAUCUUCCUCAUUUGGAUUUGGAAUUUAACGUCUGAUAAGCAUUUACUUGUUUUUAAUCUGUUUUUUAGGAAGCCAAUUAAUGAGAUUUUGCCAACUAAAAACAAAGGUUUGUUAGCCCUCUUACCCUCAGGCUGGUUCUCUUGCAUAUGCUUGAAGAAUAUUGGAAACCAAUUAAUUAGUCAUUGCAAUUUCAUAAUCUUACAAGAAAUCUUGUUAUGGUGGCAAGAGAACAGACUGCAACAUAGUCUCAUUCCCCUUCAUGAUUUAGACAUUGUAAAGAUCAAAAACCUAUUCCUGGUAAUAUAAGAAGAAGAGCAACCAAAGAACAGGAACAAAAUGUAUUGGAACCUUAUGGGCUUGAAUAGUUGGUAUUUAGGUGGCAAAAAUAUACAACAAUGCACUAAACAAACUACUAAUCAGUAGGCCAAGAUUCUACUUCUAAGAGAUAGGUUUUUCAUCCAUGUCAAGAAGGCUCGCACUUCAUUUUUGUGGGACUUUGGCAUCAACAAAUUUAUGGAAUUCUUUUAGGUUUCUAAAUGGAAUGGUUCAAGUCAUCAAUACAUUCCCAGAAUUCUUUCGUAAAUGUCAUCAUCCUGGCCAACUUUCUUUAGUGUUGAAAGAGGGAGUGAUACCAUGUUGCUAAAAAUUGCAGUCCAUAUGUACUAGAUGGACAAGAACAACACUUGUAUUAGAAACAUCUCUGUUGCCUAGAUUUGCAUUACCUGCCAUAAUUAAGAACAUUUUUAUUAUUGUAGCAGAGUGUUUCAGAGUCACCCAUACCUAAUCCAUCUUCAUGUCUCUCAAACAACUAGGUCCAUUGGUAGCAGAAGAAAAACAACUUGAAUAGCUGGUCAUUUUCUUUUAUAAUUUAGGGAUAAAGGUAAAAAAACUACAGCACUUGAAUAGCUGGUAUUCAGAUGGACAAGAACUGCAGCACUUCUCUUAGAAACAUGUAUGUUCUUUCUUCAACUCUUACUCUAUUGCUUGGAGUUGCAUUACCUGCCAUGAUUAAUUGCCUUCUAUCUAUUCUUGUGGAGAAACAGGUUUUGGUGUAUGCAAAGACUAUACAGUUGUUGCACCUCUUGAUUUUCAAGACCACCCAACCUCUUCUCAAGCAUCUAGAAUUGUCAAGCUGAUUUAUGGCUAACCUUCCAAGGUAGAUCUAGUGCAAGAGAUUCAGAAUUAUCUCUACCUAAUCCUCUCCAUUUCUUUAGAAUAACUAGAUGCUAUGGCCAAAAUCUCACAUAAGGCGCCAGGUUCAUGUUGAUUAAGAUGAAUAUAGCAGGAGAUGUUCUUGAUCUACCACCAGCCAUGUUGUCAAAUUGUUCAAUGCCCUUGUGUUGACUAUGGCCACAGUCACAGUUGUGUGUCAUUUCCUGAAAAAAAAUGUCAUUUUGAAACUUUUAAUGUCAACAACAAAACUUUCAUGUUUCUAUAUUCAGGUACCCAUAAAAAAUUGAGUCCAUGUUAGUAUCCAAUGAUGGAAAGUAAUAAUAUGAACAAGGAAACAAGUGCUCUCCUUGCUCUUUUUCAAUAGAACACCAGUUCAUUUCCAAUCAAUUGAGGAAAAAACUAAUUCUAAACAUGGAAGCCAGGUACUUGAUUUCAGUUUGACUGGUGGAACAAUUGAAACGUAUUUACAGAUUUAGCAUUAGAUAAGUUUAACAAAAUCACUAAUUAACCCCCAAACCUCUCCCCCCCACUCACCACAAAGGAAAGAAACAAUAAUUUGGGAUCUUAGUAGCUUUAUGUUACAAGAUUCUGAUCAACAUAUGCUACACAGUAUUAUGUUGGUCCAGUUCCUCUACCCUGCAUUGCAAUAAAGUAUAAGUGAGUUUUCUCUUUUCUUCAUCUUCAAAUGAAACAACCCUCCUUAAUAAAAGAAUACAAGAAAUUGAGAGCUAAGACCAUUUCCUUUCAUUGUGCUCUGUUUCCUUUACUCCUUCCUCUCUGGGGGGGGGACCUCUUUUUGGAGAAAAAAACCAGCUGCAUAGACGUGUGGCUAAAAAGCAUGGCUGCCCAUGGUGGUGGUUUGGAGAGUGACGCAUUGGCGAAAUGAUGCACAGUGGAGCAAGUGAUGGCUUGUGGGGGAAGACAGAAACAGGGAGGGGGGUGAUUUUUUUUUUUUUGAAAGGUAUUCUUCCUUGGAGAAGAAGUCAGCUAGGAGGGAAUAAAAGCAGGAAAGAAAAAGAAAAAAAUGGAGGAAUGGGUACUAAAAGGGGAGCGGGGUGAAGCUUAGAAAAGUUUUGUUGCUUAGAGGACUCCUCAGGUGAGUUUGCUGGAUAUUUUCUUGUUCACCUUCAUUUUCUAUGCCUAUUGUCUUCUUCUUUUGCUAUUUGAGGUUUUGGUGUGCACAUUUGAUUACAACUAACAUAGUUUGCACAUGAGUUUUGUCGUUUUUUUUUUUUUGCUUGUUCAAUAUGGUCUUUGUUAUUAUUUCAGUCACUGUUCUUUUUAGCAUUAUUUGAACCCAAUGAAGCUCUAUUUCACUUGGCUUUAUUUGGAGAUUUGUUUGUUGUUUUUUUUUUCUGUUUCAAUCUGCUUGCCUCUCUCCCACCAACCUAAGUCCCUUGGAACGAAAUGUGAAAUGUAGCUUUCACAGGUUCAUUUUUGUUUCUUUUCUUCAUGCUCUGUUUUCUUGUCAUUCUCCUCUAUUUUCUAUGGGUUUUUUGGGUGCAUAGAAUUGUGUGUAUCACCGACAGAUGAGGUUAGAGAUUGGCUACUGGACAUUUAAUUAAGUUAAAAAAUGGAGGAUGGUGGGCUAGAUCAUGAGGGCAGAGAAUUCAAGAACGUGAAGGAGAUGUAGAGAGCUGAAAUUGGAGAUGGAGUAGAUUCUCAUAAGAAGACUGACGGGUACCAUAAAGGCGUCAGCUAUUGGGAAGGUGUGGACGCAUCGGUGAAUGGUAUGUUAGGUGGAUACUACCAUGUGAAUGAUGUGGGUGUUCAGAGCAAUGAGGUUUUCCUUAAAACACUUUUCUCUUAGCGGUUUGUAUAGAAAGCCUAUGUUUUUGGAUAUGCACAAGGCCGCCAACUUUUAUUGUGUUCAACUUCAAGACUUCACUCUAGAAGUAGGGAGAUAUGGUGUUACAUGGAUUCAAUGGUGUAUUAGGCAGCUUGCAGACGAUGAUUUCAUUUUAUUCUUUAAGAGAGCAAAGGCUGGACUGAACUGGGGGAAAAGCAGAAUAAUGAAGACGUUGAUGAGAUGAUGGAAAGGCUGUGAGGUGAUGAUUUGUUUGACUUUAAUACCAAAAAAAAAUAAAAUGAGUCUCGAGGAUGUUGGAGGACAUGUCAUAAUGUAGGCUGCAAAAGCUAGUGUGGUGGAAAAUACAUUAAAGGAAAUGGUCUCAAGGGGUUUUUAGUGGACCUUGCCACUGGAAGCACAUUUAUUAGAUAUCAUGGCUUUUCUUUGGUUCUCUAACGGAAAUGUUAUUCUUUGAAUUUGUUGACCACCAUGAAUUGCUAUUGGACCCCACUUGCACUUAGAAAUGACCAUAGAAAAAUGUUUAUUAUUAUUAUUAUUAUUAAUCUUUUUAAUUUAUUUUUUUGUUGGGCAAACAACACCAUAAACCUUAAGUGGGCAAGCAUGUGCCUUUAUUUAUUUAUUUAUUUAUUUUAUUUAUUGUUCUUUAUCCUCACAUGCCAACUUUUUAUUUUUUGCAAAUUCUCUUUAAAAUGAUUUUCAAAAUUCUGGUUUUUUAAAUAAUCUUAUUUCCAUUCCAAUUUUUAAUUAAUUUACUCAAAAUUCCAGUUUUUUUUUUAAGUUUAAUUCUCAAAACUUUAACUUUCCGAACUUUAAUUAUUUUUAAAUGUAAUUUUCCAAACUUUCAUUUUCAAAUAAAUUUUCGAAACCCUAAUUUUUAAUUUAAUUUUUCAAAACUCCAAUUUUUAAGUUUAAUUUUAAAAAAAAACUUUGACUUCCUAAACUUUAAUUACUUUCAAAUUUAAUUUUCAUUUCUAUCUUUAAAUAAUUCUUCAAAUUUUCGAUUUCCAAAUUUAAUUUCCAAUUUCCGGAAUUCCAAUUUCCACAUAUAUUUAUUUAAUCAUCAUUAUUUUUGUUAUUAUUAUUACCUUAUUUAUUUAUUUUUAAAAUUCCAUCUUUAAUUAACUCUUCCAAAUUCCAAUUUCCAAAUUUAAUUUCUAAUUUCCAAAAUUCGAAUUUUCACAUUUAUUUAUUUAAUCAUUUAUUUUCAAAAUUCCAUCCUUACACAAUACUUUUAAAAUUCCGAUUUCCAAAUUUAAUUUCCCAUUUCCAAAAUUCCCAUUUUCGUAAUUAUUUAUCCAAUCAUUAUUAUUUUCGGGUUUCCGGUUUUCGAAAUUCAAUCUUCCAACAUUCCAUCCUUAAAAAUAAUUUUUCGGGUUUCCGAUUUUCAAAUUUCAAUCUUCUGACAUUCCAUCCUUAAAAUAAUUUUUCGAGUUCCCGGUUUUUGAAAUUUAAUUUUCCAACAUUCCAUCCUUCAAAUAAUUUUUCAGGUUCUCGGUUUUCGAAAUUUAAUUUUUCGACAUUCCAUCCUUAAAAUAAUUUUUCUGGUUUCCAGUUUCUCCAUUUCUUUUCAAAUCAAUUCUUCAAAAUUCCGAUUUCCAAACUUAAUUUCCAUUUUCCAAAAUUCCAAUUUUCACAUUUAUUUAUUUAAUCAUUAUUAUUUUCGUUAUUAUUAUUAUUCCAUUCAUUUAUUUAUUCACUUAUUCAUUUAUUUAAAAUUCAAUCUUUAAAUAAUUCUUCAAAUUUCCAAUCUCUAAGUUCAAUUCCCAAGUUCCAAAAUUCCAAUUUUCGCAAUUAUUUAUCCAAUCAUUAUUAUUUUCGAUAUUAUUAUUAUUCCAUUUAUUUAUUUAUUCACUUAUUCAUUUAUUUAAAAUUCCAUCUCUAAAUAAUCCUCCAAAAUUCCAAAUUUAGUUCCCAAUUUUACAAAAUUCCGACUUUCACAUUUGUUUAUUUAUUAUCAUUAUUGUUAUUAUAUUUAUUAUUAUUAUCAUUUUAUUUAUUUAUUUUUAAAAAUCCCACCUUCAAAUAUUUUCCAGGAUUCCAAUUUCUAUAAUUUAAUUUUCACUGUUCCAAUUCUCAAAUGAUUUUCAAAAUUCCAAUUUCUUUCAAAUUUAAUUUCCAAAAAUCCAAUUCUUAAAUUUAAUUCCUAAGACUCCAAUUUUCAAAUAAUUUUCGAGACUCCAAUUUCCAAAUAAAUUUCGAGACUUCAAUUUCCAAAUAAAUUUCGAAAACCCAAUGUUUUUUCGAACAGUUUUAAUUCCACUCUAGUUUUCAAAUAACCUUCUAUUUUUCCCGAUCAUCAAUAAGCACGAAGGCGAUUUCCAUAAUUCCGAGACAAUGGAAUUUGUGAGAUUAAUUCAUGCAAGAUCAAUUGGGUUUUGGUGGGACUCGACAUAUAUGGCUUUCUCAUUGAUUUAUUGAUUACUAUGCUUGAUUAACUUACUUCGUUCUAUGACAUACACACGAUUAUUCUAUGCCUAUUUACUAACAUUUGUUUUCCAUGAAAUAAAUCGGUUCAUCACUCAGGUAUGUUUUUCGCCUCUCAUAUUCAUUCAGGUGUUUUGUUUUGAUUUUCAUUUGAUAUCCAUUGACCUACUUAUUAAUUGUCAUGAUUGCUUCAUUUUAUUAGUAGAGACUCAUUUUUAGGGACUUAGAGGGGUGCUACGGUGUUUACCGUACCUUUCUGAUAAGUAACUUGACCCCCGAGCCCGAUCCGUUUUUUUGCAGACCACCUUUUCCGAAAAUAAGGAGUCACACUUAGGGUUUUUAUUUCUUAUUUUUUUUCCUUUUAAAAAGAAUAAAACAAAAAAUAAGGGGCGAUUCCAAGUCAUUUUCUAGUAAAUAAAAUCAUUUUCAAAUAAAAAAAUCGAGCUCACCAUCGAGUGGAAAACGCAUGAGUCGAAAUACGAGGUCCAUAAAAUGGCGACUCUGCUAGGUAUCAUUUAGAGGGUCAAGCUUGAACUUAAAAUGAAGCAAAUGUGGCGUUUGAUGAGUCGAUCAGUGGGUACUCAUCUUUUGAUUAUACAUUGAGAGUCCUUGAUAUCAUUGCAUGCAUGCUCAGCUAUUAUACUCAUUUGGGACGUUUGACGUGCUGAUUAUGAUGAUUGAUUUGUUUUGAUUACGAAUUUUGAGAUAUCUACUUCUUUCGUGCUUUAUUGCUAUAUUUGUUUGGGAUGUAAACAUGCUGAUUAUAUCGUUUGCAUAUCUUGUUUUGCUUGGCAUAGCGACUCUGAUUUUGAGAUGUUUAUUCUAAUCCCUUCUCAUGUAUAGACUCACCAUUGCAUAUCGUUUGACUUGCCAUAUUGUUUCUCUGUAUUGUAUAUUCUCUUGAUCGUCUUCGAGCAUGAUAUCUGUAUCAUUUCUCAUCUGAUUGUCAUAGUUUGUAUGUGGAUAUGAGUGAUAUAUUUUGUACUCUAAUUGACUGUAUGUCACAUGAUUGCCCUCCUUCUACGUGAUUGCAUGUUGUUUGUCCGUGUGGGCCUCACAUCUAUCCACUUACCUCCAACUCCCUUGGUUUCGGUCAUCCCCUUUAUUCUGGUUCUCACUAUUGCAAGUGUGAGGCCUUGUGUGUGUUUGUUACUUUGACCGAGCCAAAGAUUAGGAGUAGGGUCUAGCGACAGGCUGUAUCGAUGUUUGGGAGAAUUCCGGAGGUGACCGACACUUUGAUGUCGAUUCGAGUCCGAUCAUUGAAGAUCUGUAUAGCCCUGAGCUAGGUUUCAUGGAUAUUUGUGUAGCCAGUGUGUUUUCUUUUUUGUUUGAUCUUCUUAGGGUUUUCGAAUUCACCCACACCGUUCACUGUGCACUCCAGUUGACCAUUGAGCGUUGAGAGUUUGAAAAGUUUCACUAUAGGAAACCCCCUGGGAUGUCAAGGUAGUGCAUGUGUGGAGGUGAUGACCACCUUGCAUGGAAGCGCCCUGUCUCUUCAGAGGCAUGCAAGAGGUUGCGUACCGUCGGAGGGUAUGAUCGCUUCUGCUAGGGAUCUUUCAAAGUCCACCCAUAUCCAUUAGAGCCACCUCAACCUUGUAGGUUGAGCUGUAGAUCAUUUGAUUAGGGCUCCCUCUCUACAUGUGGGUGCAUCUGAGGGCCUUCAGAGCCUCUGUAGUCACAGUUUGGGUUCCAAUACUCCUUCUUUAGUCUCCAGUUAGAGUGCACAGAGAUCAGUAUGAGUUUGAGUACGGUCGGACAAUCCAUCUUUGCUUGGAUACCUUGCUUGUUUCUAUUCAGAUUAUCAUUUCUUCUAUGCUUUCCCUCGGCCAUAUCCUUUUUCAUUUCUUCAUGCUUUCCAAGAUUGGAUCUUUGUUCUCAGUCUGGACUUACCUUAUUGGAUCAGAGUAGAGAGGAGAUUGGUUCAAUUUUCAGAGAGAUCGGGUAUGGAUCAGUAGGUCAUUACAGUUGAUCAGUUUACAGCCGACAUGGCUUCUAUCCAAGAGGCUUUGGCUAGUCUCAGACAAGAGAUUAGCAACCAGCAGAGUAGACCGCAUGUAGUUCAGGAUGAGACACUUCAUGAUUCAUUGCCACCUUCACCGCCACCACCUGUUUUGAUAGUGCCUCAUGCCUCACCUUAUGUAUUACAUGAACAUUCUGAGGUUGCUCUACCGGCAACCGUUCAUACCACAGUCAUUGAUGAUGCUCAUGCACGUAUGGACCGUAUUGAGCAGCGCAUGAGGCAAUUGAGAGUGUCUGAUGGAUCAGCUGUUUAGGAUGAUCUUGAGGGUAUGCCAGUGGCUAGUUUACCGGCUAAGUUCAGGAUGCUUGACAUAGAGAGAUACACGAGCAUUGGUUGUCCUCGCAUCCACCUCCGACUCUAUAGCACGGUGAUAAGAGCCCAGGGUUUGGACGAGUCCUAGAUGAUCACUUUAUUCCCACUAUCUCUAAGUGGGGCGACCCAUCGAUGGUUUGCUUCUUUGGAGUCCUCGAGACGUCAGACAUGGGACAACUUAGCCCAGGAGUUUUUACAACAGUUUUCAUUUAACACUAUCGUAGAUGUAUCGAGGAGAGAGCUCGAGGCUUUGAGACAGAGGACAGACGAGUCUGUUUCAUCAUUUAUCUCCCGCUGGCGUGGGAAGAUUGUCGAGAUCAUUGAUAGGCCUUCAAAGAGGGAUCAUAUACAGAUGGUUUUGAGGAGUUUACAACCCAGGAUUUCCAAGCAUGUAGUCGAGAUACCAUUCAUAGAUUUCGAUUCUCUAGUUUUGGCUUUGUAUGAUGUUGAGGACGGUAUUUUCAGAGGUUUGUGGACAGACUCUUCCCUUAGUGAUGUCAAGGGGAAGAAACCAUUCAGAGGACAGAGAUCAGUUGAUGUGAGUGCUAUUGGUUCUACCAGUCAGAGGCCUCAUAGGCGUCAUCUGCCAAUUCCACGGCUUCCUAAGACUCAUCCUUUUUAUACGCCUUAUCAAUAUAGGCCACGGGCACCUCGUCCGACUUAUGAUCAGACUUACAUGUCUCAGACACUAGCUUUGCCUUACUAUGCCACCAAGGGCACAAAGAGACCUCCUGUUUCAUAUUCGGCCACAGGACAACCAUGUUAUACGACACAGUUCACUACGAGACCUACAUAUUCCCAUCCCAGGCCCAAAGCUCAGCAGACCUCUACUCCAUUUGCUUUGAGGACGUAGAGGUAAUUUUCACAGUUAGGCAUGUCGUUGAGCCAGACUCUUCGAAAGCUUAUAGAGGCUGGGUUAUUGACUGCUCUCACUCCUAGGCCGCCACCUUAGCCUGUUCCACCUUAGUUCAGGAUGGAGCUGCACUGUGCAUACCAUUAAGGGCCUGGACAUGAGACCGAUCGCUGUACCACUCGUAGACAUGCCAUCCAGGAUCUGAUCUACCAGGGUUUGGUUCACUUGGGUUAGCCAAGUGUAACCACGAACCCAUUACUGAUUCACACUACACACGCGGUUCCCCCUCUGAUCGAUAGCAUGCACUCCAUCGAUUUUGUUGAGUUUGAUGACGACAUCCACACGCUGAGUUGGGAUGAGUCGGAGCUAGAGCCCAUAAUAUCAUAUGAGAUUUAUGAGAUGAGCGAGGUGACUUUGGGACCUCGGAUGCCCGUUCCUUUCAGAUUAGUUCCCGAGGUGGCAUCAGUACAGACGACCAUUGUCGAGCCAUUGACUUUCCUGCAUUACAGUGUCCAGAGGCCUUUUAUUUUGAUUCCAGAUGUCGAUGAGGUUCAGGCUCAAUAUGUUGAUGAUGUUCACACUUCUAAUGUAUAGUAUGUUAUCCGCGGGGGUAGAGUGGUAUGACAACAGCCCCCCUCAGUCGCUAGACCCUUGAAGGGGACGUCUUCCCAAGAGGAGGUCAAGAGAGAGGAUGAUGAGAUUUUGAGGUAGUUACAGAGCACUCAGGCUCGCAUUUCUAUCUAGAGCUUGUUAGCAUCUUCCAACACUCAUAGAAAUGCAUUGAUUCGAUCCCUAAGCUAGAUCAAAGUUGAGACUGCUACCACUUCGGAGGGGUUGAUCAUAUGAUGAUGGCCGGUAGAGCCACAAGCAUAGUAUUCUCGGACGACAACUUGCAACCGGAGGGCUCAAGCCACACACGUCCACUCUAUAUAUCUGUUGGUUGUUCAGGCCGUCGAGUUCCAUAAGUCUUUUUGGACAAUGGCUCGGCCUUGAACAUUUGUCAUCUGGCCACGACCAUCGCUCUCGGUUACGCACCAUCUGAUUUUGGUUCCUCCACUCAGAUCGUUCGAGCAUAUGACAGUACUCAUAGGAAGGUUAUGGGAACUCUAGAGAUUGAGCUGCUGAUAGGUCCGACCACUUUUGUCACUUUGUUUCAGCUUUUGAGGAUUCCUACAUCUUUUAACCUACUUUUGGGCUGACCUUGGAUCCACAGAGCCGGGGCCAUUCCUUCUUUCCUUCAUCAGAAGGUGAAGUUCAUUCAAUACGACCAAGUCGUCAUGGUAACGUCUGUGAGAGAUAUGUUCAUUUCUGCAGAGCCAGUACUUCAAAUCAGUCACAGUGAUGAUGACCUACUUCUGACCGAAUUCACAUUUAAAGAGGUGCAGACCCUAGAGAUAAAGGAUUUCUACCGAGACUUUAUGGCCAUGUCGUUUGAUCAUCACAAUAGCAUAGUGGUGCUCGACAUGAUAAGGGGCAUGUCUUAUCUUCCUGGCAUGGAUUUGGGGCAGCACCAGCAUGGGCCAAGUGAGUUCAUGGCUUUCCCAGACCAUGAUAUACCAUUUGGACUCGGAUUCAUUCCCACUGAGGUCAAUUAUCGAUAUAUGGUGCGAUUGCACAAGGAGAGGGUGAGAGCUUUACUAACUCAUACGCUGUUUGAUUAUCCUUUUUGCCCGUACACCUUGAGCUUGACAAGUUACUUCGUGAGGGCAUUGGAGCCACAGACACCAUCGGAUGGUAUCAUUGGGGGACUCAGCACUACUCAGGAGGCCGAGCUUCAGCGCCUCAUCCAGCAGUUGCGAUUGAGUGACGGAGCCCUUGGCACUUCGACUUCUGCGUUGACCGCCCCUCCCUUUCCAGAUCACUUGAGCCUAAUGACGUUUUGUUUCCCGGAUGAGAUCGAUGAGCACAGGACAUUUUCCGAGAUCGGAGACAUAGUGGACGGAACUGUGCCACAUGACGAGUACGUUGAUGAGAUGCUCGCGAUGAGCUUGAGCCAGAUUGAGGAGAUAGCCCAGCUUGAGCUUGUUUCACCAUUUGAUCUUUUUGGGGUGUCUGCCAUCGAGAUCGCUGAGGAGAUCCAGACUGCCCCUACUCCAGAGAUUGCCGAGGAUGUUAUAGUUAUUGAUGGUUUAUUUGAUGACCAUGUUGGCCUAGUUAAAGGAGCGUUUGACUUUGUGGACCAACCUCUUUCCUUUGAUGUUUUAUCGAGAUUUGUCUCCCAUCAUGACGAUGUUUAUGACUCUUCAUUUAUGGAUUUGAGCAUUUUCGACUAUUUGCCUGUCUCUCGUGAUAUUGCUUUAUCUGCACCUUCUUCACUCACAUCACAGAUAUUUGAUAUUGAUGAUGAGAUUGCGCAGCCUGAUUCAGAUGAUGACUCAUUUUUUGAUUCUGAUCCAAACCCCAUGGAUUAAAGAGUUUCGCCUGCUAUAGGAGGCAUAGAGAUCGUUGCUUUUGGUGCAGCAAACCAGCCCAAGAAGUUGAAGAUCGGAUCGGAUUUAUCUACGGAUGAGAUGGACAGCCUCAUCCAGAUGCUUAGAUCAUACUUGGACGUUUUUGCCUGGUUCUAUGAGGACAUGCCAGGCCUUGAUCCAUCUAUCGUUUAGCAUCGUUUGCCACUCCUGCCCCAUGCAAGACCGGUUAAGCAGAAGUUGAGAUGAUUGUACCCUCAUUGGAGCUUGUAGGUGAAAUAGGAGAUCUAGAAGCAACUCAGUGUGGGAUUUUUAUCAAUGGUCGAGUACCCCAAGUGGUUGGCCAAUGUUAUCCUUGUUCCCAAGAAAGACGGCAAAGUGAGAGUUUGUGUUGAUUUCCGAGAUCUCAACAAGGUCAGUCCUAAGGAUGAUUUUCCUCUCCCACACAUCAACAUGUUAGUUGAUAGCACAGCAGGCCAUUCGAUGUUGUCAUUUAUGGAAGGAUUUUCCAGGUACAAUCAGAUUCUGAUGGCUCCAAAGGACAUGGAAAAAAGGUCCUUCAUUACCGAGUAGGGUACUUAUUGCUAUAUAGUCAUGCCAUUUAGAUUGAAGAAUGCAGGAGCCACCUAUCAGAGAGUAGUGACCACCCUCUUCCAUGACAGGAUGCAUCGGGAUGUCGAGGUUUAUGUAGAUGACAUGAUAGCAAAAUCCCAAUAUAGAUCAGAUCACCUAUCAGCUUUGAAGAGGUUCUUUGACAGGAUCAGGCAAUUCAGAUUGAGGUUGAAUCCCAAGAAGUGAACUUUUGGAGUGACUUCUGGGAAGCUCCUUGGAUAUAUGGUCAAUAAGAGAGGCAUAGAGGUAGAUUCAAACAAUAUUAGAGCUAUCCUUGACAUGCCUGCACCGAGGACAGAGAGAGAGGUCAAAGGCUUCUUGGGUAGACUUCAGUACAUCAGCAGAUUCAUUGCUAGAUUGACAGACAUCUGUGAGCCCAUUUUUUGACUCUUGAGGAAGAGUCAACCUACGAUUUAGGAUGAUCAGUGUUAGUGGGAAAUUGAGAGGAUCAAAGAGUACUUGUUGUCACCUUCAGUCUUGGCGCCUCCUACACCAGGCCGUCCUUUACUCCUAUACUUGUCAGUCUCAGACGUGGCUUUAGGUUGCAUGUUGGCUCAGCUCGAUGAUUCGGGCAAGGAGUGAACCAUUUUUUUAUUUGAGUAAGAGGAUGCUAGACUAUGAGACAAGAUAUGUCAUGAUUGAGCGCUAUUGUUUGGCAUUGGUUUGAGCCACUCGUCGAUUGAGACAUUACAUGACUGAGUAUUCAAUGCACUUGAUAUCCCGUCUAGAUCCUCUGAGAUAUUUGUUUGAUAGGCCCGCUUUGGUCGGUCAUCUCAUGAGAUGGUCAGUACUUCUGAUUGAGGUUGACAUCCAUUAUGUCACUCAAAAGUCCAUUAGAGGGAGCAUUGUUGCAGAUCACUUAGCCUCAUUACCAGUUUUUGAUGGUAGAACCAUUGAUGAUGACUUCCCAGAUGAGGAUGUCGCUGUUGUGACUAGUUUGUCAGGUUGGUGCAUGUGCUUCGAUGGUGUAGCCAACCAUUCUGGAUACGGGAUAGGCGUCUUGUUGAUAUCCCCUCGUGGUGAUCACAUUCCUAGAUCUGUUCGUUUGGCAUUCUCGGAUCGACAUCCUGCCACGAACAACAUUGUUAAGUAUGAGGCUUGUAUCUUGGGAUUAGAGACAACUCUCGAGCUCGGGAUUAAACAAAUGGAGGUGUUUGGGGACUCCAAUCUAGUAUUGAGACAGAGUCAUGGUGACUGGAAGACUAGAGAUGUGAAGCUUAGGCCUUACCAUGCAUAUUUAGAGCUAUUGGUUGGGAGAUUUGAUGAUUUGAGAUAUACACAUUUGCCUAUAGCGUAAAACCAGUUUGCUGAUGCCUUAGCUACUCUAGCUUCCAUGAUUGACAUUCCUGUUGAUGCCACUAUUUAUCCUUUAUUGAUCGAGUCGAGACCUGUUCCUACCUACUCUUGUGUGAUCGACGAUACAGAGUUAGAUGAUGGUUUGCCAUGGUAUCACAACAUAUAUCACUUUUUGAGACUUGGAGUAUAUCCUGAGGCCGCCACAGCCAAGGAUAAGAGAGCAUUGAGACAGUUGGAUGUCCGAUUCAUGAUUUAUGGUGAGACAUUAUGCUUGGACCGUGCCUUUGCCGAUCGAAUUAUGAGAGAGGUUCAUGCGGGAGUCUGUGGACUACAUAUGGGAGGACAUAUGUUGGCUCGUAAGAUCAUGAGGACUGGCCAUUUUUGGUUGACCAUGGAGAUAGAUUAUUGCCAGUUUGUUCAUAGAUGUCUAGAGUGUUAGAUACACGGGGACCUUAUUCAUGAGCCACCUUCAGAGUUACAUGCGUUGAGGUCACCGUGACCUUUUUCAGUAUGGGGUAUCGACAUCAUUGGGAAGAUUUCGCCAAAUCUUCCAGUAGUCAUGAGUUCAUCUUGGUCACCAUCGAUUACUUCACUAAGUGGGUGGAGGCUGCUUCGUAUGCGAGAUUGACAUCAUCUGAAGUCGUUAGUUUCAUCAGAUCACACAUUAUCUAUCGUUAUGGAGUCCCUCACGAGUUGAUUUUGGAUGAAGGGGUACAUUUAAGAGUAGAGGUUGACACCUUAGUGCAGCGAUAUGGCAUCCGGCAUCAUAGGUCGUCUGCAUACAGGCCGCAAAUGUAUGGGGCAGUAGAGGCCGUGAAUAAGAAUAUUAAGAGGAUCUUGCCGAGGAUGUUUGAGACUUCUUGGGAUUGGUCAGAGAAACUCCCAUUUGCAUUGUGGGCUUAUCAGACUUCUUUUCGCACUUCUACAAGAGCCACACCCUACUCUUUGGUAUACAGUAUAAAGGCAGUGUUACCAAUUCAAAUUGAGAUGGGUUCAUUGAGGGUAGCAUUGGAGCAGCAGAUUCUCGAGGCAGAUUGGGCUAAGACUCGAUUUGAUAAACUCAAUCUCCUAGAUGAGAGAAGAUUGAGGGCAACAGACCAUGUUCGUGCCUACCAGAGGAAGAUGGCCAGUGCUUUAAGAAGCGGGUCAUGCCUCGACCACUACGGAUAGGUGACUUGGUUCUGAAGGUCAUCAGGGGAUUGAUCAUAAAUCCUAAAGGGAAGUUCAGACCCAAUUGGAGCGGACCUUAUUUCAUCAGGGAGUUGACCCUAGAGGGCGUUGCAUGGUUGAUGGAUAUAGAUGGAAAUCGAUUCUCAGAACCGACCAAUGUGGAUCAGCUAAAAAGGUACUAUGUUUGAGACCAUGGUCGCAGGAUGGGUAGUCAUCAUUUCUAUUAGCCAUAUACCUUGUUGUUCACUUUUGAUAUUUAGACCGUUGCUAGCCCAUUGAGCCUCACAUGUGCAUUAUAAUCUUUCUUUCUUAUUGUCUUGAUCACUUUUUACGUCGGGAUAGGGGCCCUUUAGUGUAUGCAUGCAUUGUUUGGGAGUCUCAUGAGUCUUGGACCUAUAGGUGCAUCUUUCUCUCAUUAUUUUUCCUACCAUCACAUUACUGCAUUCCAUCGUAUCUUAUUGGUUGUGUUCUUCAUCUCUUCUUCCUUAUCCUAUCUAUCGCUUAUUUUGUUUCAUAUUCUCUCCACCCUGAGUGGUGAUCCUUCGCAAUUCAUUACAUGGAGGAUAGUCACAUCAUUCCCACUAUCUACCCCACAGACACUGGUUUAGAGAUCCUUACCUUGAGAAGGUUAUCUCGUCAGAGAGGGCUUUUGUUACUUUAGCACUUGAGGAGGCGUCUAUCCAUUAUUGAUAUCAUCUUUGGGGCUUAUUUUGAGAUGCGAGAGGUUUGUACAGAACUUAAGUGAGGUAACUAUUGGUAAAGGAGGUAGGCAGAUUUGAAUUCCCUCGAGUCAUGCAAAGUAGUCUUAGAGAACUUUGGAGGCUUGGGGAUUAUUGUUUAUCUUGAUAUUCAAAAUGCAUUAGUGCACAUCUUCUUGACUUCCAACAAAUGAACUUGCUUUUCACAAUCAUAAAUAUGGAGGUAUUUAAUUAUGGCAGGUAAUAUACCCCCCAGAAAUUGAUGUGGAAGUGGAGACUAACAACAACAUAGAUGUAUAUAAGGGAUUUACACUUAGUCUUGUGCAUUAAACAACCCUCAUUUAGUAUAAACCACAAAUUUUGGCAACACGUGAUCCACAAUUUAGAGCAUGGGAGGAAGCAGACCUGUUGGAAAGACAUGAAGAGACAAUUAAAAACAUGCAAGAAUUCCAUAGAUGAGUUGUUAUGAAUUAUUCAGAAUCCACGAGAAAAUUUAAAGCCCAUUAAUUUUGAAUGAAACACCUACUUAGCAUGGAUCAAAAACCUAUUUUGUGGAAAGAAACCAAGUCUUGAGGACCAAUUCAAUUACCAAAUAUCUAGGAAACAUUGAGGCUUUUUUAGUAUACUAUAAGAAAAAAUGUUAACCAUGACGCUUUUUAAGUGUCAAGAAAUGCAUUCAAUGGCACUUCCCCAAAGCGUCAUCUAGUAGCCUGUCAUAAUAAGUAUUUGCCUACACUGACGCUUCUAGAAAGCGCCAUUGAAGAGAACCUUUACGCUUAAAAAAAGUGUCAUCAUUAGUUAUAUCAAACUACAUUGACACUUUUAUAAGCGCCAUUGUUGAGUAGAAGAAACCUUGACACUUUCUAUAAGUGUCAUUGUUUAGCAGUUUCAAAUAUCGAACUAUAAGGACACUUCUAGAAAGCACCAUUGAAGAGAUCCUUGACACUUAAAAAAGUGUCAUUGUUAGUUGUUCACACUACAUGUGGUUACUCUCAUUCCUUGACACUUAGUAAAAGCAUCAAGGAAGAUAAUUUUUUAAUUUUAAAUUUAGUUUUAAUUUAAUAAUUGUUGCACCUAAUUUUUCACUUGCUAUUGAAAUAAUGCAUACACAUAAGAAAAAAAAUUAUGUACCAAUGAAAUCAGUUGUUGCACCUAAUUUUUCACCUACUAAUACAUUUCCAAAUUGCAAUAUUUAAUCACAAAUAGGGAACUUCUAUUUCAUAAAUAAGAAACACAAAAAGCUAAAAUAUAUUAAAAUAACAAAAAAAAAAGUCACAACUUUAAUGUUUAGUCCCUUAACAUAGUCCAUUUUUUCUUUACAUGCAACCUAAUUGUGCUUUGGUCUUCAACAUACUCCUUCAUGCUAGCUUAUCCGACUACAAUGUUAAUUUCCCAAAAAAAUGACCUAUAUGCACAAAAAACUAAAAUCAAUUACAAUUUCAGAAAAGAUAUAUAAGUGAAUACUUCUAGAAAUAGAUAGAAAGAAAUGACAAUAAAAAUAUAAUAGGAAAACAAAUGUGUAUAUACCAAUUAACAUAUGUGACCCUAAGAAUAAUUACAAAAAAAUAUUAUCAAUAGUUAAAACGCAAAGCAAGAGAUUAAUCAAAUAUGGGACAAGAGAACAUCAACAUCAAUAAUCCAUUAAAUCUUUAGUAUAGCCCAAAAGAAAAUAGAAAAACAAACCAAAGUUGGGACAAGAGAAUGUCAACAUCAAUAGUCCAUUAAAAUAUUCAAUUAAGCAUCGUCUAAUAGUAAUAGACCUCAUCGAAUGCGCAACAUUGACAAAUGAAGGUUUUUUGAAUUCCAAUUUAUCUUAACAGUACAACAAACAUAAUUAUUGCUUUUGUGGCAAUGCCAAUUGCUUUUGUGGAAGCUCUUCUUCUUCUAGUAUCGAGGAAAAGGCUAUAAUCCUAAAUCUCCAUUCUCCAUGCACAGAUGUCUUCCUGGAUGCAUGCUGUCAGAGAAGAUGAGGAAGCUUUAGAAUGUUAGUUGACAAAUCAAUUAGAGUAAUCGAAUUGGAACAGGACACAAACUUCAAAACAUUAAAAUUUAGUAAUGCAGAUAAGGGCAUUUAUAUGUACACAUAUUGAUCAGAAAUUAAACUCCAUCCUUUAGCAACCUAAAAACUCAGAAGAAAGAAGUAUAAUUUCAGAUAUGCAAGAUUUUGAUCAAUUAAAGUCCAAAGCAUUUUAUGUUCAUACAAAUGAGAAGACAUAAUGGCAGCUGACUUUGAGGAUUGAAAGAAAAAUGAAUUGAUGCUACUUCUCAAUGCUAAUGCCAUUAAUUUGUUGUUGUUUUUUGUGGCCAUGUCGAGCCUGUCCAUCAGAUAAGGUUUGAAUCACUUCUAUUAUUCUUGUUUAAGACAAUCCCUUCUUUUUUUCUUUUUUUUUUCUUUACAUAGUCAAUCAUUUUGUUUCAUGUUUGCCCUAUAGUUGGUCUGUUGAUGGUAGGCUUCUUUUGAGUGGAAAGAAAGACUCUAUACUGAAGGUAAAUUGUGGGAACUAUGUCUUUUUGUGGUAUAGAUGGGGUUAUCAUAUAGUUGAAUGAUUCUAUUGCUUCCUUAUAACUUUUCAAGGCACUAAAAAAGAAAAAAACAAAGGUCGGACUAGGAAAAAUAUUUCGUCCUGAUUUCAGGUAUACUCUUUCCUUAUGAAGUCUUAUUGUGGUAAAUUAUAGUUAGAUAUAGUCACAUCGACAUUUUUUUCUUCCAAGUUUAAACAGUAAUUCGGGAGAGUGUAUUAUGAAAACAUAGUAAAAUAAAAAAUCUUAUGAAUGUAUUCUACUUUGGAUAUUUCUUAUGAAUCUUCCCCUGCACUCCUGACCACCACAGACACUCCCAUCACACCAAGCCUUGUAGCUGUUCUAAAUUGUUGCAAAUAUGUUAGAAACCAAUUACUAAUAUUAAGGACGGUCAUGUCUACUAAUUUCGGGUUAGAAUUUUUAGAGUAGGUGGGAAAUUAUGGUUGCAGUAGGGAAUGUGAGUGCUUCUGUUUUGCCAAGGUGGCUUUCCUUAUUCAUGCUAACAUCAACAACAUAGCAAUGAACUCGAUUUAAUAUUGUUUAUCGUAUAGGCUUGAGAUAUCCGGACAGAAAAGUUAAAACAAGAUCUUCCAGGCUAUGAAGAUGAGGUAUUUUUCUCCUCUUAAGUACUACUUAAUAUUCUUCUUUUGACAUUGUACUUGGUUUAAUUAAUGUUUUCCUUCUUUUCGUACUCUGGAAAGGUUUUUGCUGUUGAUUGGAGUCCAGAUGGUGAGAAGGUAGCCUCCGGUGGUAGGGACAGAGUACUCAAUUUAUGGAUGGGUUGAUGGCUAAAGGAGGAAGAGAUGUAUGAAAUGAAGAUUGACAUGAUUCUUCCACAACAUGAUGGACUUGGCAGACACUCAACUUUUGCCUAUAGUUGAUAGUCUACCAUGUGUAACUUAAAGGUUGUGCACUAAGUUCUGAUGUUAUGAAGGAUCGAGGGUGGUUUGUGCACUAAGCUCUUCUAAAAUAUUUUUCUUUAUUGAGCUGUAAUGAUUGUAUUAUUUGGAUUUAAUUGUAUUCAUUAGGUUUGUAGAUCACGAUAUGAUUAUUUUCCUCUUUGAUCAUGUAAAGUUAGGAAGCAGUUAUGGGUUACUAUAUUAGCAUGGUAUAUUGAUGCACACAGUUUGUGGCAUGACAGUUUGAUGAAAUUACAGAAGUGUAGCACUCAUAGGCAUAUCAUGUGAACCUUAUUCAAUGUGGCAUUGACAGUUAGUUUAUAUUUACAUGGGUGUAAUGUCGCACUAGUAUCCUCUAAUGAACCUUGGAUUCUUUUUUCUCCGUUUCUUCCUCUCUUGGUCAAGCAAAACAAUUUAUCUUCAUGACUUCCUCCUAUUACCAAAAAGCAACAUCUUGUGUUCUCCAUCUCUUCAUUCCCUUGUCAAGACACAACAAUUUGAUGCAUUUUUGCAUUGGGUUGCUUCCUCUCCUUCCCUUCUCCUUCCUCCUCGUCUCAUUGCUUAGUUUUGGCUAUGUUUAUUUUGAUCAUUAUGGUAGAGCAUCCUUGCAAGAUGUACAAGAAAUAUGUUGUGGUGCAUUAUCCCCUUCUCUACCACCCGAAAUCUGUUUUCCAUGAUCAUUAAUACCAAGAUGUUUAAGCAUCAAGUAAGGCAUCUCUCAACAAUUAUGCGAGAAAUAAGAGACAAGCAACAUACCAGUAUUCAAGAGAAGUGAUGUUCUACAUUUGCAUUUGACAACAUGCAUUUAGUCUGAACUCCAAAUUUGGGCAACUCAGAAUCUCCACCUUCAUUAUGAUUGCAGAAAGUUGCCUUCUUGGAAAAAUGUGGAAAUUGGGCAUUUAGAAAUCUAAAAGAAUCACAGUGGCAUGUUGCUACUUUUGAAUCAUUCCAAUCAAUAACAACUCCAAAGAUAUAUAUACAAAUUUGUCCAUAGGAAAGAGAUCAAUGUUUCUUGGGCAUGCAACCAUCUCUCUUAACAAACUCAGGGUUCUACACCCUCUUAGUGGUUUCUUAUAUAUUGCACCAUAUGAUUUGUAGAUAUCCAAUUGCCAAUUUCACUACACCUAAUGAACUAGAAGCUAUGCUAAAAGUGAAGUUAAACAACCCAUCGUAGAAAGAAUCUUGUAGGAAUACACCAAAAAGAAAAUCUUAUUAACAUAAAUGAACUCAUCCAGUUAAAGGAUAAAGUUGCAUUAAAAAUUGAAUUGGGAGAGAUACAAAUAUUGAUGCUUACGUGGGACUGUGGAAUGGAUCAACAAGAGGAACAAACACUGAAUAGUAAAUGUAAAGUCAUAAAGCUUGUAACAACUGUCAAAUACUACUCUAUAGUGAAGUUUUUUUUAACAAUAAAGGUAACUGCAAAAUUCACCAAAUAGCUCCACUUGAAGGAAAUUUCAAUGGUAUGAAACUAAGAUAUGGUGAACUCUCCUUGCUUCUGCUAUUGUUGUGAGCCAUUAUAGAUCAAAGAUGAAUCUCGCCAUCUGUUUUCACAUAGGAGAUGUGGGCUAUCUUUGGGUCAUCUCUCAUCAUUGGAUUUAGGAGUUAUGUCUCUCAUAUAUAGUUUCACUUGCCAACUACAAAUGGAGCUUAGCAGAUGUCUCCAUGAUGUGGAGACUGAGCAACAUACAUGAUUCAAGGGAUGUGCAGUUGUUCUUGUGAAUCACCCAAUCUUCAUCUAAUAUAUAUAGACGCACAAAUUUUAGCAACUUGUAAUCUCCACAUUUUAGAGCACUAGAGGAAGCUAGCUUAUUCAGCAAACAUAACACAAUUAGAAAAAUACAAGAAUUCCAGAUACAUGUUGUGCUAUCAUGCAUUCCAAUCAGUAAGGAAUCAAAGUGCUAUAAUUUUAAACUAUGCAAUAACAAACCUAUCUUGGGGAAGUAAACUGUCUUGAGCACCAACUUAAUUGUGAGUUCUUUGGGAGACUUGGACACCAACUCAAUCAAAACUGCUAGUUGUUUCUGUGGCAGCUUGUCUUCAUCCACUGAUAUUGGAGAAAAUGCUUUUGAAAACCCUUAAUCUUCAAAUCACAAAGAGAAAUUAGAUUAUGUUGGUAUUCGAUCUCCAAUCUCUUUAACACAAAUGGAUGAUUUCCUAGUAACAAACAAUGGCUAAUUUUAUCACUUAUACUCUAGCAUGUGAUUUGGGAGGAGAAUUAAGCUUUGGAAUAUUGCCAAUAAACAAGGAAUUGAGAAAGACCAAGUGGGCAGCCACCACAACUAGUUCACAAAAAAAUGGAAGCAUUGGGAGUGGAACAUGACACAAAAACAAAACAUGUUUUCCAUAUUCAUAAAUACCAAGGUGUUUAAGCAUCAGGUAAGGCAUCUCUUGACAAUAAUAUGAGAGAUAGAGACAAGUAGCAUACCGUUAUUCAAGAGAAGUGGUAUUCUUCUUUUGCAUUUGACAACAUUCAUCCACUUUACACCCCAAUUUUGGUAACUUAGGAUCUCCACCUUCAUUAGGAAUAUUGUAGGAAACUGGCCUCUUGGAAAUACAUGAGAGGACAUUUAGAAAUCUAAAAUAAUUCUAGAGACUUGUUAUUGCUUGAAUUGUGAAUCAUUCCAAUUAGUAACAACCGUAGAGCCUCUAUACACAAUUUUGAAUUAUCUACCUUCUUACAUUAGAUGAAAAAUCUAUCCCUAGAAAAGAGGCGUGUCUCGGGCCAUGCAACCAUCAAUUAUUAGCUCUCUAAGAGGCUUGAAGUUGUGCACCCUCUUGGUAGCUUCUCAUUCAUUACAACAUAUAAAUUCCAGAUAUCCAAUUGGCAUGUCACUUGAACAUAGUAAGAAACAUAGUGAAUAGGAAGUUAGACAACCUGUCACAAAAAGAAUCCUACAAUAAUACACCAAAUAAAACAUCUUGCUAAUUCAGUUAAACAAUUGUGUGAAAAUCUAAAUUAAGAGAGAGAAAAACAUUUAUGCUUACAUAGGACUAUGGGAGGGACCACAAGGGAAAUGAACUUCGAAUAGAAAAUGUGAAGCUUUAAAGCUUGUAAUUGUUGUCAAAAGUUGCCCCCUAGUCAAGUUUUCAACAAAAAUGUUCAGUGUAAGGAUUCUCUAGUAACUCAACUUGUAGAAAAUUUCAACAAUAUGACAAUUUAUACUCAUAAAAAGAAGAUAAAAUGUAAGAAUUAUGUGUUGGGAAUAGAUGAAACUUACUGAAUAUAUAUAUAUAUAUAAAAUAGGAUGAACUCCACCAGCUUCCAUUUUUGGAAUCCAAACUAUUAUGGAUCAAAGAUGAAUCUCUCCAUCUAUUUAUAAAUAGGACCUAUGGGCAAUCUUGAAUUGAUGUCUCAUCACUGGAUUUAGAACUGAUGUAUAGCUCUGAACCAUGGCAGAGUUCUCCUUCAGUUGCCAAAUACCACUAGAGCUUAGGUGAGGUCUUGGUGAUGUAGGGAAGUCAUGGAUUCCGGAAUCUUUACAUGAAAAUAUACAGGAGAUACAUUGGAAGAAAGGACAGGCCAUCUGAGAAGAAACACAUCUUAAAGUAUACCAUCAAUCAUGAGUUGUUUGAGAGUGAGGAGUCUUUGAAGGCCUCACUCAGAUAAGGGUUGUCUUUGACAUUUCUCACUCUUCAAUCUCAAGAAGGUACAUCAUCAACUAGAACCUUAGGAAUGUGAGUCAUCAUGGGACAACUUGUUUAUGUUCUUUAUUCUUUUCUCACCAGAGAGGAUUGAAAGAUAUGUAGUUUCAAGGGCAAAACAUGUAGCCAGUAGUGAGAGCAUCAAACAAUCCUUCUCUAAUGCAAACCACAAAUUUUAGUAACUCGUGAUCUCCACAAUUUAGAGCACAAGGAAGCUGGUCUGUUGGAAAGAUGUGACAUGAAAUUUAGAAAUAGGCAAGAAUUCUAGAGAUCAUUCCAAUCAUUAAGGAAUCCAAAGCCUUAUAAUUUGAACAGGGCAUCUGCUUGGCAUGGAUAACGCACCUAUCUUGGGACAAAGACCACAUGUUGAGCACCAAUUCAAUUAUCAACUCUCUAUGAAACUGGAUAUAUAAGGUACUAAUGUUAGUACAAAUUACUUGGUAGCUCUUCUUCUUUUACUGGUGUUAGGGGCAAAGCCUUGUGAAAACCCUAAAUCUACAAAUUACCAAGGACGUGAGAUCAUGUUGUAAUCUUAUCUCCAAUCUCCAGCUGCAAAUAGAUUAUUUCUUUCAAUUAACAAUCUUUAAUGCUUUCACUUCUAUCAUAGGAUAUGCAAUUUGGGAAAACAAGUAAGAUUUAUAAUAUUAGGAAUAUGAAAGGAAUUGAUGAAGGCCAUGAAUCUACUUAAAAUAAAAACAAAGAUUUUUUCACCCAUGAAUACCAUAACCAACUUCCAAAAAGCAUUAGGUAUUGCAAUAACCAAAUGUUCCUUGGGUAUUAAAGUUAAAGUUCAAAGUAACCAAGAGUGCAUUUUUUGACCCAUGCAUAAAAUAAAAAGAAAAUAAGAACGAAUACCAUAUAACUCACAAUUGUGUCAAGUAUGAGUUUAGUUUAUGUUCAUGCACAAUUGCAUUAAGUAUUCGAAAGCUAAAUAAGGCUAUGUGCAAUUCAAAGAAUACCAUACAAUGCUCACAACUUAUCAUAGAAUGAGAGCUCAAUUGUCUUUCUUCCAGUCAUAAGAGUUUGUGCUCUUUGAGCCUCUAACUUGCACAACUCAAAACAGCAAGACAUGCCAAAAAGUCUCCUUCACCUUAAACAUUAUUCAAUAUAAAUCUUGAUAAGAAAAUUUUCUACAAAUAUAACAUGUUGCAAACAAAUAGCAAUAUGUUAGUUUAAAAUUGAAGAGAAUUUCAAACCAAACAAAAUAGAAAAAAUUUCAAUGUUUAUCACUUACCUAAAAACUUGUAUGUUGGAUAAAGUUGAUGCUAAUGAAUCUUGACAAUUGUUUGCAAUCAAAAUUUAUUAAUGAUUCAUAGACAAAAAAAAAAAAAAAGGAAAUUAUAAAAUUAUUUAGCAAUGUUCCAUGAAAAACACAUUGUACAUUGAUUGAGAAAUUAAUAUGAAAUCCACUAAUUUGAAAGACAUUAAAAAACAGAUGUUGUCUUGAGUUCUCCAUGUAUCAUGACAGAUGCAAGUUGCUAUUCGAGCCACCACAAUCAUGGAGUACGAGACUUCUCAGCAUGGAAGGCAUACCAAAUUUCAAACAAGGUUCUUAACUUUCCAAGAGACAUAAGAACAUGGUGUGUUGUAUAAACUGUAGAAUAAAUAAAUGGAAGUUAGACACACAUGCACUUGCUACUUAUUUUUUUUAAUCAUCUAUGAAAUAAAUAAAGAGGUGUUACUUGCAUUCAAUCCAAACUUGUGGUCUCCAAUGUGAAAUCCAAAUCUCAUUUUGUCAACACAAUAAGAGCAUUAAACAUACAACAAAUUGAAUCCUUCCUUUUGACAAUGUGAAAACCUGAAAGAAAUGACUCAAGAUCAUAAAUAAUUAUACAAUAAAGAAAACUUUCAUUAGUCUUUCUCAAAGAAAAAUCUAUUAUUUCCUUGAUUACGGAAGAUAGAUAUUUUGACAUAAAGUGCACUUAUUAAGGUAAACUUUGUGCAUUAUACAUUGAAAUUAGAAAUUUGUAUUUAAAUCCAAUUAGAAAGGUACCACAAAAGAUGAAUAAUUGAAAUGAAGACAUCCAUGCCAAUUUGUAACUGCUGUCAAAUAACACCCUCCCUUAACAUUUUUUAUCCCAUGCCUGCAUGUCAAAUCUCCAACUAAGAUUACUCAAAGAGCACCUAAAAGAAAAUUACCAAGAUUUCAUCACAUGCAGAACUCAAGAUGCUAACAUUGAACCAUGGGAGAGAUCGACAAGAAACAAAAUACUCACCCAUAAGUUUGUAAUUGUUGUACUUAAAACCCGUUUCCUAGUCAAACUUGCAACACAACUCCAUGGAGACUUUCACAAAUAGUUAAGCCACUGGUAGAAAACAACAUCAAUAUGAGAAAUUGACAAGGUACUGUGCAGAUAAAAGAGUAUAAAUGUGUGUUGAGAAUAAGAUUUACCUUAAUGAAUGUAAGGAUAGGAUAGGGUUGAAUUGGCUUUGCACCUGUUUUUGCAAUUUGAUGUUAUUACGAUUCAAAAAUGAGUUUAUGAUCUAUCCUCACUUUAAGGGAAGUGGGCAAUCUCCUUGAAACAUCUUUGAUUUAGAGAUUCGAUAAAACUCAAAAGACAACCUUUCACUUGGUAAAGAGGGCUAGAACAGGGCACCCCUCAAUCUCUACAAGUUAAAGAGAUGAAGUUCUGAAGACCAAGGAAAGGGACUUGGGAUUCUAGAUUUGACAAUAUUUUCAUUGAAAUAUCAAUGAGAGUUGUAGCAAGAAAUACUGUCAAAAGGAAAUUGCAUUUAACAAUGCGCAAUAUAAAAUGAAUGAACUGAGUUUUUGGAGAGGUGAAUCUUUGGAGGCUCCACAAAGAUAAGGGGUCUUAAUACUCUUGCAAGUAUAUUCAUGAAAUUGCUUUCUCAAAGAACUCCAGAACCUAAACAAUGUGCAACACAAAGCUAUUGAAGAGAUGUGAGACUUUGAAUCUGAUGAGGUAGGGACUUGAGAUCCACAUUUUCUUAUGUGAAGAAUUUUGAGGUUGUAGAGGCACACUAGUAGUUUCCAAAUUCAGAUGCUUCUCUUCAAAUAUUCGUAUAAUGUACAUCUUCUUUGACAUUGCUGCUCCAACAUGAUGUGCAACCUAUUUGAGCAUACUACAUGUACAACAAAAAAUUUCAUUACAACAAAAAUCUAAAGUUAAUGUCUAAGAAGAUAAGAUUUAUAUAAAGUGAAUGAGCAUGCUUGAUUUAGCACAAAGAGAAUGACCCUAAAAUUUAAGAAUAUCAUUAAAAACUUCACAAGGAUUUGAUGGUUAGACAAUGAAGUAAUUCUAAUAAAUGAGUUAAAAUCGGCUAAGCUAAGAAAAAUUAAAUCCAAAUAAGCAUCAAUCAGUAAGGAAUUGACCUACUAUGAAAGACUUCAAAUGAUAUUUUCCUUGUAAUUUCUAUUCUUAAUUGGCCCCAUUUGCUUGUACCAAAAUAUUAUUAUCUUACCUUAAAGGAAGUGGAUGACUUAUAUCUUUGAAAGGAUGUGAAAGGUGGAAAUCCCUCGAUUUCCAAUUAUUCAAGAAGAUAAUUCCUAUGGCUAUUGUUGUCAUUGUGCAUAAUUCAACUAGCUAUAGACUACAUAAUUGAACAAUCAUGAACACGUAGAUGCUUAAAUAUGGUAUGUAGUUCAUCUAGUGGAAAAAUAAAUGAGACUUGGACAUCUCAAGAUUUAUGGGAAUCAAGACAGAUACAAGUUGUUGUUGUUGUUUCCUAUUAUAAUUCAUUUGGAUUGCAAUCAACAAGCGCUAACUCCAUUCACUGCAUGUUUUGAGUCUUCAACAUAAAACCCAAAUUCCAUUCUAUCAACCAAAAAAUAAAAAUAAAAAAUCCUAAUAACUCCUCUAGGAACCAUUUUACGUCUCAGAUUAUAAGAUGCAGGAUGUAACUCACUUCCAUCAUUGAGAAUGAAUUGAUAAAACUUUGCAAUACUAGUAUAUUCAGCUUCAUUAUGAUGACCUCAUUAGAACUAGAAUAAGUGGAGUGAUAAUGUUAUCUAAUUAGUAAACCCAACCAAUUUUAUAAACUAGAACUUCCACUAGUAUAGCCUCUAUGUAAAAGAAAUUUAAAGGUCUUGAUACAUUAGAUAUUGAAAUUGUUGGAUUAAAAUUUUAUUUAUUGCACCUAGCAAGAUAGAAGUAAUAAUGCUAAUUUCAAAUUAUGACAGAUUAUAGAGAAAAUUAGACACUGAGGAAAUACCAAGCCAGAAGCCAUGUCAAGAUCUGCUUUCUAGUUGAAAAUUUUAGCAAAAAAUUAAGUCCAAUUAAAAAAUUGCAAUAGUAGGUAAAAGAAAUUGAAAGUGAUGUUGAGGAGAGAAAGAUGAAGAAAGAUGUUGGGAAUGAGAUGUAAUACUUGUUUUAUUGCUCAGAGAUGGAUUAGUCAUGUAUCUCCACACGGGGGAUAUCGGCAAUCUUGGGCCAAUCAUGUCCUUCCUCCUCUAAGUACCUUUGUUUUAGAUGUGGACACCUCCAAAUCCGUAGUUCUAACAGGGAAUCAGGCACCAGUCCUUCCCUUGGCAAAAUCCACUGGAGCUUAGGGCAGUUGAAGAUCACCAGGCUUCUAAGCGAUGUAAGGGUUUGGAGAGAUAGGGAGGCUAAGGAUUCCAGAUUAUGGAUUUGAGAAAUGUGAAGGGAGGUAAGAGUUGUAGGAAGAAUAAUCAAGUGGGGGUCAUCUGAAAAGGAAGUUGCAUAUGGAAACAUGCCUUCAAUUGAGAGGUUUUCAAGAGAGGUGAGUCUAGAAAGGCCCCAUUGGGAUAAAGGGGUCUUGAUAUUCUCACAGUGAGAGAUAGAAAACAAUGUAAGACAAGUGAGGUUUUUUAUCAGAGGCAAUAAUUUCAAAUUUUUAUUAUUUGCAAUAUAUAGAUCUGUGAGGUUGUAAAGGCAAUUUGGUAGGGCUCUGAGAUUAGGAUACCUCCCGAUGCUUAAUGAUUGAAAUGAAUUAUUAUUAGAGUGAAACAUCAUGAUAAUAGGCAACUUGGUAAGCUGAUUACAUCAUGAUAAUAUCAAUGUUUGUAAAUUGCAAAGACCGCCUAUUGAAUCAGGUAAACAUUUAAUGUUGCUUUUAGACAAAUUCAGAUACCUUAGAAGUUUUAAAUUACCAAAUUCAUUUGGUAUCUCAUUUAUCCGGUAACCACUCAAGAAGAGCACCCUUAGGUGUUCUAAUCUUGGUAUCAAUUGUCGAAGCACCUUAUUACUGAUGAAUUGAGUAUCGAUAAAUCUUGGUGUUGAUAUAACUAUGAAUGUGCACAAAUGCUCCUUCUUAUGAAACCUUUCAAACUUUUAAAUGUAUCAUAAUCAUCACGAAUAAAUGAUGAAUGGCAAGUACUUUUAGGAAUGAGACGUUGCAAAUUAUUUUUGAACUCAUCAUCCAAAUGCAAGCAUGUAUCUCCAGCAACAUAUUUAGCUAGAGCAUGGACAAGGUCAUGCAUCACAAAUCGUGAUCUAUUGCUACUCGACUAUCGAAAAAAUGACCUUGACAGUAGCUCAUCAAAAUACUUAUCACCAAGAUCUUCAAUUUUCCUAUUAUCUUUUGAUUGUUGAAUUAACCCCUCCGCCAUCCACAUGAAGAUUAACCCUUGCUUUGUAAACUCAUAAUCCUGGGGAAAAAUUGCACAAUAAGUAAAACACCUCUUUAAAUGUGACGACAGAUGAUUGUAGCUCAAUCUCAAGGCAGGGAUGAUGUCACAUUCCUUGUUUGUGAAAUCCCAUACUUUGCUGUACAAUUCUCUUUCACAUUCACAUCCCCAUAGUUCAGAGUGCAAAAGGCCACCAAGGGCUCUUGCUGCUAAGGGCGAACCUCCACACUUGUCUACAAUUCUCCUAUCAAUUGAUUCCAAAUUUGGGUGCUCAUCGAUAUUCAUAUGUUCAAAAGCUUGUGUUUGAAAUAUCUUCAAACAAUCAUCAUAAGGUAACUGUUUGAGCUCAUGUAAGUUCUUGUGUCCUCUCAUCUUGUUUGCAACAUCAUUAUUGUUGGAAAUCAAGCCAGCAUCCUUUGUUUACUUCCCUAAUUAGUGUAAUGUACAGCCUUUAUUAUAAUUGAUUUAGGAGUAAUUCUAGCAAGGUAGUUUAUUCACUUCCCAUGUAAGAGUUUAUUCUUAGGAGUAAUUCGAGCAAGGUAGUUUAUUCACUUUCCAUGUAAGAGUAGUUUAUUCACUUCCCAUGUAAGAGUUUAUUCACUUUCCAUGUAAGGGAAAUUCCAUUCCGGAAUUGUCUCAUAUCUGUAGGCUAUUUAUUUAUGCUUUCAUUCAUUGUAAAGGAAGGUAUCACAGAAUGAAUUGAGGUGUUCCUCCAUAGUUUGUCUUCAAAUUCUUCAUAUUUUUCUUCAAAUUCUUCAUGGUAUCAGAGCAGGUUUAAUCCUGUCUCAUCGUCUUCAUCUUUAGUCAGUUUUUUUUUUACUCAAUUCUAUUCUUCUAAUUUAUGUCUAAAUAUGGUCCAGCCUUUGGAAUGGCUACCAACUCAUCAUCCUCUACUUCUGAUAUNNNNNNNNNNNNNNNNNNNNNNNNNNNNNNNNNNNNNNNNNNNNNNNNNNNNNNNNNNNNNNNNNNNNNNNNNNNNNNNNNNNNNNNNNNNNNNNNNNNNCUGGCUAGUCAACUCUAUGACCGCUGACAUUGGUGAAAAUUUUCUGUCAUUUGAUACUGCCAAAGAAAUCUGGGACACUGCAAAAGAAACUUUCUCAGACAAGGAAAACACAUCUGAAAUCAUCCAGAUUGAAGGCAUCCUCCACGAUUUGCGUCAAGGAAACCUUACGGUAACUGAAUAUUUCAAUACUCUUACUCGUCUAUGGCGUCAACUUGAUACGUUUGAGGUUCAUAACUGGAAUUGUGUUACAGAUGGUUUUUUGUAUAAAAAGAUUGUCGAAGGGAAACGUGUGUUUAAAUUUUUGUUAGGUUUGAACAAAAAUCUUGAUGAAAUCAGAGGAAGAAUCAUGGGAGUAAAACCCCUACCUAGCCUUAGAGAGGCAUUCUCUGAAGUCCGUCGCGAAGAAAGUCGGAAAAAUCUCAUGAUGGGAUCCCAUCAACAACUGAAUAUGGCAGAAAGCUCGGCUCUUAAGACUCAAUUCGCUCCUUUUGACAACCAUAAAAAAAUUAAAGGAGGUAGACCUUGGUGUGAUCAUUGCAGAAAGUCGGGACACUCAAGAGAAACUUGCUGGAAAAUUCAUGGAAAGCCAGUAGAUUGGAAGCCACGUCAACCACUUGAGAAAGAAGGACGAGGCAAUCAUGUGGCUACCGAUGAACAAUCGCCACAACCUGAAGCUAGCCCUUUUAAUAAGGAGCAAAUGGAGAUGCUUCAGAAACUACUGUCUCCUCUUUUGUUAGUACAGUCACAAACUGGCUCAUCUUCCAACCAGGUCAUUGGUUCCGGAACCUUGGCUCACAAAGGUAAUUUUUUGAGUGCCUUCACUGCUGGUAAGAAACGUAAAAAACCUUGGAUAGUGGACUCAGGAGCAUCUGAUCAUAUGACGGGAGAUGCAACAAUUUUUGAUACAUAUAGCUCAUGUCCAAAUAAUUUAACAGUCCGAAUAGCAGAUGGUUCACUAUCAAAGGUUGCCGGAACAGGUUCAGUUGUGCUAUGAAGGGAUCUUACUCUCAACUCUGUUCUCCUUGUUCCUAACUUGGACUGUAAUCUAUUGUCAAUUAGUAAACUCACUAAGGAAAAGAGGUGUAUUACUAAUUUCUCCUCCACUCACUGUGAAUUUCAGGAUUUGGAUUCGAGGAAGACGAUUGGCAAUGCUGAGGAAUGCUCUGAACUCUACAUCCUUAAGGAGCUCCACGAUCCACAAGAACAACCUCAAAUGACAGUUGGUAGUAAUUCUUUUUCGGUUUCAUGUCAAAAUAACGAUAGUGCAAUUAGGUUGUGGCACUAUCGCUUAGGUCAUCCAAAUGUUAUGUAUCUCAAGCAUUUAUUUCCUUCAUUAUUUAAUAAAAAUCCAAAAUCCUUUGAGUGUGAAAUCUGUCAAUUAUCAAAGCAAGUCCGGUCUCAUUUUCCCAUUCAACCCUAUAAAGAGUCUAGUCCAUUCUCAAUGAUUCAUAGCGAUAUCUGGGGUCCUUCAAGAAUAAAAAAUGUAACUGGUACAAGGUGGUUUGUCUCAUUCAUAGAUGAUCACACUAGAUUAACUUGGGUAUUCCUCAUGAAAGAAAAAUCUGAAACGAGUCAAAUUUUCAAAAAUUUUAAAAAUAUGAUUCAGACCCAAUUACAGUCAAAAAUACAAAUUCUAAAGUUUGAUAAUGCUAGGGAUUAUUUCAACUCCAUUCUAGGAGAAUUUCUAGCACAAGAAGGGAUAGUUCACUUAAGUUCAUGUGUUGAUACCCCACAACAAAAUGGAAUCGCUGAAAGGAAAAAUAGGCAUUUGUUAGAGGUGGCUAGAUCACUAAUGUUCUCCAUGAAUGUUCCAAAAUUAUUCUGGGGGCAAGCUGUCCUUACGGCAGCCUACCUCAUCAAUAGGAUGCCGUCUAGGGUACUAAAAUUCCAAACACCUUGUCAAACACUCCUAAAAUCCUUUCCGACUACUCAUCUCAUCUCCACCGUCCCACCCAAAAUUUUUGGGUGCUCUGUCUUUGUUCAUAUCAAUCAACAACAUAGAAGUAAACUUGAUCCUAGGUCACUCAAGUGCAUCUUUCUUGGGUAUUCUUCAAAUCAAAAAGGGUAUAAGUGUUACUCUCCGGUCACAAGAAAAUUCUACAAUUCAAUGGAUGUCACCUUUUUUGAAACCCNNNNNNNNNNNNNNNNNNNNNNNNNNNNNNNNNNNNNNNNNNNNNNNNNNNNNNNNNNNNNNNNNNNNNNNNNNNNNNNNNNNNNNNNNNNNNNNNNNNNUUUUCACAGUAAAGUACAAGGCAGAUGGUAAUGUGGACAGGUAUAAGGCUCGGUUGGUCGCCAAAGGAUUCACCCAAUCCUAUGGCAUUGACUAUCAAGAAACUUUUGCUCCAGUUGCCAAGCUCAAUACUGUUCGUGUACUUUUAUCCUUGGCAGCUAAUCUCGAUUGGUCGCUUCACCAACUUGAUGUGAAGAAUGUCUUCCUCAAUGGUGACUUAGAGGAAGAAGUUUACAUGGACAUUCCUGCUGGACUUGAGACGACAUCAAAUUUCAACAAGGUUUGCAGACUUCGAAAAUCCUUGUAUGGUCUCAAACAAUCUCCCAGGGCCUGGUUUCAACGGUUCACUAAGGUAGUGAAAGGGUACGGAUUUGUUCAAUGUCAAUCCGAUCACACAUUAUUUGUGAAACACUUCCCAGAAGGGAAACUGGCAAUUAUCAUUGUAUAUGUGGACGACAUAAUUUUGACAGGUGAUCAUGAAGAGAAAAUUGACUUACUUAAAAAAUUACUGACAAAGGAAUUUGAGAUCAAGGAUCUUGGAAACCUCAAGUACUUUCUCGGAAUGGAGAUUGCUAGGUCAAAGAAAGGUAUAGCAGUCUCACAACGCAAAUAUGUUCUGGACUUAUUGAAUGAAACAGGAAUGCUAGGAUGCAAGCCGGCAGAAACACCUAUGGAUACAACUGUCAAACUGGAAGAAAGUGAUGGAAGUGCGCCAGUUGAUAAAGGAAGAUAUCAACGUCUUGUGGGGAAACUCAUCUAUCUUUCUCAUACAAGGCCAGACAUCGGCUUCUCCGUUAGUGUGGUAAGUCAAUUCAUGAAUAAUCCAACCGAAAAACACAUGACUGUUGUGAUCAGAAUAUUGAGAUACCUCAAGAUGACACCGGGAAAGGGUCUCUUCUUUCAAAGAACAACAAAGAAAGAGAUUGAGAUUUUUUCAGAUGCAGAUUGGGCAGGUUCAAUGACUGAUCGGAGAUCAACUUCAGGCUGUUGUUCAUUUGUCUGGGGGAACUUGGUUACAUGGCGAAGCAAGAAACAGUCAAUGGUAGCCCGUAGCAGUGCUGAGGCAGAAUUUCGUGCUAUGGCACAAGGUAUCUACGAGGGAAUCUGGUUGAACAGGCUGUUAGAAGAAUUACGGGUUCCAUUGAAGCAUCCCAUGGUGUUAUACUACGACAAUCAAGCUGCCAUCAGUAUCGCUAAGAAUUCGGUUCAUCAUGAUCGAACUAAGCACGUGGAGAUAGAUUGACACUUUAUCAAGGAAAAGAUUGAAGAAGGAGUUUUCAAAGUCAGCUACACUCCGACAAACUGUCAAACGGCUGACAUUCUCACAAAAGCUCUUGCUCGAGUUAACUUCGAAGAUUUGACAGAAAAACUUGGAAUGAUCAACAUCUACAACGCGGCUUGAGGGGGAAUGUUGGAAAUCAAGCCAGCAUCCUUUGUUUACUUCCCUAAUUAGUGUAAUGUACAGCCUUUAUUAUAAUUGAUUUAGGAGUAAUUCUAGCAAGGUAGUUUAUUCACUUCCCAUGUAAGAGUUUAUCCUUAGGAGUAAUUCUAUCAAGGUAGUUUAUUCACUUUCCAUGUAAGAGUAGUUUAUUCACUUCCCAUGUAAGAGUUUAUUCACUUUCCAUGUAAGGGAAAUUCCAUUCCGGAAUUGUCUCAUAUUUGUAGGCUAUUUAUUUAUGCUUUCAUUCAUUGUAAAGGAAGGUAUCACAGAAUGAAUUGAGGUGUUCCUCCAUAGUUUGUCUUCAAAUUCUUCAUAUUUUUCUUCAAAUUCUUCAAUUAUUGCGAGUUGUGACUAGAAUUUUGCUUCCCUGUGCUCCCACCCAGAAAGGGGAGCAUAGCAUGUCCAACUCAAAGUAAUCAUCAUUCCACAAAUCAUCCAAAACUAUUAGAUUUUUUUUUUCCCUUCAAUUCCUUCCUCAAAUUUUCUUGAAUUUGAUGCAAGUCUUGUGAAUCACUGCUUUGAGAAUUAGUCACCGAGUUGAGAAUCGUCUUUGUGUUAUUCUCACUGCAUCGAACUGAUCUGAGACACAAACCCAGGCUUUUUUAUCAAAAUGCUUGGUUAUGGUCUCAUCGUCAUUGUACACCAGUCUUGCCAGUGUGGUCUUGCCCAUCCCAUCCAUGGCCACAAUGGAAACCACAGAAAAAUUGGUUUUAGUGGGUUCAUAGACUAGAGAUGCAGUGACUGGCCUUCCCCAAGCAAAGUUGGUCAUCGCAGCCACCUUUUCUAGACGAAGCUCAGAUUUUUGAGCCGAAAUAUCUCGUAAGCGGCGAGUGAUUUCCCACACCUUGGACCUCAUUUUAAUAUAACGCAUAACCUCAGUAGGAUUGAAAAUGCCAAGACAAGUGGAGAUGAGCUUGUGUACCUUGCUCGGCCUGCCUUGAUGAUCAGCUUCUUUGGCCGUGAGCUCCCGUUGCAAACCUUCGUAGGCGAACUCGUCCAAGAUGUCCUCCAUAUCAUAAGCCAAAUCUUUCAGAUUGCCCAGCCACUCUUUCACAGAGUGAUCCGUGAUCUGCUUGUCCUCCGCGUCAUUAAGCUCUUCACGAAUAUCCGACAAUUCUAUCUCAUAUUUCUUGAGAUCAGAGUACACCCAUUGUUGGCGUGCAAAGUCGAGCAAAUCAGUGGAAGCCAACUGGUCAAACAACAAGCCGAUGGCAGCAGAAAGAAGAGCCUCUCCUACAGCUUCCAUGGUUGGUUUGUACUUUGUUUGCAGAGAGAGAGAGAGAGCAAAUCAAGGAGUGGGUAAAAAAGUGAAGCAGAAAGAAGGCGGUCUGCUCUGUGAAGGCUUUAAAUAUUAGAAACUCAUAAAACAUUUGUUUUAUGAAUUUAUUAUAUGCACCCAUUUUUAAUGCCACUGUUGAUUUGUAUAUAUAUUAUUUGUGUAAUUUAAAUAUGUCUCAAUUUUAUUAUAAAUUUUUCUUUUUCUUUUAAUGUAACUAUAUAUAUAUAUAUAUAUAUAUAUAGUCCUCUUUUAUUAUUAUUUUUAUUUGCAUGAUAUUUCUUUCAUACCAAUCAAAACUAUGAAGAAAUUUUUAUUAAAAUUCAUAAAAUAUAUUGUUUUUGUUGCAUCAAUAUGUUUCAUUUCAUUGUAAGAAAGCUAAAUAAAAUGUGAUAUUUUUUAAUUUCUGAUUUGGAAAUUUUUUUUUUUCUUAUUUAUUCUAAUCUUAUAUGCAUAUCACACUAUUAGGCAAAGUUGUCAAUGACAAUGAUUGUUAUUUAUAAUAGCUUGAACUUAAAAGCAUCCUAGCUUAUGAUACUCAAUAAUAUUCACCUCUACAACUUAGUUUCAAAAUAGAUAAAUAUAUAUAUAAUGUUGGAAUGUAUACCAAAUUCCUAAUUAAUAAAGGUUUUUUUUUUUUAGUAAAAAAUGUUAUGUUGAUCAUAGAAGGAGACCCCUAGAGUUCCAGAUAGGAGAUCACGUGUUUUUACGUGUAACACCUCAGAGAGGCGUAUUUCGAUUUGGUAAAAGGGGAAAGCUUGCUCCAAGAUAUAUUGGGCCCUUUAAAAUCCUUCAAAAGGUCAUAGAGGUAGCAUACAAAUUAGCCUUACCAACAUGAUACAUUUCAUGUCUCCAUGUUGCGGAAGUAUGAGCCUGAUACCACACAUGUACUAGAUUGACAUGAUUUGAAUUUGCAAGAAGAUGUAAUGUAUGAAGAAGGGCCGAGAGAGAUUUUAGAUAAGAAAAAGCAAGUACUAUGAACCAAAACCAUACCUCUAAUGAAAGUGUUAUGGAAUCAUCAUGGAGUGGAAGAAGAUACAUGGGAUUUGGAAUCAGAUAAGAGAAACAAGUACUCGGAACUCUUUACCGGUUCGCUUCUUUAAAUUUUGAGGACCAAAUUUUUGUUAGGGGGAGAGGAUGUAAUACCUAGUACUAAUGAAUUAAAUAGGCAAUAAUGAUUAUCUUAGUACUUACUUUAAAAAUGCUUAAUUAGAUGUUAAAACUAGUUUAGUGCUAAUCUUGUUUAAUUAUGAAUUAAACUUUGAUUAAGGUUAAGUGGGAUUAGUUAAUGACUUAAGCAUGCUUAUUAGGUUCUUAGGGGCUUAUUAGAGUUAUGAAAACCUAGAGGACUAAUGGGCAAUUGUAGGCUUAAUAUUGGUUAAUUUGGAUGACUGAAGUGCAAAAUUGGAAAGUUAGGGUUGGUGGCAGCCAUGUGGCCUGCCACCUCCUACUGAGCUGCAUGGAAACCCCUUUAUAAGGGCCUGUAGCUCGUUUUGCAGCAUUUCACCUGUAACAGCUUGGGUUAGAGAGAGGAUCUAGAGAAAUAAAGUGAAGAUUUGAGGUAAGCAAGUUGUUUAAUUUAGUAAUUUGGUUUAUUUUGGUUCCUAAUAGUAUGUUGAAACAAAUUAACGAUAAAAUUUGUGUAAAAGAUGAGUGUAAUUAGCUAUAAACAUGUUUUAGUUAAAAAUCACAAUUAAUUAAGGAUUAAAGUAUUUUAGCUUAAGUAUUUUAUUAAUGGUGAGAUCAGCAUAAAUCUUUGUUUAGUUUGGUUUGAUUGAAAAAUAGAUUAGUAAACACGUGAUUAAUUAGGUUAUUUAGACACCUGGGAUUUGUUAAUGGGUUAGGCUUUAGGAAAAAAAUCAAAACAAUUAGUCUUUGGUAAUUAAUUGGAGAAUAUGAGAAUUAAAAAUUAAUAAUAGUAAGUUGUUAAAAAUUAGUAAGAAAGGAAAAUUUCAUAAGUUUUAAUUGAAUAAAUUUUUAUGGUUAAGAAACCUAAAUUAUGUUGUUUUAUUUCAGUUCCUUGUAAUAUGUAAAGAUUUCCUACAUAGAAGUAUCACAAAGGGAAAGUCAGUGUAAGGUAGAGAAUUUUAUGUUGUUCCAUGGUGUAUCUGAUUUCUUUCCUGGAAACAUUUAUUGGAAUUUCAUGUCAUUUCUAUGAUUUCAUAAAAUGUUUUAAUGUGUCAUUGCAUCUUGGUUUAUUGUAUUGAAAUGUUACAACGAUAUUGGAAUGUAUAUUGGUAUGAAGAUUCAUGGUUCUAUGUUGUGGAAAUGGUUCAUAAUGUGGUUGCAUUGCAAGAAGGAUAUGGAAUAAUCAUAGAUGAUAUUUAGAGAAUUGAUUGGUGGGAAGUGUUUAUGUGAUGCUACAGGCAUUAUCCUUUAAUAUAUUGUUUAUGUGGGGUCGUGGGUCCUUGGGUGAAAAUCCCUAAAGCCCUCGAGGAAGACACUCUGAUGUGGGUGUAUGAGGUUGGUCUUGCCACUAGGUUUUAGUCCCUAAAGACAUGGGGUUGGUCCUGCCCCUGGGUUUUAGUCCUUAAAGACACGAGGUUGGUCCUGUCCUUGGGUAUGAGUCCCAGAAAACACGGGGUAUGACUUACCCUUGAGUGAUGUCCCAAAUAGUCAUUAUUAUAUUGACUGAGUAUCUUGUGGAGCAUUGAUAUAUGAUGUGUAGAUUGGUGGGGGUUAGUAGUUUAUUAGUUGUGAAAGGAUGGAUGAGGAAAAGCAAAGAUGAAACCAACAACCACAUGCAUACAUGUUUGACAUGAUUACAUAUUUGUUAAUGGUUAUAAAAUGUUUAUCAUGCAUGCUAUUAUAUGUUUAAUUUAAGGUUUUUAAGGGUAUGCUUAGGAUGGUUAUAAACUUUCCUACUGAGUUGUGAACUCACCUUAUCCCUUCCACCUUUAGAUGCAAGUUAGAAGACCUAUGCUGGAAAUAAUGCUUAAGCAUUGCUUUUCUAUUGAUUGGAUGUUGUUGGCUCGCAUUGAAAGUGUUUUGAGGCUUUGCUUUUGUAUUAAAGACUAAAUCUUUUUGAAGUAAUGAUGUAAUGUAUAUUUGUUAUGUACACUUGUAGUAUGGGCUACCCAUAGUGAACCAUGGGAUUUUGGUAUAUGUAAAUUAAUGUAGUAUAAUUUUAUUUUGUGAAACGAAUCACAUUUUGUGAACUACUAGUUACAAAGUUUAAUACAGGAUGUACUCUUUAUAACAGGUUUUGCAUAUUCUCUUUCUGUGCAAAAUCAAGCAGGAACUCAGCAUUUAAAUUUUUCUAUCCCCAUAUUUUGUUUGAGAGCACUUAUGUUGUGAUUGAGUAUCAAUUGUUAUGUUUGAAAAAAAAACGGGGGUGUGACAUUUAUUAACUUAGGUUUAAUAAAUUAAAAGUAGGUUGAUCUCUUACCUAUCCUUUUUAAAUUAAUCUUGAGAUCAAUAAGAAUCAUACAGACCAUAAUCAUAAGAAGUGCCAAAACAAAAGUCGAUUUGAUAUUUAAUUAGUUAAUUUUAUUAACUAUAAGAUAUAAAAUUUGUUAGGAGGUGUCUUAAAUUCCAAAUUAGAAUAUAUUUUUUUUCUUUUGUGAAAAGAAUAUUACAUAGAAUAUUUCCAAAGUUUAUAUGUGAUUGUAAUUAAAUUGAAGUUAGUACAAAUAUAUUUAUAAAUAUUUUUAGAUAUGAAGAGAAAAAGUUAUGGAAGAUAUGAAAAAGAGAUGUGAUCAAGAGCAAGAGAUGCUGAUAGAACAAGAGAUGCUGAUAGAACAAGAGAGUUCACUAAGGAAGGGUGUAGAUGUGAAGAAGAAUGAGAAACAUUUAGUGAAGCAAAAUGAUUCAUGGUUUAUGAUAGAGAUUCAAAGAACAGAAAAAGUGGGAUGUUUGGGUCUUGGUAGUUGCCUAACCUUUGUAUGUGGUUUGCUUUAUUAAUAUUAGUAUUCUUCCUUUAAUAUGUUUAAAUUGAGGUUUCGGUUUUCCUUUUGGUCAUAAGAUGGAUUUUGUCAUGUAAUCAAUUAUGCUCGUUUCCAAUUUCAUUAGAAACUUGUGUUCUACGAUUUGGCAAAUGAAAAUAAUUAUUUUUCUAUAAUUUUUUUUAAAAUUUUGUUAGUUAAUAAAAAAUAGAGUAUAGAUAAUAUUAACCAUCAAAUAGAAAGACAAAUAUGACAAUUAAUGUGUUUUCACAUCAAAUUUGUACUUAGAUGGUUUUACUUAUAUGAAGUAAUUUAAUGCAACUAUGAAGAUUUAUAUGCAGUAAACUUUAUAUAAUUUUAGAUUUAAUAAUCGAUUAAUUUUUAUUUGAAGAUAUAAAAACAUAAAAUAAAAGUCUUGUUUGAAAACUAUUAUUGAAAACAACAUGAAAAAUGGGGUUUUUCACUUAGAAAUAUACAUUUGACAAACUUCUAAUAUAAAACAAUUUAUUUUUAGAAUUUAUUCUUAAAACAAGUUAUUUUUUAGAACAAAAUUGAAAUUUUUUUAUUUUUUUCACAACAAUUUAAAUAAAAAUUGAACAUAUAGAUAAUAUAUAUUUUGGUUGGACGAUGAACUUGUUAUUUUAUGAACUUCAAAUAUUCAAAUUUCACGGAGAAGGAAUCUCAUAUCUAUCUCAAGUUAUAUGCAUCCCAUUUUUACCACUUGCAAACCUUAAUCACAACUUUGUUUAAUAAUGAAAGAACUUGUUCAAGUAAAAAUAGAAUUUCUAUAAGAUGCAAAAAAAUUUUGGCUUCCACAUCUACUCAAAUAAGCAUAGAACUUUUUCUUCAACUUUUAAGUUUUUGACUUCUCAAAAAUCAAUUUAAAUUGGAUUGAUAAAUUAUACAAGGUUACAAUAUAAUAUUACAAUGUAUAAAUAUUAUUUUCACUUCUAUAUUUUCCAUGAAAUUAUUUAUUUAUUUAAAUUGAAAUGUCCUUUGGUAUUUAUUUGUACCUAUAAAAAAUAAAAAAUUAUUUUAAAUCUUAGGUAUAUAUGUUGAUGCUUAAGUAUUUAAUAAUUUUAAUUAGAUAAUUACAUUUUAUUUUACAUUUUACAUAUAAAAUAAUUAAUUACAUUUUAUAUUAUAUUAUUUAAUUAGUGAUAUUUAAAUUUUAAUUAGUUUUAAUAAUUUAAUUAAUAGUUAAAUAAUUAGAUUUAUUUAUGUUUAAAUCUAUUAACAAUAAGUUCAAUGCAACAAGAAAAAAAAAGCUUAUCGUUAUUAUUUUGAAGUGGAUUUUGAUUUUAAAUUUUACAAGUAGAUUUGCUUGAAUAACCUUAUAAAUUAGUAGAAUUUAACAAGUUGCAAAUAGUUUCCCCGCCUAAUCUUUUAAAUUAAUCUUGAUGUUGACAAUCACUUUGCCAACCAUAAUUAUAAAAAGACAAAUAGGUCAAGUUGAUUUACUAGAUUGCAAGUGGGUGCCCUUACCUAAUCUUUUAAAUUAAUCUUGAUGUUCACAAGCACUUUGCCAAUCAUGAUUAUAAAAAGACAGAUAAGUUAAGUUGAUUUUACUAAAUUGAGAUUAAUCAAUUGCAAGUGGGUACCCUUUACCUAAUCUUUUAAUUUAAUCUUCAUAUUGAUAAGAACCAAAUCGGCCAUAAUUAUAAAAACAAGAAGACGACAAGCUAUGAUUACUUUUAUUAACUAAAAUUUAAUGAAUCACAAUUUCUCUUACCUAACCUUUAGAUUAAUCUUGAUAACUUUGCAAUAGUAAUUUUAAAAAGAGAAAGACGACAAACUAAUUUAAUUGGCUAAUUUUGUUAACUUAGGUUUAAUAAAUUAAAAGUAGGUUGAUAUCUUACCUAUCCUUUUUAAUUUAAUCUUGAGAUCAGUAAGAAUCAUACAAACCAUAAUCAUAAGAAGAGUCAAAACAAAAGUCGAUUUGAUAUUUCAUUAGUUAAUUUUAUUAACUAUAAGAUAUAAAAAAUUGUUAGGAGAUGUCUUAAAUUCCAAAUUAGAAUAUACCAUUUUUUUUUGUGAAAAGAAUAUUACAUAGAAUAUUUCCAAAGUUUAUAUGUGAUUGUAAUUAAAUUCAAGCUAGUACAAAUAUAUUUAUAAAUAUUUUAGGACAUGAAGAGAACAAGUUAUGGAAGAGAUGAAAAAGGAUGUGAUCAAGAGCGAGAGACAUUGGUAGAACAAGAGGGUUCACUAGGGAAGGGUGUAGAUGUGAAGAAGAAUGAGAAACACUUAGUGGAGCAAAAUGAUUCAUGGUUUAUGAUAGAGAUACAAAGAGCAGGAAAAGUGAGAUGUCUGGGCCUUGGUAGUUGUCUAACCUUUAUAUGUGGUUUGCUUUAUUCAUGUGUUCUUCCUUUAAUCCUUUUAAAUUGAGGUUUCCAUUUUUCUUUUGUUCCUAAGAUGGAUUUUGUCAUGUAAUCAAUUAUGCAUGUUUCCAAUUUCAUUAGAAACUUGUGUUCAAUGAUUUGGGAAAUGAAAAUAAUUAUUUUUCUAUAAUUUUGUUAGUUAAUAAAAACUAGAAUAUAGAUAAUAUUAGCCAUCGAAUAGAAAUAUAAAUAUGACAAUUAAUGUGUUUUCACAUCAUAUUUGUACUUAGAUGGUUCUGCUUGUAUGAAGUAAUUUAAUGCAACUAUGAAGAUUUAUAUGAAAUCAACUUUAUAUAAUUUUAGAUUUAAUAAUCGAUUAAUUUUUAUUUGAAGAUACAAAAACAUAAAAUAAAAGUCUUGUUCAAAAACUAUUAUUGAAAACAACAUGAAAAAUGGGGUUUCUUCUCUUAGAAAUAUACAUUUGACAAACUUAUGAUAUAAAACAAUUUAUUUUUAGAAUUUAUUCUUAAAAUAAGUUAUUUUUCAGAACAAAAUUGAAAUUUUUUUAAAUUUUUUCACAAUAAUUUAAAUAAAAAUUGAAGAUAUAGAUAAUAUACAUUUUGGAAAAUUUUGUAUCUUAUUUAAGUGUACAAUUCCUUUGUGAAGAAUAAAUCGAAACGGGUAAUAGCUAUUUUCAAAAAUUGUUUUGAAGAAUUAUUUUCACAAAUGUUAUCAAAUAAGCUCAAAACUUGUUACAUCAUUUAUAUUAAUCUUGAGUUCAAUCAAAAUCUUGCCACAAUUGAAAAGAGAAAAAAAAAUGUUAAUUAGUUGGUUAAUAUUUAUAAUCCUAAAAAUAAUAAUAAUAAUAAUUAAAAAAAAUUAAAUAAAAAUUCACUAUCAAAAUAAAAGAUUAUCUAAUAUUUUUCUAUUUUUGACUUAUAAUCAAGAAUGUUCAUAUAAUUUCUUUUACAAUAACAUACUAAAGUAGAAAGAGAUUAAAAUGGAAAAAGAAAAUGAUUAACAAUAAAAUUCAUAAAAAGAAAUGAAAAUUAAGAAGAUUUUAAUCCACUUGAAAUUUAUUUCAAUGAAAUAGUAUUGCAUUUAAAUUAUUGAAGGCCAUACCAAUUUAUUUUCUUCCUUUUUUAAUACUUAAUUUUGUUAUCAAACAAUGAAAAUUUUACUAAUCAAGGAAAAUGAGAAAAGAAAAUAUUUUUCUUGAAAGUUCAUGAAUUUGUUAAGAAAGGAAAACAAAAGGUCUUUUAAGGGAUACUUUAUUAAAUUAAAUUAAUAACUUAAUUUAAAUCAUUAAAUAAAUUAAGUAUGUUUAGUAAAAAAAAAACAUAAUAGUAUGAUUUAAAAUAUAAAAAAACUUUAAAUAAUAAAUAAAAAAAUUAACUUAUUUUUAAAUUCAUAUUUUUAUUUUACCUUUUUAUCUCAAUUUGCCAUAAUUACCUUCACAAUCUCCUUUACUAUUCCACGACCUUUACUUUUACAUGACCUCCUUUACCUUAGUUAGAAUUUAUGUCAAUUUGAUCAUUUAGAAUUAAUCAUAAGUUAGGUUUGUCAAACAAUCUUAAUACUUAAAAUAAAAAUUAAGUAAUAGUUUUAAGUCAACAAUUUAAGUAUAAUUUAACUAAAAGUCAACUUAAAUAAUUAAGUAAUUAGUAUUAAGUUUUAUCAAACACCUCCAUAUAAUUAGUUUAUUUUGAUUAAUCUAAUAAUAUAGAAAGUGAAAUAUACACAUUUUUUUAUUGGUUAGGUUGGUCUUGAACUUCUUUCACCAAAUCAUUUUUAUUAAUCUUAACAUCAUCAUUAGUUAAUUACAAUUAAAGAAAAGAAAACCAAAAAAAAAAAACAGCCAAUUUGGGUGACCAAUCUUUAUUGAAAAUUUAAAAUCAAACAAAAGUUGAUAAAAAAAAAAUGAAUUGUAUGAAGUAGACAUUUUGUCUUUAUGAGAUUAUUGAUGGAAGUAUAAUAGACUAUAAACAAGUCUAUGAGAAUCAAUUCCAAUGAGUCCUAAAACAUAUCUAUGAGAAAUAAAAUAAAAUCAUGACAUAAAGAAAUUAUAUUUAAGUGUUAAUAAAUGAGAAUCAGAUACAUAUAAAUAAAAUUUAGAUUAAUUAUAAAUGAAACUAUUUUUAUUAUGUGGUUGUUUUUAAUGGACCACCUAUUUUUUUAUUUAUUUUAUAUAUAUAUAUAUUCCAUAGAAAAAUUACUUUCCAAUACCAUAGAAUCACCCUAAUUUCAAAUUGAGAUUUACUAUCUUAAAUUUUAAAUUUUUUAAAAAUAAUUUUUAAGGCAUGAACUAAAUCUAUAUUUUUUGUUAAGAAUUUCUAUUCUUUAUAUGAAAGUUUUUAUCAAUUUUUGUUUUUAAAAACAAAAAAUAAGUACUUAGAGUGCGUUUGACAAUGAUUUUAAGAAGUAUUUCUAAUAUUUUAAAUACUUGAAAAAUAAAAAAAAAAAAUUUAUACAUUGAAACAAUUGCAAAAUGCACUUUUAGUAUGUAAUGAUAUUAAUUUCUUCGAAGAGAGAGAUUUACAUUUAAGAUAAAAAUAAAUAAAUAAAACAAUACAAGGAUAAAAAAUUAUUUUUUAAAAAAACUUUUAACUUCUUGUACUUUAUCAUUACACACUUUUUUCAUUAGAUGCUUUAAAUAAUUUUUAUGAAAUAAAAUUAUAAUUAUAUUGAUGGAGGGCCAAUUAACUUUGCUUUGGGUGAGAAAGAUAGAGAUAAGAUUGAAGUGGGUCCACAUCUAAAACAAAAAUGAAAUAAAAAGUAAAGAUGAAGAUAAGGUUGAGGUGGGUUCACAACUAAAAAAAGAAUGAAAUAAAAAGUAUGAGAUGAAUUGACCAAAGCUUAUGCCUUCUUCCAAAUAUUAAAAGCAAAGCCCAAUAGUAUAAAGUGAUGACACUAGUCCUAUUCAAGGCCCCACUUGCAUAAUUGCUACAUCUUUUGAUUUGAUUUUUGUUCAAUUUCACUAAAAUGAAAUCAUUUAUUUGAGCCCAAAAAUUCAAAUCCAAAUCCAAUCCACUUAUUUAUAUACAUUAUUGGCAUGGAAUGAGAAAAGUUAUAAAGUGAGAAAAUUUGAUCAUAUGAUAAAUAGUAAUUUUUCAAAGUUGGAACCAAUCCAAUGCCCAAUGGGCAUAAAAGAGAAAGGAAAGAUGUGGAAAUUAUAGUGGAAUCUUGAAACAAAUUUUUGAGGUUUGAGGUGAUGUGACAAUCGUUUCAAGAAAUUGCCUAAGAAUGUGAGAUGUUAUUACAUUGAAAAUUGAUAUUAAAUCUCAUUGGGUAACUAUAAGAAUUGCUUUACAUAAAGACGAGUAAUAAAUAUAUCCUGUUUUUUCAAAUAGUUUAUGACCCUAAGUGAAUAAAAUGGUGAAUAAAACUUUUAGAGUAGGAUGAAUGCAUUUCACGUGAGUCAUGUCCUAGAUAUAUUUUUAGAAUUUUCUAGCAAGAUGUUGAGGAAAACUCUAUGAUAAGUGUUUUCUUUCUAGUUAAGGUAGGUCCAAUUUGGUGUAAUUCGCCAACAUAAUUUAAACCCAACAUAUGUUUUAAGGAUUUGAAUCGAGUAAAAUCAUAUUUAAAUUAAAUUAAUCAUAUGAAUCUACAUAACCCGUUUAAUAAAUAGAUUAUUUUUAGGUCAAUCUGGAUAACUCACAUUUGACUCAAAUUAACUUAUUUAAUAAUGGUAUUGAUUAACCUAAUAAUAACUUUAACUUAUUGAACUCAUAUUUGACUCAUGUAAAAUUCAUUUUUCAAUAAGUAUAUCAUAAUUGGGUCAUAAACAUGUCAUAUUAGAAUAUUAACCAUAUUAUUUCAUUCAACAUUUAACUUGACUUGAUUAUGAAAUAACGCCUUAUUAUUAAAUCGGUUAAACCGGUUAUAAUGUAUCACCUAGAUAAUAAUUAUAUUGAGUUUGAGUUUAUGCUUUAAAUUUUGAUUAUUAUUCAUGUCAUGUUUGGGUUGAGUUAUUUAGUGGAGGAUCUAACCUUUGAUAUAACACAAACGCAACCCAUUAACAUAAAUUGUCAUCCUCACUUCUACUAAUAAGUAAUUUGUUUAUUACAAUUAAGAAAAUUGAGAAGAUAUAAUUUUUUUAAAAAAAAUUUAAAUGCAUGAUUAAAGUUAAUUAUAAGUUUUAAAAGUUUUAUAAUUCAUAUUCCAUCCAAACUAACAAAAUAUUAGAAAUCUUCAAUGGUUUUGUCUACAAUAAAUGUGUUGUGCUAAAUUAUCCCCUUCUCUACUAACCAAAACAUGUUCUUUCACAAUCAAAUAUCAACGUGUUUAAGCAGCCGGUGAAGCAUCUCUUGACAAUGAGGUGAGAGGUAGAAACAAGAAACAUACCUGUAUUCAAGAGAAGUGUUGUUUCUUCUUUUGCAUUAGAAAACAUUCAUUUAGUCUAAACUUGAAGGUGGAUUGCUAGAAUCUGAGCUCUUGGAAAGACAUAAGAGAAGGACAUUUAGAAAUCUGAAAGAAGCCUAGAGACCUGUUGCUACUUGUGAAUCACUGUAAUUAGAAACAAUUCCAGAUAAUCCUGCAAUUCUGGACCUUUGAUUUGCUUUGUUCCAUUUUUCCAAGACCAGUUCUAAAAUGUUUUUCUUUAUUGAGUUAUAAUGAUUUUAUUAUUAGGAUUUAAUUGUAUUCAUUAGGUUUGCAAAUCACAAAAAUGGUGUCGUGCCUAUGAAUAUUUUCCUCUUCGAUCAUGUAAAGUUGGGAAGCAAUUAUGGAAUACUAUGAUAGCACAAUAUAUUGAUCCACAUAGUUUGUGGCAUGACAGUUUAAUGAAAUUAAAAAAAUGCAUGUAGCACUCAUGGGUAUGUCAUGUGAACCUUUUUCAAUAGAGCUACUUGUUUAAAUUUAUAUGGGUGAAUUGUCACACCAGUGUCCUCUUAUGAACCUUAGGUUCAUUUUUCUGUUUCUUCCUCUCUUGGUUAAGACAAACAAUUUGUCUUCAUAAGGACUUCGUGUUACUAAUAAGCAGUAUCUUGUAUUCUCCUUUUCUUCAUCCCCUUAUCAAGACACAGCAAUCUGAUGCAUCUUUGCAUUGGGUUGCUUCCUCUCCUCUCCAUUUCCUUCCUCCUUGAGGCAAAAUCACAUCAUUGCUUAGUUUUGACUAUGUUUCUUUUUAUCAUUGUGAGAGAGCAUCAUUGUAAGAUGUACAAGAAAAGCGUUGUGGUGCAUUAUCCCCUCCUCUACCACCUAAAAUCUAUUUUACACGAUCAUAAGGACCAAGGUGUUUUAAACAUUAGGUAAGGCAUUUGUUGACAUUGAUGUGAGAGAUAGAUACAAGCAACAUACCAGUAUUCAAAAGACGUGAUGUUUUUCUUUUGCAUUUGACAACAUUCAUUUAGUCUGAACUCCAUAUUGGGCAACGCAGAAUCUCCACCUUCAUUAAGAUUGCAGGAAGUUGGCCCUUUAUGAAGACAUGGAAAGAGAGCAUCUAGAAAUCUGAAAGAAUUACAGAGGCCUAUUACUACUUUUGAAUCAUUCCAAUUAAUAACAACUCCAAAAGAUAUAUACAAAUAUGUCCCUGGGAAAGAGAUGUGUCUUGUGCAUAUGCAACCAUCUCUCUAAUAGACUUAGGGUUGUGCACCCUCAUGGUAGUUUCUUAUAUAUUGCACCAUAUGAAUUGUAGAUAUCCAACUACCAAUAUCACUACACCUGAAUGAACUAGAAGCUAAAGUGAAGUUGACAACCCAUCAUCGAAAGAAUCCUGUAGGAAUACACCAAAAUGAAAAUCUUAUUAACAUAAAUGAAUUCAUCCAGUUAAAGGGUAAAGUUGCCUAAAAAAUUGAAUUGGGAGAGAUAGAAAUAUUAAUGCUUUCAUAGGACUGUGGAAGGGACCAACAAGUGGAACAAACAUUGAACAGUAAAUGUAAAUCCAUAAAGCUUGUAACUACUGUCAAAAGCUGCUCCCUAGUGAAGUUUUUUAACAAUGAAGGUAAGUGGAAAAUUCACCUAAUAGCUCCACUUGUAGAAAAUUGCAAUGGUGUGAAACUAGGAUAUGGUGAACUCGUUUCCGCUAUUGCAGUGAACCAUUAUGGAUAAAAAAUGAAUCUCACCAUCGGUUUUCACAUAGGAGAUGUGGGCUAUCUUUGGCCCAUAUCUCAAUAUUGGAUUUAGGAGUUCUGUCUCUCAUAUAUGGUUCCACUUGCAAAAUACAAAUGGAGCUUAGCUAAUGACAACACAUUUAGAAAAAUGCAAGAAUUCCAUAGACAUGUUUUGUGUUAUCAUGAAUCAUUCGAAUCAGUAAGGAAUCGAAGUGCUAUAAUUUUGAAUUGUCUUAGGGAACAAACCCUAAUUCAAUCUUGCGGAAGUAAACCGUCUUGAGCACCAACUCAAUUCUGAGUUCUUUAGGAGACUUGAGACACCAAUUCAAUCAAAGAUGCUAGUCAUUUCUGAGGUAAAUUGUCUUCCUCCACUGAUACUAGGGAAAAUGCUUUUGAAAACCAUUCAUCUGCAAAUUACAAAGGGAAAUGAGAUUAUGUGAUUUGGGAAGAGAAUUAAGCUUUGGAAGAGAAUUAAGCUUCGGAAUAUUGCCAAUAUGCAACCGACAAUUUCUAAUUCUAUCACCUCUAUUCUAACAUGUGAUUUGGAAAGAGAAUUAAGCUUCGAAAUAUUUCCAAAAUGCAAGGAAUUGAGGAGGCCAAGUGGGCAACCACCAUAGCUAGUUCGCAAACAAAUGAUAGCAUUGGAAGUGGAACACAACACAUAAACUUCAAAAACAAAACAUGUUUCCCACAAUCAUAAAUACCAAGAUGUUUAAGCAUGAGGUAAGGCAUCUCUUGACAAUGAUAUGAGAAAGACACAAACAACAUACCAGUAUUCAAGAGAAGUAGUAUUCUUCUUUUGCAUUCGACAACAUUCAUCUAUUUUACAUCCCAAAUUUUAGCAACUCAGGAUUUCCACCUUCUUUAGGAUUGUAAGAAGUUGGCCUCUUGAAAACACAUGAGAGGACAUUUAGAAAUCUGAAAGAAUUCCAGAGACUUUCUGUUGCUUGAAUUGUGAAUCAUUCCAAUCAUAAAUACCAAGGUUCUAAGAUCAAGUAAGGCAUCUCUUAAUAAUGAUGUGAGAGAUAAAGACAAGCAGCAUACUAGUAUUCAAGAGAAGUAGUAUUCUUCUUUUGUAUUCGACAACAAUCAUCUACUCUACACCCCAAAUUUUAGCAACUUAGGAUCUCCACUUUCAUUAGGAUUGCAGAAAGCUGGCCUCUUGGAAACACAUGAGAGGAUAUUUAGAAAUUUGAAAGAAUUUCAGACACUUGUUGCUUGAAUUGUGAAUCAUUCCAAUCAUAAAUGCCAAGGUGUUUCAAGAUUAGGUAAGGCAUUUCUUGGCAAUGAUGUGAAAGAUAGAGACAAGCAGCAUACUAGCAUUUAAGAGAAGUAGUAUUCUUCUUUUGCAUUCAACAACAUUCAUCUACUCUACACCCCAAAUUUUAGCAACUCAAGAUCUCCACCUUCAUUAGGAUUGUAGGAAGCUAGCCUCUUGGAGACACGUGAGAGGACAUUUAGAAAUUUGAAAGAAUUCUAUAGACUUGUUUUUGCUUGAAUGUGAAUUAUUCCAAUCAAUAACAAUCCCAAAGCCCUAUAUACAAUUUUGAACUGUCAACCUUCUUACAUUGAAUGAAAAACCUGUCCCUAGGAAAGAGGUGUCUUGGGCAUACAACCAUCAAUUAUUAGCUCUCGAAGAGACUUAAAGUUGUGCACCCUCUUGGUAGCUUCUAAUUCAUUACAUCAUAUAACUUCUAGAUAUCCAAUUGGCAUGUCACUACACCUGAAUAAAGUAUAAAACAUGGUGAAUAGGAAGUUAGACAACCUUUCACAAAAAGAAUCCUGCAAGAAUACACCGAGCAGAACUUCUUGUUAACAUAAAUGAAUUCACUCAGUUAAAUUAUUGCGUUAAAAUUUAAAUUGGAGAAAUAAAAAUACUAAUCUUUGCAUGGGACUAUGGGAUGACCAGCAAGAGGAACAUACUUUGAAUAGAAAAUGUGAAGCCAUAAAGCUUAUAAUUGUUGUCAGAUGCUGCUCCCUAGUCAAGUUUUCAACAAAAAGAUUCAGUGUAGAGAUUCUCUAGUAGCUAAACUUGUAGAAAAUUUUAACAGUAUGACAAUUUAUACUUGUAACAAGAAGAUAAAAUGUAAGAAUUGUGUUGGGAAUAGAUGAAACUUACUAAAUAUAUGGAUAAGAUAGGGUGAAUCCACUCUGCUUCCAUUUUUGGAAUCCAAACUAUUAUGGAUCAAAGUUGGAUUUCUCCAUCUAUUAAAUACAACUAGAGCUUAGGUGAGGUCUUGGUGAUUUAGGAAAUUCAUGGAUUCUGGAAUCUUGACAUGAAAAUAUACAUGAGUGAUACAUUGGAAGAAAGGGCAGGCUUUGGUCCUCUAAGAAGAAACAUAUCUUAAAUAUACUAUCAAUCUUGAGUUGUUUAAGAGUGAUGAGUCUGUGAAAGCCUUUCUCAGAUAAGGGAUGUCUUUGACAUUUCUCCUUCUUCAAUCUCAGGAAGGUACACCAUCAACUAGAACAUUAGGAAUGUGAGUCAUCAUAGACAACUUGUUUGUGUUCUUUAUUCUUUUCUCACUGAAGGGGAUUAAAAGAUAUGUAGUUGCAAGGACAAGAGAUGUAGCCAGUUGUGAAAGCAUCAAACAAUCCUUCUCUAAUGCAGACCACAAAUUUUUGCAACUCGUGAUCUCCACAAUUUGGAGCAUUGAAGGAAGUUGCCUUGUUGGAAAGAUGUGACAUGACAUUUAGAAAUAUGCAAGAAUUCCAGAGUUCAUUCCAAUCAUUAAGGAAUCCAAAGCCCCUUGGCAUGGAUAACACACCUAUCUUAGGAAAAAGACUGGGCACCAAUUCAAUGAUCAACUCUCUAUGAAACUUGAGAUACAAGGUACUAAUGUUAGUUGCUUCCGUGGCAGUUCUUUUACUGGUAUUAGGGCAAAGCCUUUUGAAAACCCUCAAUCUACAAAUUACCAAGGACAUGAGAUCAUGUUGUAAUCUCAUCUUCAAUCUCUAGCUACAAACAAAUUAUUUCUUUCAAAUAACAAUCUUUAAUGCAUUCACUUCUACCAUAUGAUAAGCAAUUUCGGAAAACAAGUAAGCUUUAUAAUAUUAGGAAUAUGUAAGGAAUUGAUAAAGGUCAUGAAUCUACUUUCAAAAAAUAAACUAUAAAAACAAAGAUUUUUUCACCCAUGAAUAUUUUAACCAGCUUCCAAAAAACAUUAAGUAUUGCAAUAACCAAAUGUUCCUCAGGUUACCAAGAGUGCUUUUUUUACCCAUGCAUAAAAUAAAAAGAAAAUAAGAAAGCAUACCAUACAACUCACAAUUGUGUCAAGUAUGAGUUCAAUUCAUGGCCAUGCACAAUUGCAUUAAGUAUUUGAAAGCCAAAUAAGGUUAUGUGCAAUUCAAAGAAUACCAUACAACUCAUAAUAGAAUCCUCAUAGCUCACCAUAGAAUGAGAACUCAAUUGUCCUUCCUCUAGUCAUAAGAGUUUGUGCUCUUCGAGCCUUUGACUUGCACAACUCAAGACAGCAGGACAUGCCAAAAAGUCUCAUUCACCUCAAACAUUAUUCAAAUCCAUAGUAUAAAUCUAGAUAAGAUAAUUUCCUACAAAUAUAACAUGUUGCAAACAAAUAACAGUAUGUUGGUUUAAAAUUGAAGAGCAUUUCAAACCAAACAAAAUAGAAAAAUUUUCAGUGUAUAUCACUCACCUAAAAACUUGUAUGUUGGAUAAAAUUCCUGCUAAUGAAUCCUGACAAUUAUUUGCAAUCAAAAUUUAGUAAUGAUUUAUAAACAAAAAAAAUUACAAAAUUUUUUAGCAAUGUUCCAUGAAAAACACAUUGCAUAUUGAUUGAGAAAUUAAUAUGAAAUCCACUAAUUUGAAAGGCACUAAAUACCAUAUGUUGUCUUGAGUUCUCCAUGUAUCAAAACAUAUGCAAGUUGCUAUUCGAGCCACCACAAUCACAGAGCAAAAGACUUCUUAGCAUGGAAGGCAUACCAUAUUUUGAACAAGGUUCUUAAUUUUCCAAGAGACAUAAGAACGUGGUGUGUUGUAGAAACUGUAGAAUAAAUAAAUGGAAGUUAGACAUAUGCACUUGCUACUUAGUUUUUUAAUCAUGUGUGAAAUAAAUAAAGAGGUGUUACUUGCAUUUAGGCCAAACUUCUAGUCUCCAAUGUGAAAUCUAAUUCUCAUUUUGUCAACAUAAUAAGAGCAUUAAACACAUAGCAAAUUGAAUCCUUCCUUUUGACAAUUUGAAAACCUUAAAGGAAUGAUUUGAGAUCAUAAAUAACUAUACAGUAAAGAAAAUUUUCAUCAUUCUUUCUAAAAGGAAAAUUUGUCAUUUCCUUGAUUACGAAAGAUUGAUAUUUUAACAUAAAGUGCACUCAUUAAGGUAAACUUUGUGCAUUAUAUAUUGAAUUAGAAAAUUAUAUUUAAAUUCGAUUAGAAGGGUAUCACAAAAGAUGCUUAAUUGAAAUGAAGGCAUCCAUGCCAAUCUGUAACUGUUGUCAAAUAACACUCUCCCUUGUCAUUUUACGUCCCACGAUUGCAUGUCAAAUCUCUAAGUAAGAUUGCUUAAAAAGCACCUAAAAGAAAAUUACGAAGAUUUCAUUGCAGGUAGAACUUAAGGUGCUUACAUUGACCAUGGGAGAGAUCAUUAAGAAACAAAAUACUCACCCAUAAGUUUGUAACUAUUGUACUCAAAACUUGCUUCCUAGUCAAACUUUCAACAUAACUCCAUGGAGACUUCCAUAAAUUGUUGAGCCACUGGUAAAACACAACAUCAAUAUGAGAAAUUUACAAGGUACUAUGCAGAUAAAAGAGUAAGAAAUGUGUAUUGAGAAUAAGAGUUACCUUAAUGAAUGUAAGGAUAGGAUAGGGUUGAAUUGGCUCUACACCCAUUUUUGCAAUUUGAAUUUAUUAUGGUUCAAAAAUGAGUUUAUGAUGUAUCCUCAUUUUAGGGGAAGCAAGCAAUUUGGGGCCAAUCUCUAUCAUUCUCCUUGAAACAUCUUUGAUUUCAAAGUUUGAUAAAACUUAGAAGACAACCUUUCACUUGGCAAGGAGGACUAGAACAAGGCAUCCCUCAAUCUCUACAAGUUAAAGAAAUGAAGUUUUGAAGACCAAGGGAGGAGGCUAGGUUUCCAUAUUUGAAAAUAUUUUCAUUGAAAGAUUAAUGAGAGUUGUAGCAAGAAAUCCUGUCAAAAGGAAAUUGCAUUUAACAAUGUACAAUAUAAAAUGAAUGAACUAAGUUUUUAGAGAAGUGAAUCUUUGGAGGCUCCACAAAAAUAAGGGGUUUUAAUACUCUUGCAAGUGUAUUCAUGAAAUUGUUUCCUCCAAGGAUUCCUGAACCUGGACAAUGUACAACACAAAGCUGUUAAAGAGAUGAGAGACUCUAAAUCUGAUGAGGUAGGACUUGAGAUCCACAUUUUCUUAAGUGAAGAAUUCUGAUGUUGUAGACACACUAGUAGUUUCUAGAUUUAGAUACUUCUCUUCAAAUAUUUGUAUAAUGUACAUCUUCUUUGACAUUGCUGCUCCAAUAGGAUGUCCAAUAGGAUGUGCAACCUAUUUGGGCAUACUACACGUACAAUAAAAAAUUUCAUUAAAACAAAAAACUUUUACUAAAACAAAAAUAUGAAGCUAAUGUCUAAGAAGAUAAGAUUUAUAUAUAGUGAAUGAGCAUGUUUGAUUUUAGCACAAAGGGAAAGACGCCAAAAUUUUUAAGAAUAUCAUCACCACAAGUACCUAAUUUGCAUCAUUAAAAAUUCCACAAGGAUUUGAUGGCUAGACAAUAAAAUAAUUCUAGUAAAUGAGUUAAAAUCAGCUGAGCUAAGAAAGAUUAAAUCCAAAUAAGCAUCAAUCAUUAAAGAAUUAGCCAACUAUGAAAGACUUCAAAUGACAUUUUCUCUGUAAUUUCUGUUCCUAAUUGGCCUCAUUUGAUUGUACCAAAAUAUUAUUAAUUUGCUUUAAAGGAAGUGGGUGACUCGUAUCUUUGAAAGGGUGUGAGAGGUGGAAAUCCCUCGAUCUCUAGUGAUUCAAGAGGAUAAUUCCUAUGGCUAUUGUUGUCAUCAUACAUCAUUCAGCUAGCUAUAGACCACAAAAUUGAACAAUCAUGAAUACGUAGAUGCUUAAAUAUGGUAUGUACUUUAUCUAGUGGAAAAGCUUAUGAGACUUGGACAUCUCGAGAUUUCUAGGAAUUAAGAUAGAUACAAGUUGUUGCUUCUUGUUAUAAUUUAUCUGGAUUGCAAUCAUCAAGCACUAACUCCAUUCACUACAUGUUUUGAGCCUUCAACAUAAAACCCAAAUUCCAUUCUUUCAGCCAAAAAAAAAUCAUUAAUAACUCACCUGAAAACCAUUUUAUGUUGCUCAAAUUAUAAAAUGUAGGAUGUAACUGACUUCCAUCAUUGAAAAUGAAUUGAUAUAACUUUACAAUACUAGUAUAUUUAGCUUUUGAAAUGGCUGAAACUGAUCCUGGAAUCAAAAAUCACAUACACAAGUAGAUAUUUAACAAAAAAGGAUCCAAAAUCUCUUCAAUUGAUUAAUGUAUAAAUGAAUUAAUCAAAAUUUUUAGAGAUAAUUAUGGGGAGAUGAACCUUGUACCUUUUAGUUUCUUAUUCUUCUUGAACACAGCAAUGUGCAUCAAGUGUUACGCACCUAGGAAUCUCCCUUCCUCCACAAGCAAAAUCUGAACAAUCUAUCAUUUCUUCAUAUUCCACUUCCUUGCAAAAUUCAAAACAUGAAAAACAAUAUCAUCAAAAUUGAGACAAAAAUAAGUGCAUCAACUAUCUCAAGAAGAGAUUUAUGCCUAUUGCUUACCUUUUGAAGAAGUCCACUUGGUUAGAGCACAUUUUACAUGGACGCCCAAUCACUACAAGCAAUUGAACCAAAGGAGAGUUCAAACAUCUAAAAAAUUUGACGAACUCAAGUAUCAUAAAAUACUUCAUAUGAAUUCUAAAUGAUCUCAUAUCUAAAAAACAUUGACAUAAAAUUAUUGUUGUUUACCUUACAUGUUUCUUCCAUGGUCAUAAUCGAAACUUUGUUUAUCAUAAGAAAUCUUCUAUGCUCAUCUUGAUUACUUACAAUAAACACUGAAAUGAAAAGAAAAAAACACAAAAAAUGAUGAUUAGUUUGGUUUGAUAAAUUUAGCACACAUAAUUUCCUUUUUCUUGCAUGAGAAAAGAAAGAGUAAAUAUAUAUAUAUAUAUAUAUAUAUAUAUAUAUAUAUAUAUAUAUAUAUAUAUAUAUAUGAAUUUAAUAAUUUUUUAAAUUAGCAAUUAUAAAACUAUUUUGGUUCUCAUAAAAUUUAUGGGAAAGUAGGGAAAAAAAUUGUAAACUUUUUCUCUUGUUUGAUUGUUUAUCGGAAAAUUGAGGGAAAACAAAAAUCUAUGACAAAUUUAUUUAACACUUCUGAGGAACCAAAAAUGUUUUAGAUGUUGUCAAAUUGAUAAUUUAAACGUGUUUAAUUCCAAUUAAAUGAGUUUAGUAAAACACAUGAAAUUGUGAAUAAAAUUAUUUAAAAGCAUUGAAAUUCAAGUCAUUAAAGUUGUCCAUAAAAUUUGGUAUAUUGAAGCAAGAAAAAAACAAAGCAAUUUGAAUGACUUGCUAAUAAAGCAACUAACUAGAAUAUGCCCUAGAGUUGUUCAGUGCCCUCUAUAUAAGAAAUAAACAGAGAACACAAAAAAAACCAAGAAAAAAAACAAACAAACGAAAAACAAAGAACACUUCUUACGUUAUUUUUUCUUAAUUUUUCUUAUUUAUAUACAUUUUUGUUGGUUUUCUUUUGACCAUAAAAGGUUCGAGCAUUGGCAUUGUCAUGUGUAAAUUAUUGUGGCUACAAACUUCAUCCGUAUCCAAUUGCACACCUGUCCAAACUCUUGAUGAUGAAGGUAUGAUUGCAUUUACUAGCAUUAAAUUGCUAAAAUUUGUCAUCCAAAGUUCCAAUUUCUUUUGAACCUUGAAGACUUCAUUUGCAUUCUUGUAGGAAUUAGAUGUGGAAUCAUUUUGCAAUGCUUGUGGUCUUGUGACCAGCAGUGAUGAAUGGGAAAAUAAGUUCUUAUCAACCAAGCAAACAAACUUCCAUUAUCCCAAGGAAGUCUUUCCAAGCUACUGCCUUAUGGGUUUGGAACACUUUUAGAGGUAACAAUCAAUUGGAACUAGUUACUCUUUCAAACUUCGUAUUGUACAAAUAUAGCCUGCAUGUGCAACCAUUUUUGAUCCCAUAAUUUCAAGAAUUUAUGACACCUUCUAGUGGUUAGUCUUUCUGGGAAUGGAGUAAAGCAACCUAUUCACUCCAAGAAACUAUCGUAAGAGGAAUAGUAGAUAACCUCGCAAGACCAAAUUUAUGUGUGUGCAUGGAGGUGCAUGUUUUCUGCAUCCCAAUCAUGCAGUGUUGUGUCAAAUGGAACAAUAGCAAGUGAUGAUAAGUGGUAUUUCUAAAAUCUUCUAAGAGUAUUCCAUAUAUUGUAAUAUUGUUUUCUCAAAACUGUCUAUGAGUCUUAUGUGUAAAUAUUAGAGUUGACCUCUUGUAAGCUAUCAAUUGAUGUUGUAACUUAAAUUGAAAGGGAAAUUCUAUAAAUUUAGCCUUGGUUUGGCUCUUGGAAAGCAAAGAAAAAUUAGGUUAACAGUGAGUUGAUUUCUUCCCUUCCCAUGGAUGUAAGCACAUUCUUGAAUUAUGUUAAUUAUGUUUUGGUUUAUUUUGUUGUUUUCUUGUUUAUUGUUCAAUUGUCUCCGCAUAACAAGUGGUAUCAAAGUUGUUUCCAACACAACAGAUGAUUCCUAUGCUAACACAAUGUUUGAGGUUAAAUGUAAGAUGGUAAAAGUUUCUAGAAUAUUUCCCUAUGACAACUGCCAAUAAAGGAUUUACUUAACAGGAAGUUCGUAAGGUGUUACAUGGCAAGUUGAACAAGACCAAUAGCUAAAGAUAUUUGAAAUAUUUGGGGCCAUUGAUCGAACAAUAGCAUAGAAUAACACAAGAAGAGACCCUCUAAUCACCAUUUUUGCUUUUGAUUCUUCUCUACAAAGCAUCAUCUCCUUUAUACAAAAAGACAACCCGUGGCUAAGCCCACAUUAUUCUCUACAUAUCCCAAAAAAACCCUCCAACCCAUGGCAUGGCGCACUUUUUGGGGGUAUUUUGCUACUAAAUUUGUGGUAGUCUCUCAAAUACCUAAACUAUCCUCCAGAUUUUAAGGCAUGGCCUACUCUUUGAGGUGGUAUUUUAGGUACCAAUUUUUGUUAAGAGAGGUUUUGGUGUGAAAACUAGAGGGCUUUACACACGUUGCAUGUAUUUUCUUUUGCAUGCAUUACACGUAGAUUGGAGUUUAUGCAGUUACUCACUUUUUGUGAGUCCAAUAGUACUAUAGUGCCAUGUCACCAUAUGAUGGGCUCUUUAGUCUUUUCAAACCCAAAAAAAAAAAAAACCUAAUACUAAAAGGACUGCUAACUAGCUAUGUGGAGGUGAACCUCUAUAGCUAGCUUCUUAGAGGGACCAUGAUCACUUAGGCCAAGAAAGUUUGAGGUGAUAAUAGGUUUGUGAUGCCCUUAGAUGUUUUAGACACAUGUGCGUUACACUAAUGUAUGCAACGAGUCUAUAACCUUGAUUGACAGGUCCGGGUAAUCUUUGAAAUUCCACUGUGAUGGGAAGGUUCCAUGUGAACAACAGUUGCACAUGGGUUAGUCAAUCUUAAGAGACGGGGGAAGCCCGUUUAAUAGCGCACAAUGUGCAAGCUUUGAAAGGCAAUCAGGUUAACAUUUUUUAAUUGGGACAUGACAGUGAACAAUAACAUUAGGUAGUUUGGAGAUGUCGUCAUAUUAAUUGUUAUCAAUAUUUUUAUUUAUUCAAUAGAAUUUGAGGAUUAAAAAAUACCACAAAAAUUAGAAAAUACAAAAUUAAUUACAUGGCUUACAUUUCAAAUAUUUAAUAAAAUAUUGUAUGAAAAUUGAAUAUCAUACAUUAUUAAAUGGCUGGAUUCUCUUCUUUAGUUUUUUAAUUGUCUCAUCCUAUUAAAUUACUCAUCUAAUAUUAAUUUAUUUUAAAGGUAAAAUUAAUUAUUUUGUAAAAAAACUUUUAAUUGACCAGAGUUUGUGCCAUGCAUCUAAUAUAUACUUAAAUACUUUUCCAUGCUAUAAUCCUCCAACUAAGGAAUGAAAUCAAAACUUAAAAAUCAUUUAUAUAUAUAGAUAUAUGUUAUUAAGUUUAGGUAGUGAAGCAAUUAUUGUGGAUAUAAAAUUAAUGCCAAAACUUUUGAUUGUUCCUUCACAUUCUCCACAACCAAACAAAGGAUAUAAGAAAAAUAAAGAAAGAAAAUUAGGGUAGUUUGAUUUUUUGUACUCAUCUUGUCGUGAAGUCAUCUUGUCGUGAAGUUAAUAGAAGAAUGCUUGGGUUAGUGCUCAACAAUUAAGUGCCACUAGGGUAUAAUGAUUCUUCCAAUCAAGUAAAUAUUAUCCGCUUUAAUUUCAAUGGAUCAUCAUCACUUUAAAUUGCAUCCACAUGGUUAAGAGCAACUCAUAUGUAUAUAAUAUCAUGAAUUUCUUCUUAUUCAAUAUGGAAUAUCAAAUUAGGUAUCUUUCAAUUUUAGGUAUUGUAUAAGUGUUUCAAUUCAAAUGACUUGGCUUAAUGUAUACUCAAAGCCUUUACAAAGGAACGUACAUGUAAUAAAGUGAAAAUUAAACCUUGUCGCCCGUCUAUCUCUAGUAUGAAACACAACUCCAUUAGCCCUUAAACAUCUGCAAAAAAAGAUAUACACCUUUGUUACAUUAAUUAAAAUAAAUGAUAGAAAAAGAAACUCUAUAUAUCCAUGUACAAAAUUUGAUUAGAUUUGUUAUAUAUAUAAAGAGAGAGAGAAAAAGAAAAAAAAAACUGCUUAGAUUAAGGAUCUCAUUAAUUAAUACCUAGAAAAUAUAAAAUAAAAUAAAAAGAUUAGAAGGUGUGAAUUAUAAGAUAAGAUUACAUUUUUGAAUUAGAUUCAUCGAAAGAUGGCAUAUUGUAUGAACAUUUUUACUCUAUAUAUAAAAACUUAUAUUAUGGUUGAGAUGUAGUAAUUUGUCAUAUUUUUGGACAAUUCAAGUAAUGAGUAAUUACACUAAAUUAAAUUAUUGACCUUAUUAAUUGAUAGCUCAAGAGUAUAAAAUAGUAAGAAAUGAAUAAUACAAACUUUAUCGAAAUAUUUUUAUAGACAUAUUGUGUAAAUAUUCUUAUUUCAUAAAAUUUUAUGUCAUUAAAUAAAUAGAGAAUUUUAACAUUAAUUGCAAUGCUAAGUAGAGGAGAUCCCAUAUUUAAGCUGUUGAUUAAGGCUUAUUUGAUAAAACUUAAUAUUUAUUACUUAAUAACUUAAGUUGACUUUAAGUUAGAUUAUAUUUAAAUUACUUAAAAUUUAUUAUUUAAUAUUUACUUUAAGUAUUAAAGUUAUUUGAUAAAAUUAAUUUAAAAGUCAUUUUAAAUUAUCAAAUUGUCAUAUUUAUCUUCGUUAAUUUGAUAACUAGAUGCAGAUAAAUGAAACAAAAUAAAAUUGAGAUUAAGAAUAAAUUAAUUACUUUGAUUUAACACUUAAAAUUAAAAGUAACUUUAAGAUAUAAUAUUAAGUUAUUUUAUCAAAUAUAUUUAAUCUAUUUAAUAAUUAAAUUAAGUUAUUAAGUUAAUGAAUGAUUACCAAACACCCUAUAAGACCCAAAAAAUCGAAUGAGUUUUAAUAGUAUUCAGGAUGGACAUGACUAGGUGGCGGUUCAAUGCUGAUUAAUCAUAAUUCAAUCAAGGCAAAAUAUGUAACAAAUACAAGUCAAACUGCACCAUCCAAAUGGGCGCCAAGAAGUUACAUUUGACAAAUGCCAUUAAACCUCUACAGCUAGCAAUUAUUUUGAUCACAGAAAAAAUGGCAAAAAAGUGUGUUGUACUUCAUCUUGAAGCCCAUUAACUUCAUCUUAAUUUGAUCCAAAUUGCAGAAACAUGCAAAACUCCAUGAAUCUAUGGUGCUAUGGUGGCCUACAUUCAUAUAACUGGGGACACUUUGGUUUACACCACAAUGACCCCAAACAGUGUUUGUAGAGGCUUUAUCAAGAUCACUAGCUUUAAAAGACUAAGGAAAGAAAGAUGUUCUCAAUGAAAACUUGGAGUCAAAUUGCAGAUAAAGACCUAAAACUCCCACUCAAUGUGUUUUAGGAAUUGUUGUUUCAUGGGGAUAAGCUGCUUGGUUUGUACAUGUCUCCUUGGUGAUACUUAGAGAUUGGCAAAGUAUACUCUCCUUUGUCAUCUGGUUUGUAUAUGGGCAGAUGAAUGUUCAUGCCAGGUUCAUAUAUGUUUCUGACAUAUAUCACCCUGGAAGGAUCUAGAUCAAGGGGAUGAGUUUGAAAAGCUUGAGUAGGUUUAAGAUGUUCCCAGAAUUGGUGAGCAUGAUAUAUAUCAACAUGAUAUUGCAGAAGACAACAGAGCUUCUGAAAUAUAUCAGGUUCAAUAGUAGGAAAUCUUAUCAGCUGUCACUUAUUGUAAUCCUAUGCUCUCAAUAUUCAUUUGUUGAAGAAGAAGAAAAAAUUGCUUUCACACUAUUCAAUUACAGGAGAAUGUUCAAUUAUAGAAGAAAAUAAUAUUCACUAGACUCUUUCAACUUAAUCAACAUGCAGAGAAAAGCAGUCGGGUGGCCAAUUAUUCACAUACAAACUUACAUACAUCGUCUCUCUACCUCUACUUGUUACUCAUCAGCCAAGCUUAUAGUAAUAUAAGCUUGGGUUCAUCUCUUUAUGUCUCUGAUGACAACUCCACAUGGGGUUCGCCUUCUGGUGAUUUUGCAUUUGGAUUCUGACCCUCUCCAAGUGAAAAGGAUCAAUAUCCUUCUUGCUAUCUGGACUGCAAAUGGAAGUUAACCGGUGCCAAGAGGAUCAAAAGUUGAGCUUACUACCAAUGGACAACUUGUUCUCCAGAGGCUAAGAGAUGAAGACAAAGACUGGUAAUGUGAGCAGCGAAGCAGUGCAUGGUGCCAUGCUUGGACAUGGAAAUUGUAUACCAGUAUAUGGGAGAGCUUCAAGCACCCAACUAAUACCAUAUUGCCAACCCAGGGAUUGGUGUUGGAGCCUACUGUGCAGUUGCUAUUUUUGAGGACCUGAGGUUUGCAAAUGGAACUGGAAGCUGUUGGAGGAAAAGACUACCUCUUUCAAAUGGGAGGUUGGAUCAAACUGAUGUUUCCAGAAGUGCUCUAAUCAAGAUAUUGAAGUCCAGUGAACUAACUUCAGGCAGAGGCAACCAAAAUAAAGCAAUUCUAAUACUCUCAGUCCUCUUAGGCCCCUCUGCGUUUUUCUUCUUCGUUUCUCUGGCUGCAAUUUCUCUAGUUUUCUACCACUUGAACCUCAAAAAUCUGCAGCUUUAUCACAGAGUCCUGAGUACAAGCGAUGGUAGAAGCCUUUGACACUGUCUAUAAAGGGACAUUACCAUCAGGUUCUGGAAAUUCUGUUGCUGAAAAGAAGUUGGAGAAGGUGGUGGGAGAAGAUGAGAAAGAAUUCAAAGCAGAAGUGAAUGUGAUAGGCCAAACUCACCAUAAGAAUCAAGGACAGUUGCUGCGUUACUGUCAUGAGGGUGAACACUGACUACUGGUUUUUUUUUUUUUUUCUUUUUUAUGCACAAUGGCUCUUUAUCAAGCUUCCUUUCUGAAGGCGCCCAAGGACUUGUGUACCUACAUGAAGAAUGCAGUAAACAGAUCAUCCAUUGUGACAUAAAGCCCUCAGAACAUAACUCUUAGAUGAUUCUUCUACAGCCAAAGUUGCAAACUCGGACUGGGAAAGCUUCUGAUAAUCAACCAGACUAGAACACUCACAGGCAUCAGAGGGACUAUGGGGUAUAUUCAGACAACUCGAGCAGCCUAUGUCUCUUAUAAUAACACGUUAUGAAGCAUCAGCUCAAUGCCAAGGUUCAAUCUGCAAAGCAAGGGAUUCAUCAAUGUUUCCUUCAAACUAAAUAAUAAGGAACAGAAAUGGAUCAUUCUGCAUUUUCAGUGGUGUUUGUUAUAGCAUUUAUACAAGAACUCUAGGGGUUUCUAUGUAUAACUUCAUUCCUAUUUUGUCAGUGAAUAUGGUGAUGGUGUUAUAUUACAAAUCAUAGUGAACUGGUGGAAUUUGAUCAUUUGGCCAACUUUAUCCAAAACUGUUUCACGGUUGAAGGGAUUGUUGACUUUGCCCUGGGCGAAACAGCAAUUUCUUAAGAAGCUGGGUAACGAAGAGUACCAUAAUUUGGACUGGUUUCAAUGGAAACUCUCCUGUUUUUGUGCAUGGUAUCUUCAGCUUCAGCUUUUCAUAUGCUUUUGACUAUCCUGAAACUGAUCCAAAUCUCUUCAAUUGAUUAAAUGUAUAAAUGAAUCCUAUUCAUUGUUUGGAGUAACAACCAAAUUCUGGAAGACUGGGAAAGUUUCAACACUGGAGAGAAAACAAAAUGACAAGACCAUAAAUUCUGGAAGAGGGCUUUGCUUUCUAACCAUUACCAUAAUUUUAGAGCUCAACCCGGGUGAGUAAAUUAUAUUUCAGAAUGUUCAGAAGAUAAUUCUGAAGUGAUGAACCUUCUACUCACAGUUUCUUGUUCUUCUUGAACAGAGCAAUGAACAUGAAUAGUUCAGCACCCAGGAAUCUCCCCUUCCUUCAAUUCCUUUACUGGGAAAACUCUGCCAAAAUCAUAACAAUCUGUCCUCUUCCUUGGAGGAAAAGUCACCUACCCAAUCAAGAAAAUCAUCAGGAUUAAUUUGAGCAAAACAUCAGAGUAUACAUCAAGAAAGCCUUGAUCAAAAUCAAAAUACAUCAAGAGCUGCCAUUUUCUUCUAUUUCCUCUUCCCCGAAUGGAAUGCCUUUUGGACUGAGGUGAUCAAUGGUAACAGUCUAACACACUCCUUAAGCUCUGAUUGAGGUCAACGGGGAUUGGCACAUUUAAUGACUUUUGAAAUCAUAGCUGUGUGAAGGGAGGCAAACAUGAAUCUCAGGAUAAUCAACAAGUCAACAACUAUCAAUCAGCAAGGAAAAGGAAAUACCUUUGGAUAUUUACAAAUCAAAAAUUUGAGAGAGUCCAGCUUCUCUGUACAGAAAGGCUUGAGCUUAUUCCAUGGCCAGGCUUUAGAUGGUUCUGAAUUACGGAUGAGAGGGUUGAGUUUUCUUUUAUUCUGCAAUAAGAUUAAAAACAUCAAUGAAACACUAAAAGUUUAUAUAUAGAAGCCCUUUAAAGAUAAGAAUUGGUAAGAAAGCUCACCCAUGGUCUAGUAAAACAACAUCUGUUAGAUAAGUAACCGCCAUUCGAUUGUCCAGCUAAUGCAUUUAGAUCUAAGAUAAGAUAUGGAAAAAUAGUCAAAAAUAGCUGAAGACAGUCCAAAAACUCAUUUAUCUAAUAAUUUUCUAAAAGCAGUAACAUAAAACCUGGAUGAAGAAUCCACCCCUCUACCUGACACCACUUCAAUACCAAAUAAAAUGUUACGAUGACCAUUUAUGGUCUUAAGAGACAGUGGAUGUUGUUUGGGCUCAAGACCUAAGACAAGCCAAAAAACAAGAAGAAGACAACAUCAAAAUUGGCACAGAAACAAGUACAUCAACUAUCUAAUAAAGAGAUUUAUGCAUGUAACAAAUGCAAAUGAAAUAUGAAACAAGAUUUUCAUGGAUUAAACAAAAAUAGAUGGCAAAAUAGAAGGAUAAGGUCACAGACAGGACAAUAUUAAAAGAAAUGAUUAUUUGUCCCACCUGAAAAUCGAGGCAUUCAGAACAGUACACAUUUGUAAGUAGUCCAUGGAAACCAGGGAACAUAUGCAGAUGUUGUAUUCUAUUGCAUAAGGCAAACACUCAAUACUUACUAGCAUAACCAUGCCCAGAAAGCCAUGAAUCCCUUUUUGUUUUGCUUUUUUACCUAUUCCCAUCUCUUAUGGCCAGAAGUGCUCAGGAUGAUAUAACAUCACCAAAUAAGUUAGAAACCAGCCCAUCCAGCAGGUUGAGUAGCCAGCUUGCCCUCAAUCUUCUUUGAGUCAACAAACAGCUGGGCAUUAUUGCCUCCAAUGGAGGGUCUGGAAAUAUUAGAGCUGGCACCAGGGGUGGCUGUAAAACUCUCUGUUCCAAAACCCCAAGUUUCAGGGCCAGAAGUUGCUUCUGUGGCUGGUUUGUUGUGAUGGCCAUUUCGGGUCCUAACAGACUUGCUAUUGUUGUCUGGGCACCUACCUCAGAGAAAGCCUGCCAUGGAUUAGAGUCCUGACAUGGCUGAAACUGAUCCUGAAAUCAAAGUUCACAUACACAAGUAGAUAUUUAACAGAAGAGUAUCCAAAUCUCUUCAAUUGAUUAAUGUCCAAAAGAAUUAAUCAAAAUUUUUAGAGAUAAUUAUAGGGAGAUGAACCUUGUACCUCUCAGUUUCUUAUUCUUCUUGAACAGAGCAAUGAGCAUCAAGUGUUGAGCACCCAGCAAUCUCCCUUCCUCUACAGGCAAAAUCUGAACAAUCUAUCCUUUCUUCAUAUUCCACUUCCUUGCAAAAGUCAAAACAUGAAGAAAAUAUCAUCAAAAUUGAGACAAAAAGAAGUGCAUCAACUAUCUCAAGAAGAGAUUUAUGCCUAUUGCUUACCUUUUGAAGAAAUCCACUUGGUUAGAGCACAUUUUACAUGGACGCCCAAUCAGUGCAAGCUGCUGAACCAAAGGAGAGUUCAAACAUCUAGGCUCAUCCCGAUUACUUGUAAUGAACACUGAAAUGAAAAAAAAAAAUGAAUUUAAUAAUUUUUAAAAAUGAGCAAUUAUAAAACUAUUUUGGUUCUCAUAAAAUUUACGGGAAAGUAAAGAAAAAAAACUUGUAAACUUUUUUGUUUUUGUUUGAUUGUUUAUGGGAAAUUUGAGGGGGAAAAAAAAUCUAUGAGGAAUUUAUUUAACACUUCUUAGGAACCAAAAAUGUUUUAGUUGUUAUCAAAUCGAUAAUUUAACCAUGUUUAAUUCCAAUUAAAUGAGUUUAAUCAAACACAUGAAAUUGUAAAUAAAAUUAUUUAAAAGCAUUGAAAUUCAAGUCAUUAAAGUUGUUCAUAAAAUUUGGUAUAUUAAAGCAAGAAAAAAAACAAAGCAAUUUGAAUGACUUGCUAAUAAAGCACCUAACUAGAAUAAAUAAAGCAGCUAACUAUAUAAGAAAUUAUAAAAUAAAAAUAAAAAAUAAAAAAUAAAAUUGCCAAAAAAAAAACAAACAAAAUAUCCAUGGUUCUUACGUUAUUUUUUUCUUAAUUUUUCAAUAGUUAUAAAUGGUUCAUUUAAUUUUUGCAAACUGCCAAAUCAAAACAGAGCAUGAAAAUGUGUUCAACAUUUGUUUCAAGCUUGAAGCUUCAAGAAAAAAGAAAAUCUUAAAUCAAAUAAACAGAAAGAAAAGUUUAAGCGCAAAAGAAUUACCUAACUGUGUAUUGGCAGAGUGGCAGAGUGGCACCUUGAUUAAAAUAGCACUUCAUUGAUCACUAUUUUAGGAAUGAGAUCUAUAUAACGCCAUUCUUCCCCUUUCUCAAAUUGACACCGUUUUUCCAGUAAAUGACCUCAUUAGAACUACAAUAAGUGAAGUGAUAAUGUCAUAUAAUUAGUAAACCAAACCAAGUCAAUAAACUAGAACUUCCUCUAGUAUGGCCUUUGUGUAAAAGAUAUUUAAAGGUCUUGAUACAUUAGAUAUUUAAAGAUAUUUUUUAUUGUGACAGAUUAUAGAGAAAAUUAGACACUGGGAAAAUACCAAGCCAGGAGCCAUGUCAAGAGCUGCUUUCUUGUUAAAAAUUAAGUCCAAUUAGAAAAUUACAGUAGCGCGUAAGAGAAAUUGAAAGUGGUGUUGAGAAGAGAAAGAGGAAGAAUGAUGUGUUGGGAAUGAGAUGUAAUACCUUCUUUAUUACUCAGAUGGAUUAGUCAUGUAUGUCCACACAGGGGAUGUGGGCAAUCUUGGGCCAAUCAUCUCCUUCCUCCUUCGAGUACCUUUGUGUUAGAUGUGGGCAACUCCACACAUCCAGUCGUGAAAGGGUGUCAGGCCAUAGUCCUUCCCUUGGCAAAAUCGACCGGAGCUUAGGGCAACCGUAGAUUGCUAGAUUUUCAAGAGAGGUGAGGGUUUGGAGAGACAGGGAGGCUAGGGAUUCCAGAUUCUGGAAAUGUGAAAGGUCAAGGGAGGUGAGAGUUGUAGGAAAAAGAAUCGAGUGGGGGUCAUCCGAAAAGGAAGUUGCAUCUGGAAACAUGUCUCCAAUACCGAGGUAUUUAAGAGAGGUGAGUCUGGAAAGGCCCCAUUGGGAUAGGGGGGUCUUGAUAUUCUCACAAUUAUAAAUGUAAAGCGAUGUAAGACGAGUGAGGGUGUUGAGGCAAUCUGGUAGGGUUUUGAGAUUAGGAUACCUCCUGAGGAUUAAAGAUUGAAGUGAAUUAUUAGUAGAGUGAAACAUCUCCUCUGAAAUUGACUCGAGGUGUUCACAAUCCUCAAUGUGAAGUUGCCAGGCUUUGAAGAGCAGCAGCAUAUGUGGAAUCGUAGUGCAUUAUUCCCUCUGGUAGAGACUCCAGCUUUUCACAAUUACUUAUGUGGAGUUUCUUGAGAGUGAUACCUCUCGGAAAACCAAUCAUAGAGGGACACAUAUGUAGAUGUAAGUAUUCAAGGGCACACAUGUCCAUGGUGCUGGUGGUGGCGAUGGAAUUGCAGUGCAUCAUUCCUUCUGGAAGAGACUUGAGACUUGAGAUUUCCAAGGCUUGGAGAGCAGCAGCAUUGGUGGAAUGUUGGUGCAUUAUUCCCUCUGGUAGAGACUCUAGCCUUCGACAAUCAAUUAUGUGGAGUAUCUUGAGAGUGGCGGGUAACCCACCUUUCGGUAAUCCAAUAAGAGACUGACACCAUCUUAUCGAUAACUCUUCAAGGGCACACAUGCCCAUCAUUCCUUCUGGAAGAGACUUGAGAUUUUCACAAGCCCAUAUGUUCAGACUCUCAAGGGUGGUGGGUAAUUGCCCUUUUGGAAAGCAAAUGAGAGAUGGACAAAUCGAUAUCCUCAAGUUUUCAAGGAGACAACAUCAUGCCAUCAGGUAGACUCUUUAGACCUUUACAAUUUCCAACAGUAAGACUUCUCAGCUUUGGUGGGAAACCUACAUCUGGAAAUGACGCUAGCUUUGGACAUUCCUUGAUUGUCAAUUCUUCAAGGCAUGUUAGACUCUGCCAUCCAUUUGGAAGCCUCUCUAGUUUAUCACAUCCACUUAUUUCCAAAGACUGAAGAUUGCAUCCCAAGGAUACAAGUUGGUCACAAUCUCUAAUCUCAAGAGAAUGAGAGUUUUCCGAUCCAAAACCAUCCUCCCACAAAUAUACGAGUUCUUCGCAUGCCCAUACUUUCAAAACCCGAAGCCCUUGCAAAAAUUGCACAAAUCCUUCAUGCAAUUUGAUAAGCCCUGAAAUCCCAGAAAUUGUUAACUUGGUGAGUGAGGUGAGGUCAUUUCCACUGCUCAAGACCGCCUCAUUACAUUCUCCUACAUCUAAUUCGUUCAGCAGUGGAAGUCUUGAAAGUGGAGACUCCAAUUUUGGACAGAAGUGUACAGAGAGCUUUGUAAGAGAAGGUAGGUAAGUGGGUAGUUUCAUAAUCAAUUUGCGGCAACACUGAAUUGUAAGCUCAUGGAGACAAGGGAAUAAUGACUCUGUUGAGGAAGACCAAUCCUCCCAGUGCUCCCAUUCUGACAUGCUAUAAAACUGUAGAGACUCUAGUGAUGGGAAAAACUUACCUGCAGAAACACGAGUCUCUCCAUAAAACUCUGCACCCACUUUUUUUACUACAUCCAUUCCUUGGAUCCUCAACUGUUUGAGCGAUGGCAACUGCCCCAAGCAUGGUAAAGACGUGCACUUUCUGCAAUCUAUGAGACGUAGAUCCACCAUCUUAGAGAACAAGGCACCCCCUAUCCAACGUGGGAAUUCUGGACCACCAUACAACUGAAUGCAGAGUUUGUUCAGAGUCGAACAUGGUUGUAGAGAGUCAAGGACAUCCAUUUGAUUCCUUUCAUUCCCUGAACCAUCCAACUCAGAACUCCACUGCAUUAUCAAGCUUUCAAGGUUACGCUUCGAUUUUAAAUCGGCAUCCCUUGCAUCUUGAAUAUUCACCACAUUUUCCAAUUUCGAAAUGCAAAGUUCUCCUCGCAGAUGUGACAUGUCCUUCAACUCCUUGAUUGUCAAACCGUUGUUUUUGUCCACAAUGAAAUUAGACAAUAUCCGCAAAUCUUUUAGUUUGCCCAUUCCUAUAGGCAUUUCUUGUAAUUUUAUUGCACCAGCAACGUCAAGAUGUCGAAGAUUGAUUAGGUUACCGAUGGUAAUAGGCAACUUGAUAAGCUCUUUACAACAUGAUAAUUUCAAUGUCUGAAGGUAAAAAAGAUUACCAAUUGAAUCGGGUAACCAUUUUAUACUGGUGUGGGACAAAUUAAGGUAUCUCAAAUGUUUCAACUUACCAAAUGAAUCUGGUAUCUCACUUAUCUUGUAAUAAGCCAAUGAGAGCACCCUUAAGUGCCGUAACCUUGGUAUCAAUUCUUCAAGCACCUUAUUACUUAUGAAGGAAUGACGUCCACUAGUUGAUUCAUCAAUCGGCAAAGCUAUGAAUGUGCGCAAGCGCUCUUUCUUAUGAAAUCUUUCAAAUUUUUUAAAGAUAUCACAAAAAUGACGGAUGAAUGAUGAAUGACGAGUAUUUUCAGAAAUGGAGCAUUGCAAAUCAUUCCUCAACUCAUCAUCCAAAUGCAAGCAUGUGUCUCCAGCAAUAGAUUUAGCUAGAGCAUGGACAAGGUCAUGCAUCACGAAUCGUGAUCUAUUGCUGCUCGACGAUUGAAAAAAUGACCUUGACAAUAGCUCAUCAAAAUACUUAUCACCAAGAUCUUCCAUUUUCCUAUUAUCUUUUGUUUGUUGAAUUAACCCCUCCGCCAUCCACAGGAGGAUUAACCCUUGCUUUGUAAACUCAUAAUCCUGGGGAAAAUUUGCGCAAUAAGUAAAACACCUCUUUAAAUGUGAAGACAGAUGACAAUAGCUCAAUCUCAAGGCAGGGAUGAUGUCACAUUCCUUGUCUGUGAAAUCCCAUACUUUGCUGUACAAUACUCUUUCCCAUUCACAUUCACGUAGUUCAGAGCGCAAAAGGCCACCAAGGGCUCUUGCUGCUAAGGGCGAACCUCCACACUUCUCUACAAUUCUCCUACCAAUUGAUUCCAAAUUUGGGUGCUCAUCGAUAUUCAUAUGUUCAAAAGCAUGUGUUUGAAAUAUCUUCAAACAAUCAUCAUAAGGUAACUGUUUGAGCUCAUGUAAGAUCUUGUGUCCUCUCAUCUUGUUUGCAACAUUAUUAUUGCGAGUUGUGACUAGAAUUUUGCUUCCCUGUGCUCCCACCCAGAAAGGGGAGCAUAGCCUGUCCAACUCAAAGUAAUCAUCAUUCCACAAAUCAUCCAAAACUAUCAGAAAUUUUUUUCCCUUCAAUUCCUUCCUCAAAUUUUCUUGGAUUUGAUGCAAGUCUUGUGAAUCACUGCUUUGAGAAUUAGUCACCGAGUUGAGAAUUGUCUUUGUUAUUCUCACUGCAUCGAACUGAUCUGAGACACAAACCCAGGCUUUUUUAUCAAAAUGCUUGGUUUCAUCGUCAUCGUACACCAGUCUUGCCAGUGUGGUCUUCCCCAUCCCACCCAUGGCCACGAUGGAAACUACAGAAAAAUUGGUUUUACUGGGUUCAUUCCUAAGCAGCAUACCAAUUAUAAUAUCUUUUUCUGUCCCCCUGCCAUAGACCUGAGGUUCAUAUCCUAGAGAUGCAGUGACUGGCCUUCCCCAAGCAGAGUUGGUUAUCGCAGCCACCUUUUCUAGACGAAGCUCAGAUUUUUGAGCCGAAAUAUCUCGUAAGCGGCGAGUGAUUUCCCACACCUUGGACCUCAUUUUAAUAUAACGCAUAACCUCAGUAGGAUUGAAAAAGCCAAGCCAAGUUGAGAUGAGCUUGCGUACCUUGCUCGGCCUGCCUUGAUGAUCAGCUUCUUUGGCCGUGAGCUCCCGUUGCAAAGCUUCGUAGGCGAACUCAUCCAAGAUGUCCUCCAUAUCAUAAGCCAAAUCUUUCAGAUUGCCCAGCCACUCUUUCACAGAGCGAUCCGUGAUCUGCUUGUCCUCCGCGUCAUUAAGCUCUUCACGAAUAUCCGACAAUUCUAUCUCCCAUUUCUUGAGAUCAGAGUACACCCAUUGUUGGCGUGCAAAGUCGAGCAAAUUAGUGGAGGCCAACUUGUCAAACAAGAGGCCGAUGGCAGCAGAAAGAAGAGCGUCUCCCACAGCUUCCAUGGUUGGUUUGUACUUUGUUUGGAGAGAGAGAGAGAGCAAAUCAAGCAGUGGAAGCAGAAAGAAGGGAGUUUUGACCCAAAAUAGCGUGUUUUAAAAAAAAAUUUCAAAAAAUAAAGUUGUUUUCAAAAUAAUGCCCAAUCUAAUAUGUCUGUGCCACAUAAGCUGUCAUAUCAUAAAACCGUAGUUGGUGACUACGGUUUUAUUUUUCUAAAGUGGUUAGAAACCGUAGUUACCAACCACGGUUUUAACUUUAAGUUUAAAGCCGUAGUGGUCGUAGUCACCAACUGCGGUUUUAACUUUAUAUAUAUUUAUAUAUAACUUUAAUUUUUUUAAUAAAAAUAUUAUAUUAUUUUGAUUUUAAAUAUACUUAUUUCAUUAUUUUAAAAAUAAUAAUAUACGAAAUUAAAUAAUUGAUAUUUUUAAUUUGAUAUAAAAAUAUUUUUUUAAAUUUUAUUAAAACGCACUAUAUUUAAUAUAAAUAUAAUUAAUUAAUUAAAAUAAAUUAUAAUAAAUUAUAUUUAUUUAAAAUAAAUAAAUUAUAAAUACCUAUUUAGAAAAAUAAAAAAUAAUAUAAAUUAUUAUAUUAAUUAAUAAUUUUUUAUAUAUUAUAUAUAAGUGGUAUAUAAUACCUCUCACACACACACAUAUAUAUAUAUAUAUAUAUAUAUAUAUAUAUAUAUAUAAGUUUAAUUUGAGUUUAAAAUUUAUCACAUUUUUAUUUAAAUAUAUAAAUAAAUUUUAUUAAAACAAUUGACACUAUAUUUAAUAUAAAUAUAAUUAUUUAAUUAAAAUUAAAUAUAAAUAAAAUAUAAUAAAUUAUGUUUAUUUAAAAUAAAUAAAUUAUAAAUGCCUAUUUGGAGAAAAAAAUAAUAUAAAUUAUUAUAUUAAUUAAUAAUUUUUUUAUAUAUUAUAUGUAAGUAGUAUAUAAUAUCACACACACAUACAUAUAUAUAUAUAUAUAUAUAUAAAUAUAUAAAUUAUGAACUUAAAUUAAAAUAUGAUAAAUUUUAAACUUAAUUGAACUAUUAUAUACCACUUACAUAUAGUAUAUAAAAAAUUAUUAAUUAAUAUAAUAAUUUAUAUUAUUUGUUUUUUAAUAGGCUUUCAUAAUUUAUUAUAUUUUAUUUAUAUUUAAAUAUAAUUAACUAAAUAUAUUUAUAUUAAAUAUAGAGUAUAUCAUUUUAAUAAAAUUUUAAAAUAUAUUUAUAUCAAAAUUAAAGUUAUAUAUAAAUAAAUAAAGUUAAAACCGCAGUUGGUGACUACGGCUUUGACCAUUUUAAAAAAAAAUCAAAGCCGUAGUCACCAACUACGGCUUUAAACUUAAAGUUAAAACUGUGGUUGGUAACUACGGUUUCUAAUCACUUUAGAAAAAUAAAACCGUAGUCACCAACUACGGUUUUAUGACGUGACAGCUUAUGUGGCACAAACGCAUUAGAUUAGACAUUAUUUUGAAAACAACUUUAUUUUUUAGAAUUUUUUUUUAAAAACUUACUAUUUUGGGUCAAAGCUCAAAGAAGGGGUCUGUUGUGUGAAGGCUUUAAAUAUUAGAAACCCAUUUUCAUUUAAAUUUAUUUGAAGGUCCUUGUAGAGACAGCUGGAUCAUAUUUUUGGAGUUUGAGAUGGCCCGACUGCCCACCUGCAUGCCACUGUUGGAUUAUAUUUAUUUGUGUACUUUAAAUAUGUCUCAAUUUUAUUAUAAAUUUUUCUAAUUUUUUUAAUAUAAAUAUAUAUAUAUAUCUCUCUUUUAUUAUUAUUUUUUUAUUUGCAUGAUAUUUCUUUCAUACCAAUGAGAAGAAAUUUUUUUUAUUAAAAUUCAUAAAAUAUCUUGUUUUUGUUGCAUGGAUAUGUUUCAUUUCACUGUAGGAAAGUUAAAUAAAAAAUGAUUUUUUCUGAUUUUUAAUUUGUAACAUUUUUUUUCUUAUUUAUUUUAAUCUACCCGUUGAGAGAGAGAGAGAAAAGAAUAUUUUUAAAAAAUAUUGUGAGAUGAGUCCUACUCUUUCCGUCCGUUGAGAGAGAGAGAGAUAAAAUGAGAGAAUGACCAACAAUAUGUUUUGGACUAAAAAAACCCCUUUGAAUGAUUAUGUUGAUAGAAAAGAAUAUUUUGAAAAAUAUUUUGAGAUGAGUCAUAUUCUUCCCGUGAGAGAGAAUAAUAUUUUGAGAUGAGUCCUAUUCUUUCCAUUGAGAGAGAGACAUACAAUAAUCAACGAUGAUUUUUUUUGGACUUCAAAAAUUUUUAUUCCGUUUCAAACCUGUAUUAGAGUAGAACGGGUCGGAAUUUUGUUUGAAGUUCUAGUCAUCCUAUCUUAUUUAAUAUUUUCUGUUAUUUUUAUUAUUUUUAAAAUUUUGUUUUUAUUAAAAUAAAUGUAAUUUAUGAGUAAAUAAAUUAUUUUUCAUAAAUUUUACAUCCUAUCAACUUCAAUUUAAAUAUGUUUAAAGAGGGGAAAUGAAAAAAGAAAUUAAAUUAUUUUUAUUUAAUUUUAUUUAUAAAUGAGAUUGAUUAAGAUAAUACUUUAGAGUUUGUUUAACAAUAAUUUUAAAAAAUAUUUUUAGUUUAAAAAAUAUUUUAAAAAUAAAUAAAUUAAGGAUAUAUUUGAUAAUUAUUUUUUAAAAUAGUUUUUGAAAAUAGUUGUUUUUUAACAUUUUGUUAAACAAAAGUCUGUUUGAAAAUUUAAAAUAUUUUUAAUUAAUUUUAAAUAUUUUAAAUAUAUUUUUAAAAUAAUUUUUAUAUCUAAUAUUUUAUUUUUAAUUAUUCUAUAAAUAAAUGACAUUUAAGUAUAAAUAAAUAAAAAUUAAAUUUAGGUUAAUAUUAUGUGGUUGUUUUUAGUGGACCACCAACUAUUUUUAUAUUCCAUAGAAUCCUAAAUUUAAAUUGAGAUAUGCUAUCUUAAAUUUUAAAUUUUUUAAAAAUAAUUUUUAAGGGCAUGAACUAAAUCUAUAUUUUUUGUUAAGAAUUUCUAUUUUUUUAUUUGGAAGUUUUUUACCAAUUUUUGUUUUUAAAAACAAAAAAAUAAGAAGUACUUAAAGUGUUUUUUAUAGUGAUUUUAAAAAAUAUUUUUAUUUUUUUAAUAUUUAAAAAAUAAAAAUUUUAUAUAUUAAAAAAAUUAAAAACAUUUUUUAAAAUGAUUGUAAAGCCCAUUCUUAAUAUGUAAUCUUAUUAAUUUCUUCUCAUUUACAUGGAAUGAAGAGAGAUUUAAAUGAAUAAAACAAAUACAAGGAUAAAAAAUGAACUUAUUGUACUUUAUUAUUACAUCCUUUCAUUAGAUGCUUUACAUAGUUUUUGAUAAAUAAAAUUAUAAUUAUAUUGAUGGAGGGCCAAUUAGCUUUGCUUUAGGUGAGAAAGUAGAGAUAAGAUUGAAAUGGGCUCACAUGUAAAGCAAGAAUGAAAUCAAAAGUAAAGAGGGAGAUAAGAUUGAGGUGGGUGGACCAAAUAAAAAGUAGGAUAUGAACUUACAAAAGCUUUUGCACUCUUCCCAAAAAGUAAAAGCAAAGCCUAUUAGCAUAAAGUGUGAUGAAAUUAGUCCUAUUCAAGGCCCUACUUGCAUAUUUGAUAUUUCUAUGAAUUUUUAUUUAUUUAUUUCUAAUGUGAGGACUUUUAAGUUAAAAUUAAUUUUCAAAAAAAUAUAAUUUAAAAAAUUAUUUUCAAAUCUACAUAAUUAUUAUAUCUUUUACAAAAAUGAAAUCAUAUAUUGAAGCUUUGAUUUUAGACUAAAAAUCCAAAUCCAACCCACUUAUCUAUGUACUUUAUUGGCAUGGAAGGAGAAGAGUUAAAAAAGUAUUAUCAAAGAUAAAAGAAAAUUUGAUCAUAUGAUAAAUAGAGAUCUUCCAAAAUUUUGAGGUUCGAAGCAGUUACAUUGGAUACGAGAUGACAUUGCAUUGAAAAUUGAUAUUAAAUCUCAUUAGGUGAUUAUAGGAAUUCCUUUACAUAAAUAUAAGUAUUAAAUAUAUCUUACUUUUUCAAAAAGUUUAUGGCCCUUUGUGAAUGUGGGAUGAAUGCAUUUUCAAUUGAGUGAUAUUGUACAUAUAUUAUUAAAAUUUUCUAACACAAUGCUAAGGACACUUAUGAUAAGUUUUUUUUUUUAUUUGAUUUAGGCAAAUACAACUUGAUAUGAUUUUUCAAUAUGUCUCGAAUUCAACUUUUUUCUUUUUAGGGAUUUGAAUUAAUUAUAAUCAGUUUUAAAUCAAAGUUGCAUCAAUCUAUUACAUAUCUAGUUUAAAGUCAAUGUACAUAAUACAUAUUUAAUUUGAAUUGACUUAUUUAAUAAUGGUACCGAUAAACCUAAUGAUAACUUUAACUUAUUUAACUCAUAUUUUACAUCUUUAAUUUUUUUUCAAUAAAUAUAUCAUAAUUGAGUCACAAACAACAUAUUCAGAAGAGUAACUACAUAUUAUGUCAUUCAACAUUUAAUCUGAUUUGAUUAUUUAACAAUAUCUAAUUAUUAAAUAGGUUAUAAUAUAUUACCUAGUUGAUAAUUACAUUGUGUUUGAGUUUAUGUUUUUAACCUUAAUUAUUAUUCACGUCAUGUUUGAAUUGAGAUAUAUAGUUGAGAAUUUGAACUUUGAUAUGACACAAACACAAUCGACCAAUAUAUUGAGACAUUAGAAGAGUAAUUUUGAUAAAAGUUAAUAUUUAAGCACUUAAGUUAAUUUAAAUUAAAUUAUAUCGUAUAUUAACUUGAUUUAUUAAAAUUAUUGUUGAUUUUAUAUUAUAAUAUUAAGUUAUUUUAUCAAAGAUAUUGAAUAUUCUUAAGAAAUUAAAUUUAGUCAUUAAAUUUGACUUAUCAACAUCCUCUAAGGUCUUCUCAAUUUUUAAUAUUUAUUUGAUACACGUUUAAUAAGAAACAAGUCAAAAUGUGUUAGCUCAAAAUUUCAAUACAAGCAAGAGUUGAAAGAAAGCGGAAAGAAGGGCCUCUCCGAUAGCUUCCAUGAGAGAGAGAACAACUUUACAGUGGAGUAAUUAUGAGAGAGGGAGAGAGAACGACUUUACAGUGUAGGAAUUAUGAGAGAGAGGGAGCGAGAGUUAUUGCUGUGGGAUGUAGCAAUUAUUCAAUUUUGAGAGAGUGAGAGAGGGAGAGAGACGUUUAAGUACAAAAUAUUUCGGUCCGUUCGUUGAAAGAAAUGGUAAGAAUAACACCCGCAUGGAUUUGCGUUCUUAGAAAGAAAUAAUUAGAAAAAUAGGUACUUCCAAAUAUUCGCAAUUUUUUUAUCAAUCUAAUUAUUCACAUUUCAGUGUUUUAAAAGUUUCAAAAAUAUCCUAAAAAUCAUAUUUUACAAUUUUUUUAUCGAUAACUAUAAUUUCAAAAAUAUUUUAAACCAUUCCAUUUUGUAUUAUGAUUUUAAUAUUAUUUUUAAAAUAUUUUUAUUAUAAUAUUAUUUUUAAAAUAUUCUUUAUCAAAAAUAUUCUUUAAAGUUUAAAAAUGAUAUAAAAAAAAUAAUUUUUUUUAAUUCAUAUGUGAUAAAAUACAUAAAAUAAAUAAAUAUUUUAUUUAUCAUAAAUAUAUAAAAUUAUAUGGGAAUGCAUAUAGGUGAAAUUAUUUUCUCGAAAUUUCAAGGAAAAUACAAAGAAAAAAAUAAAACAAAUAAAAAUAUAAUUUUAAAAUAGUCGUAAAGAAAAAAUUUGUUAAAGAUAACUUGUUAAAAAAAUAAUUUUAUGUUGACAAUGGAAAAUCGUAAGAAAUUUUCCCUACUCCAAAACGAACUUUGGAACCCUACGUACAUUCUUAAGAAAAUCUGGUACAUCGUUAAAAAAUUUUGGUACAUCAAUCACUUCCCAAAGAUCCUUAUAGGUAUAAAUAGACUAUGGAUAAUAAAAUAGCAGUCUUGAUAGCUUAAGGAUUAAAUGUACUAAUCUUUUUUUUUUAAAAUGUAUCAAAUUUUUUCAAAGAUAUAUCUAAGGUUCUAAAGUCCGUUGUGGAAUAGGGAAUGACCUCCGAUUACUUUCCAAAGAUCCUUAAAGAAAUAAAUAGAUCUGGGUAAUAAGAUAAGGAUCAUGUACCAAAUUUUUUUAAGGAUGUACCCAAUUUUGUAAAUGAUGUACCAAAUUUUAUAAAGGAUGUACCAAGGUUGCCAGAGUUGGUUUUGAGGUGGAGAACGACCUCUAAUCACUUCCCAAAAGUUUUCAAAGAAAUAAAUGGACCAUGGGAAGAGAGAUAGGUGUCCCGUUAGCUCAAAAAUUGGAUGUAUCAAAUUUUCUCAAUAAUGUAUCUAGGGUUUCAAAAUCCAUUUUGGAGUAAGAAACGACCUCCAAUCACUUUUCAAAGAUCCUUAAAGGAAUAAACAAACCAUGGAUAAUAAGAUAAGAGUUUUAGUAGUUCACUGAUUUGAUGUAUCAAAAUUUUUUAAGGAUAUACUAAAUUUUAUGAAAAAUGAAUCAAAUUUUAUAAAUGAUGUAUUAAAUUUUGUAAAGGAUGUACCAAGGGGGCUAAAUUUCGUUUCGAAGUGGGAAACGGCCUCUAAUCACUUCCUAAGGUUGUCCAAAUGAAUAAAUAUACCAUAUGAAGGAAAAUAGGUGUCCCGUUAAUUUAAGGAUUAAAUAUAUCAAAUUUUCUUAACGAUGUACCAAUGGUUCUAAAGUUCAUUUCAGAGUAGGAAACGACCUCUAAUUACUUCAUAAAGAUCCAUAAAGAAAUAAACGAACCAUGGGUAAUAAUAUAGAAGUCUUGGUAGCUCAUGAAUUUGAUGUAUCAAAUUGUUUUAAGGAUGUGUCAAAUUUUGUGAAAGAUGUAUCAAAUUAUCUUUAAGAUGUACCUUGGGUUCCAAUGUCUGUUUUAGGGUGGAAAACAACAUCUAAUUUCUUCUUGAGGGUCCCCAAAUGAAUAUAUAAACUAUGAGAGUGGAGAUAGGGGUCUUAGUUCUUCUAAGAAUUAAUUUACCUAGGAUUUCAAAGUUUGUUUUCAGGUGGGCAAGAACCUCUAAUUACUUAUUGAGGGUUCCAAAGGAAUAUAUACACCAUGAUAAGUAUGAAAGUGGUUCUGAUUCCCUUAAGCAUGAAUUUACCCUUUUUUUUCUUUAAGGAUGUACUUUUUUUUUAAUGAAAUUUAUAUAAAAAAUUAAAUACAAUUUUUUUAAUGAAAAAUAUAUUUUAUUUUAAUUAAAAAUUAAAAAUUUUAACCAAACAAAAAGUUAGAUCCAUAAUCAAUUUGAAAGCACUAUUAGAAUGUAUCAAUAUGUAAUAUUUUUUCCCCAUUUUACAUUAAAAUUAAAAAGUAAAAAACAAAAUUCUAAAAUCUCAUAUCAUGAGGGUAAUUGUGAAACCAUUUGAAAAUACUAUUGAAAUACAUGAAUAAAUAAUAAUUUUUUCUCAUUUUAGACUAAAAUUAAAAAAAAAAAAAUUAAAAUCUCAUAUUUUUUUAAAUUGAUGUAUAAUUAUUCGAGUUCUUUGUAUUUAUGAAACCAUAAUUAGUAAUUAUGUUUUUAAAAAAUAUAAAACCAUAAUAAUAUACCGUGGCUUUCAAGAUAUUUUUACAAUUACGUUUACUAAUUAUGAUUUUAUGAUUAUUGUGAUAAAAAAUGUUUUAAAAAUAAUGUUAAAAUCACAAUACCAUUAAAAAAAAAAAUGAGCGGUGGCUGAGAGAGUGAAUUAUUGCUGUGAGAUGGCAUGCAACAACUUUAAAGUGUAGCAAUUAUUGAAUUUUGACCGAGAGAGAGAAAAUCAUUGUCGUGGGAUGGCAUGCAACAUCUUUAAAGUGUAGCAGUUUACAGUGUAGCAAUUAUUCAAUUUUGACAGUGAGAGGGAAUUAUUGCUGUGAGCUGGCAUGCAACAACUUUAAAGUUAGCAGUUAUUGAAUUUUGACCAACCAUAUCCUCAUCCAAAGUUCCCAACCCAUCUUGGUUACUUCAACAAAUUUUUAUCCCGUUCUAGAGUAGAACGGGGUCGGAAUUUUUUUAGAAGUUAUGGUCAUCCUAUCUUAUUUAAUAUUUUCUGUUAUUUUUAUUAUUUUUAAAUUUUAUUUUUAUUAAAAUAAAUGUAAUUUAUGAGUAACUAAAUUAUUUUUCAUAAAUUUUACAUCCUAUCUUUAUAAAAAGUAAAUUUGCAGCUUCAAUUUAAAUAAGUUUAAAGAGAAGAAAUGGAAAAAGAAAUUAAAUUAUUUUUACUUAAUUUUAUUUAUAAAUAAAAUGGAAUGAGAUAAUACUUAGAGUACGGUUGAUAAUUAUUUUAAAAAAUGUUUUUAGUUAAAAAAUAUUUCUUUUAAAAAAUAAAUUAAGAGUAUAUUUGGUAAUUACUUUUGAAAAUAAUUUUUGAGAAUAGUUGUUUUAUAAUAUUUUGUAGAAUAAAAAUUUGUUUGAAAACCUAAAAUAUUUGGACUAAUUUUUAAUAUUUUUAAAUAUAUAUUUAAAAUAAUUUUUAUAUAUAAUAUUAUAUUUUUAAUCAUUCUACAUGUUUAUAUAAUUAUUUUUAAAAAAAAUCAUUAGAAAAUAAAUUAAAAAAUAUAAAAAAUAACUAAAAAAUGUUAUUUAAAAAUACCAUAUUUUUUGUUCUUAAUAAUAAAAAAUAGAAAACAAUUUUUUAUUGUCAAAUGUAUUUUCUUGAUAUUUUGGAGAACAAAAAACUAUUUUAGAAAAUAGUUGUUAAACAAACAUUAGAUGUUAGAUAAAAUUUUAAAAAGACUUCUAAAAAUCUAAAAAAAUCACUUAUACUAUUUUUUUUAGAAAAUCACUUAUAGUGUUUUUAAAAAAAUUACUUGACAGAUAAUUUGCUAAAAAUAUUUCAAGUAAAAAUACUGUUAAACACAUUAUUAAUAUCAUUUAACCUAACCUUGGAGUUAAAAAAUGAUUUAUCAAAUUCAACCUCAAUCGGUUUAAACUCUCCCAAACCCAUUCCCAUUUGUAAUAUCUGGUUUUGAAAAAAUAAAAAUAAAAAUAAAAACAUAAUAUAAAGAGUAGGAGGAAUAUCAAAUAUAAAAAGAGGGUUAAAAAUGUUUUGUAAUGGUUGGAAGUGUUUUUCCUACAAAUAAUGAUGCAUUUUGAAAAUUUUUAGAAAUUAAGAGAAUCACUUUGAACUUACAUUCGAUACACACUUUAUUUAAAACCAUUUUUUAAAUUAUAUUUCUUAUGAUCAAAAACAUUUUUAAGACACUUCUAAAUGCUAACCUACAUUUAAAAAAAUGUCAAGAUAAUUUUUUUUUCUAAAAUAACUUUUAAUUUAUUAUACUUUAUUAUUACAUUUUAUUUUUUGUUUGAUGCUUUAAAUAGUUUUUAUUAAAUAAAAUUAAAAUUAUAUUGGUGGAAGGCUAAUUAACUUUGUUUUUAAGUGAGAAAGACAGUGAUAAGGUUGAGGUGGGUCUAAAAAAAUGAAAUAAAAGAAUGAAAAAAAGAAAAAGAAAAGAAGAAGAAGAUAGAGAUAAGAUUGAGGUGAGUCUGUAAUUAAAAAAAAAAAAGAGAAAAAGAAAAAGAAAUGCAGAGUAGGAGACAAAGUGACAAAAGCUUUUGCUUUCUUCAAAAAGUUAAAAACAAAGGCUAAUGGCAUCAUGUCAUCAAACUCUAUACAAGACACUACUUGAAUAUUUUUAUGAUUUGUUAAUUAAACUAGUCUUAUACAAGGACUAAGUUAAAAAUAAUUUUAAAAAAAAUAUUAUUUAAGAAAUUAUUUUCUAAUCUACAUAAUUGCUACAUCUUUUUUACUUGAUUUUAGUUCAAUUUCAUUAAUAUGAAAUCAUUUAUUUGAGCCCAAAAAUCCAAAUCCAAAUCCAAAUCCAACUCAUUUAUUUAUAUACUUUAUUGGCAUGGAAUGAGAAAAGUUAUAAAGUGAAAGAAAAUUUGAUCAUAUGAUAGAGAUUUCUGAAGUUGGAGCCAAUUCAAUGCCUAGUGGGUAUUAAAAGAAAAGAAAAGAAAAGAAAGAUGUGGAAAUUAAAGUGGAACAACCAAAAUUUUGAGGUUUGAGGGGAUGUCACUGCACCUUCCAAGUAACUGUCUAAGAAUGUGAGGUGUCAUUGCAUUGAAAAUUAAAAUUAAAUCUCAUCAAGUAACUAUAAGAAUUGCUUUACUUAAAGACAAGUAAUAAAUAUAUCUUGCUUUUUCAUAAAAUUUAUGACCCUAAGUGAAUAAAAUUUUUAGAGUGGGAUGAAUUCAUUUCACGUGAGUCAUGUCCUAGAUAUAUUUUUAGAAUUUUCUAGCAAGAUAUCAAGGGAAACUUUAUGGUAAGUGUUUUCUUUCUAGUGAAGGUGAGUACAGUUCGAUGUCAUUCAUAAACAUAUUUCAAACCCAAUAUACUUUUUUAGGGAUUUGAAUUAAAUAGAUUUGUAUUUAUUUUAAAUUCAUGUGAAUAUAUAUAAUUCAUUUAAUAAAUAAAUUAUUUUUAAAUUAACUCAGAUAACCCACAUUUGACUCCAAUUAACUUAUUUAAUAAUGGUAUUGAUUAAUAUAAUAAUAACUUUAAUUUAUUGAACUCAUUUAACUCAUUUAAAAUUUGUUUUUCAAUAAGUAUGCCAUAAUUGGGUCAUCAUAUAAUAUUAGAACAUUAAGCAUAUUAUUUCAUUCAACAUUUAACUUGAUUUGAUUAUUAAACAAUAUCUUAUUAUUAAAUUGGUUAAACAGGAAAUGAUGUAUCAGCUAGUUAAUAAUUAUAUAGUGUUUGAGUUUAUGUUUAUGUUUUUAAUUUUGAUUAUUAUUCAUGUCAUGUUUGGGUUGAGUUGUUUCGUUGAUACAACACAAACAUAAUCUACCAACAUAUUAAUAAAAAAUUACGAGAUAUUAGGAGAGUAAUUUUGGUAAAAGUUAAUAUUUAAUGAUUUAAGAUGAUUUUAAAUUAAAUUAUAUUUAAAUGAUUAAGUCAUAUCAAAUCAUUAACUUAAUUUAUCAAAAUCAUUUUUUAUUUUAUAUUAUAGUAUUAAGUUAUUUUAUCGAUCAUACUUAAUAUACUUAAGAACUUAAAUUUAGUCUUAUCAACAUUCUCUAAGGUCUUCUCAAUUUUUAAUAUUUAUUUGAUACAUAUUUAAAAAUAAACAAGUCAAAAUAUAUUAUCUCAAAAUUUCUAAUUCAUACUCCUACAAGAUUUUAAAAUUCAUUAAUUAAUUUGAAAGAAAUUUGUUUUGGAACAUGCAAGUGAUGGACAUAUCACAUAUCUUAAAUUUCUAACUAAAAAACCUCGUAACAAAAUAAUUUGAUGAAUGUUUUUCAGUUUAAAAAACUCAGAACCAUUUCACAAUGAUUUUGGGAAGUUAGAAAUGUUUUCGAAUGCUUGAAAAUGUUUUAAUAACGAAAAUUAAACAUUUGAUAAAAAUUAAAGUUCACAUUCUAAGUAAUUGAUAGUGCUUCUUAUAAUUUUUUUUUCUUUUCAUUAUAUAUAUAUAUAUUAGACAUCUAAAAGGUUUCACCAAUUAAAUGGUGUCACAUAUACAUUUUUAUAUAACAUGAAUUGUAAAGGUUUCAUCAAUUAGGUGGUGUCACACAUAUAUUUUUAAGUCUCAUAGUUUAUAUCAUUGUACCUUGGCCACAUUUGUUUAUACAUUUGUUUAACGAUUUAGAUCUCACUACAUAUAUUUAAUGGUUUAGAUCUAGACUUCGAUAGGUACCACUACAAAACCUUAGUAUUAUAUAUACAUAUACAUCAUACUAACUACUUUUUUUUAUAUCAAAACACUUACAAUAGAAAUGCUACAAAUUAGUUUUGAUCAAAAUAAUUUCCAAACCAACCAUAAUAUUUGCAUUAGCUUUAACAUAUAAUAUCUUUUAUUUUAGUUGUUGAUAUAGCUACAUAUAAGACCAACCAUUCAUAUGAUAAUUAUUAUGGAUCUUAUUUUAAUUUGAUAAAAAUAUCUACCGAAGCAUUAUGCAAAUAGGGACGACAAUGGGGUGAAAUAUGGACGAGUCGUUCCUAUCCCAACUUACCUCAUUUAUUUAAAAUAAUUCUCAUUCCCGUCUCAUUGAAGAAAUUAAAUGGAAUGGGAUAGGUAUGAUGCCUACCCCUUUUAAUUUCUUUUUGAAAAUUUUUAAUUUUUUUAAAAAUUAUUUUUAAAUUUGUUUAAAUACAUUAAAAUAAAUAUAUUUUAUAAAUAAUUUUAAUUUUAAUUUUUUAUAACUUAUUUAUUAUUAUUAUUAUUAUUAUUAUCAUUAUUAAAAAUAGGAAAAAUAACAAUUUACGUCUAAUUGAAGCAGGACAAGGUAAUACCUAAACCUGCCCCAAACUCGUCUUGAGUUUUAAAAAAAAUUUCAAAGAUGCUUUUAACUCAUUUAUUUAAAUUUCAAAUCCAUCCUAUUAGGGAUGGGGUGAAACUUGUCUCAUUGUCAUCCAUGUAUGCAAGUCAUAAAUAUAUAAUAAGAAAAAUAAUAAUAAAAUUAGUAUCUAUUUAGAUAAACUUGUUGUUUUUUGUUUUUAAAAUAAGAAAAUAAUAAUAACUUUUAUAUAAGAUAUAAGGAUAUUUAGAUACUUAUAUUAAAAAUAAUAAUAAUAGUUUUAAAAAUCAUUUAAAAUUUUAAGGUAUUAAAAAAAUUUUACUAAACCAAAUUUAAUUUUUUUUUAAAGAUAUGACAUAAAUUUAUAUAUAUAUAUAUAUUUUGUAUAACAUGUUCUACUUUCAUAUAGAAAUUUCUAAUUUUAAAAACAAAAAAUAACAAAUGUAUUAAAUGAACACUUAGCUUCUUAUUUUUUUAGUGGUUCACCUUGCCCCUUAGAUAAGAAGAUUAUGAAAAUUUUCAAUAAUUAUGAAAAAGAUAAAAGUACUAAAGGUGGAAAGACUUUGGACAAAAUUAUGUGUGAGAUGGUGUGCAUCAACUUUAAUUUGGACAAUUAUGUUAAUGGGAAGAUGUUAUCCUCGUCUCAAUCACUAACUUUAAAUUGUAGUACUUAUUGUAUUUUGGAUAAUUAUGUUAAUGGAUCAUGUCAUCCUCGUCUCAACUCAUCUUGAUUAUUUAAGUUAUAAGUUAUAGUCACCAUGUCUUAUUUAAACUUUUAUACUAUUUUUUAUUAUUUUUAAAGAUAAAUCUUAUUAAUUCAUAUGUGAUAAAAUACAUAAAAUAAAUAAAUAUUUUAUUUAUCAUAAAUAUAUAAAAUUGUAUGGGAAUACAUGUAGGUGAAAUUAUUUUCUCAAAAUUUCAAGGAAAAUAUGAAGAAAUAAAAUAAAAUAAAAAAAUAUAAUUUUAAAAUAGUUGUAAAGAAAAAAUUUGUUAAAAAAAUAAUUUUAAGUUGACAAUAGAAAAUUGUAAAAAAAUUUCCCUACUCCGAAACGAACUUUGGAACUCUACGUACAUUCUUAAGGAAAUCUGGUACAUCGUUAAAAAAUUUUGGUAUAUCCAAUCACUUUCCAAAGAUCCUUAUAGGAAUAAACAGAUUAUGGGUAAUAAAAUAGGGGUCUUGAUAGCUUAAGGAUUAAAUGUACUAAUUUUUUUUAAGGAUGUAUCAAAUUUUUUCAAAGAUAUACAUAGGGUUCCAAAGUCCGUUUUGGAAUAGGGAAUGACCUUCAAUCACUUUCCAAAUAUCCCUAAAGAAAUAAACAGAGUAUAGGUAAUAAGAUAGGGAUCCUAAUAGCUUAAAAAUUGGAUGUACCAAAUUUUUUUAAGGAUGUACCCAAUUUUGUAAAUGAUGUACUAAGGUUAUCAAAGUUGGUUUCGAGAUGGAGAACGACCUCUAAUCACUUCCCGAAAGUUUUCAAAGAAAGAAAUGGACCAUGGGAAGUGAGAUAGGUGUCAUGUUAGUUCAAAGAUUGGAUGCAUCAAAUUUUCUCAAUGAUGUACCUAGGGUUUCAAAGUCUAUUUCGAAGUAGGAAACAACCUCCAAUCACUUUCCAAAGAUUCUUAAAGGAAUAAACAGGUCAUGGAUAAUAAGAUAAGAGUCUUAGUAGUUCACGAAUUGGAUGUAUCAAAAUUUUUUAAGUAUGUACCAAAUUUUAUGAAAGAUGAAUCAAAUUUUAUAAAUGAUGUAUCAAAUUUUGUAAAUAAUGUACUAAGGGAGCCUAAUUCCGUUCCGAAAUGGGGAACGACCUCCAAUCACUUCCUAAGGUUGUCCAAAGGAAUAAAUAGACCAUAGGAAGGAAGAUAGAAGUCUCAUUAGUUUAAGAAUUAGAUGUAUCAAAUUUUCUUAACGAUGUACCUAUGGUUCCAAAGUUCAUUUUAGAGUAGGAAACGACCUCUAAUUUCUUCCUAAAUAUCCAUAAAGAAAUAAACGAACCAUGGGUAAUAAUAUAGAAGUCUCGGUAGCUCAUAGAUUAGAUGUACCAAAUUGUUUUAAGGAUGUGCCAAAUUUUUUGAAAUAUGUACCAAAUUAUCUUAGGAUAUACCUUGGGUUCCAGUGUCUGUUUCAUGGUGGGAAACAACAUCUAAUUCUUUCUUAAGGGUCCUCAAAGGAAUAUAUGAACCAUGAGAGUGGAGAUAGGGGUUUUAGUUUUUCUAAGAAUGAAUAUACUUAGGAUUUCAAAGUUUGUUUUGGGGUGGGCAAGACCCUCUAAUUACUUAUCAAGGGUCUCAAAUGAAUAUAUACACCAUGAUAAGUAUGAUAGUGGUUCCGAUUCCCUUAGGCAAGAAUUUACCUAUUUUUUUUAAGGAUGUACCUAUUUUUUUAUGAAAUGAAUAUAAAAGAUUAAAUAUAAUUUUUUUAAUGAAAAAUAUAUUUUGUUUUAAUUAAAAAUUAAAGAUUUUAACCAAACAAAAAGUUAGAUUCGCAAUCAAUUUGAAAGCACUAUUGGAAUGCAUGAAUAUGUAAUAUUUUUUUCUCCAUUUUACACUAAAAUUAAAAAGCAAAAAACAAAAUUCUAAAAGCUCAUAUCACUUUUGAGGGUAAUUGUGAAACGAUUUGAAAACACUAUUGGAAUACAUGAAUAAAUAAUAUUUUUUCUCAUUUUAGACUAAAAUUUAAAAAAAAAAAUUCUAAAAUCUCAUUUUUUUAAUUGAUAUAUGAUUACACAAUUUCCUUGUAAAGAUAUUUAUCAAAUCAUAAUUAGUAAUUAUGUUUAAAAAAAAUGAUAAAAUCAUAAUUAUAGACUGUGGCUUUCAAGAUAUUUUUACAAUCACGUUUAUUAAUUAUGAUUUUAUGAUUAUUAUGAUAAAAAAUGUUUUAAAAAUAAGGGAAACUUGUGUUUUAGGGCACUUAUAUAUAAAAUAUAUGGCAUUCAGACCCUAAGUUUAUGAAAUAUGGAAAGUAAUCAUUAAUGGACAAAAUAAUAUUAGAAUUAUGCACUCUGUGCUGAGUCAAUUUUAUCUGCCCAAAUUGCCCCUGAUGUCUUUUGCAUCAGCAACCAAAUAGCUUCCACAUCAUACUUAAAUAAAAAAAAAUUGUGAAACUUGACAAUUGCUGAAAAAACUACCCGACCCGACUUUAGUUGUCCCAUUCUCUCUUUCUCAUUUUAGCAAAAAAAAACCCUAACUUUCUUCUCAUAAACUUCUGUAGCCCUAAAUCCAUAUUUUAGUUUGUUAGCAACCAAAUCUGAGAUUUUUCCUAAGCCGAAAUCUAAAAAACUUGCCAUUUCAGAAGGUCAUUUGAAAUCUGAAUCAGCCAAAACCUUCAGUCCAACAAAUCGAACCGUUACCCAUCUUCCCAGUUUCUCAGAUUUCUCUGUUUGUCUCUUAACAUCUCAAUUAGUCGAACCUAUCUAUCUCUUAACGUCCUGAGUAGCCGAAGUUGAUGCCCAUCUUCCCAAUACCUUGAAGUAAACUGAACGGGAGACAUAUCUUGUUUUUGUAUCAUCAAAGUUGGAAUUUUGUUAAGGUUUCUCGAAACGGAAUUGGAGUUUUCCCAUUUGCGCGUGUUUUCCGAUUAAUCAAUCACAGGUGAGUUUUCAUUUACGGGUUUGUUUGGAUGGUGCGAACAUCUUAGGGUUUCAGGUGUUUUAUUUUGGGGUUUCUUGUAUUUAGCUUCAUUUUCGGUAGAAUGAAAUAUAGUAUAAAUUUUUUUAGGUUAAAGAUAUGUUCGUAUUUAGAGAAAAAAAUUAUUAUUAUUAUUAUUAUAUAUAAAUAUAUAUAUAUAUAUAUAUAUUUAUUAUUAUCACAUAUGCUUUCCAGGAAUUCUAUUGUCAUAAGAUUUUUGGGGAAAUUGGUUCAUCUGUAUUACUUGGAAAUUUUCUUUCAAUUUUAAUGGUAUAUAUGAGAGUUACUACUAGCAGCUAAACAGAUUAUUUGCUUGGUCAUUUGUCAUUGUUAUUGCUUUACUAAUUUUGAAUAUCGAUUUCAUUGUGUGUAUGCUUUUAUUAUUUUGUCAUUUGUCUUUGCAUGAUAGAAUUGAAUGUAUGUUGUUGUUGUUAUUGUUUUAUGAAUUUGAUUUGAGACAUGAUAAAAUGAUAGCAAUAAGCAUCUAAAAGAUGAAUGUUCACUACAAAUUUGGGAUGAAAAAGAAGUGACGGCUUUGUGAAGUGUUGGUCAUGCCUUAAUUUAUUUGCAUAUUUGAUUUAUUUUUGAAUUCUUCUUAUUUAUAUUUUAAAUGUUUAAUAUGUUGUUGAGGUAAGAAUUGGUAUGCAUUUUUUCUCAGUUAUGUUUUCGAGACCAUAUUACAUUCCUAAGUCUUUAAAUUUGAGAUGAGUAUAGUUUUGUAUUUGUCUUUUUAUGAGUGGAAAAUCGUAUUGUAUGUGAAGAAUUGUGGUGAUAGUGUUGUGAAAAGUUCGUGUAACACAAAAUUAAGUGUUGAAAUUUGAAGGAGAGAAUGAAUAAAGUAGACAACACCCCAUAUGGUAGAAAUGCAUGAAGAACAUGAUACCCAACUAUAGUCAAUGCAUUAAUGCUCUUUUGAUAGCUGUUUUGGAAUUUGUGGUACUGCAACAUAUAUUCGAAAAAAUGAUAAAUGAAAUGGGUUGACUGUUUUGUAAGUCAAUUUUUUUUUUUUGGUGAAAAGAGAGAAAGACAUGUAGUUUUUUGUUUGUAAGUAGUGAAGUUAGUUGUGUUAUCCCUUUAAUUUCCUCUUCUGAUCCUUUUGAUGAAUUUGGGUCAUGUCAAACUAUCUAUUUAUGACUCUAAGUUAAUAUUGGUCAGUUUUGUUUUCGGACAAGAAUGGACAAUACUUUGCAUAUUUACAAAUUGGGCAAAAUUGAAGGUACUGAUUGACAACACUAUUUAAUUGCAAAACUGUUGUGUCAUGUCUGUUAUUAUUUGGCUGGUAAAUGAGUCAUAUUAUUACCCUAUUGGUCCUUUAUUGGAGGACUUACCAAUUGCACAACUCUCCACUUAGUUUUUUGUAGUAUGAGUUCCCUCUAAAUGAGUUGUGCCUUUAUUUUCAUUGAAAAUGAAACAGUUAAAUUAUCUAUUGAAUGAGUUAGACUUUGACACUAUUUCUAAGCAUUUUUUGCAUGUAAGAUAGUAUAGGUUAGGACCCUUGUAGUUAAAAUUUUGAGUUUUUUGGUUGUUAGUUAAUUUUUUUUUAGCUCAUUUAUGAACUUAUAUUUUCUUUUAUUAGGAAUUGAACGGUGAAAAAUGAAUUGAAAAAGAUUAGGUUACAAUGGAUUCCACUUUAGAAGAUGAACAAAUUUGUAUUCCACAUUGACUUGCAUUUCAAGCGUGAUUUUAUAACCUUGGCAAUGUAGUGUUUGAUUCAAAAAUAAAAGUUUCAAAUACCUUCAAUUUUGGACACAAUAAACUGAAUUUUUCAUGAAAUUGUACUUUUGUUUCAUAUGAGAACUGUGGAUUUUAAGACAAUGCUCAUAACUGCCCUUGCUUUGUGACCUAUAGUUUAGUCUGCUUUUACUUGGUAUCCACUUCAAAUUUAUUUUAGCUUUUACUCGGUGGUCCUUUUAUACUUUUUGAUUGCUCAAGUAAAACUAAUCAUAGGCAAUUCAACUUUUGGUUUGUUGAUUAUGGGUUGGUUUAUGUUACCUUUUCCAGGUAGAGAACGAAGAAAAUUUUGGAGAUGGGACAAAAAAUGCUAGAGAUGGAGAAUUGAAUUCAGAAACUAGAGAAACAGAACCUGAAAGUGCUGAAAAAAUGAGGUAAAGCAGGUAGUAUUUGAGAAGAGGACAUAUGAAAAUAAAUUAGACUCAAAUGAUGACGAGAAAAAUAUUAGAACAAAUUCGAUUAAUAUAGAAUUGGAAAGUAUGAAUUUUGGCAUGUGAGCAUGUAUAUGCCAUAUGUAGUAAAUGAAUAUGUUUCAUUUUCAUUUCCUCUAUGUUUGAUGAAUAGUAUGUGGGGCGUUGCCUAUGCCAUUUGUUUGAAGAUAUUAGGACAUGUUUGAUGAAUUACUGUCCAUAGAUGCUAACAGUGUGUCAGAGAAGUAACUUUUUUUUCAUAAGAUUUACUGAAAUUUAAUUUAUGCUCACUUGAGUAGGAUAUCGUUGCUUCUUGCCCAAGUACUUUGAUUUAUAUUGGAAUGAGAUGACUAUGUUAUACAGAACAUAGAAACAAAAGUUAAAUUGAAAGGAUGACAAUUUUUUUUUUGCUUGUGUUCAGCCUAACAUAAUUACAUGUAGCUCUUAGGAGAACAAGAAGGAUAAUUAGAGUAAUGUUUCCAUGGUAGCAGUUUAAAAUGCUUUUGGAAAUUUUCCAACUAAUCUGAAGCUUACCAAAGGGCACAAACCUAAUACAAGCUUUGUGAAGCAAUAGUAGAAAGGGCACACGCUUGUGCUUCCGUGCAUUGUAUUAUCUUAACUUCUUUGAAAAUUUAUAUAUGCGUGUUUCAUUCGGAUAGUUAUGAACCAUUAUGAAUGUUAUAGGGAUAACAAAUUAUGUGUAAUGCAAUUAUGAUGUACAUCCAAGUAAUAGUAGGGUAGGACAAGUAGUUGUUAAUGGUGAUAAAUAUCUUUAUAUAGUUGUUCAAUUGGAGCAUUGGAAAUAUUCCUGUGCAUGUAUAUUUACCUAUGUAAAUUAUACAUAAAACACAAACAUGUUCUUGAGGAUGGACGAUGUUCAUAGAGAACAGGAGUAACAAAACUAAGAUAAAUUGCUUUUUUUUUUUUCACAUCUAACAUGUUUGAGUUAUAAAAAGCUUCCAUUACUUCCUAUCUUCUUAUUAUUAUUUAUCGACUAAUUGACGACUUACUUACCAAAGCAUUUUAUUUAGAUGAUAAUUAACUGGGUUGAAAACCAAAAAUGAAUUAAAUAUAGACGAACAAUUGAAAAAUGAAACUGAAAUGUGGAACUGAAUGUGCGAACGUAGCAUCAGUUUGGUAAAUCAGUAGAACAAUGCUUACCGCUUAGUAUUAAAAUUAGACUUGAGCCCGUUUGGCUGUGAUUCUAAUGGAAGGGUUUUUAUUGACAGUGUUGAGGUGAAUAACACUUUUAUGAGAAUCAGGAAAAUGAUUCUAAUGGUGUUUUAUAAAAUAUGUUGUAUAAAUAUAAAAACACUUUUAAUAUUAAUAAAUUACAACAAAUGACAUACAAUUGUAAUUAUGAAAAUGAAAAUAGUAUGAUAGACAAAAAACUUUUUAUUAUAACACUAUAAUAUCAAAAACUGGUUUAGAGUAUCCAGUGAUAGAGCUUUAACAUUGGGUCAAUCAGGCAGAAAUGCAAGCAUAUCAGGAGCAGAAAAUGAUAGAGCGACAAUAAAAAUUGAAAGCUAUUGUCAAGGUUCAUGGAGAAGAUGUCUUUUCAUUUUGGCUUGUAAUGACGAUUUAGAGAUCACUUGGCUGGUGCAUACCUAAUAAAAAAACAAUUACCAUUGGUUAAGGAAAGUUGCAAAUACAACAAGGGGACAAAAAAUGAAGAAAGUAAACCCAACAAAUGUGGAGUUCAAACCAAAAUUUGCAUAUAUGGAACAAAUGUUCAAAGUGUUGUAUACCACAUCAUCAUAUUAUUGUAUAAAAUUAUGCCAUCAUUAUAGUACCAAAUAAUUGUAUACAUAUCUUUAUAGUAAUAGAGAGAUGUGGAUGAAAAUCGGUAUACAGGGACUACCGAUCAUAAAAAUUGGUUAGUCUAAAAUGCUUAGCCAUAUACAGUGCAUUGAAGGCAGGUACUUCAUGAAAGGAAAAUGUGAAAUGAGUAUGACAGGUGACAUAGAUCAAGAGUUCAUUUUGCUGUUCUCAUGUUCUAUAGGUUAUAUAAAAAAAUUGUUGCCUUAAUUUCUCAUAACAUGGAAAACAAAAAGUAAUGUGCACAAUAAUGGAAAUCCUUAUCAUUGACACAUGUAUGACAACAAUUGAAUAUUGAAAAAUGAACAAAAUCAUAAUGAAAUGCCAUAGUAUAUAGGGUGCAUUAAGGUAGUACAUAAGGGACAUUACAGUAGUACCUAGGGUACGUUAAUAUAGUACCUAUGGUCCAUUAAGGUAGUACCUUCACACUAGUAUGAUUAGAUACGGUACAAACUGACUAACCAAUUAAGAUAGAGUAAUGCCAAAAUCGAAUCUGUAAUGGAAUGAAAUAAAUGUGUCAAAAUUAGUUCAAAAGUGCAAAAUUUCUCCAACAUGCAUUAAGGACAAUAACCAAUUGGACCUUACUACAUAAGGAGUAGUGAGAUAGCACCUACGAUGCAUUAAGGUUGAACCUAAAGUGCAUAAUGAUAGUAAGUGAAGUGCAUUAGGGUAGUACCUAAGGAGAACAUUCUAAAAAAUAAAUUAUUUUUAAAUAAUGCCAUAGACAAUUCAGGACACUGUGUACUAAGGGAAGAUGUUGGACAUAUAUCCAUUCAACGUCAAAUUAGGAUGGAAUUGAAUGUCAAACGUAGGUCCUAUGGUUGAGGAAAGUGCUACCUACGAUUGAUGAACAACCCAAGGUUCACGAACUCACUACCUAAGCUCCAUUAAGUUAAUAACUAAGGUUCACAAUGGUAGUCCUUAAGUUGCAGUAAGAUAGUACUCCUAAGGCUCAUUAGGGUAGUCCUUAAGCUGUAGUAAGAAAGUACUCCUAAGGUUCACUAAGGUAGUACCUUAGACACAUUAAAGUAGUACCUUAGGCACAUUAAGGUAGUACCUUAGCCAUAUUAAGGUAGUUAAUCAAGUGCAAUAAGGUAUGACCUAAGGUCAACGGGAUGCCUUACCUAUUACAACAUAAUAAUGUCAUGCUCAAUUAAAGAAAUUGUCAUUUUCAACCAAAUGACUUGGUUAUGUAUCAAAAUAUGAUGAAAUUGAAUGACAAAGAUACAUUCUAUGAUUAACCAUGGUAGUACCUAGGAUUCACAAAGUAACCACAAAGUGUUUAUGAAGCUAGUAGCCAAGUUGUGCUCGGGUGCAUCAUUAAAAUUCCUAAAUAUGGAGACAAUGUGGUAUAGUCAGGUAGUACCUAAGGGACAUUAAGGUAGUACCUAAGGGCCAUUAAGGUAGUACCUAAAGCACAUUAAGGCAAUACAGUAGGUACGUUAAGGUAGUACCUAAGGGACAUUAAAGUUGUACCUAGGGUACGUUAAGGUAGUACCUAAUGUACAUUCAGGUAGUACCUUCACACUAUUAUGAUUACAUAAGGUACCGAUUGACUAACCACUUAUAACAUAAUAAAGCAAUGAUCCAAUCUAGCAUGCAAUUUUUUAUAAAAUGUGUCUUUAGUAAAAAAGUGGAACAUUUAUCCAAUGUACAUUAAGGGGAGCAACCAAAUAGACCUUACUACCUAAUGAGUAGUAAGAUUGUAACUACGAUACAUUAUGUUACAUAGGUAAAGUACAUGACGAUAGUACCUAAAGUGGAUUAGGGUAGUACCUAAGGAGAACAUUCUAAAAAUCAUUUUAGAACAUAAUAAUCCCAUCUACAAUUCAGGAAAUUGUGUACUGAGUUCAGAAGUUCAACAUAUAACAAAUAAUUAUCAAAUUACGAUGGAAUUCAAUGCCAAAAAGACGUUCUAUGCUCGAGGAAGCUCCUACGUAGGAUUGAUAAAGUAAGUACCCAACAAUCAUAAACCAACUACCCAAGCUCCAUUAAGGUAAUAGCUAAGGUUCACAUAAAGAGUCCUCAUGCUGCAAUAGGAUAGUACUGUAGGUACAUUUACGUACUAUCUUAGGUACAUUAAGGUAGCCACAUGGGCAAUCUGCCCUUUGCCUUAGGUCAAAUGUUCACCUAUGCCAUUACAACAUAACAAUGGCAUGCUCAAUUAAGGAAACUGUGUAUUAUCUACUCAUUUCUUGAUUCAUCUUAAAACUUGGAUGGAAUUGAAUGCAAAAGAUACAUCCUAUGAUUGAACAUGGGUAAUACAUAGUAUUGACAAAGUAAACUACAGUUAGUUCAAAAAUUAAGUACCCAACGUGUGCUAGGGUAGGGCUAUAAAUUUCACAAUGGUCAUAUGUAUAGGACAUUAAGGUAGUACCUAGCGUACAUUAAGGUAGUAUCUAAAGUUUAUGACGAUAGUACCUAAGGGUUACUAAGGUAGUACCUAAGGUUCAGUCAAACAGUGCUUACAUCUAAGGUGAACAAACUCACAAAAAUUGCAAAACAUGAUGCCCACACACGUUGCAAAGGUUCAUAAAGGUUACAAGCCAAGGUGUGCUAACGUAUAAGACCAUAAAUAGCCUCAUGACUUCAUGUAGAGCAUGUAAGAUGUGUUUGACAUAUGGGAAUUGGAUUGGAAAUGGAACUGAAUCAUAAUAUUAUAUGGAAGAGAUGAAUCAAAAUUCUAGUAGGGGUAAGAGUAGGUUCCCGUCAAAAUGAAUACAUCAUUCAUAUUCUCAUAUUAUAAAACAAUCUAAACAAAUUAAUGCAUGGAAAAUGUCAUUACUUCCCAUUUCUCAUUCUCCAUUCUACCUUUACAAACAUUACCUUAUAGUGUUACUCAAGCAUUAUCGAAUUCAUAUUUCACGACAUUCAUACCACAACAAAAACAAAAGAGUAUCAUAUUUUUUUCAUUCUAUCUAACAAUAACCAUUGUAACACAUCAUGGAAGUUACCUUUGGUGCAACAUUCACAUUUCCAAAUACACCAAUGUCCAAAUACUCAACAAGACAGGGGAUUAAACCUGCAAGCAUGCGGUCUAAAAUCCACCUGCACAUAAAGCUAUCGCCUCACCACUGAACACAUAUUUCAGAGUCCAACAACCACUCUACAAUCGUCGAUAUGCUCCAUUAAAAACAAACAAACAAAACAACACUAAAUAAAAAUUAAUUACCGUAAGAUUUUUUAGUGGGGGUUAGGCCAAAAUACAACCCAAUCAGAUGAAGAGGAGAUUUCUUCUUCACGAAGCCAAUAUUUCACACUUUCCGUAUUCAUUCAGGUUCACUCAGUUGAACCAGAAUUUGAAUCACAUUGUUGCCUCUUCAAACCCUCUUUUUAACUAGACGUUGUUACCAUGAAGUGCUUUAUUUGCUUCUUCAGAAACUGCACAACAAAAAAAAUGUAGAUUGAGGUUUUCAAUUCACGGUUUCUUCUUUGAAAUGUGUGAAAUUUUGCAAAUUUGAACACGGUCUCCGCUCCGGCUGGUUGCGGACAUGAAGACGAAUGAGAGAAAUGUUCCCAAACUUUAAGAGGAUGAAGAAAAGAGAAAUUCCAAUCUGGGUAUCAGUUCGACUUGUUGGACAUGAAGGUUUUGACUGAUUCAGAUUUCAAAUGACCUUUUGAAAUGACAAGUUUUUGAGAUUUCGGCUUAAGAAAAAUAUCAUAUUUGGUUGUUGACAAACUAAAAUGAAAAUUUAGGGCUAUGGAAGUUUCUGGGAAGAAAGUUAAGUUUCUUUUUGCUAAAUGAGAGAAAGAGAAUGGGACAACCAAAGACGGGUCGGGUGGUUGUUUCAGCAAUUGUCAAGUUUCACAAUUUUUUAUUUAUUUAAGUAUGAUGUGGAGGCUAUUUGGUUGCUGAUGUAGAAGAUAUCAAGGGUAAUUUAAGCAGAUAAAAUUAACUCAGCACAGAGUACACAAUUCUAAUAUUAUUUUGUUUUCAUAAAUUUGGGUUUGAAUACCAUAUAUUUUAUAAAUAAGACCCUAAAACACAGGUUCUCUAAAAAUAAUAUUAAAAUUAUAAUACCAUUAAAAACAAAAAUGAGCGGUGACCAAGAGAGAGAAAAUUAUGGUUGUGGGAUGGCAUGCAACACUUUAAAGUGUAGUAGUGUAGCAAUUAUUCAAUUUUGACAGUGAGAGAGAGAGAGAGAGAGAGAGAGAGAGAGAGAGAGAUAUUGCUUUGAGAUGACAUGCAACAACUUUAAAGUGUGGCAAUUAUUGAAAUUUGACCAAGAGAAAGAGAGAGUUAUUGUCGUGGUAUGGCAUGCAACACUUUAAAAUGUGUAGCAGUUAACAGUGUAGCAAUUAUUCAAUUUUGACAGUGAGGGAGAGAGAGAGAGAAUUGUUGCUGUGAGCUGGCAUGCAACAACUUUAAAGUUAGCAGUUAUUGAAUUUUGACCAACCAUAUCCUCAUCCAAAGUUCCCAACCCAUCUUGGUUACUUCAACAAAUUUUUAUUCCGUUUCAAACCUGUAGUAGAGUAGAACGGGGUCGGAAUUUUUUUAGAAGUUACAGUCAUCCUAUCUUAUUUAAUAUUUUCUGUUAUUUUUCUUAUUUUUAAUUUUAUUUUUAUUAAAAUAAAUAUAAUUUAUGAGUAAAUAAAUUAUUUUUCAUAAAUUUUACAUCCUAUCUUUAUAAAAAGUAAAUUUGCAGUUUCAAUUUAAAUACGUUUAAAGAGGAGAAAUGAAAAAAGAAAUUAAAUUAUUUUUACUUAAUUUUAUUUAUAAAUAAGAUGAAUUGAGAUAAUACUUAAAGUUUGUUUGAUAAUUAUUUUAAAAAAUGUUUUUAGUUUGAAAAAUAUUUUUAAAAAGAAUAAAUUAAGGGUAUGUUUGGUAAUUACUUUCGAAAAUAGUUUUUGAGAAUAGUUAUUUUCUAAAUAUUUUGUAGAAUAAAAGUAUAUUUGAAAACCUAAAAUAUUUUUGAUCAAUUUAUUAUAUUUUUAAAUAUAUUUUAAAAAUAAUUUUUAUAUCUAAUAUUUUAUUUUUAACCAUUCUACAUGUUUAUAUAAUUAUUUUUAAAAACAAUUUUUAGAAAAUAAAUUAAAAAAAUAAAAAAUAACUAAAAGAUGUCAUUUAAAAUUACGUUUUUUUUUAAUAAUAGAAAACGAAAACAAUUUUUUAUUAUCAAAUGUGUUUUCUUGAUUUUUUGUUCUGAAGAACAAAAAACUAUUCUAAAAAAUAGUUGCUAAACAAGCAUUAGGUGUUAGACAAAAUUUUAAAAAAACUUCUAAAAAUCUAAAAAAUCAUUUAUACUAUUUUUUUUUUAGAAAAUCACAUAUAAUGUUUUUUAAAAAAUUACUUAAUAGGUAAUUUUCUUAAAAACACUUCAAGUAAAUAUACUGUCAAACACAUUAUUAAUAUUAUUUAAUCCAACCUUGGAGUUAAAAAAUGAUUUAUCAAAUCCAACCUCAAUCGGUUUAAACUCUCCUUAACCCAUUCCCAUUUGUAAUAUCUGGUUUUGGAAAAACAAAAAUAAAAAUAAAAACAUAAUAUAAAGAGUAGGAGGAAUGUCAAAUAUAAAAAGAGGGUUAAAAAUGUUUUUUAAUGGUUGGAAGUGUUUUUCAAAUAAUGAUACAUUUUGAAAAUUUUUAGAAAUUAAGAGAAUCACUUUGAACUUACAUUCGAUGCACACUUUAUCUAAAACCAUUUUUUAAAUUAUAUAUCUUAUGAUCAAAAACAUUUUUAAGACACUUCUUUUGAUUUGUAUCUAAAUGCUAACCUACAUUUAAAAAAAAUGUCAAGAUAAUUUUUUUUUAAAUCUUUUAAUUUAUUGUAAUUUAUUAUUACAUUUUAUUUUUUGUUUGAUGCUUUAAAUAAUUUUUAUUAAAUAAAAUUAUAAUUAUAUUGGUGGAGGGCUAAUUAACUUUGCUUUUAAGUGAGAAAGAUAGAGACAAGGUUGAGGUGGGUCAAAAAAAUGAAAUAAAAGAACGAAAAAGAAAAAAGGAAAAAAAGAAGAAGAUAGAGAUAAGAUUGAGGUGGGUUCGUAAUAAAUAAAAAAUAAAUAAAAAAAUAAAAAGAAAGGAAGAGUAGGUGACAAAGUGACAAAAGCUUUUGCUUUCUUCCAAAAAGUAAAAACAAAGGCUAAUGGCAUCACGUGAUCAAACUCUAUACAAGACCCUACUUGAAUAUUUUUAUGAUAGAGAUUUUCCAAAGUUGGACCCAAUUCAAUGCCUAGUGGGUAUAACAAAAAAAAAAAAAAAAAAAAAAAAGAAGAAAAAAAAGAAGGAAAGAUGUGGAAAUUAAAGUGGAACAACCAAUUUUUUGAGGUUUGAGGGAUGUCACUGCACCUUCCAAAUAACUGUCUAAGAAUGUGAGAUGUCAUUGCAUUGAAAAUUGAUAUUAAAUCUCAUCAAGUAACUAUAAGAAUCGGUUUACUUAAAAGACAAGUAAUAAAUAUAUCUUGCUUUUUCAUAAAGUUUAUGACCCUAAGUGAAUAAAAUUUUUAGAGUGGGAUGAAUGCAUUUCACGUGAGUCAUAUCCUAGAUAUAUUUUUAGAAUUUUCUAGCAAGAUACCAAGGGAAACUUUAUGGUGAGUGUUUUCUUUCUAGUUAAGGUGGGUACAGUUCGAUGUCAUUCGUAAAUAUAAUUAAAACCCAAUAUAUUUUUUAGGGAUUUGAAUUAAAUAGAUUUGUAUUUAAUUUAAAUUUAUGUGAAUAUAUAUAAUUCAUUUGAUAAAUAAAUUAUUUUUAAAUUAACUCAAAUAACCCACAUUUGACUUGAAUUAACUUAUUUAAUAAUGGUAUUGAUUAACCUAAUAAUAACUUUAAUUUAUUGAACUCAUAUUUAACUCAUUUAAGAUUUGUUUUUCAAUAAGUAUGCCAUAAUUGGGUCAUCAUAUAAUAUUAGAACAUUAAGCAUAUUAUUUCAUUCAACAUUUAACUUGAUUUGAUUAUUAAAUAAUAUCAUAUUAUUAAAUUGGUUAAACAAGUUAUGAUGUACCACCUUGUUAAUAAUUAUAUAGUGUUUGAGUUUAUGUUUUUAAUUUUGAUUAUUAUUCAUGUCAUGUUUGGGUUGAGUUGUUUCAUGGAGUAUCUAACCUUUGAUACAACACAAACACAAUCCACCAACAUAUUAAUAAAAAAUUACAAGAUAUUGGGAGAGUAAUUUUGGUAAAAGUUAAUAUUUAAUAAUUUAAUAAUUUAAGAUGAUUUUAAAUUAAAUUAUAUUUAAAUGGUUAAGUCAUAUCAAAUCAUUAACUUAAUUUAUCAAAAUCAUUUUUUAUUUUAUAUUAUAGUAUUAAGUUAUUUUAUCGAUCAUACUUAAUAUACUUAAGAACUUAAAUUUAGUCUUAUCAACAUUCUCUAGGGUCUUCUCCAUUUUUAAUAUUUAUUUGAUACGUAUUUAAAAAUAAACAAGUCAAAAUGUAUUAUCUCAAAAUUUCUAAUUCAAACUCCUAUAAGAUUUUAAAAUUCAAUAAUUAAUUUGAAAGAAAUUUGUUUUGGAACAUGCAAGUGAAGGACAUAUCACAUAUCUUAAAUUUCUAACUAAAAAACCUCAUAACAAAAUAAUUUGAUGAAUGUUUUUGAGUUUAAAAAACCUAGAACCAUUUCACAAUGAUUUUGGGAAGUUAGAAAUGUUUCCAAAUGCUUGAAAAUGUUUUUAUAAUGAAAAUUAAACAUUUGAUAAAAAUUGAAGUUCACAUCUAAGUAAUUGAUAGUGCUUCUUAUAUAUUUUUUUUCAUUAUAUAUAUUAGGCAUCGAAAAGGUUUCACCAAUUAAAUGGUGUCACAUAUACAUUUUUAUAUUACAUGAAUUGAAAAAGUUUCAUCAAUUAAAUGUCACACAUAUAUUUUUAAGUCUCAUAGUUUAUGUCAUUGUACCUUGGCCACAUUUGUUACCUUUGUUUAACGAUCUAGAUCACACUACAUAUAUUUAAUGGUUCAGAUCUAGACUUCAAUAUGUACCACUACAAAACCUUAGUAUUAUAUAUACAUAUACAUCAUACUAGCUACUUUUUUUUUUUAUCAAAACACUUACAAUAAAAAUGCUACAAAUUAGAAGUGUUUUUAUCAAAAUAAUUUCCAAACCAACCAUAAUAUUUGCAUUAUCUUUAACAUAUAAUAUCUAUUACUUUAGUUGUUGAUAGAGCUACAUAUAAGACCAACCAUUCAUAUGAUAAUUAUUAUGAAUCUUAUUUUAAUUUGAUAAAAAUAUCUAUCCAAGCAUUACACAAAUAGGGAUGACAAUGGGGUGAAAUAUGCACAAGUCAUUCAUAUCCCAACCUCACCCCAUUUAUUCAAAAUAAUUCUCAUUCUCGUCUCAUUGAAGAAAUUAAAGGGAAUGGGGUAGGUAUGAGAAUUUCAUGUACCCACCCGGCCUACCUCUUUGAAAAAUUUUAAUUUUUUUAAAAAUUAUUUUUAAAUUUGUUUAAAUACAUUAAAAUAAAUAUAUUUUAUAAAUAAUUUAAAAUUAAAAUUUUUUAUAAUUUAUUUAUUAUUAUUAUUAUCAUUAUUAAAAAUAGGAAAAUAACAAUUUAUAUCUAAUUGAGGCAGAACAAGGUAAUACCUAAACCUACCCUAAACCCGUUUCGAGUUUUAAAAAAAUUCUCAAAGAUGCUUUUAACUUGUUCAUUUAAAUUUCAAAUCCAUCCCAUUAGGGAUGUGGUGAAAACCUGUCUCAUUGUCAUCCCUAUAUCCAAGUCAUAAAUAUAUAAUAAGAAAAAUAAUAAUAAAAUUAGUAUCUAUUUAGAUAAACUUGUUGUUUUUUGUUUUUAAAAUCAAAAAAUAAUAAUAACUUUUAUAUAAGAUAUAAGGAUACUUAUAUACUUAUAUUAAAAAUAAUAAUAAUAGUUUUAAAAAUCAUUUAAAAAUUUAAGGUAUUAAAAAAAUUUUACUAAACCAAAUUUUAAAAAAUUUUAAAGUGAUUUUUAAAGAUAUGAUAUAAAUUUAUAUUUUUUUGUAUAACAUGUUCUACUUUCAUAUAGAAAUUUCUAAUUUUAAAAACAAAAAAUAACAGAUGUAUUAAAUGGACAUUUUAGCUUCUUAUUUUUUUUAGUGGUUCGCCUUGCCCCUUAGAUAAGAAUAUUAUGAAAUUUUUCAAUAAUUAUGAAACAGAUAAAAGUACUAAAGGUGGAAAGACUUUUGACAAAAUUAUGUGUGAGAAGAUGUUAAUGGGAAGAUGUUAUCAACUUAUGUGUGACAAAAUUAUGUGCAUCAACUUUAAUUUGGACAAUUAUGUUAAUGGGAAGAUGUUAUCCUCAUCUCAAUCACUAACUUUAAAUUGUAGUACUUAUUAUAUUUUGGAUAAUUAUGUUAACGGGUCAUGUCAUCCUUGUCUCAACUCAUGUUGAUUAUUUAAGUUAUAAGUUAUAGUCACCAUGUCUUAUUUAAACUUUUAUACCAUUUUUUAUUAUUUUUAAAUAUAAAUCUUAUUAAAAUAAAUGUAAUUUAAGAGUAAAUAAAUUAAUUUUUAUGAAUUUUAUAUUAGCAUUGAUAAAAAUUAUAUUUUCAAUUUUAUUUUAAACAUGUUCAAAAUGGGGGAAACGAAAAAAGAAACUAAAUUAUUUUUAUUGAAUUUUUAAAAUAAAAAUGAUUUAAUUUUAAUUUUAUAAAAAAAUUCUCAAAUAUAUCCCUAAUUUGUUUAAAUUUGUCCUAAAUCCUUCUAUAGUUGUCAUCUCUAAUUUUGACCAUAUAAAAAUUAAACCAAAAUAAGAAGGUUGAGGAAUAUCAAAUAUAAAGAGAGGUUGAAAAAAUUUAUAAUGCUUAGAGGUAUUUUUCUUACAAAUAGAACUUGUUUGGUCAUGUGAUUUAAAAACAAUUUUUUUCUUUUUUUUUUUUAAAUAAAAAAUUGUUUUUAAAAAUUUCUAACAAUGUUUGACCAUUGUUAUCUGGAAGCAAUUUUAAAAAAUAAGGUGAAAUAAAGAACAAUUUUUAGAGAAUAAAUAUAAAUUGUUUUUAUCAAUUUUUAAAAACAAAAGGAAAAUAUGAGCCAAUUUGACCAUAUUUUCUUAAACUUGUUUUUAAAAACUUUUUUAAAAAAAACACUUUUUAGAUUAAAAUCAUUUUUUAGAAUCACUACCAAAAUGAUUUUAAGUAUUAUCUCACUUCACCUCAUUUAUAUAUAAAAUCAAGUAAAAAUAAUUUAAUUUCCUUUUCCAUUUCCCCUUUUUAAUCAUAUUUAAAAUAAAGUUACAAAUUUACUUUUUAUCAAGAUAGAAUAUAAAAUUUAUGAAAAAUAAUUUAUUUACUCAUAAAUUACAUUUAUUUUAAUAAAAAUUAUUAUUAUUUAAAAAAAAACAAAAGGAAAAAUUGCCCCCAUUUGAUCAUAUUUUCUAAAACUUGUUUUUAAGUUAAAAAAUAAAAAACAGUUUUUAAAAACAAGUUUCAAAAAACAUGACCAAAUGAGCUGUAUAUAUUUGAAUUUUUUUUUAAAUAAUCUAGAGUAUCACUUUGAAAUAGCACUUAAUAGACACUUACUUGAAUAUCAAUUUUUUUUUCUUUUCUAUUAUGUAUCUUAUCAUCAAAAACGUUUUCAAACCACUUUUUUGGGUUGUAUCUAGGCACCAAUUAAUUCUUCACAAAAGCGCUUUUUUCUACUUAAAAGAGUUAUUGAUGUAAAUGAUAUAGGCUAAAAAAAAAAAGCAUAUAAAGCAUUUAUGAGAAUCAAUCCCAAUGGGUUUUAUAAGUUGUGUCAUUUAUCAAGGUUUUCUUGACUUUUUAUAUUAUAAUCUUUCAUAAUUAUGUAAUUCAUAUUUUUAAAGCAAAUUAACAAAUAUAUUACAUGUAAUCCAAUAAUUUACAUUUCUACCUUCCAUCAUCAUUAUAUGCUUUUAUUUUCAUAAUUAUUAUAUGGUAAUUAUAAAAUAAUCAAAUCUAAUUUUGAUAUAUUUAUGUUUAAGAAUUUAAGAUAUCUACCCUUAAUUUCUUGACUAUCCAAGGAAUAUUAUUUAUGUAAUUAGUAAUUAAUUGAUUUAGUUUUAUUCAACUUUCUUUGCAUAAAGAGAGAUAAGAUAAGUCAUAAAAGGUGAGUUUACAAAGAGAAGGAUAAGAGAUGAUAGUAGAAGGUGGGGUUAUUGAAAAUGAAGCUUCUCUAGACAACCAAUCCUAUCAACUUGUUCAAUGGACGCUUUGAUGUGAAAUGCAUUUUACUCCCUCUCUCUCUCUCUCUCUCUCUCUCUCUCUCUCCAAACCCCUCCUUACUUGUUUUCUUUCUUCCAAAAACAAAUAAAAACAAUUAAUUCCAAACCUCUCCUUACUUGAUAUAAAUAGGAUUUUAUAAUUCUAAUUUAAUGAACCAAAAAUAGAUCUACAAAACUCGAACUUAUAACAUUAUAAUAAAGAUCACCUUAUAUAAAUUGUUUGUAAUAUUGCAUUACUUUGGUAGCACCCUGUCACUUCGUGUUGAUAUUGGCACCUCGUAUCUUCCUUAGCCUUACUCUUGCACACUUAUGUUUGUACUCUCUCUCUCAACAAACCCCUCCUUAGGGAUGGCAAUGGGGCGGGGCGCCCCCCUCCCAAUCCCGCCCCAUUUAUUUAAACCAAUUCCCAUCCCCGUCCCAUUUAAAAAAUUAAACGGGGCAGGGCGGGGCGGGCGGGUAUGUUACAUUCCCAUACCCGCCCCGUUUAACUUUUUAUUUAAUUUUAAUUUUAAUUUUUUUUAAAAAUUACUUUUAAAUUUUUUUAAUUAUAUUAAAAUAAAUAUAUUUUAUAAAUAAUUAAAUUAUUAUAUUUUUUAUAACUUAUUUUAUUAAAAAUAAUUUUUUAUUAUCUAUAUAUUAAAAAUAAUAAAAUAAAAAUUAAAUUAAAUUAAUUUUAAAUUUUAAAUUAAAUUUAAUUUUAAUUUUAAUUUUAUAUAUAAUCGGGGCGGGGCGGGGCGGGGCAAUACCCAAACCCACCCCGGGUUUCAAAAAAAAUCCCAAACCCGUCCCAUACCCGUUUAAGAAAAUAAUAUCCCACCCCAUUAGGGGCGGGGCGGGGCGGGUACCCGAAAUGACCCGCCCCAUUGCCAUCCCUACCCCUCCUUAUUUGUUUUCUUCUUCCAAAAACAAAUAAAAACAAUUAAUUCCAAACCUCUCCUUACUUGAUGUAAAUAGGAUUUUAUAAUUCUAGUUUAAUGAACCAAAAAUACAUCUANNNNNNNNNNNNNNNNNNNNNNNNNNNNNNNNNNNNNNNNNNNNNNNNNNNNNNNNNNNNNNNNNNNNNNNNNNNNNNNNNNNNNNNNNNNNNNNNNNNNNNNNNNNNNNNNNNNNNNNNNNNNNNNNNNNNNNNNNNNNNNNNNNNNNNNNNNNNNNNNNNNNNNNNNNNNNNNNNNNNNNNNNNNNNNNNNNNNNNNNNNNNNNNNNNNNNNNNNNNNNNNNNNNNNNNNNNNNNNNNNNNNNNNNNNNNNNNNNNNNNNNNNNNNNNNNNNNNNNNNNNNNNNNNNNNNNNNNNNNNNNNNNNNNNNNNNNNNNNNNNNNNNNNNNNNNNNNNNNNNNNNNNNNNNNNNNNNNNNNNNNNNNNNNNNNNNNNNNNNNNNNNNNNNNNNNNNNNNNNNNNNNNNNNNNNNNNNNNNNNNNNNNNNNNNNNNNNNNNNNNNNNNNNNNNNNNNNNNNNNNNNNNNNNNNNNNNNNNNNNNNNNNNAAAUUUUAGCAAUCCAAAUCUGUAACUUCUGCAAAAGUUACGUAGUGUUGAGGGAACAACACAUCUUCUCUUACCAUUUUCAUCUUAUGCACUACAUAUCCCAUGUCAACUGCCACUUCCACUACACCUGAAUGAAGUAGGAACACAAAUGAACAUUUCAAGGCAUCAGAUUGUCUGAAAAUUAAAUUGGGAGAGGUAGAACUACCGAUGCUUACAUGGAACUGAGGAAAAGACAAACAAGAGCAACAAAAAUGGAAGAGAAAAUGCAAAUCCAUAAGCCUGUAGCUGCUGUCCAAAGCAGCUUCCUUGUCAAUUGUCAACAAAAAGUCCACUAUGAAAUUCACUGGUAGAGCCACAUAUAGAAAAUUGCAAUAAAUGGAAAAGUAAGAAAUCUGCGCUGGGAAUGGGUGAAGCUUAUUGAAUGUAAGGUUCUAAACAGUCUCUGACCAAACAGCAUUGGAGUAUAGAUAAUAGCUUUUAGAGGGAAGUGAGGUCUUGGUGACCCUGGAAGCUUAAGGCUUCCAGAUACUGGAAUCUUUGUGUGCAGAUAUACAUGAGAGAUGUAGGAAGGAAGAGGCAAGCCUGUGUCAUCUGAGCAGAGGCAUCUGGAAUCUUUGUGUGCCAUUAUUCAAUCCAAAGAGAUGUUGGGAGAGAUUUGUUCAGGAUUUAUGUGAUAUACAGGCUUUUCACAAUCAUAAAUAUGAAGGUAUUUAAGUAUGGCGUUUUGGAAUAAGGUGAUCUACCAGUAACAUAGAAAAUAAGGAGAUCACAAAGGACUACACAGUUAGCAUGUUUGGAAUAGUUGUGGUUGGUUAAUUUCAAGCCCAAGUUUUAGCACCUAAAAACAUGCCCAUUUUUUCCAGCCUGCACGGAAGCAUUCUCUGGUUGUUACAUACAUGGUGUCUGCAUGUCAAUCAACACAUUUUGAUGUUUUUUUCUUAAAUUCCAUAUUAAAGUUAUACUGGACACUUGAAUGUGAACAUGUCUGAUUAUAUCUUUUCUUUCCAGACAUGUUUCAUCUCUCCAGUGCACUGGGUUUGGAUGAACCUUAAAGCUCAGCUACAGAAUGAAACUGGAAUAUUAGUCAUGUUUUCUGUUCAUGGAUUGAUAAAAAUGUUGAGUAAGAUCAAGAAAGAUGUUAAAUGGGAAGAUGAUUUUCUUACUGUCAGUUUGUAUUGAAAAAAUGGUAAUCAGAAAAGAUAUUUUGGAUAGGAUUCAGAAAGAAAAUAUGUUGAUUCAAAAGUUAAAGAUAUAGCACCCAAGGGGCUAUGAUUCUGUGCAUGGAUUUUUCAUGCUUUAAGAUUGUGCAUGAAGUGCUGAUGUUAUAAGGGAUCAAGGGUGGUUUGUGGAGCAGUCCCCUCUUCAGAGUAUUGCAAGUAUUUAAAUAAUCCUGCAAUUCUGGAGUAGGCUUCUUCUAAUUUGCUCUGCACCCAAUCGUUCAGAACAGUGGAAAGCUUCAUUCAGCUGUAAUAAUUUAAUUAUUUAGAUUGAAUCAUAUUCAUUGGGUUUGCAGAUCAGGAGAAAGUGUCAUGGCUUUGAAUGUUUGUCUCUUUUAUAAUAUCACAGUGCAUUGGUCCACAGAGUUGGUAGCAUGACAGUUGAAUGAAAUGACUGAAAUGUAGCAGUCAAGGUUAUAUUAUAUGAAAAUAUUUAAAUAGACUUCACAUAGUGUGCUUGCAACAGUUGUGGACCUUUGAUGGUUGGAAUAUCCUUGCACAUAUGUCAUCAUUUUCUUUUCUUCAGCUCUGUUUUCUUUGUUUCUCCCUUCCUCGGUCAAGCCAAACAGUUUGGUGAUUCUUCAUUUCUUCUUCAUCCCAUCAAGAGAACAACAUCUCAUGCAUCUUUGUAUUGGGUUCCUCCAUCUCCUUCCACCCUAAGGAAAAACGGUAUCUUGCUUAGUUUGGACUUCUCUAUUUCUUUUAAUCAUUGUGAAAAGCAUCAUGAGAAGAGAUACAAUAAAUGUGUUUGUGCUGAAUUAUCCAAAACAUUAUUUUCACAAUCAUAAAUACCAAGGUGUUUAAGCAGCAGGUAAGGAAUCUCUUGAUAAUGAGGUGAGAGGUAGAAACAAGCAACAUACCUGUAUUCAAGAGAAAUUCUGUUCUUCUUUUGAAAUUUGACAACAUUCAUUUAGUCUGAAGUCAAUAUCUGGGCAACUCAGUAUCUCCACCUUCAUUAGGAUUGUAGGAAGCUGGCUUCUUGGAAAUACAUGAAAUGGGGGCAUUUCAAAAUCUAAAAGAAUUUCAGAGUCCUGCUGCAACUUUUGAAUUGCUCAAAUCAGUAACAACUCCAGAGAUAUAUACAUAUAUGCCCCAGGGAAAUAGAGGUGUCCUGGGCAUGCAACCAUGGAAGAUUAGCUCCCUAAUAGGCUCAAGGUUGUGGUCAUAAAAAAUGCACUGAGCGGGUGACUUGCAAUCGGUUGUGAGUCCCUCUUGGUAGCUUCUCAUUUAUUGCACCAUAUGAAUUGCAUUUUCCAACUGCCAAUUUCACCACCCCUAAAUGAACUAGGAGACAUGCUGAAAGCAAAGUUAGACAGCUCAUCAUAGAGUUAAUCCUGCAGGAAUACACCAAAAAGGAAAUCUUAUUAAUAUAAAUGAAUUCAUCCAAUUAAAGGAUAAGGUUGCCUGAAAAAUUAAAUUGAGAGAGAUGGAUAUAGUGAUGCUUACAUGGGACUGUGGGAAGGAUCAACAAGAGAAACAAACAUUGAAUAGCAAAUGCAAAGCCAUAGAGCUUGCAACUGCUGUCAAAAGCUGCUCCCUAGUGAAGUCUUUUAACAAUAAAUUUCAGUGCAAAAUUCGCCUAAUUGCUCCACUUGUAGGACAUUUCAAUAGUAUGAAAACAGGAUAUGGUGAACUCUCCCUGCUUCUGCCAUCAGUGAACUAAUAUGGAUCAAAGAUGAAUCUCGUCAUCUACAUCUAUUUUUACAUGGGAGAUGUGGGCAAUCUUGGGCCAAUCUCUCAUCAUUGGAUUUAGGAGUUGUCUCUGAUUUAUGGUUCUAAAAGCAUGACAGGAAACCCUUCACUUGCCAAAUACUACUGGAGCUUAGGUGAUGUCUCAAUGUGGGGAUGCUAAGGAUACCAGAUUCUGGAAUCAUUACAUGAAAAUAUACAUGAGAUCCAUAGGGAGAAAAUGCAGGCCUUGGUCAUUUGAGAAGAAAGCCACAUCUUGAAAUAUACCGCCAACGAUGAAUUGUCUGCGAGUGGUGAGUCUGUGAGGUUCCCACUGGGACCCGGGGUGUUUCUCACAUUCUUUCAAUCUUCAAUCUGAAGUAGCCACUUGAGCAAUUGUACCUCCAGGAAUGAGUCAUUUUGGGGCAGAUUGUUUUCAUUUUCCUUCACACCAUUGUUUCACCAUAAGGCACUAAAUGAUAUGUAGUUGCAAGACGAAUAGAGGCAGCCAUUAAUGAAAGCUUAUGGAAAUUCAAGACAAACAGAUCUUCAUGGAGAUAUGAGGUUUAGAAAUCCAAUAAAGAUUUGAAAAUCCAAACACAAGUUAUCCAAUGUACCUAUUGGUAACAGAGUUGGGCAGUAUUGUUCUUUCUACCCUUGGAAAAGGACAUCACAUAAGAAAUUCCACUAGUAAUGGGGGGCUUAAGUGAUGUGUUGGGGCUUGGGCAAUGCUGUAUCUUAAGUUAUUCAAGAGAUGUGUGAUCAUGCAUCAACCCUAAUUCUGCUAGCAUAAUCUGUUUUUCAGUCACAAAUAUGUAGUUAAAAUGUAUGGCAGGUCAUGCAUGCAUCUCUUGAAUUGUCAUGAGAAGUGGAGAUUGAGCAACAUACAUGAUUCAAGGGAUGUGCAACUGUUCUUGUGCAUCAAACAAUCUUCAUCUGAUACAGAACCCAGAUUUUUAGCAACUUGUGAUCUCCACAUUUUAACACAUUGGAGGAAGUUGGCCUAUUCAACAAACAAGACAGGACAUCUAGAAAAAAGCAAGAAUUCCAGACAUGUGUUGCUGUCAUGAAUUAUUCCAAUCAGUAAGGAAUCAAAGUGCUAUGAUUUUGAUUUGUGUAACUACUUAGCAUGGAUAACAGACCUAUCUUGGGGAAGUAACUCAAGUCCCAAGCACCAACUCAAUCCUGAGCUCUCUGGGAAACUUGAGGCACCAACUUGAUCAAAGCUGCUACUUGUUUCUAUGGCAGCUCAUCUUCCUCCACUGAUACUGGGGAAAAUGCAAAACAAAGGGAAAUGAAGUCAUGUUGUGAUCCUGUCUCCAUUCUCCUUGACAUAGAUAGAUGAUUUCCUUGCAACCGACAAUGUCUAAUGCUUUCACUUCAGUUCUAGCAUGUGUUUUGGGAAGAGAAUUAAGCUUUCAAAUAUUGCCAAUAUGCAAGGAAUUGAUAAAGGCCAGGUGGGCAGCUGCCACAGUUUACAAACCAAUGGCAACAUUGGAAGUGGAACAUGACACAAAAACUUCAAAAGACAAACCUGUUUUUCACAAUCAGAAAUACCGAGGUGUUUAAGCACAAGGUAAUGCAUCUAUUGACAAUGAUGUGUGACGUGGAGACAUUGUAAAGAUAAAUGGUAUUCUUCUUUUGCAUUGACAACAUGCAUCUAGUCUAGGUCCCAAAUUUUUAGCAACUCCAGAUCUCCACCAUCAUUAGGAUUACAGGAAGCUAACCACUUGGAAAGAGAUGAGAGUAACAUUAGAAAUCUGAAAGGAUUCUAGAGAGCUGCUGCAACUGGUGAAUCAUUCCAAUCAGUAACAACAAGGAGCCCUAUAUACAAUUUUGAACUGUCAGCCUUCAUAGCAUGAAUGAUAAACUUGUCCCUAGGAAUGAGAUGUGCCUUGGGCAUGCAACCUUCAAUUAUUAGUCAGAGUUACCCCUACCUAAUCCAUCUCGAUGUGUCUGGGAAAACGAGGUCCACCAGAUGUUAUGGCCAUUAUCUCAUGGUAGUGGAUGUUUUGAAGCAGAGUCUAAAACGAAGUCAUCACUGGAGGUUAUGGCCAUUAUCCCAUUGCAGCAGAUGUUUUGCACCAGAGUUUAAAACCAAGUCAUUGACAAAGGCCAUAGUGAUGUCAUUGAUUUUAUUUUAAACCUAUCAAAAACAAUAUGAGAUUCACUUUGAUUUCAAGUUAUGCAAGAUCUAUAUGAGCUCAAUUGUUUUGAAACUUGAUUGAUGUUUCGUUGGUCAGGUCUUCUUUAGACAUGAACCUAUAUUUUGUGCUUAACUUGAAGAAGCUGCCAAUAAGACUGAAUAGUCACAUAUCACUCAGAGAGUUGAGAAUCACACAACUUUUUCGUUUUUUUUAGGACUGGUUUGUCAUCAAGUCUUUUGCUCGGUUGUUGUGAUGGUUUGAAAUUUCUAUCUGAUGACUAUAAUCCAUAUAAACAACAACUUGUAUUCUCUUAUCUUAAGCAUUAUUUCGCAAAAAGAUUUUUAUGAGCACUUCUAUUUGGAUGUCUUUCUAACAGUCGUUAGUAUUCAAUAAAAAUGACCUUUACUAAACCUGCAGAUUUUUUCAGGUGAUAUUUUUUUUUUAUUGGUAGCAUAUCCUGAUUCAUAGAGUAUAAACCCUUGAAAAUUGAAAGAAAGACAAUUUACAUAUCAUUAAAGGGUGAUCUGUAAGCACUCUUAUAGGCCUACAUUUUCCUCAUUUGGAUUUGGAAUUUAACCUCUGAUAAGCGUUUACUUGUUUUUAAUCUGUUUUUUAGGAAGACAGUUAAUGAGAUUUUGCCAACCAAAAACAGAGGUUUGUUAGCCCUCCUACCCUCAGGCUGGUUCUCUUGCAUAUGCUUGAAGAAUAUUGGAAACCAAUUAAUUAGUCAUUGCAGUUUCAUAGUCUUACAAGAAAUCUUGUUAUGGUGGCAGGAGAACAGACUGCAACAUAGUCUCAUUUCCCUUCAUGAUUUAGACAUUGUAAAGAUCAAAAACCUGUUCCUGGUAAUAUAAGAAGAAGAGUAGCCAAAGAAUAGGAACAAAAUGUAUUGGAACCUUGUGGACUUGAAUAGUUGGUAUCCAGGUGGCAAAAAUACACAAGAAUGCACUUAACAAACUACUAAUCAACAGGCCAAGAUUCUACUUUCAAGAGACAGGUUUGUCAUCCAUGUCAAGAAGGCUUGCAAUUCAUUUUUGUGGGACUUUGGCAUCAACAAAUUUCUGGAAUUCUUUCAGGUUUCUAAAUGGAAUGGUUCAAGUCAUCAACACAUUCCUAGAAUUCUUUCGUAAAUGUCAUCAUCCUGGCCAACUUUCUUCAGUGUUGAAAGAGGGGGUGAUACCGUGUUGCUAAAAAUUACAGUCCAUAUGUACUAGAUGGACAAGAACUACAACACUUGUAUUAGAAACAUCUCUGUUGCCUGGAUUUGCAUUACCUGCCAUAAUUAAGCACCUUUUUAUUAUUGUAGCAGAGUGUUUCAGAGUCACCCAUACCUAAUCCAUCUUCAUGUCUCUCAAACAACUAGGUCCAUUGGUAGUAGAAGAAGAGCAACUUGAAUAGCUGGUCAUUUCCUUUUAUAAUUUAGGGAUAAAGGUUAAAAACUACAGCACUUGAAUAGCUGGCAUUCAGGUGGACAAGAACUACAACACUUCUUUUAGAAACAUGUAUGUUAUUUCUUCAACUCUUACUCUAUUCCCUGGAGUUGCAUUACCUGCCAUGAUUAAUCGCCUCCUAUUUAUUCUUGUGGAGAAACAGGUUUUGGUGUAUGCAAAGACUAUACAAUUAUUGCACCUCUUGAUUUUCAAGACUGCCCAGCCUCUCCUCGAGCAUCUGGAAUUGUCAAGCUGAUUUAUGGCUAACCUUCCAAGGACCUUAGGGGCUUCAUACAAGGUAGAUCUAGUGUAAGAGAUUCAGAAUUAUCUCUACCUAAUCCAUCUCCAUUUCUUUCGAAUAACUAGAUGCUAUGGCCAAAAUCUCACAUAAGGCGUCAGGUUCAUGUUGGGGCUCAUUCACAAGAUUAAGAUGAAUAUAGAAGGGGAUGUUGCUAAUCUACCACCAGCCAUGUUGUCAAGUUGUUCAAUUUCCUUGUGUUGACUAUGGCCACAGUCACAGUUGUGUGUCCUUUCCCGAAGGAAAUGUCAUUUUGAAACUUUUAAUGUCAACAACAGAACUUUCAUGUUUCUACAUUGAGGUACCUACAAAAAAUUGACUCCCUGUUAGCAUCCAAUGAUAGAAAGUAAUAAUCUGAACAAGGGAACAAGUGCUCUCCUUGCUCUUUUUCAGUAGAACACUAGUUCAUUUCCAAUCAAUUGAGGAGAAAACUAAUUCUAAACACGGAAGCCAGGUACUUGAUUUCUAUUUGACUAGUGGAACAAUUGAAAUGUAUUUACACAUUUAGCAUUAGAUAAGUUUAACAAAAUCACUAAUUAACCCCCAAACCUCUCCCCUCCACCCACCACAAAGGAAAGAAACAACGUUUUGGGAUCCUGGUAGCUUUAUGUUACAAGAUUCUGAUCAACAUAUGCUGCAAAAGUAUUAUGUUGGUCCAAUUCCACUACUUUGCAUUGCAACAAAGUAUAAGUGGGUUUUCUCUUUUCUUCAUCUUCAAAUGAAACAACCCUUCUCAAUAAAAGAAUACAAGAAAUUGAGAGCUAAGAUCAUUUCCUUUCAUUGUGCUCUGUUUACUCUUCUCCUUCUCUUGGUCUAGCCAAACAAUCUUUGGUUUGUCCAUUUCUUUUUCACCCCACAUAAAAAAGCAGCUUGUUAGGUUAUCCCAUCUCUUUAUCCCCUUGUCAAGACACAGAAUUUAAUGCAUUGUUGUCUUGGAUUCCUCCUAGUUAAAAGGAAGCUUGAAAUAUCUCCAGUGCUUCUCUGUUUCUUUGAGUCAAAGGAUAGAAUAUUGCUUUUCUUUGUUUCUUUGAGAUGCAAGAGGUUUGUACAGAACUUAGGUGAUGUAACUAUUGGUCAGUGAGGUAGGCAAAUUUGAAUUCCCUCUAGUCAUGCAGAGUAGUCUUAGAGAACUUUGGAGUCUUGGGCAUUACUGUUUAUUUAGAUAUUCAAAAUGCAUUAUUGCACAUCUUCUUGACUUCCCACAAAUGAACUUGUUUUUCACAAUCAUAAAUAUGGAGUUAUUUAAUUAUGGCAGGUAAUAUACCACCCAGAAAUUGAUGUGGAAGGUGGAGACUAACAACGACAUAGAUGUAUAUAAGGGAUUUACACUUAGUCUUGUGCAUCAAACAACCCUCAUUUAGUAUAAACCACAAAUUUUGGCAACUCGUGAUCCACAAUUUAAAGCAUGGGAGGAAGCAGACCUGUUGGAAAGACAGGAGGAGACAAUUAAAAACAUGCAAGAAUUCCAUAGAUGAGUUGUUGUUAUGAAUUAUUCAGAAUCCACUAGAAAAUUUAAAGCCCAUUAAUUUUGAACGAAAUGCCUACUUAGCAUGGAUCAAAAACUUAUUUUGUGGAAAGAAACCAAGUCUUGAGGACCAAUUCAAUUACCAAAUCUCUGGGAAACAUUAAGGCUUUUUUUAGUAGCUUCCCAAUUAGUGCAUAAGGUGGCAAUGAUAAUUGCUUUUGUGGAAGCUCUUCUUCUUCUAGUACCGAGGAAAAGGCUAUAAUCCUAAAUCUCCAUUCUCCAUGUACAGCUGUCUUCUUCUAUGCAUGUUGUCAGAGAAGAUGAGGAAGCUUCAGAAUGUUAGUUGACAAAUCAAUUGGAGCAAUGGAAUUGGAACAGGACACAAACUUCAAAACAUUAAAAGUCAGUAAUGCAGAUAAGGGCAUUUAUAUGUACACAUAUUGAUCAGAAAUAAACUCCAUCCUUUAGCAACCUAAAAACUCAAAAGAAAGAAGUAUAAUUUCAGAUAUGCAAGAUUUUGAUCAAUUAAAGUCCAAAGCAUUUUAUGUUCAUACAAAUGAGAAGACAGAAUGGCAGCUGGCUUUGAGGAUUGAAAGAAAAAUGAAUUGAUGCUACUUCUCAUUGCUAAUGCCAUUAAUUUGUUGCUGCUUUUUGUAGCCAUGUCGAGCCUGUCCAUCAGAUAAGGUUUGAAUCGCUUCUAUUAUUCUUGUUUAAGACAAUCCCUUCUUUUUUUUUCCAUUUUUUUUUCUUUACAUAGUCAAUCAUCUUGUUUCAUGUUUGCCCUAUAGUUGGUCUGCUGAUGGUAGGCUUCUUUUGAGUGGAAGCAAUGACUCUAUAUUGAAGGUAAAUUGUGGGAACUAUGUCUUUUGUGGUAUAGAUGGGGUUAUCAUAUAGUUGAAUGAUUCUAUUGCUUCCUCAUAGCUUUUCAAGGCACUAAAAAAGAAAAAAACAAAGGUAGAACUAGGAAAAAUAUUUCGUCCUGAUUUCAGGUAUACUUUUUCCUUAUGAAGUCUUAUUUUGGUAAAUUACAGUUAGAUAUAAUCACAUGGCAACAUUUUUUUCUUCCAAGUUUAAACAGUAAUUCGGGAGAGUGUAUUAUGAAAAUAUACUGAAAUAAAAAAUCCUAUGAUUGCAUUCUACUUUGGAUAUUUCUUAUGAAUCUUCCCCUGCACUCCUGACCACCACCACAGACACUCCCAUCACACCAAGCCUUGUAGCUGUCCUAAAUUGUUGCAAAUAUGUUAGAAACCAAUUACUAAUAUUAAGGACGGUCAUGUCUACUAAUUUCGGGCUAGAAUUUUUAGAGUAGGUGGGAAAUUAUGGUUGCAGUAGGGAAUAUGAGUGCUUCUGUUUUGCCAAGGUGGCUUUCCUUAUUCAUGCUAACAUCAACAACAUAGCAAUGAACUUGAUUUAAUAUUGUUUAUCAUAUAGGCUUGAGAUAUCCGAACACAAAAGUUAAAACAAGAUCUUCCAGGCUAUGAAGAUGAGGUAUUUUCCUCCUCUUAAGUACUAGUUAAUAUUCUUCUUUUGACAUUGUACUUGGUUUAAUUAAUGUUUUCCUUCUUUUUGUAUUCUGGAAAGGUUUUUAUUGUUGAUUGGAGUCUAGAUGGUGAGAAGGUAGCCACCGGUGGUAGGGACAGAGUACUCAGUUUAUGGAUGGGUUGAUGGCUAAAGGAGGAAGAGAUGUAUGAAAUGAAGAUUGACAUGAUUCUUCCACAACAUGAUGGACUUGAUAGACACUUAGCUUUUGCCUAUAGUUGAUAGUCUACCAUGUGUAACUUAAAGUUGUGCACUAAGUUCUGAUGUUAUGAAGGAUCGAGAGUGGUUUGUGCACUAAGCUCUUCUAAAAUAAUUUUCUUUAUUGAGUUGUAAUGAUUGUAUUAUUUGGAUUUAAUUGUAUUCAUUAGGUUUGCAGAUCACAAUAUGAUUAUUUUCCUCUUUGAUCAUGUAAAGUUUGGGAAGCAGUUAUGGGUUACUGUAAUAGCAUGGUAUAUUGAUGCACACGGUUUGUGGCAUGACAAUUUGAUGAAAUUACAGAAGUGUAGCACUCAUGGGCAUAUCAUGUGAACCUUAUUCAAUGUGGCAUUGACAGUUAAUUUAUAUUUACAUGGGUGUAAUGUCACACCAGUAUCCUCUAAUGAACCUUGGAUUCUUUUUUCUCUGUUUCUUCCUCUCUUGGUCAAGCCAAACAAUUUAUCUUCAUGACUUCCUCCUAUUACCAAAAAACAACAUCUUGUGUUCUCCAUCUCUUCAUCCCCUUGUCAUGACACAACAAUUUGAUGCAUCUUUGCAUUGGGUUGCUUCCUCUCCUUCCCCUCUCCUUCCUCCACGUCUCAUUACUUAGUUUUGGCUACUUUGUUUCUUUUGAUCAUUAUGGUAGAGCAUCAUUGCAAGAUGUACAAGAAGUAUGUUGUGGUGCAUUAUCCCCUUCUCUACCACCCGAAAUCUAUUUUCCAUGAUCAUUAAUACCAAGAUGUUUAAGCAUCGAGUAAGGCAUCUCUUGACAAUUAUGAGAGAAAUAAGAGACAAGCAACAUAUUGGUAUUCAAGAGAAGUUGAUUACUACUCAAAAAGGGUUAUUUGAUAGCUUGUAAUUAACUCUUUUAAACACUUUUGAGUAGUAGUUAUUACCUUUUAACUCAAUUAGCAUAUUAAGUACCUUUGCAAUCAUUUCUAAUCAAAUUGUGUAAGUUUUGGUGCUUUUGAUAGUAAUUUGAUCACCAAAGCAAUCCAAGAUUAAGGAGAGCUCUAUGGAAUCCAUGGCAAAGCAAUUGGAAGCUCAUUUACAUGAAGAACCUAAGCUUUGGAGCUUUAUAGUCCUUUGCCAUAAGCAAAUCAUGAAUGUAAGGAUGAAAGCAAAGAGAGAAAUCUAACAUGAAGAAUCCAAGAGGACAUCAACUGUUUGACACUUUUGGAGCACUUCCUAAAGUCCAUUUCAUGCAUACCAUAUGUCGUUUCGAAGCUUGGGAAGUCAUCAAUCGAACGCUUCAAACGGUUCACAAAUCGGAGUUGAAAUGAAGAAGUUAGAGCCAUUGGAAGCAGAUCACACCAAGCUGAAGGCCAAUUUCGCAGGCUGCGAAAUAAUUUUGCAGCCAUCUUGUACGUCUGCGAAAUUUUGCAGCCAUUUUAUGCGCCUGCGAAAUUCUCCUGAGUGCUUCCAGAUAUUUGUGACCGACAUUUUUUUAUAUUUUGCUUAAGAUAUUUGAUGUCUAAAUCCCAAUUUUCUCCUUGUAAUCCACCAAUUAUAGGAUUCCUUAGUUGUUAAGCAAGAACAAAAGGGUGAAUAACCUCAUAUAUAUUGUUUUGUAAUUUUCAUUACAGACACAUCUCGGGAGCUUGUUCUCAGAGAAUCAACUUUUUGUAUAGUUUGAAAGGAAGUAAAAUACAGAGCUUUGCUCUGCCUUACCUACUCAAUUUGAUUGUAUUUUUCAUUACUAGCCAAACAAGCUAUGAGGAUGUUUCCUCAGAGAAUGGGUGGCUAGGUUUUUUGUUUCUUGGAGCUAAGGUAGCCGGGUAAGGUGCCGAAUGCAAGAAUUGAGAGUUUUGUUGUUUCAGCUAUUAAUGAAGAUAAAGUGUAACCUGUUUAUGGUUUCUAUGUUUUUAGUUAACUUCAAACGCCUUCAAUUCACCUGGGCCAACACUUGGUAAUGCAAAUGAUCUCCGUCCACUGAGAUGCACUAGUUUACCUCUUGCGAGCCUUUGAGAGGUGACUUGAAGGUAGGAUUUUCAGGAAUUGACAACACUUGGUAAGCUUUUGGACUCUAAGGAGACAUCCAUUAGUUAUCUCUUGCGAGCUUGAGAAGAGAAGUCCAAGGUUAAUGAUCACCUUGAAUGGCAAAUGCUAGGUGAGAGGCACGAUCCAUUGCAAGAUGCAUCAGUGAGAGGGAAUUAGUGCUAAAAUUCAUAAAAGGAAAACAUUUGUACAACACCGGUUGGAGAAUGAACUAUAUGUUAAUUCUCCAAUGCGAGAAAAAGAACCAAAGUGACCGGAACUCUGUUUUUGCAUAAGGAGCCUGACCCCAGUGAUCCUAAAACUCCAAGAGACGCUUUUUCUUUAUAAGUAAUUCUCAUUACUUUCUUUUUAGUUAGCUUGAAACCAAACCUUUUUCAAUCAAAUUUUAUGUUUUCUUUUGAAGCUAUCCUUGAAAUGAAAAGACACCAAUUCAACUUUGAAUUGGUAUCAGUUGUAAAUUGAAAACCCUUCCCAGUGAACGAUCCUAGAGCUACUAUGCUAUGCUAGCUGAGGCUAUCCUAGUACAUGGUGUAAUAGGUUAUAAAUUUUGUUGAUUACUCCCAUCUGAGGACCAAAAUCAAGGUACACCAACUGGGCACGAAUCAGAAGUGAUGUUCUACAUUUGCAUUUGACAACAUGCGUUUAGUCUGAACUCCAAAUUUGGGCAACUCAAAAUCACCACCUUCAUUAGGAUUGUAGAAAGUUGGCUUCUUGGAAAAAUGUGGAAUAGGGCAUUUAGAAAUUUGAAAGAAUCACAGUGUCCUGUUGCUACUUUUGAAGCAUUCCAAUCAGUAACAACUCCAAAGAUAUAUAUACAAAUUUGUCCCUAGGAAGGAGAUCGAUGUUUAUUGGGCAUGCAACCAUCUCUCUUAACAGACUCAGGGUUCCACACCCUCCUGGUGGUUUCUUAUAUAUUGCACCAUAUGAUUUGUAGAUAUCCAAUUGCCAAUUUCACUACACUUGAUGAACUAGAAGCUAUGCUGAAAGUGAAGUUAAACAACCCAUCGUAGAAAGAAUCCUGUAGGAAUACACCAAAAAGAAAAUCUUAUUAACAUAAAUGAACUCAUCUAGUUAAGGAUAAAGUUGCAUGAAAAAUUGAAUUGGGAGAGAUACAAAUACUGAUGCUUACGUGGGACUGUGGAAAGGAUCAACAAGAAGAACAAACACUGAAUAGUAAAUGUAAAGUCAUAAAGCUUGUAAUAGCUGUCAAAUGCUACUUUGUAGUGAAGUUUUUUUAACAAUAAAGGUAAUUUCAAAAUUCACCAAAUAACUUCACUUGAAGGAAAUUUCAAUGGUAUGAAACUAGAAUAUGGUGAACUCUCCUUGCUUAUGCUAUUGUUGUGAGCCAUUAUAGAUCAAAGAUGAAUCUCGCCAUCUGUUUUCACAUAGGAGAUGUGGCCUAUCUUUGGGUCAUCUCUCAUCAUUGGAUUUAGGAGUUAUGUCUCUUAUAUAUAGUUUCACUUGCCAACUACAAAUGGAGCUUAGCAGAUGUCUCCAUGAUGUGGAGACCGAGCAACAUACAUGAUUCAAGGGAUGUGCAGUUGUUCUUGCAAAUCACCCAAUCUUCAUCUAAUAUAUAUAGACAAACAAAUUUUAGGAACUUGUAAUCUCCACAUUUUAGAGCACCGGAGGAAGCUAGCCUAUUCAACAAACAUAACACAAUUAGAAAAAUGCAAGAAUUCCAUAUACAUGUUGUGCUAUCAUGCAUUCCAAUCAGUAAGGAAUUAAAGUGCUAUAAUUUUAAACUAUGCAAUAAUAGACCUAUCUUGGGGAAGUAAAUUGUCUUGAGCACUAAUUCAAUUGCGAGUUCUUUGGGAGACUUGGACACAACUCAAUCAAAUCUGUUAGUUGUUUCUAUGGCAGCUUGUCUUCAUCCACCGAUAUUGGAGAAAAUGCUUUUGAAAACCCUUAAUCUUCAAAUCACAAAGGGAAAUUAGAUUAUGUUAGCAUUCGAUCUCCAAUCUCCUUGACACAAACUGAUGAUUUCCUUGUAACAAACAAUGGCUAAUUCUAUCACUUGUACUCUAGCAUGUGAUUUGGGAGGAGAAUUAAGCUUUGGAAUAUUGCCAAUAAACAAGGAAUUGAGAAAGACCAAGUGGGCAGCCACCGCAACUAGUUCACAAACAAAUGGAAGCAUUGGGAGUGGAACAUGACACAAAAACAAAACAUGUUUUCCAUAUUCAUAAAUACCAAGGUGUUUAAGCAUCAGUUAAGGCAUCUCUUGACAAUAAUAUGAGAGAUAGAGACAAGUAGCAUACUGUUAUUCAAGAGAAGUAGUAUUCUUCUUUUGCAUUUGACAACAUUCAUCCACUUUACACCCCAAUUUUGGUAACUUAGGAUCUCCACCUUCAUUAGGAAUAUUGUAGGAAGCUGGCCUCUUGGAAAUACAUGAGAGGACAUUUAGAAAUCUAAAAAAAUUCUAGAGACUUGUUAUUGCUUGAAUUUUGAAUCAUUCCAAUUAAUAACAACUGCAAAGCCUCUAUACACAAUUUUGAAUUAUCAACCUUCUUACAUUGGAUGAAAAAUCUAUCCUUAGAAAAGAGACGUGACUCGGGCCAUGCAACCAUCAAUUAUUAGCUCUCUAAGAGGCUUGAAGUUGUGCAUCCUCUUGGUAGCUUCUCAUUCAUUACAACAUAAAUUCCAGAUAUCCAAUUAGCAUGUCACUAUAAUUGAACAUAGUAGGAAACAUAGUGAAUAGGAAGUUAGACAACCUGUCACAAAAAGAAUCCUACAAUAAUACACCAAAUAGAACAUCUUGCUAAUUCAGUUAAAUAAUUGUGUGAAAAUCUAAAUUGGGAGAGAGAAAAACAUUGAUGCUUACAUGGGAUUGUGGGAGGGACCAACACGGGAAACAAACUUUGAAUAGAAAAUGUGAAGCCUUAAAGCUUGUAAUUGUUGUCAGAAGCUGCCCCCUAGUCAAGUUUUCAACAAAAAUGUUCAGUGUAGGGAUUCUCUAGUAGCUCAACUUGUAGAAAAUUUCAACAAUAUGACAAUUUAUACUCAUAAAAAGAAGCUACAAUGUAAUAAUUAUGUGUUGGGAAUAGAUGAAACUUACUGAAUAUAUGGAUAGAAUAGGGUGAACUCCACCAACUUCCAUUUUUGGAAUCCAAACUAUUAUGGAUCAAAGAUGAAUCUCUCCAUCUAUGUACAAAUAGGACCUAUGGGCAAUCUUGAAUUGAUGUCUCAUCAUUGGAUUUAGAACUGAUGUAUAGCUCUGAAACCAUGGCAGAGUUCUCCUUCAGUUGCCAAAUACCAUUGGAGCUUAGGUGAGGUCUUGGUGAUGUAGAGAAGUCAUGGAUUCUAGAAUCUUUACAUGAAAAUAUACAGGAGAUACAUUGGAAGAAAGGAAGGCCAUCUGAGAAGAAACACAUCUUAAAGUAUACCAUCAAUCAUGAGUUGUUUGAGAGUGAGGAGUCUUUGAAGGCCUCACUCAGAUAAGGGAUGUCUUUGACAUUUCUCACUCUUCAAUCUCAGGAAGGUACAUCAUCAACUAGAACUUUAGGAAUGUGAGUCAUCAUGGGACAACUUGUUUAUGUUCUUUAUUCUUUUCUCACCAGAGGAGAUUGAAAGAUAUGUAGUUUCAAGGGCAAAAGAUAUAGCCAGUAGUGAGAGCAUCAAACAAUCCUUCUCUAAUGCAAACCACAAAUUUUAGUAACUUGUGAUCUCCACAAUUUAGAGCACAAGGAAGCUGGACUGUUGGAAAGAUGUGACAUGACAUUUAGAAAUAGGUAAGAAUUCUAGAGAUCAUUCCAAUCAUUAAGGAAUCAAAGCCUUAUAAUUUGAAUAGGGCAUCUACUUGGCAUGGAUAACACACCUAUCUUGGGACAAAGACCACAUGUUGAGCACCAAUUCAAUUAUCAACUCUCUAUGAAACUGGAGAUACAAGGUACUAAUGUUAGUACAAAUUACCUGGUAGCUCUUCUUCUUUUACUGGUAUUGGGGGCAAAGCCUUGUGAAAAUCCUCAAUCUACAAAUUACUAAGGACAUGAGAUCAUGUUGUAUUCUUAUCUCCAAUCUCCAACUGCAAAUAAAUUAUUUGUUUCAAUUAACAAUCUUUAAUGCUUUCACUUGUAUCAUAGGAUAUGCAAUUUGGGAAAACAAGUAAGAUUUAUAAUAUUAGGAAUAUGCAAGGAAUUGAUGAAGGCCAUGAAUCUACUUAUAAUAAAAAUAAAAAUAAAAGAUUUUUUCACCCAUGAAUAUCGUAACCAACUUCCAAAAAGCAUUAGGUAUUGCAAUAAACAAAUGUUCCUUAGGUAUUAAAGUUAAAGUUCAAAGUUACCAAGAGUGCAUUUUUUGACCCAUGCAUAAAAUAAAAAGAAAAUAAGAACGCAUACCAUAUAACUCACAAUUGUGUCAAGUAUGAGUUCAGUUUAUGUUCGUGCACAAUUGCAUUAAGUAUUUGAAAGAUAAAUAAGGCUAUGUGCAAUUCAAAGAAUACCAUACAAUCCUCACAACUUAUCAUAGAAUGAGAACUCAAUUGUCUUUCUUCUAGUCAUAAGAGUUUGUGCUCUUUGAGCCUCUGACUUGCACAACUCAAGAUAGCAGGACAUGCUAAAAAGUCUCCUUCACCUUAAACAUUAUUCAAAUCUGCAAUAUAAAUCCUGAUAAGAAAAUUUUCUACAAAUAUAACAUGUUGCAAACAAAUAACAAUAUGUUAGUUUAAAAUUGAAGAGCAUUUCAAACCAAACAAAAUAGAAAAAUUUUCAAUGUUUAUCACUCACUUAAAAACUUGUAUGUUGGAUAAAAUUCAUGCUAAUGAAUCAUGACAAUUGUUUGCAAUCAAAAUUUAGUAAUGAUUUAUAAACAAAAAAAAAAAUGAAAUUACAUAAUUAUUUGGCAAUGUUCCAUGAAAAACACAUUGUACAUUGAUUGAGAAAUUAAUAUGAAAUCCACUAAUUUGAAAGACAUUAAAAACCAGAUGUUGUCUUGAGUUCUCCAUGUAUCAUAAUAGAUGCAUGUUGCUAUUCGAGCCACCACAGUCACGGAGUACGAGACUUCUCAACAUGGAAGGCAUACCAUAUUUCAAACAAGGUUCUCAACAUGCAAUUGUUUGCAACCUAUUUUUUUUAAUCAUCUAUGAAAUAAAUAAAGAGGUGUUACUUGCAUUCAAUCCAAACUUGUGGUCUCCAAUGUGAAAUCCAAACCUCAUUUUGUCAACACAAUAAGAGCAUUAAACAUACAACAAAUUGAAUCCUUCCUUUUGACAAUGUGAAAACCUGAAAGAAAUGAAUCAGGAUCAUAAAUAAUUAUACAAUAAAGAAAACUUUCAUUAUUCUUUCUAAAAGAAAAAUCUAUUAUUUCCUUGAUUACGGAAGAUAGAUAUUUUGACAUAAAGUGCACUUAUUAAGGUAAACUUUGUGCAUUAUACAUUGAAAUUAGAAAUUUGUAUUUAAAUCCAAUUAGAAAGGUACCACAAAAGAUGAAUAAUUGAAAUGACGACAUCCAUGCCAAUUUGUAACUGUUGUCAAAUCUGCCUUGACAUUUUACAUCCCAUGCCUGCGUGUCAAAUCUCCAACUGAGACUGCUCAAAGAGCACCUAAAAGAAAAUUACCAAGAUUUCAUCACAUGCAGAACUCAAGAUGCUAACAUUGAACCAUGGGAGAGACAAACAAAAAACAAAAUACUCACCCAUAAGUUUGUAAUUGUUGUACUCAAAACCAGCUUCCUAGUCAAACUUUCAACACAACUCCAUGGAGACUUUCACAAAUAGUUAAGCCACUAGUAGAAAACAACAUCAAUAUGAGAAAUUGACAAGGUACUGUGUAGAUAAAAGAGUAUAAAUGUGUGUUGAGAAUAAGAGUUACCUUAAUGAAUGUAAGGAUAGGAUAUGGUUGAAUUGGCUUUGCACCUAUUUUUGCAAUUUGAAUUUAUUACGGUUCAAAAAUGAGUUUAUGAUCUAUCCUCACUUUAGGGGAAGCGGGCAAUCUCCUUGAAACAUCUUUGAUUUAGAGAUUCAAUAAAACUCAAAAGACAACCUUUCACUUGGUAAAGAGGGCUAGAACAGGGCACCCCUCAGUCUUUAUAAGUUAAAGAGAUGAAGUCUUGAAGACUAAGGAAGGGAACUAGGGAUUCCAGAUUUGACAAUAGUUUCAUUGAAAUAUCAAUGAGAGUUAUAGCAAGAAAUACUGUCAAAAGGAAAUUGCAUUAAACAAUGUGCAAUAUAAAAUGAAUGAACUAAGUUUUUGGAGAGGUGAAUCUUUGGAGGGUCCACAAAGAUAAGGGGUCUUAAUACUCUUGCAAGUGUAUUCAUGAAACUGCUUUCUCAAAGAACUCCAGAACAUAAACAAUGUGCAACACAAAGUUGUUGAAGAGAUGUGAGACUUUGAAUCUGAUGAGGUAGGGACAAUUUGAUGAGGUAGGGACUUGAGAUCCACAUUUUCUUAUGUGAAGAAUUCUGAGGUUGUAGAGGCACACUAGUAGUUUCCAAAUUCAGAUGCUUCUCUUCAAAUACUCGCAUAAUGUACAUCUUCUGUGACAUUGCUGCUCCAACAGGAUGUGCAACCUAUUUGAGCAUACUACAUGUACAACAAAAAAUUUCAUUAAAACAAAAAUCUAAAGUUAAUGUCUAAGAAGAUAAGAUUUAUAUAAAGUGAAUGAGCAUGCUUGAUUUAGAAUGACCCUAAAAUUUAAGAAUAUCAUUACCACAAGUAGCUAAUUUACAUCAUUAAAAACUUCACAAGGAUUAGAUAGUUAGACAAUAAAGUAAUUCUAAUAAAUGAGUUAAAAUCGACUGAGCUAAGAAAGAUUAAAUCCAAAUAAGCAUCAAUCAUUAAGGAAUUGACCAACUAUGAAAGACUUCAAAUGACAUUUUCUUUGUAAUUUCUGUUCUUAAUUGACCCCAUUUGCUUGUACCAAAAUAUUAUUAACUUGCCUUAAAGGAAGUGGAUGACUUAUAUCUUUGAAAGGAUGUGAAAGGUGGAAAUCCCUCGAUUUCCAAUAAUUCAAGAAGAUAAUUCCUAUGGCUAUUGUUGUCAUUGUGCAUAAUUCAACUUGCUAUAGACUACAUAAUUGUACAAUCAUGAACACGUAGAUGCUUAAAUAUGGUAUGUAGUCCAUCUAGUGGAAAAACAAAUGAGACUUGGACAUCUCAAGAUUUUUGGGAAUCAAGACAAAUACAACUUCUUCUUGUUUCCUAUUAUAAUUCAUCUGGAUUGCAAUCAACAAGCACUAACACCAUUCACUGCAUGUUUUGAGUCUUCAACAUAAAACCCAAAUUCCAUUCUAUCAACCAAAAAAAAAUAAAAAAAAUCCUAAUAACUCCUUUAGAAACCAUUUUAUGUCUUAGAUUAUAAGAUGUAGGAUGUAACUAACUUCCAUCAUUGAGAAUGAAUUGAUAAAACUUUGCAAUACUAGCAUAUUCAGCUUCAUUAUGAUGACCUCAUUAGAAUUAGAAUAAGUGGAGUGAUAAUGUUAUCUAAUUAGUAAACCAAACCAAGUUAAUAAACUAGAACUUCCUCUAGUAUAGCCUCUAUGUAAAAGAAAUUUAAGGCUAUGUUUGGUUCCCGGAAAGUACAAAGGAAAGAAAAAAAAUGCUAAGGAAAAUGAUUUUCUCAUGUUUGGUUGUUCUAUAAAAAAUAUCAAAGAAAAUCAAAUAUAAUUAAAACUAAUUAAAAACUUAUGUAUUUUUAAAUUAUUUAAUCUUUAUAUUGAUGAGUUAAAAUAAAUAAAAUGAGUUUGAAGUAACAAAAAAAAUAAUUUAUCAACUUUUAAUCUAUUUUUUUAUUUUCCUUCACUUUUUCUUUCCUUCUACUUUUCCUUUGUAUUUUCUUUCCCUCGCAUUUUCCCUCAAAUUUUCCGGGAACCAAACAUGAAAGGUCUUGAUACAUUAGAUAUUGAAAUUGUUGGAUUAAAAUCUUAUUUAUUGCACAUGGCAAGAUAGAAGUAAUAAUGCUAAUUUCGAAUUAUGACAGAUUAUAGAGAAAAUUAGACACUGGGAAAAUACCAAGCCAGAAGCCAUGUCAAGAUCUGCUUUCUAGUUGAAAAUUUUAGCAAAAAAUUAAGUCCAAUUAAAAAAUUGCAAUAGUAGGUAAAAGAAAUUGAAAGUGAUGUUGAGGAGAGAAGAGAAAGAAAGAUGUUGGGAAUGAGAUGUAAUACCUGUUUUAUUGCUCAGAGAUGGAUUAGUCAUGUAUCUCCACACGGGGGAUAUCGGCAAUCUUGGGCCAAUCAUGUCCUUUCUCCUCUGAGUACAUUUGUUUAGAUGUGGACACCCCCAAAUCCGUAGUUCUGACAGGGAAUCAGGCACCAGUCCUUCCCUUGGAAAAAUCCACUGGAGUUUAGGGCAGUUGAAGAUCACUAGGCUUCUAAGCGAGGUGAGGAUUUGGAGAGAUAGGGAGGCUAAGGAUUCCAGAUUCUGGAAACGAGAAAUGUGAAGGGAGGUAAGAGUUGUAGGAAGAAGAAUCAAGUGGGGGUCAUCUGAAAAGGAAGUUGCAUCUGGAAACAUGCCUUCAAUUGAGAGGUUUUCAAGAGAAGUGAGUCUAGAAAGGCCCCAUUGGGAUAGGGGGGUCUUGAUAUUCUCACAGUGGGAGAUAAAAAACGAUGUAAGACAAGUGAGGUUUUUUAUCGGAGGCAAUAAUUCCAAAUUUUUAUUAUUUGCAAUAUAUAGAUCUGUGAGGUUGUAAAGGCAAUUUGGUAGGGCUCUGAGAUUAGGAUACCUCGCGAUGCUUAAAGAUUGAAAUGAAUUAUUAUUAGAGUGAAACAUCUCCUCUGAAAUUGACUCGAGGUGUUCACAAUCCCAAAUGUCAAGUCCCUCAAGGGUGGAGGGAAACUUGCCUCUUGGGAAGGAUGUGAGAGAUGAACAAUGAGAGAUAGCCAGGCUUUGAAGAGCAGCAGCAUUUGUGGAAUCGUAGUGCAUUAUUCCCUCUGGUAGAGACUCCAGCUUUUCGCAAUCACUUAUGUAGAGUUCCUUGAGAGUGAUGGGUAACCUACCUCUCGGAAAACCAAUCAAAGACGGACACAUAUUUAGACUUAAGUAUUCAAGGGCACACAUGUCCAUGGUGCUGGGGGUGGCGCUGGAAUUGCAGUGCAUCAUUCCUUCUGGAAGAGACUUUAGAUUUUCACACUCCCCUAUGAUUAAUUUCUUAAGGGUGGUAGGUAAUUGCCCUUUUGGAAAGCAAAUGACACAUGAACACUGCUUUAUUUCCAAGGAUUCAAGGACGCAUGAGUUGCUGCUGCCGUUACUAUUUCGCAUCAUCCCAUCAGGUAGACACUUGAGACUUUCACAAUUUCGAAGAAUAAGACUUCUCAGCUUUGGUGGGAAACCUACCUCUGGAAAUGACACCAGUUUUGGACAAUACUUGAUUUUCAAUUCUUCCAGGCAUGUUAGACUCUGCCAUCCAUUUGGAAGCCUCUCCAGUUUAUCACAGCUACUUAUUUUCAAAGAACGAAGAUUGUAUUCCGAUGGUACAAGUUGAUGGCAAUGAAGGCUUUCCGAUUCAAACCCAUCCUCCCACAAACACUUGAGUUCUUCACAUUCUGAGAAUUUCAAAGCCUGAAGCCCUCCCAAUGACCGCACAAAUCCUUGUUGCAAUUUGAUUAGCUCUAAAAUCCCAGAAACUCUUAACUCAGUGAGUGAGGUGAGUUCAAUUCCACUUCUCAAGACCGUCUCAUUACAUUCAUCGAUUGUUAAUUUCUUGAGAGAUGGUAGCCUUAGAAAUCAAAAGAUAGAGACUCUAGUGAUGGGAAAAACUUAUCUACAGAAAAACAUGUCUCUCCAUAAAACUCCGUACCCACAUUUGUUACUCCAUCAUUUCCAGAAAUCAACAACUGUUUGAGCGAUGAUAACUGCCCCAAGCAUGGUAAAGAUGUGCACUUUUUGCAAUCUAAGAGACGUAGAUUCACCAUUUUAGAGAAUGAGCCAUUCUUUAUCCAAUAUGGGAAUUCUAGACCACCAUAUCUAAAAAUUCUGAGUUCAUUCAAAUUCGAUGGAGGUUUUAGAUAGUCAAGGACAUUCAUUUGAUCCAUUUCAUUCCCUGGACCAUCCAAGCCAAAACUCCACAUUAGUGUCAAUCUUUCAAGUUUAUCCUUUAAUUUUAGACCUGCAUCCUUUACAUCUUGAACAUUCACCACAUUUUCCAAAUUUGAAAUACGAAGUUCACCUCCAAGAUUUGACAUUUCCCUCAACUUCUUGAUAUUCAAACCAUUGUUUUUGUCCACCAUGAAAUUAGAUAAUAUUUGCAAUUUUUUUAAUUUGACAAUUUGUGAAGGCAUUUCUUUUAAUUGACUGUUACCUUCAACAUCAAGAUGUCGAAGGUUAAUUAGAUUCCCAAUGCUAAUAGGCAACUUGGUAAGCUGAUUACACCAUGAUAAUAUCAAUGUUUGUAAAUUGCAAAGACUGCCUAUUGAAUCAAGUAAACAUUUAAUGUUGCUUUUAGACAAAUUAAGAUACCUUAGAAGUUUCAAAUUACCAAAUUCAUUUGGUAUCUCAUUUAUCCGGUAACCACUCAAGGAGAGCACCCUUAGGUGUCCUAAUCUUGGUAUCAAUUCUCGAAGCACCUUAUUACUGAUGAAUUGAGUAUCGAUAAAUCUUGGUGUUGAUAUAGCUAUGAACGUGCGCAAAUGCUCCUUCUCAUGAAACCUUUCAAACUUUUUAAAUGUAUCAUAAUCCUCACGAACAAACGAUGAAUGGCGAGUAGUUUUAGGAAUGAGAUGUUGCAAAUUAUUUUUGAACUCAUCAUCCAAAUGCAAGCAUGUAUCUCCAGCAACAUAUUUAGCUAGAGCAUGCACAAGGUCAUGCAUCACGAAUCGUGAUCUAUUGCUACUUGACGAUUGAAAAGAUGACCUUGACAGUAGCUCAUCAAAAUACUUAUCACCAAGAUCUUCCAUUUUCCUAUUAUCUUUUGAUUGUUGAAUUAACCCCUCCGCCAUCCACAUGAGGAUUAACCCUUGCUUUGUAAACUCAUAAUCCUGGGGAAAAAUUGUGCAAUAAGUAAAACACCUCUUUAAAUGUGAUGACAGAUGAUAGUAGCUCAAUCUCAAGGCAGGGAUGAUGUCACAUUCCUUGUCUGUGAAAUCCCAUACUUUGCUGUACAAUACUCUUUCCCAUUCACAUUCACGUAAUUCAGAGCGCAAAAGGCCACCAAGGGCUCUUGCUGCUAAGGGCGAACCUCCACACUUCUCUACAAUUCUCCUGCCAAUUGAUUCCAAAUUUGGGUGCUCAUCGAUAUUCAUAUGUUCAAAAGCAUGUGUUUGAAAUAUCUUCAAACAAUCAUCAUAAGGUAACUGUUUGAGCUCAUGUAAGUUCUUGUGCCCUCUCAUCUUGUUUGCAACAUCAUUAUUGCGAGUUGUGACUAGAAUUUUGCUUCCCUGUGCUCCCACCCAGAAAGGGGAGCAUAGCCUGUCCAACUCAAAGUAAUCAUCAUUCCACAAGUCAUCCAAAACUAUCAGAAAUUUUUUUCCCUUCAAUUCCUUCCUCAAAUUUUCUUGGAUUUGAUGCAAGUCUUGUGAAUCACUGCUUUGAGAAUUAGUCGCCGAGUUGAGAAUUGUCUUUGUUAUUCUCAAUGCAUCGAACUGAUCUGAGACACAAACCCAGUCUUUUUUAUCAAAAUGCUUGGUUAUGGUCUCAUCGUCAUCGUACACCAGUCUUGCCAGUGUGGUCUUGCCCAUCCCACCCAUGGCCACGAUGGAAACUACAGAAAAAUUGGUUUUAGUGGGUUCAUUCGUAAGCAGCAUACCAAUUAUAAUAUCUUUUUCUGUCCCCCUGCCAUAGACCUGAGGUUCAUAGACUAGAGAUGCAGUGACUGGCCUUCCCCAAGCAGAGUUGGUUAUCGCAGCCACCUUUUCUAGACGAAGCUCAGAUUUUUGAGCCGAAAUAUCUCGUAAGCGGCGAGUGAUUUCAUACACCUUGGAGCUCAUUUUAAUAUAACGCAUAACCUCAGUAGGAUUGAAAAUGCCAAGACAAGUUGAGAUGAGCUUGCGUACCUUGCUCGGCCUGCCUUGAUGAUCAGCUUCUUUGGCCGUGAGCUCCCGUUGCAAAGCUUCGUAGGCGAACUCAUCCAAGAUGUCCUCCAUAUCAUAAGCCAUAUCUUUCAGAUUGCCCAGCCACUCUUUCACAGAGCGAUCCGUGAUCUGCUUGUCCUCCGCGUCAUUAAGCUCUUCACGAAUAUCCGACAAUUCUAUCUCCCAUUUCUUGAGAUCAGAGUACACCCAUUGUUGACGUGCAAAGUCGAGCAAGUCAGCGGAGGCCAACUUGUCAAACAAGAGGCCGAUGGCAGCAGAAAGAAGAGCGUCUCCCACAGCUUCCAUGGUUGGUUUGUACUUUGUUUGCAGAGAGAGAGAGAGAGAGCAAAUCAAGCAGUGGGUAAAAAAGUGAAGCAGAAAGAAGGGGGUCUGCUCUGUGAAGGCUUUAAAUAUUAGAAACUCAUAAAACAUUUGUUUUAUGAAUUUAUUAUAUGCACCCAUUUUCAUUUUAAUUUAUUUGAAGCUCCUUGUAGCAACAGCUGGAUCAUAUUGGAGUUUGAGAUGGCCCGACUGCCCACCUGCAUGCCACUGUUGGUUUGUUUGUGUACUUUAAAUAUGUCUCAAUUUUAUUAUAAAAUUUUAUUAUUUUUUUUAAUGUAACUAUAUAUAUAUAUAUAUAUAUAUAUAUAUAUAUAUAUAACUCUUUUAUUAUUUUUUUAUUUGCAUGAUAUUUCUUUCAUACCAAUCAAAACUAUAAAGAGAUUUUUCUUAAAAUUCAUAAAAUAUCUUGUUUUUGUUGCAUCAAUAUGUUUCAUUUCAUUGUAAGAAAGCCCAGUAAAAUGUGAUAUUUUCUAAUUUCUGAUUUGUAACAUUUUUUUUUUCUUAUUUAUUCCAAUCUUAUAUGCAUAUUACACUAUUAGGCAAAGUUGUCAAUGACAAUGAUUGUUAUUUAUAAUGGCUUGAACUUAGAAGCAUCCUAGCUUAUGAUACUCAAUUAUAUUCACCUCUACAACUUAGUUUCAAAAUGUUGGAAUGCAUACCAAAUUCCUAAUUAAUCAAGGUUUCUUUUUUUGUAAAAAAAUGUUAUAUAGAAUAUUUACUUAGUUGAUACAUUAUUAUAAUAUUAAAUUUCCUUCUAGAAUAAGGAAUAUUAUUAGAAAUAUCUCUAUAAAUAUUAUAGGUAAAAGUGAACAUGAGCUUUUAGUGACUAUACGAAGUUGAUAGAGAUGUGAUGAAGAACAAAGAUACUCAGUAAAAUGAGAGGGCUCGUGGUUUAAGGUAUGGAUACAAGGAGUGACACAAAAUAAUUUAUUAACUCAAAAUCUAUUUUUUAUUUUUCUUUAUUUUUUUUUUCUUUCUAAUUUUCUUUUUCUCUAACUCCCUCAAAUCUUCUAGAAACCAAAUAUAGUCCUAAUGUGUGUUGGACGAUGAACUUGUUAUUUUAUAAACUUCAAAUAUUCAAUUUUCAUGGAGAAGGAAUCUCAUAUCUAUCUCAAGUUAAUUAUAUGCAUCCCAUUUUUACCACUAGCAAACCUUAAUCACCUUAUUAUAUGGAAAUUGGGUAUAACUAGAUGUAAUAAAAAACAAAGUUUUGUGAAUAAUGAAAGAACUUGUACAAGUAAAAAUAAAUUUUAAUAAGAUGCAAAAAAUUUUUGGCUUCCAUAUCUACUCAAAUAAGCACAGAACUUUUUUCUUCAACUUUUAAGUUUUUGAUUUCUCAAAAAUCAAUCUAAAUUGGAUUGAUAAAUUAUAAAAGGUUACAAUAUAAUAUUACAAUGUAUAAAUAUUAUUUUCACUUCUAUAUUUCCCAUGAAAUUAUUUAUUUAUUUAUUUAAAUUGAAAUGUCCUUUGUUAUUUGUUUCUACCUUUAAAAAGUAAAAAAAUUAUUUUAAAUCUUAGGUAUGGCAAUACUUAAGUAUUUAAUAAUUUUGAUUAGAUAAUUACAUUUUCUUUUACAUUUUACACAUAAAAUAAUUAAUUACAUUUUAUGUUAUAUUAUUUAAUUAGUGAUAUUUAAAUUUUAAUUAGUUUUUAAGAAUUUAAUUAAUAGUUAAAUAAUUAGAUUUAUUUAUGUUUAAAUCUAAUUAACAAUAAGUUCAAUGCAACAAGAAAAAAAUAGCUUAUGGUUAUUAUUUUGAAGUGGAUUUCAAUUUUAAAUUUUACAAGUAGACUUGUUUGACUAACCUUAUAAAUUAGUAGAAUUUAACAAGUUGCAAAUGGUUCCCUUACUAAUCUUUUAAAUUAAUCUUGAUGUUGACAAGCACUUUACCAACCAUAAUUAUAAAAAGACAAAUAAGUCAAGUUGAUUUUACUAAAUUGCAAGCGGGUGCCCUUACCUAAUCUUUUAAAUUAAUCUUGAUGUUCACAAGCACUUUGCCAACCAUAAUUAUAAAAAGACAUAUAAGUCAAAUUGAUUUUACUCAAUAGAGAUUAAUAAAUUGCAAGUGGGUGCCCUUUACCUAAUCUUUUAAUUUAAUCUUCAUAUUGAUAAGAACCAAAUCAGCCAUAAUUAUAAAAACAAGAAGACGACAAGCUAUGAUUACUUUUAUUAACUAAAAUUUAAUAAAUCAAAAUUUCUCUUACCUAACCUUUAGAUUAAUCUUGAUAACUUUGCCAACAGUAAUUAUAAAAAGAGAAAGACAACAAGCUAAUUUAAUUGGCUAAUUUUAUCAACUUAGGUUUAAUAAAUUUAAAGUAGGUUGAUCUCUUACCUAUCCUUUUUAAAUUAAUCUUGAGAUCAAUAAGAAUCAUACAGCCAUAAUCAUAAGAAGAGCUAAAACAUAAGUCGAUUUGAUAUUUAAUUAGUUAAUUUUAUUAACUAUAAGAUAUAAAAAUUUGGUAGGAGGUGUCUUAAAUCCCAAAUUAGAAUAUACUUUUUUUUCGUGAAAAGAAUAUUAUAUAGAAUAUUUCCAAAGUUUAUAUGUGAUUGUAAUUAAAUUCAAGUUAGUACAGAUAUAUUUAUAAAUAUUUUAAGACAUGAAGAGAAAAAUUUAUGGAAGAUAUGAAAAAGAGAUGCGAUCAAGAGUGAGAGAUGUUGAUAGAACAAGAGGGUUCACUAGGGAAGAGUGUAGAUGUGAAGAAGAAUGAGAAACACAUAGUGGAGCAAAAUGAUUCAUGGUUUAUGAUAGAGAUAUAAAGAGCAGGAAAAGUGGGAUGUUUGGGUUUUGGUAGUCGUCUAACCUUUGUAUGUGGUUUGCUUUAUUCAUGUGUUCUUCCUUUAAUAUGUUUAAAUUGAGGUUUUUGUAUUCCUUUUGGUCCUAAGAUGGGUUCUGUCAUGUAAUUAAUUAUGCCCGUCUCCAAUUUCAUUAGAAACUUGUGUUCUACGAUUUGACAAAUGAAAAUAAUUAUUUUUCUAUAAUUUUUUUAUUAUAAUUUUGUUAGUUAAUAAAAAAUAGAAUAUAGAUAAUAUUAGCCGUCAAAUAGAAAGAUAAAUAUGACAAUUAAUGUGUUUUCGCAUCAUAUUUGUACUUAGAUGGUUUUGCUUAUAUGAAGUAAUUUAAUGCAACUAUGAAGAUUUAUAUGAAGUAAACUUUAUAUAAUUUUAGAUUAAAUAAUCAGUUAAUUUUUAUUUGAAGAUACAAAGACAUAAAAUAAAAGUCUUGUUCGAAAACUAUUAUUGAAAACAACAUGAAAAUGGGGUUUUUUCACUUAGAAAUAUACAUUUGACAAACUUCUAAUAUAAAACUUUUUAAAAUAAGUUAUUUUUUAGAACAAAUUUGAAAUGUUUUUAAUUUUUUCACAACAAUUUAAAUAAAAAUUGAAGAUAUAGAUAAUAUAUAUUUUGGGAAAUUUUGUAUCGUAUUUAAGUAUACAAUUCCUUUGUAAAGAAUAAAUCGAAACGAGUAAUAGCUAUUUUCAAGAAUUGUUUUGAAGAAUUAUUUUCACAAAUGUUGUCAAAUAAGCUCAAAACUUUCUACAUCAUUUAUAUUAAUCUUGGAUUCAAUUAGAAUUUUGCCACAAUUGAAAAGAGAAAAAAAUGUUAAUUAAUUGGUUAAUAUUUACAAUCCUAAAAAAAAUUAAAAAAUAAAACAAUAAUUCAAAAAAUUUUAAAUAAAAAUCUUGCUAGCUAAAAUAAAAAUUCACCAUCAAAAUAAAAGAUUAUCUAAUAGUUUUCUAUUUUUGAAUCUAUAAUCAAGAAUGUUCAUAUAAUUUCUUUUACAAUAACAUACUAAAAUAGAAAGAAAUUAAAAUGGAAAAAGAAAAUGAUUAACAAUAAAAUUCAUAAAAAGAAAUGAAAAUUAAGAAGAUUUCAAUCCACUUCAAUAUUAUUUCAAUGAAAUAGUAUUGCAUUUAAAUUAUUGAAGGUCAUACCAAUUUAUUUUUCGUCCUUUUUUAAUACUUAAUUUUGUUAUCAAACAAUGAAAAUUUUACUAAUCAAGGAAAAUGAGAAAAGAAAAUAUUUUUCUUGAAAGUUAAUGAAUUUAUUAAGAAAGGAAAACAAAAGGUCUUUUAUGGGAUACUUUAUUAAAUUAAAUUAAUAACUUAAUUUAAAUCAUUAAAUAAAUUAAGUAUGUUUAGCAAAAUAACAUAAUGGUAUGAUUUAAAAUAAAAAAACUUUAAAUAAUAAAUAAAAAUAAUUAACUUAUUCUUAAAUUCACAUUUUUAUUUUACCUUUUUACCCCAAUUUGCCAUAAUUACCUCCACAAUUUCCUUUACUAUUCCACGACCUUUACUUUUACACGACCUCCUUUACUCUAGGUAUAAUUUAUGAGGAUAAAUAUGUCAAUUUGAAAAUUUAGAAUUAAUCAUAAGUUAGUUUUAUCACACAAUCUUAAUACUUAAAAUAAGAAUUAAGUAAUAAGUUUUAAGUUAACAAUUUAAGUAUAAUUUAACUAAAAGUCAACUUAAAUCAUUAAGUAAUUAGUAUUAAGUUUUAUCAAACACCUCCAUAUAAUUAGUUAAUUUUGAUUAAUCUAAUAAUAUAGAAAGUGAAAUAUACACAUUUUUUUAUUGGUUAGGUUGGUCUUGAACUUCUUUCACCAAAUCAUUUUUAUUAAUCUUAACAUCAACAUUAGCUAAUUAUAAUUAAAGAAAAGAAAACAAAAAAAAUAAAAAAUAAAAAGUCAAUUUGGGUGACCAAUCUUUGUUGAAAAAUUUAAAACCAAACAAAAUUUGAUCAAUACAAAAAAAAUAAAAAUAAAAAUGUAUGAAGUAGACAUUUUGUCUUUUUGAGAUUAUUGAUGGAAGUGUAAUAGACUAUAAACAUGUCUAUGAGAAUCAAUCCCAAUGAGUCCUAAAACAUAUCUAUGAGAUUAUUGUUGGAUAGAGAUUAAAAAUAAAAUAAAACCAUGUCAUAAAGAAAUGAUAUUUAAGUAUUAAUAAAUAGGAAUUGGAUACAUAUAAAUAAAAUUUAAAUUAAAGAAGAAAUGAAACUAUUUUUAUUAUGUGGUUGUUUUUAAUGGACCACCAAUUUUUUUUUUUAAAUUAUAUAUAUAUAUUCCAUAGAAAAAUUACUUUCUAAUACCAUAGAAUCACCCUAAUUUCAAAUUGAGAUUUACUAUCUUAAAUUUUAAAUUUUUUAAAAAUAAUUUUUAAGGGCAUGAACUAAAUCUAUAUGUUUUGUGAAGAAUUUAUAUUCUUUAUAUGGAAAUUUUUAUCAAUUUUUGUUUUUAAAAACAAAAAAUAAGAAGCACUUAGAGUGUGUUUGACAAUGAUUUUAAGAAGUGAUUCUAAUCUUUCUAAUACUUGAAAAAUAAAAAUUUUUAUAUGUUGAAACAAUUGCAGAAUACACUUUAGUAAGUAAUGAUAUUAAUUUCUUCGAAGAGAGAGAUUUACAUUUAGGAUAGAAAUUAAUAAAUAAAACAAUACAAGGAUAAAAAUUUAUUUUUUAAAAAAACUUUUAACUUCUUGUACUUUAUCAUUACACACUUUUUUCAUUAGAUGCUUUAAAUAAUUUUUAUUAAAUAAAAUUAUAUUGAUGGAGGGCUAAUUAACUUUGCUUAGGGUGAGAAAGAUAGAGAUAAAAUUGAAGUGGGUACACAUCUAAAACAAAAAUGAAAUAAAAAGUAAAGAUGAAGAUAAGAUUGAGGUGGGUUCACAACUAAAAAAAGAAUGAAAUAAAAAGUAUGAGAUGAAUUGACCAAAGCUUAUCCCUUCUUCCAAAUAGUAAAAGCAAAGCCUAGUAGUAUAAAGUGAUGACACUAGUCCUAUUCAAGGCCCCACUUGCAUAAUUGCUACAUCUUUUUGACUUGAUUUUAGUUCAAUUUCACUAAAAUGAAAUAAUUUAUUUGAGCCCAAAAAUCCAAAUCCAAAUCCAACCCACUUAUUUAUAUACAUUAUUGGCAUGGAAUGAGAAAAGUUAUAAAGUGAGAAAAUUUGAUCAUAUGAUAAAUAGUGAUUUUUCAAAGUUGGAGUCAAUCCAAUGCCCAAUGGGUAUAAAAGAAAAAGGAAAGAUGUGGAAAUUAUAGUGGAAUCUCGAAACAAAUUUUUGAGGUUUGAGGUGAUGUGACAACCGUUUCCAAGUAAUUGCCUAAGAAUGUGAGAUGUUGUUGCAUUGAAAAUUGAUAUUAAAGCUCAUUGGGUAACAGUAAGAAUUGCUUUACAUAAAGACAAGUAAUAAAUACAUCCUACUUUUUCAAAAAGUUUAUGAGUGAAUAAAACUUUUAGAGUAGGAUGAAUGCAUUUCACGUGAGUCAUGUAUUUUUAGAAUUUUCUAGCAGGAUGUCGAGGAAAACUCUAUGAUGAGUGUUUUCUUUCUAGUUAAGGUAGGUCCAAUUUGGUGCAAUUCGUCAAUAUAAUUCAAACCCAACAUAUGUUUUAAGGAUUUGAAUUGAGUAAAAUCAUCUUUAAAUUAAAUUAAUCAUAUGAAUCAACGUAACCUGUUUAAUAAAUAGAUUAUUUUUAGGUCAAUCUAGAUAACCCACAUUUGACUUGAAUUAACUUAUUUAAUAAUGGUAUUGAUUAACCUAAUAAUAACUUUAACUUAUUGAACUCAUAUUUGACUCAUGUAAAAUUUUUUUUUCAAUAAUUAUGUCAUAAUUGGGCCAUAAACAUGACAUAUUAGAAUAUUAACCAUAUUAUUUCAUUCAACAUUUAAUUUGACUUGAUUAUGAAAUAACAUCUUAUUAUAAAAUCGGUUGAGCCGGUUAUAAUGUAUCACCUAGAUAAUAAUUAUAUGGUGUUUGAGUUUAUGUUUUAAAUUUUGAUUAUUAUUCAUGUCAUGUUUGGGUUGAGUUAUUUAGUGGAGGAUCUAACCUUUGAUAUAACACAAACACAACCCACUAACUUAAAUUGCCAUCAUCACUUCUACUAGUAAGUGAUUUGUUUAUUAUAAUUAAGAAAAUUGAGAAGAUAUAAUUUAUUUUUUAAUUUUAAAUGCAUGAUUAAAGUUAAUUAUGACUUUUCAAAAUUUUAUAAUUCAUAUUCCAUCCAAACUAACAAAAUAUUAGAAAUCUUCAAUGUUUUUGUCUACAAUAAAUGUGUUGUGUUAAAUUAUCCCCUUCUCUACUAACCAAAACAUGUUCUUUCACAAUCAAAUAUCAACAUGUUUGAGCAGCCGGUGAGGCAUCUCUUGACAAUGAGGUGAGAGGUAGAAACAAGAAACAUACCUAUAUUAAAGAGAAGUGUUGUUUCUUCAUUUGCUUUAGACAACAUUCAUUUAGUCUAAACUUGAAGGCGGAUUGCUAGAAUCUGAGCUCUUGGAAAGACAUAAGAGAAGUACAUUUGGAAAUCUGAAAGAAGCCCAGAGACCUAUUGCUACUUGUGAAUCACAGUAAUCAGAAACAAUUCCAUAUAAUCUUGUAAUUCUGGACCUUUGAUUUGCUCUGUUUCAUUUUGCCAAGAACAAUUCUAGAAUGUUUUUCUUUAUUGAGUCGUAAUGAUUUUAUUAUUAGGAUUUAAUUGUAUUCAUUAGGUUUGCAAAUCGGUAUUAUGCCUAUGAAUAUUUUCCUCUUUGAUCAUGUAAAGUUGGAAAACAGUUAUGGAAUUCUAUGAUAGCAUAGUACAUUGAUCCACACGGUUUGUGGCAUGACAGUUUAAUGAAAUUACAGAAGUGUAGCACUCAUGGGUAUGUCAUGUGAACCUUUUUCAAUGGAGCUACUUGUUUAAAUUUACAUGGGUGAAUUGUCACACCAAUAUCCUCUAAUGAACCUUGGGUUCUUUUUUCUGUUUCUUCCUCUCUUGGUCAAGCCAAACAAUUUGUCUUUAUAAGGACUUCAUGUUACUAAUAAGUAGCAUCUUGUGUUCUCCUUCUCUUCAUCUCCUUGUCAAGACACAGUGAUCUAAUGCAUUUUUGCAUUGGGUUGCUUCCUCUCCUCUCCCUUUCCUUCCUCCUUGAGGCAAAAUUGCAUCAUUUCUUAGUUUUGAUUAUGUUUCUUUUUAUCAUUGUGAGAGAGCAUCAUUGUAAGAUGUACAAGAAACGUGUUGUGAUGCAUUAUCCCCUCCUCUACCACCUAAAAUCUAUUUUACACGAUCAUAAGGACCAAGGUGUUUUAAGCAUCAGGUAAGGCAUUUGUUGACAAUGAUGUGAGAGAUAGAGACAAGCAACAUACCAGUAUUCAAAAUACAUGAUCUUCUUUUUUUUUCAUUUGACAACAUUCAUUUAGUCUGAACUCCACAUUUGGGCAACUCAUAAUCUCCACCUUCAUUAGGAUUGCUAGAAGUUGGCUUCUUAGAAAGACAUGGAAAAGGGGCAUCUAGAAAUCUGAAAGAAUUCCAAAGGCCUGUUGCUACUUUUGAAUCAUUCCAAUUAAUAACAACUUUAAAAGAUAUAUACAAAUCUGUCCCUAGGAAAGAGAUGUGUCCUAUGCAUAUGCAACCAUCUCUCUAAUAGACUCAGGGUUGUGCACCAUCAUGGUAGUUUCUUAUAUAUUACAUCAUAUUAAUUGUAGAUAUCCAACUACCAAUAUCAUUACACCUGAAUGAACUAAGAGCUAUGCUGAAAGUGAAGUUGGACAACCCAUCAUUGAAAGAAUCCUGUAGGAAUACCCCAAAAUGAAAAUUUUAUUAGCAUAAAUGAAUUCACCCAAAUUAAGGAUAAAGUUGCUUAAAAAAAUGAAUUGGGAGAGAUAGAAAUAUUGAUGCUUUCAUAGGACUAUGAGAGGGACCAAUAAGUAGAACAAACAUUGAAUAGUAAAUGUAAAGCAAUAAAGCUUGUAACUGUUGUCAAAAGCUGCUCCCUAGUGAAGUUUUUUAACAAUAAAGGUAAGUGCAAAAUUCACCUAAUGGCUCCACUUGUAGGAAAUUUCAAUGAUGUGAAACUAGGAUAUGGUGAACUUGCUUCUGCUAUUGCAGUGAACUAUUAUAGAUCAAAAAUAAAUCUCACCAUCGGUUUUCACAUUAGAGAUGUGGGCUAUCUUUGGCCCAUCUCUCAAUAUUGGAUUUAGGAGUUCUGUCUCUCAUAUAUGGUUCCACUUGCAAAAUACAAAUGGAGCUUAGAAGAUGACAACACAUUUAGAAAAAUGCAAGAAUUCCACUGACAUGUUUUGUGCUAUCAUGAAUCAUUCCAAUCAGUAAAGAAUUGAAGUGCUAUAAUUUUGAAUUGUCUUAGGGAACACACCCCAAUUCAAUCUUACGAAAGUAAACUGUCUUGAGUACCAACUCAAUUUGAGUUCUUUGGGAGACUUGAGACACCAAUUUAAUCAAAGCUGCUAGUUGUUUCUGAAGUAGAUUGUCUUUCUCCACUGAUACUGGGGAAAAUGCUUUUCAAAACCAUUAAUCUGCAAAUUACAAAGGGAAAUGAGAUUAUGUUGUUAUCAUAUCUCCAAUCUCCUUGACAUAAAUAGAAAAUUUCCUUGCAACCAAUAAUUUCUAAUUCUAUCACUUCUAUUCUAGCAUGUGAUUUGGGAAGAGAAUUAAGCUUCAAAAUAUUGCCAAUAUGAAAGGAAUUGGAAGAGGCCAAGUGGGCAGCCACCAUAGCUAGUUCACAAACAAAUGACAACAUUGGAAGUGGAACACGACACAUAAACUUCAAAGACAAAACAUGUUUCCCACAAUCAUAAAUACCAAGGUGUUUAAGCAUCAGGUAAGGCAUCUCUUGACAAUGAUGUGAGAGAGAGACAAGCAACAUACCAGUAUUCAAGAGAAGUAGUAUUCUUCUUUUGCAUUCGACAACAUUCAUCUAUUCUACACCCCAAAUUUUAGCAACUCAGGAUCUCAACCUUCAUUAGGAUUGCAGGAAGCUAGCCUCUUGGAAACACAUGAGAGGACAUUUAGAAAUCUGAAAGAAUUGUAGAGACUUAUUGUUGCUUGAAUUGUGAGUAAUUCCAAUCAUAAAUACCAAGGUGUUUCAGGAUCAGGUAAGGCAUCUCUUGGCAAUGAUGUGAGAGAUAGAGACAAGCAACAUAUCGGUAUUCAAGAGAAGUAGUAUUCUUCUUUUGCAUUCAACAACAUUCAUCCACUUCACACCCCAGAUUUUAGCAACUCAGGAUCUCCACCUUCAUUAGGAUUGCAGGAAGUUGACCUCUUGGAAACACAUGAGAGGACAUUUAGGAAUAUGAAAGAAUUCCAGAGACUUGUUGUUGCUUGAAUUGUGAAUCAUUCCAGUCAUAAAUACUAAGUUGUUCCAAGAUCAAGUAAGGCAUAUCUUGGCAAUGAUGUGAGAGAUAGAGACAAGCAACUACCAGUAUUUAAGAAAAGAAGUAUUCUUCUUUUGAAUUCGACAACAAUCAUCUACUUUACACCCCAAAUUUUAGCAACUCAGGAUCUCCAUCUUCAUUAGGAUUACAGGAAGCUGGCCUCUUGGAAACACAUGAGAGGAUAUUUAGAAAUCUGAAAGAACUCCAGAGACUUGUUAUUGCUUGAAUUAUGGAUCAUUCCAAUCAUAAAUACCAAGGCGCUUCAAGAUCAGGUAAGACAUUUCUUGACAAUGAUGUGAGAGAUAGAGACAAGCAACAUACCAACAUUCAAGAGAAGUAGUAUUCUUCUUUUGCAUUUGACAACAUUCAUCUACUCUACACCCCAAAUUUUAGCAACUCAGGAUCUCCACCUUCAUUAGGGCUGCAAGAAGUUGGCCUCUUGGAAACACAUGAGAGGACAUUUAGAAAUCUACAAGAAUUCUAGAGACUUGUUGUUGCUUGAAUUGUGAAUGAUUCCAAUCAUAAAUACCAAGGUGUUUCAGGAUCAGAUAAGGCAUCUCUUAGCAAUGAUGUGAGAGAUAAUGAUAAGCGACAUACCAAUAUUUAAGAUUAGUAGUAUUCUUCUUUUGCAUUCAACAACAUUCAUCUACUUUACACCCCAAAUUUUAGAAACUUAGAAUUUCCACCUUCAUUAGGAUUGCAAGAAGUUGACCUCUUGGAGACACAUGAGAGGACAUUUAGAAAUCUGAAAGAAUUCCAGAGACUUGUUGUUGCAUGAAUUGUGAAUCAUUCCAAUCAGUAACAACCGCAAAGCCCUAUAUACAAUUUUUAGCUGUUAAACUUUUUACAUUGAAUGAAAAACCUGUCCCUAGGAAAGAGGUGUCUUGGGCAUGCAACCAUCAAUUAUUAGCUCUUGAAGAGGCUUGAAGCUAUGCACCCUCUUGGUAGCUUCUAAUUCAUUACAUCAUAUAACUUCCAGAUAUCCAAUUAGCACGUCACUAUGCCUAAAUGAAGUAGGAAACAUGGUGAAUAGGAAGUUAGACAACCUUUUACAAAAAGAAUCCUACAAGAAUACACCAAACAAAACUUCUUGUUAACAUAAAUGAAUUCACUCGAUUAAAUUAUUGUGUUAAAAUGUAAAUUGGGAGAAAUAAAAAUACUAAUGCUUACAUGGGAUUGUGGGAGGACCAACAAGAGGAACAGACUUUGAAUAUAAAAUGUGAAGCCUUAAAACUUGUAACUACUGUCAGAUGUUGCUCCCUAGUCAAGUUUUCAACAAAAAGGUUCAGUGUAGGGAUUCUCUAAUAGCUGAACUUGUAGAAAAUUUCAACUGGAUGGCAAUUUAUAUGUUAACAAGAAGAUAAAAUGUAAGAAUUAUGUGUUAGGAAUAGAUGAAACUUACUAUAUAUAUGGAUAGGAUAGGGUGAACCCUCCCUGUUUCCAUUUUUGGAACCCAAACUAUUAUGGAUCAAAGUUGGAUCUCUCCAUCUAUUAAAUACAACUGGAGCUUAGGUGAGGUCUUGGUGAUGUAGGAAAGUCAUGGAUUCUGGAAUCUUUACAUGAAAAUAUAAAUGAGAGAUACAUUGGAAGAAAGGGUAGGCCUUGGUCAUCUGAGAAGAAACACAUCUUAAAUAUACUAUCAAUCUUGAGUUGUUUGAGAGUGAUGAAUCUGUAAAGACCUCCCUCAGAUAAGGGAUGUCUUUGACAUUUCUCCCUCUUCAAUCUCAGGAAGGUACACCAUCAACUAGAACAUUAGGAAUGUGAGUCAUCAUGGGACAACUUGUAUAUCACUCACCUAAAAACUUGUAUGUUGGAUAAAAGUCCUGCUAAUGAAUCCUGACAAUUAUUUGCAAUCAAAAUUUAGUAAUGAUUUAUAAACAAAAAAAAAAAAAGGAAAUUACAAAAUUCUUUGGCAAUGUUUCAUGAAAAACACAUUGCAUAUUGAUUGAGAAAUUAAUAUGAAAUCCACUAAUUUGAAAGACACUAAAAACCAAAUGUUCUCUUGAGUUCUCCAUGUAUCAAAAUAGAUGCAAGUUUCUAUUUGAGCCACCACAAUCAUAGAGCACAAGACUUCUUAGCAUGGAAGGCAUACCAUAUUUUAAACAAGGUUUUUAACUUUCCAAGAGACAUAAGAACGUGGUAUGUUGUAGAAACUGUAGAAUAAAUAAAUGGAAGUUAGACAUAUGCACUUGCUACUUAGUUUUUUAAUCAUUUAUGAAAUAAAUAAAGAGGUGUUACUUGCAUUCAGCCAAACUUGUAGUCUCCAAUGUGAAAUCCAAAUCUCAUUUUGUCAACACAAUAAGAGCAUUAAACAUAUAGCAAAUUGAAUCCUUCCUUUUGACAAUUUGAAAACCUGAAAGGAAUGACUUGAGAUCAUAAAUAACUAUACGGUAAAGAAAAUUUUCAUCAUUCUUUCUAAAAGGAAAAUCUAUCAUUUCCUCGAUUACAGAAGAUUGAUAUUUAAACACAAAGUGAACUUAUUAAGGUAAAAUUUGUGCAUUAUAUAUUGAAAUUGGAAAAUUGUAUUUAAAUCUAGUUAGAAGAGUAUCACAAAAGAUGCUUAAUUGAAAUGAAGGCAUCCAUGCCAAUUUGCAACUGCUGUCAAAUAACACCCUUCGUCAUUUUACGUCCCAUGCUUGCAUGUCAAAUCUCUAACUAAGACUGCUCAAAGAGCACCUAAAAUAAAAUUACCAAGAUNNNNNNNNNNNNNNNNNNNNNNNNNNNNNNNNNNNNNNNNNNNNNNNNNNNNNNNNNNNNNNNNNNNNNNNNNNNNNNNNNNNNNNNNNNNNNNNNNNNNCUAAAAUAAAAUUACCAAGAUUUCAUCAUAGUUAGAACUUAAGAUGCUUACAUUGACCAUGGGAGAGAUUGAUAAGAAACAAAAUACUCAUCCAUAAGUUUGUAACUAUUGUACUCAAAACUGCUUCCUAGUCAAACUUUUAACAUAACUCCAUGGAAACUUCCAUAAAUUGUUGAGCCACUGGUAAAACACAACAUCAAUAUGAGAAAUUUACAAGGUACUAUGUAGAUAAAAGAGUAAGAAAUGUGUAUUGAGAAUAAGAGUUACCUUAAUGAAUGUAAGGAUAUGAUAGGGUUGAAUUGGCUCUGCAACCAUUUUUGCAAUUUGAAUGUAUUAUGGUUCAAAAAUGAGUUUAUGAUGUAUCCUCAUCUUAGGGGAAGCGGGCAAUCUGGGGCUAAUCUCAAUCAUUCUCCUUGAAACAUCUUUAUUUCAAAGUUUGAUAAAACUUAGAAGACAACCUUUCACUUGGAAAAGAGGACUAGAACAGGGCAUCCCUCAAUCUCUACAAGUUAAAGAGAUGAAGUUUUGAAGAUGAAGGGAGGAGGCUAGGGAUUCCAGAUUUGACAAUAUUUUCAUUGAAAGAUCAAUGAGAGCCGUAGCAAGAAAUACUGUCAAAAGGAAAUUGCAUUUAACAAUGUACAAUAUAAAAUCAAUGAACUAAAUUUUUAGAGAGGUGAAUCUUUGGAGGCUCCACAAAGAUAAGGGGUUUUAAUACUCUUGCAAGUGUAUUCGUGAAAUUAUGUUCUCAAAGGACUCUAGAACCUGGACAAUGUGCAACACAAAGCUGUUAAAGAGAUGUGAAACUCUAAACCCGAUGAGGUAGGGACUUGAGAUCCACAUUUUCUUAAGUGAAGAAUUUUGAGGUUGUAGAGACACUAGUAGUUUCCAAAUUCAGAUACUUCUCUUCAAGUAUUUGUAUAAUGUACAUCUUCUUUGACAUGGCUGCUCCAACAAGAUUUCCAAUAGGAUGUACAACCUAUUUGGGCAUACUACAUGUACAAUAAAAAAUUUCAUUAAAACAAAAAAAUUUUACUAAAACAAAAAUCUGAAGUUAAUGUCUAGGAAGAUAAGAUUUAUAUAUAGUGAAUGAUCAUGAUUGAUUUUAGCACAAAGGGAAUGACGCCAAAAAUAUUAAGAAUAUCAUCACCACAAGUACCUAAUUUGCGUCAUUAAAAAUUCCACAAGGAUUGGAUGGUUAGGCAAUAAAAUAAUUCUUGUAAAUGAAGUAAUUUCUAUAUAAGACAAGUAACGUCUAAUAUGAUUUGUCCACACCAUUCAAAUCCAACACAUUUUUUUUAUAAAUUUGAAAUGAGUAUAAUUGUAUUUGAAUAAAAAUAAAUUGUUUUUAAGUUAACUUUCAUAACAAACAUUUAACUCAAAUUGACUUAUUUAAUAAUAUUAACUUAAGUAUAACUUUAACCUAUUUAACUCAUAUUUGACUCAUUUAAAAUUUGAUUUUCAAUAGUGACAUCAUAAUUGAGUUAUAAACAUGUCAGUUUAGGACACUAACCAUAUAAGAUCAUACAACGUUAAACUCAAUUUGAUUAUUAAAUAACAUCUAAUUAUUACAAGAGUUAAAUAGGUUACAAUAUAUUACCUAGUUAAUAAUUAGAUUGUGUUCGAGUUUGUAUUUUUAAUUAUAAUUUAGUUGAGUGUUUGAUCUGCGUUACUCACCAACAUGAAUUAUUACUCAUAUUUCUAUUGCGAAACCAAAGAUUAGAUAAUUCUUAGUUUUGAUGUUAAUAAAAGAAGGUUCGGAACUAAUGUUUCAUCUUGAGUGUGACUAGGCAAGAUGAUUUUUAAAGUAGCAAUUACAAAGAUAAACCAAAACAAAAGAAAAAAUAAGAAAAAGAAGACCUUAAAGAGAAGAGCCUUCAAAACUUUUUAUAAGAUCUCUUUGUAAGGUUGUUGGUGCACUAGAUUUUACAUGCAUUUUAUUCAAGCAUCAAAGAUCAUCCUUGUGCAGUUUUGUUUUAAAUUUUUUUAUAAUUGGAUGAUUUUAUGUUUUUAAUUAAAACUUUAUGCCAAAUUUUUUUCUAAACUUUUUAAAAAGGUUUUAAAAGGGGUUGCAUGAGUUGCUAGAGGUUUGAAACCUAAAACCUAAGUAUUUGAGCACUUAAUAGUGCAAACAGUAAAAAGUCCAAGGAAUCGAUUAAAUAAUUUGGGCUCAAUCAGUUGAGGGGUGUUUUUACACACAUUUUCUCUCUUCAAGUGGUUUGUGUCACUAACAAAGGUUUUGCCUUUCUUGGUCAAGGUUUUGCCUUUCAUGGUCAAAGUCUUGAACCCUAACGAACACCUACUAAAAGUAUUAAUUGCUAAUUAUUUUGGCAUUAAUUGUUAACAAUUAGUGAAUCGGUCAAAUUGGAACUCCAUUGGUUGACCCCCUAAAUGUGCCUAACAACAAGUUUAGCCUUUCUACUUCUACAUAAAGGUUCCAAUCUUCAUUGUUGGUAAGUCUAACAUUCCCAAAUCUUUUAUGAAUAUUAUUUGAGCCUUGGGGGAGUGUUUUCUAGCACACCUUGCUGCAAAACUUGCACAUCAUUAGUUCACCAUAAAUCUUAAUUUAUCUUGUAUCAUUUGAGCUUAAAUUUGUACUAGGAAUGUGUGAGAUUAUAUUUCCUAUCAUUUUGUGUAAACCUUUGUAAGGGGAAAUCAAGUGUGGGGUAUUACUUAAAGGAAAAUUUAAGCAUGAGGUAUCACUUAGUGUUUGUCAAGUAUGGGGCAUCACUUGGGAAAUUCAAGAGUGAGGUAUCUCUUGAAAAAUUUGUAAGUGUCCACUGGAGUCAGUUAAUCUAAUUGUAAUGCUUAGAAACUUCGGAUUAGUAGAACCUCAAGUUUGGGAUUGAAGCUAUAGGAAAGUGAACGUAGGAUGGGUUGCACCAAACCACAAUAAAAAUAUUGUGUUUGUAUUCUCUCUUCCCUAAUCUUUAUAAUUUGUAUGCAAUUACUUUUCAUUGUAUUUAUUGUAUAUUUGUAUAUAAUUGUCUUUGGCAUUCAUAUAAUUUAAAUUUGUAAAAAGAAACCAUCACCUUAUUUACCCUUCUUCCCCCUUCCCCUCCCCCCGAGGGUGACUACCUUAGGUUAAUUUAGCAAAAAUCCUAACAUUUACUAAUAUAUUAUUUGCCUAUUAUAGUUAAGAAAACUACCAAAAAUUUUCAUUGAUAAAAAUUUCCAUGAUAAAUUCUAAAAACCACUUUAAUUCCAAUAAUCUUUUUCCCAAUGCAAUGUCUCCAUGAUUCGUAGGAUGAAAAGGAAUUUUUCUUGUCAAUAUGACUUUGGAUCCCAAAUUUUAAGGCAAUUUCAAUGCCCUAGUGGUGGGUCUAGAAGAAAAUAAAAAAUGUGGAAAUUAAAGUGGAAUAUAGACACAAUUUUUUACUAAUUGUAAGGUGAUGUUACAAUACCUUAUGUAGUUACCAUGAAAGGGACUUUGGAUUCCAAUUUUUGGGCUAAUUUCGAUGCCACAAAGAUGGGUCUAGAAGAAAACAAAAAAUAUGAAAAUUAAAGUGGAAUAUAAACACAAAUUUUUACUUGUGAAGUAAUGUUACAAUGCCUUAUGUAAUUAUUUUGAAAGUGAGAUAUCAUUGAAUUGAGAAUUGAUAUUAAAUUUGACCAACUAUCAUAAGGAAUUUCUUUCAAAAGAGAGAUAAGUAAUAAAUAUCUGUUAUUUAUUGGAAAAAAAAUAUUAUCAUACUAUUAAUGUGUUUAAUUUUAUUUUAUUUUUUAAAUAGAGAUUGUUAUAUCUUUUUGUAAAAAUAAGUUUCCUUAUAAAAUAAGAAAAAGUGGUAGAAGUAUUUCUAUGAAUAUUUUAUUAAGAGAAAAAACUAUAACAUGAAGAAAAACAUGUAAAGUUUAUAUUUAAAAGAUAGUGAUAUGGGAAAGAGUGGAAAACAUUUCUUGGAAUGAGGACAUGUGAUUCAAAGUAAAAUCUCAUUUUUGUUUUCUAUAGUCCUUAUGACUUUUGGUUUUUCUAUUAAGUGCCAAUAAAUAAAAGAAAAAACCCUCCUUUUUUGAAAGUUCAUUUGAACAGUUGUUUGAAGAAAAAAUCUUUAUUAAUCCAAACCCUAUCAACUUAUAUAUGACCUAUUACAAGACUAUGAAGUUUUUUAAAGUAAUUUUAAAGACAACCAAAAAAAAUUGAUAUGAUAAAUGAUUAAAACCACUUUAGAUUCCAAUAGUAUUUUCUAUCAUAUAACGUCUUAGUGAAAUGUUUCAUAACAAAAUGAAUUAUUCUAUGAAUAUGAAUUUGGAUUCCAAAUUUUGAACUUUAUAAUGUCUUAACUUAGUGGUGAGUCUCAUAGAAAAUGAAAGUUAUGGAGAAGUAGAAUGUGGACGUACUUUUUGACUUAAUAAACUGAUGUUACAACACUUUCAAGUAAUUACCUUAAAAAUGAUAUGUCAUUGCAUUGAAAAUGAUAUUAAAUUUAAUGGAGAGAUAAUUUAUAAAAAUAUCACUAAUUUUUAAAAAAGAAUAGUGUGAUCUUACUGUUGUGUUAGGUUGGAAAGAAAUUUAUGCUAGUGUUAAUUUAUUUAUUUAUUUAUUUUGCAUAUUGUAAGGUCUCAAACUCGUUUAGAAAUAUGAACAAUGAUGAAGAGUUAAAAAUUCAAAAACAUUAAAUGUAUGGUUAAAGGUAUGGUUAAAGCUAUGUUUAGAUAGUUGAAAUUGCAACCAAAAAAACAAGAAAAUGAAAGAAGUUCAAAUUUUAUUUGAUUAUCUUAAAAAUAUGAAAUAAAUUACAUAUAAUGAAAAUUGUUUAGAGUUUUAUAUACUUUUAAUAUUUACUCUUUACAAAAAAGAAAAAAAAGCAAGUCAAUUUUAAUGAACUUAUGGAAAAUAUUAAACUUAAGCUUAAUUUUUUAUUUUUCUUGAUUUUUCUUUCCUUCCAUAAUUUUCCUUCACAAUCUUUCCCACUUUAUUCACACUUUCCAUGGUCUAUACUUUAUACAUGUUUUAUCUCCUUUUUAAUUAAAAACCUUUAAAUUUUCCAAUUAAAAUUCCAAGAUAGGCUAAUAAAAACUUAAAAUUAAUAUUACAUUUUAAACAAACUAGAUUGAUUUGAUAGAUGAUUCAAAUCAAACCUAAAUUCAAACUUAACCCAAUCAAAUUUAGUCUCUAAUGUGAGGUGUUUGACCCAAACUUAGCUCAAACUCAUUUUUACCUACUAAAGUUAGGCUUAAAUUGACUCAUAGUACUUUUAGUUGAGUUGAUUAGGUUGUAUGAUCAUAACUAGGUUUGGUAAGGUUGAGUUAGUUUGAACCUAUUCAUAAUUUUUUUUCUUUUUUAUACUUCUUUUAUAUCAUAAUUUAAAAAAUUAAAUUGGAUAACUUUUCAACAUAAUAACAAAAAUAAAUAAAUUUAUGUAUCCGUCAACAAAAAUGAAAUAAUACAAUUAAAAUUCAACAUUUUUCUUUAAAAACUAAAAAAAAUAAAAACACACACACAUACAAAAUAGGUAUCAUUAUAUAAAAUAAUAUAAAUUAUAAAUAUAUAAAAUUAGGUUUGGGCUAGCUUGGGUUGUGAAACCUUAGCCUAAGUAGUUUCACGAUUCUCUACUACUUGUAAAAGUUUUUGGUAAAUUUUAUUAAAAUUAAUAAAAAAGAAAAAAGAAAUAAAAUGUUUUUAAAAAAUAUAAAUACAUAAUUAAAAUUAUGCUAAUGAAACAAAGGGAAGCAAACAAGAUCAAAAUUUUUCCCUCAAAAGGUGUAGUGUAAUGACUUCAAAUUUUAAGUUUUGAUGGUCAAUCUGCCUUCAAUUAUAGGGAUAAGAAGCUUGUAGAGAAUAAAAAAUAUAUAGCAAGUGGGUAUAUAUAGAUAUAAAAAAUAAUAUAUAUAUAUAUAUAUAUAUAUAUAUAUAUAUAUAUAUAUUGUAUGCAUCCCACUUUUGUCACGUGCAAACCCACUAGUAAACCUUUAUCAUCUUAUUAUAUAACAAGUGGGUAUAACUAGAUAUAAUAAAAAUAGGUCCUUGUUUAUUAAAUUCAAAAGUUUAUGAUCAUCACUUAGCAUUUAACAAAGUGGUACAAAUGAUGGUAAAAAUAGUAGUAUAGUCAAUAUUUUCCUAUAAAAAAAGUUACUUAAUAUAAAGAAUAUUAUAAUUGAUGUGUGAUUUUUAUUUUUAUUUUUAUCAAGAAGCAAUUUUAGAGAUAAGUUUUUAUCAAGAAACAAUCUUCAAUGUUAAUUUACCAUCAUUAUCUCUAAUAUUGUACCAUUGAAUGCAAUUGCAAAACAUCUAUGUAAUUGUUAGAAAAAAAAAUUUCAUGCUUAUUAUGCAAUAUUUGUUUUAAUUUUCAAGUUGCAAUUAUAUAGUCUAAAGGUUGAGGUUCUUAGAUAAUUAUUGUUUUGAUGAGAAGUCUAAUCAUGUUGUUGUUGUUCAUGUCACUUUAAUUAGACCAAGUUUAAUGAUACUUUAGACCAUAUUUAAGGAUCCUUUUCAAAUAUCUAUCUAACCUUUGAUAUGCAAUUUGAAAAGAGGAUGGAGAGAGGAUGGUUGUUCUCCAUAAUCCAUUAAUAAAUAAAUAAAAAUAAUUAUAUUUAGUAGGAAAAUGAAAAAUUAUUGAGAUCAUUAACAAGUAAUUUUGGUAAAACUUGAUAUUUAAUGAAGUAAGAUGACUCUAAGUUAAAUUAAUUGUAAUUAAGUCAUUAAGUCUUAGUUAUUAAGACGAUUUCUCAAAAUCAUUUUUAAAUUUAUUCUUAAAAUUAAGUCAUGAAAUUGAUUUAUUAUCACCCUCUAAAGUCUUUUCAAUUUUGUACAUUUAUUUGAUACAUAUUUAAUCAUAAACAAUAAAAAAAAGGUGUUACCUCAAAAUUUUUAAUUCAAACUCCUCCAAGAUUAUUCAUGACUAAAAUUCAUUAAUUAAUUUACAUUACAAGCUUUGAAAGAAACUUGUUUUAGAACAUAAAAUUGAUAGAGAUAGUACAUAUUUUAAACUUUUAAUUAAAAUAAAAAAAUCACAACAAAAUAAUUUGAUGGAUGUUUUAGUAUUUGAAAAGAUUAUGAGUCAAAUGGUCAUGAUUUUAGAAAAGUUAGAAAUGUUCGAUAAUGCUUAAAAACAUUUUUGUUACAAAAAUUAAGUAUUUGAUAAAGUUAAAAUUCAUUUUCUAGGUAAUUGGUGGUGCCUAUGAAAUAUUUUUUUUUGGUUAUACAAAUUUAUUAGUGUGAGAUGAUAUGCAACAACUUUAAAGUAUAGCAAUUAUUGAAGUUUGGACCAACCAUAUAUGUUAAAGGCGCUUCACUCCACCUUCUCAUUUUGUAUUAUCUUGUACCCUAAAAGAUUUGAAAUGAGUCUUAUUUAUAAGCAUUAUAAAUAAUGUUGUGGAGUCUGCAUUUCAGCUCAUGCGUUUUCCACUCGAUGGCGAGCUCGAUUUUUGUUUAAAAAAAUGAUUUUAUUUAUUAAAAAAAUGACUUGGAGUCACCACUUAUUUUUGUUUUAUUUUUAAAAGGGUAAACAAAAUAAGAAAAAAAACCCUAAGUGUGACUCCUUAUUUUGGAAAAGGUGGUCUAUGAAAAACCGGAUCAGCCUCGGGGGUCAGGUUACUCAUCAGGAAGGUACGAUAAAGACCGUAGCACCCCUCUAAGUCUCUAAAGUUCGGUCUCUACUAAUAAAAUGAAGCCGAUGUGGCGAUCAAUAGGAAAAUUAACGGAUACUCAAAUCGACCAUGCACACAUGGGAAUCAAAACAUGCAUAGAGAAUGACCAGAAUGUGAAUGGAUGCAUACCUGGGCCAUGAACGAGUAAUGUGCUAUCAUAAAAAUGGGGUCAAAGUAUAAUAAAAAGCACAAAACAUAUCACAUGCGUCACCAAAUAGAAAUGAAAACUGUUCAAGGGAAAACUUGAUUUUUGAAAUUUAUUUGAAAAUUGGAGUUUUAGAGAUUAUUUGAAAAUUGGAUUUUUAGAAAUUAAAUAUAAGAAUGAGAAUUUUAGAAAUUAAAUUUGAAGUAGAAACUAUGAAAAUUGAAUUAUAAAAAUUGGAAAUCUUGGAAAUCGUUCGAAGGCAGAAUCUUUAGAAAUAAAUGAAUAAAAUGAUAAUAAUAAUGAUAAUAAUAAAUAAGUAACGAAAUAAAUGCGAGAAUUGGAACAUUGGAAACUGAAAAAAAUUAAGUUCGGAAAUUAGAAAAUUAGAAUUUCAGAUAACUAAAUUUGGGAAUCGGAAUUUUAAAGAAUUAUUUAAAGACGAAAUUUUAAUAAACGAAUAAGAAACGAAUAAGUGAAUAAAUAAAUUAAUAGAAUAAUAAUAAUGACGAAAUAAUUAAGUGAAUAAAUAAAUUAAUGGAAUAAUAAUAAUAACGAAAUAAUAAAGAUUAGGUAAAUAAUUGCGAAAAAUAAAAUUUUAGAUAUUAGAGAUUGAAUUUAGAGAUUGAGAAUUUGAGAAAUUAUUUAGAGAUGAGAUUUUUAAUAAAUGAAUAAGUGAAGAAAUAAAUGAAUGGAAUAAUAAUAAUGACGAAAUAAUAAAGAUUAGAUAAAUAAUUGCGAAAAAUAGAAUUCUAGAGAUUGAAAAUUUGAGAAAUUAUUUAGAGAUGAGAUUUUAAAUAUAUGAAUAAGUGAAUACAUAAAUGAACGGGAUAAUAAUAAUAAUGAAAACAAUCAUUUAAACAACUGAAUGUGAAUAGUGGGAUUGGAAAUUAAAUUUGGAAAACAGAAUUCUGAAAAAUUGAACUUUAAUUAUUGGAAUUUGUAAAAUAAAUAAAUGGAAUGAUAAUAAUAAUAAUAAUGUUUAAACGAAUGAACGUGAAUAGUGAAUUUUUUUAUAUUGAAGAUUAAAUUUGAAAGUAAGAUUUUUGAAGAAUUGAACUUUAAUGAUUUGAAUUUUUAAAAGAAAUAAAUAAAUAAAUAUGGAAUAAUAAUAAUAAUAACCAAAAUAAUGUUUAAACGAAUGAACAUGAAUAGCGGAAUUUUUAAGAUUGAAAAUUAAAUUUGGAAAUCAAUUUUUUGAAGAAUUGAACUUUAAUUAUUAAAAUUUUUAAAAGAAAUAAAUAAAUAAAUAUAGAAUAAUAAUAAUAAUAAUAAUAAUAAUAAUAACAAAAAUAAUGUUUAAACGAAUGAACGUGAAUAGUGGAAUUUUUUAUAUUGAAAAUUAAAUUCGAAAAUCAGAUUUUUGAAGAAUUGAACUUUAAUCAUUGGAAUUUUUAAAAGAAAUAAAUAAAUAAAUAUGGAAUAAUAAUAAUGAUAAUAAAAAUAAUGUUUAACGAACGUGAAUAGUGAAAUUUUUUUGCGAUUGAAAAUUAAAUUCGGAAGUUAGAUUUUUGAAGAAUUGAAUUUUAAUGAUUAGAAUUUUAAAAAGAAAUAAAUAAAUAAAUGAAAUAAUAAUAAUGAAAAUACUAUUUAAACGAAUGAACGUGAAUAGUGGAAUUUUUUAGAUCGAAAAUUAAAUUUCGAAAAGUCAGAUUUUUGAAGAAUUGAACCUUAAUGAUUUGAAUUUUUUUAAAAUAAAUAAAUAAAUAAAUAUGGAAUAAUAAUAAUAAUAACAAAAAUAAUGUUUAAACGAAUGAAUGUGAAUAGUGGAAUUCUUGAGAUUGAAAAUUAAAUUCGAAAAUCAGAUUUUUGAAGAAUAGAACUUUAAUGAUUGGAUUUUUUAAAAGAAAUAAAUAAAUAAAUAUGGAAUAAUAAUAAUAACAGAAAUAAUGUUUAACGAAUGAACGUGAAUAGUGAAAUUUUUUAUAUUGAAAAUUAAAUUCGGAAGUCAUAUUUUUGAAGAAUUGAACUUUAAUGAUUAGAUUUUUUUAAAAGAAAUAAAUAAAUAAAUAUGGAAUAAUAAUAAUAACAAAAAUAAUGUUUAACGAAUGAACAUGAAUAGUGUAAUUUUUUUAGAUUGAAAAUUAAAUUCGGAAGUCAGAUUUUUGAAUAUUUGAACUUUAAUGAUUGGAAUUUUUAAAAAAAUACAUAAGUAAAAAAAUAAAUAGAAUAAUAAUAACAAGAAUAAUAAUUAAAUAAAUAAACAUGAAUAUUGGAAUUUAAAAUUGUGAAUUUUAGACAGUUACAUGAUAACAGAAUUUUUUUACAAAAACUAUAUUUUUAACAUAUCAAGAAGAAGAAUCAAGAGGGCCAAACACUUGGCCCAAUGGGGUCUACACCUAACAAGCAACGGACUAGGUCUAUAAAAACCGAAUAGCCUUCAGUAAAGCCCAAUCAUAGAGGGUCCAAAUGAACAUUACCAAUCCAAUUCAAGGUUCAACACACGGAUAGACUAUCAUCAUUCAUCAUUGUGAGAAAGCAGCACUUCACAACAAUCAAAUGUGCCAAAGAGAGGCACACAAAAGGUUCAUUGAGUUCCAUUUCAUAAGAGUGUUUGUUCCACAUUACCCAUCUCACAUUCUAUCCCAGUCUACUAACAUGAUAAAAUAACAGCAAAAAUAAUAAUGCAAGUCAACAAAUCUGAAUCUUCAAUCCUUAAAAAAAAAACCAGACCCCUAAAAAGGAAACUAAAAUAAAGCCCCCAUUGAAAGCAACUUGGUCCAUUCUCUAAAGACAGUAAACGAACAAACACAUAACUCAAAAUUUCAAGUUUGCUUAACGAACCUCUGUCUUCUCUCGCUGUGAUCUUCCCCUCUGGUCGUUCUCAUUCUCCUUCCUGUUAUGGAAUCUGCUUCAGCUCCAAGAAUCUUUUUUUUUUUUUCAGUUCCUUUCCCUUUCGUUUUCUGCAACCCUUCUCUUCUUGAAUCAGCCGACCCACAAUCCCUUCUCAAGAUACUCCAUUUUCAGUCCAGUUUCUCCAUAAAUAUCUCUCUAUUUCUUGCUUUCCUUUCGCUCCCCGAAAAAAAAUUCCUAUGCGCUCAACUCUCAAAAAAUUCCCUAGAACCCUCAAUCUUCAGAACUGAAAAUCUCCUCUGUUUUUCUUAUUCCUUCCUCAGCUGAAAAUCCCCUAGUCCCGAACCCAAAAAUCCUCCACCCAACUCUCCUCAUUUUUUUUCUCAAUCUCUUUUUUUUUCCCGCUACUUCUCGUCCUCUUCAGCCGCCCAAAUACUGCUCGCCCCCGUCCCAUCUCAUGGCUGCCCAAAGCAGCUCAUUCUGUCAUCUCUGGCCACCUCCAACGGCUGACCCUCGAGGUGGUAAAAAGAGAAAAAAAAAAUUAUGUCUCUAAAGGGGUCUACAAAUAUGCCCGUCUUCGAUAGAGUUCAUGAGUGUAAGGAGCAUGAACACUGAAGUGAAAAGGAAGUGAACUAUACUAAAGAACAAAGAAAGACCCCCGAAAGGUACAUAAGUAAAACACAAUCUCGCUCAAGGCUCUAAGCAAAAAGGCUCUAAUCCUAAGAGAAAAACAUCUCUCAAGGUGCCCCUAAAGCUACACCAAGGACCCAGACUCCCUCUAAGAUGUCUCCCAAAGUGACUCAAAUAAUCAAUGUCAAAGAUGAGUAAUGAUCAAACCUCCUCCGAGUACAAGAAAGAAUGCAUCCAGAGGGGACUCCCCUAUGUGAACUACGUGAGAAUGCUAAAUGCAGGGUGCCCAACAACGUGAUCGAAGUAUGUGCUGUGAACUCAAUGGACCAUGUCAUGUGCAAGGAAAAAGGGAAGUCUAGAAGAGCAUGAUGAAUAAGUGAUAAGCACAAGGUAACGAGGUGGGGAAAGACCAAGGAUGAACGCAAAACCAUGAAAGUAAGAUGCGCAAUGCCAGUGAAUAUGAAUGUUCGGAACCGUGACCCUGAAUGAUAAGCCCAAGAAGAAAUGACUCUGAAUGCCAAAAUAAUGAAAGAUGAUGACUCUAAAUGCUUGAAUGAGUACGCAUGAUAGCUCUGAAUGCCGAAACUAAAGGAAGAUGGCGGCACCAAAUGCUAUGUUGGAUGAUGGCUCUGAAUGCUAAAACGAAAACGCGACUCUGAAUGCCAAAAACUGAUGAAAGUAGCUCUAAAUAGCAAGAAUGACUCUGAAUGCUAAACUGAAAGAAAACGGCAACCCUAAAUGCCAGGAACGUGGCUUUGAACGCCAAAGUGAAGAAGAUGAAAGCUCUGAACGCCGAAAAUGUGGCAAUGAAUGCUCGAUCAUAGCGCCAAACUGUGAAAGGGGCAGUGACUCUGAACGUCAAACUGUGCAAGGAUAGCAACUCUGAACGCCGAACUGGAGAUGCAGCCUUGAACGCCAAAAUAAGAAGGGAUGGUGGUUCUGAACGCUGAAGCUAGAGAUGCAGCUCUGAAUGCCAAACUGGAAAGAGAUGGUGACUCUGAACGCUAAACUAGGCAGAAAUGGUAGCUCUGAACGCCAAAAUAAGAAGGGAUGACGGUUCUAAACGCUGAAACUGGAGAUGAGUAAUGGCUCUAAACGCCGAAAUGAAUGAUGCAACGACUCUAGAUGUCGAAAUGAAAAUGUACAUUGGCUUUAAGAGCCGAACUGAAGCUACGAUGGCCCUGGAUGUCGAAAUGAAAAUGCGGCUCUGAACGCCGAACCGAGGACGUACAAUGGCUCCGAACGUCAAACGAAAAAAUGGCUCUAGACAUCAAACUAAAGACAAACAACAGCUCUGAAUGCCAAACGAAGAAGAUGAUGGCUCUGAUAUCGAAAUGAAAAUGCAGCUCUGAACGCCGAGAUGGAGAUGUGGCUCUGAAGGCCAAAAUCAGAAACAUGGCCCUGAACGCCAAAUGGAAAAUGGAUAACGACUCUGAAUGCCAAAUGAAGAAGGUGAUGGGUCUGAUAUCGAAAUGAAAAUGCGACUCCGAACACCAAAUGGAAAAUGGAUAACGACUUUGAAUGCCAAAUGAAGAAGGUGAUGUCUCUGAUAUCGAAAUGAAAAUGCGGCUCCGAACUCCAAAUGGAAAAUGGAUAAUGGCUCUGAACGCCGAAUGAAGAUAUGGCUGCAAACGCCAGAUGAAGAUGUGGAUCUGAGUGCCGACCGAAGAUGUGGCUCUGAACGCCGAAUGAAGCAAAACAUGGCUCUAAACGCUGAAUGAACGAUGUAAUGGCUCUGAACGCCGAAUGAAGAUAUGGCUCUAAACACCAAACUGAGAGGCGAUGAUGAUGACUCUGAACUUCAAACUGAAAACACGAUGAUGGCUCUGAACGCCAAAACUGAAAAGUGAUGGUGGCUCUGAACGCCGAAAACUGAGAAUACGACUCUGAAUGUCAAACUGAAAAAUGUGACUUUGAACGUCAAACUGGAAACCGAUGAUGGCUCUGAACACCAAAACUGAAAAGUGAUAAUGAUGGCUCUAAACACCGAAACUGGGAAGUAAUGAUGAUGACUCUGAACAUCAACCCGAAAACACGAAGAUGGCUCUUAACGCCGAAACUAAAAAGUGAUGGUGGCUCUAAAUGACAGAACGAAUGAUGUAAUGGCUCUGAACCCUGAAUGAAGACGUGAGUAGUGGUUCUGGACGAUGGAAUGAAUGCUGAAAUGGCUCUGAACGUUGGAAUGAAGACGUGAGUAGUGGCUCUGAAUGCCGAACGAAGAUAAUUAGUGUCUCUGAACGCCAAAAUGAAACUAAACAUGGCUUUGAAUGACGGAACGAAUAAUGUAAUGACUCUGAUCUUGUCCGAAAUGAAGAUGUGAGUAGUGACUCUGAACGCCGAAACUGAGAAUGUGACUCUGAACGUCAAACUAAGAAGCGAUGAUGGCUUUGGACGCUGACACUGAGAAGCAACGAUGAUGGCUCUGAACGUCGAAACUGAAAAUGUGAUGAUGAUGGCUCUGAACGCCGAAACCAAAAAUGCAAUGAUGGUGGCUCACGAGGGCCGAAACUGAAAAUGCGAUUCUGAACGUCAAACUGAAAAUGUGAUGAUGAUGGCUUUGAACGUCAAAAACUAAGAAGCGAUAAUGAUGGCUCUGAACGCCGAAACCAAAAAAUGCGAUGAUGAUGGCUCUGAACGCCGAAACUGAGAAGCGAUGAUGAUGGCUCUGAACGCUAAGCUGAAAAUACGAUGAUGAUGGCUCUGAACGCCGAAACUGUGAAUGAACGGUGGCUCUGAACGCCAAACUGCAAGGAAAUGAUGAGGGGAAAAUAUGUCCCAAUGUAGCAUGCCACCAUAAUGCUCAAUCCAAUGUAAAUGACCGAAAGGGACUCUACGAGUCUCGAAUGAUGCUCCACUAGCGAGUUGGGAUAAUCAAAUCGACUGCGAACAUAGUCUCACAACCCUCCCAACUAAAUCAUGAAGUCUCAAUCUCAAAGUAACAUAUCCACUAAGGAGUCAUGGCUAGCAGGGUGAUCAAAACCCGAACGUCGUGCUCCACUGAAAGCUCAUCUCGACGAAAAUCACAGGAACAACGAUCAGUAAGGCAAAUACAAUAUAUCUCGGCCGAGUGAUGGAAACUGUAACGGAUCUGUGAGAGAACGAUCGUCUCCAUGGAUAAAUGAGGGAAAUAUGUCCCAGUAUAACGUCAGACUUAUCCUAUUUGUCAUGAUAACUCGAGAAUAACUCCAUGGGGGAUGUACAAAAGAUCUUAUAUGUACCCCACUGAAAUGAUGACGUGGGAAUCUAGGCAUGUGAGAUAACUCCGUGAUUACUACUCAAAAAAUGCUAUUUUGUAGCUUGUAAUUAGCUCUUUUAAACACCCUUGAGUAGUAAUUAUUACCUUUUAACCCAAUUAACAUGUUAGGGACCCUUGCAAUCGUUUCUAACAAUUGUGUUAAGUUUUGGUGCUUUUUGAUAGCUUUAUGCUCACCAAAGCAAUUUAAGAAUGAGGGAGAGCUAUUUAUAGUUCAUGGCAAAGCUUUUGAAAGCUUAAAUUUAUGAAGAAAUCAAGCUAUAGAGCCUCAUAAUCCUUUGCCUUAGUUGUUCAAAGUAUACAAGGAAGAAACAAUGGAGAAGAGGAAAACAGGGGAUGAAAACAGGGGACAUAGCUGCAGUCUUUCAUUGCACUUUUGGAGCACUUCACGAAGUCCAUUUUUUACAUUCUAUAUACCAUUUCAAAGCUCAGAAAGUCAAGAAUCCAACGGUUCAAACCAUGUACGAUUUGGAGCUGAAAUGAGAAAGAUAUGGCCUUCGGAAGACAACUGCAUCAAGCUGAGGGAUAAUUUCGCACGAUGGAAAUCAAGGUGCGAAUUCCUCAGUCCACUGUGCGAAAAUUUCGCACACCUCAAAUCAAAGUGCGAAAUUGGAACUCCAGCGUGCGAAAAUGGGAUAUUUUUGCCGACUCUUUUUCUUCUGAUAUUUUUGUGUCUAAAUUUCCAUUUUCUCCUUGUAUUCAACCACUCAUGUAAUUCCUUAGCUAGGAAGUAUCCAAGGAAGGGUAAAAUUACCUUCCUAUAUAAAUUCUCUUGUAAUCUCUGAAAAUGGAUAUCUUCGGGGAGCUUUCUCCAGGAGACCAAAUGAUGUAAAUUUGAUACUUAGUGAAAUACAGAGAUCUCUUUUACUUUCUUUUUCUCUCUUCUAUUUUCUAUUUUCUUGCAAGCCAAACACCCUCUGAGGAUGUUUUCCCAGAGGAUGAGAGGCUAAACAUUUAGUUUCUUGGAGUAAAGGAAGCUAGGUGAAAAGUCCAGAUUAAAACAUGGAAAGUUUCUGUGCAUUAAAUUCAGGUAGUUGGAGUCCAUAAAUGGUUUUUAAAGCCAAGGUUUUGCCUUAAAUCCCUUCGAAUCACUUUGACUGGCCAAUACAUGGUAAGCUUAAGGUCUCUGUGGAUGCUUAUUGCUAGAUCCAUAUCAGUCCAUUAGUUAUCAUGUACGAGCCAUUGGAAAGUGAUUCAAGGUGAUAGCCCAUAGUGUCUUAAGCCAUUAAUGGACCUUGACUACCAUCUCUAGUGACUUUUUAUGGAUUAAAACUUCAUUGUCAAACCUAUACCGGUUCGGGAAAUAACUAUAGGUUAAAUCCCCAAUGCGAGGAGAAAAAUCCGGAAUUUUCCACUUUGCAUCUGGAACUUGAACCUAGCAACCUUUAUCUCCGGGAAACUUUCUUUCUUCCACUUUUUACUUAGUUCUAUGUGAGUUUAGUUUAAAUCACCACUUUCAAAACAAUUUUAUUUUCUUUUAAAUUUCAAGUUUGUGCUAAAGGAAAUCAUCAUAAUCAAUUUCUAAUUUAGAGUCUGUCACUGAUAGAGUGAAAACCCAUCCCUGAGUUCGACCCUAGAACUGUUAUACUAUAGUAGCUUUGCUACGCCAGUAUAAGGUCAUAGGUUUUAUAAAUGUUUUUGAUUAAAAGACCCGGCUGGGCAUCGAAUCAAAUGGCGCCGUUGCCGGGGAUGGUGCCACAAUACAGUGAUACAACCUUUUAGAGGCUACUUGUGAUUUUCAUCACAACCAGGGUGAAUUCCUUUUUCACUAAUUUCAUUUUCUUUCAUUUUCCUUUUGUUAAUUUUAUUUUCAUUUUCUUCCUAACUUUAACCUUUUCUUUAGUUUCCUUUUGUUUUUACUAUUACAGGAAUUGUAACUUGUGCAUGCCCUAUUGGAUUAGGGACCAAGAGGGAAGAUUAGUAAGGAUUGAGAAUCCUCAAGACACAGAGUUGGAUAUCUGUGUAAAUAUCAUGGACCCUCCACCAGAGGAUCAGAAUUCUCAACAAGGUCAAGGGGGUAAUCCCAAUGCAUACCUAUCAAUGAGGGAUAGAAUGCAUCCCCCAAGGAUGAGUGCACCCUCAUGCAUCCUGCCCCCACUUGAGCAGUUGGUUAUAAGGCCCCAUAUUGUGCCCCUCCUACCAACUUUCCAUGGAAUGGAGAGUGAGAAUCCAUAUUCUCACAUCAAGGAGUUUGAGGAGGUGUGUAAUACCUUUAGAGAGGGAGGAGCUUCAAUAGACUUGAUGAGACUCAAGCUAUUCCCUUUCACUUUGAAGGACAAGGCAAAAAUAUGGCUUAAUUCUUUAAGACCAAGGAGCAUAAGGAAUUGGGUUGAUCUUCAGGCUGAGUUUUUGAAAAAAAUUUUCCCCACCCAUAGGACCAAUGGGUUGAAGAGACAAAUCUCAAAUUUUUCUGCUAAAGAAAAUGAGAAGUUCCAUGAAUGUUGGGAAAGGUAUAUGGAGGCCAUCAAUGCUUGUCCUCGUCAUGGUUUUGAUACAUGGCUCUUAGUGAGCUAUUUUUAUGAUGGAAUGUCUUCUUCCAUGAAGCAAAUUCUUGAAACCAUGUGUGGGGGAGAUUUUAUGAGUAAGAAUCCUGAAGAAGCCAUAGACUUUUUAAGUUACGUGGCUGAGGUGUCAAGAGGAUGGGAUGAGCCCAACUCAAGAGAGAAAGGAAAGUUUCCCUCUCAACAAACCCAAAAUCCAAAGGCUGGAAUGUACAUGUUAAGUGAAGACGUGGACAUAAAAGCUAAAGUGGCAACAUUAGCUAGGAGGUUGGAAGAACUUGAGUUGAAAAAAAUACAUGAAGUCCAAGCCAUUUCCGAUACCCAAGUCCAUGUUAUGCCAUGCACCAUUUGCCAAUCAUGUGAUCAUGUGGUAGAUGAGUGUCCAACCAUGCCAGCUGUGAGAGAGAUGUUAGGUGAUCAAGUAAAUGUUGUGGGGCAAUUUAGGCCCAACAACAGUGCAUCUUAUGGAAACACCUAUAAUUCAAGCUGGAGAAACCACCCAAAUUUUUCUUGGAAACUAAGGACACCUCCAUACCAACCACAAGGCCAAACCCAAGUACCUCAACAACCAUCUUCAGUGGAGCAAGCCAUUGUAAACCUGAGUAAAGUCAUGGGUGACUUUGUGGGUGAACAAAAGGCAAUUAACUCCCAAUUGCAUCAAAAGAUUGAAAAUGUUGAGAGUUCUCAAAUAAAGAGAAUGGAGGGGAUGCAAAAUGAUCUAUUUCAGAAGAUAGAUAAUAUUCAGUACUCCAUCUCUAGGCUUACCAACCUAAACACAGUGAUUGAGAAGGGAAAGUUCCCCUCUCAACCAAGCCAAAAUCCCAAGGGUGUUCAUGAAGUUGAAACCCAAGAUGGUGAGUCUUCAAAUUUGAGAGAGGUCAAAGCUGUGAUCACUUUGAGAAGUGGGAAGGAGGUUGAUCAACCCUUGCCUAACGUGGGGCCUGAUGAAGAACUCAGAUCAAAGAGACCCUUGAUUAAAGAGGGCAAUAACCAAGAAGAGCAGAGUGGGAAGAAAAGUGCAUCCAAAUCAAGCAUUGAAGAAGAACCAAGGAUAGUGAUUAAGGAGGAUAUGAUGAAGAAACAUAUGCCUCCCCCUUUUCCUCAAGCUUUACAUGGAAAGAAAGAAAUCAAGAAUUCAUAAAAAAUUCUUGAAGUUCUGAGACAAGUGAAGGUGAAUAUACCUUUACUUGAUAUGAUCAAGCAAGUCCCCACAUAUGCAAAGUUUCUAAAGGACUUGUGCACAAUCAAGAGGUUUACAGGUGACAAAGAAUGCAUUCCUCACUGAGCAAGUGAGUGCUAUCAUCCAGAGUAAGUCCCCAGUUAAGUAUAAAGAUUCGGGAUGUCCCACCAUAUCAGUCAACAUUGGAGGGACACAGUGGAAAAAGCUUUAUUAGAUUUGGGAGCAAGUGUGAAUUUACUCCCAUACUCUGUGUAUAAACAAUUGGGACUAGGAGGAUUAAAGCCCACAACCAUGACCCUCUCUUUAGCUGAUAGGUCUGUCAAAAUCCCAAAGGGAGUGAUAGAGGAUGUUCUAGUUCAAGUGGACAAAUUCUACUAUCCUGUGGAUUUUGUGGUGCUUGAUACUGAUUCCACUGUCAAGCAAGAAAAUUAUGUACCAAUCAUCCUAGGGAGACCUUUCCUAGCUACCUCCAAUGCUAUUGUUAAUUGUAGGAAUGGGGUGAUGCAGCUCACAUUUGGAAACAUGACAUUGGAAUUAAACAUAUUCCAUUUAUGUAAGAGGCAUCUUUACCCUGAAGAGGAGGAAGGAUUCGAGGAGAUGUGCUUGAUCAACACUUUGGUUGAAGAGCACUGUGACAAGAGUUUAGAGGAGAGCUUGGAUGAAAACCUGGAAGUCCUUGAAGAUGGGUUCCCUGAACCCUUUGAUGUGCUAGCCAUAAUGUCUCCUUGGAGGAGACGGGAAGAGAUCUUACCACUGUUCAACCAGGAAGACUCACAAGGAGUUACUGUGGAGGACCCUCCAAAGCUUAUUUUAAAGCCACUUCCUGUGGAUUUGAAGUAUGCAUACUUGGAGGAUGAUGAGAAAUGUCCAGUGGUAGUUUCCUCAACCCUCACUAGUGAUCAAGAGGAUAGUCUUUUAGGAGUCCUCAGAAAAUGUAAGAAAGCCAUUGGAUGACAAAUUUCUGAUCUGAAAGGGAUUANNNNNNNNNNNNNNNNNNNNNNNNNNNNNNNNNNNNNNNNNNNNNNNNNNNNNNNNNNNNNNNNNNNNNNNNNNNNNNNNNNNNNNNNNNNNNNNNNNNNAUUCAGGGUACUUCCAAAUAGAAAUUGAUUUGGAAGAUCAAGAAAAGACGACCUUCACUUGUCCCUUUGGUACUUUUGCAUAUAGGAGAAUGCCCUUUGGUCUAUGUAAUGCUCCUGCAACUUUCCAAAGAUGCAUGCUAAGCAUCUUCAGUGAUAUGGUGGAACGCAUCAUGGAAGUUUUCAUGAAUGACAUCACUGUAUAUGGAAGUUCUUAUGAGGAGUGUUUGAUGCAUUUAGAAGCUGUUCUCCAUAGAUGUAUUGAGAAAGACCUAGUGCUAAAUUGGGAGAAGUGCCAUUUUAUGGUACAAAAAGGAAUUGUCUUAGGACAUAUCAUCUCCAAAAAUGGCAUUGAGGUAGAUAAGGCAAAUGUGGAGCUGAUUGUUAAGUUGCCACCUCCCACAAAUGUUAAAGGAAUUAGGCAAUUCCUUGGACAUGCCGGGUUCUAUAGGAGGUUCAUUAAGGAUUUCUCAAAAAUCUCAAAACCUCUGUGUGAGCUUUUGGUAAAGGAUGCCAAGUUUGUGUGGGAUGAGAAGUGUUAGAGAAGUUUUGAGGAAUUGAAACAAUUCCUCACAACUGCACCAAUAGUGAGAGCCCCAAAUUGGAAAUUACCUUUUGAGGUAAUGUGUGAUUCAAGUGAUCUUGCUAUGGGGGCUGUUUUGGGGCAAAGAGAGGAUGGAAAGCCCUAUGUGAUCUAUUAUGCAAGCAAAACUUUGAAUGAGGCUCAAAAGAACUACACAACUACUGAGAAGGAGUUGUUGGCAGUAGUUUUUACCUUGGAUAAGUUUCGUGCUUAUUUGGUAGGGUCCUCUAUAGUGGUGUUCACUGACCAUUCUGCUUUGAAGUACUUGCUAACCAAGUAGGAUGCCAAGGCAAGAUUGAUAAGAUGGAUUCUUUUGCUCCAAGAAUUCAAUCUCCAAAUCAGGGAUAAAAAGGGGGUAGAAAAUGUGGUAGCUGACCACUUGUCCAGACUUGUGAUAGCACAUGACUCACAUGGUCUGCCUAUCAAUGAUGACUUCCCUGAGGAGUCUCUCAUGUCAGUAGAUGUAGCUCCAUGGUAUUCUCACAUUGCAAACUUUUUGGUUACUGGAGAAGUACCAAGUGAGUGGAGUGCUCAAGACAAGAGGCAUUUCUUGGAUAAGAUCCAUGCCUAUUAUUGGGAGGAACCUUUUCUUUUCAAAUAUUGUGCAGAUCAAAUUAUAAGGAAAUGUGUUCCUGAGCAAGAGCAAUCGGGAAUUCUUUCCCAUUGCCAUGAUAGUGCAUGUGGAGGUCAUUUUGCCUCCCAGAAAACAGCUAUGAAAGUGAUCCAAUCAGGCUUCUGGUGGCCCUCUCUUUUCAAGGAUGCCCAUUCUAUGUGCAAGGGAUGUGAUCAGUGUCAAAGGCUUGGUAAGCUAACACGCCGAAAUAUGAUGCCCUUGAACCCCAUCUUAAUAGUGGAUAUCUUUGAUGUCUGGGGUAUAGACUUCAUGGGACCAUUUCCAAUGUCAUUUGGACAUUCCUACAUCUUGGUAGGAGUGGAUUAUGUCUCUAAGUGGGUAGAAGCAAUCCCAUUUAGGAGCAAUGAUCAUAAAGUGGUACUUAAAUUCCUCAAGGACCACAUCUUUGCAAGAUUUGGAGUGCCAAAAGCCAUUAUAAGUGACGGGGGAACCCACUUUUGCAAUAAACCUUUUGAGACUCUUCUAGCCAAGUAUGGGGUUAAGCACAAGGUAGCUACACCUUAUCACCCCCAAACAAGUGGCCAAGUUGAGUUAGCCAACCGAGAGAUCAAGAAUAUAUUGAUGAAGAUGGUCAAUGUGAAUAGGAAGGAUUGGUCUAUCAAGCUCCUGGAUUCCUUAUGGGCUUAUAGGACCGCUUACAAGACCAUUCUAGGAAUGUCUCCCUAUCGCCUUGUUUAUGGCAAAGCGUGUCAUCUUCCAGUAGAGAUUGAGUAUAAAGCAUGGUGGGCAAUCAAAAAGCUCAACAUGGAUUUGACAAGAGCCGGGUUAAAGAGAUGUUUGGAUUUGAAUGAAUUGGAGGAAAUGAGGAAUGAUGCAUACCUCAAUUCAAAAAUUGCAAAAGCAAGAUUGAAAAAAUGGCAUGAUCAGUUGGUAAAUCAGAAAAAUUUUACCAAAGGACAAAAAGUUUUGCUUUAUGACUCUAAACUUCAUCUCUUUCCAGGAAAAUUGAAAUCCAGGUGGACGGGUCCUUUCAUAAUUCAUGAAGUGCAUCCCAAUGGAGUGGUGGAAGUAUUCAAUCCCACAGGCAAUCAAACCUUCAAAGUUAAUGGCCAUCGUCUCAAGCCAUUCAUAGAGCCUUACAGUACAGACAAGGAGGAGAUCAACCUCCUUGAACCACCACAACUCUGAGGGAAAGCAGGGUAUCGUGGGCUAAAUAAGUCCAUGAAUUUUUUUGUUAUAGUUUUAUAGUUAUAUCAUUAUUUUUAUUUCUUUUUAUUAUAAUUUUUCCUCAAUCUUAGUUUAUUUUGUCUUAAUUCAAGUCAAUUUUGAUGAUAAAUUUCAGAAAAAAAUCAUGAAAGAUGGGGAGAAUUCUUCAAAAGCAAGACAGGGGAGUAAAACCAAGGAAACAGAGCACCUGAUUUCAAGGUGCGAAAAUUUCGCACACCUGAUUCCAAGGUGCGAAAAUUUCGCACACCCCAAAACCAAGGUGCGAAAUCCUCGGGCCAAAGGGAGCCAUUUUUGCACACCCCAAAACCAAGGUGCGAAAUUUAUUUCAAGGUGCGAAAAAUGAUUUCAAGGUGCGAAUUCCCUAAAAACCAAUUUUGCACACCACUGUGCAAGGUGCGAAAAUUUUCGCAUUGUGCGAAAUCCCCUCCUGGCACACGAGUGCCAUUUUCGCACACCUCAAGCCACUUUUUGCACCGUGCGAAACAAGGUGCGAAAAUUUCGCACACCUGAUUUCAAGGUGCGAAAAUUUCGCACACCUCAUUUUAAGGUGCGAAAUCCUCAGUUAAAGGGGUGCCAUUUUCGCACACCUAAUUUCAAGGUGCUAAAUUUGCAGACCAAGGUGUGAAAAUUUCGCACGGUAAAAUUUUAAACGGACUUUUUAAAUUAAAAUUUUACCCCCGAAAUUAUGCCUAACGUCCAAAAACGACUUUUCGGUUGCCUUGGAAAAUUUUAAAACAUCAAAAACCCCCCUAAACCUCAUUCCUAUAUAAUCCCUUGAAGUCCAGAAGCUCAAAGGACUCCCCCACGAACCAGUUGAGGAGCCUCUGGAAUCCCGAACAGUCACCCACCUCCAUUUCGGCCAUGGCGAAGACCAGAGGAGGCCUUUCCGGCUCCCCAUCCUCACCGACACCUCGACCACAUCGAGCCGCCAUGGGAGCCGCAGCUUCGCCACCUGUUCAGGCCCCGGCCAUUCCCCCAUCUGAAGGGGAAGCCCCUUCUCAGCGCCGAUACCCCACCAGGAGACCACCCACGGACCCUGUGCCACCAGCCGAUCAAGCCACGAGCUCUGUUUCUCGGCCACCAGCGAAGAGAACCAAGUUCUCAGGUCCUGGAGAGCCAUCCCACGCACCUCAGUCAGAGCCACCUACAGAGGACUCUCGGAUUCCUGUGGGGAUUACUCCUGAGACCGUUAUCAGGCGUCCCAUGAUAGCCGGACCACCGAUAGAGGGCAACUUGGAUUGCAGAGAUCGAUCCUUCCAUUCCUAGACCUACUUUGAUACAGAGUCCCUCAGACAGCAGCCAGAGCUCAGAGAUUCAUUCCGACUACUACAGAGGUAUCACAUGGAGGAUCUUCUCACUCUUAGGCAAUUCUACUAUCCCAGAGUAGUUAUAGAUUUUUAUCAAUCUAUGACUACUCGAGGCCUCCGUAAUCCUACCCUCAUCCAAUUUACCAUAGAUGGACGCCAGGGUGCCAUUAGAGCUCGUCACAUUGCUGAGGCCCUCCGUAUACCUUAUGAGCCUGUGAUUCAGGCAGACUUCAGGGAGUGGUCCUCAUUCUCUCAGAGUGACAUGGUCCGCAUUUUGUCCAAGGGGACUUCUACAGCCUCAGUGUUGACUAGGAGAGAGCUUCCAUCUGGGAUGCUCCUUAUUGAUGUGCUCCUGCGUGCCAACCUUUUCCCCCUUCAGCACAAAGUUCAGAGGCGAUGAGCUAUACUUGAGGCGUUAUUUAGGAUUUCUGAGGGCUAUUUCUUCGGCCCUCAUCAUUUGAUUAUGACUUCUCUUCUUCAUUUUGAAGAGAAAGUCCAUCAGAAGAAGCUUCAAAGGGCAGAUGGCAUCCCAUUACUAUUUUCGAGGCUCCUCUGCCAGAUUUUAGAGCACCUGAGCUAUCCUGAACAGCCCCGCCUUGAGAGGCGCCGCCAUUGCCGAGAGGACUUCUCUCUCGACAAAUGGCAUCACUUGGUAGCCUACUUUGCACCCUAGGGAGCCCCAGCUGUGCCUGCACCUCCAGAGCUACCCCAAGAUGAGCAGAUGCCUCAGGCCCAGCAGGAUGAGAUUCUCACAGAGACCACACCUCCUGUCCCUGCAGCACACCCCUCAGAGCAUAUUCCUAAGCCUAUACAUCUUAUUUCUCCUAUCACUUCGGGUGCUCCACCAGUCAUGCCAGCUACCCCAGCACCUCCUCUUUCAUCUGAGCCCACUGUCAUCGUUUCUCUUACGGAAUUCAGAGGCUUAGAGCAUUCAUUGCGGACACUGAGCACUGCUCAGGAUUCUAUUAUCCACCAGAUGGCCACUAUUCGGGCACACCAGGAUCAGAUCAUUGCUACUCAGGCCCAGCAUACCACGAUCCUUCAUCAGAUUCAGCAGCAUUUGAGUAUGCAGACACCUUUUGGGCAUGAUAGGUCUGCACCAUCUGAGCCUCUAGUGCCAGAUAAGGAGAGCUUACCAGUUGAGCAGCCCAUACCAGAGGAGGAGAUCAGAGCAGAGCCAUCACAUGACACCCCUCAUAUUUGAUAUUUUUAUAUUUUACUUGUUUUUUAUUUUAGACUUGUAAAUCCCAUCUUUUGCAUGUGUUAUAAACUGGGAUUGGAAGUAUUACUUGAAAUCAUACAUUGUAUAUUUCUUUUACAAGUAAUAUAUAUAUAUAUAUAUAUAUAUAUAUCCUUUUUUAUUAUAUUCCCUUUUCUCAUUACUCUUUUGUCCUUGGAACAUGUGGUUUAAGGUACUCCAUACCUCCUUUACACUCAGACUUUGUCUCACUCAGGAGGUACCACUUCCUCCCUUUAUUUUUAAUCGCUUUCGAAACAUUGAGGACAAUGUUCAACUUGGUUGGGGGGAGAGUUGAGAAAGGAAGUUUUGUUGUUAAUACUAAGUUAUUUUGGUAUUUUAGUUGAUUUUUGCUUAAAAUUUAAAAUUUUUAAAAAGUUUUUUGAAUCAUUCUCUAUGGUUGUUAAAGAUAAUUUCUCAAAAAUAAAAUAGGAUAAGUCGAGUUUUAACUUAAUUAUUUAAGUCUUAGAGUUUGUUUUAUGCUUUCAAAGUUGAUAAUCUAUUGAAGCCUCUUUGAUUUCGAACUUUCUUCUUCCAUUUCAAGCUUUACACCACUGUGCACAUUAGAUCCCGGAUAUAUGAUGUAAAACUUUCUCACCUUCUAAGCUUAGGAAAAUUUUGACUUGGUUCAUUACUUAGCCUCUCUUUAAUAGUGUUGGGACACCUCAUAAAGACCAAUGAGUCUUUGAAAAAAAAAAAAAAAGAAGAAAGAAGAAUAAGCUUUUAUUCUUUCCUUGAAACCUAAGCAUGAUCCGAAGGGGUGGCGAAAGCCUUUAAAACCCGAUGCCCUAAACCUUGAUUGGUUGGGAGUCAUCGAUCCUCUGCUUGCUACAUAGGUGAAUGGGUUAAGAUUAGUGAGUAAAAAGAAUUGUGAAUAAGAAGGUGUGUUCCUAACCUAUUAAGAGUUGAUUAAUUUUGCCAAUGUUCGAGAAAAGCUUAGGUUGGAGGGUGAGGAUAGUUGUAUAUACUACAUCCGGAAGCUAAUCUCAUUAACACUUAGCUUAUUAUGGAAGAGUUUGAUUUGGAACCUUGAGAGUAGAAAUUCUUUUGAUACUUAAUUGCAUAAUCUCCACUCUUUGUACUUUUUGUUUAAGUUUUAAGCUUUGACAACUCCUAUUGCAUUUUGAAUCUUCAUAUCUUUAGUUCACCAGGUGAGAUGUGUUUGGAUAUCAGUCAUGCCUCUCAAUUAUUUUUUGGAAUGAAUUGCAUGACCUCUUUUAUGUAUAUUAUUACGUUUGCUUAGUUUUUCUCUCCUUAAUUGCUAAGGGACUAGCAAUAUGUCGGUUGGGGGGAGUGAUUACUACUCAAAACAUGCUAUUUUGUAGCUUGUAAUUAGCUCUUUUAAACACCCUUGAGUAGUAAUUAUUACCUUUUAACCCAAUUAACAUGUUAGGGACCCUUGCAAUCGUUUCUAACAAUUGUGUUAAGUUUUGGUGCUUUUUGAUAGCUUUAUGCUCACCAAAGCAAUUUAAGAAUGAGGGAGAGCUAUUUAUAGUUCAUGGCAAAGCUUUUGAAAGCUUAAAUUUAUGAAGAAAUCAAGCUAUAGAGCCUCAUAAUCCUUUGCCUUAGUCGUUCAAAGUAUACAAGGAAGAAACAAUGGAGAAGAGGAAAACAGGGGAUGAAAACAGGGGACACAGCUGCAGUCUUUCAUUGCACUUUUGGAGCACUUCACGAAGUCCAUUUUUUACAUUCUAUAUACCAUUUCAAAGCUCAGAAAGUCAAGAAUCCAACGGUUCAAACCAUGUACGAUUUGGAGCUGAAAUGAGAAAGAUAUGGCCUUCGGAAGACAACUGCAUCAAGCUGAGGGAUAAUUUCGCACGAUGGAAAUCAAGGUGCGAAUUCCUCAGUCCACUGUGCGAAAAUUUCGCACACCUCAAAUCAAAGUGCGAAAUUGGAACUCCAGCGUGCGAAAAUGGGAUAUUUUUGCCGACUCUUUUUCUUCUGAUAUUUUUGUGUCUAAAUUUCCAUUUUCUCCUUGUAUUCAACCACUCAUGUAAUUCCUUAGCUAGGAAGUAUCCAAGGAAGGGUAAAAUUACCUUCCUAUAUAAAUUCUCUUGUAAUCUCUGAAAAUGGAUAUCUUCGGGGAGCUUUCUCCAGGAGACCAAAUGAUGUAAAUUUGAUACUUAGUGAAAUACAGAGAUCUCUUUUGCUUUCUUUUUCUCUCUUCUAUUUUCUAUUUUCUUGCAAGCCAAACACCCUCUGAGGAUGUUUUCCCAGAGGAUGAGAGGCUAAACAUUUAGUUUCUUGGAGUAAAGGAAGCUAGGUGAAAAGUCCAGAUUAAAACAUGGAAAGUUUCCGUGCAUUAAAUUCAGGUAGUUGGAGUCCAUAAAUGGUUUUUAAAGCCAAGGUUUUGCCUUAAAUCCCUUCGAAUCACUUUGACUGGCCAAUACAUGGUAAGCUUAAGGUCUCUGUGGAUGCUUAUUGCUAGAUCCAUAUCAGUCCAUUAGUUAUCAUGUACGAGCCAUUGGAAAGUGAUUCAAGGUGAUAGCCCAUAGUGUCUUAAGCCAUUAAUGGACCUUGACUACCAUCUCUAGUGACUUUUUAUGGAUUAAAACUUCAUUGUCAAACCUAUACCGGUUCGGGAAAUAACUAUAGGUUAAAUCCUCAAUGUGAGGAGAAAAAUCCGGAAUUUUCCACUUUGCAUCUGGAACUUGAACCUAGCAACCUUUAUCUCCGGGAAACUUUCUUUCUUCCACUUUUUACUUAGUUCUAUGUGAGUUUAGUUUAAAUCACCACUUUCAAAACAAUUUUAUUUUCUUUUAAAUUUCAAGUUUGUGCUAAAGGAAAUCAUCAGAAUCAAUUUCUAAUUUAGAGUCUGUCACUGAUAGAGUGAAAACCCAUCCCUGAGUUCGACCCUAGAACUGCUAUACUAUAGUAGAUUUGCUACGCCAGUAUAAGGUCAUAGGUUUUAUAAAUGUUUUUUAUUAAAAGACCCGGCUGGGCAUCGAAUCACUUCGUCCAAGAAUCACAACUAUAACAGAGAGUAUGAAUCUGGCUGAAUGACUCAAGAGAGGCUCCUCGGAGUAUCAGGACAAAAUGAAAUCAUAUCAUCAACCUGAUGUGUAUUUCAAAACCGAGGGUGAUCAUGCAAAUCAGUGGGGGGUCUACGAAUCCCGAUCAAAAUGGGGGAAUAUGCCCCAGUAUGGCAUCAAAUGUGUGAUAGGUCAGAAAAACUAGAUGAGCUCAAAUCACCCGUCAUCGAAUGCGCGAUCCAAGUCAUCCAUGUCUACAACUGAAUCAAACCCAUAGAUAAAAAAGGCAUCUCCCGGAAGGAAGCAUGAUGACAUCUAAGUGUCAAAAAGUGCAGGCCUAACUGGGCAACUCCCGAGAGGCUCCCCUGAAGAAUCAUCGUAAAGAUAGUGAAUAGAUCAUCGUCUCGACAUACGUCUCGCAAAUGAGGAUAAGCGUGCAACGCCACCAAGAUCUAUAAAUCUCAUCCAGAACGGUAAUAUGCCCUAGUAUGGCAUUGAACGUAUGAUAGGUUAGAGAUCGGGCAACAUGAAAUCAUCUAUCAUCGAACAUGCGACAUCCGUGAAGAUCCAUAAAUCUCAUCUGAAAUGGAAAAUAUGCCCCAGUAUGGCAUCAAGUGCACAAUAGGUUAAAAGAACAAGUGACAUGAAAUCAUCUAUCGUCGAACAUGUAACCUCUGUGAAGAUCCGUAAAUCUCAUCUGAAACUAAAAUAUGCCCCAGUAUGGCAUCGGAUGUGUGAUAGGUCAGAAGAACAAGUGACAUGAAACCAUCUCUCAUCAAACAUGUAAUCUUGGUCAUCCGAAUCCAUAACUGAAUCAUGCCCACAGAUUCGAGAUGUACCUCUCGGAUGGAGAAGCAUGAUGGCAUCUAAGUGCCGAGAAGUGCAGGCCUAGCUGGAAGGCUCUCGAGAGGCUCCACUGAGGAAUCAUGAUAAGGUAACGAUCAUGUCCACGUCUCAGUGAGCAUCUAGUAAAUGAUGAUGAUCGUGCAAGUCCAUGAGGAUCUAUAAACCUCUAAAUGAAAUGGGAUAUGCCCUAGUAUGGCAUCAGAGGUACGAUAGGUCAAAAAUCGGGUGACACCAAAUCAUCUAUCAUCAAACGUAUGAUCCCAAUAAUCCGAACACAACUAAAUCAAACCUACACAUCAAAGAGGCGACUCCUAGAAGAAGAAGCAUAACGAUAUCUAAAUAUCAACUAGAUCUCAAACACCUGUCCAAAUAAAGGCUGUCGAAGACAACAUCUGAUCCCAUGGCCUCAGGGUGGUCUUAAGACACGAGACGUAACAUAGGCUAAGGUGAUAGGGUGAUAGAAAUGAAGGAAAACUAAGCUCAAAUACCCAAUGAUCAAAAACUCACGCCCUCAUAUAUGAAAUGCAAUAUGUAUAGUGAAUCCCAUGAGCCAUGGACCUGAGGAUGCCUAACGUGAAUAUGAUAUCGAUGAGGAGAUAAAUGAAGCAAAAUGAACUGAUAGUGAUAUGUGUAAUGAUGAUGCGAAGAGAGUAUCAAACCCGAGAUGGGUUGCUGUAAGAAAAGAAAUAAGACGUGAAGUGAAAAUGAUGAAUCCGUAGCGAAAACGACAAUGAUGAUGAAACAAAUAACACAAAGAGUAGUGAUCAACUCAAAUCAGACAUGAAGUGAAGUCACAUCAACAAUGAACGUAAUGAUGGAAAGGACAAUGACCUAGAGCUCCUAAGAGAAGGUCACUCAGCUCACUCUCAAAGAGAUGUGACAAAGCGAAUACAAAUAACAUAGGAUCUCAGAGAGCUCACAUACAAACUCUCAACAACAAACAUACUCGAUAAACAUGACCCUCAAAUAUCAAUAUACAUACUCAAUGAUCGAGAAUACUAUGCACAUACACACAUGUGCUUAUUUUUCUUUUCAUUUUCUUUUUCAUUAUCAUUUCAUUUUUUUCAUUUUUUUUUAUAACAUACAUACAGAUGCACAUACCCUGAACAUGAACAAAUGAACCCCAAGGAUGAUGUCGACAAUGGAUAGACACCAUCUCAAGUGCUAAGGUAGUAAAAACUCUCUGACGAGAUGACCUUCUCAAACUAAGGAUCUCUAAACCAAUGUCCGUGAGAUAGAUAGUGGAAAUGAUGUGACUAUCCCCCAUGCGAUGAACUGAGGAGGAUCACCACUUAGGGUGGAGAGAAUAUGGAACAAAACAAGUAGUAGAUAGGAUAAGAAGAAGAGAUGAGAUGAAAAUGCAGAGGUGCAGUGAUAGGAAAAGAUAAUGAGAGGAAUGUGCCCCUAGGUCCAAGGCUCAUGAAACUUCCAAACAAUGCAUGCAUACACUAAAGGGCCCCUAUCCCGGUGUGAAAAUGUGAGCGAGGCGAUAAGAAAUAAAGGCUAUAAUGCGCAUGGGAGGCUCAAUGGGCUAGCAAAGGACUAUAUAUCAAAAGGAAAUAACAAGGUAUAUGGCUAACCGAACUGAUGACCACCCAUCCUGCGACCAUGGUAUCAAAAAUAGUACCUCUUUAGCUGAUCCACAUUGGUCGACUCCGAGAAUCGGUUUCCAUCUAAAUCCAUCAACCAUGCAGCGCCCUCUGGGGUCAACUCCCUGAUGAAAUAAGGCCUGCUCCAAUUGGGCCUGAACUUCCCUCUAGGAUCUCUAAUCAAUCCCUUGAUGACUUUUAGAACCAAGUCACCUAUCUGUAAUGGUCUAGGCUUGACUCGUUUUUUGAAAGCACGGGCCAUCUUCCUCUGAUAUGAACGAACGUGGUUGACUGCUCUCAAUCUCCACUCAUCUAGGAGAUUGAGCUAAUCAAAUUGAGCUUGAGCCCAAUCUACCUUGAGAAUCUGCUGCUUUAGUGCCACUUUCAACGAACCCAUCUCAAUCUCAACUGGUAGCACCGCCUCCAUGUCGUAUAUCAAUGAGUAGGGUGUGGCUCCUAUAGAGGUGCGAAAAGAAGUCCGAUAUGCCCACAAUGCGAAUGGGAGCUUCUCUGACCAAUCUUGAGAAGUCUUAACCAUCCUCCAUAAUAUCCUCUUAAUAUUCUUAUUCGCGGCCUCUAUUGCCCCAUUCGUCUACGGCCUAUACGCAAACGACCUAUGAUGCCGAAUGUUGUAUCUCUGUACUAAGGCGUCAACCUUUGCUCUGAAAUGUACCCCUCUAUCUGAAAUCAACUCAUGAGGGACUCCGUAGCGACACAUAAUGUGUGAUCUGAUGAAACUAGCAACUCCAACUGAUGUCAGCCUCGCAUAUAAGGCAGCCUCCACCCACUUGGUGAAGUAAUCGAUGGCGACCAAGAUGAACUCAUGACCAUUGGAAGAUUUUGGUGAAAUAUUCCCGAUGAUGUCAAUACCCCAUACAGAAAAUGGCCAUGGCAAAGUCAGUGCAUGCAACUCCGAGGGCGGCACGUGAAUGAGAUCUCCAUGUAUCUGACACUCGGGACAUCUCUGAACAAAUUGGCAACAAUCCGUCUCCAUGGUCAACCAAAAAUAGCCAGUCCUCAUGAUCUUGCGGGCCAACAUAUGCCCUCCCAUAUGUGGUUCGCAUACUCCCGCAUGAACCUCUCUCAUCACUCUAUCGGCAAAGGCUCGAUCCAAGCACAAUAAUAACAUCCCGUCAGCUGAUCGUCUAUACAAUGUCUUGCCACAAAUCACAAAUCGGAUGGCUAACUGUCUCAAUGCCCUCAUAUCCUUGGUCGUGGCAACCUCAAGGUACACGCCAAGUCUCAGAAAGUGAUAUAUGUCAUGGUACCAAGGCAAACCAUCGUUUAUCUUCGUAUCAUCAAUUAGACAACAGUACGCAAGAGCAGAUCUCGACUCGAUCAACAAUGGGCGAACAGUGGCACCAGUAGGAAUGUCAAUCAUGGAAGACAUAGUAGCUAAGGCAUCAACAAACUGGUUCAGCGCUCUAAGCAGAUGUGUGUAUCUUAAAUCAUCAAAUCUCCCGACCAAUAGCUUUAAAUACGCGUGGUAAGGCCUAAGCUUCGCAUCUCUAGUCUUCCACUCGCUCUGAAUAUGUCUUAAUACCAGAUUGGAGUCACCAAACACCUCCAUCUAUCUAAUCCCGAGCUCGAGAGCUGUCUCUAAUCCCAAAAUACGAGCCUCAUACUCAACAAUGUUGUUCGUGGCAGGAUGUCGAUCCGAGAAUGCCAAACAAACAGAUCUGGGAAUGUGAUCUCCAUGAAGGGAUAUCAACAAGAUGCCUAUCCCGUAUCCAGAAUGGUUGGCUGCGCCAUCAAAGUACAUGCGCCAACCUGAUAACUGGUCACAGCUGCGACAUCCUCGUCUGGGAAGUCAUCAUCAAUGGCUCUGCCAUCGGAAAUCGGUAAAGAAGCUAGGUGAUCCGCGACAAUGCUCCCUCUAAUGGACUUUUGAGUGACAUAAUGGAUGUCAAAUUCAGUCAGAAGUACCAACUAUCUCAUGAGGCGACCGACCAAAGCGGGCCUAUCAAACAAAUAUCUCAAAGGAUCUAGACGAGAUAUCAAAUGCACUGAAUACUCAAUCAUAUAAUGUCUCAGUCGGCGAGUGGCCCAAAUCAAUGCCAAGCAAUAGCGCUCAAUCAUGACAUAUCUCGUCUCGUAGUCUAGCAUCCUCUUACUCAGAUAAUAAAUGGUUUGAUCCUUACCCGAAUCAUCGAGCUGAGCCAACAUGCAUCCCAACGCCACGUCUGAGACGAAUAGGUAUAGGAGUAAAGGACGACCUGGUGUAAGAGGCGCUAAGACUAGGGGUGACAACAAGUACUCUCGGAUCCUCUCAAAUGCGCGCUGACACUGAUCAUCCCAAAUAGUAGGUUGACUCUUUCUCAAGAGUCGAAAAAUGGGCUCACAGAUGUCUGUCAAUCUGGCGAUGAAUCUAUUGAUAUGCUGAAGUCUACCCAAGAAGCCUCUGACCUCUCUCUCUGUUCUUGGUGCAGGCAUGUCAAGGAUGGCUUUGAUCUUAUCCGGAUCUACCUCUAUGCCUCUCUCACUGACCAUAUACCCCAAGAGUUUCCUAGAAGUCACUCCGAAAGUGCACUUCUUAGGGUUCAGUCUCAAUCUGAACUGUCGGAUCCUCUCAAAAACCUCUCCAGAGCUGCUAGGUGAUCUGGUCUGUCUCGGGAUUUCACUAUCAUGUCGUCUACAUAAACCUCGGCAUCUCGAUGCAUCAUGUCAUAGAAGAGGGUGGUCGCCACUCUCUGAUAGGUGGCUCCUACGUUCUUCAGUCCAAAUGGCAUGACUCUAUAGCAAUAAGUACCCCACUCGGUAAUGAAGAACGUCUUCUCCAUGUCCUCUGAAGCCAUCAAGAUCUGACUGUACCCAAAAAAUCCGUCCAUAAAGGACAACAUCGAAUGACUUGCCGUACUGUCAACUAGCAUGUCGAUAUGUGGAAGAAGAAAAUCAUCCUUAGGACUGGCCUUCUUGAGAUCUCAAAAAUCAACACAAACUCUCACCUUACCGUCCUUUUUGGGAACAGGGAUGACAUUAGCCAGCCACUCCGGGUACUCGACCACUGAUAAGAAUCCUACACUGAGCUGCUCCUGAAUAUCCUCCUUGACCUGCAAGCUCCAAUGAGGAUGCAAUCGUCUCAACUUCUGCUUAACCGGUCUGGCAUGGGGCAGAAGUGGCAAACGAUGCUGGACAAUAGACGGAUCAAGGCCUGGCAUGUCCUCAUAAGACCAUGCGAAAACGUUCAAGUAUGCUCUCAACAACUGGAUGAGGCUAUCCCUCUCAUCAACAGAUAAAUUUGAUCCGGUCCUCAACUCCCUAGGCUGAUCUACUAUGCCAAAAUCAACAAUCUUUGUGUCCCCUACAGCAGGUGAAACUGUCUCAUCAACGGGAUCCGAAUCAGAAACAGAAGACGAGUCAUCGUCUGAAUCACGCUGUGCAAUCUCAUCAUCAAUGUCAAAAAUCUGUGAUGUAGGUGAAGAUGGUACGGAUAAAGCGAUAACAUGACAGAUAGGCAAAUACUCAAAGAUGCUCAAAUCCAUAAAUGAAAAGUUAUAAACAUAGUUAUGACGGGAGUCAAAUCCCGAUAAAACAUCAAAAGAAAGAGAUGGGUCCACAAAGUCGGGCGCUCCCUCAACUAGGCCAACAGGGCCAUCAAACAAACCAUCAACAACUAUAACAUCCUCAGCGAUCUCCGGAGCGGGGGCGACCUGGAUCUCCUCAACGACAGACACCCCGAAGAAAUCAAAUGGUGAAACGAGCUCAAGCGGGGCUAUCUCUUUGAUCUAGCUUAAGUUCAUCGCGAGCAUCUCAUCAACGUACUCGUCAUGUGGCGCGGCUCCAUCUACUAUGUCGCUGAUCUCGACAAAUGUCCCGUGAUCAUCGAUCUCAUCCGAGAAGCAAAACGUCAUAAGGCUCGUGCGAUCUAGGAAGGAAUGAGCGAUCAACGAAGAAGUCAAAGGGCUAAGGGCUCUGUCACUCAACCGUGAUUGCUGGACGAUGCGCUGAAGCUCGGCCUCCUGGGUGGUGCUGAGUCCUCCAAUGAUCCCAUCAGAUGGUGCAUGUGGCUCUGAUGCCCUCACAAAGUAAUAGGCUAGGUUCAUGGUGUAUGGGCGAACAGGAUAAUAAAAAAACGUAUGAGUCAGUCCAGCCUUCACCCUCUCCUUGCGCAAUCGCGUCAUAUAACGAUAAUCGACCUCAAUCGGAAUGAAUUCGAGCCCAAACGAUACGUCGUGAUCAGGGAAGGCCAAGAACUCACUAGGCUCGUGCUGACACCGCCCUAACCCCAUGCCGAGAAGAUAAGACAUGCUCCGCAUAAUAUCAAGCACCAUCGUGCUACUAUGCUGGUCGAAAGACAUGACUACAAAGUCUUAACAGAAAUCCUCCAUCUCCAGAGUCUACACCUCGUCAAAGGUGAAUCCGGUCAGAAAAAAAUCAUCAUCAGUGUGACUAAUCUCAAGUACAGGCUUGGCAGAAAUGAACAUAUCCCCCCAGACUGCACCACGAUGACCUGGCCAUCGUGAAUAAGCUUCACCUUCUGGUGAAGGGAAGAAGGAAUGGCCCCAGCUCUAUGGAUCCAUGGUCGGCCCAGAAGCAGGUUAAAGGAUGUAGGAAUCCUCAAAACCUAAAACACGGCGACAAAAAUGGUCGGACCAAUCAGUAGCUCAAUCUCUAGUGUACCCAUAACCUCCCUUCGAGUGCUAUCACACGCGCGAACAGUUGAGUGGAGGGACCGAAAUCUGAUGGUGCGUAACCGAGGGCAAUGGCGGUGGCCAGAGGACAGACGUUCAGGGCCGAGCCAUUGUCCAGAAGGACAUAUGGGACAAUGUGUAAUCCGAGCCCUCUGAUGGCAAGUCAUCAUCGGAGAAUACAAUGCAUGUGGCUCUACCGACCGUCAUCAUAUGAAUCAAUCCCUCGGGGGAGGUGGUAGUCUCGACUCUGAUCUUACUCAAAGCUCGAAUCAGAGCAUCACCGUGAGUGCUCGAGGAUGCCUACAGGCUCCAGAUGGAAAUAUGAGCCUGAGUGCUCUGUGGCUGUCUCAAAAUCUCAUCGUCCCCUGCUCUGACCUCCUUAGGAGUGGAUGUACCCUCAACUGGCCUAACUGCCACGGGAGGUGGUUGUUGCAUCACUCUACUUCCUCGGAGAAUAUACUGAACAUCUAAAGCAUGAGAAUCAUCAACAUGCGAAGCCUAAACCUCCUUAACAUUAGGGAUCAAGAUGAAUGGCGUCUGAACGUAAUAACGUGUGAAAGUCAGAGGCUCGGAAGUGGUCGCCCGUAUAGAUGCUGCCUCGAGAACUAAUCGAAAUGGAGCGGACAUCCGAGGCCCUAGAGUCACCCCACUCAUCUCAUAAAUCACAUCUGGCAUGAUGGGCUCUGGGUCUGAAUCGUCCCCACUCAACAUGUGGACGUGGUCGUCGAUCUCAUCGAAGUCCAAGAAAUGAAUACCAUCGGUUGGUGGAGGGAUUGCAUGUGUGGUGUGGGUCGAUAACGGGUUUGUGGUCACACUCGGCUGACCCAAGUGUACCAAACCCUGGUUGAUCAAAUCCUGGACGGCAUGUCUAAGAGCAGUACAACGAUCGGUCUCAUGUCCAGGCCCCUGAUGAUAUGCACAGUGCAAAUCCAUUCUGAACUGGGGUGGAAUCGGCUGAGGUGGCGGCUUGGGAGUGAGAGCUUAACAACCCUACCUUUAUGAGCUUCUGAAGAGCCUGGCUCAAUGGCAUGCCUAACUGUGAGAAUUGCCUCUGUGUCCUCAAUGCAAAUGUAGCAGAAGUCUGCUGAGCUCUAGGUCGGGGAUAAGGCGCUGUGGGUCUCGUAGUGAACAUAGCAACAUAGCAUGGCUGUCCUGCGGGUGUGUAGGAAACUGGGGGUCUCUCAAUGCCCUGGGUAGCAUAAUAAGGCAAAGCCAAAGUUUGUGGCACGUAGGACUGAUCAUAAGUCGGACGAGGCGCUCGCGGCCUAUACUGCUAAGGUGAAUAAGAAUGAUGAGUCUCGGGAAACCUUGGGACCGGCUGAUGACGUCUAGGAGGCCUCUGACUGGAAGAACUAAUGGCGCUCACAUCCACUGAUCUCUGUCCUCCAAAGGGCUUCUUCCCCUUCGAAUCAAAAGGAGAAGACUCAUACCAUAAUCCUCUAGCUAUGCCCUCCUCUAUACCGUACAAAGCCUGUACCAAAGAUCAAAAAUCUAUAUGUGGAAAUCCCAUCAAGUGCUGAGCAAAUCGAGGCUGCAAACUCCUCAUAAUCAUGCUGAUCUAGUCCCUCUCAGAUGGUCUAUCAAUGACCUGCGAAAUCUUCUCCCUCCAAUGGGAGAUAAACGAGGUGACCGACUCCUCCGGCCUCUGUCUCAAUGCCUCUAACUCCCUCCUCGAUAGGUCAACGAUAGUAUUAAAUGCAUACUGUCUCAAGAACUCUUGGGCCAGAUCAUCCCAAGUCCGACGACGUGAUACAUCCAAAGAAGCAAACCAACACUAUGCAGCGCCACUCAAGGACAUGGGGAAAAGCAUAAUCAUCUGAGCCUCGUUCAAUCCAUGAGCCCUCUUGAUCGUACUGUAAAGCCUCAAACAGAUGCGGGGGAACCCAAUCUCCAUUUAUCGCUUAAUGUCUGGCAUCCUGAACUUGGCCGGUAAACUAGCCACUGGUGCUCCAUCAAAAUCCUCCCAAGUAAUGGCUUUGUCUGAAGUCCACAACUGCCUCAACCUCUGCUCAAGCCUAUCCAUGCGAGCAUGUGGGUCCUCUGAGGUUAGAGUAGGCACGGUGAUGGGAGGCGGGGUAACCUCGCUCUGAUUAUGCAGAGUGAACGGCAUGGCCUAUGGUGCUGACUGACUGGGUGGAAGGGAUGGUGGCACUGUAGGGUCAUACUGGGCGCCAUCCUGAGGUGGGACCUACUAGGCCUGCUGCCCAUCUAUCCUCCGGCCUAGGCUAGCUAUAGCCUCCUGAAUCGAAGCCAUGACCUCAGCAAACUGAUCGACGGUAACUAUCUGUGAAUCCAUAUCUCACUUAUAUGAUCUCUGGUCUGACUGGUCCGAUACCCUGAUCAAUCUACCCCCAACUCUAAUCCAAGAAGUCGAACCCAAACCAAACGUAUCGAUACUCCUACAAUAGUGGAAAUACUAGAUAAGAUGCGGGGUAAGGGAAACUUCACAAAGAAUGUCUAUCAAAUGUGUCGAAAGGUAACCCGGAAGCAAUCAAACUGAUAUCCAGUCCUGAGCAGAUAUAUAAAAGACUACUGCGAAGGUAACUAAACCUGUCACUACUGAACUAGCUCUGAAGGCCCACAAAUGCACCCACGUGUUCGGGAAGGAAAAUUCUAAUUGAAAUGUCUAAGGCUCAAUCUACAAGGUCAAGGUGGCUCUAAAAGGAAAUAGGUGGACUUUAAAAGAUCCCUAGCAGAAGCGAUCGUACCCUCCGAUGGUACGCAACCCUCUACACGGCUCCGAAGAGACGGGCCGCUUCCAUGCAAGGUGGGCAUCACCUCAACACAUGUACUACCUCGAUAUCCAAAGGGGUUUCUUAUGGCGAAAUCACUCGAAACUCUCAACUCUCAGUGGUCAACUAGAGUGCACAAUGAGCGGUGCGGGUGCAUCCGAAAGCCCUAUGAAGCUAAAACAAAAAGAAAAAACACACUGGCUACACAAAUAUCCAUGAAACCUAGCUCAGGGCUAUACAGGUCUUCAAUGAUCGGACUUCAAUCAACAUCAAAGUGUCGAUCACCUCCAGAUGCUCCCAAACAUCGAUAUAGCCCGUCACUAGACUCUACUCCUAAUCUCUGGCUCAAUCAAAAUAACAAGCAUACAGAAGGCCUCGCACUUGCAAUAGUGAGAACCGAAAUGAAGGGAAUGACCGAGGCCAAGAGAGUUGGAGGUAAGGGGAUAGAUGUGUCACCCACAUGGACAGGCGACAUGCAAUCACGCAGAAGGAGGACAGUCAUGCAACAUGCAGUCAAGCAGAGUAUAGGAUAUAUCACUCAGGUCCACAUACAACUAUGACAAUCAGAUGAAAAGUGAUACAGACAUCAUGCUCGAAGACGAUCAAGAUAACAUACAAGCAAGAGAAUCAAUAAUGUCGAAUCAAACGCUAUGUAACAAUGAAUCCACAAAUGCAAGGCGAUCAGAACAAUCAUGACAAAAAUUAGAAUCAUUAUGCUAAGUAAAGCAAAAUAAGCAAUCAAUGUAAUCAACAUGUCAAUAUCCCAAACAAAUAUAGCAACGAAGAUGGAAGAAAUAACUAUCUCGAAAUCCUCAAUCAAGACAAAUCAAUCAACACGAUCAACAUGUCAAAUAUCUCAACAAAUAUAUCAAUGAAGCGCAAAAAGAAUCACUAUAGCAGAAUCCUCAAUCAAGAUGAUCAACCAAUACGAUCAACGUGUCAAUGUCCCAAGUGAAAACUCAGGAACUCUCAAUGUGCAAUCAAGAGACGAGUACCCACUGAUCGACUCAUCAAGCGCCACAUUUGCUUCAUCUUAAGUUCAAGCUUGACCCUCAUGAUCCCCCAGUGGAGUCUCCAUUUUGUGGACCCCGUAUUUUAGCUCAUGCGUUUUCCACUCGAUGGCGAGCUCGAUUUUUGUUUAAAAAAUGAUUUAUUUAUUAAAAAAAUGACUUGGAGUCGCCCCUUAUUUUUGUUUUAUUUUAAAAAGAGUAAACAAAAUAAGAAAGAAAACCCUAAGUGUGACUGCUUAUUUUGGAAAAGGUGGUCUGUGGAAAACUGGAUCAGGCUCGGGGGUCAGGUUACUCAUCAAGAAGGUACAGUAAAGACCGUAGCACCUCUCUAAAUCCCUAAAGUCGGGUCUCUACUAAUAAAAUGAAGUUGGCGUGGCGACCAAUAGGAAUAUCAACAGAUACUCAAAUCGACCAUGCACACAUGAGAAUCAAAACAUGUAUAGAGAAUGACUAGAAUGGGAAUGGAUGCAUACCUGGGCCACGAACGAGUAAUGCGCUAUCAUAAAAAUGGGGUCAGUGUAUAAUAAAGAGCACAAAACAUAUCACAUACGUCACCAAAUAGAAAUGAAAACUGUUCGAGGGAAAACUGGAUUUUUGAAAUUUAUUUGAAAAUUGGAGUUUUAGAGAUUAUUUGAAAAUUGGAUUUUUAGAAAUUAAAUAUAAGAAUGAGAAUUUUAGAAAUUAAAUUUAAAAGAAAUUGGAAUUUUGAAAAUUAUUUGAAAGUUUGGGAUUUUUUUUUUAGAAAUUAAAUUAUGGAAAUUGGGACUUUAAAAAUAAAAUUUUGAAAGAAAUCAGAAUUGAAAGUUAUUUGAGAAGUAGAAACUAUGAAAAUUGAAUUAUAAAAAUUGGAAAUCUUGGAAAUCGUUCGAAGAUAGAUUUUUUAGAAAUAAAUGAAUAAAAUGAUAAUAAUAAUGAUAAUAAUAAAUAAGUAACAAAAUAAAUACGAGAAUUGGAACAUUGGAAAUUGAAAAAAAUUAAGUUCGGAAAUUAGAAAAUUGGAAUUUCAGAUAACUAAAUUUGGGAAUCGGAAUUUUGAAGAAUUAUUUAAAGACGAAAUUUUAAUAAACGAAUAAGAAAUGAAUAAGUGAAUAAAUAAAUUAAUGGAAUAAUAAUAAUGACGAAAUAAUAAAGAUUAAGUAAAUAAUUGUGAAAAAUAAAAUUUUAGAUAUUGGAGAUUGAAUUUAGAGAUUGAGAAUUUGAGAAAUUAUUUAGAGAUGAGAUUUUUAAUAAAUGAAUAAGUGAAGAAAUAAAUGAAUAGAAUAAUAAUAAUGACGAAAUAAUAAAGAUUAGAUAAAUAAUUGCGAAAAAUAGAAUUCUAGAGAUUGAAAAUUGAAUUUGGAGAUUAAAAAUUUAAGAAAUUAUUUAGAGAUGAGAUUUUAAAUAUAUGAAUAAGUGAAUAAAUAAAUGAACGGGAUAAUAAUAAUAAUGAAAAGAAUCAUUUAAACAACUGAAUGUGAAUAGUGGGAUUUUUUAGAUUGGAAAUUAAAUUUGGAAAACAGGAUUAUGAAAAAUUGAACUUUAAUUAUUGGAAUUUGUAAAAUAAAUAAAUGGAAUGAUAAUAAUAAUAAUGUUUAAACGAAUGAACGUGAAUAGUGGAAUUUUUUAGAUUGAAGAUUAAAUUCGGAAGUCAGAUUUUUUAAUAAUUGAACUUUAAUGAUUUGAAUUUUUAAAAUAAAUAAAUAUGGAAUAAUAAUAAUAAUAACCAAAAUAAUGUUUAAACGAAUGAACAUGAAUAGUGAAAUUUUUAAUAUUGAAAAUUAAAUUUGAAAAUCAGAUUUUUGAAGAAUUGAACUUCAAUUAUUAGAAUUUUUAAAAUAAAUAAAUAAAUAAAUAUAGAAUAAUAAUAAUAAUAACAAAAAUAAUGUUUAAACGAAUGAACGUGAAUAGUGGAAUUUUUUAGAUUGAAAAUUAAAUUCGAAAAUCAGAUUUUUGAAGAAUUGAACUUUAAUCAUUGGAAUUUUUAAAAGAAAGAAAUAAAUAAAUAUGGAAUAAUAAUAAUGAUAAUAAAAAUAAUGUUUAAUGAAUGAAUGUGAAUAGUGAAAUUUUUUUGAGAUUGAAAAUUAAAUUCGGAAGUCAAAUUUUUGAAGAAUUGAACUUUAAUUAUUAGAAUUUUUAAAUGAAAUAAUAAUAAUGAAAAUAAUAUUUAAACAAAUGAACAUGAAUAGUGGAAUUUUUUAGAUCGAAAAUUAAAUUUGAAAGUCAGAUUUUUGAAGAAUUGAACCUUAAUGAUUUGAAUUUUUUUUAAAUAAAUAAAUAAAUAAAUAUGGAAUAAUAAUAAUAAUAAUAACAAAAAUAAUGUUUAAAUGAAUGAACGUGAAUAGUGGAAUUCUUGAGAUUGAAAAUUAAAUUUGAAAAUCAGAUUUUUGAAGAAUUGAACUUUAAUGAUUGAAAUUUUUAAAAGAAAUAAAUAAAUAUGGAAUAAUAAAAAUAAUGUUUACACGUAUGAACAUGAAUAGUGGAAUUCUUGAGAUUGAAAAAUAAAUUCGAAAAUCAGAUUUUUGAAGAAUUGAACUUUAAUGAUUGGAUUUUUUUAAAAGAAAUAAAUAAAUAAAUAUGAAAUAAUAAUAAUAACAGAAAUAAUGUUUAACGAAUGAACGUGAAUAGUGGAAUUUUUUAGAUUGAAAAUUAAAUUCGGAAGUCAGAUUUUUGAAAAAUUAAACUUUAAUUAUUGGAUUUUUUUAAAAUAAAUAAAUAAAUAAAUAAAUAUGGAAUAAUAAUAAUAACAAAAAUAAUGUUUAACGAAUGAACGUGAAUAGUAGAAUUUUUUUUAGAUUGAAAAUUAAAUUCGAAAGUCAGAUUUUUUAAGAAUUGAACAUUAAAUUUUUAAAAAAAUAUAUAAGCAAAUAAGUAAAUAGAAUAAUAAUAACAAGAAUAAUAAUUAAAUAAAUAAACAUGAAUAUUGGAAUUUAAAAAUGUGAAUUUUAGACAGUUACAUGAUAACAGAAUUUUUUUACAAGAACUAUAUUUUUAACAUAUAAAGAAGAAGAAUCAAGAGGGCCAAACACUAGGCCAAUGGGGUCUACACCUAACAAGCAACGGACUAGGUCCAUAAAAACCAAAUAGCCUUCAGUAAAGCCCAAUCAUAGAGGGCCCAAAUGAACAUUACCAAUCAAGUUCAAGGUUCAUCAUUCAUCAUUGUGAGAAAUCAAAUGUGCCAAAGAGAGGCACACAGAAGGUUCAUAAGAGUGUUUGUUCCACAUUCUAUCCCAGUCCACUAACAUGAUAAAACAACAGCAAAAACAAUAACGCAAGUCAACAAAUCUGAAUCUUCAAUCCUAAAAGGGAAACUAAAAUAAAGCCCCCGUUGAAAGCAGCUUGGUCCAUUCUCUGAAGACAAUAAACGAACAAACACAGAACUCAAAAUUUCAAGUUUGCUUAACGAACCUGUCUUCUCUCGCUGUGAUCUUCCCCUCUGGUCGUUCUCGUUCUCCUUCUCCUUCCUGUUAUGGAAUCUGCUUCAGCUCCAGGAAUCUUUUUUCUCAAUCUCCCUUUUUUCCCGCUACUUCUCGUCCUCUUCAGCCGCCCAAAUACUGCUCGCCCCCGUCCCAUCUCAUGGCCGCCCAACGCAGCCCAUUCUGUCAUCUCUGGCCGCCUCCAACGGCUGACCCUCGGGGUGGUAAAAAGAGAGAAAAAAAAUAAAAAAAAUUUCUGUCUCUAAAGGGUCUACAAAUGUAUUUAAAUAUUUGUUUGAUUCCUUAAAGAUAUUAUUUUUUAAUUAAUCAAAGCUAUUAUUUAGGAAGAUUUGAAAAUUCAUAUUUUGAUAGUCUUAAUCAUUUUAAAUAUUAUUCUUUAAUUAAAAAUAAUAUUUAAAAAGAUUUAGAAGAUUAUAUUUAAUUUAUUUCUUUAUAGGACUUGAUAAUUACCUUUUUUUAGUUAUUGAAUUUAUCAAUUUUUGUUUUUUCUAACCAUUGAGUGUGUGACUCAUGUUAUAUAGAUUUUUUGUUUAAAUAUUAUUUAAAAAAAAAAGGUAACUUACAAAAUAUUAAAGGUUCUACCAUAAAAUUGUUAACUAAAAUUUGUCUUAUCAAAAGAUGAGUUCAAUAUAAAAAAAUAAAUUUACAUUUUUCAUUGAACUCAUUUUUUAAGAGAUGAGCUUAAUAUAUAAAUACUAAACUCAUCUUUCCGAAAGAAAAGUUUGUUGAAAGAUACUAGACUUAGAUUUUCAUAAAACAAAUUCCAUGUAAAAAUGCUUGUAGACCCCCUUUGGUAGUGAGGACCCGGGAGGUUUGUUUUUUUUUGGAUUUUCAUUAUAUUGUUAGAAGGGGUAGGGGACCCCCAGCUAGAGAGGAGCAGAGACGCCAUGCUGAUGAUGAAGGUAGCCACCAGAUGGGACGUGUAGCAGGGGGCAGAGUGGCUUGCGGUGGAAGAUAGAAACAGGAGAGAAAAAGGAUAUACGAGGGGGGGAGUCUGAUGGGAGGGAGGGGGCCAUUAGAGGAAGCCAUUAGGGGAGUCACAGAGAAGGGAGCUUGCUGGUUCCAUUGAUCUUAGAGGAGAACUUACUAGAGAAGGAGAUAACAGAGAAAGAAGGCAGCUGCAGGUGAGUUUGGGGUGAGUCUCUUGCUCCCUUUUGAUUCAUAUUCUCCUCAUCCCUUUCUCAUUUUGGUUUGCUUUGCAUUGCUCAUCAGUCCGGGUUGGAUUUCAUGUUGAAUUUCAUUGAUUUUUUUGGAUCACUUGUUUGUUGUCGUUGAUCUUGCCGUUAUCCUUAUGGUUUAGUUUGGAGUUGAUGAGAUCUGUUUCUCACGUAUUUUGUGGCUCUGGCUUGAGAUCUUCCCACCUGUAUCUGCCCAUGGAUACCACCCGACAUGAGGCUUGAUACACUCAUGUUUUUCUACUUUAUUCCUUGAUUAUCUUUCCCUCGUUUUUUGUUGUUUUGGCUCCUAUAUUUGUGAUCCUUUCUAUGAAUGAAGGCCUAUACACAAAGGCUGUUUCUUGUAUUUGAUAAAACCGAUUGAGCCACCCAUGGUUUCAGAUGAAGCAGAGACGUUAACGAGAUGUAUGCUCUGUUUUUUAGGAUCUUUGUUCUUCUUUUAAUAUCUGUAAACAGAGAAGCUUGCAUGCAAAGAGUCAUCAUCCAAAACUGGCAGCGUGUUAGGCCUGAGGUUAAACAAGAGUGACAAAUGUAAGAACAGUGAGGGAAGAGAGCCAUUUUUUUCAGUCACUGGGCUGCCAUAUUUUUAUCACCGGGCUGUUGAUUUCUUUUCAUCACCGGACUGCUAUUCUUUUUCAUCACCGGGCUACUGACUUUUCUUUAUCACCGGGCUGCUCAUCCACCAUAGCAUCAACUCCAUGUCACAGCUGGUUCUUUUUCAUUCGUCGCCGCACCAACUGCACACCCCAUUUUUUUGGUACCUUCACGGCCAUUAGGUAUGUCAGCUGUUUUUUUACAUAUAUAUGCAUAAAGUUUCAGCAACAGUGAAGGCUCGGAGCAUUUUUCCAAGUAGAAUUAUUAUUAUAAUAGGGUAAGUGGUUUGACUUUAUUUACUAGCUCCAGCACACUUUUUUUGGUCUAUAUGGUCAUAUGGAUAUGGUUGCAAAGUAUGGGAUCACCUUAUUAUCCAAUGGACAAAAUUAUAAGUGGACCUUCCGGGAAGAGACUUAAAAAAAUAGGUUUGUGGGGCCUUUUCUUUCCAUUUAUUGAUUCCUCAUGUUGUGUACACGUUUUGAUGGUAAGCCACUUUUUAUUUUAUUUCAUUCUAUUAUUUUAUUAGUUUUCUUCAACUUUUGAUGCCCAAAAAUUUCAUUUUCAAAAUUUUAAUCUUAAAAUAAUAUACAAAAAAAAACUCUAGUUUUAAUUUAAUUUCUCAAAGCUCCAAUUCUAAUUUAAUUUUUCAAAAGUUCCCAUUUUUAAAAAUUUAGUUUUCAAUACUUUAACUUCCCAAACUUUAAUUAUUUUCAAAUUUUAUUUUUUAAAAAUUCUAUCAUUAGACAAUUACGAUUUUUCGACUUCCAAAUUUAAUUUUCAAUUUCAAAAAUUCAAAUAUUCACGCUUAUUCAUUUAAUCAUCAUUCUCAUUAUUAUUAUCAUUCUAUUUAUUUAUUUAUUUUAAAAUUCUAUUUUUAAACAUUUUUUUUCAAAAUUCCAAUUUCUAAAUUUAAACCCCAAUUUCUGAGAUUCCAAUUUUUAUACCAAUUCAUCUAAUCAUCAUCAUUUUGUUCAGUUGUUUAUUUUUAAAAUUCAAUCUUUAAAUAACUCUUCAAAAUUCCGAUUUCUAAUUUUAAAUUUCAGUUUCCAAAAUUUUAAUUUUCACAUCAAUUUAUUUAAUCAUCAUUAUUUUAUUUAUUCAUUUUAAAAUUCCGUUGUUAAACAAUUCUUCAAAAUUUUCGAUUUUCAAAUUUUAUUUCCAAAAUUCCCAUUCUUAAAUUCAAUUCCCAAGGCUCCAAUUAUCAGAUAAUCUUCGGGACUUCAAUUUUUAAAUAAAUUUCAAAAAUCCAGUUUUCACUCGAACAGUUUUAAUUCCACUUUGGUUUUCAAAUAAUCUUUUUUUUCUCUUAAUUUUAUAUAAGCAUGAAUGUCAUUUUCAUAAUUUCGGAACAAUGGAAUUUGUGAGAUUAAUUCAUACAAGAUCAAUCGGGCUUUGGUGGGGGUCCAACAUAUGUGAUUUCCUUAUGAUUGAUUGAUUGUUUGUUUGAUUUAAUUGUCAUACAUGAUCAAUUUUAUUCUGCUCUAUGACAUGCUCGAAAUUAUUCCUUAAUUGCGUGCUAAUUUCACUUCUUGAUAGCGCUUUAUGGAUUACUGCCCAGGUACGCAUCCACACCCGCUCGGGUCAUUUUCUGUAUGCAUGUCUAGAUUCUCACAUGUGCAUGAUCACUCUGAGUAUUCAUUGAUUCCCUCAUCAAUUGCCAUGAUUGCUUCAUUUUAUUAGUAGAGACCCGACUUUAGGGACUUAAAGGGGUGCUACGGUCCGUACCGUACCUUCCCGAUAAGUAACCUGACCCCCGAACCCGAUCCGGUUUUUCGCAAACCGCCUUUUCCAAAAUAAGGAGUCACACUUAGGGUUUUUCUUUCUUAUUUUGUUUACCCUUUUAAAAAAUAAAACAAAAAUAAGUGGCGACUCCAAGUCAUUUUUCUUAAUCAAAUAAAAAUCAAAUUUUCAAAUAAAAAUCGAGCUCACCAUCGAGUGGGAAACGCAUGAGCCGAAAUGCGGGGUCCACAAUGCUUAACUUGUUUUUUCAAAAGGCGAGGCUUAUAUGAAAAUCUAUUUUUUUUUCUUGAACUUAUUGUUCCUAAAAGGUGAGUUCAAUGUUGUUGUUGUUUUAAUUUAAUUUAAUUUUUUUUUUUUUUUACCCCACACUAUACAUUGAUAAGGAUAUACAAUCAAGUUGAGAAAGUCAAGGGAGAAAAUCAAGGGAUUUCCAAGUUUUGAAUAUUUUGGAAUAUUUGUAGUUAUACCAUUUAUUUGUAUAGUUACUCAAUUUAUUUUGUUUCCUAUUUCUUUGUAAUCAGUUUCCUAUUUUCGUGCUCAUGCAAUCUGUAUAUAUACUAACCAUAUCAAUGAGAAUCAGUAGUAAUAAUUCUUCAAUUUCUCUCUUCCAAAAAUCCUUUAUGGUAUCAGAGCAAAGGUUUUUUCUUUAAUUUUUUUUUUUUUUCCCAGCCACGUUCUUCAAUCUUCAGCAAGCCUUUCAUCCUCCUCAUUCCAAUGGCCACUGAGAAUUCUCAACUCAUCAUUCCUAAUGCCCAGGAACCCACAAAACCACUAACCAUGAUUACUAUCCAUAACUCCAUUAAACUCACACCCACCAACUAUCUUUCUUGGAAAACCCAAAUGGAAGCCAUUCUCAUCGGCUAUGAUCUACAAAAAUUCAUUGAUGGAUCCCACCCUGCUCCUCCAACCACCAUCACCACCAAUAAUGUUGUCUCUACUAACCCUGCAUACCAAACAUGGCUACGUCAAGACAAACUAUUAUUUGGAGCCCUUGUCGGCACUCUCUCAUCUACUCUAGUUCCUCUCAUCACNNNNNNNNNNNNNNNNNNNNNNNNNNNNNNNNNNNNNNNNNNNNNNNNNNNNNNNNNNNNNNNNNNNNNNNNNNNNNNNNNNNNNNNNNNNNNNNNNNNNNNNNNNNNNNNNNNNNNNNNNNNNNNNNNNNNNNNNNNNNNNNNNNNNNNNNNNNNNNNNNNNNNNNNNNNNNNNNNNNNNNNNNNNNNNNNNNNNNNNNNNNNNNNNNNNNNNNNNNNNNNNNNNNNNNNNNNNNNNNNNNNNNNNNNNNNNNNNNNNNNNNNNNNNNNNNNNNNNNNNNNNNNNNNNNNNNNNNNNNNNNNNNNNNNNNNNNNNNNNNNNNNNNNNNNNNNNNNNNNNNNNNNNNNNNNNNNNNNNNNNNNNNNNNNNNNNNNNNNNNNNNNNNNNNNNNNNNNNNNNNNNNNNNNNNNNNNNNNNNNNNNNNNNNNNNNNNNNNNNNNNNNNNNNNNNNNNNNNNNNNNNNNNNNNNNNNNNNNNNNNNNNNNNNNNNNNNNNNNNNNNNNNNNNNNNNNNNNNNNNNNNNNNNNNNNNNNNNNNNNNNNNNNNNNNNNNNNNNNNNNNNNNNNNNNNNNNNNNNNNNNNNNNNNNNNNNNNNNNNNNNNNNNNNNNNNNNNNNNNNNNNNNNNNNNNNNNNNNNNNNNNNNNNNNNNNNNNNNNNNNNNNNNNNNNNNNNNNNNNNNNNNNNNNNNNNNNNNNNNNNNNNNNNNNNNNNNNNNNNNNNNNNNNNNNNNNNNNNNNNNNNNNNNNNNNNNNNNNNNNNNNNNNNNNNNNNNNNNNNNNNNNNNNNNNNNNNNNNNNNNNNNNNNNNNNNNNNNNNNNNNNNNNNNNNNNNNNNNNNNNNNNNNNNNNNNNNNNNNNNNNNNNNNNNNNNNNNNNNNNNNNNNNNNNNNNNNNNNNNNNNNNNNNNNNNNNNNNNNNNNNNNNNNNNNNNNNNNNNNNNNNNNNNNNNNNNNNNNNNNNNNNNNNNNNNNNNNNNNNNNNNNNNNNNNNNNNNNNNNNNNNNNNNNNNNNNNNNNNNNNNNNNNNNNNNNNNNNNNNNNNNNNNNNNNNNNNNNNNNNNNNNNNNNNNNNNNNNNNNNNNNNNNNNNNNNNNNNNNNNNNNNNNNNNNNNNNNNNNNNNNNNNNNNNNNNNNNNNNNNNNNNNNNNNNNNNNNNNNNNNNNNNNNNNNNNNNNNNNNNNNNNNNNNNNNNNNNNNNNNNNNNNNNNNNNNNNNNNNNNNNNNNNNNNNNNNNNNNNNNNNNNNNNNNNNNNNNNNNNNNNNNNNNNNNNNNNNNNNNNNNNNNNNNNNNNNNNNNNNNNNNNNNNNNNNNNNNNNNNNNNNNNNNNNNNNNNNNNNNNNNNNNNNNNNNNNNNNNNNNNNNNNNNNNNNNNNNNNNNNNNNNNNNNNNNNNNNNNNNNNNNNNNNNNNNNNNNNNNNNNNNNNNNNNNNNNNNNNNNNNNNNNNNNNNNNNNNNNNNNNNNNNNNNNNNNNNNNNNNNNNNNNNNNNNNNNNNNNNNNNNNNNNNNNNNNNNNNNNNNNNNNNNNNNNNNNNNNNNNNNNNNNNNNNNNNNNNNNNNNNNNNNNNNNNNNNNNNNNNNNNNNNNNNNNNNNNNNNNNNNNNNNNNNNNNNNNNNNNNNNNNNNNNNNNNNNNNNNNNNNNNNNNNNNNNNNNNNNNNNNNNNNNNNNNNNNNNNNNNNNNNNNNNNNNNNNNNNNNNNNNNNNNNNNNNNNNNNNNNNNNNNNNNNNNNNNNNNNNNNNNNNNNNNNNNNNNNNNNNNNNNNNNNNNNNNNNNNNNNNNNNNNNNNNNNNNNNNNNNNNNNNNNNNNNNNNNNNNNNNNNNNNNNNNNNNNNNNNNNNNNNNNNNNNNNNNNNNNNNNNNNNNNNNNNNNNNNNNNNNNNNNNNNNNNNNNNNNNNNNNNNNNNNNNNNNNNNNNNNNNNNNNNNNNNNNNNNNNNNNNNNNNNNNNNNNNNNNNNNNNNNNNNNNNNNNNNNNNNNNNNNNNNNNNNNNNNNNNNNNNNNNNNNNNNNNNNNNNNNNNNNNNNNNNNNNNNNNNNNNNNNNNNNNNNNNNNNNNNNNNNNNNNNNNNNNNNNNNNNNNNNNNNNNNNNNNNNNNNNNNNNNNNNNNNNNNNNNNNNNNNNNNNNNNNNNNNNNNNNNNNNNNNNNNNNNNNNNNNNNNNNNNNNNNNNNNNNNNNNNNNNNNNNNNNNNNNNNNNNNNNNNNNNNNNNNNNNNNNNNNNNNNNNNNNNNNNNNNNNNNNNNNNNNNNNNNNNNNNNNNNNNNNNNNNNNNNNNNNNNNNNNNNNNNNNNNNNNNNNNNNNNNNNNNNNNNNNNNNNNNNNNNNNNNNNNNNNNNNNNNNNNNNNNNNNNNNNNNNNNNNNNNNNNNNNNNNNNNNNNNNNNNNNNNNNNNNNNNNNNNNNNNNNNNNNNNNNNNNNNNNNNNNNNNNNNNNNNNNNNNNNNNNNNNNNNNNNNNNNNNNNNNNNNNNNNNNNNNNNNNNNNNNNNNNNNNNNNNNNNNNNNNNNNNNNNNNNNNNNNNNNNNNNNNNNNNNNNNNNNNNNNNNNNNNNNNNNNNNNNNNNNNNNNNNNNNNNNNNNNNNNNNNNNNNNNNNNNNNNNNNNNNNNNNNNNNNNNNNNNNNNNNNNNNNNNNNNNNNNNNNNNNNNNNNNNNNNNNNNNNNNNNNNNNNNNNNNNNNNNNNNNNNNNNNNNNNNNNNNNNNNNNNNNNNNNNNNNNNNNNNNNNNNNNNNNNNNNNNNNNNNNNNNNNNNNNNNNNNNNNNNNNNNNNNNNNNNNNNNNNNNNNNNNNNNNNNNNNNNNNNNNNNNNNNNNNNNNNNNNNNNNNNNNNNNNNNNNNNNNNNNNNNNNNNNNNNNNNNNNNNNNNNNNNNNNNNNNNNNNNNNNNNNNNNNNNNNNNNNNNNNNNNNNNNNNNNNNNNNNNNNNNNNNNNNNNNNNNNNNNNNNNNNNNNNNNNNNNNNNNNNNNNNNNNNNNNNNNNNNNNNNNNNNNNNNNNNNNNNNNNNNNNNNNNNNNNNNNNNNNNNNNNNNNNNNNNNNNNNNNNNNNNNNNNNNNNNNNNNNNNNNNNNNNNNNNNNNNNNNNNNNNNNNNNNNNNNNNNNNNNNNNNNNNNNNNNNNNNNNNNNNNNNNNNNNNNNNNNNNNNNNNNNNNNNNNNNNNNNNNNNNNNNNNNNNNNNNNNNNNNNNNNNNNNNNNNNNNNNNNNNNNNNNNNNNNNNNNNNNNNNNNNNNNNNNNNNNNNNNNNNNNNNNNNNNNNNNNNNNNNNNNNNNNNNNNNNNNNNNNNNNNNNNNNNNNNNNNNNNNNNNNNNNNNNNNNNNNNNNNNNNNNNNNNNNNNNNNNNNNNNNNNNNNNNNNNNNNNNNNNNNNNNNNNNNNNNNNNNNNNNNNNNNNNNNNNNNNNNNNNNNNNNNNNNNNNNNNNNNNNNNNNNNNNNNNNNNNNNNNNNNNNNNNNNNNNNNNNNNNNNNNNNNNNNNNNNNNNNNNNNNNNNNNNNNNNNNNNNNNNNNNNNNNNNNNNNNNNNNNNNNNNNNNNNNNNNNNNNNNNNNNNNNNNNNNNNNNNNNNNNNNNNNNNNNNNNNNNNNNNNNNNNNNNNNNNNNNNNNNNNNNNNNNNNNNNNNNNNNNNNNNNNNNNNNNNNNNNNNNNNNNNNNNNNNNNNNNNNNNNNNNNNNNNNNNNNNNNNNNNNNNNNNNNNNNNNNNNNNNNNNNNNNNNNNNNNNNNNNNNNNNNNNNNNNNNNNNNNNNNNNNNNNNNNNNNNNNNNNNNNNNNNNNNNNNNNNNNNNNNNNNNNNNNNNNNNNNNNNNNNNNNNNNNNNNNNNNNNNNNNNNNNNNNNNNNNNNNNNNNNNNNNNNNNNNNNNNNNNNNNNNNNNNNNNNNNNNNNNNNNNNNNNNNNNNNNNNNNNNNNNNNNNNNNNNNNNNNNNNNNNNNNNNNNNNNNNNNNNNNNNNNNNNNNNNNNNNNNNNNNNNNNNNNNNNNNNNNNNNNNNNNNNNNNNNNNNNNNNNNNNNNNNNNNNNNNNNNNNNNNNNNNNNNNNNNNNNNNNNNNNNNNNNNNNNNNNNNNNNNNNNNNNNNNNNNNNNNNNNNNNNNNNNNNNNNNNNNNNNNNNNNNNNNNNNNNNNNNNNNNNNNNNNNNNNNNNNNNNNNNNNNNNNNNNNNNNNNNNNNNNNNNNNNNNNNNNNNNNNNNNNNNNNNNNNNNNNNNNNNNNNNNNNNNNNNNNNNNNNNNNNNNNNNNNNNNNNNNNNNNNNNNNNNNNNNNNNNNNNNNNNNNNNNNNNNNNNNNNNNNNNNNNNNNNNNNNNNNNNNNNNNNNNNNNNNNNNNNNNNNNNNNNNNNNNNNNNNNNNNNNNNNNNNNNNNNNNNNNNNNNNNNNNNNNNNNNNNNNNNNNNNNNNNNNNNNNNNNNNNNNNNNNNNNNNNNNNNNNNNNNNNNNNNNNNNNNNNNNNNNNNNNNNNNNNNNNNNNNNNNNNNNNNNNNNNNNNNNNNNNNNNNNNNNNNNNNNNNNNNNNNNNNNNNNNNNNNNNNNNNNNNNNNNNNNNNNNNNNNNNNNNNNNNNNNNNNNNNNNNNNNNNNNNNNNNNNNNNNNNNNNNNNNNNNNNNNNNNNNNNNNNNNNNNNNNNNNNNNNNNNNNNNNNNNNNNNNNNNNNNNNNNNNNNNNNNNNNNNNNNNNNNNNNNNNNNNNNNNNNNNNNNNNNNNNNNNNNNNNNNNNNNNNNNNNNNNNNNNNNNNNNNNNNNNNNNNNNNNNNNNNNNNNNNNNNNNNNNNNNNNNNNNNNNNNNNNNNNNNNNNNNNNNNNNNNNNNNNNNNNNNNNNNNNNNNNNNNNNNNNNNNNNNNNNNNNNNNNNNNNNNNNNNNNNNNNNNNNNNNNNNNNNNNNNNNNNNNNNNNNNNNNNNNNNNNNNNNNNNNNNNNNNNNNNNNNNNNNNNNNNNNNNNNNNNNNNNNNNNNNNNNNNNNNNNNNNNNNNNNNNNNNNNNNNNNNNNNNNNNNNNNNNNNNNNNNNNNNNNNNNNNNNNNNNNNNNNNNNNNNNNNNNNNNNNNNNNNNNNNNNNNNNNNNNNNNNNNNNNNNNNNNNNNNNNNNNNNNNNNNNNNNNNNNNNNNNNNNNNNNNNNNNNNNNNNNNNNNNNNNNNNNNNNNNNNNNNNNNNNNNNNNNNNNNNNNNNNNNNNNNNNNNNNNNNNNNNNNNNNNNNNNNNNNNNNNNNNNNNNNNNNNNNNNNNNNNNNNNNNNNNNNNNNNNNNNNNNNNNNNNNNNNNNNNNNNNNNNNNNNNNNNNNNNNNNNNNNNNNNNNNNNNNNNNNNNNNNNNNNNNNNNNNNNNNNNNNNNNNNNNNNNNNNNNNNNNNNNNNNNNNNNNNNNNNNNNNNNNNNNNNNNNNNNNNNNNNNNNNNNNNNNNNNNNNNNNNNNNNNNNNNNNNNNNNNNNNNNNNNNNNNNNNNNNNNNNNNNNNNNNNNNNNNNNNNNNNNNNNNNNNNNNNNNNNNNNNNNNNNNNNNNNNNNNNNNNNNNNNNNNNNNNNNNNNNNNNNNNNNNNNNNNNNNNNNNNNNNNNNNNNNNNNNNNNNNNNNNNNNNNNNNNNNNNNNNNNNNNNNNNNNNNNNNNNNNNNNNNNNNNNNNNNNNNNNNNNNNNNNNNNNNNNNNNNNNNNNNNNNNNNNNNNNNNNNNNNNNNNNNNNNNNNNNNNNNNNNNNNNNNNNNNNNNNNNNNNNNNNNNNNNNNNNNNNNNNNNNNNNNNNNNNNNNNNNNNNNNNNNNNNNNNNNNNNNNNNNNNNNNNNNNNNNNNNNNNNNNNNNNNNNNNNNNNNNNNNNNNNNNNNNNNNNNNNNNNNNNNNNNNNNNNNNNNNNNNNNNNNNNNNNNNNNNNNNNNNNNNNNNNNNNNNNNNNNNNNNNNNNNNNNNNNNNNNNNNNNNNNNNNNNNNNNNNNNNNNNNNNNNNNNNNNNNNNNNNNNNNNNNNNNNNNNNNNNNNNNNNNNNNNNNNNNNNNNNNNNNNNNNNNNNNNNNNNNNNNNNNNNNNNNNNNNNNNNNNNNNNNNNNNNNNNNNNNNNNNNNNNNNNNNNNNNNNNNNNNNNNNNNNNNNNNNNNNNNNNNNNNNNNNNNNNNNNNNNNNNNNNNNNNNNNNNNNNNNNNNNNNNNNNNNNNNNNNNNNNNNNNNNNNNNNNNNNNNNNNNNNNNNNNNNNNNNNNNNNNNNNNNNNNNNNNNNNNNNNNNNNNNNNNNNNNNNNNNNNNNNNNNNNNNNNNNNNNNNNNNNNNNNNNNNNNNNNNNNNNNNNNNNNNNNNNNNNNNNNNNNNNNNNNNNNNNNNNNNNNNNNNNNNNNNNNNNNNNNNNNNNNNNNNNNNNNNNNNNNNNNNNNNNNNNNNNNNNNNNNNNNNNNNNNNNNNNNNNNNNNNNNNNNNNNNNNNNNNNNNNNNNNNNNNNNNNNNNNNNNNNNNNNNNNNNNNNNNNNNNNNNNNNNNNNNNNNNNNNNNNNNNNNNNNNNNNNNNNNNNNNNNNNNNNNNNNNNNNNNNNNNNNNNNNNNNNNNNNNNNNNNNNNNNNNNNNNNNNNNNNNNNNNNNNNNNNNNNNNNNNNNNNNNNNNNNNNNNNNNNNNNNNNNNNNNNNNNNNNNNNNNNNNNNNNNNNNNNNNNNNNNNNNNNNNNNNNNNNNNNNNNNNNNNNNNNNNNNNNNNNNNNNNNNNNNNNNNNNNNNNNNNNNNNNNNNNNNNNNNNNNNNNNNNNNNNNNNNNNNNNNNNNNNNNNNNNNNNNNNNNNNNNNNNNNNNNNNNNNNNNNNNNNNNNNNNNNNNNNNNNNNNNNNNNNNNNNNNNNNNNNNNNNNNNNNNNNNNNNNNNNNNNNNNNNNNNNNNNNNNNNNNNNNNNNNNNNNNNNNNNNNNNNNNNNNNNNNNNNNNNNNNNNNNNNNNNNNNNNNNNNNNNNNNNNNNNNNNNNNNNNNNNNNNNNNNNNNNNNNNNNNNNNNNNNNNNNNNNNNNNNNNNNNNNNNNNNNNNNNNNNNNNNNNNNNNNNNNNNNNNNNNNNNNNNNNNNNNNNNNNNNNNNNNNNNNNNNNNNNNNNNNNNNNNNNNNNNNNNNNNNNNNNNNNNNNNNNNNNNNNNNNNNNNNNNNNNNNNNNNNNNNNNNNNNNNNNNNNNNNNNNNNNNNNNNNNNNNNNNNNNNNNNNNNNNNNNNNNNNNNNNNNNNNNNNNNNNNNNNNNNNNNNNNNNNNNNNNNNNNNNNNNNNNNNNNNNNNNNNNNNNNNNNNNNNNNNNNNNNNNNNNNNNNNNNNNNNNNNNNNNNNNNNNNNNNNNNNNNNNNNNNNNNNNNNNNNNNNNNNNNNNNNNNNNNNNNNNNNNNNNNNNNNNNNNNNNNNNNNNNNNNNNNNNNNNNNNNNNNNNNNNNNNNNNNNNNNNNNNNNNNNNNNNNNNNNNNNNNNNNNNNNNNNNNNNNNNNNNNNNNNNNNNNNNNNNNNNNNNNNNNNNNNNNNNNNNNNNNNNNNNNNNNNNNNNNNNNNNNNNNNNNNNNNNNNNNNNNNNNNNNNNNNNNNNNNNNNNNNNNNNNNNNNNNNNNNNNNNNNNNNNNNNNNNNNNNNNNNNNNNNNNNNNNNNNNNNNNNNNNNNNNNNNNNNNNNNNNNNNNNNNNNNNNNNNNNNNNNNNNNNNNNNNNNNNNNNNNNNNNNNNNNNNNNNNNNNNNNNNNNNNNNNNNNNNNNNNNNNNNNNNNNNNNNNNNNNNNNNNNNNNNNNNNNNNNNNNNNNNNNNNNNNNNNNNNNNNNNNNNNNNNNNNNNNNNNNNNNNNNNNNNNNNNNNNNNNNNNNNNNNNNNNNNNNNNNNNNNNNNNNNNNNNNNNNNNNNNNNNNNNNNNNNNNNNNNNNNNNNNNNNNNNNNNNNNNNNNNNNNNNNNNNNNNNNNNNNNNNNNNNNNNNNNNNNNNNNNNNNNNNNNNNNNNNNNNNNNNNNNNNNNNNNNNNNNNNNNNNNNNNNNNNNNNNNNNNNNNNNNNNNNNNNNNNNNNNNNNNNNNNNNNNNNNNNNNNNNNNNNNNNNNNNNNNNNNNNNNNNNNNNNNNNNNNNNNNNNNNNNNNNNNNNNNNNNNNNNNNNNNNNNNNNNNNNNNNNNNNNNNNNNNNNNNNNNNNNNNNNNNNNNNNNNNNNNNNNNNNNNNNNNNNNNNNNNNNNNNNNNNNNNNNNNNNNNNNNNNNNNNNNNNNNNNNNNNNNNNNNNNNNNNNNNNNNNNNNNNNNNNNNNNNNNNNNNNNNNNNNNNNNNNNNNNNNNNNNNNNNNNNNNNNNNNNNNNNNNNNNNNNNNNNNNNNNNNNNNNNNNNNNNNNNNNNNNNNNNNNNNNNNNNNNNNNNNNNNNNNNNNNNNNNNNNNNNNNNNNNNNNNNNNNNNNNNNNNNNNNNNNNNNNNNNNNNNNNNNNNNNNNNNNNNNNNNNNNNNNNNNNNNNNNNNNNNNNNNNNNNNNNNNNNNNNNNNNNNNNNNNNNNNNNNNNNNNNNNNNNNNNNNNNNNNNNNNNNNNNNNNNNNNNNNNNNNNNNNNNNNNNNNNNNNNNNNNNNNNNNNNNNNNNNNNNNNNNNNNNNNNNNNNNNNNNNNNNNNNNNNNNNNNNNNNNNNNNNNNNNNNNNNNNNNNNNNNNNNNNNNNNNNNNNNNNNNNNNNNNNNNNNNNNNNNNNNNNNNNNNNNNNNNNNNNNNNNNNNNNNNNNNNNNNNNNNNNNNNNNNNNNNNNNNNNNNNNNNNNNNNNNNNNNNNNNNNNNNNNNNNNNNNNNNNNNNNNNNNNNNNNNNNNNNNNNNNNNNNNNNNNNNNNNNNNNNNNNNNNNNNNNNNNNNNNNNNNNNNNNNNNNNNNNNNNNNNNNNNNNNNNNNNNNNNNNNNNNNNNNNNNNNNNNNNNNNNNNNNNNNNNNNNNNNNNNNNNNNNNNNNNNNNNNNNNNNNNNNNNNNNNNNNNNNNNNNNNNNNNNNNNNNNNNNNNNNNNNNNNNNNNNNNNNNNNNNNNNNNNNNNNNNNNNNNNNNNNNNNNNNNNNNNNNNNNNNNNNNNNNNNNNNNNNNNNNNNNNNNNNNNNNNNNNNNNNNNNNNNNNNNNNNNNNNNNNNNNNNNNNNNNNNNNNNNNNNNNNNNNNNNNNNNNNNNNNNNNNNNNNNNNNNNNNNNNNNNNNNNNNNNNNNNNNNNNNNNNNNNNNNNNNNNNNNNNNNNNNNNNNNNNNNNNNNNNNNNNNNNNNNNNNNNNNNNNNNNNNNNNNNNNNNNNNNNNNNNNNNNNNNNNNNNNNNNNNNNNNNNNNNNNNNNNNNNNNNNNNNNNNNNNNNNNNNNNNNNNNNNNNNNNNNNNNNNNNNNNNNNNNNNNNNNNNNNNNNNNNNNNNNNNNNNNNNNNNNNNNNNNNNNNNNNNNNNNNNNNNNNNNNNNNNNNNNNNNNNNNNNNNNNNNNNNNNNNNNNNNNNNNNNNNNNNNNNNNNNNNNNNNNNNNNNNNNNNNNNNNNNNNNNNNNNNNNNNNNNNNNNNNNNNNNNNNNNNNNNNNNNNNNNNNNNNNNNNNNNNNNNNNNNNNNNNNNNNNNNNNNNNNNNNNNNNNNNNNNNNNNNNNNNNNNNNNNNNNNNNNNNNNNNNNNNNNNNNNNNNNNNNNNNNNNNNNNNNNNNNNNNNNNNNNNNNNNNNNNNNNNNNNNNNNNNNNNNNNNNNNNNNNNNNNNNNNNNNNNNNNNNNNNNNNNNNNNNNNNNNNNNNNNNNNNNNNNNNNNNNNNNNNNNNNNNNNNNNNNNNNNNNNNNNNNNNNNNNNNNNNNNNNNNNNNNNNNNNNNNNNNNNNNNNNNNNNNNNNNNNNNNNNNNNNNNNNNNNNNNNNNNNNNNNNNNNNNNNNNNNNNNNNNNNNNNNNNNNNNNNNNNNNNNNNNNNNNNNNNNNNNNNNNNNNNNNNNNNNNNNNNNNNNNNNNNNNNNNNNNNNNNNNNNNNNNNNNNNNNNNNNNNNNNNNNNNNNNNNNNNNNNNNNNNNNNNNNNNNNNNNNNNNNNNNNNNNNNNNNNNNNNNNNNNNNNNNNNNNNNNNNNNNNNNNNNNNNNNNNNNNNNNNNNNNNNNNNNNNNNNNNNNNNNNNNNNNNNNNNNNNNNNNNNNNNNNNNNNNNNNNNNNNNNNNNNNNNNNNNNNNNNNNNNNNNNNNNNNNNNNNNNNNNNNNNNNNNNNNNNNNNNNNNNNNNNNNNNNNNNNNNNNNNNNNNNNNNNNNNNNNNNNNNNNNNNNNNNNNNNNNNNNNNNNNNNNNNNNNNNNNNNNNNNNNNNNNNNNNNNNNNNNNNNNNNNNNNNNNNNNNNNNNNNNNNNNNNNNNNNNNNNNNNNNNNNNNNNNNNNNNNNNNNNNNNNNNNNNNNNNNNNNNNNNNNNNNNNNNNNNNNNNNNNNNNNNNNNNNNNNNNNNNNNNNNNNNNNNNNNNNNNNNNNNNNNNNNNNNNNNNNNNNNNNNNNNNNNNNNNNNNNNNNNNNNNNNNNNNNNNNNNNNNNNNNNNNNNNNNNNNNNNNNNNNNNNNNNNNNNNNNNNNNNNNNNNNNNNNNNNNNNNNNNNNNNNNNNNNNNNNNNNNNNNNNNNNNNNNNNNNNNNNNNNNNNNNNNNNNNNNNNNNNNNNNNNNNNNNNNNNNNNNNNNNNNNNNNNNNNNNNNNNNNNNNNNNNNNNNNNNNNNNNNNNNNNNNNNNNNNNNNNNNNNNNNNNNNNNNNNNNNNNNNNNNNNNNNNNNNNNNNNNNNNNNNNNNNNNNNNNNNNNNNNNNNNNNNNNNNNNNNNNNNNNNNNNNNNNNNNNNNNNNNNNNNNNNNNNNNNNNNNNNNNNNNNNNNNNNNNNNNNNNNNNNNNNNNNNNNNNNNNNNNNNNNNNNNNNNNNNNNNNNNNNNNNNNNNNNNNNNNNNNNNNNNNNNNNNNNNNNNNNNNNNNNNNNNNNNNNNNNNNNNNNNNNNNNNNNNNNNNNNNNNNNNNNNNNNNNNNNNNNNNNNNNNNNNNNNNNNNNNNNNNNNNNNNNNNNNNNNNNNNNNNNNNNNNNNNNNNNNNNNNNNNNNNNNNNNNNNNNNNNNNNNNNNNNNNNNNNNNNNNNNNNNNNNNNNNNNNNNNNNNNNNNNNNNNNNNNNNNNNNNNNNNNNNNNNNNNNNNNNNNNNNNNNNNNNNNNNNNNNNNNNNNNNNNNNNNNNNNNNNNNNNNNNNNNNNNNNNNNNNNNNNNNNNNNNNNNNNNNNNNNNNNNNNNNNNNNNNNNNNNNNNNNNNNNNNNNNNNNNNNNNNNNNNNNNNNNNNNNNNNNNNNNNNNNNNNNNNNNNNNNNNNNNNNNNNNNNNNNNNNNNNNNNNNNNNNNNNNNNNNNNNNNNNNNNNNNNNNNNNNNNNNNNNNNNNNNNNNNNNNNNNNNNNNNNNNNNNNNNNNNNNNNNNNNNNNNNNNNNNNNNNNNNNNNNNNNNNNNNNNNNNNNNNNNNNNNNNNNNNNNNNNNNNNNNNNNNNNNNNNNNNNNNNNNNNNNNNNNNNNNNNNNNNNNNNNNNNNNNNNNNNNNNNNNNNNNNNNNNNNNNNNNNNNNNNNNNNNNNNNNNNNNNNNNNNNNNNNNNNNNNNNNNNNNNNNNNNNNNNNNNNNNNNNNNNNNNNNNNNNNNNNNNNNNNNNNNNNNNNNNNNNNNNNNNNNNNNNNNNNNNNNNNNNNNNNNNNNNNNNNNNNNNNNNNNNNNNNNNNNNNNNNNNNNNNNNNNNNNNNNNNNNNNNNNNNNNNNNNNNNNNNNNNNNNNNNNNNNNNNNNNNNNNNNNNNNNNNNNNNNNNNNNNNNNNNNNNNNNNNNNNNNNNNNNNNNNNNNNNNNNNNNNNNNNNNNNNNNNNNNNNNNNNNNNNNNNNNNNNNNNNNNNNNNNNNNNNNNNNNNNNNNNNNNNNNNNNNNNNNNNNNNNNNNNNNNNNNNNNNNNNNNNNNNNNNNNNNNNNNNNNNNNNNNNNNNNNNNNNNNNNNNNNNNNNNNNNNNNNNNNNNNNNNNNNNNNNNNNNNNNNNNNNNNNNNNNNNNNNNNNNNNNNNNNNNNNNNNNNNNNNNNNNNNNNNNNNNNNNNNNNNNNNNNNNNNNNNNNNNNNNNNNNNNNNNNNNNNNNNNNNNNNNNNNNNNNNNNNNNNNNNNNNNNNNNNNNNNNNNNNNNNNNNNNNNNNNNNNNNNNNNNNNNNNNNNNNNNNNNNNNNNNNNNNNNNNNNNNNNNNNNNNNNNNNNNNNNNNNNNNNNNNNNNNNNNNNNNNNNNNNNNNNNNNNNNNNNNNNNNNNNNNNNNNNNNNNNNNNNNNNNNNNNNNNNNNNNNNNNNNNNNNNNNNNNNNNNNNNNNNNNNNNNNNNNNNNNNNNNNNNNNNNNNNNNNNNNNNNNNNNNNNNNNNNNNNNNNNNNNNNNNNNNNNNNNNNNNNNNNNNNNNNNNNNNNNNNNNNNNNNNNNNNNNNNNNNNNNNNNNNNNNNNNNNNNNNNNNNNNNNNNNNNNNNNNNNNNNNNNNNNNNNNNNNNNNNNNNNNNNNNNNNNNNNNNNNNNNNNNNNNNNNNNNNNNNNNNNNNNNNNNNNNNNNNNNNNNNNNNNNNNNNNNNNNNNNNNNNNNNNNNNNNNNNNNNNNNNNNNNNNNNNNNNNNNNNNNNNNNNNNNNNNNNNNNNNNNNNNNNNNNNNNNNNNNNNNNNNNNNNNNNNNNNNNNNNNNNNNNNNNNNNNNNNNNNNNNNNNNNNNNNNNNNNNNNNNNNNNNNNNNNNNNNNNNNNNNNNNNNNNNNNNNNNNNNNNNNNNNNNNNNNNNNNNNNNNNNNNNNNNNNNNNNNNNNNNNNNNNNNNNNNNNNNNNNNNNNNNNNNNNNNNNNNNNNNNNNNNNNNNNNNNNNNNNNNNNNNNNNNNNNNNNNNNNNNNNNNNNNNNNNNNNNNNNNNNNNNNNNNNNNNNNNNNNNNNNNNNNNNNNNNNNNNNNNNNNNNNNNNNNNNNNNNNNNNNNNNNNNNNNNNNNNNNNNNNNNNNNNNNNNNNNNNNNNNNNNNNNNNNNNNNNNNNNNNNNNNNNNNNNNNNNNNNNNNNNNNNNNNNNNNNNNNNNNNNNNNNNNNNNNNNNNNNNNNNNNNNNNNNNNNNNNNNNNNNNNNNNNNNNNNNNNNNNNNNNNNNNNNNNNNNNNNNNNNNNNNNNNNNNNNNNNNNNNNNNNNNNNNNNNNNNNNNNNNNNNNNNNNNNNNNNNNNNNNNNNNNNNNNNNNNNNNNNNNNNNNNNNNNNNNNNNNNNNNNNNNNNNNNNNNNNNNNNNNNNNNNNNNNNNNNNNNNNNNNNNNNNNNNNNNNNNNNNNNNNNNNNNNNNNNNNNNNNNNNNNNNNNNNNNNNNNNNNNNNNNNNNNNNNNNNNNNNNNNNNNNNNNNNNNNNNNNNNNNNNNNNNNNNNNNNNNNNNNNNNNNNNNNNNNNNNNNNNNNNNNNNNNNNNNNNNNNNNNNNNNNNNNNNNNNNNNNNNNNNNNNNNNNNNNNNNNNNNNNNNNNNNNNNNNNNNNNNNNNNNNNNNNNNNNNNNNNNNNNNNNNNNNNNNNNNNNNNNNNNNNNNNNNNNNNNNNNNNNNNNNNNNNNNNNNNNNNNNNNNNNNNNNNNNNNNNNNNNNNNNNNNNNNNNNNNNNNNNNNNNNNNNNNNNNNNNNNNNNNNNNNNNNNNNNNNNNNNNNNNNNNNNNNNNNNNNNNNNNNNNNNNNNNNNNNNNNNNNNNNNNNNNNNNNNNNNNNNNNNNNNNNNNNNNNNNNNNNNNNNNNNNNNNNNNNNNNNNNNNNNNNNNNNNNNNNNNNNNNNNNNNNNNNNNNNNNNNNNNNNNNNNNNNNNNNNNNNNNNNNNNNNNNNNNNNNNNNNNNNNNNNNNNNNNNNNNNNNNNNNNNNNNNNNNNNNNNNNNNNNNNNNNNNNNNNNNNNNNNNNNNNNNNNNNNNNNNNNNNNNNNNNNNNNNNNNNNNNNNNNNNNNNNNNNNNNNNNNNNNNNNNNNNNNNNNNNNNNNNNNNNNNNNNNNNNNNNNNNNNNNNNNNNNNNNNNNNNNNNNNNNNNNNNNNNNNNNNNNNNNNNNNNNNNNNNNNNNNNNNNNNNNNNNNNNNNNNNNNNNNNNNNNNNNNNNNNNNNNNNNNNNNNNNNNNNNNNNNNNNNNNNNNNNNNNNNNNNNNNNNNNNNNNNNNNNNNNNNNNNNNNNNNNNNNNNNNNNNNNNNNNNNNNNNNNNNNNNNNNNNNNNNNNNNNNNNNNNNNNNNNNNNNNNNNNNNNNNNNNNNNNNNNNNNNNNNNNNNNNNNNNNNNNNNNNNNNNNNNNNNNNNNNNNNNNNNNNNNNNNNNNNNNNNNNNNNNNNNNNNNNNNNNNNNNNNNNNNNNNNNNNNNNNNNNNNNNNNNNNNNNNNNNNNNNUAUACAUGACAUUAUAGAUUUUAUUGAUAAGAGAUAUAUACCAUGAGACAAUGUUCAACUUAUCAUAAUUAAAUUUAAAUAUUGAUAUUUAAUUUCUUAUUAGUUCCAUGAAUCAUUAACUUAGUUUGAAUAUACAAUGGUUUCAUUCAGAAUAACUUUCUUUUUUUCACUUUAGUGGGAAGCUGAAGUUAUAAUUUCUCAAUGAUAAUUUUGGGCAAUAUAAAAAUUUUAUUAAUCAUGAAAGAACUUAUAUUAGUCAAAAUAAAGCUUUUAUAAAAAGUAAAAAAAAAAACUUAGCUUCCAUAUCUUCAUUUUAAACCAUAAGCUCUCUUAAGAAAAUUUAUUACAUAGAAGUCCUUGAGUUUAUGAAAGAGUUUUUGACUUCUCAAAAAUCAAUCCAAAUAGGAUUGAUAAAUUGUAGAUGGUUAUAAUAUAAUAUUACAGAAUAUAAAUGUUAUUUUCACUUCUAUAUUUUCCAUGGAAUUAUUUAUUUAUUUGAAUAAAGAUUUUUCCUUCGUUAUUUUUUUGUGCCUUUAAAAAAUAAAAAAAUUAUUUUAAAUCUUAGGCACGAUAAUGCUUAAGUAUUUAAUAAUUUUAAUUAGAUAAUUAAAUUUUAUUUUAUAUAUAAAAUAAUUAAUUAAAUUUUAUAUUAUAUUUUAUAUAUAUAAAUUUAAUUAAUAAUUUAAUAAUUAUAUUUAUUUAUGUUUAAAUCAAAUUAACAAUAAGUUCAAUGCAACUAGAAAAAGGUAGCAUAUAUUUAUUAUUUUAAAGUGGAUUUUGAUUUUAAAUUAUUGCAAGCGUAUUUACUUAACUAACCAAUUAGUUGAAGUUCACUUAGCUAAUCCUUUAAUUUAAUCCUGACGUUGACAAGAACCAUGCCGGCAAUAAUUAUAAAAAGAGAAAUGCAUCAAGCUAAAGCUAAUUUUAUUAAUUCGAGUUUAAUAAAUUUUAGGUGGGUGCCCUUACCUAAUCUUUAAAAUUAAUCUUCAAGUUGAUCAUAAGAACUAAGCCGACCAUAAUUAUAAAAACAAAAAAACGACAAACUAAUUCCAUCAAUUUUAUUCUCUCAAAUUUAAUAAAUUGUAAGUAAGUUCUCUUAUCUAAUGUUUUAAAUUAAUCUUGAUAUAGAUAAGAACCUUGCCAACCAUAAUUAUAAAGAGAGAGAAAUGACAAACUAAUUUAAUUGGCUAAUUUUAAAUAACUCAAGCUUAAUGAAUUGUAAGUAGGUUAAUGUCUUGCCUAACCUUUUAAAUUUAAUUUUGAGAUCAAUAAGAAUCAUAUAGGCCAUAAUUAUAAAAAGAGGAAAAACAUAAGCUAAAGGAAUACAAUCAAAACCAAUUGUAUAUGCAGAUAGUGAUUACCUUUUAAAUCUUCACAAGGUUAGAUCUUGAACAUGAUAUGUAUUUGCAUGUGGUAAUCAUAAUGAUGAUAUUAAACAAACAAUGGUAGUCAUUUUUUCAAAUCAUUAAAAAAUACAUAAUACAAUAUUAUAUAUAUAAUUGCACAUAUUAAAAGAAAAUAUAUUAAGGGUGAUAGAAGUAAGCAUAUAUCAUUCAAGUUCUUUUAUAUUCAUAAACUUCAAAAGAGUAGUAAGAUCAAUAUUCAAAAAGUAAAAUCAAAUUAUAAUUUAGUAAACUUAUUCACAAAAGCAUUGUCAACUUCAACUCUCAAGAAGCUUAUAGAUAAUAUUGGAAUGUGACAACUCAAAGAUCUUCACAUUGGGUUAAUAUGAAUAUAAUCAUGUCAACAUAAGGGGAGCACAUAAAUAAGGAUGUUUGUAACAUCCUAUGCCUCUAGGCUAGGGGCAGCCUUAUCAAUUUCACAUGUCCAUAAAAAUAAUGAAAUCACAAUCACACACAAGACAAUGAAUUUUACGUGGAAAAAUCUCAUGCUAAUAUGGAGAUACAAAACUAUAGGGUCUAAGAUCUCUAAUCUAAUAAUUCACAAUAUUAGAUCAAAGUACAUAGAUUUAUCUGAUAGCUUUACCCUAAAAACUCACUCCUACCUAUAACUUGAUUCAUGUCUCAAUGCUCUAGUGAAUUCACCUCAGCCUUUAGGAAGAUGCAAGUCCUUGUAACAAACCAAAAUUCGAUUAGUGAAUUCUUUGUUGAGAGUUUGUGAAUGAUAGAGCAAGUUGGGGUUGAUUCUAUUAAAGCAUCCAACCCAAAAACAUAUUUAGGUAAAAUAUAUAUAGGCCUAAGAUCCUAGAUGGUUGGAAAUGAAAUUUUCUUAAAAAAUAAAAUAUUAAAUUUCCAAAAUUAAUUAAGAAAAUAAUUUUUGUUUAAAAAAUAAAAUAUCAACUUCUAUAAAUUAAUUAAGAAAUUCUUAAAAAAAAAAAUCUCAAAGUUGUCAAAAAUUAAUUAAAAUAUUUUAGCUCAAUUUUAAAAUUUCAUAUCCAACUCUACCUCAAUAAAAAAAAUAACUUGCCUUUAAUAAAUAUUUUUACACUUACUUGUAACAAUAUGGUUAAAUGAGUAGUAACAUUUAAUCUUCAAUGGAGUAAAAAAAUUCCUAUACUAGAACAAAAAAGAUUUCUUACUGGAACUAAAAUCAAAUUGACAACAUCUGACAAUUAUUAUAGACUUCAAUAUAUUUUUUGAAUUUAUUUUUAAAAUUAUUUUAUAAAUAUAUUCUAUUAAGUAAAAGAGCCCCAAUAAUUGCCACCUAUCUUAGCCAUCUCUUACCUAUAAUUGCAUACAAGGGCUCUGCUUGCGGACACCUAGCUAGCCUACACCCCAUGUUUUUUCUUUUUCUUUUUUUAUUUCCCAUGAAAGAAAUGUAUAGAAUUAUGGUUAUAUUUUAUUCUAUGGCAUGUACCAAAAGAUGGAAAGAGAUCAUCAGGAAAUUGACUUUCCUUUAAUAUUAUAGAAAAUGUGAGAGCAAAAUUUUUUAUUUGGCAUGUCUCAAAUGGUAUCACAUGUGCACGCUCAAAUCUCAUUUGUUUACAUUAAAGUCUCUUUUAUUUCUUGAUCCAAUUUAUGUAUAUUUUUAUUCAAUAAUCUAAAUUUGAUCACUCUAUGGCUUAGUACUUUCCUUCUAUCUUUAGAGGCUACAAUAUUUUCAAUAACUCAACUUCCAUUUUCUUUUCAUUGUCCUGUCUCAAGAUCCAUUUCAAUGAUAUUUUUUCUCUUGAAAAGAAAAUUAGUCUAUCAUUCAUCAAAUAAUUAUAAUUUUUAUAAUAGAUAAAAAUAUUAUUAAGAACACUUAAUUGCAAAAUAUUUUAAUAAGAAGUGAAAAGGUUAUAUCUAAUUUGUUUCUCUAUCUUAAAUUUAAAUAAAUCUUUAUUGAAUUUUAAAUAGAACUUAAUCUCGUUAAGAUUAAAUUGUUUAUUUCUAUUAAUAUUUAAAUAUUCUUAAACAUUAAAUUACUUGUUCUUAUUAAUGUGUUAAUAUUGUUAUGUGUUAAACAAAUAUUAUUCUAUCCUCAAAAUAAUUAUUUGUAUCUUCUUAAUUUUUAUAAAAAGAUAAAUCUAAGGUUAUUAUAAUAUUUUUAUGUUAUACAUCUUUACGAAGAAUUUUCAAAGUCUUUGACCUUUUUUGUAUCCUUGUCAUCUAUUUAUGCUGUCUUUGAUCAUUUUUUGGAGCAUUCAAAUAUAUGUAAAAUCCAGAUUAUUAAAUAAGAAUUUUGACCGUUCAAACAUAUAUAAAAUCUAGAUUAUUAAAUAAUGAUAAAAUAAAAAUACUUAGAACUAAGUGCAAUGUUGGUGGUAGGUUUUAUAAAAUAAAAAAAAAAGGAAAGAAUUUGAAUAUCUUAUGGUACGUUUAAAAGAAAAUAAAAAAUGUGGACAUUAAAGUGGAAUGUAAACACAAUUUUAAGUAAAGUGAGAUGAUGUUAUAGCUCCUUAAUUAAUAUGGACAAAUUUUAUGGUGUAAAAAUUACAACUCUUUUAUUUAUUAAGUGAGAAGAACGACACAAUGGUGGUGUGGCCUCCCACCAAAAACUAAAAAAUGUCAAAUUAAGCACAUGAUCUGCUUGGAAGUGGAGCACUUAACCUAAAUUAUUUGUUUACAUCUUUGUAAGUUUCUCCCAUAUAUUUGUAACUUAUUUCUAUAUAUUAUUGAAGGAAAAGAUUUUGGAUCAUGCAUGUAAUCGUUAGAGAGGGUUUCCAAUCAAGAUUUAAAUUUGGUUGUUGCAUCCUUAAUGUAAGAAGUUUAAAAAACCUCGAACUAAUCUAGGUCAUUGGAUCUUAACAAUAUAUAUAUAUAUAUAAAAGAUUUUUAAAUUGUUUAAAUAAGUAUAAUUAUUUGUAAAUAAGAGUUAAGUGUAUAAAAAAACAAAUGAGCAACUACUAUGAUUACUUUAGUACAAAAUUUUCACGCAAUGACUUGUAACUUUCAAGAUAAUUAAUUGAAGUUGUUGUAACAUCACAUCAAAUCUUAAUAAUUGUGUUUAUAUUUUACUUUAAUUUUCAUUUUCAUUUGGACCCAUCACUAGCAAGGAUGAAAAUUUUCAUAUAUAUCGGCAAAAUAUCUUGGAUAUAUCGUGUAUCGGGGUGUCAAUACAAAUUUUCACUGGCCCAAUUUUUCCAUUUUUAUCGUCGAUAUAUCGAUAAUACACUAAUACUUUUCACCAAUAUAUCAAGUUGCUGCUACUAGGCCUCAGUCAAAAGUGGUAAAAAAUCAAGUUGUUGCUGAGGGGAUUUGAACCUGGCAAUAACCACUAGAGCAAGUUGCUCUUUGAUAAAAGUUAUACACCAAAUUGUAUAUAUAAGAACAUUAAAAAUUAUUUUAUUAAAUAAAUUAAUUUUAAUUAUUUUAUUUUUGCAUUUGAUUUAAUUUAUUACCAAAAAUAUAAAAAUAUAAUUUUUAUAUUUUUUAUGUAAUCUAUAUAUUUAUCAAAUAUAAAAAAUAUAAAUAUUAAAAAAAUUAUACAUAUUUUAUUAUUUAUUUGAUAUAAUUGAAUACAUUUAAAUUAAAAUUGAACCUAAUUUUAAUAUUUUGAAAUUAAACAUAUUAUCAUAUUAUUGUUGUAAAAUAAUAUUGUGCAACUUAAUAAUAAAUGUAUGCUUAUAAAAUAUAUAUAUUUUUUAUCGAUGCAUACAAUAUUAUUAUCAAAUAUGAUAAAUUAUAUAUAUAUAUAUAUAUAUAUAUAUAUAUAUAUAUAUAUAUAUAUAUAUAUAUAAAUUUUGAACAAAAUAAAUUUAAAAUGUCUAUUAUACUUUUAAAUUCAUUUUUAUGAAGUUUUUCUUAUAUUUUUAGGAGUUUUGAUAAUUUUAAGUCUAUUGAUAUUUUUUUCUAAAAUGUCUGUCGAUAUAUCUUUGAUAUAUUCAUAAAAUCAAUAUAUUAAUAUAUCCGUAAUUACCGAUAUUUUCAUAAUUCAUCAACAGCACGUUGGAAUUGACUCAAACAUUAGGAUCCAAAAGUCACCAUUGAGACAUUGCAUUGAUACAACCUAGAGAAGCUUCCAAAUGGACUGCACAUGCUAACAUGUCUUGGAGGGUUGAAAAUCAAUGGUUGUCCAAAGUUGGUGUCAUUUCCAGAGUUGGGGUUCUUGCCCAUGCUUAGACAUCUUGUUAUUGUUAGUUGUAAAGGUCUACGAUGUCUACCCAAUUAGAUGAUGGGGAUGAAGGAUGGUAGUAUUAACAGUAGCAACAUGCGUCUCUUUGAAUACUUGGAGAUAGAUACGUGCCCAUCUCUCAUUGCUUUUCCAGACGUUGAGUUACCCACCACGCUUAAGGAACUCAAGAUAUGGAGGUGUGAAAAACUGGAGUCUCUACCGAGGGGAUGAUGCACCAUGAUUCAAACACCACCACCACCACCAGUUGUGGUCUUCAUGUCUUGGUCAUUAGGGUAUGCCCAUCUCUCACAUUCUUCCCCACAGACAAGUUUCCCUCCACCCUCAAGAAACUUUAUAUUAUGAAUUGUGCACAACUGGAGUCAAUUUUAGAGAAAAUGUUAUUACAAGGGAAAAUGGAGAGAAAAAUUGACAGAUUCUCUUUUCAUUGGUUGAAAAAAUGAGCUGUAUAGAGAGCACUAAAACAGAGUAGCAAAAAUGCCUUUUAUAAUAAAAGUCAUGCAUAAGGAGUUGUAGAGCUCUGUAGAGAAAAAACAACCUAACCAACUAUUGGUUAUAACAGAAAAAAUAAAAUAAAAAUAAAAAACUAAAACUAAUAUGCUAAAAUUCCCCCUCAAGAUGGAGAAUAUAGAUCAUGAAUUCCCAUCUUGCCUAAGAGACCAUGAAAUUGACUAGGAUGGAGAGCCUUAGUAAGAAUGUUAGCAAGUUGGUUUUAAGAGGUAACAUGUAGAGUCUUGAGAAUCCCAGCUUGAAUCUUCUCUUGAAUGAUAUGACAAUCAAUCUCAAUAUGUUUGGUGCGCUCAUGGUAGACUGGGUUUGCUACAAUGUGGAGAGCAACUUGGUUGUCAUAGUAAAGAACAGUUGGCCCAUGAUGGGCUAUCUUCAAUUCGUGAAGAAGAGACAAGAGCCACAGAAUCUCACAAGUAGUGUUGGCCAUGGAUCGGUACUUAGCUUUAAUAGAUGAGCGAGAGACAAUCGGUUGUUUCUUGGAUUUCCAAGAGAUAAGGAAGGUCCCAAGAAACAGACAAAAACCAGAAAUAGAACGACGAGUGUCAGGACAAGAGGCCCAAUCAGAAUCUGUGAAGGCUUUGAGUUGCACUUUGGAAUUUGAUGAAAAGAAAAGUCCUUUGCCUGGGGUUCGCUUGAUGUACUGUAAAAAAUGAGAAAAACAGCCUGAAAAUGUGGCUUGCGAGGGGUUACUAAGAAUUGGCUGAGACGAUUCACAGAAUAGCUCAGGUCAAGACGAGUAAUAGUAAGAUAUAACAGCUUACCAAUGAGUUGCCUAUAGCUGGUAGGAUCUUCAAUCAAGUCACCAUCAUCUUGAGAUAGUUUCAAAUUAGGAUCCAUGGGAAUGGUGGUAGGUUUACAACCUAAAUGUCCAGUGUCUGAGAGCAAUUCCAACGCAUACUUGCGUUGACAAAUAGAGAUACCAACAGUAGAUUGAGCCACUUCCAAGCCUAGAAAAUAUCUUAGUGGCCCCAAGUUCUUCAUCUUAAACUUGCAGUUGAGGGCAUGCUUUAAAGUAUCCACAACAAUUUGAUCAUUACUAGCAAUAAUGAUGUCAUCAACGUUGAUAAAAAGUGUUAAGAAAGAAGUAUCUUGAUGUUUUGUGAACAAGGUGUGAUCACUGGUUGAAUGAACAAAACCUUCUAGUAACAGAGCAUUAGAGAACUUAUGGAACCAUUGACGGGAGGCCUGCUUCAAACCAUAGAUAGACUUAUGCAGCUUGCACACAACAUUAGGAGGCAAAUGUUCCCCCUUAUGGCAAGUGUAUCCAGGGGGAAGACUCAUGUAAACUUCCUCUAUAAGGUCACCAUGAAGGAAUGCAUUAGUGACAUCAAGUUGAGUGAGAGACCAGCCAUGAAUUGCAGCUAAAGAAAGCAACAUUUUAAUAGUAACUAGCUUGGCAAUAGGAGAAAAGGUAUCAAGAUAAUCAAUACCUUCUUGUUGUGUAAAUCCCUUAGCCACAAGGCAUGCUUUGUAUCUAUCCAUAAUGCCAUCAACUCGAAACUUGACUUUGUACACCUAUUUACAACCAACCGCUUGUUUGCCAAUGGGAAGAGAGCAAAUGGACCAAGUGUCAUUGCUUUCCAAUGCCUGCAAUUCAAUAUUCAUAGCAUCAUGCCACACUUGAGACUCAAUGGCUUGAGAGAAUGAUGUUGGUUCGGUUUGAGAACUAAUGGCGAGAACAAAUUCACGGUAUGGCCUGGAAAGCUUGUGGUAACUCAAGCAAGAGGAAAUAGGAUAUAGAGAAGGCUUAGAAGAAACAUGUUCAGUGAGGUAAUAGUGAUAAUCAGACAAGUAAGCUGGUUUUGUGGUGACACGACGUGGACAUAAGGUUGUUUGAAUUGGGGCUGGUGAGAAAAUGCACUCUGGACUAUAGGAAGAAGACAUGUUGGGCUAACUGUAAGAAGGCUCGGAGAUGGAUUGAAUUGGCUUAGGAAGGACAUGAUCAUUAAACAAAUCAAUAACAUCGUUGCUCAUAGCAGAAUGAGCAAACGGAAAGAGUGAUUCAUGAAAAAUGACAUUCCGAUAAAUGUAGAUCUUAUUGCUUUCUAAGUCAAGUAAUUUGUAACCCUUAUAACCAAAAGGAUAGCCAAGAAAAAUAGAAGCUCAAGCAUGAGGGGCAAACUUUGUAUGUUGGUUAGAAAGCGUGGAAGCAUAACAUAGACACCCAAAAAUGCGAAGAUGGUUGUAAGUGGGUUUGUUGUUAUUCAACAGCUCAAAUGGGGUUUUAUUGGAUAGUAAUGGAGAGGGUGUAUGAUUGAUUAAAUAAACAGCUGUCAAAACACAAUCACCCCAAUAACAAAGAGGAACACAAGAUUGAAACAAUAACGCUUGUGCCACAUUAAGUAUGUGUUGAUGUUUACGCUCUAUAAUUGAGUUUUGUUCAAGUGUAGCAACACAAGAAUGAUAAGGAAUAACACCCUUGGUACAAAAAAAAUCAUGGAAAACUAAUUUAGGGGCAUUAUUGGAACAGACAGAUUUAAUUGCAAUGUUAUAUUGAGUAGAAAUCAAAUUGAAAAAUUCAGGAAAGAUAGUGAGAACAUCAGCUUUAGCACAAAGAAGAUAUACCCAAGUAGCAUGUGUGCAGUCAUCAACAAUAGUGAGGAAAUAUGUGUCCAAUUGGUGUACUAACAUUAAAUGGUCCCCAAAUGUCAAUGUGAACUAGAUCAAAAGGAUUAGUUGACAUAUUAUUAUGUGAAACAAAAGGUAAACGUUUUUGCUUGGCCAUAUGAAAAAUUUUACAGUGAGAAGACAAAUGGGAUAAAGAAUUGGGAAUGUGUAAUUCAUUGUGAAGAAUUUGAAUUUUUACAUGAGAUGGAUGUCCAAGGCGAAAAUGCCAAAUAUCACUUUUCGACAUUACAGAAUUUGUAAAAAUUGAAUUACAAAAUUCAUUCCCUGAUUCUAGAAAAUAUAGCUUCUUUCGUCUUCUACAUUUCCCAAUCGUCAAGCCCUGAGUGAGGUCCUGAAUGACACAUGAAUUUGAAAGGAAAUUAACACUACAAUUAUGGCUAAGAGUAAGAGCACUAAUGCCGAGAAGAUUAAAAGUGAACAUGGGGACAAACAAGACAUUAUCCAAGUUCAAAGUAUCAGACAACCUCACAAAACCUACACGAUUGAUUGCAAUAGCAUGACCAUUAAGAAGAGUGACUGUAGUAUUAUGAACCAGUCUAGAAUGAGAAAACAGAGAAACAUUGCAACAGACAUGGUGGGUGGCCCUUAUGUUAAUCACCUAAGCAUCAGAAGGAACAAAAAGAUGAAAAAAAAAUUGAGUAGAACAAUUGUUACCAUAGAUUUGAGAAAUUGAAGGUUUUGAUGUCGAUGGAGACUCAAGUGGGUCGAUAGUUUGCUGUUGAAGGUGUGUGCUAAGGUAGGCAAUGAGUUGUUGAACUUGAUUCGAUGAGAGAGAGACUAGUAGUGGGGAAGAUCCCACUGUAGCAGCGGCAGCAGAAGGGAAAUAAUGAAUGCUUUUCAAUGGUUCAGUAAAUGAGCUUGGUGAAGUAGAUUGGGAUUGAAGGGGGCUUGUCUGGGCCAUUUAUGUUUGGUCUUUCCCUUUGGGCUCAUAACCUGGUGAAAAUCCAUGCAAUUUAUAACACCUAUCUACUGUAUGCCAUGUGAGCCCACAAUGGGUGCAAAUUGGGUGUUCAUGUCUAGGCUUGUUGUGAGAUGAUGUAGUAGCUACAGAAGAAGCCAGAGAAGAGGCAUUGAACACCAUGGAAUCCGAUGGAGCAGAAGACCUAGAUCCAAUAAAUCAUUGGCGUUCUUCUUGAACAACAAGAUUGAAUACUUUCACCACAGGAGGGAGCAAAUCAAGCAUCAGAAUUUGGCCUCUUGUGCUAGCAUAAGAUUCGUUCAAACCCAUUAAAAAUUGCAUCGCAUACUCCUGUUAUUGAUAAUCCAUCCAAUCUUUCAUACCUCCACAAUGGCAAAUGGGAACUAGUUGAUAGUUUUUGAGUUCAUCCCAGAGAAUCUUCAAUAAAGUAUAAUAGGUAUUAACAUCGAGCGAGUCUUGUGAGAGACCAUGUAGUUGUUGCUUGAUUUGGAAAAUCCGUGGAGCAUUGCUAUGAUGGAAGCGUUCGUGCAGAUCUGCCCAAACAGCAUGGGCACUCUCGAGAUAGAGAAGAAUAUCAACUAUCUCUUUUGAGACAGUGUUAAGGAGCUAAGAUGUGACCAUGCUAUUGCAUCGGGGCCAGAUUCUGGCUGUAGGGUAGUCGGUCAUGGGUUGCGAAAGAGUGCCAUCCAUGAAUCCGAGCUUAUUCUUUACAUUGAGAGCCAUCAGCAUGGCCCAACUCCAUGUAUUAUAGCUUGAACCAGUGAGGAGAUGCGAAACGAGCACCAAGCCUGGAUGAUCACCGCUAUGUAAGAAAAAUGGGUUAUUAGUGUUCUCCAUGAGAGAUUGAUCUGAUUGUGUUGUCGUGCUACCAGAGGUAGAGGAUGUGAGGGGCUAAAUUCUAUUAUCAUUGUUAUGCUAACCACCACGAGCCAUUUCAGUGAGCGGUAAAGGUAAGAAGCUCUGAUACCAUAUUACAAAGGAAAAUGGAGAAAAAAAUUGACAGAUUUUUCUUUCAUUGAUUGAAAAAAUGAGCUGUACAGAGAGCCCCAAAAUAGAGUAGUAAAAAUGCCUUUUAUAAUAGAAGUCACGCAUAAGGAGCUGUAGAGCUCUGUAGAGAAAAAACAACUUAACCAACUAUUGGUUAUAACAAUAAAAAUAAAAAUAAAAAUAAAAAACUAAAACUAAUAUGCUAAAAGAUGUUUCACUCCAAUAAUAGUUUACUUGAAUUUUUUAGUAUUGGAGCUAUCCUUGUUUCAAAAUCAUACCAGGUUGCCUCUACAAACUCAAAGAAUUGGAUAUUAAUAAUUGUGGGAAUAUGGAGCUGCUACCUCAUCAACUGCAAAACCUCAUUACUCUUACAUCACUUACUAUCUCUUAUUGUGAGAAUAUCAAGACGCUCCUAUCCCGAUAGGGCCUUGCCACACUUACUGUUGGUGUGGGGAAGACCUAGAGGCGUUGUAGCUCCCUGAAGUACUCGCCCCUUCAAUUAAGAACGAUGCUUCCUUCCAUUCUCCUGCAAAAGAUGUCCGGACAAGUGGUCCGGAUACACCCUUCGAAGCUUUUGUUAGUUUGGCGGUCAAGCAUAUUGGUGUUCUUGGGCGUUUCUCAGGAAUGCUUACCUCUUUUUUAUUGAGUCAUUGGGGGCCUUUUAUAGUGUCCGAAGCCCCGUCACUUUGAAGAUGGAAAGACUCUUUGACUUUCACAGUCAUGAUAGUGCUCAGAGGGUGGUAAAGCCAUCAUUUUCCUGUAAACGGCUGACAGAGAUUGUUGGGAGAUGACUUGUCAUCCCACUUGUCUUUUCAUUCUACAGGUGGUGUAAGACAGGUCAUAGCAGGUCAUCUGAAAAGACUUGGGAAUGUCCUGUUGAGUAUGUUUUUGGAGAAAUGAGUAAUGAUUGCCCGUAAAAUAUGGUCAGGGGUCCUGUUUGGGAUGACAACUACUGGGUUCGGAUUGGUCGUCUAGACAGAGGGUAGGACGUGCCAUGUGUCCAUUGGAGGAGUGCCUUAUGGAUGUCCGGACAGAGGGUAGGACGUGCCAUGUGUUCGCUUAGGGGUGGUCCCCACAAUGCCCCCCUUUUAAACUGGUUAUUUUAUCAGGAUAGAAAAAGCAGGUUAAAACAAUCCAUUUAGCCUUUUUUUUUGGAAGUUGUGUGGCACGUAGCGCCUAAGAGGGGCAGUUAUGGAGAGCCGCUGUCCUUGGGAUGAUUACCAGGCAGCGUGUCGUUUCGAGUGUAGUGCGGUUGGGUGCCUGGUCGUUUGGAGUCCCUAAGGAUUUCAUCCCAUAAAUAGGGAAUUAAUCUCCCCCCCGGUAGUACUUUUUCUUCAUUUCUACUUCAUUCUGGCGUUAACUGGGCAUUGCUCCUAAGGCUUUACUCAACGGUGCUUUCCUCACAAUCUCACGACUGGUUCACUCAGGCGACUGUGACCUAGUUCGUCUUCUUCUUGCAAACACUUGUCAGGUAUGCUCCCUGUUUCUUCCUCCUCGUCUUCUACUUCCCGUUUUCUCGAUUUUCCUUGGUUUCUGGUGCCAGUUUGCGAUUAAGGGAUGGGGGUGAUGUUUGGGGGUUUUGGUGGGUUGGGAAAUGUCCUUGUUAGAUUUUGCAGAGGGAGGAUGCAUAGUGUCGUUCAAGGGCAUCACAUUCUGUUGGCGGCGUGCCUUGCUAACUUUGGUCAGGGUUGCUUCAAGGUUAUUUUGUGCUUCGAGGCUCUGUUGAGCCCAUUGAGUAUUUUUUUCGGCCUUUCGUAUACCUGAAAAUGGCUGUGAGUCGCUUCUUAGCUAGGGUUAGGAGUUGACUAGCGGAAUUGGGGUUCCUGACUUGGGGAGGUUAUCAACUCAGGCAUGUCACCUAGCUUAGGCAUUUUGGGGUGAUGCCUUCAGGGCGGUGGGGCCAGAUAAUUAUCCUCUAACUGUGGGCAUUGCGCCAUGCAGGUUUUUCUUGGGCCCACGCUCCAACAUGCCUGCGAAAAAGGAUAUUGCUUCAUCUAACGCGGUUGGGUCAAGUGAGAAGGGCGGUUCCGGACACCCCUAUCAGGGAAAAAACAUUGAGCUCCUCAAUGAGCGGGAGUUUCGCGACCGCUUUUGUCUUCCAAACAACGUCUCCGUUCAAUUAGUGGAUGGGGAUCCCAUGUCCACAGAGAAAGUCGAAUACAACGCCAUUUAUUUCACCAAGGAGCAGUUCAAUGUAGGGCUUUUCUUUCCUCUCCUGUCUCUUUUCAAAUAGUUCCUUUAUUACACCCAAAUUCCCUCAGCCUAUAUCUAUCCCAACAUCGUCCGAUGUUGAUAGGGUGCAGCAUCCUAAAUAUGAUUUUCCAGUUGGACCUCUCCCUGUUGGAGGUUCUCUUCAUUUAUACCCUCAAAAAGGGGAAAAAGGAUAUCUUUAGUAUGUUUGCCCACAUCUCGUCCCUUCAAUUAGCGAUGGGCCUUCCUAACUUGAACAAAGGGGAAACCAAGAGACAUGUGCUUAUCAAGGGCCCAUGGGUUGGCUUGAUGGAACAUCCGAAAAGGGAUUUCCGCCCCAACUGUUCGUUGAAGAUUCCAGGUAGGGGUGGCUUCGAGUAUCCGUUCCUUGUUGAUAUUUGAUGCUUGGCUUAAUUCCAUUAGAUUUCUAACCUUCUUUGUUUUGGCUGAUGCAGGCUCAAGUAAGAUGAGCUGCUUGGUCGAGUGGGUGGAGAAGGCUUCAUUAUUCGACCUGAACAAGCUAUUCGAAAUCAUUGCCAUUGAGAAAAACCAUCACACGCUACUUUCCUUCUAGAAUCUACUUGCGGUUAUUCGGGAACCUUAGUCGUACGUCCUCAACAUCCUUUCUAGGCGGUUACCGAAAGUCGUGGUAUUCGAGGAGCACUUUGUUUUGAAGGAUCUUCCGUUCUAUGAAAAAGCUCGUGAGGUGGACGCGAAGGCUCGCUAGAAGCGUCUUGAGCAGCAAAAGGGGAAAUUGAGGAAAGCUCCCGGUGAGAAAGGUUGUGGCUCAUCGUCUACGUCUUGUCCCCCAGCUAGGAAGAAGAAAAAGAAGACUAUUGCAAAAGCGAUCAAGGUUGCAACCCCGACUCCUGAAUCUCCGUCUACUUCUAUUGCUUCAGUGUCUAGUCGAUCAAUCAGCUCCGCCCAGGCAUCUGAUGGUGACUCUAACUCAUCGAGGCUUGACCCUAGCGACCCAGGACUCGCCUUUCUGAGCAUGAGCGGGAGUCUAUAGCUCUUAAAGUUAUAAACGAUCCGGAUGAGGAAGAUGAUAUGAAUGACUUAAGAGUCGGAUUUAAAGAGAGGCAUCGCAAACUCCUGUAUGAAGCGAUUGACAUGGUCCUCCCCCAACCAAAAAAGGCUUGCCCGAAGAGAACUCAGGAGGAGCAGACCAAGGGGGUUCCUCCAGCGAUCGUGCCCCAGCCGGAUGUAGCAAGACCUAGCAGCGCUCUAGUUGCGGAGAAAGAGGCUUAAGGGAAAGAGACAGGUCUAGCUACGGGGGAGGCCCCUGGUGAUGCUGCUCCCGCCAAGGGGGUCCCAGAUGAGAAGGAUAGUCCCGCUCCUAUAACUCCUCCAAGCUGGGACGAAAUGAUGGAGAUGUUGAAGCACGUGCCGUGCUUCAUGAACUCUGAAGUUCCAUCUACAAAAAUGUCAUACUUUUUCCCUUUUACCAAGCAGAUAUCUGUGAAUGUGGGCUGCGAACCCCCCUCUUUCGUCUCAGCCCGGCUCUCCUUUGGCACUCCUGAGUCUAUUGUGUUUCGCAUUCAACAACUGCAGGAAUGAACGGUGUCGGAGACUACAGAAGUGGUAAUCCCUUUUAUCUUGCCCCUCCUUUUCAAGUAAUGCAUACUCCACCGCUUGGUACAAACUUGGCUUUUAUUAUCUCUUCUAGUUGGUAGUCGGCAUCCGCAACAUGAUGUGACAGCGCGCGCAACUUUUCAAGCAACUGGAGGUGGUAGAGGCUAUGCGGGCCUUUAUCUCCCACCACCCGGGCGACAUCGAAGAGUUGCGCGCGAAGAUGGAGCAAGUAGAAGCUGACUUGGUUGCUGCCUAGAAGGCCGUUGUGGACGGAGCCGAGACGCUGAAGCUGGUUAAGGGGGAGAAGGGGGCAAUCCGGGCUGAGACAGACCGACUAAAUGAGAAAUGAGAGGCUAUGGAGGCCAAGUACAAAGGGGCGAAACAGGAAAACUUCCAAUUAAGGAGGGAGGUGGAUGAACUUUGGCCCAGUUUCGCGGCUCAGAAGAAAGAGGUGAAAGAGUUACAAGUAGGCUUGCUCACCCAGAAGAAAGAGCUGGAGGCUGGAUUUGCCGCUCAGAAAAAGAAGUUGGAAACGGAGUACCAAAAACAAAUGGACGAAAUGUACUUUUUCGGCUACCGCUACCGUAUGAAGAAAAAUAGCAUCAUGCACAACAUUCCUUCCCUCCCUUCUGAUGACAAAGACGAGAUACCCGGAGGUCCUCCGCGAUGAGAUGACUCAACUUUUGUGUAGUUCCUCCAUAUAACUUUUUCUUUGCCAUGAAUGGUCCAACUGAUUUGUAAAGACAAUUUUCACACUUAUUUAUGAAUGCAACGUUUCUUUACUCUUUUCUCGCCCAUUGUUUCUUUUUACUGAUAAUACUGCUUAAGGUUAGAUACAUUCCAUGGACGGAAUAAAGAGGUUCCAUCUAACUUCUGUAAAUGACAAGUGAUUCUUCCCCAUUGCAGUCAUGCCAUUUGAUUUUGGCUCAGACGGGUGUUAUCAACAAAAUUUAUAAAACCUAAAUCACCUCACACUAGGGUAGCAUAGCUAACAUAGUAUAGUGGCUCUAGGAUCGUACACAGGAAUGGGUUUUCAUCAUACAGUUGAUUUGAUUUUAGUGAAGGAAAUAAAAUGGUGUUUUUCCUUAUGAAAAUUAGCUUUAAAAGAAAAUGGAAUUGUGGUUGCAAAGAUUGAUUUUUAAGUUAAGCAAAAAUAAUAAGUGAAGUUAACUACAAAGAAAAGGUCUCUUGGAGCUUUAGGUCACUAAGAUCGGGUUCCUUAGGUAAAAGAGGAGAUUCCAGAUUUUCUCCUCGCGUUGGAGACAAUAACAUAAAUGAAGGUUAUCUCCCGAACCGGUUUUGUAUUUAGCAAUUAAGACUUGAUCCAAAGGGUUCACGAAAAAUGGUAAUUGCUUCCCAUUAAUGGCUUCAGACACUAAAGACCCUCACCUUGAACCACCUUCCAAUGGCUCGUAAAUGAUAACUAAUAGACAUCCAUGGAUCUAGAAAUAAGCAUCCAUAAAAUCCGAAAAGCUUACCAAGUAUUGGUCAUUCAAGGUGAUUUUAAGGGAUUUAAAACUAAACCUUGAAAUAAAAACCAUUAAUGGUUAACACCUACUUUCAUUUAAAGCAAGGACAAUUCCUACCUUUGCAUUCAGGUUCUUCACCUAGCUUCCAUCACUCCAAGAAACGUAAAACCUAGCCACUCAUCCCUUGAGAAAUCAUCCUCAGAGGUUGUUUGGUUAGAAAAAAGAGUGAAAACAAAAUGAGAAGGAAAUGUAGAGCAAAAACUCUGUAUAUUUCUUACUACGGGGAAUUUACAAGUGUUUAAUGAAAAACAUCCAUAUUUUUACCCUCUGUCUCUCUUUUUAUAUAUGAUGUUACCUAGAAAAUAUCUAAAAAGAUAUAAAAGAAAAUAUCUAAAAAGAAAUAAAAGAAAAUAUCUAGGUUGGUUACAAGGAGAACUUAGGAAAUUACACAAAAUAUCUGAAAAUAAAAAUCUAACAGAGUCGGUGCACAAGAAGAUUUCGCAUAACAUGUAAAAUUUGGCAUGGUGUACGAAAUUUCGCACAGCCAUGCAAAACUGCUUGUUGUUGGAUUUCUUCCUUCCAUCUUUGAUUUGCUUGGCAAAGGGCUAUGAAGUGCUCCAAAGCUUGGAUUCUUCAUGUAUUUGAGCUUCAACUUGCAUUGCCAUUGAUUUCACAAGAUUCUCCCUCUUCUUGGCUUGUUUCAAUGAUAAAAAAGCUACCAAAAACACCAAAACUUGCCAAAAACUGAUUAGUAACCCUUGUUAGGUUCUUUAAUGUGCCAAUUGAGUUAAAAGGUAUUAACUACUACUCAAAAGAGUUUAAAAUAGUUAGUUUCAAGCAAUAAAAAAGUACUUUUUGAGUAGUAAUCAAUAAGCCCCGCUUUCACCUGUUUUGGAGACAAUGUAGGGCCUUCCCAAUUCGCUUGGAACUUCCGAACCCCCUUUUCAACUGUGUUUUCGAAGACUCUUUUGAGGAUGAGUCUUCCAACCUUGAAGACACGAGGUUGUGCCUUACAAUUGUAAUGAGCAGCCGCCCUUUGUUGGUAGGUGGCCAUCCGGAUGGAUGCACUUUCCCUCAUUUCAUCCGCGUAGUGUAGGUUCCUUCCGAGUUAUUGGUCUUCAUUCCUCUGACCCUGUACUGCAGUCCGAACCAUGGGCAAACCUAUUUUCGUGGUGAUGAUUGCGUCCAUUCCGUAUGCUAGAGCGAAAGGAGUGUUUCCCAUUGGUCGUCCGGGCGUCGUUCGGUAGGUCCACAAGACGUCGGGCAGCUCCUCUACCCACUUUCCUUUGGUUCGGUCCAAUCUUUUCUUUAAUGCUGAUAGUAAGGUCUUGUUCGUUGCUUCUGCCUGCCCAUUGCUUUGGGGAUACCGUGGUGUGGAGUAUAAAUUUUGGAUUUUGAGUUCUGAACAAAAAUUUCGGAAGGCAAUACUAUCAAACUGCGCGCCGUUGUCGGCUAUGAUUGCUUGAGGGAUUCCAAACCGACAAAUGAUGUUCUUCCAAACGAAUUUCGUGACGUCUUUGUCUUUGAUGCUAGCAUACGCCUCCGCCUCUACCCAUUUAUUGAAAUAAUUUGUGGCAAUGAGUAGGAAUUUCUUCUAGGCAGCUGCAACGGGCAGAGACCCCAUUAUAUCCAUCUCCCAUUGCGUGAAUGGCCAAGGGCUUGUUAUUGGGUUCAACGUUUCGGAUGGCAUAUGCGGGAUGGGCGCGUGUCUUUGGCAUUUGUCACAUUUUUUGGCAUAAGCUUCCACGUCCUGCUUCAUAGUGGGCCUGUAGUACCUCUGCGAAUGGGCACGAUGUGCUAAAGAUCAUCCUCUUGAGUGGUUGCUGCAUACGCCUUCAUGUAAUUCUGCUAGCACAUAUUGGGCUUCCAAGUGUUCUAAGCAUCUGAGGUAGGGGCUUGCAAAAGAUCAUUUGUAAAGACAUGCCCCAAUAAGGGUGAAGCGGGCAGCUUGCACACGGAUCUUAUACGCAUGCUUGGAUUCCUUAAGUAGAACGCUUGUCCGAAGGUACUCCUUUAUGACACUCGUCCAUUCCUGGCUUUCUUCGAUAGCAUUGCAAGUGGGCGAUUGUGCGAUGGAGGGAUUAGCCUGCACAUGUAUGGACAACAAUAUGGCUUCUCUUAUGGGAAGUGAGAUGGCUAUUCCCUACCAGGGCAUCAGCCCGUAUGUUGUCCGUCCGGAGGACUUUUUUGAUUGUCCACUAGUCCAAUUGCUUCAAGGUGUCGCGCACUUUUGUCAGGUAUUAGGACAUGCGCUCGUCUUUGGCUUCGUAUUCCUUCCGUACAUGUCCCACGACGAGUUGAGAAUCAUUGUAGAUUCUGAGCUUAGAGACGGAUAGUGCGAGUACGAGGUCCAAUCUGGAUAGAAUGGCUUCAUACUUGGCUUUGUUGUUUGAUGCAUGGAAUCUGAGGCGGAUGACCUGCUUUAAUUGUUUUCCAAUUGGAGAUUGUAGCAAGAGUCCCACUCCGGAUCCUAACAACCGGGAGGCUCCGUCGACCCGUAAGGUCCACCAUCCAUCCUUGUCUGAUUUUUCGCCUCGAGCGGGCUGUUAGGGAAAUUCAACCACAAAGUCAGCCAUGACUUGCCCUUUCAUGGAAAGCCUAGGUUGGUAUUCAAUCCCAUACUCGCUCAACUCUAUGGCCCAUUGCAGCAUCCUUUCGGAUAGGUCCGGCUUGUGCAGGAUGUUUCGAAGGGGCUGGUCGAUAAGUACGACUACUGGGUGAGCUUGAAAAUACAGGCAGAGCUUCUGGGCGGUGCUUCGCAAGGCUAAGGUAGUCUGUUCUAUCUUUGAAUAUAUUGUUUCUGCAUCGACCAUCGCUCUACUGAUAUAAUAAAUAGGUUUUUGCUCUUUGCAAUGUGGAUAUCAAAACAAGACAACGCUAAUCGUCUAAUCCGAUACCGCUAAAUACAUGUACGACAGCUCGCCAGGCUGAAAGCUACUUAGGAUGGGUGGUUGUGUGAGGUAAUGUUUGAUUUUCUUGAACGCACUCUGGCAGUUAUCCGUCCAUCCAGUCGCGUUGGCUUUCUUCAGCACUAGGAAGAAAUGUCACAGUUUGUUUGUGAAUCGGGCUAUGAAACGUCCUAGUGUGACGAGCUUGCUGGUGAGACGCUGCAACUCCUUUUUGUUACUAGGGGUGGGUGUUUUCAUGAUCGCCUUAAUUUGAUCCGGGUUGACUUCUAUUCCUCUUUGGGUGACCACGAACCCCAUGAAUUUGCUUGCACUUACGCCGAAGGCGUAUUUGGACGGGUUAAGCUUCAUGUCGUACCUCAUCAGCAAGUGGAAGACUUCUUGCAGGUGGUAGGUAUGUUCUUCUCUAGUUUUGCUUUUGACCACUAUGUCAUCAAUGUAUACUUCCAUCGUGCGACCAAUCAAAGGCUUGAAGAUCUUUGUCAUCAGUCUUUGGUAGGUGGUGCUAGCAUUUUUGAGUCUGAGCGGCAUGACUCUAUAACAAUAAAGUCCAUGUGGCGUUAUAAAGUCAGUUUUUUCCUCAUCCGCUAGGGCCAUAAGGAUCUGAUGGUAUCCGGAUAAGGCACCUAGAAAAAAGAGCAUCCCAUGUCCGGUAGUGGAGUCUACUAUUUGGUUUAUCCGCGUCAACGGGAAGCUAUCUUUAGGGCAUGCAUUGUUGAGGUUGGUGUAAUCAAUGCACACUCGCCACCUUUCUUCCUUUUUGGGGACUACCACCACAUUUGCCAACCAUUCCGGGUACUCAACUUCCUUGAUGAAUCUGGAGUCCAAUAACUUAUGCACCUCACUCUGAAUGAUCUUUUGUCUAUCCGGGUGAAAUCGCUUGACUUUUUACCGGACAGGUCUUGAUGAGGGCAAGAAGUUAAGCCAGUGGAAGGCAACCGAUGGGUGGAAUCCGGGCAUAUCGAAGUAGGUCCAUGCGAAAAAUUCUUGGUUUUGUUGGAGCGUCUUCUCAAUGCUCCGAGUCUCGUUGGGUUUUAAGAGGGAACUAGCAUAAGUGAGACAAUCUUUUCUUUUUGAGACUUGGAUGGUUUGCAAGGGAUCUGCCAUCGGGAGAUCUUUAUCUGUUAAGUACUGUAAUUGCUAUUGGUCGGGCGCAUUCACUUGCUCUGGGGAGGACUCGCGAUCACUGCUGAACCCGGUCUCCCGUGCUAAUCUGAUAGCAUUGUCGGGCUACCAACUGGCUGCCAUAUAAAUCAAUCUGUUCGUCUUUGGUGAGAUAGCUCACCAUCUGAUGGUACGUGGAAGGAAAAGCCUUCAUGUAGUGCAACCAGGUGCACCCCAAAAUGGCAUUGAAGGGGGAUAAAUCUUCCACCACUGAGAACUGCACAUUGAACGUGACUGGGCCUACUUGGACUGGUAGACACGUCUCAAAGGGACAUUGUUGAGGCUCCAUUGAAUCCCGACAGAACCCGCCUCGGGUUCUCUAGGUUGGAGGGCACGAGUCUCAUUUGUUUGACUACUGAUACUUGCAAGAGGUCCGCCGAGCUGCUCGGAUCGACCAAAAUCUAUCUUACGUUGAAGUCUCCAAUCCCAAGAGACAGGAUAAGGGCAUCUCGGUGUGGUUGCAAUGUCCGUAUGGGGUUUACUGGAGAAAAAAUGAUUGUCUCAUCUAUUAGGUGGGCGUUCCCGCUGGUUAAUCCAAGUCGGAUGGAGUUAACACACUCGCGGACUGAAGCGGCCCGCAGCAGCCUUUGUCUCUUUUGCUUGGAGUCGUACUCCUCAUCCAGGGGCCCACCAUGAAUGUAGUUAAUCACAACCCUAGGGGCAAUCGGAGUUGAGGGGGCUCCGGAGGCUUGACUGCGGGAUGUCUCUCCUCCUAUGGCUCCUAAGCGGAUGUACUGUUUUAGGUGUCCUGCUCUUAUGAGCUUUUCCACCAAGUAAUGGAGACUACUACACUACUCCGUAGUAUGGUCAUGCUCUUUAUGAUAAGCACAUUUCCUGCUGUGAUCUCUUUUGACUAGGUCCGUUUUGAGCGGUUUGGGCCACCUAAAGUCGAACAGCUCGCGGAUCAUUGGGAGAAGCUUUUUGUAUGACACGAUAAAGGGUGUAAGCGGGGGCGGAUCUGGCUGACGUUGCUUACCUUGUUUAAGCCGAGUGGCCUUUGCUGGCUUGAAGGUUUGAACUUUCUUGCCGCGUCGUUCCUGGCCGGCUGUCCAGUAACCAGGAUUUGUUGGGUGGCUGCGCAUACAUCAUCUUCCAGCAUUGAGUAUUUGUUCACGCAUCGGAACAGGUCGUCCAUAGUUGUGGGAGGUUUUUUGGUGAGUGAUUUGAAGAACGGUGUGCCUAGACAUAUGCUCCGCUUAAAAAUUUGGAGGAUAGUGUCCAUGCUGGAGGAUUCUACUUGUAGUACAACUUGUCCAAAUCGCUUCACGAACUCCCUCAGGGAUCACUUUCCUACAUGUGAAUGUUUUCCAGGGUGCUAAUAUUCUAUUUAUGUCACGUGGAACACAGGUAUUGUCCCACAAAGGCUUCUGAUAGAUCUCGGAAGUUAUCAACAUAAUUCAUAGGGAGUCAAUGAAACCAUGAGAGGACCUGGCCUUGGAGGCUGGGAGGGAACACCUUGUACAACAGCGCGUCGUUCCCUAUGUCAAGAGUCAUGAGUUGUCGGUAGUGCAUGAUGUGAUCAAACGGAUCACUAGACCCGUCAUACGCGAAAAUUUUUGGCACGAGAAACCCUCUUGGGGGCUCGUAAUUGAUAAUAUGAGAGCUAAAAAGCGGGAAGAGCAUGUCGUCCAAUCGCCUACUGAUGGUGUGGACAUCUUUGCAAAUGUUGUUGGGGGGAUGACUUGUCGUCCCACUUGUCUUUUCACUCUACAGGCGGCCUAGGGCAGGUCAUAGCAGGUCGUCUGAAAAGACCUAGGAAUGUCUUAUCGAGUAUGCUUUUAAUGAAAUGAGUAAUGAUUGCCCGCGAAAUAUGGUCAGGGAUCCUAUUUGGGACAACAACUAUCGGGUUCGGACUGGUCGCCCGGACAGAGGGUAGGACGUGCCACGUGUUCGCUUAGGAGUGGUCCCUACACUUACCUCUCUUAAAAAACUCACCAUUGCUAGCAUAUUUCCACAAGUUUCAAAUGCUCAAAGACUAUCGCGUCUUUCUACAACCCUCACCUUUCUUUGCAUUAAAGAUUUCUAGAAUCCGAAAUCUCUGUCCUCCCUAGCUCUCCAAACCCUUACCUCACUUGAAGAGUUAUGGAUCUUAUGUUGCCCUAAGCUUUAGUUGUUUUGCCCAAGGGAAGGGCUGCUUGACACUCUUUCACUACUAUAUAUCAUAGACUGCCUACUUCUCAAACAAAGGUGCUCAAAGGGGAAAGGACAAGAUUAGCCCAACAUCGCCCACAUUCCCUAUGUGGAAAUGGAUAAUGAAAAUGUCUUUGAGCAAUAAUAAGAUGAGGGAUUGCAGAACAUAGAAGCAAACACCAUUCAACCCUCACCCAUCUUUUAUUUAAACAAGGUACACCUGUUCUUUCUUUUUCACUCCUUAAUACCGCAUUCAAUUUCUCAUAUACAUUAUAGCAGUUUCCUUAUGAUUACUUGUAAGUUUCUUACUGGAAUUUUUGUUGAAAAUUUGCCUAGGAAGUGACUUUUGAAAUGGCUUGUAGCUUGGUUUUCUCUUCAAUCUGCCAUAAUUCUAGGUAUCACUGUCUCUACCUUUCCAAUUCUAUUUAUAAAAUCUUGUCCAUAAUCUCCUUGGGGUACUCACUUUUCCUUUUCCUUUGUUCUUUUUAGUUCUCAAUGACCAUUGAAGUUGAAGAGGUGAUAUGUGAUACUUAUGACUAUAAAAAGGAUAAGAGAGAAUCCAUUUAUUCCAUUCAAGGACAGGUGAAACAUUUAGCAAUAGCCACUAGUUAGUAAUGUCUUAUUCUGAUUUUUAUUCCAUCAGUUGUACUAUUCAAUUGCAUUUUUAAAUAUAAUAUUCUGAUUUCCAGAAUAGUGUUCAGACUGACAUACAAAGGAGGCUAUAUUAGAAGCAAAUGUAGUUUAUUAAUAUUCAAUUGUUGUGGUAAUUAGAUGGCUUUAUCAAUUCCUUUGUGUAGCCAUGAUUUUUUUAGUUCAACUUAUUAGAUGUCAUCAUAACUACUAUACAGUGUCUUGUCAUCUUGUUAUCAAAUUUUUACAUUUAUGAUGCAGGUUCUCAAAGAGGAUGGAACUCCGAUUAUUAUAUCAAAGACUUCAAAGUAUGGAUGAAUGCAGCUAGUUCCGAUUGUCCCAUGUUGCUCUUUUUUUAUUUUAUUAUUUUUGAGUGUCAACAUAGGACAAAGAAUAACCCAGCAAGACUAUAGUGAGUGACCGUCAUCUAUAUAUUUUGUUUAUUUAUUUUUCUAUUUUAAUGACUAAUUUUCUUGAAUUUUCUUCUUGUCCACUGGAUAUUCAUUCCCAACAUGCAGUUCUUCCUCUUUCUCUCCUUAAUACCACUUUUUAUUUCCCAUACACAUGUUAUUUCAAUUUGUUGCCAUUUAGCUUGGCUACCUCUUAACAGUAAUAAUAAGUCUUACAGUUUUUAUGUACCAAAUUGUUUACAUUGAUGAUGCAAGUGUCAAAAGGAUGGGUUCAAAGUAUCAUAGGAGGUACAUGUGGUCUUUUUAUUGUGCUGACUUAUUAGAAUUUUCCUCCUAUAUCAAAGGCUCGUUGGCACUUUAUUACCAUUUUUUAGUAUGAUAAAAAGAGGAUAAAAUACAAUCUAGCAAAAUUGUGGUCGAUGACUUUCAUUUAUAUAGUUGAUUCUACAUAUGAUUGUGUUCUAAGGACUAUCUUUGUAAAAUUUUCUUCCUUUUAUUUAUGAUAGAUUCUACAGUGCUUUAUAAAGGUCCUCUGAAUCAAGAUUUCAUCUGCAUCUUUAAUAAAUAAGAACCUAUUUUCUUCCCCUCUUGGAGAAGUUGCUCAUAACACUAUAUGAUCUUUAUAUAUCCUUUGAAAGUUGAGAACCAUCCAAUGCAUGAAACUUGUCUUUCACAAGAAACCAAGUGGUCUUUUCUUUGUGACCGUGAUAGCCCAAAACUACCUAAUGGAAUUACAACUUGUAUUUGUUCUAAUGUAUCCAACUUGUUUCCAAAUUGUGAGCUACUAUCAUAUUUACAUACGCCUAGUAGUAUAGAUUUGAGCAAAAACAAAAUUAUUUUGCGUCCAAUUUCUAAAGUUUUUAAUUUGAUGAAACUAUAUGUCUUCUUUUGGAGUUUGUAGGUUUUAAAGGUGCAUGUCCUAGGUGCCAGAGUAUAAGUAUUUUUCUUCUUAUUGAAGGGAAUUUGGGUUUUACAUUUAGAGGCUCCAAGUCUAUAGUGAUUGUGGCAAAUGCCUGUUGCACUUGUUAUUUUUGUUUCUAUUGUUGAUGUUGAGGGUGUAGAAAGGGGAUAAACAAAAGCAUAACAAGAUCAUGGUGUGUUACGAUUUUUAUUUUACAAUUUUAUUGGUCUUUUUAGAUUCCUAUUUUUACUGAUUUUUUUUUUUCUAAAUUUUCUAUGUUUAUGACUUGAGGUGUUCCCUAAACACUUGCUACAGAGAGGAUUUUGGCACCAGAAUUAUCCUUGGACAUUGCUUAGUUCACUUGUCUUCCAUAGAUAUGAACCUAUUUUUUGUGCCAUUUUGGAGAAGCUACCAGUAAAACUGAAUAGUCACACAUCUCUUGAAAAGUUGAGAAUCACACAUUUCUUUGGGCUCAUUCUGAGGAUUGGUUUGUCAUCCAUGCUAUUAAGUCUUAUGCUCAGUUGUUGUGAUGGUUUGAAAUUACUCUCUGAUGAAACUAUGACCUAUAUAAAUAACUGCUUGCAUUUGUUUUACAUAGAUGAAUUGCUUGUCUUUUUGCAUUAUUUUGCAGAAAGGAUUUUAUGAGCACUACUAUGUUUUUUUUUCAUAUCCUUUUAUAUUGAUGCAUUUCAUAUUACUCCUUUUAUGUGGAUGCGCAAUGCUGAUCAACUCUCCUCCUUUUGGAUGUCUUUCUAACCAUUGUUAGGAUUCAUUAAAAAUUACCUUUAUCAAACCUACGGAAUUUUUCAAGUUAGUUAUAACUUGUACAAACCUUAUGUAACUCGAAAUGCUUUAUUUUUAAAACAGUCCAUGCCUAUUGGCAACUUACAUGUUUUUCACUACAUUUUUUUUCAACGAGGAAAUGAGGCAUUUUUCUUUAGUAGUAUAUUGUGAUUCACAAAGUAUAAACUCUUGCAGAUUGAAAGAAAGACAAUUUACAUAUCAUUCAACAGUAAUCAGUAAGCACUUUUAUAUGUUUAUAGCUUCUUCUUAUACGGUUUGUCUUUUAUGGCAUUUACUCUUUUGUUAUUCACAUAAAAAAAACACCUGAUUUACCUUUCAAAUAUAAAAUCCAGUUAUGCAGGAAGGCCAUAAAUUGAAUAUGAUAAGAUGGGAAAUGUGUUUCAUGACAACUUUGUGUUCUUGCAUUAUAAGGUUUAGUAAUUGUGUGUAGUUCUACAAUAAACAACAUUCUAUUGACUUUGGAUUUGGAAUUUAACUCUAAUGAGCAUUUACUUAUUUUUCAUACAUUUUUUAGGAAUCCUGUCAAUGAGAUUUUGCUUACAAAAAACUAGAGGUUUGUUAACUCUCCUAUAAUCAGAGACUAGUUCUCUUGCAUAAAUUUCAAGCAAAUUUAUAACCCUCUUCUUUGACAGUCUUUUAUAUUGGAAUUAAACAUCUUGGUGUCUUUGAAUUAUUUAAAUAUUGGAAGCCAAUUAAGGAGUCAUGCAAUGGCAUAUUGUGAAACUUGAUACACAUAAAAAUAAGAUCUAUUAUGUUAUUUUUCUCGCUAAAGAAUCAAAACAUAUGCUUUUGAUUUUGAAUGUUUCAGACUUCAUGUCUUCUCUUUCAUUUACGAUACUGUCGUUGGUGAACAGGGAAUGUUGUCAAGAAUUUUGGAGCUUGACCAUCUGGCCUUUUCCAAUUCCUUAGAGAUUGGUAAUAAUCCAACGAUCAAUUGUUUUCCCAAAGUGGCUUAUGCUAGCAUAAGAAGAUGUGAAAUUAUCAGUGACCAUUCAUUGUAAAGAAAUCUUGUUAUUAUGGCAGGAUAAUAGACAGUAAUACAGUCUCAAAAUUUUGGGACUUCGGCAUCAACACCUUUCUAAGACUCAGAUUUGUAAAUGGAAUGAUGCAAGACAUCAACACAUUCGUAGAAUUCUUUAAGAAUUCUGUAACCGAAUCAAGGUAAUUCUCAAUUCCCUUGUCUUUAUUAGAUGAAUAAUACUUGUUUAUAUAUACAAUUGAGAGUCCUGAAUUAGGAAGGUAUUAUCCCUAAGGAAACAAUCAAAUUAUGGUAUGUACAGAUAUAUACAGCUAACACUCCCCCUCAAGCUGGAGCAUAGAUGUUGAUCAUGCCCAGCUUGUUACAAAAGUACUCAACUCGAGUUCCAUUUAGAGCUUUUGUAAAAAUAUCCCCAAGUUGCUCUCCAGUCUUCACAUAGCCAGUAGAGACUAGAUUUUCCUCAAUCUUUUCACGAAUGAAGUGACAAUCGACCUCAAUGUGUUUGGUUCUUUCAUGAUAGACUGGGUUCGCAGCAAUAUGAAGAGCGGCUUGAUUGUCACACCAAAGCUUUGCUGGCAUUGUGCACUUCAUUCCCACUUCACAUAAGAGUUGAUGUAUCCAUAUGAUUUCACAAGUAGCCUGUGCCAUGGCCCUGUACUCAGAUUCUGCACUCGAACGGGAUACAACACUCUGCUUCUUACUUUUCCAAGCCACUAGAUUCCCGCCAAAGAAUACACAAUAACCUGUAGUGGAUCUUCUAUCAAACUUAGAACCUGCCCAAUCCGCAUCAGAAAAACACUCAAUGCGAGUGUGUCCCUGACUACUAUAUAGUAUGCCUAGACCAGGAGCCUUCUUUAGGUAGCACAAAAUCUGCUCUAAAGCCGCCCAAUGCUUUAUUGUAGGCGCAGAUGUGAACUGACUAACAACAUUUACUGCAUAUGCAAUAUCUGGUCGCGUCACGGUGAGAUAAUUCAGCUUCCCAACCACUCUCCGAUACCUUUCAGGGUUGUAGAAGGGAUCUCCAUCAUCUGGCAUAAGUUGUACAUUAGGAACCAUCGGGGUAGUACAUGGCUUUGCUUCUAUCUUACCGGUCUCUUUAAGCAGAUCAAGCACAUACUUCCUUUGUGAUAAGAACAUCCCUUUCUUGCUCCUUGAUACUUCUAUUCCCAGGAAAUACUUCAGUUCACCCAAGUCCUUUGUAUGAAACUUGGAAUGCAUGAAUGUCUUAAGAUCAGAGAUUCCUGCAUGAUCAUUUCCUGUAAUAACUAUAUCAUCGACAUAGACACAGAGUAUGAUACCAGCAGCUGAUUUCUNNNNNNNNNNNNNNNNNNNNNNNNNNNNNNNNNNNNNNNNNNNNNNNNNNNNNNNNNNNNNNNNNNNNNNNNNNNNNNNNNNNNNNNNNNNNNNNNNNNNNNNNNNNNNNNNNNNNNNNNNNNNNNNNNNNNNNNNNNNNNNNNNNNNNNNNNNNNNNNNNNNNNNNNNNNNNNNNNNNNNNNNNNNNNNNNNNNNNNNNNNNNNNNNNNNNNNNNNNNNNNNNNNNNNNNNNNNNNNNNNNNNNNNNNNNNNNNNNNNNNNNNNNNNNNNNNNNNNNNNNNNNNNNNNNNNNNNNNNNNNNNNNNNNNNNNNNNNNNNNNNNNNNNNNNNNNNNNNNNNNNNNNNNNNNNNNNNNNNNNNNNNNNNNNNNNNNNNNNNNNNNNNNNNNNNNNNNNNNNNNNNNNNNNNNNNNNNNNNNNNNNNNNNNNNNNNNNNNNNNNNNNNNNNNNNNNNNNNNNNNNNNNNNNNNNNNNNNNNNNNNNNNNNNNNNNNNNNNNNNNNNNNNNNNNNNNNNNNNNNNNNNNNNNNNNNNNNNNNNNNNNNNNNNNNNNNNNNNNNNNNNNNNNNNNNNNNNNNNNNNNNNNNNNNNNNNNNNNNNNNNNNNNNNNNNNNNNNNNNNNNNNNNNNNNNNNNNNNNNNNNNNNNNNNNNNNNNNNNNNNNNNNNNNNNNNNNNNNNNNNNNNNNNNNNNNNNNNNNNNNNNNNNNNNNNNNNNNNNNNNNNNNNNNNNNNNNNNNNNNNNNNNNNNNNNNNNNNNNNNNNNNNNNNNNNNNNNNNNNNNNNNNNNNNNNNNNNNNNNNNNNNNNNNNNNNNNNNNNNNNNNNNNNNNNNNNNNNNNNNNNNNNNNNNNNNNNNNNNNNNNNNNNNNNNNNNNNNNNNNNNNNNNNNNNNNNNNNNNNNNNNNNNNNNNNNNNNNNNNNNNNNNNNNNNNNNNNNNNNNNNNNNNNNNNNNNNNNNNNNNNNNNNNNNNNNNNNNNNNNNNNNNNNNNNNNNNNNNNNNNNNNNNNNNNNNNNNNNNNNNNNNNNNNNNNNNNNNNNNNNNNNNNNNNNNNNNNNNNNNNNNNNNNNNNNNNNNNNNNNNNNNNNNNNNNNNNNNNNNNNNNNNNNNNNNNNNNNNNNNNNNNNNNNNNNNNNNNNNNNNNNNNNNNNNNNNNNNNNNNNNNNNNNNNNNNNNNNNNNNNNNNNNNNNNNNNNNNNNNNNNNNNNNNNNNNNNNNNNNNNNNNNNNNNNNNNNNNNNNNNNNNNNNNNNNNNNNNNNNNNNNNNNNNNNNNNNNNNNNNNNNNNNNNNNNNNNNNNNNNNNNNNNNNNNNNNNNNNNNNNNNNNNNNNNNNNNNNNNNNNNNNNNNNNNNNNNNNNNNNNNNNNNNNNNNNNNNNNNNNNNNNNNNNNNNNNNNNNNNNNNNNNNNNNNNNNNNNNNNNNNNNNNNNNNNNNNNNNNNNNNNNNNNNNNNNNNNNNNNNNNNNNNNNNNNNNNNNNNNNNNNNNNNNNNNNNNNNNNNNNNNNNNNNNNNNNNNNNNNNNNNNNNNNNNNNNNNNNNNNNNNNNNNNNNNNNNNNNNNNNNNNNNNNNNNNNNNNNNNNNNNNNNNNNNNNNNNNNNNNNNNNNNNNNNNNNNNNNNNNNNNNNNNNNNNNNNNNNNNNNNNNNNNNNNNNNNNNNNNNNNNNNNNNNNNNNNNNNNNNNNNNNNNNNNNNNNNNNNNNNNNNNNNNNNNNNNNNNNNNNNNNNNNNNNNNNNNNNNNNNNNNNNNNNNNNNNNNNNNNNNNNNNNNNNNNNNNNNNNNNNNNNNNNNNNNNNNNNNNNNNNNNNNNNNNNNNNNNNNNNNNNNNNNNNNNNNNNNNNNNNNNNNNNNNNNNNNNNNNNNNNNNNNNNNNNNNNNNNNNNNNNNNNNNNNNNNNNNNNNNNNNNNNNNNNNNNNNNNNNNNNNNNNNNNNNNNNNNNNNNNNNNNNNNNNNNNNNNNNNNNNNNNNNNNNNNNNNNNNNNNNNNNNNNNNNNNNNNNNNNNNNNNNNNNNNNNNNNNNNNNNNNNNNNNNNNNNNNNNNNNNNNNNNNNNNNNNNNNNNNNNNNNNNNNNNNNNNNNNNNNNNNNNNNNNNNNNNNNNNNNNNNNNNNNNNNNNNNNNNNNNNNNNNNNNNNNNNNNNNNNNNNNNNNNNNNNNNNNNNNNNNNNNNNNNNNNNNNNNNNNNNNNNNNNNNNNNNNNNNNNNNNNNNNNNNNNNNNNNNNNNNNNNNNNNNNNNNNNNNNNNNNNNNNNNNNNNNNNNNNNNNNNNNNNNNNNNNNNNNNNNNNNNNNNNNNNNNNNNNNNNNNNNNNNNNNNNNNNNNNNNNNNNNNNNNNNNNNNNNNNNNNNNNNNNNNNNNNNNNNNNNNNNNNNNNNNNNNNNNNNNNNNNNNNNNNNNNNNNNNNNNNNNNNNNNNNNNNNNNNNNNNNNNNNNNNNNNNNNNNNNNNNNNNNNNNNNNNNNNNNNNNNNNNNNNNNNNNNNNNNNNNNNNNNNNNNNNNNNNNNNNNNNNNNNNNNNNNNNNNNNNNNNNNNNNNNNNNNNNNNNNNNNNNNNNNNNNNNNNNNNNNNNNNNNNNNNNNNNNNNNNNNNNNNNNNNNNNNNNNNNNNNNNNNNNNNNNNNNNNNNNNNNNNNNNNNNNNNNNNNNNNNNNNNNNNNNNNNNNNNNNNNNNNNNNNNNNNNNNNNNNNNNNNNNNNNNNNNNNNNNNNNNNNNNNNNNNNNNNNNNNNNNNNNNNNNNNNNNNNNNNNNNNNNNNNNNNNNNNNNNNNNNNNNNNNNNNNNNNNNNNNNNNNNNNNNNNNNNNNNNNNNNNNNNNNNNNNNNNNNNNNNNNNNNNNNNNNNNNNNNNNNNNNNNNNNNNNNNNNNNNNNNNNNNNNNNNNNNNNNNNNNNNNNNNNNNNNNNNNNNNNNNNNNNNNNNNNNNNNNNNNNNNNNNNNNNNNNNNNNNNNNNNNNNNNNNNNNNNNNNNNNNNNNNNNNNNNNNNNNNNNNNNNNNNNNNNNNNNNNNNNNNNNNNNNNNNNNNNNNNNNNNNNNNNNNNNNNNNNNNNNNNNNNNNNNNNNNNNNNNNNNNNNNNNNNNNNNNNNNNNNNNNNNNNNNNNNNNNNNNNNNNNNNNNNNNNNNNNNNNNNNNNNNNNNNNNNNNNNNNNNNNNNNNNNNNNNNNNNNNNNNNNNNNNNNNNNNNNNNNNNNNNNNNNNNNNNNNNNNNNNNNNNNNNNNNNNNNNNNNNNNNNNNNNNNNNNNNNNNNNNNNNNNNNNNNNNNNNNNNNNNNNNNNNNNNNNNNNNNNNNNNNNNNNNNNNNNNNNNNNNNNNNNNNNNNNNNNNNNNNNNNNNNNNNNNNNNNNNNNNNNNNNNNNNNNNNNNNNNNNNNNNNNNNNNNNNNNNNNNNNNNNNNNNNNNNNNNNNNNNNNNNNNNNNNNNNNNNNNNNNNNNNNNNNNNNNNNNNNNNNNNNNNNNNNNNNNNNNNNNNNNNNNNNNNNNNNNNNNNNNNNNNNNNNNNNNNNNNNNNNNNNNNNNNNNNNNNNNNNNNNNNNNNNNNNNNNNNNNNNNNNNNNNNNNNNNNNNNNNNNNNNNNNNNNNNNNNNNNNNNNNNNNNNNNNNNNNNNNNNNNNNNNNNNNNNNNNNNNNNNNNNNNNNNNNNNNNNNNNNNNNNNNNNNNNNNNNNNNNNNNNNNNNNNNNNNNNNNNNNNNNNNNNNNNNNNNNNNNNNNNNNNNNNNNNNNNNNNNNNNNNNNNNNNNNNNNNNNNNNNNNNNNNNNNNNNNNNNNNNNNNNNNNNNNNNNNNNNNNNNNNNNNNNNNNNNNNNNNNNNNNNNNNNNNNNNNNNNNNNNNNNNNNNNNNNNNNNNNNNNNNNNNNNNNNNNNNNNNNNNNNNNNNNNNNNNNNNNNNNNNNNNNNNNNNNNNNNNNNNNNNNNNNNNNNNNNNNNNNNNNNNNNNNNNNNNNNNNNNNNNNNNNNNNNNNNNNNNNNNNNNNNNNNNNNNNNNNNNNNNNNNNNNNNNNNNNNNNNNNNNNNNNNNNNNNNNNNNNNNNNNNNNNNNNNNNNNNNNNNNNNNNNNNNNNNNNNNNNNNNNNNNNNNNNNNNNNNNNNNNNNNNNNNNNNNNNNNNNNNNNNNNNNNNNNNNNNNNNNNNNNNNNNNNNNNNNNNNNNNNNNNNNNNNNNNNNNNNNNNNNNNNNNNNNNNNNNNNNNNNNNNNNNNNNNNNNNNNNNNNNNNNNNNNNNNNNNNNNNNNNNNNNNNNNNNNNNNNNNNNNNNNNNNNNNNNNNNNNNNNNNNNNNNNNNNNNNNNNNNNNNNNNNNNNNNNNNNNNNNNNNNNNNNNNNNNNNNNNNNNNNNNNNNNNNNNNNNNNNNNNNNNNNNNNNNNNNNNNNNNNNNNNNNNNNNNNNNNNNNNNNNNNNNNNNNNNNNNNNNNNNNNNNNNNNNNNNNNNNNNNNNNNNNNNNNNNNNNNNNNNNNNNNNNNNNNNNNNNNNNNNNNNNNNNNNNNNNNNNNNNNNNNNNNNNNNNNNNNNNNNNNNNNNNNNNNNNNNNNNNNNNNNNNNNNNNNNNNNNNNNNNNNNNNNNNNNNNNNNNNNNNNNNNNNNNNNNNNNNNNNNNNNNNNNNNNNNNNNNNNNNNNNNNNNNNNNNNNNNNNNNNNNNNNNNNNNNNNNNNNNNNNNNNNNNNNNNNNNNNNNNNNNNNNNNNNNNNNNNNNNNNNNNNNNNNNNNNNNNNNNNNNNNNNNNNNNNNNNNNNNNNNNNNNNNNNNNNNNNNNNNNNNNNNNNNNNNNNNNNNNNNNNNNNNNNNNNNNNNNNNNNNNNNNNNNNNNNNNNNNNNNNNNNNNNNNNNNNNNNNNNNNNNNNNNNNNNNNNNNNNNNNNNNNNNNNNNNNNNNNNNNNNNNNNNNNNNNNNNNNNNNNNNNNNNNNNNNNNNNNNNNNNNNNNNNNNNNNNNNNNNNNNNNNNNNNNNNNNNNNNNNNNNNNNNNNNNNNNNNNNNNNNNNNNNNNNNNNNNNNNNNNNNNNNNNNNNNNNNNNNNNNNNNNNNNNNNNNNNNNNNNNNNNNNNNNNNNNNNNNNNNNNNNNNNNNNNNNNNNNNNNNNNNNNNNNNNNNNNNNNNNNNNNNNNNNNNNNNNNNNNNNNNNNNNNNNNNNNNNNNNNNNNNNNNNNNNNNNNNNNNNNNNNNNNNNNNNNNNNNNNNNNNNNNNNNNNNNNNNNNNNNNNNNNNNNNNNNNNNNNNNNNNNNNNNNNNNNNNNNNNNNNNNNNNNNNNNNNNNNNNNNNNNNNNNNNNNNNNNNNNNNNNNNNNNNNNNNNNNNNNNNNNNNNNNNNNNNNNNNNNNNNNNNNNNNNNNNNNNNNNNNNNNNNNNNNNNNNNNNNNNNNNNNNNNNNNNNNNNNNNNNNNNNNNNNNNNNNNNNNNNNNNNNNNNNNNNNNNNNNNNNNNNNNNNNNNNNNNNNNNNNNNNNNNNNNNNNNNNNNNNNNNNNNNNNNNNNNNNNNNNNNNNNNNNNNNNNNNNNNNNNNNNNNNNNNNNNNNNNNNNNNNNNNNNNNNNNNNNNNNNNNNNNNNNNNNNNNNNNNNNNNNNNNNNNNNNNNNNNNACUCAGCAGACCAACGAUAUCACUAUUAAUAGAGUUUUUCAUCUGCAGAAAUAACCGUGCAUCAUCUUGCAUCCAAAGUUUUCUAGUGUGAUCAUUAGGAGGUUCCUCAGUCAAGUGGUCAUCUUUAGCAACACUUCUCAAAUAAAUUUUGAUAGUCUUGCUCCAUUCAAUAUAAUUAGACCCAUUUAAUUUGUGUUCAGUUAUUUUUGACACAAUAGGCACUAUAUCAGCAACAGAAUUCUUACUCUCUUCCAUGACAAUAAAAUUUAAUCUUCAAAGCAAUCAGCCAGACCAGAAAUUGCAAUUUACCACUCCAAGAAGAAAAAAACAAAUACCUCUCUUACAAGGUGACAAAAGGGUAAAAGGGUCAAAAGCGUGCGUCAAACCCUUGACUCCCUCUCUUUCUCACCCUGAAAGUCGUGAGUCGUGGCGACCAAGGCGGGCGAAGAAACUCAGAUCGGUCCGGCAGCACGAGCCGGAGACAGAGCAGGGCUGCUGACAAACGUGGGUCGUGUGUCGGGCCCGAGAAGAAUGGAGGCCGGGGCUUUCAAUGAUCUCGGACGACGCCGACUGGUUGAUUUCUGGCGUGGAUUUGGGCGCAAACACGGUGCUGCCGAUGAGGAAAGGCGUCGUGCUGAGUUUUCGGUGGGGGGCUUAGGGUUCCGGCCGAGGUGAAGACCGCGUUGACGGAGAACGGGGCGAAGAGAAGGCGUGAGAGGGUGGCGGGAUCUGAGAAGAAGGCGACAGCGAUUCCACAGUCGUCGAUGAAUCUUUGCGAUCCCUCGACAGUUGAUCGAACACCGGAUGAGAAACGUCGGAAAGUCAGAUCGAGAGAUGUGAAACGUCGGGACGUCAAAUCGGUGAAGAAACGGCGGCCUCAAGCAAUCCCACGCUCCGGAAACGAGAAUGCGCUCCUCCCUGGGUCGGCGGUGACGCAAUCCAGACCAAACACGUAACAGGUUACUGUUCCAGAUUGUUAGGAACAAAACCCAAAACCCAGAAAAUUCCCUUGAACCAAACGUGGCUCUGAUACCAUGUAACCGAAUCAAGGUAAUUCUCAAUUCCCUUGUCUUUAUUAGAUGAAUAAUACUUGUUUAUAUAUACAAUUGAGAGUCCUGAAUUAGGAAGGUAUUAUCCCUAAGGAAACAAUCAAAUUAUGGUAUGUACAGAUAUAUACAGCUAACAAAUUCUAAAUGUGAUCUUGGUAUCUUAAUGAUAGGCCAACUUUCUUCAAUGUUGCUAAAAAUUGCAGUCCAUAUAUACUACAUGGGAAUCCACCCAUGGACAAGAAAUGUAUGUUGCUCUAUCUUCACCUCUCAUUGUCUCACACCCUAUUGCCUCAAGUUGCAUUACCUGUCAUAAUUAAACACCUCUUUUAUCAUUGUGACAAAACAAGUUUUGCCAAAACGAUAUGAGAUUCCCUUUGAUUUCAAGUUAUGCAAGAUUUAUAAGAGCUCAAUUAUUCUGAAAACAUGAUUCAUAAAUACUACCCUAACAUUCAGUUCAUGAAUACCAUGUACCAGAAGAAGGCACUAAGAAAUUUAUGUCAUUUACUUUCAGGAUUCUAUCUUCAACUCUAUUUCAUGCUCAAUUGUUUUAUUAACUAUAGUUGCUUUGAAUGAACAUGUCAAAGUACAAGUACUAAACUAGUUCAUUUCCAGUCAAAUUACUAUUCCUGAUUCAUAGAGUAUAAACCCUUGCAAAUUGAAAUAAAGAAAAUUUACAUAUCAUUCAAUGGUCAUCUGUAAGCACUCUAUGUGUCUACAUCUUCCUCAUUUGGAUUUGGAAUUUAACUUCUGAUAAGUGUUUACUUGUUUUUAAUUUGUUUUUUAGGAAUCCAGUUAAUGAGAUUUUACCAACCAAAAACAAGGGUUUGUUAGCCCUCCUACCCUCAGGCUGGUUCUCUUGCAUAUGCUUGAAGAAUAUUGGAAGCCAAUUAAUAAGUCAUUGCAGUUUCAUAGUCUUAUAAGAAAUCUUGUUAUCGUGACAGGAAAAUAGACUGCAACAUAGUCUUAUUUCCCUUCAUGAUUUAGACAUUGUGAAUAUCAAAAACCUGUUCCCUGGUAAUAGAAGAAGAAAAUCAGCCAAAGAACAACAACAAAAUGUUUUGGCACCUUGUGGACUUGAAUUGAUGGUAUUCAGGUGGCAUAAAUAUACAAAAAUACACUUAACAAACUACUAAUCAGCAGGCCAAGAUUCUACUUCCAAGAGACAGGGUUGUCAUCCAUGUCAAGAAGGCUCGAACUUUAUUGUUGUGGGACUUUGGCAUCAACAAAUCUUUGGAAUUCUUUCAGAUUUCUAAAUGGAAUGGUUCAAGUCAUCAACACAUUCCCAUAAUUCUUUUGUAAAUGUCAUCAUCAUGGCCAGCUUUCUUUAGUUCAUAUGUACUAGAUGGACAAGAACCACAACACUUGUAUUAGAAACAUGUCUGUUGCCUGGAUUUGCAUUACCUGCCAUAAUUAAGAACCUUUUUAUUAUUAUAGUAGAGUGUUUCAAAGUCACCCAUACCUAGUCUAUCUCCAUGUCUCUCAAACAGUUCGGCCCAUUGGUAGCAAAAGAAGAGCAACUUGAAUAGUUGGUCAUUUCCUUUUUAGGAAUUAAUUGUACCGCAUUCCUAUACAUAAUAUGUAUAUUGUGAAGAAGAUUAUUUGACUUUACCCUUUCUCUUCUUUGUUUUUUUCAAUCUAAAUUGGAGUGGUGUGUGACUGUGUCACUAUUGCCAGAUUUAAAUGUUAAUGUCAUAGAAUGCAUUAAUAGUUUUCUAUUAGAAUAAUAGAAUCCAAUUCGACUAGAUACUAGACAUAAGUAAGCGUAGAAUAUAGAGCAAAGGAUAAAUGAAAUGAGGGAAACAAAUGAUUCUAAGAAGGGUUAUUUGUCUUCCUAGUCUUCCAUACAAGAAAGGAAUUUUCUACGUCCUUUUCUUGUGUCAAAAUAAUAAUGAUCCUCAACACCUUCGUCAAAAAUUCCUAUUCUUAGCUUAGAUUUUUUUCUAGGUUUAUCAUAAUUUUAUAUUUAUUACGUAUAAGAAGUAAUGGACAAAAAAAAAAAAGAGAAAUUUAUUGAACAAAUAGAACUUCUUCAAUAAAAUUAUAAAAAAAAUAUUUCAACUUUGAUUAGAUACUAAAAUAAAUAGAGUAAGAAUCUAUUAGUAUAGAAAGGAUAUUAUACUAUGUCAUCCAUAAAAUCGAGUGAUUCCUUAUUUCUUCUAACUUUGAAAGGAUUGAUAGAUACUAUCGAGGAGCAAAUGUUUUGAAUCAAUCAAUCAAGUUCGUUUUUCAAAAACAUCAUCAGAAAAAAAAAAUGAAAUGGAGUUUUUUUAAACAUCGUAAAAGAAGAUUUGUUUUUUCUGGCAUUUAUACGAAUAAAAUCUUAUGAUUAUUAAGAACUCAAUGGGACCUUCCCUCUCGAAUCAGAGCCAAAGAGGGCGUGGGUCCCAUUGAGUUCUUACGUUUUCAUGUCGACAACUCAAUUCAUCCAAUUACUACAUGGAACCAUAAAAGAAAAAGCCUAUUAAACCAAUCACAGGAAUACCAGUUACAGUACCUACUAGCCAAAGAGGAAUCCUUCCAGUAGUAUCGGCCAUUUACCCUACUUUCCUCCACAUUUCAUCAAGUGGUCAUACUAAAGACAUAAAUAGUCAUGGAUAAUUAUGAAAUGAGAUCCUUUCGAAUAAGAUAAGAGAAUUCUUACUAUUAUUAUUUAUUUUAUUAGUCUCUUUCGUUCUCUUAAUUCUUAAUUGAAAAAAUAAUUGGAAAAUAAAACAACAAGUACAAAAAUGAGUAAUAACCCCCAAUAAAGAAUGGUACGAUUCAAUUCAACAUUUUGUUCAUUUGGGUUUGAUUGUGUCAUAGCUUUAUAAUUUGGAUUAGGUUUAUUGUUCGAUGAACUGCAUUGUUGAUAUUGACCCUAAAAAAGAAAUGGUAGGUACAGCUAGUCCGUGAACAACCAAUCAUCGCACUAUAAAAAUUGGAUAGGUUUGAUCUAUGGUCAUUAGGGCCUCCUAAAAAGAUCUACUAAAUUCAUCAAAUUGUUCCAAAGGACCAAAACGACCGGUUAUUAAUGGAAUUCCUUGUUGGCUCUCUAUAAAAUGCUCGUCUGGCUGAGGACUUCCAAACACAUCGUAAGCUAAACCCAUGCUGACAAAUAAACAACCCGCAAUGAAUAGGGAAGGUAUAGUAAUGCUAUGAAUGACCCGGUAUCUAAUACUGGUAAUAAUACGGACUACCCAUUUCAAUUGUUGUGCUUUCUUAAAUUGCAUACCUAUACAAGGGUUCAAGUUUCGAUCGAUAUUUGCGGAGUUGAUCAUCCCUCUCGAAAACGAAGAUUUGAAGUGGUCUAUAAUUUACUGAGUACUCCGUAUAACUCACGCAUUUGUGUACAACCAAACAGACGAAGUAACACGAAUAUCUUUGGUAGUAAGUCCAUUUCCAUCAACCGGCCGGUGGGAGCGAGAAGUUUGGGAUAUGUUUGGUGUUUCUUCCAUCAAUCAUUCGAAUCUACACCGUAUAUCAAUAGAUUAUGGUUUCGAGGGUCAUCCAUUACGAAAAGACCUUCCUCUGAGUGGAUAUGUGGAAGUACACUAUGAUGAUCCAAAGAAACGUGUGGUUUCUGAACCCAUUGAGAUGACCUAAGAAUUUCGCUAUUUCGAUUAUGCUAUUCCUUGGGAACAGUGUAGCAACGAAUAAUUAAGAAUUUAAAUAGGUCCAGUUCAGGGGACAAAGAAAUAGGAAAUGUUAUUUGCUUCGUUAGAAUAAGUUCUAUGAAAUGAAAGAGUUUCACGGGAAUUGUCUUGAUCGUCGGAUAUCAUUAAGAUAUAGUUAUCGAACGAUUUCCUGCAAUUCUUCCCAGUAUGGAAUGAGUAAAGAAUCAAGUUGUAAGUCUCGAUCUAUACGAAAUGCACUGGGUUUUUUUGUCUUUCUUUAGGUUUCAUUGAUAGCAGAAGAGCCUUGCCUUACUCUAUAGGGGCACUAGCGCUUUACUUUAUAUUAAAAGUAAAGGGGCCUGAAAAAACGUAAUAGGCUGCUACUCUAGGCUUGCUUCACUUCUUCAAGCUCUACCCCUUAUUUCAAACUAAAGCACUAACACACCUUCUAUUAUUUAGUAAAGCAACCUUUAAUGCUAGGCGCUCCCUUUUUUUUUCUAGAUGGAAGCUAGCGACAGGGUUAUAGAACAUGCAAAGCGAUAGAUUCUAUGAGACUCUUCCUGAAUGGGAACCCGUGAAGGAAAAUUGCGAAGCUUCGCCGCCAUCGGAGAACCCUCAACCAUCAACCUCUCCAAAGAAAGGGCAACUCUUAAGAUCUACGACCACCCUCUCCUCUUCUUCAAAAAGCGACGAAGGUAUCCAAAAUCAGAUGACAAAUCCGAUCGACGGUCCUAGUCAACAGCAUAAGGACUUUCUUCAAAGCGAAGGAGAGGAAUGUGCUUCCAGACAUGCCAAGCUCCACAUAUUCUUGUACAGUCAAAGGACGAUCGAUUUCGUAAAAGAUGAGAUCAAUAAAUAGAAAUUCACUGAAAAUGGAUAUUUGUGAGAUCGUCAAUAUUGUACCGAGGAUGUCUUUAGAGUAUACUCAAUCAAUAUAACUAUCCUUCUUCUACCAUAGCAACACAAUUUCAAAAACUACAGCAUUUGAAUAGCUUGUAUUCAGGUGGACAAGAACUACAACACUUCUCUCAGAAACAUGUAUGUUCUUUCUUCAACUCUUACUCUAUUGCCUGGAGUUGCAAUACCUUCCAUGAUUAGUCAUCUCUUAUUUAUUCUCAUGGAGAAACAGGUUUUGGUGUAUGCAGAGACAAUAUACAAUUGUCGCACCUCUUGAUUUUUAAUCGUGUCAGACAUCUGGAAUUGUCAAGCUGAUUUAUGGCUAACCUUGCAAGGACAUCUAGUGCAAGAGAUUCAGAAUUAUACCUAUCUAAUCCAUCUCCAUUUCUUUAGAACAACUAGAUACUAUGGCCGAAAUCUCACGUAAGGUGUCAGGUUCAUGUUGGGGUUCAUUCACGAGAUUAAAAUGAAUAUAGCAAGGGAUGUUCUUGAUCUACCACCACCCAUGUUGUCAAGUUGUUCAAUGCCACUACAAGAAAAAAGGUCAUUAUUGACAUAUAUCAUCUUGACUUAAGAUAAUAUAUGUGAAGAUUGUCUAUUUAAAUGAACAAUUAUGACAUAUACAAUUUAGUUUAAAUCAACAAUGACAUAUAUAAUAGUUAUUGCAUUUUUCCAUGACUUAUGAUGAUGCAACCAUGACAAAUAAUUUAUAAGUCAAUCUAUAAUUAAUAUGUUCAUAUGUCAAGGUACCAAAAUGAAAGCAAUAAUGACAUAUAUAUUAUUUGCUAAAUUUUUCUUGGUUUAAUGAUAUGCAAUCUUGACUAAAAAUUCAUUAGUCAAAGUAUAGUUAAUCUUUUCUAUCUAAAUAAAAGUAAUAAUGACAUACAUGCAUUUGCUAAAUUUUUAUAUGGUUUAUAAUGACACAACCUUAAUAGAAAUUUAUAAGUUAAUAAAUAUUUAAUAAAUUAAUAUUUUAAGAUUAGAAUAUUUGGUACUGUCACUUUAUCAUAUAUUUUGUAAGUGAAAAUAAGCCUAUUUUAUUUUAAUUUAUUAAGGCUGAGUUAUUGAAAAACAAAAUCCUAAUUUAAGGAAAUUUUAUCAAAUUUUGGUAGUUUUUACAAGCAUAUUCAUUAUUAUUUUGAAUAGAAAUUUGUGAUUAAAAAGGAUAAGAUAAUGUUUCCAUUUAAAAAAGAAUAUCAAUAUAUUGAAAACUAUUCCUAUAAUCUUAUUUUAAUAUUUUGGAUAAGGCACUAAGUUAUGUCUCUAUAUUUCUAAUUGUUGGAAUUAAAAUAUAUUGCCACUAACUUGGGUCGAGGUCUCACAAGUAUUAGGUAAUUAAAUUAUUAUUUGUGUUUAAUUAGACAUUAAAUCUACUAAGAAUAACUUAAUUAGUAUUUAGGUAUUAUAACUAAUUGUAGACCACAAAAUCAAUCCAUAGACACAUUUCUUUUAAAAUAUUUUAAGCCCAUUUUAUUUAGUUUGGGCCCAUUACAUUUAUGCUUUUGCCUGAUGAUUUGUGCCCAAUUGGUGUCUCAGCUGAUUUGUGUCCAGUUGGUGCUCCUUGAUUGAGGGAGUAAUCAACAAAAUUUAUAACCUAUUACACCAUGAACUAGGGUAGCAAAGACAAAGCUACUAUAACAUAGUGGCUCUAGGAUCGUUCACUGGGAUGGGUUUUCACUUUGCAAAUGAUAUUAAUUCAAAGCUGAAUUGGUGCCUUUUCAUUUCAAGGUUAGCUUUAAAAGAAAACAUAAAGAUGUUUGAAUGAAAAAAAAAGGUUUGGUUUUAAACUAACCAAAAAUAGUAACUGAUUUUACUUACAAAGAAAAGUGUUUCUUGGAGUUUAGAUCACUAGGCUCAGGUUCAUCAUACAAAAAGGAGAGUUCUGGUCACUUGUUUCUUUUCCUCGCAUUAGAGAAUUAACAUAUAGUUAAUUCUCUAACCGGUGUGGUACAGAUGCUUCCCCUUAAUGGGUUCAAACAAUAAAUCCCUCUCACUGAUGCACCUUGUAAUGGCUCGUGCCUCUCACCUAGCAUUUGCCAUUUAAGGUGAUCUUUAACCUUGGAUUACCCGUCAAAAGCUCGCAAGAGAUAACUAAUGGAUGUCUCCUUGGAGUCCAAAAGCUUACCAAGUGUUGGCAAUUCUAGAAAAUCCUACCUUCAAGUCACCUCCCAGAGGCUCGCAAGGGGUAAACUAGUGAAUCUCCAUGGACGGAGAUCACUUGCCUUACCAAGUGUUGGCCCAGGUGAUUUAAAGGCGUUUUAAGUUAACUAAAAAGAUAAAAACCAUUAACGGGUUACACUUUCUCUUCAUUAAAAACUAAAACAACAAAACUUCCAAUUUUUGCAUGAGAAAACUUACCCGGCUUUCUUCACUCCAAGAGACGAAGAGCCUAGCCUCUCAUCCUCUAAGGAAAAAUCCUCAGAGUUUGAUUGGCUAGAAAGAAAACUAACGAGAAAACAAAAAUAUCAAAAAGAAAUAGAGCAAGUGCUCUGUUCGUCGAUUACAUAUAUGAUAUAUCUAUAUUUUACAAUGGAUGCAAGGGAAUAUAUAUAGAGAAGUUUUUCCAACCUUCCUAGCUAAGAAAUCUUAUGGUUGGUGGAUUACAAGGAGAAGAAUGGAAAUUUAUACAAAAAUAUCUGAAGAAAAGAUCUAAAAGAGUCGGUGCACAAAUAUCCCAGUUCGCAUGUAGAUUUCGCACGUUGCAUGGUGACUUGCGAAAAUCUCGCAAGUUGAUUUCGCAACUUGGAAUCCAUUUUCGCACGUUGAGCUCCAAGUUCGCAAGUUGCAAAAUCACUUUCGCAAGUUGGGCUUCUCUAUGACUGUGCGGCUGUAUUCCAUUUCCAUUUCGCAAGGUAGGCUUUAAUUUCGCACGUUGGAGUUCCAAAUUCGCAAGAUGCGAAUUUGUCCUUUAGAUGGAUGCAGUUGUCUUGUGAAGGCCAUAUCUUCCUCAUUUCAGCUUCAAUUCGUACACCGUUUGAAGCGUUGGAUUCUUGACUUCCUGAGCUUUGAAAUGGUAUAUAGCAUGUAGAAAAUGGACUUUGGUUAGUGCUCCAAAAGUGCGAAAGAAGACUGCAGCUGCUGUCCUCUAUUUUCUUCACUCUGUUUUUCCUCUCUCCGUUGUUCUUUCCUUGCAUACUUUGAACGACUUUGGAAAAGGGCUAUGGAGCUCCAGAGCUUGGUUCUUCAUUAAUUUGAGCUUCCAAAAUCUUUGUCAUGAACUAUAUACAGCUCUCCUUCAUUCUUGGAUUGCUUUGGUGUAGCUAAAAGCUAUCAAAAACACCAAAACUUAACACAAUUUGAUUAGAAACGAUUGCAAGGGUCCUUAACAUGUCAAUUGAGUUAAAAGGUAAUAAUUACUACUCAAAAGUGUUUAAAAGAGUUAAUUACAAGCUAUCAAAUAAAACACUUUUUGAGUAGUAAUCACCUGAGCCAUAAAAAAAGCUUGAUAAAUAAGUUUUUUGUUUUUCCUUUCUAUUCCAUUUCCUUCCACUUACAGCCGCCCCAUCUUCCCCAUCUUCCUUUUUCUCUUCUUUUCCUAUUUUUUUUCUUCUUUCUUCUUUCUUUUUUCAUCCUCUCAUCCUCAUAUUCAUGGUAGCCUCUACGCCACCACCUCCAUCUCCUGUGUUGUUACCAUCCAUGAGUCCCACACCCACCAUGCCACCAUCUUUAUAUUCCCCCAUGGCUAUUGUUCCCAUGUUCACUACGACUCAAACGUGCUUCCCGAUGUUUCGCCAUAACCCCGAUGUGAUUCUUGAUGUUCCAUCACCAUCAUAGCCACCAUUGUUGCAGCCCACAGCCUUGGUACCUCCUGCACUACCCAUUGAAUUUUGUUGGACUGACAUCAACACCACCAUCUCCAUGGUUGGGACUUCGUUCUUCAUCUUAGGGCUUCAAGAGACGUAGGUAAGUUUCCUUGGAUCUCUACAAUACUUGUUGAGGUAGUUUUAAUUUAAUUUUUAUAUGGGCUUGGGUCUCAUUUUCUUUAUGAUUGGGCUUCAAAUAUUUGGUGCAUGGGUUUGAUGUUAUAAUAUUUUAUUACUUGGGCCUUGUGUUUCAUUUGGUUGAGCCCAAUAAUAAGAGUAUCAGGCACACAUAAGCAGGUUGGUUCUUUGAGAGCCUUGGAGUUUUGUUGAACCUUAGGAUUGUUGAGGUCAUGCUUCACCAUUGAUUGGGCUUCAAGCAAGAGAUAAGUAUGGAUGAGGCUUCAUCCUGGAGGAUAUGUGAGUUUGAAUAUCCACCGUGUUUUACAUUGAAUCUAGAAUCACAAAAUCAAUUCAAUUACAAUUGAUGAUAUUAAAGGUCAAUAGGUGUAUUUAUUUUAUUUUUGUGAUAUUGAAGGUUAGUAUAUUUACUGUCCUAUGAAAAAAUCUUUUAAUUUUUUGGUAUUUGUUACUUAAUUUUGUGUUUAUUCUACUAGGUAUCUAAGAAAUACAUCAAGAAGAAGACAAUGAUGCAGAAACAAAGAUCACCUCUUAUGAAGAUAAUGUUGUACUUUUCAAUUUAAUUUUGUAUAUUAUUUUAAUUGAAUGUUUUUAGCUAGGUUUUGUUUGUAUAUAGAAAAUAGAGAGGUACUUGAAAAACACUUAUGGAAUUGUUGUUCUUAAUAUUUAAUGUAUAUGUAAUGAUUUUUUUUCUUAAAUAGUAAUUUAUUUAAAUUAUUUUCGGGACUUGAUUGUGAUUAGCAUAAUUAAAAAUACACCAAAUUUAAUUUUGAGAUAGGUUUCAUAUGGUAUAUAACAUGUUCAUUUUCCAUUAAAAAAUAAAAAUUAUAAGAAAAUAAUAUUAAAUUUUUCAUAAGUUAUAUUGACAUAUGGCUCAUGCCCAAUAUUGACAUGUGCAGUGGCAACUAUGACAUAUGUGAUACCAAACAUUGACAUAUAUAAAACAAUUAUGAUAUAUAUAAAAUCUAACCUUGACAUAUAUAUUUAGAAAUCUUGACAUAUGUGGGAUUAAUCAUGACAUAUAUGACGUCUGACCUUGACACUUGUUGGAGUAACCUUAACAAAAGAGUAAGUUAACCUUGACAUAAGAUCAAGUAAUCUUGUCAUUUGUUAAAUUCAACAUUGACAGAAGUAAAAGAAACAUUGAUAGAUAUCAUACUAUUAAGAUUUCAUCAUUAGUAGAAAUAGAGAAAUCUUGACAUAUGUAUAUGUCAAGCUAGCUUUAAAAUUUUCUUGACACUAGCAUAGAUGACAUAUACAAAUAGUAACCUAUCUUGAUAGAUAUAUCUUAUCUUAACGGCAAAAAACUGUCAACAAUGGCCUUUUUUCUUGUAGUGUGCUCUCGUGUUGACCAUGGCCACAGUCACAGUUGUGUGUCCUUUCCCGAAAGAAAUAGUCAUUUUGAAACUUUUAUCAACAACAGAACUUUCAUGUAUCUACUUUCAGGUACCCACAAAAAAUUGAGUCCAACUUAGCAUCCAAUAAAGAAAAAGUAAUAAUCUAAACAAGGGAACAAGUGUUUUCCUUACUCUUUUUCAGUAGAAACCUAGUUUAUUUCCAAUAAAUUGAAGAAGAAACUAAUUCUAAACAUGGAAGACAAGUACUUGAUUUCUGUUUAACUAGUGGAAUAUUCGAACGUAUUUACAGCUUUAGCAUUAGAAAAUUUUAACAAAAUCACUAAUUAACCCCCAAACCCCCACCCACCACAGAGAUAUGUUACAAAGAUUCCUCUACUCUACAUUGCAGCAAAGUGUAAGGGGUUUUGUCCUUUCUUCAUCGUAAAAUGAAACAACCCUUUUCAAUAAAAGAAUAAGAGAAAUUGAGAGUUAAGACCAUUUUCUUUCAUUGUACUAUCGAUUCCUCUGCUUCUUCCUCUCUUAGUUAAGCCAAAUAGUCUGUGGUUUCUCCGUUUUUUCUUCACUCCACAUCAAAAAGUAGCAUCUUAGGUUCUCCCAUCUCUCUAUCCCUUGUCAAAACACAUAAUUUAAUGUAUUGAUGUCUUGGAUUCCUCCUAGUUAAAAGGAAGCUUGAAAUAUCUCCACUGCUUCUAUGUUUCUUUGAGUCAAGGGAUAGAGUCUUGUUUUUCUUUCUUUGUUUAUUUGAGAUGCUAGAAGAGGUGUGUAUAGAACUAAUGUGAUGUCAGAGAGGUAUGUAGUAUCUGAAUUCCCUUUAGUCAUGCAAAGUAGCCUUAGAGAUUUUUGGAGGCUUGGGUAUUACAGUAUAUUAAGAUAUUCAAAAUGCAUUAUUACACAUCUUCUUGACUUCCGACAACUCAACUUGUUUUUCACAAUCAUAAAUAUGGAGGUAUUUAAUUAUGGCAGGUGAUAUGCCUCUCAGAAAUUGAUGUGAAAAGGUGGAGAUUAAGGGAUGUGCACUUGGUUUUGCGAAUCAAACAACCCUCAUUUAGUAUAAACCACAAAUUUUGGCAACUCAUGAUCCAUAAUUUUGAGCAUGGGAGGAAGCAGGCCUGUUGGAAAGAUAGGAGGAGACAGUUAAAAGCAUGCGAGAAUUCCAUGGAUGAGUUGCUCUUAUGAAUUAUUCAGAAUCCAUGAGAAACUUCAAAGCUUUUUCUUCUUUUUUUUAUCUUUUUUUUUUUCCUUUACAUAGUUAAUCAUCUUGUUUGAUGUUUGCCCUAUAGUUGGUCUACUGAUGGUAGGCUUCCUUUGGGUGGAAGUAAGGACUCUACACUAAAGGUAAAUUGUGGGAACUAUGUCUUUUUGUGGUAUUGAUGGGGUUAUCAUAUAGUUUUUUUUUUUUUUUUGAUAAGUUAAGGGGAAUAUGGGGUUAUCAUAUAGUUGAUUGAUUCUAUGGCUUCCUUAUAGCUUUUCAAGGCUCUAAAAAAAGAAAAGAACAAAGGUAGACCUAGGAAAAAUAUUCUUCCUGAUUUCAGUUACUCUUUCUAUAUGAACUCUUUAUUUUGGUAAAUUACAGUUAGAGAUGAUCAUAUAGUUGAACUAGGUUUGCUUCCUCUCCUUUCCCUUUCCUUCCCCUUGAGGAAAUUUUUUAUCAUUGCUUAGUUUUGACUACUCUGUUUCUUUUGAUCAUUGUGGAAUAGCAUCAUUAUAAGAUGUACAAGAAACAUGUUGUGGUGCAUUAUUCCUUUCUCUACCACCCAAAAUCUACUUUCCACAAUCAUAAAUAUCGAAGUGUUUAAGCAUUAGGUAAGACAUCUCUUGAUAAUGAUGUGAGAGAUAUAGACAAGUAAUGUUACUAAAUAACAAGAAUAUGUAUAUAAAAAAAAAAUAACAGAAUAAGAAUACACAUAUUUAUGUGGAAAACCUUAGACUGGAAAAACCACGGGUAGAGGAGAAAAAAAUUCAUUAUAUUAAAAAAUUGAUACAAAAGGGGAGAGAUGCGAGCGACUACUUUAUAAGCAUAGACAACAUAGCCCUAAUAUUAUACAUAAUUGCAAAUAUAUAUAUAUAGUGUGUGUGUGUGUGUGUGUAUGCGUGUGUGUGUGUGUGUGUGUAGGAGAGUAAUAAACAUCAUAACCCUAAAUUCUAUUGGCCCGAUCCCUCCGCUACCACCACAGACUCUCCAAAAAUCUCACAAAUUUUUCUUCACCACAUAUGUCGUAUCACGAGCUUUUUGGGUAAGACUAAAUAGAAUUCGAGUUACCAAACUCUAACAAACAACAUACCAGUAUUCACAAGAAGUGAUGUUCUGCUUUUUCACUUUACAACAUUCAUUUAGUUUGAACUUUAGAUUCAAGCAACUCAAAAUCUCCGCCUUCAUUAGGAUUGUAGGAAGCUAGCUUCUUGGAAAGACAUGAAAAUGGGGCAUUUAGAAAUAUGGAAGAAUCCCAAAGGCCAGUUGCUACUUUUGAAUCAUUCCAAUCAAUAACAACUCCAAAGAUAUAUACAAAUUUGUUCUGGGAAAGAGAUGUUUCCUGGGCAUGUAACCAUCUCUUUAAUAGACUCAGGGUUGUGCACCCUCUUAGUGAUUUCUUAUAUAUUGUAGUGAACCUAUCACACCCCAAACCCACUCCAAGGGCAUUACGGUCAUUUCACACGUCAAGCCCAAAGGUUCAAAGUAGAAACGAUACAAACAGUCGUAUUGUAACUGAAAAUUUACCAAUUACCAAAUUCCUAUUCAGAGUAGUAGGACAAAAUUCUAAAAUUUCUAAGUAUCAACUUAAAAAAAAAAAAAAAAAAAAAACUAAUAUAUCAACCAAAGUUUUAUUGUCCAAAUAACUCCAAACUCAAAAUAAUUCAAACGAGAAUUAAAUUUUAACAUUUAAACAAUGUCCAAAAUAAAAAGAGUUUAAACAAAUAUCCUAUUAAAGCCAAAUUUCCCUCCUAACGAUCACUCAUCGCUCGAACUGAGGUUACAUGAAAGAUUAUCAACAAAGGGGGAUGAGCUCAAAGCCCAAUAAGAAAUAUUAAUACAGUUUCAUGGAUCAAACAUUUUCAAUCAUCCUUGCAAAUAGGAAAUAUAACAUAUACUUAUUUCAUAAAAAACUUUUGAGUUCAAAAUGCUAAUACAUUCAAACUUUUCAACAAAACUUUCUCAUAUUCAUUUCAAAACCAAAUUAAAUACAUUCAAAAUAUCUUUACUCAGGUUAUCAAAUGACAAAUAGUGCCCAAUUAGGUGGGACUUCACAAUUGAGCAACUAGUUUCAAAUUUUUUCCAUUUAAGGUGAACAAAACCAAAUGUCAACAAUUAUAACUUGUUGACUAGGGUCAUAUAAUCUAAAGUCAAACACUUUAUUUCAUUAAUUCAAACUUACAAAACAAAACAUCGUAUCUCUUCAAUUUUUCAUUUUUCAUAAACAAAUAAAAUGCUCAAAUAUACUUUUCAUACAAAACAUAUAUUUGAUCCACGCGUAAAGAUAAAAAUAAUAUUUUUACACAUUUCAAAAUACAAUAUAAAAAGAAAAUUAUUUUCUUUUACAAAAAUCUGCAUUAAUUUCCCUCACCUCAAAUAAGUACUCAAAAACCUUGAAGUAUUUAACCCCGAAGAAUUUCGUCUCAAAGAAUCUAUUUCAAACCUAACAAAAACAAAAAGACAACUAUUACUAUUAACUAUUUAUCUAAAUUUAUAGGUUUGGGAACCCUAAUAAUUUUCUAUAUUAUGUCACCUAUUAUUUUUAGUAGGAAUUUUCUUAACUAAGUCGACAUACUUUUACAAGCUCUUCUUAAGCUUUGAGUGGUUCAUAGUUUUUCCUGUAUUUAGUUUUACAUAAUUUUGGUGAAAAGUGCAUGAGGAAGAACCAUAUAAAACCACAACUCACUUUUGGAUGCUGAAUCUACAAAAUAUAAAUUGAAAAAAAUAACGUAUUAGGAUAGGAUAAAUAAUAAUUUAGAAAACAACUCCACAAAUGAAAUAUUAAGUAAAUGCAAAUUUAAUAUUUUAAAAGCUUAAUAAACUCAAUUAAAGAUAUAACCACAUGAUAUACAAACUUGGGGAAACUUAUGACUACCACUAAUUUCAGAUGUCUAAAAUUUAUAUAUAUCUUAGACAACAUUUUGAUAUGUAAACUAAUACGUAAAUUUUUUUAAUUUUAAAAAGAAAAUUUGGCAGCCAAGCUAGAAAUUUAGCAUAUUCAUAUAAUAUAAAGAAAAAUAAAUUAACUAGAUGCCUUAAUGCAUUGCUCUAUCACACUAUUUAAUAGGAUUUAGAUACUACAUAUUCAAUGUUGUCUAAAAAGUCAACAUAAAUAAUAUAAGAGGGAAAUAACAUUUUGCCUUACACAAUUAAUCCUACUAAAAGUUUGUUUUGUUAAGUCACUCAUCUAAUACCAUAUUUCAAGAUGAAUUAUUUGAGCUAAUUUUCUCAAGGAAAUAAUUACUUUGGUGAUAGCUACAUAUUAGCUUAUUUUUAUGAUAUGAUGUAUCAAUUAAUAAUUGUCUUCAUUCACCAAGAUAUUGACAACGAUUUCAAUAUAUUGGUCGAUAUUAUCCAUGUUUAUUUUAUUGAAUGUCAAAUCAAUACCUUAUAAACUAAACAACAAAACAAUUAAUAAGUGUAAAAAGAAUUGAUAUUGGGAAAUCCAAGCCUAGGAAGUUUAAGGGGAAGUGAAGUAAAAUAGCCUUGACAAAGAAAAAAAUUCAAAGAAAUUGGUAUAAUAUAGCCAUGUCCCUCUACUUAGAUUUUCAAGACCUAGAAAUAUGGUUAGCUCCUGUAAAAAUUUUCAUUUCCAUGCUCUUUUAUAACACUUUCCCUUCGAUGUGACUAUUUCAAUAUCCUUUAUUUUAAAAAAAUAUUUUUACUUAAUAAGUGAAAAGAAUGGGGUAUUGUCUGUUUUACUUUGCUUAGUUCAAUGUUCAUUCCCAAGAAGUGCUUAUUCUUUAUACUCAAUAUCCUCACUAUGAAUUAGUUCUACUCCAGAAAUUACUUAAUGGUUGUAAUAUUUCAGGCGCACUUCUACCUAUCACUUUUAGCAAAUGUGAUUUGCUAGAGUAAUGUACUUAAAAGCCUACUGCAUCACUCAAGAAGAAUACCCAAACAAACCAACAUAGUCAUAAGGCACCAUAACAAGACAUACAGUAAUUAGUAACUUCGAUGAAAGAGAGGUUUUGUCUUUAUUUUAGUAACUUUGGCAUAGUUGAUGUUUGAAAAUGCUGAGGGAAUGCAUCCCUUCUGGCAGUGAUUUCAAUUGGGGGCAUUCAGAAAUCUAGCCUUUCCCUAAUAUCCUUCAUUCUAUGAUUCAUCCAGACCAAAAAAGCACCCAGCAUGUCUGUCUUUCUCCACAAGUCCUCCGUUGCUAAGUCAUCAACAUACUAUAAAACAUCUUUAAGCUUCUGUACCCAAGUUGUUACUGUUGCUCCUCUUCAGCAUCAGCAAGUACAAAUUUGAAAGAGGACAGUGUGUCCUUAUGCUUCAUAAACUCCUCUUGAACCAUACAUCUCUACAAAAACAAAAUACCCUAACCUCAUCAAAAGAUUGUCAACAAUAUUACUGAAUGAAAUUUGUUCAGCCAUCUUUCAAAGGUCUAAGGGAAAAUGAAAGGAGUUUUAGCAACAGAAAAAAAUGAGAAAAGCCAAGUGAGGACUGAAGGGUCUGAAUAAACUUGGGUGUGUUUGCUCUGUUCAAUUCAAGUGGGAUUAAUUACUUGACCCUCAUGAUUGACCUACCUACCAUAUUUUUCAUUUUUUUUUCUUAUUAAAAUUUUCAGACAAAUAAAAUUACUUGAAAAUUACUGGAUAUUACUUAUUAUUUAAAAAUUAAAAUAAAAAUUGCUAACCUUCUUGUAAUAUAAUUAGUAAACAUAUUUUCGUUUUAUAAGUUAUAAUCAAACCGGUUUAUAUAUCCUAUUUUUAAAAAUAACAAAGACAGAAAAUUGUCUGAAAAUGUGAAUCUCAAUAAUGAACUACACCUAGAGGGGGGUGAAUAGGUGUUGUAGAACAAUUUAAAAAAUCCUUCCAACAAAAAUUACCUAACCUUAGACUAUCUUAAUGUCAAGAAUUUUUUCUUCUAAUAACUUUUCAACAAAGCAAAACAUCCACAAGCAAUAAUGUAUGCAUCAACACUCUCCCAACAAUUUAUAAGUGCAAAACACAUGCAAAUGCUUCAACACUUCUCAAAAAUAAAUCAAAAUAUAGAGUGAGAGAAAGAGACAAUGAACACCGGAUUUUUAACGUGGAAAUCCUCCGAAGAGAUCAAAAACCACGGGCCUAUCACCGAUUGAAAACUCCACUAUGAAGAAUAAAAACUGAGUACAAGGUUUUACCUAGCUCAAGCCAACCAAUCCUUCCCGGAAUACUUGACUAGUACCUUCAUUUUCAGCUUCCCCUUUUGGAGCAUACUUGGAGUCCGCACCAAGCUCAAUCUCGGCCUCUUCUUGAAUCCACACAAGAAGAAAAUGGGUUUUUGCACAACCCAAAUAGAAUGAGAGAUUUAGAUGUGAAUGAAAGAAUGAAUCAACCCAUUUAUUGCUCAAGAAAAUCCAUUGAAAACUAGUUUUGAAAACAUUAAGAGAAGUGGAUUUUCUUUGCAAUCAAAAACCCCAACUUAGGAAAGCAAAAAUGAGAAAUGAAGAACACUUGGAGUGUGGCUGCUCUAACCCAUUUUCUGCAGUCUCUCAUUUUAGAAAAUGAGAGAAGAUUGGUUUUUAAAGUGUAAAAAGAAACCCUUAAUCUAAUGGCUGAGAUUUGAUCAAAAAAACAUUAGUUGGAUAGAUCCACCCCUACACUUGGAUCGAUCCAGAAACAGAGGAAUGAAAGCCUUGCACCAAAAACCAUUUUUCCCAACUUUCUAACACAUUUAAAGAUUAAAAACCGGGUUGAUUCACACCCAAUCACUCCACACUCGACUACAUACCUCGGCCUCUUAGCAAAGUCUUAGUCUUCAAAGUCAAGUAGUCCGAAUAGGAAUAGGAAAGCCGAGUUAGGGGACACUUAGGAAUUUUGUCUGGAAUUGCCAACCUAGCUAAACACUCACAUUGUCCAUUGAGCACCUAAAUAUUUUAAACUCAUUAUAAUAAAAAAAAAUGUCCAAAAUAUUUAUUAAAAAAACUAAUUUAAUUUUAUAAUCAUUUUUCAACCCAUAAAUUAUCAAAAAAUAAACUAAAAUCUUUAUCAAGGUUUUUCUAAGUAGAAUUUAAAAAAUGAGAAAUUAAUAUUUUGAACUCCUUAAAAUCAUUAAAUUAAAAUUUUAAAAAAUAAAAUCUGUUUGAUUGUAUUAGAAUCGACAAUAGAAAUGCAAACAUGAGUUUAUAGCUCUUAACAUAUUAGAUUAUGAAACUAAAUGUAUUUUAGAUAGUGGAGUUAGUUCAUACAACAGAAAGGAUGAGGUAUCCAAGAUGUCAAAUAAGGUUGGGGUUGAAGGAAGUGAAGGGAAAUUACCAUAGAUGUGAAAUAAAAAAGGUUGUGAUCCCAUAAGACAUCACUUGACAAUAUCCAAGAAAAUGAAUGACAAAAUAUCAGAAUAUCAACAAGCAGAUUGCAUACUUUAUAUCAAGGUACUUAAUUGUUAUGAUGCAAGCAUUUGAAAUUUUUUUGGUGCAAGAGCUCAAACAUUUCCUAAUAGAUCAUACCGGUGGGUUGAUGCUAGAGAUGUUGUCAAUGCACACAUUCAAGCAUAUGAGAUCCCAAAGCCAGUGGAAGAUAAUGCUUAGUAGAGAGGGAUUUACACUAUUCCGAGACACUGAAGAUUUUGCACAAGCUCUACCCUAAUUUACCCCUGCCCAAAAAGUAAGUUUCUAUUAGUUAUUGGUAGUAUUCGUUUGUGACAUCAUUAGAGUACUUGCCAUUUAAUCUUCUUUUUUUAAUCGUUUGUAAUAUUGUUUGUUGUAAUAGUAGAAUGAUUGUUUCUAUCCAUUAGAUGUAAAUAUGGUGAGACAAACCAUAUUUAAAACCCUACAUGCCUCGUAUUAAUAAUUUAUUUUUUCUCUUUGUAUUAAUGCAUCAAUAAAUGGUAUUGAAGAAAUUACUUUUACAACAAAGGUUACAAGAUUAUAAGUAGGAUCACUUUGAUACAAUGAUGGGAUAAAAGAAAUAGAUGGGUUUAUUGAAUGCAAACCUCCAUACAUAAAUGAUAGAGACUUAACUUGUUCAAUAUAAGUUCCUUGAUGUAAAAUAUCAAUUUUUUUCCAAAGUCUUUAUGGCUAUUGGCCUUUCCAUGGAAUACCAAAGAAAAAAAAAAAAGAAAAACCCUCCUUACCUGAGCAUUCAUUUGAACCUUGUUUCGAAGAAAAAAGUUUUAUUAAUCCAAACCCUUUUGAUUUAUAUAUGACAUGGGACUAUGAAGAGUUUUAAAACAACUCAAAGAUAACAAUAAAAAUUGAGGUUAAAUAGUGAAAACUACAUUAGAUUCCAAUAAUAGUUUUAUGAUAUAAUGUUUCAUUGGCAGGUUUCAUAAAAAAAUGAAGUAUUCUAUGAAUACGACUUUCGAUGCCAAAUUUUGAAUUUUCUAAUUCCUUAGUUUAGUGGUGGGUCUCGUAAAAAUUGAAAGUUGUGGAAAAGUAGAAUAUGGACACAAUUUUUUACUUAAUGAGUAGAUUUUACAACACCUUCAAGUAAUUACCCUGAAAAUGAUAGGUCAUUGCAUUGAAAAUGUAUUAAAUUUAAUUGAGAGAUUAUUUAUAAAAAUAUCAUCAUUUUUUAAAAGAAUAAUAUGAUCUUACCAUCGUCUCCAGUUGGAAAGCAAUUUAUGGUGGUGCUAGAUUUUUCUUAAUAUAUUCUUGUUCCUUUUUCUUUUACUUUUUUUUUUCUUUUUUUGGUGCAUAUUGUAAGGUUUCAAGUUCCUUUAGAAAUAUGAACAAUGAUGAAUGAAGAGUUAGAAAUUUUGGAACAUUAAGUACAUAGUUAAAGCCAUGUUUAGAUAGUUGAAAUUCCUUUAAAAAAAAAUACAAAAAAGAAAAAAUGAAAGAAGUUCAAAUUUUAUUUGAUUAUCUUAAAAAUAUCAAAGAAAUUACAAAUAAUGAAAAUUGUUUAGAUUUUAUGUACUUUCUAAUAUUUACUCUUUAUAGACAAAAAAACAAAUAAAUUUUUUUUAGGUUCUGAAAAUCAUUAAACUUAAGCUUAAUAUUUAUUUUUCUUGAUUUUUAGUGUCUUUCUUAAUUUUCCUUUAUAAUGUUUCCCACUUAAUCCAAAACUUUCUAAGGUCUAAAUUUCACGGCGUUUCAUCUUCUUUUUAAUUAAGAAGUUUUGAAUUUUUCAAUUCAAAUUCCAAAAUAGGGUAAUAAAACUUUAAAAUUAAUAUAACAUCUUAGACGAAUUUGGUUGAUUUGGUAAUCAACUCGAACCAAACUUGAAUUAAGAAACAUUCAACCCUAACUAACCAGAUAUAGCCUCAAAUAUGAGGUGUUUAAUUCAAACUCAACUUAUUUCUAUAUAUUAAAGUUAGGCUUAAAUUGACUCAGGUAUACUCGUAGUUGAGUUGUUUAAGUUGUAUGAUCAAAGCUAAGUUUUGUAAGAUUGAAUUAGGGUGAACUCGUUCAUAAUGUUUUUUUUUUUUUUUAACUUCUUUUAUAUCAUAAUUUAAAUAGAAAAUAGGACAACAUUUAAACAUUAUUAAAAAAAAUGAGAAUGAAUUUAUGUAUCUUUCUAACAAAAAUGAAAUAAUAUAAUUAAAAUUUAAUAUUUUUCUUUAAAUACUAAAAAACAUAAAAUAGAUAUUAUUAUAUAAAAUAAAAUAAAUUACAAAUAUUAUAAAAAUAUAAAAUUAGGUUAUAUAUGUAUGUAUGUAUAAAAUAGUAGUGUGACUGAGUGUUUGCUACUUGUAAAAAGUAUUUUUGCUCUUUUUUUAAUUGAAAUUAAUAAAAAGAAAAAGAAAUAAAAUGUUUUCAAAAAUAUUAAAUGCAUAACUAAAAUUAUGCUAAUGAAGUUUUUUGUUCUUUGUAAUUUAAAGUUGUCUCAUUCAUAUUUUAAGGUAAACUAAUAGAACAUUAAACUCCCAAUAUUUUAUCCAUCUAGAAUUUAUCACCAUUUUAUUUUAUAUCAUAUCAUAAUUAUAUUAAUUAGUGCCUUCAAGAAAAAAAAAAUUAUUUAUAUGUUAGACAACAUGGAAAAGAUAUAUUUUUUUAAUGCUUAUUAAUAAUUUUUAUUUCAAAUUUUAAAACAUGAACAUAUAAAUUUUAACAAUUAUGAAAUAUUAGUCUAAAUAUCUUUUAAUAUUUGGUUAUGUUUGCAAAGUGUUUUUAAUAAGAAUUAUGAAAAAAAAUUUUGAGAGUAAUUUAUGAAAAUAUUUUUUUAAAAAAAAUAUGUUUUAAAAAUAACUUUAUCUUAUAUAUAGUUGUGGACCCCGCAUUUCGGCUUAUGAGUUUUCUACUCGAUGGCAAGCUCGAUUUUAAUUUGAAAAAUGAUUUUUAUUGAUUAAGAAAAUGACUUGGAGUCGCCACUUAUUUUUGUUUUAUUUUUAAAAGGAUAAACAAAAUAAGAAAGAAAACCCUAAGUGCGACUCCUUAUUUUGGAAAAGGUGAUCUACGAAAAACUGGAUCAGACUCGGGGGUCAGGUUGCUUAUCGAGAAGGUACGGUAAAGACCGUAGCACCCCUCUAAGUCCCUAAAGUCGGGUCUCUACUAAUAAAAUGAAGCUGACAUGGCAAUCAAUAGGAAAAUCAAUGGAUACUCAAAUCGAUUAGGUGCAUAUGGGAAUCGAAACAUGCAAUAAAGAAUGACCAGAAUAGGAGUGGAUGCGUACCUGGACCACGAACGAAUAAUGCGCUAUCAUAGAAAUAGAGUCAGUGCACAAUAUAGAGCCCGAAACACAUCACAUGCAUCACUAAGCAGGGAUUAAAAUUGGUAGAAGGAAAACUCGAUUUUUGAAAUUCAUUUGAGAAUCGAAAUCUUAGCGAUCAUUUGAAAAUUGGAGUUUUGGAGAUUAUUUGAAAAUUGAAUUCUUAGGAAUUGAAUGUAAGAAUGAGAAUUUUAGAAAUUAAAUUUGAAAGAAAAUUGGGAUUUUGAGGAAUUAUUUAAAAGUUCGGGAUUUUUUUAAGAGAAAUUGAGUUUACGAAAAUUGGGACUUUGGGAGUUGAAUUUUGAAAGGGAUCAGAGUUGUGAGUUAUUUGAGAAGUAGAAAUUAUGAAAGUUGAUUUAUAAAAAUUGGAAAUCUUGAAAAUCAUUUGAAGGCGGACCUUUUAGAAACGAAUGAAUAAAAUGAUAACAAUAAUAGUGAUAACAAUAAGUGAGUAACCGGAUAAAUACGAUAAUUGGAAUAUUGAGAAGUGAAAAUUAAGUUCGGAGAUAGGACAAUUGGAAUUUCGGAUGACUAAAUUUAGAAAUCGGAAUUUUGAAGAAUUAGACUUUAAUGGUUGAGAUCUUUAAGAGGAAUAAAUAGGUAAGUAUAGAAUAAUGUAUCUAAUUAACGGAAGCAAAAUUUUAAACGAAUAGAAAAUAAAUAGUGGAAUUUUUAAGAUUGAAAAUCAAAUUAGGACGUUGGAUUUUUGAAGAAUUGAACUUUAAAUAAAUAGAUAAGUGGGGGAUAAUAAUUCUAAUUGAUGAAAAUAAGAUAUAGAAGAAUAGUUGAAGAAUUAAUUAAAUUAAGACAUGAGAUUUUUGACGGAUUAGACUAGAUAAAUAUGGGAUAAUGGUUCUAUUUAACGAAAAUAAGAUUUAAACGAAUAUUUGAAGAAUUAAAUUAAGACAUGAGAUUUUUGAAGGAUUAGACUAGAUAAAUAUGGGAUAAUGAUUCUAUUUAAUGAAAAUAAGAUUUAAACGAAUAUUUGAAAGAUUGAAUUAAAACAGGGGAUUUUUGAAGGAUUAGACUUUAAAUAACUAGGUAAGUAUGAGAUUAUAAUUCCAACUGAUGAAAAUAAGAUCUAAACGAGUCAUUGAAAAAUUAAAUUAAGACAUUGGAUUUUUAAAGGAUUUAGACUUCCAAUAACUAGAUAUAUACGGGAUAAUGAUUCUAUUUGAUGAAAAUAAGAUUUAAACGAACUAUGGAAAAAUUAAAUCGAGACAUGAGAUUUUUGAAGGAUUUAGACUUUAAAUAACUAGAUUUAUAUGAGAUAAUGAUUCUAUUUGAUGAAAGUAAAAUUUAAAUGAACUAUUGAAAAAUUAAAUUGAGACAUGGGAUUUUUGAAGGACUUAGACUUUAAAUAACUAGGUAAGUAUGAGAUUAUAAUUCCAAUUGAUGAAAAUAAGAUCUAAGCGAGUCAUUGAAAAAUUAAAUUAAGACAUUGGAUUUUUUGAAGGAUUUAGACUUUAAAUAACUAUAUAUAUAUGGGAUAAUGAUUCUAUAAGAUUUAAACGAACUAUUGAAAAAUUAAACUAAGACAGGGGAUUUUUGAAGGACUUAGACUUUAAAUAACUAGGUAAGUAUGGGAUAAUGAUUCUAUUUGAUGAAAAUAAGAUUUAAAUGAACUAUUGAAAAAUUAAAUUAAGACAUGAGAUUUUUGAAGGACUUAGACUUUAAAUAACUAGGUAAGUAUGGGAUUAUAAUUCCAAAUGAUGAAAAUAAGAUCUAAGCGAGUCAUUGAAAAAUUAAAUUAAGACAUUGGAUUUUUGAAGGAUUUGGCUUUGAAUAAAUUAAUAAGUAUGGGAUUAUAACACUAAUUAACGAGAAUAAUAUUUAGGCGAAUAAAGAUGAAUAGUAGAAUUUUUGGGAUUGGAAAUUUAAUUCAGAAGUUGGAUUUUUGAAGAACUGGACCUUAUAUAAAUAAAUAGAUAUGGAAUAAGGAUUCUAAUUAACAAAAAUAAAAUCUAGACGGAUAAUGGAAUUUCUAGGAUUGAAAAAUUAAAUUAGGACAUGAGAUUUUUGAAAGAUUAGAAUUUAACUUUAAUAAAUGAGAUUUUUAAAAGAUGAUAAAUAGAUACAUGCGAAAUAAUAAUAAUAAUAAUAAUAAUUGUCAAACAUGAUAUUUAAACGAAUGAAAUUGAAUAGUGUAAAUUUCGAGAUUGAAAAUUGAAUUUGGGAUGUUGGAUUUUUGAAGAAUUAGAAUUAGUUUUUAACGAAUGAGAUUUUAAAAGAUGAUAAACAAAUACAUACGAAAUAAUAAUAAUAAUUAACAAUCAUAAUGUUUAAGCUAAUGAAAUUGAAUUGUAUAAAUUUCGAGAUAAAAACAUAAUUAACAAUAAUAAUUUUUCUUUAAGUUGUCUUUAAGUUUGAGUUAACUAAAUUGGUAAAAAUGAAAUAAGAAAAAAAUAAAAAUGAAUGAAUGACUUAAUAAAUUACUAAAUUAGAGGUUUUAAAAAAAAAAAACUUGUUUAGAAAUGAAAUAGCCAAAUGGGCUAUCUUGAAAUGGGUAUGGCCCAUGAGAGGGAUUAGUUUGAGGAGCAAUGAGGCUCCCCAUCAAUAUGCUUGGGCUGGGCUCCAAACUCAAGCCCAUAUUUGAUACUAUGGGCAAGCCCAAUGGGCUAACUUGAUCACAAACUUGGGCUUGGUGCUCCAACACAAGCCCAAAGCACCCACCUUUUCAACACAGCCCAUUCAUUUAAGAGAAUAUUGCCCUCCAUCAACACGCCUAGGCUGGGCUUCUUCUCAAGUCUAAUGUCCAUCAUGGACAAGCCCAAGCCCAUCACCAACACAAACUCCAUCACAGCCCAAGGCAUCCCUCUCCAUCUGGGCAACUCCUUCAGGCGAGGCCUCCACCAGCAGCGACGUAAAAGAGAGGGGAAGGGGUGGUGGCUUCGAGGGCGGCGCUGAGACGGUGGAGAUAUAUGGCUUUCGAAGCCACGACACCAGCAAGUGGAUGUCUUCGCCGAUGGCGCCGUCGACCACGCCGCGGAAGCAGUCGAAGAGGACGGCGCGCGGGCCGCCGUCGACGGCCUAGAGAGAGGCGCUCCGAACUGAAGCAGCAGCGCCGAACUCCAAAGGCGGCUCUGGCGAGGUUCGUGGGGAACGAAAGGCUUGCUUGGCUGCUGCCCGUUCCCCAGCCACUGAAGAGGGCUCGCGCGCAUAGAGGUCUGAGUGAUGGUGGGUACGCGGAUAUAGAGAGAAAAGGUGGUGAGGGGUGGGAUUUGCAUGAAGAUGGGUAUGGAAAGAUGGGUGUUUACGUGGAUGUUGCAGGGUUGGGAUGGAGUGACGAAAACUUUGUGUGGCCAUGCACGGCCAUGCAAGCAUGGGGGAAAUGAGCUUGACGAGUAUUGGAGUAUGGGUAUGAAGAUGGGUGUGGGGAAGUGAAGGCGGCCAUGCAUGCAUGCUUCCUAUGCGUGAGUGAGAAAUGAAACUAGGCGGGUGGGGAGUGGAUGAUGGAGGGUGGCGAGUGGUGGAAUGACCAUGGAGAUGAUAUGGUGCAUGAUGGAUGGGUUUGGUGAGAGAAACGGGUAUUUGAAAGGUGGGUAGGAUGGGAGAUAAAUUGAUGGGAAACGGGUACUGAGGGAGCUAGUAAGAGAAUGGUGGUGAGGGGUGGCGGAGAGUGGAGGAAAUGAAGGUGGCAAAGUAUUGAUGAUGGGUAUGGUGGAGGGACUGCAAAUACCUCAUAUGAAAUCUCAAAACAGAGCCAAGAAGACAUAGAAAUCAAGCACAAAAUAGGUGUGAUCAAACUCAGAUGUUAAAAGCAAUACGUAAGGAUCUCCUAUACUCACAUUCGGACACCAGAAUAGGAUCUCACAAUACCCAAAAAAAAAACGACAGAAUGGCGUGAACACGAAAGCAUCAACAGCAUAUGGAAAUGAUACCUGUGACAACCUCCUUCAAGAUGUCUCACCGGCGUGUUUCCUCCUAUCUCUGACUAGCUCUCUCUCGUUUUCCCCUCCGAGCUCCUCCCAAGAAAAAUCACCAGUCUCUCCUUUUCCCCUUUUCUUUCCUCCUUCUCCCCCCUGUUUUCUUAUUUCUUCCUUGGCAAGCCAUUACUUGCCCUGCUGUUCACCCAUCAGCAAGCAUGGCCGGCCAUCACCCCCUUGCAGCCGUACGUCUCAUGCAUCCGGGAUCCAUGCCUCCCGUGGGGUCCCCUACCCCUUCUAAAAAUAUCAUGAAAAGUCAAGAAAUAACAACUCCCCGGGCCCUCACCACCAAAAGGGGUACUUCUCUAUUUAAAAUAACUCUAUGAAAACAAAUGGAAAUAAUUAAAAGAUUUAUUUUAAAACACUUUAUUUUUUUAUUUUUAUGAAUAGAAAACUAUUCUUUUUUUGUCAAAUAUGUCUUCUUGUUUUUGUUUUUCUAAAAAACAAAAAACUGCUUUAAAAAAUAAUUAGCAACCAUGCUUGAACCCAAAGCCCGAAGCUCCUGUGGGGCUGGUUUUGGGCCUUUUAGGUUUGGGAAAAACAGUCGGGCCUGGCUGAGCACAAAUUCUUCUCUUUUAAGUCCAAAAAGCCCGUCUGAAGCCCAAACUUUUGGGUUGGGCCGGGAAGCUCCUGGCUUAACACAAAUUCUUCUCUUUUAAGUCCAAAAAUCCAGUCUGAAGCCCAAAAUUUCGGGUUGGUCCGGGCGGGCGGGGGGCGGAUAUGAAAUAUAAGAAAAUAGAAUAUAAUUAUUAUUACGAUAGUGGAAUCUGAGAAAAGGUGGUGAGUGUACUACAAUUUUGAUCUUUUGCAGCAGAGAGUGAGAAAUGAGCGGGCAAGGCAAGGUGGUGUGCGUGACCGGAGCUUCUGGGUACAUAGCCUCAUGGCUGGUGAAGCUCCUGCUCCAAUGCGGCUACACCGUCAAAGCCACAGUUCGAGACCCAAGGCAGAUCUCUUCCCAAUUACAAAACUUCUCAUUCCCGACCCCACUUGCUAUUGUCCCCAAUUUUCUUCUUUCUUUAUUGUUUCAGUACUUUUCAAGCAUAAUGUUAGUUUUAUGCAUGUGGGUGGGCCGUUAUUUAGCAGUUUGAAACUUAGAUUGAGUGGUAUUUUGAUGGGUCUUUGUCCUUUUUCCUUUUUCAGAAGUUUAAUCUAUGAUUGAAAGUCAAUAUUCAGUACUCGGGUCUUUGUGUUGUCCUAAUUUUCUUGGAAUUAUACUCUCUACAUGGUUCUACAGGGCAAAUUGAUCGAGUUUAUGCUAUUAAAAAUGAUUUCAGAUACUUUCAGAAUCAAUCCAUCUCAGAUUCUGCAUGUGUUCCUUCUUAAUUACUACUAUUCUUGUAAAAAAAUUUGCAUUUAAUUUACAAGACACUGGGGGGGUCUAAAAAAGAAAAGCAAAGGGAAAGAAAGAUUUUCCUUCAGCCAUACCAAAUUGUUUUGGAACCAAAAACUCUAAAUAUGGGCCUGUGUUCUUUUUGGAAACCUAUUCUUGAAAAUAAUUUCAGAGAAACGAAGAAAAUCUACAAAUUUUUGUACAAUUAUUUGGCUUUAUUGCAAGCUUUUGUUGUUAUACAAACAAGACAAGAGGACAGUUUAGGUCUUCAUUUUGUUUCUUUGCUGUUCUUCGGUUUCCUCUUCAAUGCCUUUAGCUCUAUCUAUUGUUAGUAUUUCAACAAAUUGUACAUCACAACUGAAGUUUCUUGCACUUUGAAAAUCCAAUCAUCUUGCAUAAAUGAUCCAAAAGCUUGCAAUUGCAGUUGAGAAAAUGACUACUCUACAUGCCCCAUCCAUUUUACUUCAAUCCCCAUUCUUUUAAGAAGAGCAUAGUUGAACUUCUUAAUAUUCUAGUCAUGCGACUCAUGCUUCCACUGUAUACUCCUUAUGUACUAGGGUUUCCCCAUUUGGGGUUGUUUUUUUCUAUCACAUAAUACAUGUUCUUACCAAAAUAAAGUUUUUGUAAGCUUUCAUUCUUCUUAUUUCCAUUUAACAUGCAAGUUGUGCUUAUAUAUGCCACAGAUGAUCCAAAGAAGACAGAACACUUGCUUGCACUUGAAGGUGCUAAAGAAAGGCUUCAUUUGUUUAAAGCAAACUUACUUGAAGAAGGAUCCUUUGAUUCUGUGGUUGAUGGAUGUGAUGGAGUAUUUCAUACAGCAUCCCCAGUUGUGAUGAUAGUUGACGAUCCCCAGGUUUAUCCUAUAUUGGUUCCAUUCGGAUACUGUAAAAUUUAGCAUUGUCUAUAUUCUUUUUCAAUCAGUUACUGAUCUUGAAAUUAGUAACUAAUCAUGAAUUGUUAAUUUGCAUGAUUCUUCUUUCUGUAUGUGGUUUCUUCAACUGAUCCAAUGGUAGUGAUUGCUGAUUUCACUAAACCAAUACAAUGGUGGAAAAGAGAGACUGAUAUUGGAUUUUUUAUAUUCUGCUUAUGUGCAAAAAUAUUGAAUAGCUUUUUUUUUUUUUUUUUUCUUUCUUUCUUUCUUUCAUUCUCCCCCCUAAUCCUUCCUUUUCUCCACUUGUUAUGUUUGUUCAAAAGAAGAUAAAGGCCCUUUGUCUUGCAUCAAUUAGAACCAAAAACCCUGUGAAUAUUUAUUUAGGAAUGUAUAACUUCCUUGACAGCAGCAUGGGAAUGCUCACACCGUAACAAGGCUAUUCCAUGGAAAUUUAUGGUGGCUGAUCCAAACACUCCUUGUGCUUUUUUUGUUUUGAUAGGCAAAAGGGCAGAAGACGUGUUAAAGAGCCAAAAAAAAGGCUACACCAAGUACAUAGGAAAUACGCAUGUGCGCACCAAAGAAAAAACACAAAACCCUCUUCUUAAUGGCAACCUAACCAAUCGAUAAAAUCAAUCAUAUACAAGGACUCUUGCCCUAGACCCCCUUUGGUCCAUUCUAAAAAGUUACAAAGAAAAGAGAAUUUUAGCUCUUGAUAUGAAAGCUCAAUAUUAUCAAAAGCCUUUCUAUUCCUCUCUUUUCAAAUAGUCCAAAACAAACAAAGAAGUGCAACAUUCCACACCUUUUUUUUCCUGUCCCCAACAGAUCAGCUAUGCCAACUAAGAAGCGUUGCUUGGACUGAGGUAUGCAACACCCAAACCACUACAAACAAGGAAAAAACUAAUUGCCAUAACAAACUAGCCUUAGAACAAUGAAGAAGGAUGUGAUUGAAAGAUUCCUUCUCGUCUUUACAUAAAAAGUGUUUGUUUACCAAAGUCCAACCUCUCCUCUUCAAAUUGUCCAUAGUUAGAAUCCCCUUCCAAGUUGCUUCCCAAAACAAAAAAAAAACUCACUUUUAUUGGAGCCUAAGAAUUCCAAAUAAGCCUUGUCGGGAAAGAAUCUGAACCCCUUUGAACCAUCCCAUCUUAGAAAGAUUUAACUAAAAAUUGGUGGGCCUCCCUUUGUAGCCAUCCACACCACCUUGUCAUCCAUCUCCCUACUCAUUGAUUUGCCAUGUAAACGCAAAAGGAGUGCUUCAGCAUAACCUAACUCUUAAUCUUGGAAAUUCCUUACAAAACAAGGGUUCCAACACCCCUCAAAAUUAGUAUGCUUCCAAACAUCACAUACCCAAGCCUCCUUUGAAGUGGCUAUAGCAAACAAAGAGGGGAAAGAGGUACUCAAAGGGGUGCCCCCACACCAAAUGUCAUUCCAAAACCUUAUCCUUCUUCCAUUGCCCAAAUCAUAGGAAAUCUUGCGUUUGAAAGAAUCCCAUCAUUUCCUUAUAGCCUUCCACAAUUCUAUGCCAUAACCCUUCCUUAUCUCCAAAGAGCACCAACCUGCUUCUUCUACCCCAUACUUACCAAUGAUUUCUUUCUUCCACAAGGGCUCCCCUUUUGACAUGAACCUUCAACUCCAUUUGCCUAAGAGAGCCUUGUUCAAAAUAGAAAGAUUUUGAAUGCCUAACCCUCCCUCAUUUCGCUUUUGGCUUACAAACUUGUGCCAACUCACUAAGUGAGGCUUAUUUUCAAGAAAACCCCCCUCCCCAAAGAAAGUCCUUUUGAAUUUUUCCAAUUUACAACAGACCAUUCUUGAAAUAACAAAAAUGGACAUGAAAUAAAUGGGUAGGCUAGACAAGGUACUUUCGAUGAGAGUUAAACAACCCCCCCUUGGACAAGCUUUGUUUCUUCCACCUUGUGAGCUUUCUUUCCAUCCGCUCUUCCGCCAAAGUCCCUCAUUGUUGUUGAUUUAAAGGUAGCACCCAAAGGAAGCCCAAGAUACUUGGAAGGUAACAACCCCACUUUACACCCCAAAAUAUCCACCAACUCCUCCAUUAUUGGAACCCUUCAACUAAGAUUAGCUCACUUUUUUCAAGGUUGAUCUUAAGCCCAGAAAUUGCUUCAAACCACAUCAAGACCCAAUGAAGAUGCAAUAGUUGGUCCUUAGAAGCCUCGUAAAAAAUCAAUGUGUCAUCUGCAAACAAAAGAUGAGACACCUCCACUCCCUUGCCACUUCUACUUCCCACCUUAAAUCCCCCCCCACCCAAACAAACAAAAAAUCCUUGUUCUUAUCUUCAAGAGUAGAGAGUUAUAGCAUUUUAACUUACAACCACUGCCUCAAGGUGACUAAAGAUGCAUUCCACAAAAUGUUAGACAAGUUGCUUAUCAUUUUCUCCUGACCCCGAAUGCUAUAGGUAUAAGAAAUAGGUAAAUGUGCUUACUAAUAGUGGAUGCAUUCCACAAAAUGCUAGAGAAGUGGUUGUUUCCUUCUCUCUAUCUCUUUCCUUACCUCCUUACUCACCUCCCUCACCUUCCCAAAUUCUCUUUUCCUUUAUUUUCUCAAACAGCUCAGUUACUCCCCAUGAUUAUUAUUAUUAUUUUUUUAAAUGGGAAUGCUUCACAAGAUUCAUAUAUUACCUCCUUGCUAAUUUUAGUUAGUUAGGCACUGCCCCUUAAAAACUCAAAUAAUUCUACAUGAUUAUACCUUUGAUGUAGUUAUGAAUACAAGGAUCAUCCAUAACUCCUCCAAUUGCAUGACAUAUUUGUUGUGUUUCUGAUUCUAAACUAGCACUGUCAUAACAUGAUCAGCAAAAAAAUAAAAAUAAAAAUAAAAGUUACUUCCAGAAUUUGAUGGAUGAACCUUAUGGCUAUGUUUGGUUCCUACAAAAUUUGAGGCAAAAUGCUAGGGAAAGAAAAUAGAAAGGAAAAGUAGAAAGAAAGAAAAAUUGAAGGAAAAUUAAAAAUAGAUUUAAAGUCAAUAAAUUAUUUUUAUAUGUUACUUCAAACUUAUUUCACUUAUUUUAACUAUUGAAUAUAAAGAUUAAAUAAUUUGAAAAUUUAUAAGUUUCUAAUUAGUUUUAAUUAUAUUUGACUUUUUUUGGUAUUUUCUAUAGAACAAUCAAACAUGAGAAAAUCAUUUUCCUUAGUGUUUUUUUUUUAGUACUUUUCAAGAAUCAAACAUAAUCUAUUGAGUUUGUCUAUGAUGAUUUUGUUUAGCCUCAUUCACCAACCAAUUGGUUUGUGGUGUACUGCUAUACUUCUUUUCCAAUUUUAUUUUAUUUUUUUGGUUCAUUUUAUGUUUAAAGAGGUUUUAUUUGAUUUUAUUUUAUUUUUUUAUCAUAAUUCAUGUGUAACCACAAUUCCUUUGUCACCAUCACCAUGUGACUCCAUAUAGUGGUUGGGAGAGUUAGAUCCUGGAACAGUUAUGGAAUAACUCCAUCAAUGUUGUGCAUCUUUCUUUGAAAUGUAGGAAAGUGGCUUUUUUAUUUUUUUAUUUUUUGAAUAUCUCCUUCUCAUAAAUAGGUAUGGUACGCCCAACAACAUUUUAUUUUAUCAAAAUUCUUUGAUAACAUAGCUUAUCAAUAUGAUGAAAGGAUCAUAAUGUGUCUCAUCAACCUGAUUUCAUAUUGCACAAUGGAGCCUAGAUUUUGAAGUUCUCUCAGUUACGAAGGGAAAUCUUGUGUUGAUGUAAUGGCAGAUAUUGAUUUCUGUAGUUGGGAUUCUUCAAGGGUUUGGGAGGUGGGAGGAGUUCUAGAGGGAGAGCACUGUGCAGAGAGACCAACUUAGCUGGCUAAUGGAUUAUUCGGCUUCAGAGAAAUGAUUGGAUACUUGAGAACAUGAGAAAAUCUUUCACUGACUUGUGUGCUAAUGUAUAUUAUCUCACAACUCUUUGAAUACCUGUCACUGUAGAGUUCUUUAGGUUCCCUUUAAUGCAUAUACAUUCAUUUUUGGAUCGGAGAUCAAUAUGCCUUUCCCGUCGGAGAGUGCUUUUGUGCUGGAGGAGGCACUGCCUGUGCUAUUUCUAGACUCCUGACUGUGGCCAGUCCACUCUUCACUUUUUUCAGUUUCUGGACACAACAUGUUAUACAAUUAACAUAACAGCCUCUAUGUGAUCGAAUUCAGCUCCACCUCAAUCAUUGGAAUUAGCAGCAUGCCAACAAUCACAGUGUGGGCACCAGUUUUUAGUUAUUCACCUGCCUUGCUUUUCUGGUGAAGUCAGGCAGCAUCUUUUCAUUUCAGAAUGCAGCAUGCUGUUGUUUGUGACUUUUUGGCCAUCAGAGCAAUUGUGGAUGGCCCUUCAAUCGACAAAACUUUAUAGAUGUGUGUUUGUGCCAAAUCAAGGCUCAAGUUAUGAAUGAAAAUAUGAAAAUGAAAAGAGAAACAAAGCAGAAAUUCAUUUUACUAUGUCUCUGUUCUUUCCAUGAGGGAUUAGGCUUAUUCCUCUUUGGAAGACUCAGAAUCUCCUUUCGGUUUUUCAAUGGCUCCUUUCUCCUAUGACCUGUUCAAGAAUGCUGCUUUAUUGUGGACCUUCUAUGCCUUUAUUGAAAAAGAAAAAGUGAUAAGAUAUUUCAACCAGUUGAAAAUAGAGGACCCUGAGGCCUGAGAUAGACUGAUGCUAGAUAGAAAAUACAUAUGUAUGGAUAUUCAAACUUAUCUAGAAGAAAUAGAAGCAAAUGAUACAUGAUAAGUUAGUGUCAAAAGGUCAACUAAAGUCUUCGACUAGAUAGUCUACUUAGAUGUCAAAAAUGUAGUGGGCUCUUUAGCCUCAUGGUAGCCUAAAGCUCAAGUUUGGUUGAUGUUACCUAGCAAACUCGAGACAGAUGGAAAUUUCCAGCCUUUUACAGGUCCAUAGAUGUGUGAUUAUUAGGGCUUUUUAAUGUCAUUUGUGAUGGGGUUUGCUAUUGAUGUGAUGCAGAGGUCCUGAAACUAUUAGAAGGGAUGUAAAUCUGGUGAAAGAGUUGGAUGUUUAUGAUCUUAUGGGGAAGGAGAAUUGAGCAAUGGUUCUCUCUUGCAUGUCACUGGGUCAAAAAGGGUCAGGGAGAUAAAACCACCACUUGUGGAGGAUUGUGGAUCUUUUUAGAGACAUUGGCUGAUCAUUUCUUGAAAGUCUAGAUCGAGAAAUCAAGAAGAUGAGAGGCUGAUUAAGAGAGAAGUCAUGUCCUAUGCCAACUUUGUUUGAGUGAGCCAUAUCAUAUACUUCUACCUGGGGUUAAUCUUUAAGGCUGGAGGGUUCCUUGUCUCUUCAUUUUUUUCCCUUUAUUUUUUUUCCCCUUAUUGAAUCAUGUUCUUGUACAUCUACUUGUUUGAAGGAUUUCUCAUCCUUCCUUGUAAAUAACUGUUUGCAUAAUAUUAUCACACAAAAACAUAGAUCAUAGACAAGCUGAGAAUUUCUUUAGGAUCCAUAAUGUGAUCUUAUGUUUGCUUCUAUACAUAAUUAUUAGCUUUUAAUUAGCUUAUCUUCAUUGGACUACUUAUGUGGAGAUUUGUUUUAUCUGUUUCUCCGUGUUUCAGGCACAACUAAUUGACCCAGCACUAGAAGGAACAAUGAGCGUUCUAGGAUCUUGUGCAAAAGUUCCAUCUGUCAAAAGAGUAGUUGUAACAUCAUCUAUGGCUUCAGUUGCAUUCAAUGGGAAACCUCUAGCUCCUGAUGUGCUAGUUGAUGAGAGUUGGUUUUCAGAUCCAGUUUUCUGUGAGAAAUCAAAGGUUGCUUAAAUGAGAUGAUUUCCCAUCACAUGCUAUCUCUUUUGCAUGAUCUUGUUUGUGGCUUUACAAAAUGUUUUCUUUCCAUGGCUCUUCACUUCUUUUACCCUGCAGAAGUAGCUGCCAAUUUGUCAUGCCCUCUUGUUUUUACACUUCUGCUAGCCAGCUUAGGGUUAAAUAACACGAUGGGAAUGGGAGGAUUAUCCCUUUAUUUUGCUAAGCCUGCCAUUAGAUUAAAUAAUCCUUCCAUGUAUGUCUAAUAUUUCACUAAUAUGGUGUUGGUAGCUGUCUGAUCCAUUAAGUCUCAUUCCUCAAACAAGAAAUUAAAUGAGAACUCUAAUUUGGAUAUUAUAUGAUUGAAAUGAAUGUUAAUCUCUGAUUGUCUUACUGUCCAUUAAGCAUGAUGGGCUCAGAAACAUGGGUUGACAAAACUCACAUUAGUUUUAAUGUGAGUGUGUAUGCCUGCACAGCCUCCUAUAGAUUUUUCUUGGGUUCAUAAGUUCAUUGCUUGUUCUCUAUGUUCCAUUAUCUACUAGAAAUGCUUCUCACUAUAUAUUUUCAANNNNNNNNNNNNNNNNNNNNNNNNNNNNNNNNNNNNNNNNNNNNNNNNNNNNNNNNNNNNNNNNNNNNNNNNNNNNNNNNNNNNNNNNNNNNNNNNNNNNGGGGUUUUGAUUGGGCCUCUCUUACAGCCUACUCUUAAUCUAAGUGUGGAGGAAGUUCUGAAGCUACUAAAAGGUACUCUUCAACAAUUGAUGAGAAUCUCUUUUUUAUGUUUAUCUUUCUGCUCCAGUAGCAAUACAUGCUUCACUUCAAUAUUGAGUCAACUCUAUCCAACAGCCCUGCAAAUGGAAACUCAGAAGUUUAAAUCGAAACUUAUCAAUAAACCGUCACAAGACUUCCACAGUUCCACAUAAAAGGACUACAUAUGCAUUUUGAUAUAUGCUGACUAAUCUCCUAACAUUAAAAAAUUGUUCUCUCCUCUGGUCAUUAUAGUUAUAUCACCAAGAUACUCAUUUGGGAGAUUUGCAUAUGAGAUUAGAUGAAGAUAUAUUUCGUUUUGGCCUCCUAAGCCAGACUGGUUUGGAAGGACCCCUGGACUGUGAAAGGACUGAAAGCAUGGGUAUGCAAUUACUAUCUUGAACUUGACGUAUAUUUGCAUGCAAGUUCAAUCCAAGGGCAAGAACUUCUUAAAUAAUCCAUUAAUCCUUUUGAUCCAACCCAUCUAAAGUGGGGGUUCCCCGCAUCCAACUCCAUUGCAAAUGAGUUGUUCAUGUGCAACUCACUUGAUCAGUAUUUUUAAAAACUUCUACCAACUUUUUUGGACUAUUUUGCAGAUCUUAACAUUCUUUAAACAUUUAGAAUCAUUUCUAGUGGCUUUAUAGGGAAAUAUCAUGUUACUUUAUUGACAACUCUUACAAGAAUCAAUACUUCCAUAACUGUAUAGCCAAUAUGGUUUGUUUACUUACUAACCAACCUCUUCUGCCUCCAACUGACCUCCCCUGUAUCUUGCUUCAAUUAUGAGGGUGUUGCCAUUAGGUUGAGCAUUGGACAUAUGAUAAACCUGUGCCUUGAUGGCUGUACUCUGAUUCAUGGAUCCAGACCAUUGUCAUUGGGAUUAGACUUGUUGGUAGUUGCUUUAGUUCAAUGCUUGCAAUAACCAAAGUAAUUUGUCAUGCUGCUUUAGAACCAUUGGAUCUUUCAUAUGAAAUAAGAAAGGUAUUUUGUACAAAAUAAUGUUUUCAUGUGUAAUUUCCAACAUUACAUAAAGCGAUAAAUAGAAGUGUAUUUGCUAAGUGUGAUUGCAUCAUUAUCUAAGCAUUUCCGUUUGAGACAAACAGUCUAAGACGAAAAUGUGUGCUUCAAAAAUUUCAAAACAUUAAAAAUCAGUAAUGCAGAUAAGGGCAUUUAUAUGUACACAUAUUGAUCAGAAAAUAAACUCCAUCCUAUAGCAACCUAAAAACUCAAAAGAAAGAAGUAUAAUUUCCGAUAUGCAAGAUUUUGAUCAAUUAAAGUCCAAAGCAUUUUAUGUUCAUACAAAUGAGAAGACAGAAUGGCAGCUGACUUUGAGGAUUGAAAGAAAAAUGAAUUGAUGCUACUUCUCAAUGCUAAUGCCAUUAAUUUGUUGCUGCUUUUUGUUGCCAUGUCGAGCCUGUCCAUCAGAUAAGGUUUGAAUCGCUUCUAUUAUUCUUGUUUAAGACAAUCCCUUCUUUUUUUCCUUUUUUUUUUCUUUACAUAGUCAAUCAUCUUGUUUCAUGUUUGCCUUAUAGUUGGUCUGCUGAUGGUAGGCUUCUUUUGAGUGGAAGCAAGGACUCUAUACUGAAGGUAAAUUGUGGGAACUAUGUCUUUUUGUGGUAUAGAUGGGGUUAUCAUAUAGUUGAAUGAUUCUAUUGCUUCCUCAUAGCUUUUCAAGGCACUAAAAAAGAAAAAAACAAAGGUAGAACUAGGAAUAAUAUUUCGUCCUGAUUUCAGGCAUACUAUUUCCUUAUGAAGUCUUAUUUUGGUAAAUUACAGUUAGAUAUAAUCACAUGGCAACAUUUUUUCUUCCAAGUUUAAAUAGUAAUUCAGGAGAGUGUAUUAUGAAAAUAUACUAAAAUAAAAAAAUCCUAUGAAUGCAUUCUACUUUGGAUAUUUCUUAUGAAUCUUCCCCUGCACUCCUGACCACCACAGACACUCCCAUCACACCAAGCCUUGUAGUUGUUCUAAAUUGUUGCAAAUAUGUUAGAAACCAAUUACUAAUAUUAAGGACGGUCAUGUCUACUAAUUUUGGGCUAGAAUUUUUAGAGCAGGUGAGAAAUUAUGGUUGCAGUAGGGAAUGUGAGUGCUUCUAUUUUGCCAAAGUGGCUUUCCUUAUUCAUGUUAACAUCAACAACAUAGCAAUGAACUCGAUUUAAUAUUGUUUAUCAUAUAGGCUUGAGAUAUCCGGACACAAAAGUUAAAACAAGAUCUUCCAAGCUAUGAAGAUGAGGUAUUUUCCUCCUCUUAAGUACUAGUUAAUAUUCUUCUUUUGACAUUGUACUUGGUUUAAUUAAUGUUUUCCUUCUUUUCGUAUUCUGGAAAGGUUUUUGCUGUUGAUUGGAGUCCAGAUGGUGAGAAGGUAGCCUAUGGUGGUAGGGACAGAGUACUUAAUUUAUGGAUGGGUUGAUGGCUAAAGGAGGAAGAGAUGUAUGAAAUGAAGAUUGACAUGAUUCUUCCACAACAUGAUGGACUUGGCAAACACUCAAUUUUUGCCUAUAGUUGAUAGUCUACCACAUGUAACUUAAAGGUUGUGCACUAAGUUCUGAUGUUAUGAAGGAUCGAGGGUGGUUUGUGCACUAAGCUUUUCUAAAAUAUUUUUCUUUAUUGAGCUGUAAUGAUUGUAUUAUUUGGAUUUAAUUGUAUUCAUUAGGUUUGCAGAUCACGAUAUGAUUAUUUUCCUCUUUGAUCAUGUAAAGUUGGGAAACAGUUAUGGGUUACUGUAAUAGCAUGGUAUAUUGAUGCACACAGUUUGUGGCAUGACAGUUUGAUGAAAUUGCAGAAGUGUAGCACUCAUGGGCAUAUCAUGUGAACCUUAUUCAAUGUGGCAUUGACAAUUAGUUUAAAUUUACAUGGGUGUAAUGUCGCACCAGUAUCCUCUGAUGAUAUGCCCAUGUUAUAUUGUGGCAGGGUUCUUCUUCAGUUGCCAAAUACCACUGGAGCUUAGGUGAGGUCUUGGUGAUGUAGGAAAGCCAUGGAUUCUGGAAUCUUUACAUGAAAAUAUACAUGAGAUAUAUUGGAAGAAAGGGCAGGCCAUCUAAGAAGAAACACAUCUUAAAGUAUACCAUCAAUCAUGAGUUGUUUGAGAGUCAGGAGUCUUUGAAGGCCUCACUCAGAUAAGGGACGUCUUUGACAUUUCUCACUCUUCAAUCUCAGGAAGGUACAUCAUCAACUAGAACCUUAGGAAUGUGAGUCAUCAUGGGACAACUUGUUUAUGUUCUGUAUUCUUUUCUUACCAGAGGGGAUUGAAAGAUAUGUAGUUGCAAGGACAAAAGAUGUAGCCAAUAAUGAGAGCAUUGAACAAUCCUUCUUUAAUGCAUACCACAAAUUUUAGUAACUCGUGAUCUCCACAAUUUAGAGCACAAGGAAGCUGGCCUUUGGAAAGAUGUGACAUGACAUUUAGAAAUGGGUAAAAAUUCCAGAGAUCAUUCCAAUCAUUAAGGAAUCCAAAGCCUUAUAAUUUGAAUAGGGCAUUUACUUGGCAUGGAUAACGCACCUAUCUUAGGACAAAUACCACAUGUUGAGCACCAAUUCAAUUAUCAACUCUCUAUGAAACUGGAGAUACAAGGUACUAAUGUUAGUAAAAAUUAGCUGGCAGCUCUUCUUCUUAUACUAGUAUUAGGGGCAAAGCCUUGCGAAAACCCUCAAUCAACAAAUUACCAAGGACAUGAGAUCAUGUUGUAAUCUUAUCUCCAAUCUCCAGUUGCAAAUAGAUUAUUUCUUUCAAUUAACAAUCUUUAAUGCUUUCACUUCUAUCAUAGGAUAUGAAAUUUGGAAAAACAAGUAAGCUUUAUAAUAUUAGGAAUAUGCAAGGAAUUGAUGAAGGUCAUGAAUCUACUUAAAAUUAAAAAUUAAAAAAUAAAAACAAAGAUUUUUUCACCUAUGAAUAUCGUAACCAGCUUCCAAAAAGCAUUAGGUAAGGCAAUAACCAAAUGUUCCUCAGGUAUUAAAGUUAAAGUUCAAAGUUACCAAGAGUGCAUUUUUUGACCCAUGCAUAAAAUAAAAAGAAAAUAAGAACACAUACCAUAUAACUCACAAUUGUGUCAAGUAUGAGUUCAGUUUAUGUUCAUGCACAAUUGCAUUAAGUAUUUGAAAGCUAAAUAAGGCUAUGCGCAAUUCAAAGAAUAACAUACAAUGCUCACAACUUAUCAUAGAAUGAGAACUCAAUUGUCUUUCUUCCAGUCAUAAGAGUUUGUGCUCUUUGAGCCUCUGACUUGCACAACUCAAGAUAGCAGAACAUGCCAAAAAGUCUCCUUCACCUUAAACAUUAUUCAAAUAUGCAAUAUAAAUCUUGAUAAGAAAAUUUUCUACAAAUAUAACAUGUUGCAAACAAAUAACAAUAUGUUAGUUUAAAAUUGAAGAGCAUUUUAAACUAAACAAAAUAAAAAAAAAAUUUAAUGUUUAUCACUCACCUAAAAACUUGUAUGUUGGAUAAAAUUCAUGCUAAUGAAUCCUGACAAUUGUUUGCAAUCAAAAUUUAGUAAUAACUUAUAAACCAAAAAAAAAAGAGGAAAUUACAAAAUUCUUUAGCAAUUUUCCAUGAAAAAUACAUUGUACAUUGAUUGAGAAGUGAAUAUCUAAUUUGAAAGACACUAAAAACUAGAUGUUAUCUUGAGUUCUCCAUGUAUCAAAAUAGAUGCAAGUUGCUAUUCGAGCCACCACAAUCACGGAGUACGAGACUUCUCAGCAUGGAAGGCAUACCAGAUUUCAAACAAGGUUCUUAACUUUCCAAGAGACAUAAGAACAUGGUGUGUUGUAUAAACUGUAGAAUAAAUAAAUGGAAGUUAGAUACACAUGCACUUGCUACUUAUUUUUUUUAAUCAUCUAUGAAAUAAAUAAAGAGGUGUUACUUGUAUUCAAUCCAAACUUGUGGUCUCCAAUGUAAAAUCCAAAUCUCAUUUUGUCAACACAAUAAGAGCAUUAAACAUACAACAAAUUGAAUCCUUCCUUUUGACAAUGUGAAAACCUGAAAGAAAUGACUCGGGAUCAUAAACAAUUAUACGAUAAAGAAAAUUUUCAUUAUUCUUUCUAAAAGAAAAAUAUGUUAUUUCCUUGAUUACGGAAGAUAGAUAUUUUGACAUAAAGUGCACUUAUUAAGGUAAACUUUGUGCAUUAUACAUUGAAAUUAGAAAAUUGUAUUUAAAUCCAGUUAGAAAGGUACCAUAAAAGAUGCAUAAUUGAAAUGAAGGCAUCCAUGCCAAUUUGUAACUGUUGUCAAAUAACACCUUCCCUUGACAUUUUAUGUCCCAUGCCUGCAUGUCAAAUCUCCAACUAAGACUACUCAAAGAGCACCUAAAAGAAAAUUACCAAGAUUUCAUCACAUGCAGAACUCGAGAUGCUAACAUUGAACCAUGGGAGGGAUCAACAAGAAACAAAAUACUUACCCAUAAGUUUGUAAUUUGUUGUACUCAAAACCCGCUUCCUAGUCAAACUUUCAACACAACUCCAUGGAGACUUUCACAAAUAGUUAAGCCACUAGUAGAAAAUAACAUCAAUAUGAGAAAUUGACAAGGUACUGUGCAAAUAAAAGAGUAUAAAUGUGUGUUGAGAAUAAGAGUUACCUUAAUUAAUGUAAGGAUAGGAUAUGGUUGAAUUGGCUCUGCACCUAUUUUUGCAAUUUGAAUUUAUUACGGUUCAAAAAUGAGUUUAUGAUCUAUCCUCACUUUAGGGAAAGUGGGCAAUCUUCUUGAAACAUCUUUGAUUUAGAGAUUCGAUAAAACUUAAAAGGCAACCUUUCACUUGGAAAAGAGGGCUAGAAUAGGGCACCCCUCAAUCUCUACAAGUUAAAGAGAUGAAGUUUUGAAGACCAAGGAAGGGGGCUAGGGAUUCUGGAUUUGACAAUAUUUUCAUUGAAAUAUCAAUGAGAGUUGUAGCAAGAAAUACUGUAAAAAAGAAAGGAUGUGAAAGGUGGAAAUUCCACGAUUUCCAAUGAUUCAAGAAGAUAAUUCCUAUGGCUAUUGUUGUCAUUGUGCAUCAUUCAACUAGCUAUAGACUACAUAAUUGAACAAUCAUGAACACAUAGAUGCUCAAAUAAGGUAUGUAGUUCAUUGAGUGGAAAAGCAAAUGAGACUUGGACAUCUCAAGAUUUCUAGGAAUCAAGACAGAUACAAGUUGUUGUUGUUUCCUAUUAUAAUUCAUCUAGAUUGCAAUCAACAAGCACUAACUCCAUUCACUGCAUGUUUUGAGUCUUCAACAUAAAACCCAAAUUCCAUUCUAUCAACCAAAAAAAAAAAAAAAAAUCCUAAUAACUCCUCUAGAAACCAUUUUUUGUCUCAUAUUAUAAGAUGUAGGAUGUAACUCACUUCCAUCAUUGAGAAUGAAUUGAUAAAACUUUGCAAUACUAGUAUAUUCAGCUUCAUUAUAAUGACCUCAUUAGAACUAGAAUAAGUGAAGUGAUAAUGUUAUCUAAUUAGUAAACCAAACCAAGUUAAUAAACUAGAACUUCCUCUAGUAUAGCCUCUACGUAAAAGAAAUUUAAAGGUCUUGAUACAUUAGAUAUUGAAAUUGUUGGAUUAAAAUCUUAUUUAUUGCACCUGGCAAGAUAGAAGUAAUAAUGCUAAUUUCGAAUUAUGACAGAUUAUAGAGAAAAUUAGACAUUGAGAAAAUACCAAGCCAAAAGCCAUGUCAAGAUCUGCUUUCUAGUUAAAAAUUUUAGCAAAAAAUUAAGUCCAAUUAAAAAAAAUUGCAGUAGUAGGUAAAAGAAAUUGAAAGUGAUGUUGAGGAGAGAAAGAGGAAUAAUGAUGUUGGGAAUGAGAUGUAAUACCUGUUUUAUUGCUCAGAGAUGGAUUAGUCAUAUAUUUCUUGACUAACCUUAUAAAUUAGUAGAAUUUAACAAGUUACAAAUAGUUCCCCCACCUAAUCUUUUAAAUUAAUCUUGAUGUUGACAAGCAAUUUGCCAACCAUAAUUAUAAAAAGACAAAUAAAUCGAGUUGAUUUACUAGAUUGCAAGUGGGUGCCCUUACCUAAUCUUUUAAAUUAAUCUUGAUGUUCACAAGCACUUUGACAACCAUAAUUAUAAAAAGACAAAUAAGUCAAGCUGAUUUUACUAAAUUGAGAUUAAUAAAUUGCAAGUGGGUGCCCUUUACCUAAUCUUUUAAUUUAAUCUUCAUAUUGAUAAGAACCAAAUCGGCCAUAAUUAUAAAAAUAAGAAGACGACAAGCUAUGAUUACUUUUAUUAACUAAAAUUUAAUAAAUCACAAUUUCUCUUACCUAACCUUUAGAUUAAUCUUGAUAACUUUGCAAUAUAAUUAUAAAAAGAGAAAGACGACAAACUAAUUUAAUUGGCUAAUUUUAUUAACUUAGGUUUAAUAAAUUAAAAUUAGGUUGAUCUCUUACCAAUCUGUGGACCCCGUAUUUCGGCUCAUGCGUUUCCCACUCAAUGGCGAGCUUGAUUUUUAUUUUGAAAAAUGAUUUUAUUGAUUAAGAACAUGACUUGGAGUCGCCACUUAUUUUUGUUUUAUUUUUAAAAGGGUAAACAAAAUAAGACAGAAAACCCUAGGUGUGACUCCUUGUUUUGGAAAAGGUUGGUCUGCGAAAAAUCGGAUCGGGUUUCGGGGGUCAGGUUACUUAUUGGGAAGGUACGAUGGAGAUCGUAGCACCCCUCUAAAUCCCUAGAAACGGGUCUCUACUAAUAAAAUGAAGCAAUCAUGGCAAUCGAUUAAUCGAGCAUGGAUACCAAAUGAAUGUCACUCAAAACAAAAUAACUGAAUGAACGAGAGAGGCAAAGAAUGUACCUAAGUGAUGAACCGGUUUACUUCAAGGGAAACAAGGGUUAGUGAACCAAUAUAAGAUGAAUAUAUGCGUAUCACAAAGCAGAAUAAAUCAAUCACGCAUGACAAUUGGAUGAAUCAAUCCAUUAAUCAAUCAUAAAUCACAUGUGUAGGGCCCCCACCAAAGCCCGGUUUUUGACAGACCACAUUUUCCAAAAUAAGGAGUCACACUUAGGAUUUUCUUUCUUAUUUUGUUUACCCUUUAAAAAAUAAAACAAAAAUAAGUGGUGACUCCAAGUCAUUUUCUAAUAAAUAAAUCAUUUUUCAAAUAAAAUCGAGCUUGCCAUUGAGUGGAAAACGCAUGAGCCGAAAUGUGGGGUCCACACUAUCCUUUUUAAUUUAAUCUUAAGAUCAAUAAGAAUCAUACAGACCAUAAUCAUAAGAAGAGCCAAAACAAAAGUCGAUUUGAUAUUUAAUUAGUUAAUUUUAUUAACUAUAAGAUAUAAAAAAUUGUUAAGAGGUGUCUUAAAUUCCAAAUUAGAAUAUACCAUUUUUUUGUGAAACAAAUAUUACAUAGAAUAUUUCCAAAGUUUAUAUGUGAUUGUAAUUAAAUUCAAGCUAGUACAAAUAUAUUUAUAAAUAUUUUAGGACCUGAAGAGAAAAAAUUAUGGAAGAUAUGAAAAAGAGAUGUGAUCAAGAGCAAGAGACAUUGGUAGAACAAGAGGGUUCACUAGGGAAGGGUGUAGAUGUGAAGAAGAAUGAGAAACACUUAGUGGAGCAAAAUGAUUCUUGGUUUAUGAUAGAGAUACAAAGAGCAGGAAAAAUGAGAUGUUUGGGCCUUAGUAGUUGUCUAACCGUUAUAUGUGGUUUUCUUUAUUCAUGUGUUCUUCCUUUAAUCUUUUUGAAUUGAGGUUUCCAUUUUUCUUUUGUUCCUAGGAUUUUUUCAUGUUAUCAAUUAUGCCCAUUUCCAAUUUCAUUAGAAACUUGUGUUCUACAAUUUGGGAAAUGAAAAUAAUUAUUUUUCUAUAAUUUUUGUAUAAUUUUGUUAGUUAAUAAAAAGUAGAAUAUAGAUAAUAUUAGCCAUCAAAUAGAAAAAUAAAUAUGACAAUUAAUGUGUUUUCACAUCAUAUUUGUACUUAGAUGGUUUUGCUUGUAUGAAGUAAUUUAAUGCAACUAUGAAGAUUUAUAUGAAAUAAACUUUAUAUAAUUUUAGAUUUAAUAAUCGAUUAAUUUUUAUUUGAAGAUACAAAAACAUAAAAUAAAAGUCUUGUUCAAAAACUAUUAUUGAAAACAACAUGAAAAAUGAGGUUUUUUCACUUAGAAAUAUACAUUUGACAAACUUUUGAUAUAAAACAAUUUAUUUUUAGAAUUUAUUCUUCAAAUAAGUUAUUUUUCAGAACAAAAUUGAUUUUUUUUUUAAUUUUUUCACAAUAAUUUAAAUAAAAAUUGAAGAUAUAGAUAAUAUAUAUUUUGGAAAAUUUUGUAUCGUAUUUAAGUGUACAAUUCCUUUGGAAAGAAUAAAUCGAAAUGGGUAAUUGCAAUUUUCAAAAAUUGUUUUGAAGAAUUAUUUUCACAAAUGUUAUCAAAUGAGCUCAAAACUUUCUACAUCAUUUAUAUUAAUCUUGAGUUCAAUAAAAAUCUUUCCACAAUUGAAAAGAGAAAAAAAAAAAGUUAAUUAGUUGGUUAAUUUUUACAAUCCUAAAAAAGAAAAUUAUAAAAAAUAAUAAUAUUUAAAAAAAUUUAAAAAAAAAAUUCACUAGCUAAAAUAAAAAUUCACUAUCAAAAUAAAAGAUUAUCUAUUAUUUUUCUAUUUUUGACUUAUAAUCAAGAAUGUUCAUAUAAUUUCUUUUACAAUAACAUACUAAAGUAGAAAGAUAUUAAAAUGGAAAAAGAAAAUGAUUAACAAUAAAAUUCAUAAAAAGAAAUGAAAAUUAAGAAGAUUUUAAUCCACUUGAAAUUUAUUUCAACGAAAUAGUAUUGCAUUUAAAUUAUUGAAGGUCAUACCAAUUUAUUUUCUUCCUUUUUUAAUACUUAAUUUUGUUAUCAAACGGUGAAAAAAUUACUAAUCAAGGAAAAUGAGAAAAGAAAAUAUUUUUCUUGAAAGUUGAUGAAUUUGUUAAGAAAUGAAAACAAAAGGUCUUUUAUGGGAUACUUUAUUAAAUUAAAUUAAAAACUUAAUUUAAAUCAUUAAAUAAAUUAAGUAUGUUUAGUAAAAUAACAUAAUGGUAUGAUUUAAAAUAAAUAAAAAACUUUAAAUGAUAAAUAAAAAUAAUUAACUUAUUCUUAAAUUCAUAUUUUUAUUUUACCUUUUUAUCCUAAUUUUCCAUAAUUACCUUCACAAUUUCCUUUACUAUUCCACGAUCUUUACUUUUACACGAUCUCCUUUACCCUAGUUAUAAUUUAUGAGGAUAAAUAUGUCAAUUUGAUCAUUUAUAAUUAAUCAUAAGUUAGUUUUGUAAAACAAUCUUCAUACUUAAAAUAAAAAUUAAGUAAUAAGUUUUAAGUUAAUAAUUUAACUAAAAGUCAACUUAAAUAAUUAAGUAAUUAGUAUUAAGUUUUAUCAAUUUGGGUGACCAAUUUUUAUUGAAAAUAAAAAACCAAACAAAAGCUGAUCAAUACAAAAGAAAAAAAAAUGAAUGGUAUGAAGUAGACAUUUUGUCUUUAUGAGAUUAUUGAUGGAAGUGUAAUAGACUAUAAACAAGUCUAUGAGAAUCAAUUCCAAUGAGUCCUAAAACACAUCUAUGAGAAAUAAAAUAAAACCAUGACAUAAAGAAAUGAUAUUUAAGUGUUAAUAAAUAGGAAUCGGAUACAUAUAAAUAAAAUUUAGAUUGAUUAUAAAUGAAAUUAUUUUUAUUAUGUGGUUGUUUUUAAUGGACCACCAAUUUUUAUUUUUAUUUAUUUUUUUAUAUUCCAUAGAAAAAUUACUUUCCAAUACCAUAGAAUCACCCUAAUUUCAAAUUGAGAUUUACUAUCUUAAAUUUUAAAUUUUUAAGGGCAUGAACUAAAUCUAUAUUUUUUGUUAAGAAUUUCUAUUCUUUAUAUGGAAGUUUUUAUCAAUUUUUAUUUUUAAAAACAAAAAAUAAGUACUUAGAGUACCUUUGACAAUAAUUUUAAGAAGUCUUUCUAAUAUUUUAAAUACUUGAAGAAUAAAAAAUUUUAUUUAUUGAAACAAUUGAAAAAUGCACUUUUAGUAUGUAAUGAUAUUAAUUUCUUCGAAGAGAGAGAUUUACAUUUAAGAUAAAAAUAAAUAAAUAAAACAAUACAAGGAUAAAAAAUUAUUUUUAAAAAAAACUUUUAACUUCUUGUACUUUAUCAUUACACACUUUUUUCAUUAGAUGCUUUAAAUAAUUUUUAUGAAAUAAAAUUAUAAUUAUAUUGAUGGAGGGCUAAUUAACUUUGCUUUAGGUGAGAAAGAUAGAGAUAACAUUGAAGUGGGUCCACAUCUAAAACAAAAAUGAAAUAAAAAGUAAAGAUGAAGAUAAGGUUGAGGUGGGUUCACAACUAAAAAAAGUAUGAGAUGAAUUGACCAAAGCUUAUGCCUUCUUCCAAAUAGUAAAAGCAAAGCCCAAUAGUAUAAAGUGAUGACACUAGUCCUAUUCAAGGCCCCACUUGCAUAAUUGCUACAUCUUUUGACUUGAUUUUAGUUCAAUUUCACUAAAAUGAAAUCAUUUAUUUGAGCCCAAAAAUUCAAAUCCAAAUCCAACCCACUUAUUUAUAUACAUUAUUGGCAUGGAAUCAGAAGAGUUAUAAAGUAAGAAAAUUUGAUCAUAUGAUAAAUAGUAAUUUUUCAAAGUUGGAGCCAAUCCAAUACCCAAUGGGUAUAAAAGAAAAAUGAAAGAUGUGGAAAUUAUAGUGGAAUCUUGAAACAAAAUUUUGAGGUUUAAAGUGAUGUGACAACCGUUUCCAAGUAAUUGCCUAAGAAUGUGAGAUGUCAUUGAAAAUUGAUAUUAAAUCUCAUUGGGUAACUAUAAGAAUUGCUUUACAUAAAGACAAGUAAUAAAUAUAUCCUGUUUUUUCAAAAAGUUUAUGACCCUAAGUGAAUAAAAUGGUGAAUAAAACUUUUAGAGUAGGAUGAAUGCAUUUCACGUGAGUCAUGUCCUAGAUAUAUUUUUAGAAUUUUCUAGUAGGAUGUCGAGGAAAACUCUAUGAUGAGUGCUUUCUUUCUAGUUAAGGUAGGUCCAAUUUGGUGCAAUUCGCCAACAUAAUUCAAACCCAACUUAUGUUUUAGGGAUUUGAAUUGAGUAAAAUCAUAUUUAAAUUAAAUUAAUCAUAUGAAUCUACAUAACCCAUUUAAUAAAUAGAUUAUUUUUAGGUCAAUCUGGAUAACUCACAUUUGACUCAAAUUAACUUAUUUAAUAAUGGUAUUGGUUAACCUAAUAAUAACUUUAACUUAUUGAACUCAUAUUUGACUCAUGUAAAUUUUUUUUCUUCAAUAAGUAUGUCAUAAUUGGGUCAUAAACAUGUCAUAUUAGAAUAUUAACCAUAUUAUUUCAUUCAACAUUUAACUUGACUUGAUUAUGAAAUAACAUCUUAUUAUUAAAUCGGUUAAACCUGUUAUAAUGUAUCACCUAGAUAAUAAUUAUAUUGUGUUUGAGUUUAUGUUUUAAAUUUUUAUUAUUAUUCAUGUCAUGUUUGGGUUGAGUUAUUUAGUGGAGGAUCUAACCUUUGAUAUAACACAAACACAACCCACUAACAUAAAUUGUCAUCCUCACUUCUACUAAUAAGUGAUUUGUUUCUUACAAUUAAGAAAAUUGAGAAGAUAUAAUUUUUUUUAUAAAUCUUAAAUGCAUGAUUAAAGUUAAUUAUAACUUUUAAAAGUUUUCUAAUUCAUAUUCCAUCCAAACUAACAAAAUAUUAGAAAUCUUCAAUGGUUUUGUCUACAAUAAUUGUGUUGUGCUAAAUUAUCCCCUUCUCUACUAACCAAAACAUGUUCUUUCACAAUCAAAUAUCAACAUGUUUAAGCAGCCGGUGAGGCAUCUCUUGACAAUGAGGUGAGAGGUAGAAACAAGAAACAUACCUGUAUUCAAGAAAAGUGUUGUUUCUUCAUUUGCAUUAGACAACAUUCAUUUAGUCUAAACUUGAAGGUGGAUUGCUAGAAUCUAAGCUCUUGGAAAGACAUAAGAGAACUACAUUUAGAAAUAUGAAAGAAGCCUAGAGACUUGUUGCUACUUGUGAAUCACUGUAAUCAGAAACAAUUCCAGAUAAUCCUGCAAUUUUGGCCCUUUGAUUUGCUCUGUUGCAUUUUUCCAAGAACAAUUCUAAAAUGUUUUUCUUUAUUGAGCUAUAAUGAUUUUAUUAUUAGGAUUUAAUUAUAUUCAUUAGGUUUGCAAAUCACAAAAAUGGUGUCGUGCCUAUGAAUAUUUUUCUCUUUGAUCAUGUAAAGUUGGGAAGCAAUUAUGAAAUACUAUGAUAGCACAAUAUAUUGAUCCACACAGUUUGUGGCAUGACAGUUUAAUGAAAUUAUAGAAGUGUAGCACUCAUGGGUAUGUCAUGUGAACCGUUUUCAAUGGGGCUACUUGUUUAAAUUUACAUGGGUGAAUUGUCACACCAAUAUCCUUUGAUGAACCUUGGGUUUUUUUUUUCUGUUUCUUCCUCUCUUGGUCAAGACAAACAAUUUGUCUUCAUAAGGACUUCGUGUUACCAAUAAGCAGCAUCUUGUGUUCUCCUUCUCUCCAUCCCUUGUCAAGACACAUCAAUCUGAUGCAUCUUUGCAUUGGGUUGCUUCCUCUCCUUUCCCUUUCCUUCCUCCUUGAGGCAAAAUCGCAUCAUUGCUUAGUUUUGACUAUGUUUAUUUUGAUCAUUGUGAGAGAGCAUCAUUGUAAGAUGAACAAGAAACGUGUUGUGGUGCAUUAUUCCCUCCUCUACCACCUAAAAUCUAUUUUACACGAUCAUAAGGACCAAGGUGUUUUAAACAUCAGGUAAGAAUUUGUUGACAAUGAUAUGAGAGAUAGAGACAAGCAACAUACCAGUAUUCAAAAGACGUGAUGUUCUUCUUUUGAAUUUGACAACAUUCAUUUAAUCUAAACUCCACAUUUGGGCAACUCAGAAUCUCCACCUUCAUUAGGAUUGCAGGAAGCUGGCUUCUUGGAAAGACAUGGAAAUGGGGCAUCUAGAAAUCCAAAAGAAUUCUAAAGGCUUGUUACUACUUUUGAAUCAUUCCAAUUAAUAACAACUCUAAAAGAUAUAAACAAAUCUGUCCCUGGGAAAGAGACGUGUCAUGUGCAUAUGCAACUAUCUCUCUAAUAGACUUAGGGUUGUGCACCCUCAUGGUAGUUUCUUAUAUAUUGCACCAUAUGAGUUAAAGAUAUUCAACUACCAAUAUCACUACACCUUAAUGAACUAGGAGUUAUGCUGAAAGUGAAGUUGACAACCCAUCAUCGAAAGAAUCCUAUAGGAAUACACCAAAAUGAAAAUCUUAUUAACAUAAAUGAAUUCAUCCAGUUAAAAGAUAAAGUUGCUUGAAAAAUUGAAUUGGGAGAGAUAGAAAUAUUAAUGCUUUCAUAGGAUUGUGGAAGGGGUCAACAAGUGGAACAAACAUUGAAUAGUAAAUGUAAAUCCAUAAAGCUUGUAACUAUUGUCAAAAGUUGCUCCCUAGUGAAGUUUUUUCACAAUAAAGGUAAGUGCAAAAUUCACCUAAUAGCUCCACUUGUAGAAAAUUUCAAUGGUGUGAAACUAGGAUAUGGUGAACUCGCUUCCGCUAUUGCAGUGAACCAUUAUGGAUCAAAAAUGAAUCUCACCAUUGGUUUUCACAUAGGAGAUGUGGGCUAUCUUUGGCCCAUAUCUCAAUAUUGGAUUUAGGAGUUCUGUUUCUCAUAUAUGGUUCCACUUGCAAAAUACAAAUGGAGCUUAGCUGAUGAUAACAAAUUUAGAAAAAUGCAAGAAUUCCAUAGACAUGUUUUAUGCUAUCAUGAAUCAUUCCAAUCAGUAAGGAAUCGAAGUGCUAUAAUUUUGAAUUGUCUUAAGGAACAAACCCCAAUUCCAUCUUGUGAAAGUAAACUAUCUUGAGCACCAACUCAAUUAUGAGUUCUUUAGGAGACUUGAGACACCAAUUCAAUCAAAGAUGCUAGUUGUUUCUGAGGUAGAUUGUCUUCCUCCAUUAAUACUAGGGAAAAUGCUUUUGAAGACCAUUCAUCUGCUAAUUACAAAGGGAAAUGAGAUUAUGUGAUCUGGGAAGAGAAUUAAGCUUCAAAAUAUUGCCAAUAUGCAACCAACAAUUUCUAAUUCUAUCACUUCUAUUCUAGCAUGUGAUUUGUGAAGAGAAUUAAGCUUUGAAAUGUUUCCAAUAUGCAACAAAUUGAGAGAGGCCAAGUGGGCAACCACCAUAGCUAGUUCACAAACAAAACAUGUUUCCCACAAUCAUAAAUACCAAGGUGUUUAAGCAUGAGGUAUGGCAUCUCUUGACAAUGAUGUGAGAGAGAGACAAACAACAUACCAGUGUUCAAGAGAAGUAGUAUUCUUCUUUUCCAUUCGACAACAUUCAUCUAUUCUACAUCCCAAAUUUUUAGCAACUUAAGAUCUCCACCUUCAUUAGGAUUGCAGGAAGCUAGCCUCUUGAAGACACGAGAGAACAUUUAGAAAUCUAAAAGAAUUCCAAAGACUUUCUGUUGCUUGAAUUGUGAAUCAUUCCAAUCAUAAAUACCAAAGUAUUCUAAGAUCAGGUAAGACAUCUCUUGAUAUUGAUGUGAGAGAUAAAGACAAGAAACAUACCAAUAUUCAAGAGAAAUAGUAUUCUUCUUUUGCAUUUGACAACAAUCAUCUACUCUAAACCCCAAAUUUUAGCAACUUAGGAUCUCCACUUUCAUUAGGAUUGCACGAAGCUGACCUUUUGGAAACACAUGAGAGGACAUUUAGAAAUCUAAAAGAAUUCCAGAGACUUGCUAUUGCUUGAAUUGUGAAUCAUUCCAAUCAUAAAUACCAAGGUGUUUCAAGAUCAAGUAAGACAUUUCUUAGCUAUGAUAUGAGAGAUAGAGACAAGCAACAUACCAGCAUUCAAGAGAAGUAGUAUUCUUCUUUUGCAUUCAACAACAUUCAUCUACUCUACACCCCAAAUUUUAGCAACUCAGAAUCUCCACCUUCAUUAGGAUUGCAGGAUGCUGGCCUUUUGGAAACACAUGAGAGGACAUUUAGAAAUCUGAAAGAAUUCUAGAGACUUGUUGUUGCUUGAAUUGUGAAUCAUUCCAAUCAUAAAUACCAAGGUGUUUCAGGAUCAGGUAAGGUAUCAAUUGGCAAUGAUGUGAAAGAUAGAGACAAGUGACAUACCAUUAUUCAAGAGAAGUAGUAUUCUUCUUUUGCAUUCGACAACAUUCAUCUACUCUACACCCUAAAUUUUAGCAACUCAGGAUCUCCACCUUCAUUAGGAUUGUAGGAAGCUGGCCUCUUGGAAACACGUGAGAGGACAUUUAGAAAUUUGAAAGAAUUCCAGAGACUUGUUGUUGCUUGAAUUGUGAAUCAUUCCAAUCAGUAACAACCCCAAAGCCCUAUAUACAAUUUUGAACUGUCAACCUUCUUACAUUGAAUGAAAAACCUAUCCCUAGGAAAAAGGUGUCUUGGGCAUACAACCAUCAAUUAUUAUCUCUCGAAGAGGCUUAAAGUAGUGCACCCUCUUGGUAGCUUCUAAUUCAUUACAUCAUAUAACUUCCAGAUAUCCAAUUGACAUGUCACUACACCUAAAUGAAGUAGAAAACAUGGUGAAUAGGAAGUUAGACAACCUUUCACAAAAAGAAUCCUGCAACAAGAAUACACCAAGCAGAACUUCUUGUUAACAUAAAUGAAUUCACUCAGUUAAAUUAUUGUGUUAAAAUUUAAAUUGGGAGAAAUAAAAAUACUAAUGCUUACAUGGGACUAUGGGAUGACCAACAAGAGGAACAUACUAUGAAUAGAAAAUGUGAAGCCAUAAAGCUUGUAAUUGUUGUUAGAUGCUGCUUCCUAGUCAAGUUUUCAACAAAAAGGUUGAGUGUAGGGGUUCUCUAGUAGUUGAACUUGUAGAAAAUUUUAACAGUAUGAUAAUUUAUACUUGUAACAAGAAGAUAAAAUGUAAGAAUUAUGUGUUGGGAAUAGAUGAAACUUACUAAAUAUAUGGAUAGGAUAGGGUGAACCCUCUUUGCUUCCAUUUUUGGAAUCCAAAUUAUUAUGGAUCAAAGUUGGAUUUCUCCAUCUAUUAAAUACAACUAGAGCUUAGGUGAGGUUUUGGUGAUAUAGGAAAUUCAUGGAUUCUGGAAUCUUUACAUGGAAAUAUACAUGAGUGAUUCAUUGGAAGAAAGGGCAAGCCUUAGUCAUAUGAGAAGAAACAAAUCUUAAAUAUACUAUCAAUCUUGAGUUGUUUGAGAGUGGUGAGUCUGUGAAGGCCUCCCUCAGAUAAGGGAUGUCUUUGACAUUUCUCCUUCUUCAAUCUCAAGAAGGUACACCAUCAACUAGAAAAUUAGGAAUGUGAGUCAUCAUGAACAACUUGUUUAUGUUCUUUAUUCUUUUCUCACUAAAGGGGAUUAAAAGAUAUGUAGUUGCAAGGACAAGAGAUGUAGCCAGUAGUGAGAGCAUCAAACAAUCCUUCUCUAAUGCAGACCAUAAAUUUUAGCAACUCGUGAUCUCCACAAUUUAGAGCAUUGAAGGAAUUUUCCUUGUUGGAAAGAUGUGACAUGACAUUUAGAAAUAUGCAAGAAUUCCGGAGUUCAUUCCAAUCAUUAAGGAAUCCAAAGCCCUAUAAUUUAAAUAGGGCAUCCCCUCGGCAUGGAUAACACACCUAUCUUGGAAAAAAGACUGGGCACCAAUUCAAUGAUUAACUCUCUAUGAAACUUGAGAUACAAGGUACUAAUGUUAGUUGCUUCCGUGGUAGUUCUUUUACUGGUAUUGGGGUAAAGCCUUUUGAAAACCCUCAAUCUACAAAUUACCAAGGACAUGAGAUCAUGUUGUAAUGUCAUCUCCAAUCUCUAGCUACAAACAAAUUAUUUCUUUCAAUUAACAAUCUUUAAUGCAUUCACUUCUAUCAUACGAUAAGCAAUUUUGGAAAACAAGUAAGCUUUAUAAUAUUAGGAAUAUGCAAGGAAUUGAUAAAGGCCAUGAAUCUGCUUUCAAAAAAUAAAUUAUAAAAACAAAGAUUUUUUCACCCAUGAAUAUUGUAAUCAGCUUCCAAAAAACAUUAGGUAUUGCAAUAACCAAAUGUUCCUCAGGUUACCAAGAAUGUUUUUUUUUCACCCAUGCAUAAAAUAAAAAGAAAAUAAGAAAGCAUACCAUACAACUCACAAAUUUGUCAAGUAUGAGUUCGAUUCGUGACCAUGCACAAUUGCAUUAAGUAUUUGAAAGCCAAAUAAGGCUAUUUGCAAUUCAAAUAAUACCAUACAACUCACAACAGAAUCCUCAUAGCUCACCAUAGAAUGAGAAUUCAAUUGUCUUUCCUCUAGUCAUAAGAGUUUGUGCUCUUCGAGCCUUUGACUUGCACAACUCAAGAAAGCAAGACAUGCCAAAAGACUCCUUCACCUCAAACAUUAUUCAAAUCCAUAGUAUAAAUCUAGAUAAGAUAAUUUUCUACAAAUAUAACAUGUUGCAAACAAAUAACAGUAUGUUGGUUUAAAAUUGAAGAGCAUUUCAAACCAAACAAAAUAGAAAAAAUUUCAGUGUAUAUCACUCACCUAAAAGCUUGUAUGUUGGAUAAAAUUCUUGCUAAUGAAUCUUGACAAUUAUUUGCAAUCAAAAUUUAGUAAUGAUUUAUAAACAAAAAAAAAAAAUUACAAAUUUUUUUAGCAAUGUUCCAUGAAAAACACAUUGCAUAUUGAUUGAGAAAUUAAUAUGAAAUCCACUAAUUUGAAAGGCACUAAAAACCAGAUGUUGUCUUGAGUUCUCCACGUAUCAAAAUAGAUGCAAGUUUCUAUUCAAGCCACCACAAUCACGAAGCACGAGACUUCUUUGCAUGGAAAGCACACUAUAUUUUAAACAAGGUUCUUAACUUUCCAAGAGACAUAAGAACAUGGUGUGUUGUAGAAACUGUACAAUAAAUAAAUGGAAGUUAUGCACUUGCUACUUAGUUUUUUAAUCAUGUGUGAAAUAAAUAAAGAGGUGUUACUUGCAUUUAGGCCAAACUUGUAGUCUCCAAUGUGAAAUCCAAAUCUCAUUUUGUCAACAGAAUAAGAGCAUUAAACAUAUAGCAAAUUGAAUCCUUCCUUUUGAAAAUUUGAAAACCUUAAAGGAAUGACUUGAGAUCAUAAAUAACUAUACGGUAAAGAAAAUUUUCAUCAUUCAUUCUAAAAGGAAAAUUUGUCAUUUCCUUGAUUACAGAAGAUUGAUAUUUUAACAUAAAGUGUACUUAUUAAGGUAAAAUUUGUGCAUUAUAUAUUGAAUUAGAAAAUUGUAUUUAAAUCCGGUUAGAAGGGUAUCACAAAAGAUGCUUAAUUGAAAUGAAGGCAUCCAUGCCAAUUUGAAACUAUCGUCAAAUAACACCCUCCCUUGUCAUUUUACGUCCCAUGCUUGCUUGUCAAAUCUCUAACUAAGACUGCUCAAAGAGCACCUAAAGAAAAUUACGAAGAUUUCAUUACAGGUAGAACUUAAGAUGCUUACAUUGACCAUGGGAGAGAUCGAUAAGAAACAAAAUACUCACCUAUAAGUUUGUAACUAUUGUACUCAAAACUUGCUUCCUAGUCAAACUUUCAACAUAACUCCAUGGAGACUUCCAUAAAUUGUUGAGCCACUGGUAAAACACAACAUCAAUAUGAGAAAUUUACAAGGCUAUGUAGAUAAAAGAGUAAGAAAUGUGUAUUGAGAAUAAGAGUUACCUUAAUGAAUGUAAGGAUAGGAUAGGGUUGAAUUGGCUCUACACCCAUUUUUGCAAUUUGAAUUUAUUAUGGUUCAAAAAUGAGUUUAUGACGUAUCCUCAUUUUAGGGGAAGCGGGCAAUCUAGGGUCAAUCUCUAUCAUUCUCCUUGAAACAUCUUUGAUUUCAAAGUUUGAUAAAACAUAGAAGACAUCCUUUCACUUGACAAGGAGGACUAGAACAAGGCAUCCCUCAAUCUCUACAAGUUAAAGAAAUGAAGUUUUGAAGACCAAGGGAGGGGGCUAGGAUUCCAGAUUUGACAUUAUUUUCAUUGAAAGAUCAAAGAGAGUUGUAGCAAGAAAUCCUGUCAAAAGGAAAUUGCAUUUAACAAUAUACAAUAUAAAAUGAAUGAACUGAGUUUUUAGAGAGGUGAAUAUUUGGAGGCUCCACAAAGAUAAGGGAUUUUAAUACCCUUGCAAGUGUAUUCUUGAAAUUGUUUCCUCAAAGGAAACUUGAACCUGGACAAUGUGCAACACAAAGCUAUUAAAGAGAUGUGAGACUCUAAAUUUGAUGAGGUAGGACUUGAGAUUCGCAUUUUCUUUAGUGAGGAAUUCUGAGGUUGUAGACACACUAGUACUUUCCAGAUUUAGAUACUUCUCUUCAACUAUUUGUAUAACGUACAUCUUCUUUGACAUUGCUACUCCAACAGGAUGUCCAAUAGGAUGUGCAACCUAUUUGGGCAUACUACAUGUACAACAAAAAAUUUCAUUAAAACAAAAAACUUUUACUAAAACAAAAAUAUGAAGUUAAUGUCUAAGAAGAUAAGAUUUAUAUAUAGUGAAUUAUCAUGAUUGAUUUUAGCACAAAGGGAAUGACACCAAAAGUUUUAAGAAUAUCACCACCACAAGUACCUAAUUUGCAUCAUUAAAAAUUCCACAAGGAUUUGAUGGUUAGGCAAUAAAAUAAUUCUAGUAAAUGAGUUAAAAUCAGUUGAGCUAAGAAAGAUUAAAUCCAAAUAAGCAUCAAUCAUUAAAGAAUUAACCAACUACGAAAGACUUCAAAUGACUUUUUUUCUGUAAUUUCUGUUCCUAAUUGGCCCCAUUUGCUUGUACCAAAAUAUUAUUAAUUUGCUUUAAAGGAAAUGGGUGACUCAUAUCUCUGAAAGAAUGUGAGAGGUGGAAAUCCCUCGAUCUCUAGUGAUUCAAGAGGAUAAUUCCUAUGGCUAUUGUUGCCAUCAUACAUCAUUCAGCUAGCUAUAGACCACAAAAUUGAACAAUCAUGAAUAUGUAGAUGCUUAAAUAUGGUAUGUACUUUAUCUAGUGGAAAAGCUUAUGAGACUUGGACAUCUCAAGAUUUCCACAAAUUGAGACAGAUACAAGUUGUUGCUUCCUAUUAUAAUUUAUUUGGAUUGCAAUCAUCAAGCACUAACUCCAUUCACUGCAUGUUUUGAGCCUUCAACAUAAAACCCAAAUUCCAUUCUAUCAGCCAAAAAAAAAAAAUCACUACUAACUCCUCUGGAAACCAUUUUAUGUUGCUAAGAUUAUAAAAUGUAGGAUUUAACUUACUUCCAUCAUUGAAAAUGAAUUGAUAUAACUUUACAAUACUAGUAUAUUCAGCUUUUGACAUGGCUGAAAUUGAUCCUGGAAUAAAAAAUCACAUACACAAGUAGAUAUUUAACAGAAGAGGAUCCAAAAUCUCUUCAAUUGAUUAAUGUAUAAAUGAAUUAUUCAAAAUUUUUUGAGAUAAUUAUGGGGAGAUGAACCUUGUAUCUCUAAGUUUCUUAUUCUUCUUAAACAGAGCAAUGAGCAUCAAGUGUUGAGCACCUAGGAAUCUCCCUUCCUCCACAGGCAAAGUCUGAACAAUCUAUCCUUUCUUCAUAUUCCACUUCCUUGCAAAAGUCAAAACAUGAAGAAAAUAUCAUCAAAAUUGAGACAAAAAUAAGUGCAUCAACUAUCUCAAGAAGAGAUUUAUGCCUAUUGCUUACCUUUUGAAGAAGGCCACUUGAUUAGAGCACAUUUUACAUGGACGCCCAAUCACUGCAAGCUGCUGAACCAAAGGAGAGUUCAAACAUCUAAAAAAUUUGAAAAACUCAAGUAUCAUAAAAUACUUCAUAUGAAUUCUAAAUGAUCUCAUAUCUAAAAAACAUUGGCAUAAAAUUAUUGUUGUUUACCUUACAUGUUUCUUCCAUGGUCAUAAUCGAAACUUUGUUUAUCAUAAGAAAUCUUCUAUGCUCAUCUUGAUAACUUACAAUGAACACUGAAAUGAAAAGAAAAAAAAACACAAAAAAUGAUGAUUAGUUUGGUUUGAUAAAUUUAGCACACAUAAUUUCCUUUUUCUUGCAUGAGAAAGGAAAGAGUAAUAUAUAUAUAUAUAUAUAUAUAUAUAUAUAUGAAUUUAAUAAUUUUUUAAAAUUAGUAAUUAUAAAACUAUUUUGGUUCUCAAAAAAUUUAUGGGAAAGUAGGGAAAAAAAUUAUGAACUUUUUCUCUUGUUUGAUUAUUUAUCGAAAAAUUGAGGGAAAAACAAAAAUCUAUGAGAAAUUUAUUUAACACUUUUGAGGAACCAAAAAUGUUUUAGAUGUUGUCAAAUCGGUAAUUUAAAUGUGUUUAAUUCCAAUUAUUUGAGUUUAAUCAAACACAUGAAAUUGUGAAUAAAAUUAUUUAAAAGCAUUGAAAUUCAAGUCAUUAAAGUUGUCCAUAAAAUUUGGUUUAUUGAAACAAGAAAAAAACAAAGCAAUUUGAAUAACUUGCUAAUAAAGCAACUAACUAGAAUAUGCCCUAGAGUUGUUCAGUGCCCUCUAUAUAAGAAAUAAACAGAGAACACAAAAAAAAAAAAAACCCAGAAAAAAAGCAAACAAAAAACAGAGAACACUUCUUACGUUAUUUUUUCUUAAUUUUUCAACAGUUAUAAAUGAUUCAUUUCAUUUUUGCAAACUGCCAAAUCAAAAUAGAGCAUGAAAAUGUGUUCAAUAUUUGUGUCACCGUUUUUCCGGUAAAUGACCUCAUUGGAACUACAAUAAGUGAAGUGAUCAUGUCAUCUAAUUAGUAAACCAAACCAAGUCAAUAAACUAGAACUUCCUCUAGUAUAGCCUCUGUGUAAAAGAUAUUUAAAGGUCUUGAUACAUUAGAUAUUGAAUUUGUUGGACCUGGCAAGGUAGAAGUAGUAAUGCUCAUUUUUAUUGUGACAGAUUAUAGAGAAAAUUAGACACUGAGAAAAUACCAAGCCAGGAGCCAUGUCAAGAGCUGCUUUCUUGUUAAAAAUUAAGUCCAAUUAGAAAAUUAUAGUAGCGCGUAAGAGAAAUUGAAAGUGGUGUUGAGAAGAGAAAGAGGAAGAGUGAUGUGUUGGGAAUGAGAUGUAAUACCUUAUUUAUUACUCAGAUGGAUUAGUCAUCUAUCACCACUAGGGGUCUCCAACGGGCGGGCCGGGCCGUAAAUAGGAGGCCCGCGGCCCAGCUCGGGCCGGGCCUAUGGGCCCGUUGACUGGUCAACAGGCCGGGCCGGGCCGGGCCAGGGAAAAAUCUUCGGCCCGCGGCCCGGCCUAUGAGCCCGCGGGCUGGGCGGGCUGGGCUGCGGGCCGGGCUGGCGGGCGGGCUGGCGGGCCGGGCUGGGGGCGGGCUGGCGGGCCAAGCCUUGGGCUUUUUUAAAUAAGCCAAAAGGCUUUAGAAAUGAAUGGAGAGGGGGGGAUUCGAACCCCUCCCCUCAUGGUUCAAAGUAAAGGCUCUAACCAACUGAGCCACAUUACUUUUGUGUUUAAUGUUAGAGUUAGUUAUAUAUAUAUAUAACAUAAAGUAUAUUAUUUUUUAAAAAAAAAUUAAAGGCUCCAACGGUCAUGUGACCGUUGGAGCUCCAACAGUCCAACCCAUGCUCCUAGCUGCCAUGUGACCGUUGGGCAACGGUCACAUGGCCAAUUUUUUUUUUUUUUUUUUUUUAAAAAAAACCUUCCUAUAAAUACAUCUUCUCCCUUUUCAUUUUUUCAUCAAAUUCUCUCUAUUUCUCUCUCUAUUUCUCUCACAUUCUACAAUAUUUCAAUUUUUUUUAUUUUUCCCUCAAAUUAUACAAUAUUGUUGGUGGUGCAAAACAAGCAUUGGUGGCUCCAAGAGUUCAAAUUUGCUAGGAAUUUCUGCAUCGGUUCUCUAAUUGAGUAACAUACUUCACCUCUACUACUUUAUUUUUUUGUUACAUUUUUUUUUAUAUUUAUUACUUUAUUAUUUUUGGCAUAAUAUUUUAUCAAUAAUUAUAAUAUGACAACAAGUGCUUCUUCAUCUAGUCCAUGUGAUGAAAUAUCAUCAAACAAAAAAUUUACUUCAAAUAUAUGGAAUUUUUUUGAUAGAGUAGAAAUAAUUUUAGAAAAUAAUAAAAAAGAAAUAAAAGCAAAAUGUAAAAUUUGUAAUAAAUUUCUUACUGGUGGCUCAAAUGCAGGCACAAGUCAUUUAAAAAGACAUCACGAAAAUUGUAAAACUAAAAAUAAUGUAGAUAUUAGAAAUUAUAUGCAAUUAGGUAAAAAUGAAAGUGGAAAUUUAAAAACAUUUUCUUAUGAUGAAUCUAACUGUCGUGAAGAAAUGAUUGAUUAUAUAAUAAGAGCAGAACAACCUUUCAACAUGAUGGAAACUCAUGAUUUUGUAGGAACAAUUCAACGAGGUAUUAAUCCUCAAUUUAAAGGUUGGUCUGGAAAUACAGUUAAAAGAGAUAUUAUGAAAAAAUUUUAUACACAAAAAGAAAUUUUAAAAAUUUUUUUUGCAAAUUUUGAAGGAAAUAUUUGUUUAACAUCUGAUAUUUGGACAUCUUUAACUCACACUGGUUUUUUAUGUAUAACUGCUCAUUACAUUGAUAAUGAAUGGAAAUUAAAUAAAAGAAUAAUUUCAUUUAAAUUAAUAAAUGCUCCACAUAGUGGUAAAAAUAUAGCAGCUUUAAUAAAUGAAGAAAUUAUAAAUUUAGGCCUUCGUGAUAAAAUAUUGACAGUAACAUUAGAUAAUGCUGCUAAUAAUGAUGCAGGAAUAAAUAGACUAAAACUAUAUUGGCAAGUAAAAGAUGAUCAUGCUAAAAUAUUUCAUGUGCGUUGUUGUGCACAUAUUUUAAAUUUAAUUGUAAAGGAUGGAUUAAAAAAUGUUGAUGAUACAUUGGAAAAAAUUAGAGGCAUUGCAUAUAGUAUUAAUAGUUCUCAAGCAAAACAUGAAUUAUUUUUUGAUUGUUGCAAAAUGUUAAAUAUGAAAAGAAAAAAUAUAAAUUUGGAUAUGGCCAUUAGAUGGAAUUCCACAUAUAAACUUUUACAAAAUAUUACAAAAUAUAGAAAAGUAGUCGAAUUAUAUGAAAUACAAUUACUUAACAAUGAUUGUGAUGCAGAUAUUGAUGCAUUAAGUGAUUAUGAUUGGCAUGUUGCGGAUCUUUUAAGAGAUCUUUUUGAAAUUUUUGAUACUUCAACAAACAUUUUUUGUGGUGUAUAUUAUCCAACUUCAAAUCGAGUUAUUAUGCAAAUAACUAAUAUUUUUAUUGUACUUCAAAAAUAUUUAAGUUUUGAAAUAUUUAAUGAUACAAUAUUUGCAAUGAUAGAAAAAUUUAGAAAAUAUUGGGGAGAAAUACCUUUAAUUUUUUAUAUUGCUUUAAUUGUGGACCCUAGAUUGAAAUUUGAAGCUUUGGAUGAAUGGUUAACAAUUAUUUAUUUUAAUGACCAAAUAAAAAUUGAAGAAAUUAAAAAUGAAAUAAAUUCAUUAUUAUAUAAUUUAUAUAACUAUUAUAAAGAAAAAUAUGGUAAUGAUAUUAAUACUAAUAAAUUACCACCUACAUCUACAAACUCCUCAUCUUUUUAUAAAGGAGCUCUAGAAAUGUUGAAAAGUCGAAAAAAGACAACAAAUAGUUCUCCAAAUAAUACAUCUGAUUUAGAUAAAUAUCUUAAUACUGAUAUAAUUCCAUUUGAAGAUUUUGAUAUUUUAAUAUGGUGGAAAUCACAUCAACACAAAUAUCCUGUGCUUUCUAUAAUUGCUCGUGAUGUACUAACAGUUCCUGUGAGUACAGUUGCAUCAGAAGCUGCUUUUAGUGCAGGUGGAAGAGUUAUUAGUAAAAAACGAUGCAACUUAGCGCCAGACGUUAUUGAAGCAGGGAUAUGUGUAAAAGAUUGGGAAAUUGCAGAAAAAAGGAUGUACGAUUCCAUUCGAGAAACAGAGAUGCUUGUCGAUAUGGAAUCUUUAAAACUAUCAAGAUCUUCAUGGAUGCAUGAUAAUUCGCCAUCACCGCCAGAAAAUAAUGACUAAAUGUAUAUUAUAUUUUUAUUUUUAUUUUUUGUGGUUGAAAAAUACAAAUGAUUGACAAAUAAAUAGGUGCCAACCUAGUUGGGAUGUAUUUAUUUUGUAGUGAUGUAAAAUUUUCCCACAUUUUUAAAUGUAAUUAUACAUUCAAUGAAUAAAAUUUUGAAAUGAAUAUUUUUUUUAAUACUUUUUAUUUUUGUAGUUUUUUUUUUUAAAUGGGCGGGCCUAAGGGCGGGCCUACGGGCCGGGCCUACGGGCCGGGCCUACGGGCCGGGCCGGGCCUAAUUUUAGGCCCGCGGCCCGGCCCGCCCAUAAACGGGCUCGGGCCGGGCCGGGCCUAAAGCGGGCCGCGGGCCGCGGGCUUUUUGGAGACCCCUAAUCACCACACAGGGGAUGUGAGCAAUCUUGGGCCAAUCAUCUCCUUCCUCCUUCGAGUACCUUUGUGUUAGAUGUGGGCAACGCCACGCAUGCAGUCGAGAAAGGGUGUCAGGCAAUAGUCCUUCCCUUGGCAAAAUCGACCGGAGCUUAGGGCAACUUUCGAUUCCUAGUUGUUCAAGAGAGGUGAGGGUUUGGAGAGACAGGGAGGCUAGGGAUUCCAGAUUCUGGAAUUCUGAAAGGGAAAGGAAGGUGAUAAUUGUAGGAAAAGGAAUCGAGUGGGGGUCAUCCGAAAAGGAAGUUGCAUCUGGAAACAUGCCUCUAAUCCAGAGGUGUUUAAGAGAGGUGAGUCUGGAAAGGCCCCAUUGGGAUAGGGGGGUCUUGAUAUUCUUGCAGUUAGAGAUCUCGAGCCGUGUAAGACGGGUGAGCUUUUUUAUCUGAGGAAGCAACAAUUCCAGAUUUUCAAAAUCUGCAAUACGUAGAUUUGUGAGGGUGUUGAGGCAAUCUGGUAGGGUUUUGAGAUUAGGAUACCUCCAGAGGGUUAAAGAUUGAAGUGAAUUAUUAGUAGAGUGAAACAUCUCCUCUGAAAUUGACUCGAGGUGUUCACAAUCCCAAAUGUCAAGUCCCUCAAGGGUGGAGGGAAACUUGCCUCUUGGGAAGGAUGUGAGAGAUGAACAAUGACAGAUAGCCAGGCUUUGAAGAGCAGCAGCAUAUGUGGAAUCGUAGUGCAUUAUUCCCUCUGGUAGAGACUCCAGCUUUUCACAAUCACUUAUGUAGAGUGCCUUGAGAGUGAUGGGUAACCUACCUCUCGGAAAACCAAUCAAAGAGGGACACAUAUUUAGACUUAAGUAUUCAAGGGCACACAUGUCCAUGGUGCUGGUGGUGGCGAUGGAAUUGCAGUGCAUCAUUCCUUCUGGAAGAGACUUGAGAUUUUGACAAUCACGUAUGGUUAGUUUCUUAAGGGUGGUGGGUAAUUGCCCUUUUGGAAAGCAAAUGAGAGAUGGACACUUCCAUAUCCUUAAGCAUUCAAGGAGACACAAGUUGUUGUCAGUACUACCGUUCCUCAUCUUCAACAUCAUGCCAUCAGGUAGACGCUUUAGACCUUUACAAUUAUUAAGAAAAAGAUUUCUCAGCAUUGGUGGGAAACCUACAUCUGGAAAGAAGAUUGUCAAUUCUUCAAGGCAUGUUAGACUCUGCCAUCCAUUUGGAAGCCUCUCUAGUUUAUCACGUUUAAUUAUUUCCAAAGACUGAAGAUUGCAUCCCAAGGAUACAAGUUGAUCACAAUCUCUAAUCUCAAGAGAAAGAGAGUUUUUUGAUCCAAAACCAUCCUCCCACAAAUAUUCGAGUUCUUCACAUUCUGAUACUUCCAAAACCCGAAGCCCUUGCAAAAAUUGCACAAGUCCUUCAUGCAAUUUUACAAGCCUUGAAAUCCUAGAAAUUGUUAACCUGGUGAGUGAGGUGAGGUCAUUUCCACUUCUCAAGACCGCCUCAUUACAUCCUCUUACUUGCAAUUCCCUCAGCAGUGGAAGUCUUGAAAGUGGAGACUCCAAUUUUGGACAAAAGUGAACAGAGAGCUUUGUAAGAGAAGGUAGGUAAGUGGGUAGUUUCAUAAUCAAUUUGGGGCAAUACUUAAUUAUAAGCUCAUGGAGACAAGGGAAUAAUGACUCUGUUGAGGAAGACCAGUCCUCCCAGUGCUCCCAUUCUGACAUGCUCUCAAAAUGUAGAGACUCUAGUGAUGGGAAAAACUUACCUGCAGAAACACGAGUCUCUCCAUAAAACUCUGCACCCACUUUUUUUACUCCAACCAUUCCUUGGAUCCUCAACUGUUUGAGCGAUGGCAACUGCCCCAAGCAUGGUAAAGACGUGCACUUUCUGCAAUCUAUGAGACUUAGAUCCACCAUCUUAGAGAACAAGGCAUCCCCUAUCCAACGUGGGAAUUUUGGACCACCAUACAACUGAAUGCAGAGUUUGUUCAGAUUCAAACAACGUUGUAGAGAGUCAAGGACAUCCAUUUGAUUCCUUUCAUUCCCUGAACCAUCCAACUCAGAACUCCACUGCAUUAUCAAGCUUUCAAGGUUACGCUUUAAUUUUAAAUCGGCAUCCCUUGCAUCUUGAAUAUUCACCACAUUUUCCAAUUUCGAAAUGCAAAGUUCUCCUCGCAGAUGUGACACGUCCUUCAACUCUUUGAUUGUCAAACCUUUGUUUUUGUCCACAAUGAAAUUAGACAAUAUCCGCAAAUCUUUUAGUUUGUCAAUUCGUAUAGGCAUUUCUUGUAAUUUUAUUGCACCGGCAACAUCAAGAUGUCGAAGAUUGAUUAGGUUAUCGAUGCUAAUAGGCAACCUGAUAAGCUCUUUACAACAUGAUAAUUUCAAUGUCUGAAGGUAAAAAAGAUUACCAAUUGAAUCGGGUAACCAUUUUAUACUAAUGUAGGAUAAAUUAAGGUAUCUCAAAUGUUUCAACUUACCAAAUGAAUCCGGUAUCUCACUUAUCAUGUAAUUAGUCAAUGAGAGCACCCUUAAGUGCCCUAACCUUGGUAUCAAUUCUUCAAGCACCUUAUUACUUAUGAAGUGAUCAAGCCAUGUUGGUUGUUCAUCAAUCGGGAAAGCUAUGAAUGUGCGCAAGUGCUCCUUUUCAUGAAACCUUUCAAAAUUUUUAAAGAUAUCAUAAUGAUGAUGGAUGAAUGAUGAAUGACGAGCAUUUUUCAAAAAUGGGGCAUUGCAAAUCAUUCCACAACUCAUCAUCCAAAUGCAAGCAUGUGUCUCCAGCAAUAGAAUUAGCUAGACCGUUAAUAAGAUCAUGCAUAAUGAAUCAUGAUUUAUUGCUGCUCGACGAUUGGAAAAAUGACCUUGACAAUAGUUCACAAAAAUAAUCAUCACCAAGAUCUUCCAUUUUCUCAUCCUCAUUUGAUUGUUGAAUUAACCCCUCCGCCAUCCACAAGAGGAUUAGCUCUUCCUUCUUAAACUCGUAAUCUUGGGGAAAUAAUGCGCAAUAAGCGAAACACCUUUUUAAAGUGUAUUUCGAAUUUAAAUUAUUGCAAGUGUAUUUGCUUGACUAACCUUUUGAAUUACUCAAAUUUAACAAGUUGCAAAUAGGUCCCUUAGCUAAUCUUUUAAAUUAAUCUUGAUGUUGACAAGAAUCUUGCCGACCAUAAUUAUAAAAAGAGAAAUAAUUGAAGCUAAGUUGACCUAAUCUAGUUUAAUAAAUUGCAAGUCGGUGCCCUUACCUAAUCUUUUAAUUUAAUCUUCAUAUUGAUAAGAAUGAAGCCGACAAUAAUUAUAAAAACAAAAAGACGACAAGUUAAUUCUAUUGACUAAUUUUAUUAACUCAAAUUUAAUUAAUUACAAGUAAGUUUUCUUAAGUCUUAACUAACGUUUAAAUUAAUCUUGAUAUAUAUAAGAACCUUGCCAACUGUAAUCAUAAAAAAGAAAAGGCCGACAAACUAAUUUAAUUGACUAAUUUUAUUAACUUGAGUUUAAUAAAUUGCAAGUAGGUUAAUCUCUUACCUAACCUUUUAAAUUAAUCUUGAGAUCAAUAAAAAUUAUAAAGAUCAUAAUUAUAAGGAGGAGAAAAAGGCAAACUAGUUUGAUAUUUUUAAGGGCUUAAGCUAAAUUUAUACCUUUUAUACAAGAGUUCCUAUUUUUAUAUAAACGUUUUUAUCACUUUUUGUUUUUAAAAACAAAAAAUGAGAAGUAUAUCUAAACAAAUACUUAAUAUUGAAUGGUAUAAACUCCUACUCAUUUAAAUGAAAUAAAGAGAUAUUUUCAUUUAAGAUAAAAAAAAAUGUAAGGAUAAAAAAUUAAAAAACUUUUUAACUUCUUGUACUUUAUUAUUACAUUUUUUUCAUUAGAUGCUUUAAAUAUUUUUUAUCAAAUAAAAUUAUAAUGCUAUUGGUCGAGGGCUAAUUAACUUUGUUUAAGCGAGAAAGAUAUAGUUAAGAUUGGGGUCGAUCCACAACUAAAAGAAGAAUGAAAUAAAAAGUAGGAGAUGAAUUGAUCAAACCAAUGUCCCAAAAAUAGUCCUAUGCAUGGCUCUACUUGAAUAUCUAUGAUUAUGAUUAUUAUUAUUAUUAAACUAAUCUUAACUUUAAGUUAAAGAUAAUUUAAAAAUAUAUAUAACUUCAAAAAUUAUUUUCAAAUCUAGAGAGUUAUUUUGAACUAGCAAUUAAAAGAUACUUCUUCAAAAUCAUUUUUUCUUAUUAUACAUUUUAUCAUCGAGAACCGUUUCAAACCAUCUUUUUGGUUUGCUUUCACAAAAAUGGUUUUUUCCCCCUCCAAAAGAGCUAUCAAUGGAAGCGUUAUAGGCUAAAACCGUAUUUAUGAUAAUCAAUUCCAAUGGAUCCUAUAAGUUAUGCCAUUUUUAUGAAGUUUUUCUUUGGUUUUUAAUCUUUGUAUUAAUGCAUCAAUAAAUGUUUUAUUAAAGAAAUUACUAGUAUAAUAAAUGAUACAAGAUUGUACGUGGGUUCAUGUUGAUAGGACAAUGAGAUAAAAAAAUAUAAGGUGAAUACAAAUCUCCAUGCAUAAAUGAAGCAAUUAGCUUGUUCAAUAUAUUUAGCUUGAUGUAAAAUUUCCUUUUUAUUUUCCAAAUUCUUUAUAACAAUUGGCUUUCCCUCGUAGUACAAAAAAAAUAAAAAUCCUCCUUGCAUUAAUUUUUCUCCUAAAACAAUUUUUUUUAAAAAAAAUUAACUUUUCAAAAAUUAAAAGCUAUUAAAAACAUCUGCCUAUAAUAACCUAUAAGUAAAAGUUCCUUCAACUAGCCUAUUACUUUUUUGAGAGUUCAUAUGAAUUAUGUAUGGCCCACAGUUGGACUUUGAAGAGUUUCAAAGCAAUUUAGUUAAAAGAUAACAAAAAAAAAAAAAAUGAUAUGACAAAUAGUGAAAAUCACUUUGGAUUCCAAUAAUAUUUUCUAUCAAUAUAAUAUCUCAAUACAAUGUCUCCUUGGUAGGUUUAGUAUGAAAAUGAAUUAUUUUAUGAAUAUGACUUUGGAUUCCAAAUUUUGAACUUUCUAAUGCCUUAACAUAGUGGUAGGUGUCACACCCCUGAAGGUCACACCAAAUUUUUCACAAGUGCGCGGUGCUAAGGACCCUUCCUUAGCCAACCUUCCUUCCCAGCGUUUAGAAAAACAGAGUAAAAGCACAACAACAGUAAAUCAAUAGGGACACAAACGUUUACAAGAAACCUUUCCCAACUUGUAUUAAUUCACUCUACAAGACAAAAUUGUUCCUCUGAACCAGAGUACAAUGCUCACACCCAAGCAUUACGACAAGAACCCUUUUCCCCAAAUUCUCUCUCUCUCCGUUUCAAGGCUCUAGGAGCCCUUUUAAAAGACUUAAGCUGCACUUACAAAUUUGAAUUUCCAAAUUCAAAUGUUGGAGCCAAUAUGGUGGUUAUGCAACUAGCCAGAAUCACCCAUAACUGCCUUGCAUAACCACCCACCACCCAGAUAGUGGCCUGCACAUGCCACCCACUUGCACCAGCCAUCAGCCCUCAGCCAACUACAAGUCAAAUGACAGCUUGACUUAGUCACUUGCUGUCUGAGCUAGCUGCCACUAGCUAGCUACACUGCCAUCUUCUCAAGCCCUGCUCGCUAAGCUGCUGGAGAGUCCCCCUAACAAGCUGUCUCCUUCCCCGCAAGGUGCCUCUUGUGACUGGGUGCCCAUCAGCAUGUCUUUGAUCAAGGCCUUCUAAGCCAGGCAGUGUGCACCAACCAGCUGACCAAGCGUCUGGUGCAUCAGUGUGCCUUCCCCACACUAAUGUGUGAGCCCAUGCCAUGUCUAAGUGCCCAUGGCUUGGGCUUGUUGCUUGCUUCCCUUGUCAGAUCCAGCUUCAUAGCAACGAGCCAUGGCAUUGCGCCCAUGGCUAAUCCCUCUUAGUGCACAGGGCAUUGUGCCCCGGUGCUGUGCGUAGACAUCAUGGUGCGAGUCAGCUAUUGCUUGGUGCCCCAUCAGACCAUGGCAUUGUGCCCAUGGUUUCAUCAGCUGGCUCACCGCACAAGUCUUAGGCACUCUCGUGCUUGCGCGGGAAGGAGGUAGGCCGCACCAAGCCCCAUGCCGUUGUGGCCAUGGGGUACACACCACACAUGUCGUGGAGCCCAUGUGUGCAUGCUCAAGUCGCAUCCGUGUGUCCUAGGCACGCCCAAGGCCGUGCCAUGGUGUCCCCUUGGUGCAGUCAAGGCUUUCCUUGGUGCUCUCUCCUUUGAGUCACCUAACCCCCCCCCCUUAAAGAGCAAUACGGGUCGUUUUCAUUGUUUCUGGAGGAGACAUUAAUAUGCCUGAGGAGACAUAAUGGAAUAAUAAAUAAUUAUAAAUUAAAAUUCCAAAAGUCUCUCAGCCUUCAUCUGCACCACCUAAGUCAGGUGCGCACACGAUGCCCAUCUGGUGCGCACGCGAUGCAUGUCUGGCUCGCCCGUAGUGCGCGCACGGUGCCCAUCUGGCCUGUUCACAAUGUGCGCACGGUGCGCGUCUGGCUCGCCCGUGGUGCGCGCGCGGUGCACGUUUGGCUCGCCCACGGUGUGCACGUGGUGUGUAUUUGGCUCACCCGUAACCUCUCACAUAGCCCCUAGAGUUUGAACCACCAAACCUCUAGGAUUUCCUUGCUUUCAGCCUAGGCUCUCAUGGGUACAAGGCCUAUCCAUGAGGCCUUUUCCUCCAUGGUUAAGUCAAGAGGCUAAGGGGCUGACAGUAGGCCUUAUAGAAAAUGAAACUUGGGAAAAAGUAUAGUAUGGACAUAAUUUUUGACUUAGGAGGUGAUGUUACAACACCUUCAAUUAAUUACCUUGAAAAUGAUAUGUUAUUGUAUUGAAAAUGAUAUUAAAUUUAAUGAAGACAUAUCUAAUAAAAAUAACACCCGUUUUUUAAAACAAUAUUAUGAUCUUACUAUUGUGUCAUGUUGGAUCAUAAAAAUAUCACCCAUUUUUUAAAACAAUAUUAUGAUGUUACUAUUGUGUCAUGUUGGAUCUCAUUUGGAAAACAAUUUAAUUAUGUUGUGUCAUAAUUUUUUUAAAAUUUAUUCCAUUUUUCUUUUAAUUUUUGAAGCAUGCAAUUGGAGUUGGUCUAAACUUUGAAUAGUUGGAGCCAAUUUCAAUGCCUUAGUGGGUCUAAAAGAAAAAAAGAAAAGAUUGGAAAAUUGAAGUGGAAUAUGGAGACAAAAUUUUAAAGGCUUGAAGUGAUGUUACAGCUUUCCAAGUAAUUACCUUGAAUGUGAGAUGUCAUUAUAUUGAAAAUUCAUAUUAAAUCUCAUGAGGUAACUAUAGGAAUUGCCAUACAUAGAGACAAAUAAUAAAUAUAUCUCACUUUUUCAAAAUGUUUGUGAUCCUAAUUAUACAUUGCCUUUAUAGUGGGAUGAAUGCAUCUUCACUUAAAGUCUUAUUCUAAACAUAUUUUUAGAAUUUUCUAGGAAUAUGUAAAGAAAACUUUAUGAUAAGUAAUUUCUAUCUAAGACGGGUAAAGUCUAAUAUGAUUUGUUCACACCAUUCAAAUCCAACACAUUUUUUUAUAAAUUUGAAAUGAGUAUAAUUGUAUUUGAAUAAAAAUAAAUUGUUUUUAGGUCAACUUUCAUAACAAACAUUUAACUCAAAUUGACUUAUUUAAUAAUAUUAAUCUUAAUUAUAACUUUAACUUAUUUAACUCAUAUUUGACUCAUUUAAAAUUUGAUUUUCAAUAGUGACAUCAUAAUUGAGUUAUAAACAUGUCAGUUUAGGACACUAACCAUAUAAGAUCAUACAAUGUUAAACUCAAUUUGACUAUUAAAUAACAUCUAAUUAUUAUAAGAGUUAAAUAGGUUACAAUGUAUUACUUGGUUAAUAAUUAGAUUGUGUUUGAGUUUGUAUUUUUAAUUAUAAUUUAGUUGAGUGUUUGAUCUACGUUACCAACAUGAAUUAUCACUCAUAUUUCUAUUGCAAAACCAAAGAUGGGAUAAUUCUUAGUUUUGAUGAUAAUAAAAGAAGGUUCGACUAAAGUUUCAUCUUGAGUGUGACUAGGCAAGAUGAUUUUUAAAGUAACAAUUACAAAGAUAAACCAAAACAAAAGAAAAAAAAGAAAGAAAAGGAAGACCUCAAAGAGAAGAGACUUCAAAAAUUUUUAUAAGAUCUCUUUGUAAGGUUGUUGGUGCACUAGAAUUUACAUGCAUUUUAUUCAAGCAUCAAAGAUCAUCCUUGUGCGAUUUUGUUUUAAAUUUUUUUAUAAUUAGAUGAUUUCAUGUUUUUAAUUAAAACCUUAUGCCAAAUUUUUUUCUAAACUUUUUAAAAGGGUUGCAUGAGUUGCUAGAGGUUUGAAACCUAAAACCUGAGUAUUUGAGUACUUAAUAGUGCAACCGGUCAAAAGUCCAGGGAAUUGAUUAAAUCAUUUAGGUUCAAUCAAUUGAGGGGUGUUUUUACACACGCUUUCUCUCUUUCUUGGUCAAGACUUUGCCUUUCAUGGUCAAAGUCUUGAACCCUAACGAACACUUACUAAAAGUAUUAAUUGCUAAUGAUUUUAGCAUUAAUUGCUAACGGUUAGUGAAUCAGUCAAAUCGGAACUUGACUGGUUGACCCCCUAAAUGUGCCUAACAACAAGUUUAGCCUUUCUACUUCUACAUAAAGGUUCCAAUCUUCAUUGUUGGUAAGUCUAACAUUCCCAAGUCUUUUAUGAACAGUAUUUGAGCCUUGGUGGAGUGUUUUUUAGCACACCUUGUUUCAAAACUUGCAUAUCAUUAGUUCACCAUUAAUCUUAAUUUAUCUUGUAUCAUUUGAGCUUAAAUUUGUACUAGGAAUGUGUGAGAUUAUCUUUCCUAUCAUUUUGUGUAAACCUUUGUAAGGGGAGAUUAAGUGUGGGGUAUUACUUAAAGGAAAAUUUAAGCAUGAGGUAUCACUUAGUGUUUGUCAAGUGUGGGGUAUCACUUAGGAAAUUCAAGAGUGAGGUAUUUUUUGAAAAAUUUGUAAGUGUCCAUUGGAGUCAGUUAAUCUAAUAGUAUGAUUAGAAACUUUAGAUUAGUAGAACCUCAAGUUUAGGAUUGAAGUUAUAGGAGAGUGAACAUAGAACGAGUUGCACCAAACCACAAUAAAAAUAUUGUGUUUGUAUUCUCUCUUCCCUAAUCUUUUUAAUUUGUAUGAAAUUACUUUUCAUUGUAUUUAUUGUAUAUUUGCAUAUAAUUGUCUUUUGUAUUCAUGUAGUUUAAGUUUGCAAAAAGAAACCAUCACCCUAUUUAUCCUCCCUCCCCCUCCCCUUCCCCUUCCCCCCGAGGGUGACUACCUUAGGUUAAUUUAGCAAAAAUCAUAACAUUUACAAAUAUAUUAUUUGCUUAUUAUAGUUAAGAAAAAUGCCAAGAAAAUUUAUCAAAAAUCAUAACAUUUACAAAUAUAUUAUUUGCUUAUUGUAGUUAAGAAAAAUGCCAAGAAAUUUCAUUGAUAAAAAUUUCCAUGAUAAAUUCUAAAAACCACUUUAAUUCCAAUUAUCUUUUUCCCAAUGCAAUGUCUCAAUGAUUCUAGGAUGAAAAGGAAUUUUUUCAUGUCAAUAUGACUUUGGAUCCCAAAUUUUAAGGCAAUUUCAAUGCCCUAGUGGUGGGUCUAGAAGAAAAUAAAAAAUGUGGAAAUUAAAGUGGAAUAUAGACACAAUUUUUUACUAAUUGUAAGAUGAUGUUACAAUACCUUAUGUAGUUACUAUGAAAGUGACUUUGGAUUCCAAAUUUUGAGCCAAUUUCAAUGCCACAAUGAUGGGUCUAGAAGAAAACAAAAAAUAUGAAAAUUAAAGUAGAAUAUAGACACAAUUUUUUACUUGUUAAGUAAUGUUACAAUGCCUUAUGUAAUUAUUUUGAAAGUGAGAUAUCAUUGAAUUGAGAAUUGAUAUUAAAUUUGACCAACUAUCAUAAGGAUUUGCUUUCAAAAGAGAGAUAAGUAAUAAAUAUCUCUUAUUUUUUGGAAAAAAAAAAAUUAUCAUACUAUUAAUGUGUUUAAUUUUAUUUUUUUUAAAUAGAGAUUGUUAUAUUUUUUUGUAAAAAUAAGUUUCCUUAUAAAAUAAGAAAAAGUGGUAGAAGUAUUUCUAUAAAUAUUUUAUUAAGAGAAAAAGCUAUAACAUGAAGAAAAACAUGUAUAGUUUAUAUUUAAAAGAUAGUGAUAUGGGAAAGAGUGGGAAACAUUUCUUGGAAUGGGGACAUAUGAUUCAAGUAUAGAUACAAAGAACAAGGAAAUAUAAGAUGUUUUAAAUUAAUUAAUUAUAUCUUCUUUUUUUAAUCUUUUGUAGUAUUGUAUAUAGUAAUAGAAGAUGAGUUAUCAAAUGCGAACUUUCAUGUAUAUAUGAUGCAAUUAACUUGUUCAAUAUAAGCACCUUGAUGUAAAAUCUCAUUUUUGUUUUCUAAAGUCUUUAUGACUAUUGGUUUUUCUUUUGAGUGCCAAUAAAUAAAAGAAAAAACCCUUCUUUUUUGUUUGAAGAAAAAAUCUUUAUUAAUCCAAACCCUAUCAACUUAUAUAUGACCUAUUGCAGGAUAAUGAAGUUUUUUAAAGUAAUUUUAAAGACAAAAAAGAAAAUUUGAUAUGAUAAAUGAUUAAAACCACUUUAGAUUCCAAUAGUAUUUUCUAUCAUAUAACGUCUCAGUGAAAUGUUUCAUAACAAAAUGAAUUAUUCUAUGAAUAUGACUUUGGAUUCCAAAUUUUGAACUUUCUAAUGCCUUAACUUAGUAGUGAGUCUCAUAGAAAAUGAAAGUUAUGGAAAAGUAGAAUGUGGACUCAAUUUUUGACUUAUAAAACUGAUGUUACAACACCUUCAAGUAAUUACCUUAAAAAUGAUAUGUCAUUGCAUUGAAAAUGAUAUUAAAUUUAAUGGAGAGAUAAUUUAUAAAAAAUAUCACUAAUUUUUUUAAAAAGAAUAAUGUGAUCUUACUAUCGUGUUAGGUUGGAAAAAAAUUUAUGUUGGAGUUAAUUUUUUUUUAUUUGUAUUUCUUUUUAUUUAUUUAUUUAUUUUGCAUAUUGUAAGGUCUCAAACUCGUUUAGAAAUAUGAACACUGAUGAAGAGUUAGAAAUUUAAAAACAUUAAAGGUAUGGUUAAAGUUAUUUUUAGAUAGUUGAAAUUGCAACCAAAAAAACAAGAAAAUGAAAGAAGUUCAAAUUUUAUUUGAUUAUCUUAAAAAUAUGAAAGAAAUUACAUAUAAUGAAAAUUGUUUAGAGUUUUAUAUACUUUUAAUAUUUACUCUUUACAGAAAAGAAAAAAGGCAAAUAAAUUUUUAUGAACUUAUGGAAAAUAUUAAACUUCAGCUUAAUUUUUUUGUUUUUCUUGAUUUUUCUUUCCUUUGUGAUCUUUCCCACUUUAUCCAAACUUUCCAUAGUCUAAACUUUAUACAUGUUUUCUCUUCUUUUUAAUUAAAAAUUUUUAAAUUUUCCAAUUAAAAUUCCAAGAUAGGCUAAUAAAAACUUAAAACUAAUAUUACAUUUUAAACGAACUGGAUCGAUUUGGUAGCCAAUUCGAACCCAAUCAAAUUUAGCCUCUAAUGUGAGGUAUUUGACCCAAACUUAGCUCAAACUCAUUUUUACCGACUAAAGUUAGGCUUAAAUUGACUCAUAGUACUUUUAGUUGAGUUGAUUAGGUUGUAUGAUCAUAACUAGGUUUGGUAAGGUUGAGUUAGUUUGAACCUAUUCAUAAAUGUUUUUUUUUUCUCUUUUAUAUUUAUUUUAUAUCAUAAUUUUAAAAAUUAAAUUGGAUAACUUUUAAACAUGAUAACAAAAAUAAAUAAAUUUAUGUAUAUGUCUAACAAAAAUGAAAUAAUAUAAUUAAAAUUCAACAUUUUUUAAAAAAAACUAAAAAAAAAAACACAAAAUAGGUAUUAUUAUAUAAAAUAAUAUAAAUUAUAAAUAUAUAAAAUUAGGUUUGGGCUAGCUUAGGUUAUCCAAACCUUAGCCUAAGUAGUUUCUCGAGUGUUUGCCACUUGUAAAAGUUUUUGGUAAAUUUUUAUUAAAAUUAAUUUUAAAAAAAGAAAUAAAAUGUUUUUAAAAAAUAUUAAAUGCAUAAUUAAAAUUAUGCUAAUGAAACAAAGGGAAGCAAACAAGAUAAAAAAUUUUCUCUCAAAAGGUGUAGUGUAAUGACUUCAAAUUUUAAGUUUUGAUGGUCAAUCUGCCUUCAAUUAUAAGGAUAAGAAGCUUGUAGAGAACAAAAAAUAUAUAGCAAGUGGAUAUAUAUAGAUAUAACAAAAAAUAAUAUAUAUAUAUAUAUAUAUGCAUGAUUGGAGCCAAAAUAUGUGCUCUAAUGGCACAUAUUCGAUAUGAUUUGUGCACCAAAGGACAUUCAAAUCACCCAACUUGACCUAAAUCAAUGCUAAGGCCCUAGCCAUGGGUUUAAUCUAUACUUUGGAGAUUUAUCUCAGGUUCAAGGGAAGAAAAUUGUGCAAAUUGAAUGACUUUAGAUUUUGAAAGAUCAAGAAAGGGCUAAAUGAGGAAAUAAGUGAGUCAAGACUCAUUGAACGUAAAGAAAGGCAAAACAAGGAUAUCAUGAGGUUGGAGGAUUAUAAAUGACCAUUAUGGAGUAAGAAAGAAGGCAAGAAAGCAUGGGGAAUGAGGCAUGAAGCAAGAUUUAGCUGCAUGGAAAUUUAGAACUCAAAAAUCUGAUGGCAUUAUAUACUCUGACUUUGAGGACAAAUUUGGAGCACUUUCUGGAGUCCAUUAUAUACAUACUAUAUAUCGUUUCGAAUCUCGGGAAGUCAGGAGUCCAACACUUCAAACGGUUUGCAAAUCGGAGCUGAAAUGAAGAAGUUAUGUCCAUUUGAAGACAACUGCACCAAGCUGGAGGGUCAUUUCGAAAUGAUUUCGAAAUUCAACUUAUGAUUUCGAAAUUCAACUUAUGAAUUCGAAAUCCACUUCGAAAUGACACCAAUUUCGAAUUCACCCACUGCCACUUUGAUGUUCCGCCUCCUCUACCCCGAGAAUUGCAUCUAUUCAACUUAUGAAUUCGAAAUCCACUUCGAAAUGACACCAAUUUCGAAUUCACCCACUGCCACUUUGAUGUUCCGCCUCCUCUACCUCGGGAAUUGCAUCUAAAGCACUCCAUCCGCUCUAGGUGGACCCCACACGACUAGAAAUCACCAUUUUAUUAUUUUUAAUCAUUUUUAGGAAAUUAUUUUUGUAAUAAGUGGCCAAUGAGAGUGUGCCACAUGUUAGGUAAGUGAGGAUAUUAUAUAAACUCUCUCAAUUCUAGGUUUUAGGGAUCUUGGAUCUUGGAUCUUGGAUUUUUUUUCUAGAGAGUUUGACAUUGAAGGUGGAAGAAGACGAGAACUUUGGUUUGUUUUCUUUUUCUUCUUUAUUGAAUAUAUUGUUUUUAGUUUCUUUUGAUUCAAAUUAUGAAUUUUUACCCUAUUAUGGAUUGUGAAUGUGACAUCACCCCCAUGAGAGGCUAAGAGCCAACUUGGGGCUUGAAGCAUGAAAACCUAAGGGUUAGGAAACCUAUAGGGACAAUGGGUAAAUUACUAUAACAAUGAGAUUAAUUAUUGGUUGGGUGACAAUUUAUUAUAUUUUUUUAUCCUAUCCUUGUGAGUUCAUUUAGGGAAUGAUACGAUAGGUUAUUACUUGAUACUAGUGAUUCUUGGUAAUUCUUGAUCAUUAGUUAUCCUCGUUUUCCCUACCGUUAUUUGCCCCUAAACAAAGCUAUAAGGAGUAGGAAGGGUUAAAAAGCCAAAUCUUAAAGUGAUAAUCAAUCUCAUUCAUUUGAUGGUUUUAGGAAUCUGUUUGAAAAAGGAAAAAUUAGGUUUCGGAUGCAAUUUUGAGUUAUAAAACCCAACUUGAUCGCGAGUGGCCAAGGAUCCCAAAACCCUAAGAUCAUAUUACUUAAAAUACCCUUGUUUUCUAUAAUUUCUAUACCCUAGGUUGGAUUGUGGAAAACCCCAAACUUGAAUCAAUUGAAUUUAAAAUCAAUAUUCAUUUUCUCUUAUUAAUCCAAUUUCUUUUACUUAGUUUCAUAUUAUUCACAUAUUGUUUUUCACUUAAGGAUUUAAACAAAAACAAUUCAUUUAUCUAGUAUUGACAAUUUUCAUAAGCCAGUCCUUGAGAACGAUACCCGGAAUACUACAAAAGCCGUAGUGACUCUUUCUCUAAUUUUUCUUGACCAGAGUUACUACGUAAAAAGGCUAAGUAUUUUGGUACAAUAGAGAAAUUUCGGUCAAUGCAUCAUACUUUUGUCACAAGCAAACCCACUAGUAAACCUUUAUCAUCUUAUUAUAUAACAAGUGGGUAUACCUAGAUAAAAUAAAAAUAGGUCUUUGUUUAUUAAAUUCAAAAGUUUAUGAUCAUCACUUAACAUUUAACAAAGUGGUACAAAUGAUGGUAAAAAUAGUAGUAUAAUCAAUAUUUUCCUAUAUUGAAUAUUAUAAUUGAUGUUUUUUUUUUUUUUUUUUAUCAAGAAGCAAUUUUAGAGAUAGGUUUUUAUCAAGUAACAAUCUUCAAUGUUUUUUGUCUAUAUUAAUUUACCAUCAUGAUCUCUAAUAUUGUACCAUUGAAUGCAAUUGCAAAACAUCUAUGUAAUUGUUAGUAAAUUUUUUUUCAUGCUCAUUAUACAAUAUUUGUUUUAAUUUUCAAGUUGCAAUUAUAGUCUAAAGGUUGAGGUUCCUAGAUAGUUAUAGCUUUGAUGAGAAGUCUAAUCAUGUUGUUGUUGUUCAUGUCACUUUAAUUAGACCAAGUUCAAUGAUACUUUAGACCAUAUUUAAGGAUCCUUUUCAAAUAUCUAUCUAACUUUUGAUAUGCAAUUUGAAAAGAGGAUGGAGAGAGGAUGGUUGUUCUCCAUAAUCCAUUAAUAAAUAAAUAAAAAUAAUUAUAUUUAGAAGGAAAAUAAAAAAUUAUUAAGAUCAUUAGCAAGUAAUUUUGGUAAAACUUGAUAUUUAACUAGGUAAGAUGACUUUAAGUUAAAUUAAUUGUAUUUAAGUCAUUAAGUCAUAGUUAUUAAUACGAUUUCUCAAAAUCAUUUUUAAAUUUAUUAUUUUAUCAAUCAUACUUGAUAUACUUAAUAACUUAAAAUUAAGUCAUUAAAUUGAUUUAUCAUCACCCUCUAAAGUCUUUUCAAUUUUGUACAUUUAUUUGAUACAUAUUUAAUCAUAAACAAUCAAAAAAGUGCUAUCUCAAAAUUUUUAAUUCAAACUCCUUCAAAGUUAUUCAUGACUAAAAUUCAUUAAUUAAUUUACAUUACAAGCUUUGAAAGAAACUUGUUUUAAAACAUAAAAUUGAUAGAGAUAGUACAUAUUUUAAACUUUUAAUUAAAAUAAAAAGCUCAUAACAAAAUAAUUUGAUGGAUGUUUUAGUAUUUGAAAAGAUUAUGAGGUCGGUGUGGACUUACUCUUGGCAUGCGUACUUCCACAAAUCAGAAAGAACAACCUCUCCAACAACUUCCAUGGUGAUCAGUUUGCAGAGAGAGAAUUGUAGCUAUAAACCAAAGCACUGUGAAAAUAAAUUGGGGAAGCAGAAAGAAGCGUGGGUUGUUGGGUGAUGGCUUAAAUAUUAGAAAGCUUAGAGAAAGAGAAAGUUGGAAGUUGGACUAGUCUUUUGUUUCCAUACCCUUAAAUCCAAUAUGCUGAGUAGGCCAUGUGCUCCACACCCCGUCUAUUGUGGUGUGACUGGUGUCACAUUCAAAUAAACAAAUCGAAAUCUCUACUACAACAUCAUAUUUUAAUGGAUUUAGUAUAACCGAGUGAAGGCAAUUUAUUAAAUUAUUGGAAAUUGUUAAAAUUAUAUAUUUAAUGGAACACUGUUUUUGGAAUUUGAGACUCCCAGACUGCCCAUGUGCAUCCCAUUGUUCGUGUUCUUAGUUUUUUCAUUUUAGUACUUCUAAAAAUUCUCAAAAUUUCAUCAGGCACAUUUUUCAAGCUUACGAUUCUCAUGGCAAUGAUGUAAGUAAAUUAAAGAUUUUACUAAUUUGAACGCAAUUUGAUAAAAAUAAAUAAAUAAAAAUGAAGAUUAUGUAAAAAGGCUUCAAAGAGUUUUAAAGAUUUUUUAAAAUUUUUUUUUAUUUAUUUCUUAAAGAUAAAAGUACUUUCUUCAUUGUAAGACUUAAUAUUUACUUUUUCCAAUUAAAAAAAUAAAUUUAUUUUGAAAAGACAAAUCUAGUUUUUAUAUUGAAUUCAUCUUUUCAAAAAAAAAGUUUUCCAGUGAACUCACUUUAGUAUAAAUUAGGGAAAAGUAUAGUUCUAUUCGGUUCAUAAAAUAAAAAACCCGAUAUUAUGAUAAUUUAAGAAAUAUUUUUGGAAAAAUGCUAUUUCAAUUUUUUUGAACGGUUUUACUUGAAUGGAAAGUCUGAUGCUACAUAUGAUAUUAUGUCAUUGAAAUGAAACUUAUACCAUGUAAUAACUUUUAAUUAACAAUAAUUUAAAUUAAAACCGUAAAUAUUUAAUUUUUUGUUGAUUUAAAUAAAUGUUAUUUAUUUAUUUAUUUAUUUGUAACACAAGUUUUGAAGUUUUAAGACUGACCAUGCAUGUGCAUACCACUGUUUAUUUAUUCACUUUAAAACUUUAGGUGCAUUUUUUAAGCUUAAAUUCACAUGCUAUCACAUUAUCCUAAAUAUGCUUGUACCAUCUAUAAUGUAUCUGGAAUAAGGUGCAUGGGGAUCACGUAGAGCCGGCUGGACUGGACAUAAGUUUUGGAGUUUUAAACUUCCAAUGGCCAAUUAUGUUUUAAUUUUCAUAAUAUAUUAUUAUAUUUUCUUUAUUUGAAUGGAAAAUGGUUUGCUUUGAAAAAACAAGUUUAAUAUAAAAAAAAAUUAAAUUUAUAUUUUACAUUAAAUUAUAAAUUGCAUGUAAAAUGAAUUUAUAAAUUUUCAUAAUAUAUUAUUACGUUUUCUUUAUUUUAAUUUAACGUAAAGUAUAAAUUAGUAUUUUCAAAAGAAAAGUUGAAUGUAAAAGUAAUAAACUAAAACACAAAGACAGAUAUUAAAUUUAUAUUUUCAAAGACAAAUUACUUCUAAAAGCACGGACUUGAUUUUUUUGUGCAAUGUAAAAAGAAUUUUUUAUUUUUUUAUAUAUCAAACUUAUGUUUUAAAAAGACGAGUUAGUAUUUAUUUUGAAUUUGUUUUUCGUAAAAGGUUUCCCAUGUGUACUUCAUAUGAUUUUAUUUUGUUGAUAGGAGAUUUAUAUCAUGUAACAACUUUUAAUCGGUCACAAUUUAAAUUAAUUAUAAAUACCCAAUUCCUUUAUUAUUUCAUAAUUAACUAUAGGUUAUAAUGUGAAAUAAUAUCACACUACAUAAAUAUUAUUAUUAUUUUGCAAAAUUGGAUUAGCACAACUAUUCCCAAUUAGAGUGUCACAUGGCUUCUUUUUUUUAUAUUUAAUUAUUUUUUUAAAUAAUUGCUUUAAUUAGUCAUGGAUUAAAUUAGAGGUGUAAUUUGGACAUAUUCAACUCAACUCAACUCAAUCCAAUUUUGAACUAAGUUAGGUAGUCUUGUUUUUUCAUAAAACAUUAUAAGCUAUUUUUCAAUCCUACAAGAUUUUUUGAGAGUAUUUUCUAAAUUUUAUCAAAUACAAUUUUUUUGUAAAAACAUUUAUUAAGUUAAAAACGCUUCUUAAAAUCACUAUUAAAUGACCAUUAUAUGAUAUUGAGAGAUGAAUAAUUUAUUAUAUUAAAAAUUACUUUCCCAAUUGAACAAAAGGUGUGGCGUUUCUUUAAAAACACUUUUGUAAGUAAUAUUUUUUUUAGCACAUUCUCAAUUAUUUUUAGACCCAAAAUAUGUUUUUUUUAAAAUGUUUUAUAAAAAAAAAAUCUUAAAAUACCUUUAUUUAAAAAUUUAAAAAAAAUCUAUUUUCAAAAAACUACAUUUUAUUUUGUUUGAUAUGGUGAGGAGGAGCAUUAAUCUAUGGCUCCCGAGACUGGGCAUGUGAUGCUGUGCAUGCCAUUGUUGGCUUAUGUAUUUCCGGAAUAUUUAGUUUUGAAAAGUACUGAGAAAAAAAAUAAUAAGAAAAUGGUUGGUAUUCAGAUGGCAAAAAUACACACAAAUACACUGAACAAGUUAAUAACAGGCGGGCUGAGAUUCUAUUGCCAAGAGACAGGUUUGUCAUCCAUGUCAAGAAGUCUCACACUUCAAAAUUGUGGGACUUUGGCAUCAACACAUUUCUGGAAUUGUUUCAGGCUUCUAAAUGGAACGAUUCAGGCACCUUCCCAGAAUUCUUUUAAGAUUUCUAAAUGCCAUCCUGGCGUCUUAGUUGGAGGCCUGCUUUCUUCAAUGCUAAAAGAGGGGGUGAUAAGUUGCUAAAAAUUGCAGUCCCUGUGUACUAGAUGGGCAUUCACCCAUGGACAAGAUCUGCAGAACUUAUAAUAGAAACAUGUAUGUUGCUCUAUCAUCUUCGCCUCCUAUUUAUUCUAGUGAAGAAACAGGUUCCGAAAAAAUAAAAAGUGUUCUUCUUACUCUUUUUUAGUAGAAAAUUAGUUCAUUUCCAGUCCAUUGAAGAAAAAAUAAAUUCUGAACCCAGAAGCCAGGUACUUAAAUUUCUGUUUAACUAGGGGAACAUUGGAAACUUACUUACAGCUUUAGCAUAAGAACAUACAAGAUUCUGAUCAACAUACACUGCACGGUAUUAUGUUGGUCCAGUUCCUCUACUCUGCAUUGCAACAAAGUGUAAGGGGUUUCGUAUUUUCUUCAUCUUCAAAUAAAACAAUCCUUCUCAAUAAAAGAAUAAGAGAAAUUGAGAGCUAAGACCAUUUUCUUUCAUUGUACCUCUGUUUCCUCUGCUCCUUGCUCUCUUGGUCAGGCCAAAUGGUGUGUGGUUUGUCCAUUUCUUCUUGACCCCACAUCAAAAAGCAGCAUCCUGGGCUCUCCCAUCUCUCUAUCCCCUUAUCAAGACAGAAUUUGAUGCACUGCUGUCUUGGAUUCUUCCUAGUCAAAAGGAAGCUUGAAAUAUCUCCACUGCUUCUCUGUUUCUUUGAGUCAAAGGACAGUCUGGUUUUAUCUGUUUCUUCUCAUCAUUUUCAAAAUGCAUCACUGUGAGAUCCACUAACCCAAUACCUGUUUUUCAAAUAAUCAAAAUCAUAAACACCAAGAUGUUUACACAUUCAGGUAACACGUCUCUUGACAAUGCAGGUGUGUUUACGUACACACCUGCAUUCAAAGGAAGUACCAUUGUUCUUGUGCAUUUGACAACAUUCAUUUAGUUAACUCCAAAUUUUAGCAAUCCAGAAUCUGUAACUUCUGCAAAAGUUACCUAGUUGUUCAGGGAACAUGCCCCAUCCAAACUAUCUGUAUUUGGGCUUCAUGGUUGUUUUUGGCUUUGCUUUUCUUUUUCUUGUGGUUGUUACUCCUCUUAAAAGGACUAUUGAUUCAUGAUUCAAUGGAUUAUUUGUUGUUUCUGAUAAAAAUAAAUAAAUAAACUAAAAAAAAAAAGAAAAAGAAAAAAAAAAAGAUUUGAUGAAAAUUUUUGGAGUAGCCAUUCAUCAAAUUGCCAUGAGCUUCUCUCCUUAUUUACAUAGUAUAUCACUAUUGCAGAGUCUCCUACUAGAAGGUUAGGUAAACCCUCAUCUUUAGCAAGCUUUAGUCCUACCAUCAACACUAAAAUCUCUGCUUCAAUGGCUAGACCCACUCUAGCAUUCUUAGGGAAUGCUUUCACUUAUGCCCUUUUAUGAUUUAUAAGUGUUCCUCCAAUUCCCAAUUGUCCUGGGUUGUCCAAGGAGCAUACAUCAAAAUUUAACCUGUUGCAUGGGUUGUUCUCUAUGCAUGGUAAAGAGACCCUUAAAUUUUGAACCUAUCCAAUUGCAUCGAUUUCUUCCUUCAAACUCAAGUUGAGCCUUUAAAUUUUUUGCUUGCUGUCAGAUUGACAUGAUUCUUCCACAACAUGAUGGACCUGGCAGACACUCAGCUUCUGCCUACAGUUGCAGUCUACCUUAUGUGUAACUUAAAGGUUGAGCACCAAGUGCUGAUGUUAUGAGGGAUCAAGGGUGGCUUGUGGAGCAGUCCCCUUUUCAGAGUAUUGCCAACAUUCUAUCAAUUGGUUCGGGUGUUCUGUAACUUUGGGACACCUAUAGUAUCUAGAUAAUCCUGCAAUUCUGGAGAAAACCCUUCUGAUUUGCUCUGUACCCACUAGUCGAGAAUAGUAAAAAGAUUCAGCUGUAAUAAUUUUAUUACUUAGAUUGAAUCUUAAUCAUUAGGUUAGAAGAUCAGGAAAAAGUGUCGUGGUUUUGAAUGUUUGUCUCUUUAAUAAUUGCAGUGUGUAUUGAUCCACAAAGUUUGCAGGAUGACAGCAUGACAGUGGGUAUAUAUGUCAUAUGAAAAAAUUUAAAUAGAGCGACUUGUUUGACUUUACAUAGUUUGCUUGCUUCGGUUGUCUACCUUUAGGUAAUAUCACACCAGUAUCUUUUGAUGGUUGGAAUAUCCUUGCACAUAUGUUACCAUUUUCUUUUCUUCAACAUUGUUUUCUUUGUUUCUUCCUUUCUUGGUCAAGCUAAAUAAUCUAGUGAUUCUUCUUUUGUUCUUCAUCCCAUCAAGAGGCAGCAUCUCAUGCAUCUUUACCUUGGGUUCCUCCCUUUCCUUCCAGCCUAUGGAAAAAUAAUAUCAUUGCUUAGUUUGGACUUCUCUGUUUUAUUUUUUUUUAUCAUUUUGAAAGGCAUCAUGGGAAGAUGUACAAAAAAUGUGUUGUGCUGAAUUAUCCCCUUCUCUACUAACCAAAACAUGUUCUUUCACAAUCAAAUAUCAACGUGUUUAAGCAGCCAAUAAGGCAUAUCUUGACAAUGAGGUGAGAGGUAGAAACAAGAAACAUACUCGUAUUCAAGGGAAGUGUUGUUUCUUCAUUUGCAUUAGACAACAUUCAUUUAGUCUCAACUUGAAAGUGGAUUGCUAGAAUCUAAGCUCUUGCAAAGACACAAAAGUACAUUUAGAAAUCCAAAAGAAGCCUAGAGACCAGUUGCUGUCGGGCUUUGUGGAGCCUAGUUUUGUUUGAUCCGGUUUGAUGACCCGACCCGAAUAAUAUUACAUAGUUUUUUAAUGGGAGAUUUAUUGAGGCUUGUCCAUGGAGUGAAGGCUUGGGCUUUUUUAGGCCCGUUUAGCCCAUUGUGGAACCGCCCUUUGUAAUUAGGUUUUUUUUUUGUGUGGUGUGGUUGUUGUGUUAUAAAGAGAACAUAUUGUAGCCGAAAAAAGUACUUUGUAUUCUUCCCUGAUAAUAGUGAUAUCCCUGCAACUCCGUUGAUAUAGGCAAAUUGCCGAACCACAUAAAUACUGUCUUGUACGUGUGAUUGUUUUUUUUUUUUUUUUUUGCGUGUGUUUUCUCUAUUUUUUGUUUCUCACAGGUUGGGAAUUCAGCUUAAUUCCCUUCAACCGGUAUCAAAGCCUAGGGUUAGGUUUGAGUGGGAGCAAUGACAAAGGAAGCAGGAAAGGCGUUUGGAAUAGAAAAGUUUGAUGGCACAAACUUUGUGUAUUGGAGGAUGCAGAUUGAAGAUUAUCUUUAUGGGAGGAAAUUGCAUCUGCCUCUUUUGGGGACAAAACCUGAGAGUAUGAAGGCUGAGGAAUGGGCGCUUCUUAACAUACAGGUUCUAGGAGUUAUUAAGUUAACUCUGUCUAGGUUUGUUGCACACAAUGUUGUAAAGGAAAAGACCACAAUAGAUCUGAUGAAGGCUUUGUCCGGUAUGUAUGAAAAGCUAUCCGCAAACAAUAAGGUGCAUCUGAUAAAGAAAUUGUUCAAUUUGAAGGUGGCAGAGAAUGCAUCAGUAGCACAACAUCUGAAUGAAUUUAAUACAAUCACAAAUCAAUUUUCGUAUGUAGAAAUUGAUUUUGAUGAUGAGAUUCGUACUCUGAUCGUCUUGGCUUCUUUGCCAAUCAGUUGGGAGACAAUGAGGAUGGCAGUAAGCAAUUCUACGGGAAAGGAAAAGCUCAAGUACAAUGAUAUACGAGAUUUAAUUCUGGCUGAGGAGAUUCGCCGAAGAGAUGCAAGCGAAACCUUAAGAUCUGGUUCUGCCCUAAACCUUGAGACAAGAGGCAGAGGUGAUAACAGAAAUUCAAACCGGGGUAGAUCAAAAUUCAGAAAUUCUAAUCGAAAUAGAAGCAAAUCUAGAUUAGGCCAACAAGUACAAUGUUGGAACUGUGGGAAAAUAGGUCACUUUAGAAGGCAAUGCAAAAGUCCUAAGAAGAAGAAUGAAGAUGAUUCUAUUAAUGCUGUAACAGAAGAGGUACAGGAUGCAUUACUUCUUUUAGUAGACAGUCCACUUGAUGAUUGGGUUUUGGAUUCAAAAGCUUCAUAUCAUACCACUCCACAUUGAGAAAUCAUAUAGAAUUAUGCUGCAGGUGAUUUUGGUAAGGUGUAUUUGGCUUAUGGUUCAACCUUGGAUGUUGUGGGUCUGGGAGACAUCCGGAUAUUGUUGCCCAAUGGGUUUGUUUGGUUACUGGAGAAGGUUCGACAUAUUCCUAACCUAAGAAGGAAUUUGAUUUUUGUUGAGCAACUUGAUGAUGAAGGACAUGCAAUACUAUUUGUUGGUGGUACUUGGAAGGUUACAAAGGGAGCUAUGGUAUUGGCUCAUGGAAAGAAGACCGGUACUCUGUAUAUGAUCUCAUGUCCAAGAGACACAAUUGCAGUUGCUAAUGCAAGUACUGAUACAAGCCUAUGGCACAGCAGACUUGGUCACAUGAGUGAGAAAGGGAUGAAGAUGUUGUUGUCAAAAGGAAAACUACCAGAAUUGAAAUCCAUUGAUUUUGACAUGUGUGAAAGUUGCAUCUUAGGAAAGCAAAAAAUUGUGAGCUUCUUGAAAACUGACAGGACACCGAAGGCUAAAAAAUUGUAACUAGUACACACUGAUUUGUGGGGGCCUUCUCCGGUUGCAUCCCUUGGAGGUUCAAGGUACUAUAUCACUUUUAUUGAUGACUCAGCAAAAAGGUAUGGGUUUAUUUUCUGAAAAAUAAAUCUGAUGUAUUUGAAACUUUUAAGAAGUGGAAGGUCAUGGUUAAGAUAGAAACAGGUUUGAAAGUAAAAUGUUUGAGGUCAGAUAAUGGAGGAGAGUACAUAGAUAGAGGGUUCAGUGAGUAUUGUGCUGCACAGGGAAUUAGGAUGGAGAAGACCAUUCCUGGGACACCACAGCAGAAUGGUAUGGCUGAGCGCAUGAACAGAACUCUCAAUGAACGUGCUAGAAGUAUGAGGUUGCAUGUUGGACUACCAAAAACUUUUUGGGCUAAUGCUGUUAGUACUGCAGCUUACCUGAUAAACUGAGGACCAUCAGUUCCCAUGGAGUUCAGACUUCCUGAGGAGGUUUGGAGCGGUAAAGAGGUAAAGUUUUCACAUUUAAAAGUUUUUGGUUAUGUUUCUUAUGUUCAUAUUGAUUCUGAUGCUCGUAGUAAACUUGAUGCAAGGCUAUAGGUUUUGGGAUGAACAAAACAGGAAAAUCAUCAGAAGUAGAAAUGUAAUAUUUAAUGAACAGGUUAUGUAUAAGGACAGGUCAACUGUAGUGUCAGAUGUUAUAGAGAUAGAUCAAAAGAAAUCUGAGUUUGUCAACUUAGAUGAAUUGACUGAAAGUACUGUCCAAAAAGGGGGUGAAGAAGAUAAGGAGAAUGUAAAUUCACAAGUAGAUCUGAGUACACCUGUAGCUGAAGUUCACAGAUCUUCCAGGAACAUUACACCUCCACAGCGUUAUUCACCUAUUUUAAAUUAUCUCCUGUUGACUGAUGGUGGUGAGCCAGAGUGUUAUGAUGAAACCUUGCAAGAUGAGAAUUCAAGCAAGUGGGAUUUAGCCAUGAAGAAUGAGAUGGAUUUCUUGUUGGGGAAUCAGACAUGGGAACUGACUGAAUUGCCAGUAGGAAAGAAGGCUUUGCACAACAAGUGGGUAUACAAAAUAAAGAAUGAGCAUGAUGGUAGCAAAUGUUACAAGGCCAGAUUAGUUGUUAAAGGGUUCCAGCAGAAGGAGGGCAUUGACUACACAGAGAUAUUUUCUCCAGUUGUGAAGAUGUCAACAAUCAGACUUGUACUGGGAAUGGUGGCUGCAAAAAACUUACAUCUUGAGCAGUUAGAUAUGAAGACAACAUUCCUUCAUGGUGACUUGGAGGAAGACCUUUACAUGAUUAAGCUAGAAGAGUUCAUUGUUCAAGGACAAGAGAAUCUAGUCUACAAACUAAAAAAGAGCUUGUAUGGCCUUAAACAAGCUCCUAGACAGUGGUACAAGAAGUUUGUCAGUUUUAUGCAUAGAAUUGGGUUCAAGAGAUGUGAAGCUGAUCACUAUUGUUAUGUUAAGUCUUUUGACAAUUCUUACAUCAUAUUACUGUUGUAUAUGGAUGAUAUGCUUAUUGCAGGGUCUGACAUUGAGAAGAUUAAUAAUCUGAAGAAGCAAUUGUCCAAAUAGUUUGCAAUGAAGGAUUUGGGAGUUGUAAAGCAAAUCCUUGGUAUGAGAAUCAUUAGAGACAAGGCUAAUGGUACAUUGGAGCUUUCACAGUCAGAGUAUGUGAAGAAAGUUCUCAGCAGGUUCAACAUGAAUGAAGCUAAACCAGUGAGCACACCCUUGGGUAGUCAUUUCAAACUAAGCAAAGAACAGUCACGGAAGACAGAAGAAGAAAGUGACCAUAUGAGCAAGGUGCCCUAUGCCUCAGCUAUUGGUAGCUUGAUGUAUGCUAUGGUGUGUACAAGGCCAGACAUUGCACAUGCAGUGGGAGUUGUGAGCAUAUUCAUGAGUAGGCCUGGAAAGCAGCAUUAGAAGGCAGUCAAGUGGAUUAUAAGAUAUCUGAAGGGUUCAUUAGAUAUAUGUUUUGCUUCACAGGUGCAAGUUUGAAACUGCAGGGUUAUGUGGAUGCUGAUUUUGCUGGUGAUAUCGAUAGUAGAAAGAGCACUACUGGGUUUGUUUUUACUCUAGGUGGUUCAACUAUAUCAUGGGUUUUAAAUCUAUAGAAGAUUGUUACUUUGUCUACUAUAGAAGCGGAGUAUGUUGCAACAAUUGAAGCUGGAAAUGAGAUGAUUUGGCUACAUAGUUUCUUAGAUGAAUUGGGUAAGAAGCAGGAGAUGGGCAUUCUACACAGUGACAGUCAUAGUGCAAUUUUUCUUGCCAAAAAUUCGGCUUUUCAUUCAAAGUUAAAGCAUAUACAAACAAAAUACCACUUUAUCUGUUACCUUGUUGAAGAUAAACUAGUAAUACGUAAGAAGAUUUUUGGAUCUAAGAACCCAACAAACAUGUUGACUAAGGGUGUCACUAUUGAGAAGUUGAAGCUGUGUGCAGCUUCAAUCAGUCUUCUAGCUUGAGGACGGGAGGAUGAAUUGCAGGGAUGAGGGAUUGUUUCUUGGAGGAUAGCGAUUUGAUGUUGGUGAUUGAACUAGUCUCCAAGUGGGAGAUUUGUCAAGUUUUGUGGAGCCUAGUUUUGUUUGAUCCGAUUUGACGACCCAACUCGAAUAAUAUUGCGUGGUUUUUUAAUGUGAGAUUUACUGAGGCUUGUCCAUGGAGCGAAGGCUUGGGCUUUUUGGGGCCCAUUUAGCCCAUUGUGGAACCGCCCUUUGUAAUUAGGGUUUUUUUUUUGUGGUGUGGUUGUCGUGUUAUAGAGAGAAAAUAUUGUAGCCAUCAGAAGUACUCUGUAUUAUUCCCUGAUAAUAGUGAUAUCCCUGCAACUCCGUGGAUGUAGGCAAAUUGUCGAACCACGUAAAUACUGUCUUGUGCAUGUGAUUGUUUUUCUUUUUUUUUUAUGUUUUCUCUAUUUUUUGUUUCUCACAGGUUGGGAAUUCGGCUUAAUUCCCUUUAGUUGCUACUUGUGAAUCACUGUAAUCAGAAACAAUUCCAGAUAAUCCUGCAAUUCUAAACCUUUGAUUUGCUUUGUUCCAUUUUGCCAAGAACGGUUCUAAAACAUUUUUCUUUAUUGAGUUGUUAUGAUUUUAUUAUUUGGAUUUAAUUGUAUUCAUUAGGUUUGUAAAUCACAAAAAUGGUGUCGUGCUUAUGAAUAUCUUCCUCUUUGAUCAUGUAAAAUUGGGAAGCAGUUAUGGAUUACUAUUAUGAUAGCACAAUGUAUUGAUCCACAGUUUGUGGCAUGACAGUUUAAGGAAAUUACAGAAGUGUAGCAUUGAUGGGUAUGUCAUGUGAACAUUUUUCAAUGAAGCUACUUGUCUAAAUUUACAUGGGUGAAUUGUCACACUAAUAUCCUUUGAUGAACCUUGGGUUCUUUUUUCUGUUUCUUCCUCUCUUGGUCAAGCCAAACAAUUUGUCUUCAUGAGGACUUCAUGUUACCAAUAAGCAGCAUCUUGUGUUCUCCUUCUUUUCAUCCCCCUGUCAAGACACAGCAAUUUGAUGCAUCUUUGCAUUGGGUUGCUUCCUUUCCGCUCCCUCUCCUUCCUCCUUGAGGCAAAACCAUAUCAUUGUUUAGUUUUGACUAUGUUCUUUUUAUCAUUUAUGAGAAAUAAAAUAAAAUCAUGACAUAAAGAAAUUAUAUUUAAGUGUUAAUAAAUGAGAAUCGGAUACAUAUAAAUAAAAUUUAGAUUAAUUAUAAAUGAAACUAUUUUUAUUAUGUGGUUGUUUUUAAUGGACCACCAAUUUUUAUUUAUUUUAUUAUAUAUAUAUAUUCCAUAGAAAAAUUACUUUCUAAUACCAUAGAAUCACCCUAAUUUCAAAUUGGGAUUUACUAUCUUAAAUUUUAAAUUUUUUAAAAAUAAUUUUUAAGGACAUGAACUAAAUUUAUAUUUUUUGUUAAGAAUUUCUAUUCUUUAUAUGAAAGUUUUUAUCAAUUUUUGUUUUUAAAAACAAAAAAUAAGUACUUAGAGUGCGUUUGACAAUGAUUUUAAGAAGUAUUUCUAAUAUUUUAAAUACUUAAAAAAUAAAAAAAUUUAUACAUUGAAACAAUUGCAAAAUGCACUUUUAGUAUGUAAUGAUAUUAAUUUCUUCGAAGAGAGAGAUUUACAUUUAAGAUAAAAAUAAAUAAAUAAAACAAUACAAGGAUAAAAAAUCAUUUUUAAAAAAAACUUUUAACUUCUUGUACUUUAUCAUUACACACUUUUUUCAUUAGAUGCUUUAAAUAAUUUUUAUGAAAUAAAAUUAUAAUUAUAUUGAUGGAGGGCUAAUUAACUUUGCUUUGGGUGAGAAAGAUAGAGAUAAGAUUGAAGUGGGUCCACAUCUAAAACAAAAAUGAAAUAAAAAGUAAAGAUGAAGAUAAGGUUGAGGUGGGUUCACAACUAAAAAAAGAAUGAAAUAAAAAGUAUGAGAUGAAUUGACCAAAGCUUAUGCCUUCUUCCAAAUAGUAAAAGCAAAGCCCAAUAGUAUAAAGUGAUGACACUAGUCCUAUUCAAGGCCCCACUUGCAUAAUUGCUACAUCUUUUGAUUUGAUUUUUGUUCAAUUUCACUAAAAUGAAAUCAUUUAUUUGAGCCCAAAAAUUCAAAUCCAAAUCCAAUCCACUUAUUUAUAUACAUUAUUGGCAUGGAAUGAGAAAAGUUAUAAAGUGAGAAAAUUUGAUCAUAUGAUAAAUAGUAAUUUUUCAAAGUUGGAACCAAUCCAAUGCCCAAUGGGCAUAAAAGACAAAGGAAAGAUGUGGAAAUUAUAGUGGAAUCUUGAAACAAAUUUUUGAGGUUUGAGGUGAUGUGACAAUCGUUUCAAGAAAUUGCCUAAGAAUGUGAGAUGUUAUUGCAUUGAAAAUUGAUAUUAAAUCUAAUUGGGUAACUAUAAGAAUUGCUUUACAUAAAGACAAGUAAUAAAUAUAUCCUGUUUUUUUCAAAAAGUUUAUGACCCUAAGUGAAUAAAAUGGUGAAUAAAACUUUUAGAGUAGGAUGAAUGCAUUUCACGUGAGUCAUGUCCUAGAUAUAUAUUUAGAAUUUUCUAGCAGGAUGUCAAGGAAAACUCUAUGAUGAGUGUUUUGUUUCUAGUUAAGGUAGGUCCAAUUUGGUGCAAUUCGCCAACAUAAUUUAAACCCAACAUAUGUUUUAGGGAUUUGAAUCGAGUAAAAUCAUAUUUAAAUUAAAUUAAUCAUAUGAAUCUACAUAACCCGUUUAAUAAAUAGAUUAUUUUUAGGUCAAUCUGGAUAACUCACAUUUGACUCAAAUUAACUUAUUUAAUAAUGGUAUUGAUUAACCUAAUAAUAACUUUAACUUAUUGAACUCAUAUUUGACUCAUGUAAAAUUCGUUUUUCAAUAAGUAUAUCAUAAUUAGGUCAUAAACAUGUCAUAUUAGAAUAUUAACCAUAUUAUUUCAUUCAACAUUUAACUUGACUUGAUUAUGAAAUAACGUCUUCUUAUUAAAUCGGUUAAACCGGUUAUAAUGUAUCACCUAGAUAAUAAUUAUAUUGUGUUUGAGUUUAUGCUUUAAAUUUUGAUUAUUAUUCAUGUCAUGUUUAUGUUGAGUUAUUUAGUGGAGGAUCUAACCUUAGAUAUAACACAAACGCAACCCACUAACAUAAAUUGUCAUCCUCACUUCUACUAAUAAGUAAUUUGUUUAUUACAAUUAAGAAAAUUGAGAAGAUAUAAUUUUUUUAAAAUUUUUAAAUGCAUGAUUAAAGUUAAUUAUAAGUUUUAAAAGUUUUAUAAUUCAUAGUCCAUCCAAACUAACAAAAUAUUAGAAAUCUUCAAUGGUUUUGUCUACAAUAAAUGUGUUGUGCUAAAUUAUCCCCUUCUUUACUAACCAAAACAUGUUCUUUCACAAUCAAAUAUCAACGUGUUUAAGCAGCCGGUGAAGCAUCUCUUGACAAUGAGGUGAGAGGUAGAAACAAGAAACAUACAUGUAUUCAAGAGAAGUGUUGUUUCUUCUUUUGCAUUAGAAAACAUUCAUUUAGUCUAAACUUGAAGGUGGAUUGCUAGAAUAUGAGCUCUUGGAAAGACAUAAGAGAAGGACAUUUAGGAAUCUGAAAGAAGCCUAGAGACCUGUUGCUACUUGUGAAUCACUGUAAUUAGAAACAAUUCCAGAUAAUCCUGCAAUUCUGGACCUUUGAUUUGCUUUGUUCCAUUUUGCCAAGAACAGUUCUAAAAUGCUUUUCUUUAUUGAGCUAUAAUGAUUUUAUUAUUAGGAUUUAAUUGUAUUCAUUAGGUUUGCAAAUCACAAAAAUGGUGUCGUGCCUAUGAAUAUUUUCCUCUUCGAUCAUGUAAUGUUGGGAAGCAAUUAUGGAAUACUAUGAUAGCACAAUAUAUUGAUCCACAUAGUUUGUGGCGUGACAGUUUAAUGAAAUUACAAAAGUGCAUGUAGCACUCAUGGGUAUGUCAUGUGAACCUUUUUCAAUAGAGCUACUUGUUUAAAUUUAUAUGGGUGAAUUGUCACACCAAUGUCCUCUUAUGAACCUUAGGUUCAUUUUUCUGUUUCUUUCUCUCUUGGUUAAGACAAACAAUUUGUCUUCAUAAGGACUUCGUGUUACCAAUAAGCAGCAUCUUGUAUUCUCCUUCUCUUCAUCCCCUUAUCAAGACACAGCAAUCUGAUGCAUCUUUGCAUUGGGUUGCUUCCUCUCCUCUCCCUUUCCUUCCUCCUUGAGGCAAAAUCGCAUCAUUGCUUAGUUUUGACUAUGUUUCUUUUUAUCAUUAUGAGAGAGCAUCAUUGUAAGAUGUACAAGAAACGUGUUGUGGUGCAUUAUCCCCUCCUCUACCACCUAAAAUCUAUUUUACACGAUCAUAAGGACCAAGGUGUUUUAAACAUUAGGUAAGGCAUUUGUUGACAAUGAUGUGAGAGAUAGAUACAAGCAACAUGCCAAUAUUCAAAAGACGUGAUGUUCUUCUUUUGCAUUUGACAACAUUCAUUUAGUCUGAACUCCACAUUUAGGCAACUCAGAAUCUCCACCUUCAUUAGGAUUGCAAGAAGUUGGCUUUUUGGGAAGACAUGGAAAGAGAGCAUCUAGAAAUCUGAAAAAAUUACAACGACCUAUUGCUACUUUUGAAUCAUUCCAAUUAAUAACAACUCCAAAAAAUAUAUACAAAUAUGUCCCUGGGAAAGAGAUGUGUCUUGUGCAUAUGCAACCAUCUCUCUAAUAGACUUAGGGUUGUGCACCCUCAUGGUAGUUUCUUAUAUAUUGCACCAUAUGAAUUGUAGAUAUCCAACUACCAAUAUCACUACACCUGAAUGAACUAGAAGCUAAAGUGAAGUUGACAACCCAUCAUCGAAAGAAUCCUGUAGGAAUACACCAAAAUGAAAAUUUUAUUAACAUAAAUGAAUUCAUCCAAUUAAAGGGUAAAGUUGCCUAAAAAAUUGAAUUGGGAGAGAUAGAAAUAUUGAUGCUUUCAUAGGACUGUGAAAGGGACCAACAAGUGGAACAAACAUUGAAUAGUAAAUGUAAAGCCAUAAAGCUUGUAACUAGUGUCAAAAGCUGCUCCCUAGUGAAGUUUUUUAACAAUGAAGGUAAGUGGAAAAUUCACCUAAUAGCUCUACUUGUAGAAAAUUGCAAUGGUGUGAAACUAGGAUAUGGUGAACUCGUUUCCACUAUUGCAAUGAACCAUUAUGGAUCAAAAAUGAAUCUCACCAUCGGUUUUCACAUAGGAGAUGUGGGCUAUCUUUGGCCCAUAUCUCAAUAUUGGAUUUAGGAGUUAUGUCUCUCAUAUAUGGUUCCACUUGCAAAAUACAAAUGGAGCUUAGCUAAUGACAACACAUUUAGAAAAAUGCAAGAAUUCCAUAGACAUGUUUUGUGCUAUCAUGAAUCAUUCCAAUCAGUACGGAAUCGAAGUGCUAUAAUUUUGAAUUGUCUUAGGGAACAAAUCCUAAUUCAAUCUUGCGGAAGUAAACCAUCUUGAGCACCAACUCAAUUCUGAGUUCUUUAGGAUACUUGAGACACCAAUUCAAUCAAAGAUGCUAGUCGUUUUUGAGGUAAAUUGUCUUCCUCCAUUGAUACUAGGGAAAAUGCUUUUGAAAACCAUUCAUCUGCAAGUUACAAAGGGAAAUGAGAUUAUGUGAUUUGGGAAGAGAAUUAAGCUUUGGAAGAGAAUUAAGCUUCGGAAUAUUGCCAAUAUGCAACCGAUAAUUUCUAAUUCUAUCACUUUUAUUCUAACAUGUGAUUUGGAAAGAGAAUUAAGCUUCGAAAUAUUUCCAAAAUGCAAGGAAUUGAGGAGGCCAAGUGGGCAACCACCAUAGCUAGUUCGCAAACAAAUGAUAGCAUUGGAAGUGGAACACAACACAUAAACUUCAAAAACAAAACAUGUUUCUCACGAUCAUAAAUACCAAGAUGUUUAAGCAUGAGGUAAGUCAUCUCUUGACAAUGAUGUGAGAGAGACACAAACAACAUACCAGUAUUCAAGAGAAGUAGCAUUCUUCUUUUGCAUUCGACAACAUUCAUUUAUUUUACAUCCCAAAUUUUAGCAACUCGGGAUUUCCACCUUCUUUAGGAUUGUAAGAAGUUGGCCUCUUGAAAACACAUGAGAGGGCAUUUAGAAAUCUGAAAGAAUUCCAGAGACUUUCUAUUGCUUGAAUUGUGAAUCAUUCCAAUCAUAAAUACCAAGGUUCUAAGAUCAAGUAAGGCAUCUCUUAAUAAUGAUGUGAGAGAUAAAGACAAGCAGUACACCAGUAUUCAAGAGAAGUAGUAUUCUUCUUUUGCAUUCGACAACAAUCAUCUACUCUACACCCCAAAUUUUAGCAACUUAGGAUCUCCACUUUCAUUAGGAUUGUAGAAAGUUGGCCUCUUGGAAACACAUGAGAGGAUAUUUAGAAAUCUAAAAGAAUUCCAAAGACUUGUUAUUGCUUGAAUUGUGAAUCAUUCCAAUCAUAAAUACCAAAGUGUUCCAAGAUCAGGUAAGACAUCUCUUGGCAAUGAUGUGAGAGAUAGAGACAGGGAGCAUACCAGUAUUCAAGAGAAGUAGUAUUCUUCUUUUGCAUUCGACAACAGUCAUCUACUCUACACCCCAAAUUUUAGCAACUCAAGAUCUCCACCUUCAUUAGGAUUGCAGGAAGCUGACCUCUUGGAAACAUAUGAGAGGAUAUUUAGAAAUCUGAAAGAAUUCCAGACACUUGUUGCUUGAAUUGUGAAUCAUUCCAAUCAUAAAUACCAUGGUGUUUCAAGAUUAGGUAAGGCAUUUCUUGGCAAUGAUGUGAAAGAUAGAGACAAGCAGCAUACUAGCAUUUAAGAGAAGUAGUAUUCUUCUUUUGCAUUCAACAACAUUCAUCUACUCUACACCCCAAAUUUUAGCAACUCAAGAUCUCCACCUUCAUUAGGAUUAUAGGAAGCUAGCCUCUUGGAGACACGUGAGAGGACAUUUAGAAAUUUGAAAGAAUUCUAGAGACUUGUUAUUGCUUGAAUGUGAAUUAUUCCAAUCAGUAACAACCCCAAAGCCCUAUAUACAAUUUUGAACUGUCAACCUUCUUACAUUGAAUGAAAAACUUGUCCCUAGGAAAAAGGUGUCUUGGGCAUACAACCAUCAAUUAUUAGCUCUCAAAGAGGCUUAAAGUUGUGCACCCUCUUGGUAGCUUCUAAUUCAUUACAUCAUAUAACUUCCAGAUAUCCAAUUGGCAUGUCACUACACCUGAAUGAAGUAGAAAACAUGGUGAAUAGGAAGUUAGACAACCUUUCACAAAAAGAAUCCUACAAGAAUACACCAAGCAGAACUUCUUGUUAACAUAAAUGAAUUCACUUAGUUAAAUUAUUGCGUUAAAAUUUAAAUUGGAGAAAUAAAAAUACUAAUGCUUGAGAAUAAGUAUUGAGAAUAAGAGUUACCUUAAUGAAUGUAAGGAUAGGAUAGGGUUGAAUUGGCUCUGCACCCAUUUUUGCAAUUUGAAUUUAUUAUGGUUCAAAAAUGAGUUUAUGAUAUAUCCUCAAUUUAGGGGAAGCGAGCAAUCUGGGGCCAAUCUCUAUCAUUCUCCUUGAAACAUCUUUGAUUUCAAAGUUUGAUAAAACUUAGAAGACAACCUUUCACUUGGCAAGGAGGACUAGAACAAGGCAUCCCUCAAUCUCUACAAGUUAAAGAAAUGAAGUUUUGAAGACCAAGGGAGGAGGCUAGGUUUCCAUAUUUGACAAUAUUUUCAUUGAAAGAUUAAUGAGAGUUGUAGCAAGAAAUCCUGUCAAAAGGAAAUUGCCUUUAACAAUGUACAAUAUAAAAUGAAUGAACUAAGUUUUUAGAGAAGUGAAUCUUUGGAGGCUCCACAAAAAUAAGGGGUUUUAAUACUCUUGCAAGUGUAUUCAUGAAAUUGUUUCCUCAAAGGACUCCUGAACCUAGACAAUGUACAACACAAAGCUGUUAAAGAGAUGUGAGACUCUAAAUCUGAUGAGGUAGGACUUGAGAUCCACAUUUUCUUAAGUGAAGAAUUCUGAUGUUGUAAACACACUAGUAGUUUCUAGAUUUAGAUACUUCUCUUCAAAUAUUUGUAUAAUGUACAUCUUCUUUGACAUUGCUGCUCCAAUAGGAUGUCCAAUAGGAUGUGCAACCUAUUUGGGCAUACUACAUGUACAACAAAAAAUUUCAUUAAAACAAAAAACUUUUACUAAAACAAAAAUAUGAAGUUAAUGUCUAAGAAGAUAAGAUUUAUAUAUAGUGAAUGAGCAUGUUUGAUUUUAGCACAAAGGGAAAGACGCCAAAAUUUUUAAGAAUAUCAUCACCACAAGUACCUAAUUUGCAUCAUUAAAAAUUCCACAAGGAUUUGAUGGCUAGGCAAUAAAAUAAUUCUAGUAAAUGAGUUAAAAUCAGCUAAGCUAAGAAAGAUUAAAUCCAAAUAAGCAUCAAUCAUUAAAGAAUUAGCCAACUACGAAAGACUUCAAAUGACAUUUUCUCUGUAAUUUCUGUUCCUAAUUAGCCUCAUGUGAUUGUACCAAAAUAUUAUUAAUUUUCUUUAAAGGAAGUGGGUGACUCAUAUCUUUGAAAGGGUGUGAGAAGUGGAAAUCCCUCGAUCCCUAGUGAUUCAAGAGGAUAAUUCCUAUGGCUAUUGUUGUCAUCAUACAUCAUUCAGCUAGCUAUAGACCACAAAAUUGAACAAUCAUGAAUAUGUAGAUGCUUAAAUAUGGUAUGUACUUUAUCUAGUGGAAAAGCUUAUGAGACUUGGACAUCUCGAGAUUUCUAGGAAUUAAAACAGAUACAAGUUGUUGCUUCUUGUUAUAAUUUAUCUGGAUUGCAAUCAUCAAGCACUAACUCCAUUCACUACAUGUUUUGAGCCUUCAACAUAAAUUCCAUUCUUUCAGCCAAAAAAAAAAUCAUUAAUAACUCAUCUGAAAACCAUUUUAUGUUGCUCAAAUUAUAAAAUGUAGGAUGUAACUGACUUCCAUCAUUGAAAAUGAAUUGAUAUAACUUUACAAUACUAGUAUAUUCAGCUUUUGAAAUGGUUGAAACUGAUCCUGGAAUCAAAAAUCACAUACACAAGUAGAUAUUUAACAAAAGAGAAUCCAAAAUCUCUUCAAUUGAUUAAUGUAUAAAUGAAUUAAUCAAAAUUUUUAGAGAUAAUUAUGGGGAGAUGAACCUUGUACCUUUCAGUUUCUUAUUCUUCUUGAACAGAGCAAUGUGCAUCAAGUGUUGAGCACCUAGGAAUCUCCCUUCCUCCACAGGCAAAAUCUGAACAAUGUAUCCUUUCUUCAUAUUCCACUUCCUUGCAAAAUUCAAAACAUGAAGAAAAUAUCAUCAAAAUUAAGACAAAAAUAAGUGCAUCAACUAUCUCAAGAAGAGAUAUAUGCCUACUGCGUACCUUUUGAAGAAGUCCACUUGGUUAGAGCACAUUUUACAUGGACGCCCAAUCACUAUAAGCAAUUGAACCAAAGGAGAGUUCAAACAUCUACAAAAUUUGACGAACUCAAGUAUCAUAAAAUACUUCAUAUGAAUUCUAAAUGAUCUCAUAUCUAAAAAACAUUGGCAUAAAAUUAUUGUUUUUUACCUUACAUGUUUCUUCCAUGGUCAUAAUCAAAACUUUGUUUAUCAUAAGAAAUCUUCUAUGCUCAUCUUGAUUACUUACAAUGAACACUGAAAUGAAAAGAAAAAAAACCACAAAAAAUGAUGAUUAGUUUGGUUUGAUAAAUUUAGCACGCAUAAUUUCCUUUUUCUUGCAUGAGAAAAGAAAGAGUAAAUAUAUAUAUAUAUAUAUAUAUAUAUAUAUAUAUAUGAAUUUAAUAAUUUUUUAAAUUAGCAAUUAUAAAACUAUUUUGGUUCUCAUAAAAUUUAUGAGAAAGUAGAGAAAAAAAAUUGUAAACUUUUUCUCUUGUUUGAUUGUUUAUCGAAAAAUUGAGGGAAAAACAAAAAUCUAUGAGAAAUUUAUUUAACACUUCUGAGGAACCAAAAAUGUUUUAGAUGUUGUCAAAUUGAUAAUUUAAACGUGUUUAAUUCCAAUUAAAUGAGUUUAGUAAAACACAUGAAAUUGUGAAUAAAAUUAUUUAAAAGCAUUGAAAUUCAAGUCAUUAAAGUUGUCCAUAAAAUUUGGUAUAUUGAAGCAAGAAAAAAACAAAGCAAUUUGAAUGACUUGCUAAUAAAGCAACUAACUAGAAUAUGCCCUAGAGUUGUUCAGUGCCCUCUAUAUAAGAAAUAAAUAGAGAACACAAAAAAAAAACCAAGAAAAAAAAACAAUCAAACGAAAAACAGAGAACACUUCUUACGUUAUUUUUUCUUAAUUUUUCUGAUUUAUAUACAUUUUUGUUGGUUUUCUUUUGACCAUAAAAGGUUCGAGCAUUGGCAUUGUCAUGUGUAAAUUAUUGUGGCUACAAACUUCAUUCGUAUCCAAUUGCACACCUAUCCAAACUCUUGAUGAUGAAGGUAUGAUUGCAUUUACUAGCAUUAAAUUGCUAAAAUUUGUCAUCCAAAGUUCCAAUUUCUUUUGAACCUUGAAGACUUCAUUUGCAUUCUUGUAGGAAUUAGACGUGGAAUCAUUUUGCAAUGCUUGUGGUCUUGAGACCAGCAGUGAUGAAUGGGGAAAUAAGUUCUUAUCAACCAAGCAAACAAACUUCCAUUAUCCCAAGAAAGUCUUUCCAAGCUACUCUUAUGGGUUUGGAACACUUUUAGAGGUAACAAUCAAUUGGAACUAGUUACUCUUUCAAACUUCUUAUUGUACAAAUAUAGCCUGCAUGUGCAACCAUUUUUUAUCCCAUAAUUUCAAAAAUUUAUGACACCUUCUAGUGGUUAGUUUUUCUGGGAAUGGAGUAAAGCAAUCUAUUCACUCCGAGAAAUUAUCGUAAGAAGAAUAGUAGAUAACCUCGCAAGACCAAAUUUAUGUGUGUGCAUGGAGGUGCAUGUUUUCUGCAUCCCAAUCAUGCAGCGUUGUGUCAAAUGGAACAAUAGCAGGUGAUGAUAAGUGGUAUUUCUAAAAUCUUCUAAGAGUAUUCCAUAUAUUGUAAUAUUGUUUUCUCAAAAUUGUCUUUGAGUCUUAUGUGUAAAUAUUAGAGUUGACCUCUUGUAAGCUAUCAACUGAUGUUGUAACUUAACUUGAAAGGGAAAUUCUAUAAAUUUAGCCUUGGUUUGGCUCUUGGAAAGCAAAGAAAAAUUAGGUUAAUAGUGAGUUGAUUUCUUCCCUUCCCAUGGAUGUAAGCACAUUCUUAAAUUAUGUUAAUUAUGUUUUGGUUUAUUUUGUUGUUUUCUUGUUUAUUGUUCAAUUGUCUCCGCAUAACAAGUGGUAUCAAAGUUGUUUCCAACACAAUAGAUGAUUCCUAUGCUAACACAAUGUUUGAGGCUAAAUGUAAGAUGGUAAAAGUUUCUAGAAUAUUUCUGUAUGACAACUGCCAAUAAAGGAUGUACUUAACAGGAAAUUCGUAAGGUGUUACAUGGCAAGUUGAACAAGACCAAUAGCCAAAGAUAUCUGAAAUAUUUGGGGCCAUUGAUCCAACAAUAGCAGAGAAUAACACAAGAAGAGACCCUCUAAUCACCAUUUUUGCUUUUGAUUCUUCUCUACAAAGCAUCAUCUCCUUUAUACAAAAAGACAACCCAUGGCUAAGCCCACAUUAUUCUCUACAUAUCCCAAAAAAACCCUCUAACCCAUGGCAUGGCGCACUUUUUGGGGGUAUUUUUGCUACUAAAUUUGUGGUAGUCUCUCAAAUACCUAAACUAUCCUCCAGAUAUUAAGGUAUGGCCUACUCUUUGAGGUGGUAUUAAGGUAUGGCCUAAAUUUGUUAAGAGAGGUUUUGGUGUGGAAACUAGAGGGCUUUACACACGUUGCAUGUAUUUUCUUUUGCAUGCAUUACACGUAGAUCGGAGUUUAUGCAGUUACUCACUUUUUGUGAGUCCAAUAGUACUGUAGUGCCACGUCACCAUAUGAUGGGCUCUUUAGUCUUUUCAAACCCAAAAAAAAAAACUAAUACUAAAAGGACUGCUAACUAGCUAUGUGGAGGUGAACCUCUAUAGCUAGCUUCUUAGAGGGACCAUGAUCACUUAGGCCAAGAAAGUUUGAGGUGAUAAUAGGUUUGUGAUGCCCUUAGAUGUUUUAGACACAUGUGUGUUACACUAAUGUAUGCAACGAGUCUAUAACCUUGAUUGACAGGUCCGGGUAAUCUUUGAAAUUCCACUGUGAUAGGAAGGUUCCAUGUGAACAACAGUUGCACAUGGGUUAGUCAAUCUUAAGAGACGGGGGAAGCCCGUUUAAUAGCACACAAUGUGCAAGCUUUGAAAGGCAAUCAGGUUAACAUUUUUUAAUUGGGACAUGAUAGCGAACAACAACAUUAGGUAGUUUGGAGAUGUCGUCAUAUUAAUUGUUAUCAAUAUUUUUAUUUAUUCAAUAGAAAUUGAGGAUUAAAAAAAUACCACAAAAAUUAGAAAAAACAAAAUUAAUUACAUGGCUUACAUUUCAAAUAUUUAAUAAAAUAUUGUUUGAAAAUUGAAUAUCAUACAUUAUUAAAUGGCUGGAUUCUCUUCUUUAUUUUUUUAAUUGUCUCAUCCUAUUAAAUUACUCAUCUAAUAUUAAUUUAUUUUAAAGGUAAAAUUAAUUAUUUUGUAAAAAAAACUUUUAAUUGACCAGAGUUUGUGCCAUGCAUCUAAUAUAUACUUAAAUACUUUUCCAUGCUAUAAUCCUCCAACAAAGGAAUGAAAUCAAAACUUAAAAAUCAUUUAUAUAUAUAGAUAUAUGUUAUUAAGUUUAGGUAGUGAAGCAAUUAUUGUGAAUAUAAAAUUAAUGCCAAAAAUUUUGAUUGUUCUUUCACGUUCUCCACAACCAAACAAAGGAUAUAAGAAAAAUCAAGAAAGAAAUUUAGGGUAGUUUGAUUUUUUGUUCUCAUCUUGUCGUGAAGUUAAUAGAGGAAUGCUUGGGUUAGUGCUUGACAGUUAGGUGACACUAGGGUAUAAUGAUUCUUCCAAUCAAGUAAAUAUUAUCCGCUUUAAUUUCAAUGGAUCAUCAUCACUUUAAAUUGCAUCCACAUGGUUAAGAGCAACUCAUAUGUGUAUAAUAUCAUGAAUUUCUUCUUAUUCAAUAUGGAAUAUCAAAUUAGGUAUCUUUCAAUUUUAGGUAUUGUAUAAGUGUUUCAAUUCAAAUGACUUGGCUUAAUGUAUACUCAAAGCCUUUACAAAGGAACGUACAUGUAAUAAAGUGAAAAUUAAACCUUGUCGCCCGUCUAUCUCUAGUAUGAAACACAACUCCAUUAGCGCUUAAACAUCUGCAAAAAAAGAUAUACACCUUUGUUACAUUAAUUAAAAUAAAUGAUAGAAAAACAGACUCCAUAUAUCCAUGUACAAUAUUUGAUUAGAUUUGUUAUAUAUAUAAAGAGAGAGAGAGAGAGAAAAAGAAAAAAAAACUGCUUAGAUUAAGGAUCUCAUUAAUUAAUACCUAGAAAAUAUAAAAUAAUAAAAAAAGAUUAGAAGGUGUGAAUUAUAAGAUAAGACUACAUUUUUGAAUUAGAUUCAUCGAAAGAUGGCAUAUUGUAUGAACAUUUUUACUCUAUAUAUAAAAACUUAUAUUAUGGUUGAGAUGUAUUAAUUUGUCAUAUUUUUGGACAAUUCAAGUAAUGAGUAAUUACACUAAAUUAAAUUAUUGACCUUAUUAAUUGAUACCUCAACAGUAUAAAAUAGUAAGAAAUGAAUAAUACAAACUUCAUCGAAAUAUUUUUAUAGACAUAUUGCGUAAAUAUUCUUAUUUAAUAAAAUUUUAUAUGUCAUUAAAUAAAUAGAGAAUUUUAACAUUAAUUGCAAUGCUAAGUAGAGGAGAUCUCAUAUUUAAGCUGAUGAUUAAGGCUUAUUUGAUAAAACUUAAUAUUUAUUACUUAAUAACUUAAGUUGACUUUAAGUUAAAUUAUAUUUAAGUUACUCAAAAUUUAUUAUUUAAUAUUUACUUUAAGUAUUAAAGUUAUUUGAUAAAAUUAAUUUAAAAAUCAUUUUAAAUUAUCAAAUUGUCAUAUUUAUCUUCGUUAAUUUGAUAACUAGAUGCAGAUAAAUGAAACAAAAUAAAAUUGAGAUUAAGAAUAAAUUAAUUACUUUGAUUUAACACUUAAAAUUAAAAGUAACUUUAAGAUAUAAUAUUAAGUUAUUUUAUCAAAUAUAUUUAAUCUAUUUAAUAAUUAAAUUAAGUUAUUAAGUUAAUGAAUGAUUACCAAACACCCUAUAAGACCCAAAAAAUCGAAUGAGUUUUAAUAGUAUUCAGGAUGGACAUGACUAGGUGGCGGUUCAAUGCUGAUUAAUCAUAAUUCAAUCAAGGCAAAAUAUGUAACAAAUACAAGUCAAACUGCACCAUCCAAAUGGGCGCCAAGAAGUUACAUUUGACAAAUGCCAUUAAACCUCUACAGCUAGCAAUUAUUUUGAUCACAGAAAAAAUGGCAAAAAAGUGUGUCGUACUUCAUCUUGAAGCCCAUUAACUUCAUCUUAAUUUGAUCCAAAUUGCAGAAACAUGCAAAACUCCAUGAAUCUAUGGUGCUAUGGUGGCCUACAUUCAUAUAACUGGGGACACUUUGGUUUACACCACAAUGACCCCAAACAGGGUUUGUAGAGGCUUUAUCAAGAUCACUAGCUUUAAAAGACUAAGGAAAGAAAGAUGUUCUCAAUGAAAACUUGGAGUCAAAUUGCAGAUAAAGACCUAAAACUCCCACUCAAUGUGUUUUAGGAAUUGUUGUUUCAUGGGGAUAAGCUGCUUGGUUUGUACAUGUCUCCUUGGUGAUACUUAGAGAUUGGCAAAGUAUAUUCUCCUUUGUGAUCUGGUUUGUAUAUGGGCAGAUGAAUGUUCAUGCCAGGUUCAUAUAUGUUUCUGAUAUAUAUCACCCUGGAAGGAUCUAGAUCAAGGGGAUGAGUUUGAAAAGCUUGAGUAGGUUUAAGAUGUUCCCAGAAUUGGUGAGCAUGAUAUAUAUCAACAUGAUAUUGCAGAAGACAACAGAGCUUCUGAAAUAUAUCAGGUUCAAUAGUAGGAAAUCUUAUCAGCUGUCACUUAUUGUAAUCCUAUGCUCUCAAUAUUCAUUUGUUGAAGAAGAAGAAAAAAUUGCUGUCACACUAUUCAAUUACCGGAGAAUGUUCAAUUAUAGAAGAAAAUAAUAUUCACUAGACUCUUUCAACUUAAUCAACAUGCAGAGAAAAGCCGUCGGGUGGCCAAUUAUUCACAUACCAACUUACAUACAUCGUCUCUCUACCUCUACUUGUUACUCAUUAGCCAAGCUUAUAGUAAUAUAAGCUUGGGUUCAUCUCUCCAUGUCUCUGAUGACAACUCCACAUGGGGUUCGCCUUCUGGUGAUUUUGCAUUUGGAUUCUGACCCUCUCCAAGUGAAAAGGAUCAAUAUCCUUCUUGCUAUCUGGACUGCAAAUGGAAGUUAACUGGUGCCAAGAGGAUCAAAAGUUGAGCUUACUACCAAUGGACAACUUGUUCUCCAGAGGCUAAGAGAUGAAGACAAAGACUGGUAAUGUGAGCAGCGAAGCAGUGCAUGGUGCCAUGCUUGGACAUGGAAAUUGUAUACCAGUAUAUGGGAGAGCUUCAAGCACCCAACUAAUACCAUAUUGCCAACCCAGGGAUUGGUGUUGGAGCCUCCUGUGCAGUUGCUAUUUUUGAGGACCUGAGGUUUGCAAAUGGAACUGGAAGCUGUUGGAGGAAAAGACUACCUCUUUCAAAUGGGAGGUUGGAUCAAACUGAUGUUUCCAGAAGUGCUCUAAUCAAGAAGUCCAGUGAACUAACGUCAGGCAGAGGCAACCAAAAUAAAGCAAUUCUAAUACUCUCAGUCCUCUUAGGCCCCUCUGCGUUUUUCUUCUUCGUUUCUCUGGCUGCAAUUUCUCUAGUUUUCUACCACUUGAACCUCAAAAAUCUGCAGCUUUAUCACAGAAUCCUGAGUACAAGCGAUGGUAGAAGCCUUUGACACUGUCUAUAAAGGGAUAUUACCAUCAGGUUCUGGAAAUUCUGUUGCUGAAAAGAAGUUGGAGAAGGUGGUGGGAGAAGAUGAGAAAGAAUUCAAAGCAGAAGUGAAUGUGAUAGGCCAAACUCACCAUAAGAAUCAAGGACAGUUGCUGCGUUACUGUCAUGAGGGUGAACACUGACUACUGGUGUUUUUUUUUAUUUUAUUUUUUUAUGCACAAUGGCUCUUUAUCAAGCUUCCUUUCUGGAGGCGCCCAAGGACUUGUGUACCUACAUGAAGAAUGCAGUAAACAGAUCAUCCAUUGUGACAUAAAGCCCUCAGAACAUAACUCUUAGAUGAUUCUUCUACAGCCAAAGUUGCAAACUCGGACUGGGAAAGCUUCUGAUAAUCAACCAGACUAGAACACUCACAGGCAUCAGAGGGACUAUGGGGUAUAUUCAGACAACUCGAGCAGCCUAUGUCUCUUAUAAUAACACGUUAUGAAGCAUCAGCUCAAUGCCAAGGUUCAAUCUGCAAAGCAAGGGAUUCAUCAAUGUUUCCUUCAAACUAAAUAACAAGGAACAGAAAUGGAUCAUUCUGCAUUUUCAGUGGUGUUUGUUAUAGCAUUUAUACAAGAACUCUAGGGGUUUCUAUGUAUAACUUCAUUCCUAUUUUGUCAGUGAAUAUGGUGAUGGUGUUAUAUUAUAAAUCAUAGUGAACUGGUGGAAUUUGAUCAUUUGGCCAACUUUAUCCAAAACUGUUUCACGGUUGAGGGGAUUGUUGACUUUGCCCUGGGCGAAACAGCAAUUUCUUAAGAAGCUGGGUAACGAAGAGUACCAUAAUUUGGACUGGUUUCAAUGGAAACUCUCCUGUUUUUGUGCAUGGUAUCUUCAGCUUCAGCUUUUCCUAUGCUUUUGACUAUCCUGAAACUGAUCCAAAUCUCUUCAAUUGAUUAAAUGUAUAAAUGAAUCCUAUUCAUUGUUUGGAGUAACAACCAAAUUCUGGAAGACUGGGAAAGUUUCAACACUGGAGAGAAAACAAAAUGACAAGACCAUAAAUUCUGGAAGAGGGCUUUGCUUUCUAAUCAUUACCAUAAUUUUAGAGCUCAACCCGGGUGAGUAAAUUAUAUUUCAGAAUGUUCAGAAGAUAAUUCUGAAGUGAUGAACCUUCUACUCACAGUUUCUUGUUCUUCUUGAACAGAGCAAUGAACAUCAAUAGUUCAGCACCCAGGAAUCUCCCCUUCCUUCAAUUCCUUUACUGGGAAAACUCUGCCAAAAUCAUAACAAUCUGUCCUCUUCCUUGGAGGAAAAGUCACCUUCCCAAUCAAGAAAAUCAUCAGGAUUAAUUUGAGCAAAACAUCAGAGUAUACAUCAAGAAAGCCUUGAUCAAAAUCAAAAUACAUCAAGAGCUGCCAUUUUCUUCUAUUUCCUCUUCCCUGAAUGGAAUGCCUUUUGGACUGAGGUGAUCAAUGGUAACAGUCUAACACACUCCUUAAGCUCUGAUUGAGGUCAACGGGGAUUGGCACAUUUAAUGACUUUUGAAAUCAUAGCUGUGUGAAGGGAGGCAAACAUGAAUCUCAGGAUAAUCAACAAGUCAACAACUAUCAAUCAGCAAGGAAAAGGAAAUACCUUUGGAUAUUUACAAAUCAAAAAUUUGAGAGAGUCCAGCUUCUCUGUACAGAAAGGCUUGAGCUUAUUCCAUGGCCAGGCUUUAGAUGGUUCUGAAUUACGGAUGAGAGGGUUGAGUUUUCUUUUAUUCUGCAACAAGAUUAAAAACAUCAAUGAAACACUAAAAGUUUAUAUAUAGAAGCCCUUUAAAGAUAAGAACUGGUAAGAAAGCUCACCCAUGGUCUAGUAAAACAACAUCUGUUAGAUAAGUAACCGCCAUUCGAUUGUCCAGCUAAUGCAUUUAGAUCUAAGAUAAGAUAUGGAAAAAUAGUCAAAAAUAGCUGAAGACAGUCCAAAAACUCAUUUGACUAAUAAUUUUCUAAAAGCAGUAACAUAAAACCUGGAUGAAGAAUCCACCCCUCUACCUGACACCACUUCAAUACCAAAUAAAAUGUUACGAUGACCAUUUAUGGUCUUAAGAGACAGUGGAUGUUGUUUGGGCUCAAGACCUAAGACAAGCCAAAAAACAAGAAGAAAACAUCAAAAUUGGCACAGAAACAAGUACAUCAACUAUCUAAUAAAGAGAUUUAUGCAUGUAACAAAUGCAAAUGAAAUAUGAAACAAGAUUUUCAUGGAUUAAACAAAAAUAGAUGGCAAAAUAGAAGGAUAAGGUCACAGACAGGACAAUAUUAAAAGAAAUGAUUAUUUGUCCCACCUGAAAAUCAAGGCAUUCAGAACAGUACACAUUUGUAAGUAGUCCAUGGAAACCAGGGAACAUAUGCAGAUGUUGUAUUCUAUUGCAUAAGGCAAACACUCAAUACUUACAAGCAUAACCAUGCCCAGAAAGCCAUGAAUCCCUUUUAGUUUUGCUUUUUUACCUAUUCCCAUCUCUUAUGGCCAGAAGUGCCCAGGAUGAUAUAACAUCACCAAAUAAGUUAGAAACCAGCCCAUCCAGCAGGUUGAGUAGCCAGCUUGCCCUCAAUCUUCUUUGAGUCAACAAACAGCUGGGCAUUAUUGCCUCCAAUGGAGGGUCUGGAAAUAUUAGAGCUGGCACCAGGGGUGGCUGUAAAACUCUCUGUUCCAAAACCCCAAGUUUCAGGGCCAGAAGUUGCUUCUGUGGCUGGUUUGUUGUGAUGGCCAUUUCGGGUCCUAACAGACUUGCUAUUGUUGUCUGGGCACCUACCUCAGAGAAAGCCUGCCAUGGAUUAGAGUCCUGACAUGGCUGAAACUGAUCCUGAAAUUAAAGUGCACAUACACAAGUAGAUAUUUAACAGAAGAGUAUCCAAAUCUCUUCAAUUGAUUAAUGUGCAAAAGAAUUAAUCAAAAUUUUUAGAGAUAAUUAUAGGGAGAUGAACCUUGUACCUCUCAGUUUCUUAUUCUUCUUGAACAGAGCAAUGAGCAUCAAGUGUUGAGCACCCAGCAAUCUCCCUUCCUCUACAGGCAAAAUCUGAACAAUCUAUCCUUUCUUCAUAUUCCACUUCCUUGCAAAAGUCAAAACAUGAAGAAAAUAUCAUCAAAAUUGAGACAAAAAGAAGUGCAUCAACUAUCUCAAGAAGAGAUUUAUGCCUAUUGCUUACCUUUUGAAGAAAUCCACUUGGUUAGAGCACAUUUUACAUGGACGCCCAAUCAGUGCAAGUUGCUGAACCAAAGGAGAGUUCAAACAUCUAGGCUCAUCUUGAUUAUUGUAAUGAACACUGAAAUGAAAAAAAAAAAUGAAUUUAAUAAUUUUUAAAAAUGAGCAAUUAUAAAACUAUUUUGGUUCUCAUAAAAUUUACGGGAAAGUAAAGAAAAAAAAAUUGUAAACUUUUUUGUUUUUGUUUGAUUGUUUAUGGGAAAUUUGAGGGGAAAAAAAAUCUAUGAGGAAUUUAUUUAACACUUCUUAGGAACCAAAAAUGUUUUAGUUGUUAUCAAAUCGAUAAUUUAAACAUGUUUAAUUCCAAUUAAAUGAGUUUAAUCAAACACAUGAAAUUGUAAAUAAAAUUAUUUAAAAGCAUUGAAAUUCAAGUCAUUAAAGUUGUCCAUAAAAUUUGGUAUAUUAAAGCAAGAAAAAAACAAAGCAAUUUGAAUGACUUGCUAAUAAAGCACCUAACUAGAAUAAAUAAAGCAGCUAACUAUAUAAGAAAUUAUAAAAUAAAAAUAAAAAAUAAAAAAUAAAAUUGCCAAAAAAAAAACAAACAAAAUAUCCAUGGUUCUUACGUUAUUUUUUUCUUAAUUUUUAAAUAGUUAUAAAUGGUUCAUUUAAUUUUUGCAAACUACGAAAUCAAAAUAGAGCAUGAAAAUGUGUUCAACAUUUGUUUCAAGCUUGAAGCUUCAAGAAAAAAGAAAAUCUUAAAUCAAAUAAACAGAAAGAAAAGUUCAAGCGCAAAAGAAUUACCUAACUGUGUAUUGGCGGAGUGGCACUUUGAUUAAAAUAGCACUUCAUUGAUCACUAUUUUAGGAAUGAGAUCUAUAUAACGCCAUUCUUCCCCUUUCUCAAAUUGACACCGUUUUUCCAGUAAAUGACCUCAUUAGAACUACAAUAAGUGAAGUGAUAAUGUCAUCUAAUUAGUAAACCAAACCAAGUCAAUAAACUAGAACUUCCUCUAGUAUAAAGGUCUUGAUACAUUAGAUAUUGAAUUUGUUGGACCUGGCAAGGUAGAAGUAGUAAUGCUCAUUUUUUAUUGUGACAGAUUAUAGAGAAAAUUAGACACUGGGAAAAUACCAAGCCAGGAGCCAUGUCAAGAGCUGCUUUCUUGUUAAAAAUUAAGUCCAAUUAGAAAAUUACAGUAGCGCGUAAGAGAAAUUGAAAGUGGUGUUGAGAAGAGAAAGAGGAAGAAUGAUGUGUUGGGAAUGAGAUGUAAUACCUUAUUUAUUAAUACACAGGGGAUGUGGGCAAUCUUGGGCCAAUCAUCUCCUUCCUCCUUCGAGUACCUUUGUGUUAGAUGUGGGCAAUCCCGCACAUACACUCGUGAAAGGGUGUCAGGCAAUAGUCCUUCCGUUGGCAAAAUCGAUCGGAGCUUAGGGCAACUGUAGAUUUCUAGCUCUUCAAGAGAGGUGAGGGUUUGGAGAGACAGGGAGGCUAGGGAUUCCAGAUUCUGGAAUUCUGAAAGGGUAAGGGAGGAGAGAGUUGUAGGAAAAAUAAUCGAGUGGGGGUCAUCCGAAAAGGAAGUUGCAUCUGGAAACAUGCCACCAAUCCAGAGGAGUUUAAGAGAGGUGAGUCUGGAAAGGCCCCAUUGGGAUAGGGGGGUCUUGAUAUUCUCAAAGUGAGAGAUCUCGAGUGAUGUAAGAUGAGUGAGGGUGUUGAGGCAAUCUGGUAGGGUUUUGAGAUUAGGAUACCUCUCGAUGGUUAAAGAUUGAAGUGAAUUAUUAGUAGAGUGAAACAUCUCCUCUGAAAUUGACUCGAGGUGUUCACAAUCCUCAAUGUGAAGUUGCUCAAGGGUGGAUGGAAACUUGCCUCUUGGGAAGGAUGUGAGAGAUGGACAUUUACGGAUUUCCAAGGCUUGGAGAGCAGCAGCAUAUGUGGAAUCGUAGUGCAUUAUUCCCUCUGGUAGAGACUCUAGCCUUCUACAAUCAAUUAUACUGAGCCUCUUGAGAGUGGCGGGUAACCCACCUUUCGGUAAUCCAAUAAGAGAAUGACACCUAUCUAUCAAUAAGUCUUCAAGGGCACACAUGCCCAUCAUUCCUUCUGGAAGAGACUUGAGAUUUUCACAAAACUCUAUCUGUAGUCUCUUAAGGGUGGUGGGUAAUUGCCCUUUUGGAAAGCAAAUGAGAGAUGGACACCUGGAUAUCACUAGCUCUUCAAGGAGACACAAGUUGUUGCUGUCAGUACUGUCGUUCCUCAUCUUCAACAUCAUGCCAUCAGGUAGACUCUUUAGACCUUGACAAUUCUCAAGAUCAAGAUUUCUCAGCAUUGGUGGGAAACCUACAUCUGGAAAUGACGCUAGCUUUGGACAAUUGCUGAUUGUCAAUUCUUCAAGGCAUGUUAGACUCUGCCAUCCAUUUGGAAGCCUCUCUAGUUUAGCACAUCUAUCUAUUUCCAAAGACUGAAGAUUGCAUCCCAAGGAUACAAGUUGGUCACAAUCUCUAAUCUCAAGAGAAUGAGAGUUUUCCGAUCCAAAACCAUCCUCCCACAAAUAUACGAGUUCUUCGCAUGCCCAUACUUUCAAAACCCGAAGCCCUUGCAAAAAUUGCACAAAUCCUUCAUGCAAUUUGAUAAGCCCUGAAAUCCUAGAAAUUGUUAACUCGGUGAGUGAGGUGAGGUCAUUUCCACUGCUCAAGACCGCCUCAUUACAUCUUAUUACUUGUAAUUCCUUCAGCAGUGGAAGUCUUGAACGUGGAGACUCCAAUUUUGGACAAAAGACAACAGAGAGCUUUGUAAGAGAAGGUAGGUAAGUGGGUAGUUUCAUAAUCAAUUUGCGGCAACCCUGAAUUGUAAGCUCAUGGAGACAAGGGAAUAAUGACUCUGUUGAGGAAGACCAAUCCUCCCAGUGCUCCCAUUCUGACAUGCUAUAAAAAUGUAGAGACUCUAGUGAUGGGAAAAACUUACCUGCAGAAACACGAGUCUCUCCAUAAAACUCUGCACCCACUUUUUUUACUACAUCCAUUCCUUGGAUCCUCAACUGUUUGAGCGAUGGCAACUGCCCCAAGCAUGGUAAAGACGUGCACUUUCUGCAAUCUAUGAGACGUAGAUCCACCAUCUUAGAGAACAAGGCACCCCCUAUCCAACGUGGGAAUUCUGGACCACCAUACAACUGAAUGCAGAGUUUGUUCAGAUUCGAACAUGGUUGUAGAGAGUCAAGGACAUCCAUUUGAUUCCUUUCAUUCCCUGAACCAUCCAACUCAGAACUCCACUGCAUUAUCAAGCUUUCAAGGUUACGCUUCGAACAUGGUUGUAGAGAGUCAAGGACAUCCAUUUGAUUCCUUUCAUUCCCUGAACCAUCCAACUCAGAACUCCACUGCAUUAUCAAGCUUUCAAGGUUACGCUUCGAUUUUAAAUCGGCAUCCCUUGCAUCUUGAAUAUUCACCACAUUUUCCAAUUUCGAAAUGCAAAGUUCUCCUCGCAGAUGUGACAUGUCCUUCAACUCCUUGAUUGUCAAACCGUUGUUUUUGUCCACAAUGAAAUUAGACAAUAUCCGCAAAUCUUUUAGUUUGCCCAUUCCUAUAGGCAUUUCUUGUAAUUUUAUUGCACCAGCAACGUCAAGAUGUCGAAGAUUGAUUAGGUUACCGAUGGUAAUAGGCAACUUGAUAAGCUCUUUACAACAUGAUAAUUUCAAUGUCUGAAGGUAAAAAAGAUUACCAAUUGAAUCGGGUAACCAUUUUAUACUGGUGUGGGACAAAUUAAGGUAUCUCAAAUGUUUCAACUUACCAAAUGAAUCUGGUAUCUCACUUAUCUUGUAAUAAGCCAAUGAGAGCACCCUUAAGUGCCCUAACCUUGGUAUCAAUUCUUCAAGCACCUUAUCACUUAUGAAGGAAUGAAGUCCACUAGUUAAUUCAUCAAUCGGCAAAGCUAUGAACGUGCGCAAGCGCUCUUUCUUAUGAAACGUUUCAAAAUUUUUAAAGAUAUCAUAGCGAUGACGGAUGAAUGAUGAAUGACGAGUAUUUUCAGGAACGGAGCGUUGCAAAUCAUCCAAAUGCAAGCAUGUGUCUCCAGCAAUAGAUUUAGCUAGAUCGUUGAUAAGGUCAUGCAUAACGAAUCGUGAUUUAUUGCUAUUGGACGAUUGGAAAAAUGACCUUGACAAUAGUUCACAAAAAUAAUCAUCACCAAGAUCUUCCAUUUUCUCAUCCUCAUUUGAUUGUUGAAUUAACCCCUCCGCCAUCCACAAGAGGAUUAGCUCUUCCUUCUUAAACUCAUAAUCUUGGGGAAAUAAUGCGCAAUAAGUGAAACACCUUUUUAAAUGUGAAGGGAGAUGAUUGUAGCUCAAUCUCAAGGCAGGGAUGAUGUCACAUUCCUUGUCUGUGAAAUCCCAUACUUUGCUGUACAAUACUCUUUCCCAUUCACACUCACGUAGUUUUUUAGAGCGCAAAAGGCCACCAAGGGCUCUUGCCGCUAAGGGCGAACCUCCACACUUCUCUACAAUUCUCCUGCCAAUUGAUUCCAAAUUUGGGUGCUCAUCGAUAUUCAUAUGUUCAAAAGCAUGUGUUUGAAAUAUCUUCAAACAAUCAUCAUAAGGUAACUGUUUGAGCUCAUGUAAGAUCUUGUGGCCUCUCAUCAUGUUUGCAACAUUAUUAUUGCGAGUUGUGACUAGAAUUUUGCUUCCCUGUGCUCCCACCCAGAAAGGGGAGCAUAGCCUGUCCAACUCAUCGUAAUCAUCAUUCCAUAAAUCAUCCAAAACUAUCAGAAAUUUUUUUCCCUUCAAUUCCUUCCUCAAAUUUUCUUGAAUUUCAUGCAAGUCUUGUGAAUUACUGCUUUGAGAAUUAGUCACCAAGUUGAGAAUUGUCUCUGUUAUUUUCUUUGCAUCGAACUGAACUGAGACAGUAACCCAAGCUUUUUUAUCAAAAUGCUUGGUUAUGGUCUUAUCGUCAUAGUACACCAGUUUUGCCAGUGUGGUCUUGCCCAUCCCACCCAUGGCCACAAUGGAAACUACAGAAAAAUUGGUUUUAGUGGGUUCAUUCCUAAGCAGCAUACCAAUUAUAAUCUCUUUUUCUGUCCCCCUGCCAUAGACCUGAGGUUCAUAGACAGUGAAUGGCCUUCCACAAGCAGAGUUGGUUAUCGCAGCCACCUUUUCUAGACGAAGCUCAGAUUUUUGAGCCGAAAUAUCUCGUAAGCGGCGAGUGAUUUCCCACACCUUGGACCUCAUGUUAACAUUAGGAUUGAAAAUGCGAAGACAAGUGGAGAUGAGCUUGCGUACCUUGCUCGGCCUGCCUUGAUGAUCAGCUUCUUUGGCCGUGAGCUCCCGUUGCAAAGCUUCGUAGGCGAACUCAUCCAAGAUGUCCUCCAUAUCAUAAGCCAAAUCUUUCAGAUUGCCCAGCCACUCUUUCACAGGGCGAUCCGUGAUCUGCUUGUCCUCCGCGUCAUUAAGCUCUUCACGAAUAUCCGACAAUUCUCUCUCCCAUUUCUUGAGAUCAGAGUACACCUGUUGGCGUGCAAAGUCGAGCAAAUCAGUGGAGGCCAACUUGUCAAACAAGAGGCCGAUGGCAGCAGAAAGAAGAGCGUCUCCCACAGCCUCCAUGGUUGGUUUGUACUUUGUUUGGAGAGAGAGAGAGAGAGAGCAAAUCAAGCCGUGGGUAAAAAAGUGAAGCAGAAAGAAGGGAGUCUGCUCUGUGAAGGCUUUAAAUAUUAGAAACUCAUAAAACAUUUGUUUUAUGAAUUUAUUAUAUGCACCCAUUUUCAUUUUAAUUAUUUUGAGAUGAGUCCUAUUCCUCCCGUUGAGAGAGAGAGAGAGAGAGAGAGAGAGAGAGAGAGAGAGAGAGUUAUUGCUGUGAGCCGGCAUGCAACAACCUUACAGUGUAGCAAUUGUUCAAUUUUGACAGUGAAGGAGAGAGAGAGAGAGAAUUAUUGCUGUGAGAUGGCAUGCAACAACUUUAAAGCGUAGCAAUUAUUGAAUUUUGACCGAAAGAGAGAGAGAAAAUUAUUGUUGUGGGAUGGCAUGCAACAUCUUUAAAGUGUAGCAGUUAUUGAAUUUUGACCAAUUAUGUUAAUGGGUUAUAUCCUCAUCCCAAGUUCCCAACCCAUCUUGAUUACUUCAAAAAAAAUUUAUUCCGUCCCAAACCUGUACUAGAGUAGAACGGGGUCGGAAUUUUUUUAGAAGUUAUAGUCAUCCUAUCUUAUUUACUAUUUUCUGUUAUUUUUAUUAUUUUAAAAUUUUGUUUUUAUUAAAAUAAAUGUAAUUUAUGAGUAAAUAAAUUAUUUUUCAUAAAUUUUAUAUCCUACCUUGAUAAAAAAUAAAUUUACAACUUCAAUUUAAAUAUGUUUAAAGAAGAGAAAUGGAAAAAAAUAAAUUAUAUUUACUUAAUUUUAUUUAUAAAUGAGAUGGAUUGAGAUAAUAGUUAGAGUUUGUUUGAUAAUUAUUCUAAAGAAUGUUUUUAGUUUAAAAAAUAAAUAAAUUAAGGGUAUGUUUGAUAAUUAUUUUCAAAAAUAAUUUUUGAGAAUAGUUGUUUUCUAAUAUUUUAUAGAAUAAAAGUCUGUUUAAAAAUCUAAAAUAUUUUUUAUUAAUUUUUAAUAUUUUAAAAAUAAUUUUUAUAUAUGAUAUUUUAUUUUUAAUUAUUUUAUAAAUAAAUUACAUUUAAGUAUAAAUAAAUAAAAAUUAAAUACAUAUAAAUUAAAUUUAGGUUAAUAUUAUGUGGUUGUUUUUAGUGGACCACCAACUAUUUUUAUAUUCCAUAGAGAACUUACUUUCAACACCAUAGAAUCACCCUAAUUUUAAAUUGAGAUAUAUUAUCUUAAAUUUUAAAUUUUUUAGGGCAUGAACUAAAUCUAUAUUUUUUCUUAAGAAUUUCUAUUUUUUUUAUAUGGAAGUUUUUACCAAUUUUUGUUUUUAAAAACAAAAAAAUAAGUACUUAAAGUGUUUUUUAUAGUGAUUUUAAAAAAUAUUUUUAAUUUUUUUAAUAUUUAAAAAAUAAAAAUUUUAGAGAUUAAAAAAAUUAAAAAUAAUUUUUAAAAUCAUUGUAAAGCCCACUAUGAUAUUAAUUUCUUCUCAUUAUAUCCUUUCAUUAGAUGCUUUACAUGGUUUUUAAUAAAUAAAAUUAUAAUUAUAUUGAUGGAGGCCAAUUAUCUUUGCUUUAGGUGAGAAAGUAGAGAUAAGAUUGAAAUGGGCCCACAUAUAAAACAAGAAUGAAAUCAAAAGUAAAGAUGGAGAUAAGAUUGAGGUGGGUGGACCAAAUAAAAAGUAGGAUAUGAAUUGACAAAAGCUUCUACACUCUUCCCAAAAAGUAAAAGCAAAGCCUAUUAGCGUGUAAAGUGAUGAAAUUAGUCCUAUUCAAGGCCCUACUUGCAUAUUUGAUAUUUCUAUGAAUUUUUAUUUAUUUAUUUUAUUAAACUAGUCUAAUACGAAGACUUUUAAGUUAAAAUUAAUUUUUAAAAAUGAUAUUUAUUCAUUUAUUUAAUAUGAUAUUGUACACAUAUUAUUAGAAUUUUCUAAUAUGAUGCCAAGGACACUUAUGAUAAGUGUUUUUUUAUUUGAUUUAGGCAAAUACAACUUGAUAUGAUUUUUCAAUGACUCGAAUUCAACUUUUUUUCUUUUUUAGGGAUUUGAAUUAAUUAUAAUCAAUUUUAAAUCAAAGUUGCAUCAAUCUAUUAUAUAUCUAGUUUAAAGUCAAUGUACAUAACACAUAUUUAAUUUGAAUUGACUUAUUUAAUGAUGAUACCGAUAAACCUAAUGAUAACUCUAACUUAUUUAACUCAUAUUUGACAUAAUUAAUUUUUUUUCUAAUAAGUAUAUCAUAAUUAAGUCAUAAACAACAUAUUCAAUUAGAAUAGUAGCCACAUAUUAUGUCAUUCAACAUUUAACCCGAUUUGAUUAUUAAACAACAUCUAAUUAUUAAAUAGGUUAUAAUAUAUUACUUUGUUGAUAAUUACAUUGUGUUUGAGUUUAUGUUUUUAACCUUGAUUGUUAUUCACGUUAUAUUUGGAUUGAGAUAUUUAGUUGAGUAUUUAAACUUUAAUGUGACAUAAAUACAAUCCAUCUAUUGAGAUAUUAGAAAAGUAAUUUUGAUCAAAAUUAAUAUUUAAUGACUUUAAGUAAAUUUUAAAUUAAAUUAUAUCAAAUUAUUAACUUGAUUUAUUAAAAUUAUUGUUGAUUUUAUAUUAUAAUAUUAAAUUAUUUUAUCAAAGAUACUGAAUAUUCUUAAGAAAUUAAAUUUGAUUUAUCAACAUCCUCUAAUGUCUUCUCAAUUUUUAAUAUUUAUUUGAUACACAUUUAAUAAGAAACAAGUCAAAAAAUUUCAAUACAAGCAAGAGUUGAAAGAAAGCGGAAAGAAGAGCCUCUAGCUUCCAUGAGAGAGAGAGAGAGAGAGAGAGAGAAUUAUUGCUGAGAGAUGGCAUGCAACAACUUUAAACUGUAGCAAUUAUUCAAUUAUGAGAGAGAGAGAGAGAGAGAGAGAGAGAGAGAAGAACUUUACAGUGUAGCAAUUCUGAGAGAGGGAGAGAGAACAACUUUACAGUCUAGCAAUUAUGAGAGUGAGGGAGCGAGAGUUAUUGCUGUGGGAUGGGAUGCACCAACUUUAAACUGGAGCAAUUAUUCAAUUUUGAAGUGUAGCAAUUAUUGAAUUUUUGACCGAGAGAGAGAGAGAAAAUUAUUGUUGUGGGUGGCAUGCAACAUCUUUGAAGUGUAACAGUUUACAGUGCAGCAAUUGUUCAAUUUUGACAGUGAGGGAGAGAGAGAGAGAGAGAGAGAGAGAGAGAGUUAUUGCUGUGAGCUGGCAUGCAACAACUUUAAACUGUAGCAAUUUUGACCAAUUAUGUUAAUGGGGUUAUAUCCUCAUCCAAAGUUCCCAACCCAUCUUCGUUACUUCAACAAAUUUUUAUCCCGUUCUAGAGUAGAACGGGGUCGGAAUUUUUUUAGAAGUUAUAGUCAUCCUCUCUUAUUUAUGAGUAAAUAAAUUAUUUUUCAUAAAUUUUACAUCCUAUCUUGAUAAAAAGUAAAUUCGCAACUUCAAUUUAAAUACGUUUAAAGAGGAAAAAUGGAAAAAGAUAUUAAAUUAUUUUUACUUAAUUUUAUUUAUAAAUGAGAUGGAUUGAGAUAAUACUUCAAAUUUGUUUGACAAUUAUUUUAAAAAAUAUUUUUGAAAAAAAUAAAUUAAGGAUAUGUAUGGUAACUAUUUUCAAAAAUAGUUUUUGAGAAUAGUUGUUUUUUAAUAUUUUGUAUAAUAAAAGUUUAUUUGAAAACCUAAAAUAUUUUUGACCAAUUUUUAAUAUUUUUAAAUAUAUUUUAAAAAUAAUUUUUAUAUCUAAUAUUUUAUUUUUAAUCAUUCUAUGUUUAUAUAUAUUAUUUUUAAAAACAAUCAUUAAAAAAUAAAUAAAUAAAGUAAAAAAACAACUAAAAUAUGUUAUUUAAAAGUACCCUGUUUUUUGUUCUUAAUAAUAGAAAAUGGAAAACAAUUUUUUAUUAUCAAAUGUGUUUUCUUGAUUUUUUAUUCAGAGGAACAAAAAACUAUUCUUGAAAAUAGUUGCUAAACAAGCAUAAGGUGUUAGACAAAAUUUUAAAAAAAACUUCUCCAAAUCUAAAAAAUCAUUUAUACUAUUUUUUUUAGAAAAUCACUUAUAGUGUUUUCUAAAAAAUUAUUUGAUAGAUAAUUUUCUUAAAAACACUUCAAGUAAAAAUACCGUCAAACACAUUAUUAAUAUUAUUUAAUCCAACCUUGGAGUUAAAAAAUGAUUUAUCAAAUCCAACCUCGAUCGGUUUAAACUCUCCCAAACCCAUUCCCAUUUGUAAUAUCUGGUUUUGAAAAAUAAAAAUAAAAACAUAAUUAUGGACCCCGCAUUUCGACUCAUGCAUUUUCCACUCGAUGGCGAGCUCGAUUUUUGUUUAAAAAAUGAUUCUAUUGUUUGAAAAAAUGACUUGGAGUCGCCACUUAUUUUUGUUUUAUUUUUUUUAAAAAGGGUAAACAAAAUAAGAAAGAAAACCCUAAGUGUGACUCCUCAUUUUGGAAAAGGUAAUCUACGAAAGACCGGAUCGGACUUGGGGGUCAGAUUACUUACCAGGAAGGUACGGUAAAGACCAUAGCACCCCUCUAAGUCCCUAAAGUCGGGUCUGUACUAAUAAAAUGAAGCUGACAUGUCAAUCAGUAGGAAAAUCAAUGGAUACUCAAAUUAAUCAUGCACAUAUGAGAAUCAAAACACUCAAUAAAGAAUGAUCGAAGUGGGAAUGGACAUACCUUGGCAUCAAACGAUCAAUGCGCUAUCAAGAGAGCGGGUUAGUGCAUAAUUAAGAAAUAAUCUCAUGCAUGUCAGAGACUAGGAUGUAUGAUAAUCCAAUCAAACAAUCAAUCAAUCAAUCAUAAAGUCACCCAUGUUAGGCCCCCACCAAAACAUGUUUAUUUAGUAUGACUUAAUGUCACAGAUUCCAUUAUUCUGGAAUUAUGAAAAAUUUAUUCAUGCUUAUUGAAAUCAAGAGGAGCAGAAGAUCGUUUGAAAACCAGAACGGAAUUAAAACUAUUCGAGAGAAAACUGGAUUUUUGGAAAUUUAUUUGAAAAAUUGGAAUCUCGAAGAUUACUGGAAAAUUGAAAUUUUAGAGUUUAUUUGAAGAUCAGACUUUUAGAGAUUAAAUGUGAGAAUGUGAAUUUUAGAAAUUAAAUUUGAACGAGAUUGGAAUUUUGAAAAUAAUUUGAGAGUUUGGGAUUUUAAACGAGUGGGUAAGUGGAUGAGUGAAUAAGUAAAGGAAUGAAAUAAUAACAAUGGUGAAAUAAUAAAGAUUAGGUAAAUAAUUACAAAAGAUGGAAUUUUAGAGAUUGAGGAUGUGAAUUUAAAGAUUGAAAACUUAAGAAUUUAUUUAGAGAUGAGAUCUUUGGUAUGUGAAUAACUAAAUAGGUAAAUGAAUGGGAUAACGUUAAUAACGAGAAUAAUCAUUAAACGACGGUAUACGAACAGUGAAGCUUUUGAGAUUGGAAAUUAGAUUUGGAAGUCGGGUUCUGAAGAAUUAAACUUUAGCGAUUAUAAUAAAUAAAUAAAUAUGGAAUAAUAAUGCUAAUUAACAAAAAUAAUACUUAAACGAAUAAUAAAAAAAUGCGCAGUGGGAUUUUUUAUAUUGAAAAUUAAAUUAGGAAGUUGGAUUCUUGAAAAAUUGGACUUUGAAUAAAUAAAUAAAUAUAGGAUGAUAAUUCUGUUUAAGGAAAAUAACAUUUAAACGAAUAAAAAAGAAUAGUGAAAUUUUUAGGGUUGAAAAUUAAGUUCAAUGAUUGAGAUUUUUUAAAAGAGAUAAACAAGUAUAGAGUUUUUAAUUGACGAAAAUAACAUUUAGACGAAUAAUGGAAUUUUUAGGAUUGAAAAAUUAAGUUAGGCCAUUGGAUUUUUUAAUGAUUAGACUUUGAAUGAAUAAAUAAAUAUGAGACAAUAAUUCUAAUUAACAAAAGUGUCAUUUAGGAGGAUAGUGGAAUUUUUAGGACUUGAAAAAUGAAAUUAGGGCAUUGGAUUUUUGAAGGAUUGGAUUUUAAAUAAAUAAACUAAUAUAGGAUAAUAAUACUAACUAACGAAAAUAACAUUUAAAAGAAGAAAAAAGAAUAGUGGAAUUUUUAUGAUUGAAAAUUAAAUUAGGACAUCGGAUUUUUGAAGGGUUGGAUUUUAAAUAAAUAAAUAAAUAUGGGAUACUAAUUCUAAUUAAAGAAAAUAACAUUUAGACGAAUAGUGAAACUUUUAGGAUUGAAAGUUAAAUUAUGACAUUGGAUUUUUAAUAAAUAAACUAAUAUAGGAUAAUAAUAUUAAUUAAUGAAAAUAACACUUAAACGAAUAAAAAAAGAAUAGUGGAAUUUUUAGGGUUGAAAAUUAAGUUAGGACAUCGGAUUUCUGAAGGGUUGGAUUUUAAAUAAGUAUAUAAAUAUGGGAUACUAAUUCGAAUUAAAGAAAAUAACAUUUAGACGAAUAGUAGAAUUUUUAGAAUUGAAAAAUUAAAUUAAAAUAUGGAAUUUUUGAAGGAUUAGACUUUAAAUAACUAGAUAAAUAUGGGAUUAUAAUUCUAAUUGAUGAAAAUAAGAUUUAGAUGAAUUGUAGAAUUUUUAGGAUUGAAAGAUUAAAUUAAAACAUGGAAUUUUUUAAGGAUUAGACUUUAAAUAACUAGAUAAAAACGAGAUUAUAAUUCUAAUUGAUGAAAAUAAGAUUUAAACGAAUUAUUAAAAAAAUUAAAUUAAGGCAUGAAGGUAAAUAUGGGAGGAUAAUUCUAAUUGAUGAAAAUAAGAUUUAAACGAAUUGUGAAAUUUUUAGAAUUGUAAAAUUAAAUUAAAACAUGGAAUUUUUGAAGGAUUAGACUUUAAAUAACUAGAUAAAUACGAGAUUAUAAUUCUAAUUGAUGAAAAUAAGAUUUAGAUGAAUUGUAAAAUUUUUAAGAUUGAAAGAUUAAAUUAAAACAUGAAAUUUUUGAAGGAUUAGACUUCAAAUAACUAGAUAAAUACGAGAUUAUAAUUCUAAUGGAUGAAAAUAAGAUUUAGAUGAAUUGUAGUAUUUUUAGGAUUGAAGGAUUAAAUUAAGACAUAGGAUUUUUGAAAAAUUACUUAAGGACCUUUGUUUUGAAAAUAGAAUGUAAAGUUUAGAAUGUAGUAAAUUUAUCGAGACCAACAUAAGUUAAUUUAUACAAAAAUUUUAUUUAUAUGGUGAUUAGACAUAACUAAAGAAGGGAGAGAUAAGAUAUGAAUUAUUUUAAAUUUUGAAAAGGAUAUUCAACAUGAAUAAUUUGUCUUUUAAUUGCCUUUAAGUUGAGUUAACUAAAUUGGUAAAAAUGAAAUAAGAUAAAAAAAAUAAAAAAUGGAUGAACAAAUUAAUAAAUUAAUAAAAAAUGGAUCUACUCAAAAGAUUUUUAUUAUUAAUAAAUUAAUAAAUUAAUAAACUUUGAAAGAAAUUAGAAUUGAAAAUUAUUUGAGAAGUAGAAACUAUGAAAAUUAAAUAAUAAAAAUUGGAAAUCUUGGAAAUCAUUCGAAGGAUAAAUGAAUAAAAUGAUAAUAAUAAUGAUAAUAAUAAGUAAGUAAUGAAAUAAAUGCGAGAAUUGGAAUAUUGGAAACUGAAAAUUAAGUUCAAAAAUUGGAAAAUUAGAAUUUCAGAAAAUUAAAUUUGAAAAUCGGAAUUUUGAAUAAUUAUUUAAAGACAGAAUAUUUUAAAUAAAUGAAUAAUUGAAUAAAUAAAUGAAUGGAAUAACGAAAAUAAUAACGAUUGGAUAAAUAAUUACGAAGAUGAGAAUUUUGAAAAUUGGAAAUUGAACUUAGGGAUUGAAAAUUUAAAGAAUUAUUUAGGGAUGAAAUUUUAAAUAAAUGAACAAGUGAAUGAAUAAAUGAAUAGAAUAACGAAAAUAAUAAAGGGGAUAAAUAAGUGUGAAAAGUAGAAUUUUAGAAAUUGGAAAUUGAAUUUAGGGAUUGGAAAUUUAAAGAAUUAUUUAAGGAUGAAAUUUUAAAUAAAUGAAUAAGUGAAUAAAUAAAUGAAUAGAAUAUUAAUAAUGAUGAAAUAACAUAGAUUAGGUAAAUAAUUGCGAAAAAUAGAAUUUUAGAGAUUGAAGAUUGAAUUUAGAGAUUGAAAAUUUGAGAAAUUAUUUAAAGAUGAGAUUUUAAAUAUAUGAAUAAGUGAAUAAAUAAAUGAAUGAGAUAAAAAUAAUAACAACAAAAAUAAUCAUUAAAUAACUGAAUGUGAAUAGUGGAAUUUUUAAGAUUGGAAAUUACAUUUGGAAAAAGGAAUUUUGAAAAAUUGAACUUUAAUGAUUGGAAUUUUUAAAAUAAAUAAAUAAAUGAAAUAGUAAUAAUAACAAUGAAAGUAAUAUUUAAACGAAUGAACGUAAAUAGUAGAAUUUUUGGAAAUUUGAAAAAUUGUUUAAAGAUAGAAUUUUUAGUUAAAAUAAAUAAACAAAUAAAUGGAAUAAUGAUAAUAAUAACGAAAAUAAUACUUAAAUGAAUGAACGUGAAUAGUGGAAUUUUCGAAAUUGGAAAUUAAAUUUGGAAGACAGAAUUUUGAAAAAUUGUUUAAAGAUGGAAUUUUUAAAAUAAAUAAAUAAAUGGAAUAAUAGUAAUAACGAGAAUUGAAUUUAGAAAUUGGAAAAUUGAAGAAUUAUUUAGAGAUGGAAUGUUGGGAAAUUAAAUUUCGAAAGUUGAAAAUCCGAAAAAUUAUUUUAAGGAUGGAAUGUCGGAAAAUUAAAAUUUGAAAACUGGAAACCGAAAAAUUAUUUUGAGGAUGGAAUGUCGGAAAAUUAAAUUUCAAAAACUGGAAACCCGAAAAAUUAAUUUUAAGGAUGAAAUGUCGGAAAAUUAAAUUUCGAAAACUGGAAACCCAAAAAGUUAUUUUGAGGAGGGAAUGUCGGAAAUUAAAUUUCGAAAAUUGGAAACCCGAAAAAUUAAUUUUAAGGAUGGAAUGUCGGAAAAUUAAAUUUCAAAAAUUGGAAACCUGAAAAAUUAUUUUAAGGAUGGAAUGUUGGAAAAUUAAAUUUCGAAAAUUGGAAACCCAAAAAAUUAUUUUGAGGAUGGAAUAUCGGAAAAUUAAAUUUCAAAAGUUGGAAACAAGAAAAAUUAUUUUAAGGAUGGAAUGUCGGAAAAUUAAAUUUCGAAAACUGGAAACCCGAAAAAUUAACUUUAAGGAUGAAAUAUCGAAAAAUUAAAUUUUGAAAACUAGAAACCCGAAAAGUUAUUUUGAGGAUGGAAUGUUGAAAAAUUAAAUUUCGAAAAUUGGAAACCCGAAAAAUUAAUUUUAAGGAUAGAAUGUCGAAAAAUUAAAUUUCGGAAAUUGGAAUCUUAAAAAAAAAGUGUUUUGAUAUCAAAAUGUGAAGAAAUAGUAAAAAGAAUUAUGGAUUGUGGUGAUCAUCAUGUGCACGUCUCCGGUAUAAUGGCUAUAAACCCAUUUUAUAUAUUCUUUUCCACCACCACCACCACCAUAACCAUUAAGAGCCAUGCAUGGAUAUCUAUCACUCCCACCACAAACCCAUUUUUAUUUUGCAUAUUCACCAUGACUUCCAGCUCAUAACCCAGCCGGCGCUGUAGAGACUUCUCAUUGCUCUGCCCGUUUGUUUCAUUUCCAUUGGUAAUACUUGAGUUUUCAUGCGCUGAAGGCUUGUGAGUUUCUAGCAACUCUUUUAGCCUCUUGGCGGCCAUAGUGGCUGAACCCGUGUGCGUACGAGCUCGGGAUAGAAUGGAUGAUGGGAAAACUGUGUGAGGGUUGCAUCCUCUAUCCUUACCAUGGCAUGCAGAGGCCGCCGAGUAUGGAAGGCACCAAGGUAGGCAGCAAGCAUGUGCGGGCUGCACAUUACAUGAGAAGGAACGGGAAGAAAUUCAAGUGAAUGAAGCAGUGAGAGUGACAGACUUGAAGGUCGAGCCAAAAAUGGGUAUUAGUGAGAAAAAUGAGUGAUGAGUAAGGGGUGUGAGAGAAAUUAGUUGGAUGGUAUGACGAAAGAUUUAAAGAGGAUGGUGAGAUGAAGGCAUGAGCUUGGUGGAUGGGUAAUGAUGCAUGGUGAGAGAAGUAGUUGUGACGGGUAUUGAAAAAUGGAAGUGGUGAGCAUGGACGGUGAUAGAUGUAGUUGGGGGGAUGGUUUGGCUUGAGAAAAUGGGCAGAAUAUGAAGGCGUUUGGCUUGGGAUUGGAAUUCGAUGGAGAAUGGAUUUUAUGGGAAAGGUUUGGGAAGGAUGCUAAUGGGUCGUGUACAUGAACUGCAGUCACGUGGGAGGAUAUGGAAUAGGCAAAUGUUAGGAACAGGGGAAGACCAGAAAAACAGAGCACAAGGGAUAGGAACAAAAUAAUCCCAUACAAGCCGCGUUUCAUAUCCGGAUCAAUGGGCUUAGGUGAGGGUGAGCGCAAUCAAACGAGUAUCAAAUGGAAGACAAAACAUGAUUGCAUGUAUUUUCAUGAGGAAGCUUAAACAGGACCAAGUUAACAUUCAACAAAAACCAAAUAAAUGAGGAACAUGAACAUGCUAUAAUUCCACAAAACCAACCUGAAGGUCAGCCAAAAUAUACCUGUAGCACUUGAUGUCUAUUCCCAAUCAACAAAUAGCACUCAACAAUCAGCAGAGAAAAGAAAAGAAAAGCAUGCCAGUUGGAAUGAGUUAGAAACCCAUAAUAAUCAUACCUGAAAAACAAUCCUCCCCAAGAAGCCGUGUCGGAUUUCUAGCUGUUCCACUAGUUCCCUCUUUUUCCCUCUAGCUGCCUUUUCCUCAAGUCACCUCAAAAUCACAACCCUCAAGCAACCUGCAACCCUUUCCUUUUUCAGAUUCUUCUUUUCUUUUCACUCUCAGCACCUACUAUAUCCUUCUUCCAUCGGCUUCCUCUGUUUCUCUCGAACAGCUCUAAGGAAAAAAAAAACUCCUCCCUCUUCCUUAGCUUCCCCUCCAAGCUAUACUCUAAAUAUCUCUUCUCUGUUUCCAUCUUCUCCCGCAAGCCACCACCUGCUCCACUGUGCACCAUUCCGCCAAUGCGUCACCCUCCAAACCACCACCAUGGGCGAGCCAUGCAGCUGGUUCUCAGCAUAAGGAGGUCCCCCUCCAAAAAUGCAAGGAAAAGAAAAGAAAACAACUCUGCUCGAGCCCUCACCACACGUCCCAUGCUUCUCGUGUGUCUCCAGAAAGAGGUCCCUCCCCCCUACUUCAAAAAAAUGAAAGAAUUCCACUCUCCCGAGUGGUCCUAAAAUAAAAGAAAAGCUAUCCAUUUUUUUGAGGGGUCUACAACUUUAUUAUUACAUUUUAUUUUUUGUUUGAUGCUUUAAAUAAUUUUUAUUAAAUAAAAUUAUAAUUAUAUUGGUGGAGGGCUAAUUAACUUUGUUUUUAAGCGAGAAAGACAGUGAUAAGGUUGAAGUGGGUUUAAAAAAAUGAAAUAAAAGAAUGAAAAAAAGAAAAAGAAAAAGAAGAUAGAGAUAAGAUUGAGGUGAGUCCGUAAUUAAAAAAAAAAUGAAGAGUAGGAGAAAAAGUGACAAAAGCUUUUGCUUUCUUCCAAAAAAGUAAAAACAAAGGUUAAUGACAUCAUGUUAUCAAACUCUAUACAAGACCCUACUUGAAUAUUUCUAUGAUAAAAUGAAAUCAUUUUUUUGAACCCAAAAAUCCAAAUCCAACUCAUUUAUCUAUAUACUUUAUUGGCAUGGAAUGGGAAAAGUUAUAAAGUGAAAGAAAAUUUGAUCAUAUGAGAGAUUUUCCAAAGUUGGAGCCAAUUCAAUGCUUAGUGGGUAUAACAAAAAAAAAAUGUGGAAAUUAAAGUGAAACAGCCAAAUUUUUAAGGUUUGAGGGGAUGUCACUGCACCUUCCAAAUAACUGUCUAAGAAUGUGAGAUGUCAUUGCAUUGAAAAUUGAUAUUAAAUCUCAUAAAGUAACUAUAAGAAUUGCUUUACUUAAGUAAUAAAUAUAUCUUGCUUUUUCAUAAAGUUUAUGACCCUAAGUGAAUAAAAUUUUUAGAGUGGGAUGAAUGCAUUUCACGUGAGUCAUGUCCUAGAUAUAUUUUUAGAAUUUUCUAGCAAGAUAUUAAGAGAAACUUUAUGGUGAGUGUUUUUUUUUCUAGUUAAGGUGGGUACAAUUCGAUGUCAUUCGUAAACAUAAUUCAAACCCAAUAUAUUUUUUAGGUGUUUGAAUUGAAUAGAUUUGUAUUUAAUUUAAAUUCAUGUGAAUAUAUAUAAUUCAUUUAAUAAAUAAAUUAUUUUUAAAUUAACUCAGAUAACCUACAUUUGACUCGAAUUAACUUAUUUAAAAAUGGUAUUGAUUAACCUAAUAAUAACUUUAAUUUAUUGAACUCAUAUUUAACUCAUUUAAGAUUUGUUUUUCAAGUAGUAUGCCAUAAUUGGGUUAUUAUAUAAUAUUAGAACAUUAAGGAUAUUAUUUCAUUCAACAUUUAACUUGAUUUGAUUAUUAAACAUUAUCUUAUUAUUAAAUUGGUUAAACAGGUUAUGAUGUAUCACCUGGUUAAUAAUUAUAUAGUGUUUGAGUUUAUAUUUUUAAUUCUGAUUGUUAUUUAUGUCAUGUUUGGAUUGAGUUGUUUCGUGGAGUAUCUAUACAAGACAAACACAAUCCACCAACAUAUUAAUAAAAAAUUACGAGAUAUUAGGAGAGUAAUUUUGGUAAAAGUUAAUAUUUAAUGAUUUAAGAUGAUUUUAAAUAAAAUUAUAUUUAAAUGGUCAAGUCAUAUCAAAUCAUUAACUUAAUUUAUCAAAAUCAUUUUUGAUUUUAUAUUAUAGUAUUAAGUUAUUUUAAUGAUCAUACUUAAUAUACUUAAGAACAUAAAUUUAGUCUUAUCAACAUUCUCUAAGGUCUUCUCAAUUUUUAAUAUUUAUUUGAUACAUAUUUAAAAGCAAACAAGUCAAAAUAUAUUAUCUCAAAAUUUCUAAUUCAUACUCGUACAAGAUUUUAAAAUUCAUUAAUUAAUUUGAAAGAAAUUUGUUUUGGAACAUGCAAGUGAUGGACAUAUCACAUAUCUUAAAUUUUUAACUAAAAAACCUCAUAACAAAAUAAUUUGAUGAAUGUUUUUAAGUUUAAAAAACUUAGAACCAUUUCACAAUGAUUUUGGGAAGUUAGAAAUGUUUCCAAAUGCUUGAAAAUGUUUUAAUAACGAAAAUUAAACAUUUGAUAAAAAUUAAAGUUCACAUUCUAAGUAAUUGAUAGUGCUUCUUAUAAUUUUUUCUUUCUUUUCAUUAUAUAUAUAUAUAUAUAUAUAUAUAUAUAUAUAUAUAUUAGACAUUGAAAAGGUUUCACCAAUUAAAUGGUGUCACAUAUACAUUUUUUGUAUAACAUGAAUUGAAAAAUUUUCAUCAAUUAGGUGGUGUCACACAUAUAUUUUUGUCUCAUAGUUAAUACCAUUGUACCUUGGCCACAUUUGUUUAUACCUUUGUUUAAUGAUUAAGAUCUCACUACAUAUAUUUAAUGGUUUACAUCUAGACUUCGUCAGGUACCACUACAAAACCUUAGUAUUAUAUAUACAUAUACAUCAUACUAACUAGUUUUUUUUUUUUUAUCAAAACACUUACAAUAGAAAUGCUACAAAUUAGAAGUGUUUUUAUCAAAAUAGUUUCCAAACCAACCAUAAUAUUUGCAUUAGCUUUAACAUAUAAUAUCUUUUACUUUAGUUGUUGAUAUAGCUACAUAUAAGACCAACCAUUCAUAUGAUAAUUAUUAUGGAUCUUAUUUUAAUUUGAUAAAAAUAUCUACCCAAGCAUUACGCAAAUAGGGAUGACAAUGGGGUGAAAUAUAGACAAGUCAUUCCUAUCCCAACCUCACUCCAUUUAUUCAAAAUAAUUCUCAUUCUCGUCUCAUUGAAGAAAUUAAAUGGAAUGAGGUAGGUAUGAGAAUUUCCUGUACCCACCCCACCUACCUCUUUUAAUUUCUUUUUGAAAAUUUUUAAUUUUUUUAAAAUUAUUUUUAAAUUUGUUUAAAUACAUUAAAAUAAAUAUAUUUUAUAAAUAAUUUAAAUUUUAAAAUUUUUUUAUAACUUAUUAUUAUUAUUUUAUUAUUAUUAUUAUUAUUAUUAUUAUUAUUAUUAUUAUUAUUAUCAUUAUCAUUAUUAAAAAUAGGAAAAUAACAAUUUAUAUCUAAUUGAGGCAGGACAAGGUAAUAUCUAAAUAUACCCCAAACUUGUCUCGAGUUUUAAAAAAAUUCUCAAAAAUGCUUUUAACUCGUUUAUUUAAAUUUCAAAUCCAUCCCAUUAGGGAUGGGGUGAAAACCCGUCUCAUUGUCAUCUCUAUAUGCAAGUCAUAAAUAUAUAAUAAGAAAAAUAAUAAUAAAAUUAGUAUCUAUUUAGAUAAACUUCUUGUUUUUUGUUUUUAAAAUCAGAAAAUAAUAAUAACUUUUAUAUAAGAUAUAAGGAUACUUAUAUUUAAAAAAAAAAUAGUUUUAAAAAUCAUUUAAAAAUUUAAGGUAUUAAAAAAAUUUUACUAAACCAAAUUUUAAAAAAUUUUAAUGUGAUUUUUAAACAUAUGACAUAAAUUUAUAUUUUUUUGUAUAACAUGUUCUACUUUCAUAUAGAAAUUCUAAUUUAAAAAAAAAAUAAUAGAUGUAUUAAAUGGACACUUUAGCUUCUUAUUUUUUUAGUGGUUCACCUUGCCCCUUAGAUAAGAAGAUUAUGAAAAUUUUCAAUAAUUAUGAAAAAGAUAAAAGUGAAAGACUUUUGACAAAAUUAUGUGUGAGAUGGUGUGCAUCAACCUUAAUUUGGACAAUUAUGUUAAUGGGAAGAUGUUAUCCUCAUCUCAAUCACUAGCUUUAAAUUGUAGUACUUAUUGUAUUUUGGAUAAUUAUGUUAACGGUCAUGUCAUCCUUGUCUCAACUCAUGUUGAUAAUUUAAGUUAUAAGUUAUAGUCACCAUGUCUUAUUUAAACUUUUAUACUAUUUUUUAUUAUUUUUAAAUAUAAAUCUUAUUAAAAUUAAUAUAAUUUAAGAGUUAAUAAAUUAAUUUUUAUGAAUUUUAUAUUAGCAUUGAUAAAAAUUAUAUUUUCAAUUUUAUUUUAAACAUGUUCAAAAGGGGGAAAACGAAAAAAGAAACUAAAUUAUUUUUAUUGAAUUUUAUAAAUAAAAAUGAUUUAAUUUUAAUUUUUAUUUAAUUUUAUAAAAAAAUUCUCAAAUAUAUCCCUAAUUUGUUUGAACUGGUCCUAAAUCCUUCAAUAGUUGUCAUCUCUAAUUUUGACCAUAUAAAAAUUAAACCAAAAUAUAAGAAGGUUGAGGAAUAUCAAAUAUAAAGAGAGGUUGAAAAAAUUUAUAAUGCUUAGAGGUUUUUUUCUUACAAAUAGAACUUGUUUGGUCAUGUGAUUUAAAAAUAGUGCAUUUUUUUUUUUUUAAAAUAAAAAACUGUUUUUAAAAUUUUCUAACAAUGUUUGACCAUUGUUAUCUGGAAGCAAUUUUUAAAAAUAAGGUGAAAUAAAGAACAAUUUUUCGAGAACAAAUAUAAAUUGUUUUUAUUGAUUUUUAAAAACAAAAGGAAAAUAUGAGCCCAUUUGACCAUAUUUUCUUAAACUUGUUUUUACACACUUUUUUUUUUUUAAAAAAAACUUUUUAGAUUAAAAACAUUUUUUAGAAUCACUACCAAAAUGAUUUUAAGUAUUAUCUCACUUCACCUCAUUUAUAUAUAAAAUUAAGUAAAAAUAAUUUAAUUUCCUUUUCCAUUUACCCUUUUUAAUCAUAUUUAAAAUAAAGUUACAAAUUUACUUUUUAUUAAGAUAGAAUAUAAAAUUUAUGAAAAAUAAUUUAUUUACUCAUAAAUUACAUUUAUUUUAAUAAAAAUUAAUAUUUUUUUUAAAAAAAAAAGCAAAAACAAAAGGUGAAUUGAAGUAGUAAAGCUCGUUCGUAAAAGAAAAUAAAGAGGAAAAUUAGAAAAUAAUAAUAAUAAUAAUAAUAAUAUAAAAUAAAUUUAAAUUCAUAAUUUAUUUUUAUAUUUUAUUUAAAUCUUAUUUUAUUUAUAAAGAUUAAAUGAAUCUAAAAAUACACAAACUUUUAAUUAAUUUUAAUUAUAUAUAACUUAAAGUAAAACUAAAUAUUUCAUUAACAUUUUUUCGUAAUACUCUUGAACAAUCAAACAUAACUUAAAGCACUAAAAAAGUAUUUAUAAAAAAUUUCAGUUUGAUUGUGAUAAAUGUUAAAUUAUUAAUUUUCUUAAAAGUUUAAACUUAUAAGAUUUGAGUUAGUCCCCUCCCUAACAUACGAUCUCAUUUCAUAGAAUUGCAAAUGACAAGACGGGAGAGAUACCAAAUAAUUGUUACAGCUUAUGAUGCAGAGCCAGGAGCCCCAGUUGGACCAGAGCAUCCAGAGAUUCCACAUCCAUAGCAUCUAAAGGAGUCACAGCUAGUUGAAAUACCUGCUGACAUGAGAGCACCUGCCUUUGAAGUGCCCUCUACAGGACUUAUGCUUGAGGUUGCACCCUCUGCUCCUCCUGCCACACCAGGGACUCCGCCAGUUGUACCAGCUACAUCAGAGCCUCCUCCUCCAUUUGAGUCUAGGAUAGCCAUAUCCAUUUCCAAGUUCAGAGGCCUAUGUCACACUUUGCAGACAUUGAUCACUUCUAGCUCAGAGCAUCCUGACUCAACAGAUGACAGCCAUACGUGCCCAUCAGGAUCAGCUUAUCGCCACCUAUACCCAGCAUACUGCCAUCCUUAGGCAGAUACAACAGCAUCUGGGAGGUACCACUUUCUCUCUAUAAUUUCAAUCGCUCUUGCCACAUUGAAGACAAUGUUUAGCUUGGUUGAGGGGAAGAGAGUUGAGGAAGGAAGUUUUUAUUUUAAAUGCUAAGUUAUUUUGGUAAUUUAGUUGUUAAUGCUUAAUUUUAAAAAAAAAUUCUAGUUUUUAUUCUACUCUCCAUGGUUAUUAAGGAAAAAUUCUCAAAAUAAAAUGAGAGAAAUUGAAUUUUUGUUUUUCACUUGACUUAGAGUUUGUAUUAUGCUUACUAAAGUUGAUAAAUUGUUGAAAUUUCUAUUGAAUUCAACCUUAGUUCUUCCACUUUAAGCUAUUCACACAUUGUGCAUAAUAGGUUCCAAGUAUAAGAUGAAAAACUAUUUCCCUCUUGACUUAGGAAAAUUUUAGACUUGGUACCUUUGACCUCAAUUAAUAGUGUUGGGACACCUUAUAAAAGGCCAAUGAGCCUUUGGAAAAAAAAGAAGAAAGAAAAAUGUUUGCUUACCUUGAAACUUGAGCAAGGUUUGAGGGAUAUAUGGUGAAAAUCUUUAAAACCUGGUGCCCUAAGCCUUAAUUGGUUGGAAGUUACCGACCUCAAUGCUCGUUACAAGGGUGAAUAGGUGGAGUUUAACAUACUGUAGGUGCUUGGGUAUUAAAAAUUCAUUCUCAAGUCUGGGGUAAAAUCCGAGGAGUUAGUGGUUGAAAGAUCCUUAAAGCUUGAUGCCCUAAACCUUAAUUGGUUGGGAGUCAUUGAUGGACCCCCAUUACAUGGAAAAUUUAGAAAAUGAUACCUUUAAGCCUUGUACUCUUACAAUGAAAAAAAUUCUGAAACAAAAGGGUGCGUUCUUAGCCUAUUGAAUUUUGUCAGUUUGCUAAGUGUUGAAAAAGAACUAGGUUGGGGGGAGAGAUUAGUUUAGCAUACUAUAUUCAGAAACUAUCAAGUAACACUUAGAUUUUUGUGGAAGAGUAAGGAUUGGACCUUUGAAAGUGGAAACAAUUUUAAAGCUUCAAUUUGCAUAAUGUCUUCUCUUUAUGAAUUGUGAUUAGGCAAGGUAUUUGAUAACUCUUGUUGAAAUUUGAGUUUUAUAUCUUUAAUGUUCCAUGUGAGAGUUAGAUCAUCAUGCCACUUAAAAUUUUUUUGAAGUGAUCAGUAUGAUUUUGUAAAUUAUAUUACUGUUUGUUUUACUUUUUCUCCCCUUCAUUGCUAAGGAACUAGCAAUAUGUCGGUUGUGGGGAGUGAUUACUACUCAAAAAGUGUUAUUUUGUAGCUUGUAAUUAACUCUUUUAAACAUCUUUGAAUAAUAGUUAUUACCUUUUAACUCAAUUGGCAUGUUAAGGACCCUUGUAAUCGUUUUUAAUCAAAUUGUGUUAAGUUUUGGUGUUUUUGAUAGUAUUUUGAUCACCAAAGCAAUCCAAGAUUGAGGAGAGUUAUAUAGAAUCCAUGUAAAAUCAAUUGAAAGCUCAUUUACAUGAAGAAUCCAAGCUUUGAAGCUUCAUAGUCAUUUGCCAAAAGCAAAUCAUGAAUACAAGGAGGGAAAGAAAAGAGAGAAAUCUAACAUGAAGAAUUCAAGAGGACAGAAACUGUUGGACAUAUUUAGAGCACUUUCUAGAGUCCAUUUCAUGCGUACUAUAUGUUGUUUCGAAGCUCAGGAAGUCAGGAAUCCAACGCUUUAAACAGUACAUGAAUUGGAGUUGAAAUGAAAAAGUUAUAGCCAUUGGAAGCCAAUCAUACCAAGCUAAAGGCCAAUUUCGCAGCUGCGAAAUCAACCUUUGGCUGCGAAAUCACAAGGUGCUCGCUGCGAAAUCAACAUUUGGCUACGAAAUGGAGACCUUCAGCUUGCGAAAUUUCACAGCCCAUCUUGCAUGCCUACGAAAUCCACCUGAGUGCUUCCAGAUAUUUGCGACCGACUCUUUUAGAUUUUUUCUUUAGAUAUUUGUUGUUUAAAUCCCCAUUUUCUCCUUGUAAUCCACCAAUCAUAGGAUUCCUUAGUUAAUAAGUAAGAAUAAAGGGUGAAUAACCUCAUAUAUAUAGUUUGUAAUUUUCUUUACAAAAUCGUCUUGGGAGCUUGUUCUCAGAGACAACCGUGUGUAUAGUUUUGAAGGAAGUAAUAUACAGAGCUUUGCUCUGCCUUACAUACUCACUUUGAUUGUAUUUUUCUUACUAGCCAAACAAGCUAUAAAGAUGUUUUCUCAGAGAAUGAGUGGCUAGACUUUUUGUCUCUUGGAGUUAAGGGAGCUGGGUAAGGUGCCGAAUGCAAGAAUUGGAAGUUUUGUUGUUUCAGCUGUUAAUGAAGAGAAAGUGUGACCCGUUAAUGGUUUUUAUCUUUUUAGUAAACUUAAAACGCCGUUAAAUCACCUAGGCCAACACUUGGUAAGACAAGUGAUCUCCGUCCAUUGAGAUACACUAGUUUAUCUCUUGCGAGCCUUUGGGAGGUGGUUUAAAGGUAGGAUUUUCUAGAAUGGCCAACACUUGGUAAACUUUUGGACUCUAAGAAGACAUCCAUUAGUUAUCUCUUGCGAGCUUGAGAAGGGAAAUCCAAGGUUAAGGAUCACCUUGAAUGACCAAUACUAGGUGAGAGGUAUGAACCAUUGCACGAUGAAUCAGUGAGAGGGAUUUAGUGUUGGAAUCCAUAAAAGGGAAACAUCUGUACCACACCGGUUAGAGAAAUAACUAUAUGUUAAUUCUCCAAUGCGAGGAAAAGAUUCAAGUGACCGAAACUCUGUUUUUGUAUUAGGAACCUAACCCCAGUGAUCCUAAAACUCCAAGAAACGCUUUUCUUUAUUAGUAAUUUUAGUUACUAUUAUUUUUUGUUAGCUUAAAACCAAUCAUUUUUCAACCAAAGAUUAUGUUUUCUUUUAAAGCUAACCUUGAAAUGAAAAAACAUCAAUUCAACUUUGAAUUAAUGUCAAUAGUAAGUUGAAAACCCUUCCCAGUGAACGAUCUUAGAGCCACUAUGCUAUACUAGCUGAGGCUAUCCUAGUACAUGGUGAUAUAGGUUAUAAAUUUUGUUGGUUACUCCUGUCUGAGGACCAAAAUCAAGGUACACCAGCUAGGCACGAAAGUCACAUGGUAUAUUGAUGCACACAGUUUGUGGCACGACAGUUUGAUGAAAUUAUAGAAGUGUAGCACUCAUGGGCAUAUCAUGUGAACCUUAUUCAAUGUGGCAUUGACAGUUGGUUUAUAUUUACAUGGGUGUAAUGUCGCACCAGUAUCCUCUAAUGAACCUUGGAUUCUUUUUUCUUUGUUUCUUCUUCUCUUGGUCAAGCCAAACAAUUUGUCUUCAUGACUUUCUCCUAUUACAAAAAAGCAGCAUCUUGUGUUCUCCAUCUCUUCAUCCCUUUGUCAAGACACAACAAUUUGAUGCAUCUUUGCAUUAGGUUGCUUUCUCUCCUUCCCCUCUUCUUUCUCUUCGUCUCAUUGCUUAGUUUUGGCUACUCUGUUUCUUUUGAUCAUUAUGGUAGAGCAUCCUUGCAAGAUGUACAAGAAAUAUGUUGUGGUGCAUUAUCCCCUUCUCUACCACUUGAAAUCUGUUUUCCAUGAUCAUUAAUACCAAGAUGUUUAAGCAUCAAGUAAGGCAUCUCUUGACAAUUAUGCGAGAAAUAAGAGACAAGCAACAUACCGGUAUUCAAGAGAAGUGAUGUUCUACAUUUACAUUUGACAACAUGCAUUUAGUUUGAACUCCAAAUUUGGGCAACUCAAAAUCUCCACCUUCAUUAGGAUUGCAGAAAGUUAGCUUCUUGGAAAAAUGUGGAAAUGAGGCAUUUAGAAAUUUGAAAGAAUCACAAUGGCUUGUUGCUACUUCUGAAUAAUUCCAAGCAGUAACAACUCCAAAGAUAUAUAUAUAUAAAUCUGUCCCUGGGAAAGAGAUCGAUGUUUCUUAGGCAUGCAACCAUCUCUCUUAACAAACUCAGGGUUCUACUAUUGUGUCACGUUUGAAAGCAAUUUAAUCUAUGUUAGAAGUUUUUUUUUAAAUUUAUUCCAUUUUUCUUUUAGUUUUGAAACUUACAAUUAUACAUUGUAAGGUUUCAAGUUUAUCUAGAGAUAUAAAAAGUUGGAGUCGAUGUCUUAGUGGUAGGUUUCAUAAGAAAUGUAGUUAUUCUAUGAAUAUAACUUUGGAUUCUAAUUUUUUAACUUUCUAAUAUUGUAGCUCUUUAGUAGGUCUCAUAGAAAAUGAAAGUUGUGGAAAAGUAUAAUAUGGACUCAAUUUUUUAUUUAUGAGGUGUUGUUACAACACCAUUAAGUAAUUACCUAAAAAUGAUAUGUCGUUGCAUUGAAAGUAAUAUUAAAUUUAAUGGAGAGAUAUCUAAAUAAAAAUAUCACCUAAUUUUUAAAACAAUAUUAUGAUCUUACUAUUAUGUCAUGCUAGAAAACAAUUUAGUUAUUUUGUGUUAGCAUUUUUUUUGUACAUUAUAUUUUUCUUUUUGUUUUGAAGCUUGCAAUUGCAAAUUGUAAGGUUUCAAGUUCUUUCGAAAAUAUGAAUAGUCGAAGUCAAUGUCUUAGUGAUAGCCAGUAGGUUUCAUAAGAAAAGGAAUUAUUCUAUGAAUAUACCUUUGAAUUCCAAUUUUUGAACUUUCUAAUAUCUUAGUUCAUAGUGGGUCCCAUAGAAAAUAAAAGUUGUGGAAAAGUAUAAUGUGGACUCAAUUUUGACUUAUGAAGUGAUGCUACAACACCUUCAAGUAAUUACAUUGAAAAUAAUAUUAAAUUUAAUGGAGAUAUAUCAAACAAAAUUANNNNNNNNNNNNNNNNNNNNNNNNNNNNNNNNNNNNNNNNNNNNNNNNNNNNNNNNNNNNNNNNNNNNNNNNNNNNNNNNNNNNNNNNNNNNNNNNNNNNNNNNNNNNNNNNNNNNNNNNNNNNNNNNNNNNNNNNNNNNNNNNNNNNNNNNNNNNNNNNNNNNNNNNNNNNNNNNNNNNNNNNNNNNNNNNNNNNNNNNNNNNNNNNNNNNNNNNNNNNNNNNNNNNNNNNNNNNNNNNNNNNNNNNNNNNNNNNNNNNNNNNNNNNNNNNNNNNNNNNNNNNNNNNNNNNNNNNNNNNNNNNNNNNNNNNNNNNNNNNNNNNNNNNNNNNNNNNNNNNNNNNNNNNNNNNNNNNNNNNNNNNNNNNNNNNNNNNNNNNNNNNNNNNNNNNNNNNNNNNNNNNNNNNNNNNNNNNNNNNNNNNNNNNNNNNNNNNNNNNNNNNNNNNNNNNNNNNNNNNNNNNNNNNNNNNNNNNNNNNNNNNNNNNNNNNNNNNNNNNNNNNNNNNNNNNNNNNNNNNNNNNNNNNNNNNNNNNNNNNNNNNNNNNNNNNNNNNNNNNNNNNNNNNNNNNNNNNNNNNNNNNNNNNNNNNNNNNNNNNNNNNNNNNNNNNNNNNNNNNNNNNNNNNNNNNNNNNNNNNNNNNNNNNNNNNNNNNNNNNNNNNNNNNNNNNNNNNNNNNNNNNNNNNNNNNNNNNNNNNNNNNNNNNNNNNNNNNNNNNNNNNNNNNNNNNNNNNNNNNNNNNNNNNNNNNNNNNNNNNNNNNNNNNNNNNNNNNNNNNNNNNNNNNNNNNNNNNNNNNNNNNNNNNNNNNNNNNNNNNNNNNNNNNNNNNNNNUCCCAAUCUUUCCCACUUCGUCCAAACUUUCCAAGAUCUAAACUUUGUACAUGUUCUCUUCUUUUCAAUUAAAAAUUUUUAAAUUUUCAAAUUCAAAUUCCAAGACAAGCUAAUAAAACCCUAAAAUUAAUAUUAAAUACUAAGUGAAUUAAGUCAAGUUGGUAGCUAAAUUGAAUCUAAUCCGAAUUACUUAACCUAAACUCAAGUCAAACUCAUUUUUAUAAGCUGAAGUUAGGUUUAAAUUAACUAGGUUAUACUUUUGGUUCAAUUGAAUUGAUUAGACUCUAUGGAUCAUAAUUAGGGUUUGCAAGGUUGAGUUAGAUUGAACCUAUUCAUAAUUUUUUUUUGUUUAACUUCUUUUAUAUCAUAAUUUAAAUAAUAAAUAUGAUAAUAUUAAUUAAAAAUAAUAACAAAAGAAAAGAAUCACCUUGGAAUCACUCUAAUUUCAAAUUGAGGUUUCCUACCUCAAAAUUUUAAAUUUAAAAAAAAAAAAAAUUUAAGUGCAUAAACUAAAUCUAUAGUUUUUUUUUCGUAGGACUUUUUAUAUUCCAUAUAAAAGUUUUUACAUAGAGACAAGUAAUAAAUAUAUCUUGUUUUUUCAAUAAGUUUAUGACCCUGAUUGGAUACAAACAUUAUAGUGGGACGAAUGCAUCUUCACUAGAGUUAUGUCUUGACUCCUAACAUAAUUUUAGAAUUUUUAAGGAAAACGACAAGGAAACCUUAUGAUAAGUGCCUUUUAUUUAGGUAUGGUGGGUAAAGUGAUACCAUUUGUUAGUUGUUUUAUUUAUUUAUUUAUUUUUUUUAUGGAUUUAAUUGAAUAUAAUUUGUGUUUGAUUCAAAUUUGAGAUGAUCUAUAUAAUUUAUUUAAUAAAUGAAUUGUCUUUUUGGUUAAUUUGCAUAAUACGACUCAAAUUGACUUAUUUAAUAAUUAUAUUGAUUGAUCAAAUUAUAUUUUUAACUUAUUUAACUCAUCUAAAAUUUGAUUUUUGAUAAGUCAUAAUUGAGUUAUAAACAUGUUAGGUUAGGACGUUAAUCAUAUAAUAUCAUACAAUAUUUAAUUUGAUUUGAUUAUUAAAUAUAAUGAAAAUUAUGAAAAUUUUCAUGGAUGAACUUCUCGUAUGAGAAAACUAUGAAAAAGAUAAAAAGUACUAGAGGUGGAAAAUAAGACUUUAGAAAAAAUUAUUAGUGUGAGAUAACAUACACCAACUUUAAAGUGUNNNNNNNNNNNNNNNNNNNNNNNNNNNNNNNNNNNNNNNNNNNNNNNNNNNNNNNNNNNNNNNNNNNNNNNNNNNNNNNNNNNNNNNNNNNNNNNNNNNNNNNNNNNNNNNNNNNNNNNNNNNNNNNNNNNNNNNNNNNNNNNNNNNNNNNNNNNNNNNNNNNNNNNNNNNNNNNNNNNNNNNNNNNNNNNNNNNNNNNNNNNNNNNNNNNNNNNNNNNNNNNNNNNNNNNNNNNNNNNNNNNNNNNNNNNNNNNNNNNNNNNNNNNNNNNNNNNNNNNNNNNNNNNNNNNNNNNNNNNNNNNNNNNNNNNNNNNNNNNNNNNNNNNNNNNNNNNNNNNNNNNNNNNNNNNNNNNNNNNNNNNNNNNNNNNNNNNNNNNNNNNNNNNNNNNNNNNNNNNNNNNNNNNNNNNNNNNNNNNNNNNUUUUCUAAAAAUUGUUAUUUAUUUAAUUUUAUUUUUAAAAAUUGUUUCAAGAGAACAACCAAAUGAGGUGUUAGAAAAUUUUUUAAACAGAUAUUUGUUUUAAAGAAACAGCUUUAUAUAAUUAUGUCUCAUCAUUAUACAUAAAUGAGGUGGAGCAGGACAAUACUCAACCUCCUACCAAAACCAAGCCGAGUUUAAAAAAGAAUACUUCAAUCCUUCCCUCAUAUUUUUUAAACCUCUCAUAAGCCCAUCCCUAGUUGUCAACUCUAACUUUUACUAUAAAAAUAAAUAAAUAAAUAAAUAAUCUUUCGUAUACCAUAAAAAAAAAAAGGAAACUGUAGUAUUAAAUAAACAUUCUUCUUUCAAGAAUCAUCUUCUUUUUUUAAUUAUAUAUCUUAUAACUACAAAUAUUUUCAAAUUACAUUUUUGGUUUGUUUCUAAACAUUUACCACUAUCAAUGGAAGCAUUACACGCUAAAAAUACAUUUAUGAGAAUUAAUUCCAUAAAUUCUAUUUAUCAAGUUUUUAUUUGCUUUUUUAUACUAUAAUCUUCAUAAUUGUGUGAUUCAUAUUUCUAAAGCAAACUAACAAACCUAUUACGUGUAAUCUAAUAAGUUACAUUUCUACAUUUUUUCAUCAUUACACACUUAUGUUCUCGAGAUAUAAUCUCUCAUUGCUAGGUUUCAUAAGAAAAUGAAUUAUUCUAUGAAAAUGACUUUGGAUUCCAAAAUUUGAACUUUGUAAUGCCUUAUCUCAGUGGUGGGUCUCAUAGAAAAUGAAAGUUGUGGAAAAAUAAAAUGUGCACAUAAUUUCUAAUAAACUUGGACUUUUGGCUUCAAGCACCCUUUAUAAUCUUCAAGAGAUACCCCACUCUUGAACAACCUCUCAAGUGAUACCCCACACUUGAGAAUCUUCCUCUCAAAGAUAUACAAAUAAUUGAUCUCACAAAAUCCUAGUACAAAAACUUUAAGCUCAAAUGAUACAAGAAAACUAGAAUUGAAAUGUACACUAAUGAUAUGCAAGUUUUAGAACAAUGGUGCACUCAAAACACUCUUCCAAGACUCAAAUAUAUUCAAGAAAGGUUUGGGAAGGUUUAGUUCCUGAACAAUGAAGAUUUGAAACCUUUUUAUAGAGGAAAAAAACCAAACAGCCAUUGGGGGUUUGACCAAUUGAGCUGGGGGUCGACCAGUUGACUAGCCGUUAGCAUUUAAUGCUUGGCAUGUGACCAUUAGACCUUAACUAGACCUUGAUCGGACCUCGACCGGUUGAGGUGUGGGUCGACUGGUUCCUCAUCCGGUUGAACAACCAUUCUAGAAGAGAGAAAAGGUUGUUUGCACCCGUCAAUCGGUUGAGCUAGCGGUUGACCGAUUAUUGUUCACACCCUUGACUAGUUGAACUGGGGGUCAACCUACUCCUAGACCGGUUGAGCUGGCGGUCGACCGGUUCCUCAUCCAGUUUAACCGAUUGAGCCGUUUUUGGCUCAAGAACCAACUUUUUCAACUUAAAACCUUUUAAACAAGUUUGAAAAACAUUUAACACAAGGUUUUAGUUGAAAACAUGAAAUCAUCCAAUUUUAAAAUAUUUAAAGCAAAACAACUCUUGGAUGAUUUUGGUGCAUAAGUAAAAAAUGUAAUACAUGAAAAUCCUAGUGCACCAACAACCUUACAAAGAGAUAUUAUAAAGCUUGAGUCUUGAAAAACACUUCUCUUUGAGGUGGUCUUCUUCUUCAUGAUUUCUUCUUGGCUUGAUUUGUCUUUGUGAUUGCCAAUUUGGAAAUCGUUUUGCCUAAUCACACUUAAAAUAUAAUUAUUAAUUCUAAACCUUUUUUUGUUAUCAUCAAAAUCGAGAUUAAUCAAAUAUUGGUUUCACAAAUAUAACAAACUAUAUAUAUAUAUCAAUUUAAAAAUAAAAAUAAAAAUAAAAUAUAUAUUUUUUACUUCUUAUAUAAUUUUUUAGAGUUUGUCUUAAUAUUUUAUUAUUUUUUACUUGAUCGAUAUUUUGUGUCAAAAUAUCCAUCAAUAUAUCUCCUAUAUAUUUGAUAUAUCCGUAAAAUCGAAGUACUGAUAUAUUUGUAAUUAUCGAUAUUUUCAUCAUUGAGUUCAUUGCAUGGUCUCUGUGUUCUAUUAUUUACUGGAAAUGCUUCUCAUUAUAUGUUUUCAAAUGUAUUGGUUUCUACUAACUAUGAUAUAUGCAAAGACGUUAGCUGAGGAGGCUUCUUGGAAGUUUGCAAAAGUGAAUGGGAUUGACAUGGUUACAAUACAUCCAAGGUGGGUGAUUGGUCGUCUCUUACAGCCUACUCUUAAUCUAAGUGUGGAGGAAGUUCUGAAGCUACUAAAAGGUACCCUUCAGCAAUUGAUGAGAAUCUCUAUUUUAUGUUGAUCUUUCUACUUCAAUAUCAAUUUAUACUCAUAAUAAGUAGAUAAAAUGCAAUUAAAAAAUCAACAUUAUUUUCUAUUUUUAAAUUAUAAAUAAAAAAAUUAUAUUAAUAAUUCAAAAACUAUUUUGGAAAAUACUUUCUAAAAAAAUGUUCAUAAAUAAAAAUUAUCUUUUACAUUUUAGAAGUAAAAAAUUUAAUGAUUAAAACACUAUUUAAAAUAAAUAUAUUCACUAUUUUCUUUUCUUUUAUACUAAAAAGUAUUUUAAUAUUUUUUUUACUAUUAUAAAAUAAAAGGUUUAAUUUUUUUUUGUUAAAUUUUCUUCCUUCCUUAUUUUAAUAACUUUUUGAAUAUGGCUUUUAGUAAUAAGUUAUAUAAAAUGUUGCUAAGGAUUUUCUUUUAAUGAUUUGAAUUAAUUGAAAAUUUAUCAAAAUAAGAAAAAGAAAAAGAAAGAAAGAUGAUGGAUGGAGAGUUUUUAUUUUAAAUAUUCAAUUAAAUUUUUUUCCUAUGACCAAAUUUUAGAAAUGAAUUAUAUUAAUACAGAGUAGAAAUUGAAAUUUUCUUAUAUAAAAUGGUUGAAAGAUAUAUUUACUCAUUUUAUAUGAAAAUAAGUAGUUAAAAAUUAUAUAGUUAUGUUUGACUUUGGUUUAAAAAUAUUUUUCUAGUUUUUAUUUUUUAAACUAAUUUUUAUUUUCUAUAUUGUCUCUUUUUAAAAAUACGUUUGAUUACAAAAUGAAAACUAUUUUUAAAAAUAAAAAUUAAAAGCCUUAUUUAGUUCUAUUGUUUUAUAAGAAAAUAAUAAAAAGAAUUAAAUUUCAUUUAUUGAUUCUUCUUUUUUAUUUUUUCUAUUAGUUGUUUUAAUAAUAAAAUAAAAAAUAUAUAAUAUGUUCAAAAUUAAACAAAGGAAUUGACCAAUUGUGUAAUUUUUUCACAAAAAUAUAAUAUAUUCACAAAAAAAAUCAAAUUUAAGUUUUUCGCAAUUUUCUCAACCAAACUACAGGAAUCAUGUUUAAUACACCUAUAGGCACGCAUUCACUACAUGAUAUGGAAUUUGCGUAAUUAUACAAGGGUAUUCACUAACUGUACAAGGGGUAUACAAGACUACCUUUUAUAAAAGAUUUCAAUUGAUUUUGAACCACCUUUUUAUUUUCCUUGUCACCCAAAGAUUGCAUACUCAUGUCAUGCACUUUAUUUAAUUUUUACAUGAAAAUUUCAAUACUUUCCCCAAUAUUGAUGUUUGGGGAAAAAAAAUUUGAUCCUGAAUGAUCUACCCUUUUCUCAAGUAAAUUAUUAGAAACAUGGUUGAUACACUUAUGUGGACACAUGACUUAGGAGGAAUAUGGAAUUUGUACCACUGUAUAAUGGUAUUACACUAACUGUACAAAGAAAAUGUACUAAGUGUACAAGGGUGCACAAGGCUACCUUUUGUGAAAGAUUUCAAUCAAUUAUGAACUAUUCCUUUAUUUUUCUUAUCACCGACGAAUUGUACACCUAUGUUAUGCACUUUAUUUAAUUCCCACAUGGAAAUUCCACUUACUUUCCCCAGUAACGAUGUUUGGGGAAAAAAAUUUGACUUAUGUCAUCCACUAUUUUCUUAACCAAACCAUUGGAAACAUGGUUAACAUACCUAUGUAAACACAUAAUUUAGGAGGGAUAUGAAAUUUGUGCCACUAUACAAAGGUGUUAUAUUAAUUGCACAAGUGAAAUGCACUAAGUGUACAAGAGUGUACAAAACUACCAUUUGUGAAAGAUUUCAAUCGAUUCUGAACCACUUCUUUAUUUUCCUUGUCACCCACGGAUUGUACACCUUAUGUCAUGCACUUUAUUUAAUUCCCACAUGAAAAUUCCAAUACUUUCCCCAGUAAUGAUGUUUGGGGAAAUUUUUUUAACCCUAAGUCAUCCAUUAUUUUCUCAAUUAAACCAUUGGAAACAUGGUUAAACACAUCUACGUGGACAUAUAACUUAGUAGAGAUAUGAAAUUUGUGUCAUUGUAUAAGAGUAUUAUACUAACUGUACAAAAGAAAUAUACUAAGUGAACAAGGGUGUACAAGAUUACCCUUUGUGAAAUAUUUCAAUUAAUUCUGAACAACUUUUUUAUUUUCCUUGUCACAUAAGGAUUGUACACUUAUGUCAGACACUUUAUUUAACUCCCAUAUCAAAAUUCCAAUACUUUCGCAAUAAUGAUGUUUAGGAAAAAAAAUUUGACCCUAAGUCAUCCACCAUUUUCUCAAUCAAACCAUUGAAAACAUGAUUAACAUACCUACAUAGACACAUAACUUAAGAGAGAUAUGUACUUUAUUUGCGUAACUGUACAAGGAUAUUAUACUAAUUGUACAAGGGAAAUGUGUCAAAUGUAUAAAACUCUUAAUAGGUUUGUAUGAUUUUUAAACAAUUUGGGCUUGACAUUAAGACGAUUAUCAAUAGUUUUUUUUUACCAAACUAUGUCAUUAAUACUUUCCCUACAAAAAUUAACACAUAGGAAAUAAAAUUAAAAUCAAUCAUGUUUGAAUUGUUCAUUAUAAGUAAACUAAAUGAAAUAUAUAUUUUUACUAUUUUGCCCUAAUAAACAUAAUUUUAUUGUUAUUAGUACAGAUUAAAAAAUCCUAUUUAAAUGGAAUUAAAAAUAAACAAAAAUGAUUUUUGUAACAUUUUUAUUUUUUAAAACCAUUAAUUUAAAUUAUGAAAUUAGUUUUAAAAUAAAUAAAGUUUAAGUGGUUAAAUCAUAUCAAAUCAUUAACUUGAUUUAUCAAAAUAAUUUUAUAUUUUAUAUUAUAAUAUUAAGUUAUUUUAUCAAAUAUACUUAAUAUACUUAACAACUUAAAUUUAUGUGGUGUUUGGUUUUUGGUUGAAUAAAAAAAAACCAAAAUAUGUGAUUUUUUUAUUUAAUUAAAAAUAAUCUAUUGAUGUCAACUGGCAUAACUAAAUUGAACAUAUUAAUUACAAGUUUACUUUAGUUAUGUUGAUUGACAUCAAUAUUAUUUUUAGCUUAAUAAAACAAAGUCAAUUUGAUUUUUUCUAUUCAACUAAAAAACAAAUACCGCCUUAAUCUUAUCAACAUCCUCUAAGUUCUUCUCAAAUUUUAAUAUUUAUUUGAUACAUAUUUAAUAAGAAACAAGUCAAAAUGUUUUAUCUCAAAAUUUCUAAUUCAAACUCCUACUAGAUUUAAAAUUCGUUAAUUAAUUUGAAACAAAUUUGUUUUGGAUAAUACAAUUGAUGGAGAUAGUACAUAUCUUAAAUUUCUAACUGAAAAAAGCCUCAUAACAAAAUAAUUUGAUGAAUAUUUUAAGUUUAAAAGAUUAGAACCAUUUCACAAUGAUUUUGGAAAGUUAGAAAUGUUUCCAAAUGCUUGAAAAUGUUUUUAUAACACAAACUAGACAUUUUAUAAAAACUAAAGUUCACAUUCUAUGUAAUUGAUAAUGCCUCACAUAAUUUUUUUUUUCUUUUGGUUAUACAUAUAUAUAGGGUGAACAUACUUUUUAAGUAGGUAUAAAAAAGUUCUACCAAUUAGGUGGGUGAGUAUAUAUUUUUAAGUUUCAUAAUUUGUGCCUUUGUACCUUCACUCUAUUUGUUUAUACCUUUGUUCAACAAUGUAAAUCACACCAUAUAUAUUCAAUGGUCAAAAUCUUAACUUCGGUUAAUAUCACUACACUAUCUUAGUAUUUUUUUUCUCUCUCUCUCUCUCUAUAUAUAACACUAACUACUUUUCUAUGAAAACAUUUACAAUAGAAAUGCUACAUAUUAGAAGUGUUUUUAUCAAAAUAAUUUCUAAACCAACCUUAAUAUUUGUAUUAGCUUUAGUUGAUAUGGCUACUUGAUAAACCCAACCAUUCAUAUGAUAAUUAUUCUAGAUCUUACUUUAAUUUGAUAAAAAUAUCCACCCAAGCAUCACACAAAUCAUAAAUAUACUCCAUGUCUAUUUGGAUAAACUUGUUGUUUUCUGUUGUUAUGUUUUUAAAAUAUGGAGGGAUAUAAGAAUUCUUAGAGAAUUAUAUUAAAAAUAAAAUAAUAGUUUUAAAAAUCAUUUAAAAAUUUAAGGUAUUAUACUAUUUUUUUAUUAUUUUUAAACUUAAAUUUUAUUCAAAUAAAUAUCAUUUAUGAGUCAAUAAAUUAGAUUUCGUAAAUUUAAUAUUUAGUAUUUAUAAAUAUAAAAUUUUCAAUUUUAUUUUAAACAUGUUCCAAAAGGGGGAAAACCAAAAAGGAAACUAAAUUAUUUUUAUUUAAUUUUAUAAAAAAAAUUCUCAAAUAUAUCCUUAAUUUGUUUAAACUUGUCCUAAAUCCAUCCAUAAUUGUCAUCUCUAAUUUUGACCAUAUAAAAAUUAAACCAAAAUAUAAAAAGGUUGAGGAACAUCAAAUAUAAAGAGAGGUUGAAAAAUUUUAUAAUGCUUGGAGGUAUUUUUCUUACAAACAGAGUCUGUUUGAUCGUAUGAUUUAAAAACGGUUUUCUGUUUUUAAAAAUAGAAAACUAUUUUUAAAAAUUUACAACACUGUUUGGCCAUUGUUAUCUGGAAGCAAUUUAUAAAAACAAAGUGAAAUAGAGAACAAUUUUUAGAGAACAAGUAUAAGUUGUUUUCAUCUGUUUUUAAAAACAAAAGGAAAAUAUGGGUCAAUUUGACCAUAUUUUCUUGAACUUGUUUUUUUUAAAAUAUUUUUUAGAUUAAAAAUGUUUUUUAAAAUCACUACCAAAAGGAUUUUAAGUAUUAUCUCAAUCCACCUCAUUUAUAUAUAAAAUUAAGUAAAAAUAAUUUACUUUCCUUUUCCAUUCCCCCUCUUUAAUCAUAUUUAAAAUAAAGUUACAAAUUUACUUUUUAUCAAGAUAGAAUAUAAAAUCUAUAAAAAUAAUUUAUUUAAUCAUAAAUUAUAUUUAUUUAAUAAAAAUUAAAUUUAAAAAUGAUAAAAAUAACAGAAAAUAUAUUUAAAUAAGAUAGGAUGACUAUAACUUCUAAAAAAAUUCCUUGACCCCAUCCUACUCUGGUACAGGUUUGGGUCGGAAUAAAAAUUUGUUGAAGUAAUCAAGAUGGGUUGGGAACUUGGGAUGAGGAUAUGACCCCUUUCACAUAAUUCGUCAAAAUUCAAUAAUUGCUAAACUUUAAAGUUGUUGCAUGCCAUCUCACAGCAAUAAUUUUGUAGGAGGUCUUUCCACCUCCACUUCUAUUUGCUUCAUUAAUUUGUUUACACAUUGCUUUGCUUUCUACCUCUCUCUCUCUCUCUCUCUCUCUCUCUCUCAACAAACCCCUCCUUACUUGUUUAAUCUCUUCCAAAAACAAAUAAAAACAAUUAAUUCUAACUAUUCAAAAGUUAAAAGUUAAUAUUAUAAAUGUAAACUUAAAUGCAAGCAUAUAAAAUAUAUAUCAUAUCAAACUCUAAAUCUAAAUCAUUAAUAUAUUUAUCAAGUCCAAAUUAUUAAAUAAAAAUAAAAAUAUAUAAAAUGGGGUAUAAAAAAAUAAAACUAAAGCAUACAACAAAAAAAUGAUAUUUAGGUACAAAUAAAUAAAAAUUGGAUAUAAAUUAAUAAAAUCUAAAUCAAAGUGUUAGAAAAUCAUGUACAUAGGAUUUCAUAAUUCUAGUUUAAUGAACCAAAAAUAGAUGUACAAAACUCAUCUUGAGAUAUUAUGAUAGAAAUCACCUUACAUAUAUUGUUUGCAACGCUGCAUCACUUUAGUAGCACCUUGUCACCUUGUAUCGGUAUUAACCCCUUGUAUCUUCCCUCUCUUUACUCUCUCAUUCUUAAUCUUUGUAUAAAUGAUAGGAAAUGAGAGAGGGACCAAGAGCUAAGGCCAUUUUCUUUAUUUGUACCUUUGUUUCCUUAGUUUCUUCCUCUCUUGGUCAAGCCAAACUGUUCGGUUUCUCCAUUUCUUCUUCACCCCACUGCAUUUUGGGUUCUCCCUAUAACGGAAGCAUCCUUAAAUCAAGAAAAUCCCUCAAAUCAAGCAACAAAAAUGACUAUAGAUUUUUAGCUUUCAUUCAAGGAUGUAACAAUCCUUAUUUUCCUUGUAAUCGAUAGCCUUAAUUCUAGGAAACUUACUUAGAAUUGCUCUUGUUAAUGUGUAUUUAUUUUUUCUCAUACAAUCUCUUGUUAUGGUGUAAUAUUUUUCAAACAGAGCAGUAAUACAUUAUUGAGAAAUUCUCAAACUCCAUCAUGGUAUUAGAGCAGCCUUCCUCUCACGAGAACUCGAUCCCCAAUUCUGAAAACACCCACCACCCGAUUUCCACUCCACCAUCCCCAACCAAUAUUCCUAUCAUUGCUCUCAACAUCUCUGCUCAAAUAAAUGAAAAACUCACACCAUCAACCUUCCCUCAAUGGCGUGCCCAGUUUGAAUCCCUCCUAAUUGGCUACAAUCUACUUGAUUAUGUCACGGGUGACAAUCCUCCUCCUCCUCCGAGUGAUUCCUCCGCUACCAAUCCAUAGAAUACCCACUGGAUAAGACAAGAUAAACUUAUCCCCAGUGCCAUUUUGGCAUCCACCACCUCCACAAUCACCCCAUUCAUUUCCGUUACACAAACAUCACAACAGGCAUGGCAAAAAUUGCAUACCAUGUAUGCGAGCAAAUCUCGUACUCGGGCCAUGCAAUUGAAGGAGGAACUCACAAUGAUUAAGAAAAGGAAUCAGACAGUUCAAGAAUACCUGCACAUUGUCAAGGCUCUUGUUGACAAAAUCUCCCUCAUCGAUCAUCUCAUUGCAGAUGAUGAUCUCACCUUGUACAUUCUCAAUGGACUGAGCAGUGAUUUUCGAGAAAUCGCGACACCUAUAUGAGAAAGGGAAAAACCACUCGCGUUUGAAGAAUUGCAUGAUCUGCUCGUAGGCCAUGAUGCCUACCUCCGACGCCUUGAAACCACCACACAACAACUGGUUGCAUCGGCCAACUACUCCAAUCGGCAUCCUGCUUCUUCAUCAGACGGCCAACACUCUAAAGCUAACUUCAAUGGGCAACACAAAUACACUCUAAAGUGCCAAAUCUAUGAUGAACUGGGCCACAUUGCAAGACAUUGUCCACGUCUGCGCUUUGUUGAGCCCACUGCCAAUUAUGUUGCCACUUCACCUGCAACAAACCCAAAAUGGCUUAUUGAUUCUGGAGCUUCACACAACAUUACUGGUGAUUUAGCCAAUUUAUCUAUUCACUUUGAGUACAACGACACUGAUGAAGUUGUCAUAGGUGACGGUUCAGGUUGCAUGUCUCACACGUUGGCUCAUUGGUUCUCAAAUCACCCACACACACUUUUCAUUUAAAUGAUACUCUUUAUGUUCCUAAUAUUCACAAAAAUCUCAUUUCUGUCCAUCACUCCACCACACAAAACAAUGUUUUUGUUGAAUUUCAUCCCUUGUUUUUCCUUGUUAAGGACAAGAUCAUGGGGGCGGUUCUACUCAAAGGUGCAUGUGAAAAUGGCGUUUACACUCUCCCAGAUUUACUGGUGCAAGAUUCUCAAAAAAUGGUUGCCAAUGUGCAUGAACGGACCUCAAUCAAUGGGUGGCACAAGCGUCUUGGACAUCCCUCUAAAAAAAUAGGUCAUCACCUUGUUAAGAAUUUUUAUCUUCCAAUAAUACAAAAAGAACAUAGUUCUCAUUUUUGUACCUCUUGUUCUAUUACUAAAGCGCACAAACAACCAUUUCGGACCAAUAGCCUUCAAAGCCAUGCACCUCUUGAUUUAAUUUAUACUGAUGUUUGGGGUCCCUCAAAUACAAUUGGUCUUGAUGGAUCACGGUAUUAUUUGAUUUUGGUUGAUCAUUUUACAAAGUAUAUUUGGUUUUAUCUAAUGGAAACCAAAUCUCAACUAAGCAUGAUAUUUCCUCAAUUUAAACAUCUCAUUGAAAAUCAAUUUCAAUCAAAAAUCAAAAGUAUCUACUCGAAUAAUGGUGGUGAAUUUGUUGCCUUAAAAAAAUAUUUUUCUAUACAUGGCAUAAGUCAUUACACCACAGCUCCUCACACACCACAACAAAAUGGUGUAUCCGAGCGUCGUCAUCAUCAUUUGGUAGAAACGGGUCUUACCCUUUUACAUGAUGCUUCUUUACCUUUAUCAUAUUGGCCUUAUGCCUUUUCAACGUCUACUUACCUCAUCAACAAACAACCAACCCCUCUCCUACAUAACAAACCCCCUUUUGAAGCAUUAUUUCAUCAGCCCCCCAACUAUCUUAAACUAAAAAAAUUUGGGCAUCUAUGUUUUCCUCUCACCAAGCCCUAUAACACACAUAAGUUGCAGCCCAAGGCAACACCAUGUUUGUUUGUGGGCUAUUCCCCAACCCAAAAUGCGUAUAAAUGUCUUGAUCCACAAGCCCAUAAACUAUAUUUAUCUAGGCACGUUCUGUUUGACGAAAGUCAAACCCAUCAUCUCCUCCGUUCAGUCGAAACACAGGUACCAUCCAUGUCCAUUUCGCUUGCCCCACCUGUGCCACUCACACUUUUGCCGCAACCACCGCCAGUGCCAACGAAAGGUAACGCCAUUUUCGCCUCAUCUCCAAGUAACUGCCUCGACUCAUCUUCUUCUCUUUUUCGAGACAUGCAAUCCCUAAAUUCAUGCCCUAAUUCCUCUCAAUCACAUGAACACUUGCAUUCUAACUCAAAUUCACACACCAAUCCACUCUCAGAACCCAUGGUUGUCCAUGAUCACCAUCACAGUGACCCUCCACUGCCUCCUUCUCACCGCAUCCACACCAUGACCACUCGGUCAAUGAAUAACAUUCAUAAGCCCAAACAGUUCAACUCUGUGACCAAACACCCACUCUCACCAAUCGUUGAACCAACAUGUGUGGGCCAAGCACUUCGUGAACCUCACUGGAGACAUUCUAUGUCAGAUGAACUUACUGCUCUCAUGCGUCAUGGCACUUGGGAUCUAGUUUCCUAGCCCAAAAAUUGUAAUCCUGUUGGGUGCAAAUGGGUAUUCCGUGUGAAAUGAAACUCGGAUGGUUCAAUUGACCGCUUCAAAGCUAGGCUUGUUGCUAAAGGAUUUAAUCAACGAGAAGGGUUAGAUUACAAAGAAACCUUCAACCCAGUUGUACAACAUGCAACAUUAGGACUGUCUUGACAGUGGCUGUAAUGCAGGGGUGGUCAUUAAGACAGUUAGAUGUUAACAACGCUUUUUUACAUGAUGACUUGACUGAGACUGUGUAUAUGACACAACCACUAGGAUUCAAAGAUGUCAACAAGCCAAAUCAUGUGUGUAGGUUAUGUAAGGCUAUCUAUGGCCUUAAACAUGCCCCAAGAGCUUGGUAUUCAACUCUUAAACUGACAAUUAUGGGUCAUGGUUUUUAAAAUUCCAAAGCUGACUCAUCUCUUUUUAUCUAUUGUUAGAACUCUGUCAUAUGCUAUAUUAUUAGUAUAUGUGGAUGAUUUGGUUAUCACCGACAAUAAUUUGUGCUUUGUGUCUGAGAUUGUUGCACAACUUGGUAAUUGGUUUUCCUUAAAGGACAUGGGACAACUCAACUUUUUCUUGGGAAUGGAGGUUAUUUCUACAAAAUCUGGGCUUUUUUUUUCUCAACAUAAAUAUAUUCGAGACCUAUUGUCCAAAACCAAUAUGAUUGGUGCUAAAGAUGUCUCAACCCCAUUGUCCACCACCACGUCCCUCAAAUUGAUUGAGGGUACUUCAUCUACCAACAGUAUAGAGUUUCGAAGUGUCAUUGGUGCUCUUCAAUACCUGUCCCUCACUAGACCGAAUAUCUCAUUCUCUGUAAAUAAACUUUCUCAGUUUAUGCAUAAGCCUACAGUGACACAUUGGACAGUUGCAAAGCAACUUCUUCGCUAUUUAAAGCACAUUAUGUUUCAUGGACUUCACAUAAAAAAAAAAAAAUCCAGCUUUGAACUCAUUACAUAUUCUGAUGCGGAUUAGGCGGGCAACUAUGAUGAUUGGACCUCCACCUCCGCAUAUAUCUCAUUUCUUGGUGUCAAUCCUAUCUGCUGGAGUUCAAAGAAGCAAAGGGCAGUGGCACGUUCAUCCACUAAAGCAGAAUAUAGAGCCCUUGCCAAUGCAGCCUCCGAGACAUCAUGGCUUCUCUCAUUAUUCAAGGAACUAGGUCUGCUUUUAUCUAGACAACCCAAGUUGCUCUGUGAUAAUUUGGGUGCAACUCACCUCAGUUUUAAUCUAGUCCAGCACUCUUGAAUGAAACACAUUCAGAUUGACCUUCAUUUUGUCUGAGAUAUGGUUCAAAGUGGCAUUCUAAAUGUUCAUCAUGUUAACACCUAGGACCAGUUGGCUGAUCUUCUCACAAAAGGCCUCUCACGCCAAAGGACAGAAAUUUCAAGGGACAAGAUUGGCUUAGCCGAUGGCAGCUCCAUCUUGCGGAGGCAUAUAAAGGAAGCAUCCUCAAAUCAAGAAAAUCCCUCAAAUCAAGCAACAAAAAUGACUGCAGAUUUUUAGCCUUCAUUCAAGGAUGUAACAGUCCUUAUUUUCCUUGUAACCGAUAACCUUAAUUCUAGGAAACUUACUUAGAAUAGCCCUUGUUAACGUGUAUUUAUUUUUUCUCAUACAAUAUCUUGUUAUGAUGUAAUAUUUUUCAAACAGAGCAGUAAUACAUUAUUGAGAAAUUCUCAAACUCCGUCACUUCCAUCUCUUUGUCCUCAAACAAUUAAGACACAAACUUUGAUGCAUCUCUGUCUUGGAUUCUUCCUGUCAAAAGGAACAGUUGAAGUACCUCCAUUGCUUCUCUAUUUCUUUGAGUCAAAGGACAAAGUCUGCCUUUCUCUGUUUCUUCUAAUCAUUUUCAAAAUGCAACAUUGUGAGAUCUACUAAUCCUAAACUUGUUUCUCAAAGAAUCAAAAUCAUAAAUACCAAGAUGUAUACACAUGCAGGUAACACGUCCUCUUGACAAUGAUGUGACAGGUGUAGUAGACAAGGAACAUACAUACCUGUAUUCCAAGGAAGUACCAGUGCAUUUGAUGACAUUGUUCUAGCCUAAAUUCUAAAUUUUAGCAAUCCGAAAUCUGUAACUUCUGCAAAAUUUACCUAGUUGUUGAGGGAACAACACAUCUUCUCUUACCAUUUUCAUCUUAUGCACUACAAAUCCCAUGUCAACUGCCACUUCCACUAGACCUGAAUGAAGUAGGAACACAAAUGAACAUUUCAAGGCAUCGGAUUGUCUGAAAAUUAAAUUGGGAGAGGUAGAACUACCGAUGCUUACAUGGAACUGAGGAAAAGACAAACAAGAUCAACAAAAAUGGAAGAGAAAAUGCAAAUCCAUAAGCCUGUAGCUGCUGUCCAAAGCAGCUUCCUUGUCAAUUGUCAACAAAAAGUCCACUAUGAAAUUCACUGGUAGAGCCACAUAUAGAAAAUUGUAAUAAAUGGUAAAGUAAGAAAUCUGCGCUGGGAAUGGGUGAAGCUUAUUGAAUGUAAGGUUCUAAACAGUCUCUGACUAAACACGGUUGAAGAAUAGGGUUUCACAGGAAUAAUUUUCUUUCAUUGAGAUUAUUCUUUUAUAGAGUUUACAACAUAUAGAAAUCCUUCAAAUUAGGAAACUAAAUCACUGAUUAAAAGGAAAGAAUAACUCCUAACAAUUACUUUCCUAAAAAUACAAAGAUUGACAACUAAUAAAUAAUUUACAGCUUUACAAAGUUAUUUAUUUCCAUAUCAGUUUCGGUUUUCCAACAAACACCAUUGGAGUAUAGAUAGUAGCUCUUAGAGAGAAGUGAGGUCUUGGUGACCCUGGAAGGUUAAGGCUUCCAGAUACUGGAAUCUUUGUGUGCAGACAUACAUGAGAGAGAUGUAGGAAGGAAGAGGCAAGCCUGUGUCAUCCGAGCAGAGGCAUCUGGAAUCUUUGUGUGCCAUUAUUCAAUCCAAAGAGAUGCUGGGAGAGAUUUGUUCAGGAUUUAUGUGAUGUACAGUCUUUUCACAAUCAUAAAUAGUAUUUAAGUAUGGAAUUUUGGAAUAAGGUGAUAUACCAGUAACAUGGAAAAUAAGGUGAUCACAAAGGACUACACAGUUAGCAUGUUUGGAAUAGUUGUGGUUGGUUAAUUUCAAGCCCAAGUUUUAGCACCUAAAAACAUGCCCAUUUUUUCCAGACCCUUUAGCAAGCCUGCACGGAAGCAUUCUCUGGUUGUUACAUACAUGGUGUCUACAUAUCAAUCAACACAUUUUGAUGUUUUUUUCUCAAAUUCCAUAUUAAAGUUAUACUGGACACUUGAAUGCGAACAUGUCUGAUUAUAUCUUUUCUUUCCAGACAUGUUUCAUCUCUCCAGUGCACUAGGUUUGGAUGAACCUUAAAGCUCAGCUACAGAAUGAAACUGGAAUAUUAGUCAUGUUUUCUGUACAUAGAUUGAUAAAAAUGUUGAGUAAGAUCAAGAAAGCUGUUAAAUGGGAAGAUGAUGAUUUUCUUACUGUCAGUUUGCAUUGAAAAAAUGGUAAUCAGAAAAGAUAUUUUGGAUAGGAUUCAGAAAGAAAAUAUAUUGAUUCAAAAGUUAGAGAUAUAGUACCCAAGGGGCUAUGAUCCUGUAUAUGGAUGUUUCAUGUUUUAAGAUUGUGCACGAAGUGCUGAUGUUAUAAGGGAUCAAGGGUGGUUUGUGGAGUAGUCCCCUCUUCAGAGUAUUGCAAGUAUAUAAUCCUACAAUUCUGGAGUAGGCUUCUUCUAAUUUGCUCUGCUCCCAAUCGUCCAGAAUAGUGGAAAGCUUCAUUCAGUUGUAAUAAUUUUAUUAUUUAGAUUGAAUCAUAUUCAUUGGGUUUGUAGAUCAAGAGAAAGUGUCAUGGCUUUGAAUGUUUGUCUCUUUGAUAAUAUCACAGUGCAUUGGUCCACAGAGAUGGAAGCAUGACAGUUGAAUGAAAUGACUGAAAUGUAGCAUUCAAGGGUAAAUUAUAUGAAAACUUUUAAAUAGAGCAACCUGUUUGACUUCACAUAGUGUGCUUGCAUCAGUUGUGGACGUCUAAUGGUUGGAAUAUCCUUGCACAUAUGUCGUCAUUUUCUUUUCUUCAGCUCUGUUUUCUUUGUUUCUCCCUUCCUCGGUCAAGCCAAACAGCUUGGUGAUUCUUCAUUUCUUCUUCAUCCCAUCAAGAGAACAGCAUCUCAUGCAUCUUUGUAUUGGGUUCCUCCCUCUUCUUCCACCCUAAGGAAAAACCGUAUCUUGCUUAGUUUGGACUUCUCUAUUUCUUUUGAUCAUUGUGAAAAGCAUCAUGAGAAGAGGUACAAUAAAUGUGUUGUGCUGAAUUAUUCAAAACAUUAUUUUCAUAAUCAUAAAUACCAAGGUGUUUAAGCAGCAGGUAAGGCAUCUCUUGACAAUGAGGUGAGAGGUAGAAACAAGCAACAUACCUGUAUUCAAGGGAAGUUCUGUUCUUCUUCUGAAAUUUGACAACAUUCAUUUAGUCUGAACUCAAUAUCUGGGCAACUCAGCAUCUCCACCUUCAUUAGGAUUGCAGGAAGCUGGCUUCUUGGAAAGACAUGAAACGGGGGCAUUUCAAAAUCUAAAAGAAUUUCAGAGACCUGUUGCAACUUUUGAAUUGCUCAAAUCAGUAACAACUCCAGAGAUAUAUACAUAUCUGCCCCUGGGAAAUUGAGGUGUCCUAGGCAUGCAACCAUGGAAUAUUAGCUCCCUAAUAGGCUCAAGGUUGUGAUCAUAAAAAAUGCACUGAGUGGGUGACUUGCAAUCGGUUCUGUGAGUCCCUCUUGGUAGCUUCUCAUUUAUUGCACCAUAUGAAUUGCAGAUUCCAACUGCCAAUUUCACCACCCCUAAAUGAACUAGGAGACAUGCUGAAAGCAAAGUUAGACAACUCAUCAUAGAGUUAAUCCUGCAGGAAUACACCAAAAAGGAAAUCUUAUAAUAUAAAUGAAUUCAUCCAAUUAAAGGAUAAGGUUGCCUGAAAAAUUAAAUUGAGAGAGAUGGAUAUAGUGAUGCUUACAUGGGAUUGUGGGAAGGAUCAACAAGAGAAACAAACAUUGAAUAGCAAAUGCAAAGCCAUAGAGCUUGCAACUGCUGUCAAAAGCUGCUCCCUAGUGAAGUCUUUUAACAAUAAAUUUCAGUGCAAAAUUCGCCUAAUUGCUCCACUUGUAGGACAUUUCAAUAGUAUGAAAACAGGAUAUGGUGAACUCCCCCUGCUUCUGCCAUUAGUGAACUAAUAUGGAUCAAAGAUGAAUCUCGUCAUCUACAUCUAUUUUUACAUAGGAGAUGUGGGCAAUCUUGGGCCAAUAUCUCAUCAUUGGAUUUAGUAGUUGUCUCUGAUUUAUGGUUCUAAAAGCAUGGCAGGAUCACUUGCCAAAUACUACUAGAGCUUAGGUGAUGUCUCAAUGUGGGGAAGCCAAGGAUACCAGAUUCUGGAAUCUUUACAUGAAAAUAUACCACCAACGAUGAAUUGUCUGAGAGUGGUGAGUCUGUGAGGGCCCCACUGGGACCUGGGGUGUUUCUCACAUUCUUUCAAUCUUCAAUUUGAAGUAGCCACUUGAGCAAUUGUACCUCCAGGAAUGAGUCAUUUUGGGGCAGAUUGUUUUCAUUUUCCUUCACACCAUUGUUUCACUAUAGGGCACUAAAUGAUAUGUAGUUGCAAGACGAAUAGAGGCAGCCAUUAAUGAAAGCUUAUGGAAAUUCAAGACAAACAGAUCUUCAUGGAGAUAUGAGGUUUUGAAAUCCAAUAAAGGUUUGAAAAUCCAAACACGAGUUAUCCAAUGUACCCAUUGGUAACAGAGUUGGGCAGUGUUGUUCCUUCUACCCUUGGAAAAGGACAUCACAUAAGAAAUUCCACUAGUAAUGGGGGGCUUAAGUGAUGUGUUGGGGCUUGGGCAAUGCUGUAUCUUAAGAUAUUCAAGAGAUGUGUGAUCAUGCAUCAACCCUAAUUCUGCUAGCAUAAUCUGGUUUUCAGUCACAAAUAUGUAGUUAAAAUGUAUGGCAGGUCAUGCAUGCAUCUCUUGAAUUGUCAUGAGAAGUGGAGAUUGAGCAACAUACAUGAUUCAAGGGAUGUGCAACUGUUCUUGUGCAUCAAACAAUCUUCAUCUGAUACAAAGCUUAGAUUUUUAGCAACUUGUGAUCUCCACAUUUUAACACAUUGGAGGAAGUUGGCCUAUUCAACAAACAAGACAGAACAUUUAGAAAAAUGCAAGAAUUCCAGACAUGUGUUGUUGUCAUGAAUUAUUCCAAUCAGUAAGGAAUCAAAGUGCUAUAAUUUUGAUUUGUGUAACUACUUAGCAUGGAUAACAGACCUAUCUUGGGGAAGUAACUCAAGUCCCAAGCACCAACUCAAUCCUGAGCUCUCUGGGAUACUUGAGGCACCAACUUAAUCAAAGCUACUUCUUGUUUCUAUGGCAGCUCAUCUUCCUCCACUGAUACUGGGGAAAAUGCAAAACAAAGGGAAAUGAAGUCAUGUUGUGAUCCUGUCUCCAAUCUCCUUGACAUAGAUAGAUGAUUUCCUUGCAACCGACAAUGUCUAAUGCUUUCACUUCAGUUCUAACAUGUGUUUUGGGAAGAGAAUUAAGCUUUCAAAUAUUGCCAAUAUGCAAGGAAUUGAGAAAGGCCAGGUGGGCAACUGCCACAGUUAGUUCACAAACCAAUGGCAACAUUGGAAGUGGAACAUGACACAAAAACUUCAAAAGACAAAACCUGUUUUUCACAAUCAUAAAUACCGAGGUGUUUAAGCACAAGGUAAUGCAUCUAUUGACAAUGAUGUGUGACGUGGAGACAAGCAACAUACCUGUAUUCAAGAUAAAUGGUAUUCUUCUUUUGCAUUGACAACAUGCAUCUAGUCUAGGCCCCAAGUUUUUAGCAACUCCAGAUCUCCACCUUCAUUAGGAUUACAGGAAGCUAACCACUUGGAAAGACAUGAGAGUAACAUUUAGAAAUCUGAAAGGAUUCUAGAGAGCUGCUGCAACUGUUGAAUCAUUCUAAUCAGUAACAACAAGGAGCCCUAUAUACAAUUUUGAACUGUCAGCCUUCAUAGCAUGAAUGAUAAACUUGUCCCUAGGAAUGAUAUGUGCCUUGGGCAUGCAACCUUCAAUUAUUAGUUAGAGUUACCCCCACCUAAUCCAUCUCAAUGUGUCUGGGAAAACGAGGUCCACCAGAUGUUGUGGCCAUUAUCUCAUGGUAGUGGAUGUUUUGAAGCAAAGUCUAAAACGAAGUCAUCACUGGAGGUUAUGUCCAUUAUCCCAUUGCAGCAGAUGUUUAGCACCAGAGUUUAAAACCAAGUCAUUGACAAAGGCCAUAGUGAUGUCAUUGAUUUUAUUCUAAACUUAUCAAAAACAAUAUGAGAUUCACUUUGAUUUCAAGUUAUGCAAGAUCUAUAUGAGCUCAAUUGUUUUGAAACUUGAUUGAUGUUUCGUUGGUCAGGUCUUCUUUAGACAUGAACCUAUUUUUUGUGCUUAACUUGAAGAAGCUGCCAAUAAGACUGAAUAGUCACAUAUCACUCAGAGAGUUGAGAAUAACACAACUCUUUCGUUUUUUUUUUAGGACUGGUUUGUCAUCAAGUAUUUUGCUCGGUUGUUGUGAUGGUUUGAAAUUUCUAUCUGAUGACUAUAACCUAUAUAAACAACAACUUGUAUUCUCUUAUCUUGAGCAUUAUUUUGCAAAAAAGAUUUUUAUGAGCACUUCUAUUUGGAUGUCUUUCUAACAGUCGUUAGUAUUCAAUAAAAAUGACCUUUACUAAACCUGCAGAUUUUUUCAGGUGAUAUUUUUUUUUUACAAUAAGGAAGGGAGGCAUUUUUAUUGGUAGCAUAUCCUGAUUCAUAGAGUAUAAACCCUUGCAAAUUGAAAGAAAGACAAUUUACAUAUCAUUAAAGGGUGAUCUGUAAGCACUCUUAUAGGCCUACAUCUUCCUCAUUUGGAUAAGCGUUUACUUGUUUUUAAUCUGUUUUUUAGGAAGACAGUUAAUGAGAUUUUGCCAACCAAAAACAGAGGUUUGUUAGCCCUCCUACCCUCUGGCUGGUUCUCUUGCAUAUGCUUGAAGAAUAUUGGAAACCAAUUAAUUAGUCAUUGCAGUUUCAUAGUCUUACAAGAAAUCUUGUUAUGGUGGCAAGAGAACAGACUGCAACAUAGUCUCAUUCCCCUUCAUGAUUUAGACAUUGUAAAGAUCAAAAACCUAUUCCUGGUAAUAUAAGAAGAAGAGCAGCCAAAGAAAAGGAACAAAAUGUAUAGGAACCUUAUGGACUUGAAUAGUUGGUAUUCAGGUGGCAAAAAUACACAAAAAUGCACUUAACAAACUACUAAUCAGCAGGCCAAGAUUCUACUUCCAAGAGACAGGUUUGUCAUCCAUGUCAAGAAGGCUCGCACUUCAUUUUUGUGGGACUUUGAUAUCAACAAAUUUAUGGAAUUCUUUCAGGUUUCUAAAUGGAAUGGUUCAAGUCAUCAACACAUUCCCAGAAUUCUUUCGUAAAUGUCAUCAUCCUGGCUAGCUUUCUUCAGUGUUGAAAGAGGGGGUGAUACCAUGUUGCUAAAAAUUGCAGUCUAUAUGUACUAGAUGGACAAGAACUACAACACUUGUAUUAGAAACAUCUCUGUUGCCUGGAUUGGUAUUACUUGCCAUAAUUAAGCACCUUUUUAUUAUUGUAGCAGAGUGUUUCAAAGUCACCCAUACUUAAUCCAUCUUCAUGUCUCUCAAACAACUAGGUCCAUUAGUAGCAAAAGAAGAGCAAUUUGAAUAGCUGGUCAUUUCCUUUUAUAAUUUAGGGAUAAAGGUCAAAAACUACAACACUUGAAUAGCUGGUAUUAAGAUGGACAAGAACUACAACACUUCUCUCAUAAACAUGUAUGUUCUUUCUUCAACUCUUACUCUAUUGCCUGGAGUUGCAUUACCUGCCAUGAUUAAUCGCCUCCUAUUUAUUCUUGUGGAGAAACAGGUUUUGGUGUAUGUAGAGACUACAGUUGCUGCACCUCUUGAUUUUCAAGACCACCCAGUCUCUCCUCAAGCAUCUGGAAUUGUCAAGCUGAUUUAUGGCUAACCUUCCAAGGACCUUAGGGGUUUCAUACAGGGUAGAUCUAGUGCAAGAGAUUCAGAAUUAUCUCUACAUAAUCCACCUCCAUUUCUUUAGAACAACUAAAUGCUAUGGCCAAAAUCUCACUUAAGGCGUCAGGUUCAUGUUGGGGCUCAUUCACAAGAUUAAGAUGAAUAUAGCAGGGGAUGUUCCUGAUCUACCACCAGCCAUGUUGUCCAGUUGUUCAAUGCCCCUGUGUUGACUAUGGCCACAGUCACAGUUGUGUCCUUUCCCCAAAGAAAUGUCAUUUUGAAAUUUUUAAUGUCAACAACAGAACUUUCAUGUUUCUACAUUCAGGUACCCACAAAAAAUUGAGUCCAUGUUAGCAUCCAAUGAUGGAAAGUAAUAAUCUAAACAAUGGAACAAGGGCUCUCCUUGCUCUUUUUUAGAAGAACACUAGUUUAUUUCCAAUCAAUUGAGGAGGAAACUAAUUCUAAACACGGAAGCCAGGUACUUGAUUUCUGUUUGAUUGGUGGAACAACUGAAACAUAUUUACAGAUUUAACAUUAGAUAAGUUUAACAAAAUCACUAAUUAACUCCCAAACCUCUCCCCCCACCCACCACAACGGAAAGAAAAAACGUUUUGGGAUCCUAGUAGCUUUAUGUUACAAGAUUCUGAUCAACAUAUGGUGCAGAGUAUUAUGUUGGUCCAGUUCCUCUACUCUGCAUUGCAACAAAGUAUAAGUGGGUUUUCUCUUUUCUUCAUCUUCAAAUGAAACAACCCUUCUCAAUAAAAGAAUACAAGAAAUUGAAAGCUAAGACCGUUUCCUUUCAUUGUACUUUGUUUCCUCUGCUCCUUCCUCUCUUGGUCAAGCCAAACAGUCCAUGGUUUGUCCAUUUCUUCUUCAUCCCACAUCAAAAAGCAGUGUGUUGGGUUAUCCCAUCUCUUUAUCCCCUUGUCAAGACACAGAAUUUAAUGCAUUGCUAUCUUUGAUUCCUCCUAGUUAAAAGGAAGCUUGAAAUAUCUCCAUUGCUUCUCUGUUUCUUUGAGCCAAAGGAUAGAAUACUGCUUUUCUCUGUUUCUUUGAGGUGCAAGAGGUUUGUACAGAACUUAGGUGAGGUAACUAUUGGUCAGGGAGGUAAGCAGAUCUGAAACAUUUUCUUGACUUCCAACGGAAUAUCCUUGCACAUAUGUUACCAUUUUCUUUUCUUCAACUCUGUUUUCUUUGUUUCUUCCUUUCUUGGUCAAGCUAAACAAUCUGGUGAUUCUUCUUUUGUUCUUCAUCCCAUCAGGAGGCAGCAUCUCAUGCAUCUUUGCCUUGGGGUCCUCCCUCUCCUUCCAGCCUACGGAAAAAUAAUACCAUUGCUAAGUUUGGACUUCUCUGUUUUUUUUUUUAUCAUUUUGAAAAGCAUCAUGGGAAGAUGUACAAAAAAUGUGUUGUGCUGAAUUAUCCCCUUCUCUACUAACCAAAACAUGUUCUUUCACAAUCAAAUAUCAACGUGUUUAAGCAGUCGGUGAGGCAUAUCUUGACAAUGAGGUGAGAGGUAGAAACAAGAAACAUACUCGUAUUCAAGAGAAGCGUUGUUUCUUCAUUUGCAUUAGACAACAUUCAUUUAGUCUCAACUUGAAAGUGGAUUGCUAGAAUCUGAGCUCUUGCAAAGACACAAAAGUACAUUUAGAAAUCUAAAAGAAGCCCAGAGACCAGUUGCUACUUGUGAAUCACUGUAAUCAGAAACAAUUCCAAAUAAUCCUGCAAAUCUAAACCUUUGAUUUGCUCCGUUCCCUUUUGCCAAGAAUAGUUCUAAAACGUUUUUCUUUAUUGAGUUGUAAUCAUUUUAUUAUUUGGAUUUAAUUGUAUUCAUUAGGUUUACAAAUCACAAAAACGGUGUCGUGCUUAUGAAUAUCUUCCUCUUUGAUCAUGUAAAAUUGGGAAACAGAUAUGGAUUACUAUUAUGAUAGCAUAGUGUAUUGAUCCACACAGUUUGUGGCAUGAUAGUUUAAGGAAAUUACAGAAGUGUAGCACUGAUGGGCAUGUCAUGUGAACAUUUUUCAAUGGAGCUACUUGUCCAAAUUUACAUGGGUGAAUUGUCACACCAAUGUCCUCUGAUGAACCUUAGGUUCUAUUUUCUAUUUCUUCCUCUCUUGGUCAAGCCAAACAAUUUGUCUUCAUGAGGACUUCAUAUUACCAAUAAGCAGCAUCUUGUGUUCUCCUUCUCUUCAUCCCCUUGUCAAGACAGCAAUUUGAUGCAUCUUUCCAUUGGAUUGCGUCCUCUCUGCUCCCUCUCCUUCCUCCUUGAGGCAAAACCAUAUCAUUGCUUAGUUUUGACUAUGUUCUUUUGAUCAUUGUGAGAGAGCAUCAUUGUAAGAUGUACAAGAAAUGUGUUGUGGUGCAUUAUCCCCUUCUCCACCACCUAAAAUAUGUUUUACAUGAUCAUAAGGACCAAGGUGUUUUAAGCAUCAGGUAAGGAAUUUGUUGACAAUGAUGUGAGAGAUAGAAACAAGCAACAUACCGAUAUUCAAAAGACAUGAUGUUCUUCUUUUGCAUUUGACAACAUUCAUUUAGUCUGAACUCCACAUUUGAGCAACUCAAAAUCUUCACCUUCAUUAGGAUUGCAGGAAGUUGGCUUCUUGGAAAGACAUGGAAAGGGAGCAUCUAGAAAUCUGAAAGAAUUCCAGAGGCUUGUUGCUACUUUUGAAUCAUUCCAAUCAAUAGUAACUCCAAAAGAUGUAUACAAAUCUAUCCCUGGAAAAGAGAUGUGUCCUGUGCAUAUGCAACCGUCUCUCUAAUAGACUCGAGAUUGUGCACCCUCAUGGUGGUUUCGUAUAGAUUGCACCAUAUGAAUUGUAGAUAUCCAACUACCAAUAUCACUACACCUGAAUGAACUAGGAGUUAUGCUGAAAGUGAAUUUGGACAACCCAUCAUCGAAAGAAUCCUGUAGGAAUACACCAAAAAGAAAAUCUUUUUAACAUAAAUGAAUUCAUCCCGUUAAAGGAUAAAGGUGCCGAAAAAAUUGAAUUGGGAGAGAUAGAAAUAUUGAUGCUUGCAUGGGACUGUGAGAGGGACCAACAAGUGGAACAAACAUUGAAUAGUAAAUGUAAAACCAUAAAGCUUGUAACUGUUGUCAAAAGUUGCUCUCUACUGAAGUUUUUUAACAAUAAAGGUAAGUGCAAAAUUCACCUAAUAGCUCCACUUGUAGAAAAUUUCAAUGGUGUGAAACUAGGAUAUGGUGAACUUGCUUCCGCUAUUGCAGUGAACCAUUAUGGAUCAAAAAUGAAUCUCACCAUCGAUUUUCACAUAGGUGGGCUAUCUUUGGCCCAUAUCUCAAUAUUGAAUUUAGGAGUUCUGUCUCUCAUAUAUGGUUCCACUUGCAAAAUACAAAUGGAGCUUAGCUGAUGACAACACAUUUAGAAAAAUGCAAGAAUUCCAAAGACAUGUUUUGUGCUAUCAUGAAUCAUUCCAAUCAAUAAGGAAUCAAAGUGCUAUAAUUUUGAAUUGUCUUAGGGAACAUACCCCAAUUCAAUCUUGCGGAAGUAAACUGUCUUGAGCACCAACUCAAUUCUGAGUUCUUUGGAAGACUUGAGACACCAAUUCAAUCAAAACUGCUAGUUGUUUUUGUGGUAGAUUGUCUUCCUCCACUGAUACUGGGGAACCCCAAAGCCCUAUAUACAAUUUUGAACUGUCAGCCUUCUUACCUUGAAUGAAAAACCUAUCCAUAGGAAAGAGGUGUCUUGGGCAUGCAACCAUCAAUUAUUAGCUAUCGAAAAGGCUUGAAGUUGUGCACCCACUUGGUAGCUUCUAAUUCAUUAAACCAUAUAACUUCUAGAUAUCCAAUUGGCACGUUACUACACCUGAAUGAAAGUGAAUAGGAAGUUAGACAACCUUUCACAAAAAGAAUCCUGUAAGAAUACACCAAACAGAACUUCUUGUUAACAUAAAUGAAUUCACUCAGUUAAAUUAUUGUGUGAAAAUUUAAAUUGGGAUAAAUAAAAAUAUCGAUGCUUACAUGGGACUGUGGGAGGACCAACAAGAGGAACAACCUUUGAAUAGCAAAUGUGAAGCCAUAAAGCUUGUAACUGCUGUCAAGACGUUGCUCCCUAGUCAAGUUUUCAACAAAAAGGUUCAAUGUAGGGAUUCUCUAGUAGUUGAACUUGUAGAAAAUUUCAACAGUAUGACUUUAUACUUGUAAUAAGAAGAUAAAAUGUAAGAAUUAUGUGUUGGGAAUAAAUGAAACUUACUAAAUAUAUGGAUAGGAUAGGGUGCACUCUCUGUGCUUCCAUUUUUGGAAUCUAAUGGAUCAAAGAUGGAUCUCUCCAUCUAUUUCCAAAUAGGAGAAGUGGGCAAUCUUGAAUUGAUGUCUCAUCAUUGGAUUUGGAACUGAUGUAUAGCUCUAAAACCAUGACAGGGUUCUCCUUCAGUUGACAAAUACAACUAGAGCUUAGGUGAGGUCUUGGUGAUAUAGAAAAGUUAGGGAUUCUGGAAUCUUUACAUGAAAAUAUACAUGAGAUACAUUGGAAGAAAGGGCAGGCCUUGGUCAUUUGAGAAGAAACACAUCUUAAAUAUACUAUCAAUCAUGAUGAGUUGUUUGAGAAUCAUGAGUCUAUGAAGGCCUCACUCAUAUAAGGGAUGUCUUUGACAUUUCUCACUCUUCAAUCUUAGGAAGGUACAUCAUCAACCAGAACAUUAUGAAUAUGAGUCAUCAUGAGGCAACUUGUUUAUGUUUUUUAUUCUUUUCUCACCAGAGGGGAUUAAAAGAUAUUUAGUUGCAAGGACAAGAGAUGUAGCUAGUACUGAGAGCAUCAAACAAUCCUUCUCUAAUGCAGACCACAAAUUUUAGCAACUCGUGAUCUCCACAAUUUAGAGCACUGAAGGAAGUUAGCCUGUUGGAAAGAUGUUCCAUGACAUUUAGAAAUAUGCAAGAAUUCCAGAGAUCAUUCCAAUCAUUAAGGAAUCCAAAGCCCUAUAAUUUGAAUAGGGCAUCCACUUGGCAUGGAUAACGCACCUAUCUUGGGAAAAAGAUUGGGCACCAAUUCAAUUAUCAACUCUCUAUGAAACUUGAGAUACAAGGUACCAAUGUUAGUUGCUUCCGUGGCAGUUCUUCUUUUACUGGUAUUGGGGCAAAGCCUUUUGAAAACCCUCAAUCUACAAAUUGCCAAGGACAUGAGAUCAUGUUGUAAUCUCAUCUCCAAUCUCCAACUGCAAACAAAUUAUUUCUUUCAAUUAACAAUCUUUAAUGCGUGCACUUCUAUCAUAUGAUAAGAAAUUUAGGAAAACAAGUAAGCUUUAUAAUAUUAGGAAUAUGCAAGGAAUUGAUAAAGGCUAUGAAUCUACUUUCAAAAAAUAAAAUAUAAAAACAAAUAUUUUUUUUCACCCAUGAAUACUGUAACCAGCUUCUAAAAAACAUUAGGUAUUGAAAUAACCCAAUGUUCCUCAGGUAUUAAAGUUGAAGUUCAAAGUUACCAAGAGUGCUUUUUUGACCCAUGCAUAAAAUAAAAAGAAAAUAAGAAAGCAUAACAUAUAACUCAUAAUUGUGUCAAGUAUGAGUUCAAUUCAUGGUCAUGCACAAUUGCAUUAAGUAUUUAAAAGCUAAAUAAGGCUAUGUGCAAUUCAAAGAAUACCAUACAACUCAUAAUAGAAUCCUCACAGCUCACCAUAGAAUGAGAACUCAAACGUCUUUCUUCCGGUCAUAAGAGUUUGUGCUCUUCGAGCCUCUGACUUGCACAACUCAAGACAGCAGGACAUGCCAAAAAGUCUCUUUCACCUCAAACAUUAUUCAAAUCUGCAGUCUAAAUCUAGAUAAGAUAAUUUUCUACAAAUAUAACAUGUUGCAAACAAAUAACAGUAUGUUGGUUUAAAAUUGAAGAGCAUUUCAAACCAAACAAAAUAGAAAAAUUUUCAGUGUACAUCACUCACCUAAAAGCUUGUAUGUUGGAUAAAAUUCUUGCUAAUGAAUCCUGACAAUUAUUUGCAAUCAAAAUUUAGUAAUGGUUUAUAACCAAAAAAAAAAUAUUACAAAAUUUUUUAGCAAUGUUCCAUGAAAAACACAUUGCAUAUUGAUUGAGAAAUUAAUAUGAAAUCCACUAAUUUGAAAGGCACUAAAUACCAUAUGUUCUCUUGAGUUCUCCAUGUAUCAAAACAGAUGCAAGUUCCUAUUCGAGCCACCACAAUCACGGAGCAAAAGACUUCUUAGCAUGGAAGGCAUACCAUAUUUUAAACAAGGUUCUUAACUUUCCAAGAGACAUAAGAACGUGGUGUGUUGUAGAAACUGUAGAAUAAAUAAAUGGAAGUUAGACAUAUGCACUUGCUACUUAGUUUUUUAAUCAUGUGUGAAAUAAAUAAAGAGGUGUUACUUGCAUUUAGGCCAAACUUGUAGUCUCCAAUGUGAAAUCCAAAUCUCAUUUUGUCAAUAGAAUAAGAGUAUUAAACAUAUAGAAAAUUGAAUCCUUCCUUUUGACAAUUUGAAAACCUUAAAGGAAUGACUUGAGAUUAUAAAUAACUAUAUGGUAAAGAAAAUUUUCAUCAUUCUUUCUAAAAGGAAAAUUUGUCAUUUCCUUGAUUACGGAAGAUUGAUAUUUUAACAUAAAGUGCACUUAUUAAGGUAAACUUUGUGCAUUAUAUAUUGAUUUAGAAAAUUGUAUUUAAACCCAGUUAGAAGGGUAUCACAAAAGAUGCUUAAUUGAAAUGAAGGCAUCCAUGCCAAUUUGUAAAUGUUGUCAAAUAACACCCUCCCUUGUCAUUUUACAUCCCAUGCUUGCAUGUCAAAUCUUUAACUAAGACUGCUCAAAGAGCACCUAAAAUAAAAUUACGAAGAUUUCAUUACAGGUAGAACUUAAGGUGCUUACAUUGACCAUGAGAGAGAUCGAUAAGAAACAAAAUACUCCCCCAUAAGUUUGUAACUAUUGUACUGAUAACUUUCUUCCUAGUCAAACUAUCAACAUAACUCCAUGGAGACUUCCACAAAUUGUUGAGCCACUGGUAAAACACAACAUCAAUAUGAGAAAUUUACAAGGUACUAUGCAGAUAAAAGAGUAAGAAAUGUGUAUUGAGAAUAAGAGUUACCUUAAUGGAUGUAAGGCUAGGAUAGGGUUGAAUUGGCUCUGCACCUAUUUUUGCAAUUUGAAUUUAUUAUGGUUCAAAAAUGAGUUUAUGAUGUAUCCUCAUUUUAGGGGAAGCAGGAAAUCUGGGGCCAAUCUCUAUCAUUCUCCUUGAAACAUCUUUGAUUUCGAAGUUUGAUAAAACUUAGAAGACAACCUUUCACUUGGCAAGGAGGACUAGAACAAGGCAUCCCUCAAUCUCUACAAGUUAAAGAAAUGAAGUUUUGAAGACCAAGGGAGGGGGCUAGGAUUCUAGAUUUGACAAUAUUUUCAUUGAAAAAUCAAUGAGAGUUGUAGCAAGAAAUCCUGUCAAAAGGAAAUUGCAUUUAACAAUGUACAAUAUAAAAUGAAUGAACUGAGUUUUUAGAGAGGUGAAUCUUUGGAGGCUCCACAAAGAUAAGGGGUUUUAAUACCCUUGCAAGUGUAUUCGUGAAAUUGUUUCCUCAAAGGAAACCUGAACUUGGACAUUGUGCAACACAAAGCUGUCAAAGAGAUGUGAGACUCUAAAUCUGAUGAGGUAGGACUUGAGAUCCACAUUUUCUUAAGUGAGGAAUUCUGAGGUUGUAGACACACUAGUAGUUUCCAGAUUUAGAUACUUCUCUUCAAAUAUUUGUAUAAUGUACAUCUUCUUUGACAUUGCUGCUCCAACAAGAUGUCAAAUAGGAGGUGCAACCUAUUUGGGCAUAGUACACGUACAACAAAAAAUUUCAUUAAAACAAAAACUUUUACUAAAACAAAAAUAUGAAGUUAAUGUAUAAGAAGAUAAGAUUUAUAUAUAGUGAAUGAGCAUGAUUGAUUUUAGCACAAAGGGAAUGAUGCCAAAAUAUUUUAAGAAUAUCAUCACCACAAGUACUUGCAUCAUUAAAAAUUCCACAAGGAUUUGAUGGUUAGGCAAUAAAAUAAUUCUAGUAAAUGAGUUAAAAGCAGCUGAGCUAAGAAAGAUUAAAUCCAAAUAAGCAUCAAUCAUUAAAGAAUUAACCAACUACGAAAGACUUCAAAUGACGUUUUCUCUAUAAUUUCUGUUCCUAAUUGGCCUCAUUUGCUUGAACCAAAAUAUUAUUAAUUUGCUUUAAAGGAAGUGGGUGACUCAUAUCUCUGAAAGGAUGUGAGAGAUGGAAAUCCCUCGAUCUGUAGUGAUUCAAGAGGAUAAUUCCUAUGGCUAUUGUUGUCAUCAUACAUCAUUCAGCUAGCUAUAGACCACAAAAUUGAACAAUCAUGAAUACGUAGAUGCUUAAAUAUGGUGUGUACUUUAUCUAGUGGAAAAGCUUAUGAGACUUGGUCAUCUCGAGAUUUCUAGGAAUUAAGAUAGAUACAAGUUGUUGCUUCCUGUUAUAAUUUAUCUGGAUCGCAAUCAUCAAGCACUAACUCCAUUCACUGCAUGUUUUGAGCCUUCAACAUAAAACCAAAAUUCCAUUCUAUCGGACAAAAAAUAAAAUAUAAAAAAAUCACUAAUAACUCAACCAUUUUAUGUUGCUCAUAUUAUAAAAUGUAGGAUUUAACUGACUUCCAUCAUUGAAAAUGAAUUAAUAUAACUUUACAAUACUAGUAUAUUCAACUUUUGACAUGGCUGAAACUGAUCUUGGAAUAAAAAAUUACAUACACAAGUAGAUAUUUAAUAGAAGAGGAUCCAAAAUCUCUUCCAUUGAUUAAUGUAUAAAUGAAUUAAUCAAAAAAAUUUGAGAUAAUUAUGGGGAGAUGAACCUUGUACCUCUGAGUUUCUUAUUCUUCUUGAACAGAGCAAUGAGCAUAAAGUGUUGAGCACCCAGGAAUCUCCCUUCCUCCACAGGCAAAGUCUAAACAAUCUAUCCUUUCUUCAUAGUCCACUUCCUUGCAAAAGUCAAAACAUGAAGAAAAUAUCAUCAAAAUUGAGAUAGAAAUAAGUGCAUCAACUAUCUCAAGAAGAGAUUUAUGCUUACUGCUUACCUUUUGAAGAAGUUCACUUGGUUAGAGCACAUUUUACAUGGACGCCCAAUCACUGCAAGCUGCUGAACCAAAGGAGAGUUCAAACAUCUAAAAAAUUUGACAAACUCAAGUAUCAUAAAAUACUUCAUAUGAAUUCUAAAUGAUCUCAUAUCUAAAAAACAUUGGCAUAAAAUUAUUGUUGUUUACCUUACAUGUUUCUUCCAUGGUCAUAAUCGAAACUUUGUUUGUCAUAAAAAAUCUUCUAUGCUCAUCUUGAUUACUUACAAUGAACACUGAAAUGAAAAGAAAAAAAACCACAAAAAAUGAUGAUUAGUUUGGUUUGAUAAAUUUAGCACACAUAAUUUCCUUUUUCUUGCAUGAGAAGGAAAGAGUAAUAUAUAUAUAUAUAUAUAUAUAUAUAUCAAUUUAAUAAUUUUUAAAAAUUAGCAAUUAUAAAACUAUUUUGGUUCUCCAAAAAUUUAUGGGAAAGUAGGGAAAAAACUAUAAACUUUUUCUCUUGUUUGAUUAUUUAUCAGAAAAUUGAGGGAAAAACAAAAAUCUAUGAGAAAUUUAUUUAACACUUUUGAGGAACCAAAAAUGUUUUAGAUGUUGUCAAAUCAAUAAUUUAAACGUGUUUAAUUCCAAUUAAAUGAGUUUAAUCAAACACAUGAAAUUGUGAAUAAAAUUAUUUAAAAGCAUUGAAAUUCAAGUCAUUAAAGUUGUCCAUAAAAUGUGGUAUAUUGAAGCAAGAAAAAAACAAAGCAAUUUGAAUGACUUGCUAAUAAAGCAGCUAACUAGAAUAUGCCCUAGAGUUGUUCAGUGCCCUCUAUAUAAGAAAUAAACAGAGAACACAAAAAAAAAAGAAAAGAAAAACCUAGAAACUACAAUAAGUGAAGUGAUAAUGUCAUCUAAUUAGUAAACCAAACCAAGUCAAUAAACUACAACUUCCUCUAGUAUAAAGGUCUUGAUACAUUAGAUAUUGAAUUUGUUGGACCUGGCAAGGUAGAAGUAGUAAUGCUCAUUUUUUAUUGUGACAGAUUAUAGAGAAGAUUAGACACUGGGAAAAUACCAAGCCAGGAGCCAUGUCAAGAGCUGCUUUCUUGUUAAAAAUUAAGUCCAAUUAGAAAAUUACAGUAGCGCGUAAGAGAAAUUGAAAGUGGUGUUGAGAAGAGAAAGAGGAAGAAUGAUGUGUUGGGAAUGAGAUGUAAUACCUUGUUUAUUACUCAGAUGGAUUAGUCAAAGUAUCUGCACACGGGGAAUGUGGGCAAUCUUGGGCCAAUCAUCUCCUUCCUCCUUCGAGUACCUUUGUGUUAGAUGUGGGCAAAGCCACACAUACAGUCGUGAAAGGGUGUCAGGCAAUAGUCCUUCCCUUGGCAAAAUUGACCGGAGCUUAGGGCAACUUUGGAUUUCUAGCUGUUCAAGAGAGGUGAGGGUUUGGAGAGACAGGGAGGCUAGGGAUUCCAGAUUCUGGAAUUGUGAAAGGGUAAGGGAGGUGAGAGUUGUAGGAAAAAGAAUCGAGUGGGGGUCAUCCGAAAAGGAAGUUGCAUCUGGAAACAUGCCACCAAUCCAGAGGAGUUUAAGAGAGGUGAGUCUGGAAAGGCCCCAUUGGGAUAGGGGGGUCUUGAUAUUCUCACAAUUACGAAUGAAAAGCGAUGUAAGACGAGUGAGCUUUUUUAUCUGAGGAAGCAACAAUUCCAGAUUUUCAAAAUCUACAAUACGUAGAUCUGUGAGGGUGUUGAGGCAAUCUGGUAGGGUUUUGAGAUUAGGAUACCUCCCGAGGAUUAAAGAUUGAAGUGAAUUAUUAGUAGAGUGAAACAUCUCCUCUGAAAUUGACUCGAGGUGUUCACAAUCCCCAAUGUGAAGUCGCUCAAGGGUGGAUGGAAACUUGCCUCUUGGGAAGGAUGUGAGAGAUGGACAUUUAAAGAUUACCAAGGCUUGGAGAGCAGCAGCAUAUGUGGAAUCGUAGUGCAUUAUUCCCUCUGGUAGAGACUCUAGCCUUCCACAACUCCAUAUUCUGAGUUCCUUGAGAGUGGCGGGUAGCCCACCUUUCGGUAAUCCAAUAAGAGACGGACACCCCCCUAUAGAUAAGUAUUCAAGGGCACACAUGCCCAUCAUUCCUUCUGGAAGAGACUUGAGAUUUUCACAACACGAUAUGCUUAGACUCUUAAGGGUGGUGGGUAAUUGCCCUUUUGGAAAGCAAAUGAGAGAUGGACACCUGUAUAUCACUAGCUCUUCAAGGAGACACAAGUUGUUGCUGUCAGUACUGUCGUUCCUCAUCUUCAACAUCAUGCCAAUUAUCAAGAAUAAGAUUUCUCAGCAUUGGCGGGAAACCUACAUCGGGAAAUGACGCUAGCUUUGGACAAUUCCUGAUUGUCAAUUCUUCAAGGCAUGUUAGACUCUGCCAUCCAUUUGGAAGCCUCUCUAGUUUAUCACAUCUAUCUAUUUGCAAAGACUGAAGAUUGCAUCCCAAGGAUACAAGUUGAUCACAAUCUCUAAUCUCAAGAGAAUGAGAGUUUUCCGAUCCAAAACCAUCCUCCCACAAAUAUUCGAGUUCUUCGCAUUCCCAUACUUUCAAAACCCGAAGCCCUUGCAAAAAUUGCACAAAUCCUUCAUGCAAUUUGAUAAGCCCUGAAAUCCCAGAAAUUGUUAACUUGGUGAGUGAGGUGAGGUCAUUUCCACUGCUCAAGACCGCCUCAUUACAUUCUCCUACAUAUAAUUCCUUCAGCAGUGGAAGUCUUGAAAGUGGAGACUCCAAUUUUGGACAAAAGUGAACAGAGAGCUCUGUAAGAGAAGGUAGGUAAGUGGGUAGUUUCAUAAUCAAUUUGGGGCAAUACUGAAUUGUAAGCUCAUGGAGACAAGGGAAUAAUGACUCUGUUGAGGAAGACCAAUCCUCCCAGUGCUCCCAUUCUGACAUGCUAUUAAAAUGUCUACUCUAGUGAUGGGAAAAACUUACCUGCAGAAACACGAGUCUCUCCAUAAAACUCUGCACCCACUUUUUUUACUCCAUCCAUUCCUUGGAUCCUCAACUGUUUGAGCGAUGGCAACUGCCCCAAGCAUGGUAAAGACGUGCACUCUCUACAAUCUAUGAGACUUAGAUCCACCAUCUUAGAGAACAAGGCAUCCCCUAUCCAACGUGGGAAUUUUGGACCACCAUACAACUGAAUGCAGAGUUUGUUCAGAUUCAAACAAGGUUGUAGAGAGUCAAGGACAUCCAUUUGAUUCCUUUCAUUCCCUGAACCAUCCAGCUCAGAACUCCACUGCAUUAUCAAGCUUUCAAGGUUACGCUUCAAUUUUAAAGCGGCAUCCCUUGCAUCUUGAAUAUUCACCACAUUUUCCAAUUUCGAAAUGCAAAGUUCUCUUCGCAGAUGUGACAUGUCCUUCAACUCCUUGAUUGUCAAACCGUUGUUUUUGUCCACAAUGAAAUUAGACAAUAUCCGCAAAUCUUUUAGUUUGCCAAUUUGUAUAGGCAUUUCUUGUAAUUUUAUUGCACCAGCAACAUCAAGAUGUCGAAGAUUGAUUAGGUUACCGAUGCUAAUAGGCAACCUGAUAAGCUCUUUACAGCAUGAUAAUUUCAAUGUCUGAAGGUAAAAAAGAUUACCAAUUGAAUCCGGUAACCAUUUUAUACUGGUGUAGGACAAAUUAAGGUAUCUCAAAUGUUUCAACUUACCAAAUGAAUCCGGUAUCUCACUUAUCAUGUAAUGAGCCAAUGAGAUCACCCUUAAGUGCCCUAACCUUGGUAUCAAUUCUUCAAGCACCUUAUUACUUAUGAAGGAAGGAAGUCCGCUAGUUGGUACAUCAAUCGGCAAAGCUAUGAAUGUGCGCAAGCGCUCUUUCUUAUGAAACCUUUCAAAAUUUUUAAAGAUAUCACAAAAAUGACGGAUGAAUGAUGAAUGACGGGUAUUUUCAGAAAUGGGGCAUUGCAAAUCAUUCCACAACUCAUCAUCCAAAUGCAAGCAUGUGUCUCCAGCAAUAGAAUUAGCUAGAUCGUUAAUAAGAUCAUGCAUAACGAAUCGUGAUUUAUUGCUGCUCGACGAUUGGAAAAAUGACCUUGACAACAGUUCACAAAAAUAAUCAUCACCAAGAUCUUCCAUUUUCUCAUCCUCAUUUGAUUGUUGAAUUAACCCCUCCGCCAUCCACAAGAGGAUUACCUCUUCCUUCUUAAACUCAUAAUCUUGGGGAAAUAAUGUGCAAUAAGCGAAACACCUUUUUAAAUGUGAAGGGAGAUGAUUGUAGCUCAAUCUCAACGCAGGAAGAAUACCACACUUAUCACUAGGUAAAUUCCAUAUUUUGCUAGCUAGUAUAAUAUUCCACUUAUCUUCUCUGUGUUCAUGGCGCAGAAGACCACCAAGUGCUUUUGCUGCCAAGGGCAGGCCUCCACACUUCUUUACAAUUUCCCUUCCUAUCAAUGCCAAGUCCGGAUGCUCCUUGGUAUUUCUGUUUUCAAAAGCAUGUUUUUUAAACAACUCCCAUCAAUCAUUGUCAGACAAAUGUUUUAGCUCAUAAAAGUUUUUAUCUCCUCCCAUCAUAGUUGCAACAUUUUUUAUUACAAGUGGUGACGAUGAUCUUGCUUCCCAGGUGCUCCCUCCUAUAGAGGGAGCGUAAGCUGUCCCAUUGAUCAUAUUUCNNNNNNNNNNNNNNNNNNNNNNNNNNNNNNNNNNNNNNNNNNNNNNNNNNNNNNNNNNNNNNNNNNNNNNNNNNNNNNNNNNNNNNNNNNNNNNNNNNNNNNNNNNNNNNNNNNNNNNNNNNNNNNNNNNNNNNNNNNNNNNNNNNNNNNNNNNNNNNNNNNNNNNNNNNNNNNNNNNGAUGAAAGUCCGGCGAAUCAUUGUUGCCUGGAGCAAUGUCCCGUAAAACUGCCCUGGUUAUGGUCUCCACAUGAAAUUGAUCAGACACACAAACCCAAGCUUUUAAAGCAAAAUGUUUGGAUGUCUCCUCAUCAUCGUACACUAGACCUGCCAGCGUAGUUUUUCCCAUCCCACCCAUGGCCACGAUCGAGACUACAGACAGAUUGCCACCGAGGGAUUCAUCAUUAAGCAUGGCUAGUAUCUUGGUUUUAUCUUCAUCCCUGCCGUAUACCCCAGGUUUGAAUACCAAAGGUGGUGGAGGGGUUGGGCUUUGAGUAGCUGCUCUGGUGCCUCCGAUCUGCACUUUGAGCUUUUCCAAACCGAGCUCAGCCUUCUGAGCUGAAAUUUCUUCUAAUCGGCGAGUGAUGUCCUCUAUCUUGGACCCCAGCUUAACAUUCCGCAUAGCCUGAAUUGGAGUGAAAGUAGUACAACAAGUAGGGAUGAAUUUGCGUACCUUGCUUGUGCUGGCCGCAUCACCCUCUGCCACCAACUUUCUUCUCAUCACUUGGUAGCCAAACUCGUCCAAGACGUCCUCCACAUCAUAAGCCAAAUCCCUGAGAUGUGCGAGCCAUGCUUUCACGUGCUGCUUAGUCAUCUGCUUGUCCUCAGCAUCGUCGAGCACUUCCCGAAUCUCCAACAGUCUUGUCUUCCAUUUCUUGAGCUCGGUGUGGACUUGCUUUUGGCGUGCGUACUUCCACAAAUCAGAGGAGGCCAGUUUGCUGAACAAGAGUUCAAGGGACACAGAAAGAACAACCUCUCCAACAACUUCCAUGGUGAUCAGUUUGCAGAGGGAGUGACUAGUGAGAGAGAGAGAAAGGGGAAGAGGAAGAUGAAAAUGGAAGCCUGAGAGCAGGCUUAGUAAGCCAUGUGCACCACACAAAAUAAACAAAUCAAAAUGUCCACUAUAUUAUUUUGCAGACAGCUGUCACAUAUUUUAAUAGAUUUUAGUCUAAGAGAAGGCAAUUUAUUAAAUUUUCAUUAUAUUUUUUUAAAAAAAAAUCAUUAGAAAUUUUCAAUAAUUUUAAUUAUUUUAUAACAGAAACCUCUAAAAUUAUUUUAAAGAAUUUAAUAAUUUUAUUAUAAAUUUUGACAUUUUUGAAAUAGAAAAGUUAUACGUCUUUAAAUUUAAAUUCGGUUGUCUUAUAACUUAAUUUCAUUUAUUUAUGUCUUAGUCUCAUUUCCUUUUUAAUAUAUAAUUUUGUUAUAAAAAUGAAAAUUUUAUUGAAAAAACAAAAGUUGUGAAGGAAGAAAAAAAGAAUGGUCUUUUAAGAAAUAUUUUUAAAAUUUUUAAGGGUGAAAACUUUAAAUAUCAUUAAUAUUUCUAGUAGUAUAAAACCAUGACACAAAUAAAUGGCAUUUAAGUAUAUAUAAAUACAUAUAAAUUAAAUUUAGAUUAAUAUUAUGUGGUGGUUUUUAGUGGACCACCAAUUAUUUUCAUAUUCCAUAGAAAAAUUACUUUCAACACCAUAGAAUCACCCUAAUUUGAUAUACUAUCUUAAAUUUUAAAAUUUUAAAAAAUAAUUUUUAAGGGCAUGAACUAAAUCUAAGAAUUUCUAUGUUUUUUUUAUGAAAGUUUUUGCCAAUUUUUGUUUUUAAAAACAAAAAAUAAGAAGUACUUAAAGUGUUUUUUUAAUGAUUUUAAAAAAUAUUUUUAGUCUUUUUAAUAUUUAAAAAAUAAAAAUUUUAUAUAUAAAAAAAAUUAAAAACACUUCUUCAAAUCAUUAUAAAGCACACUCUUAAUAUGUAAUGAUAUUAAUUUCUUCUCAUUUAAAUGGAAUGAAGAGAGAUUUAAAUGAAUAAAACAAAUACAAGGAUAAAAAAUUUACUUUUUGUGCUUUAUUAUUACAUCCUUUCGUUAGAUGCUUUAAAUAGUUUUUAAUAAAUAAAAUUAUAAUUACAUUGAUGGAGGGCUAAUUAGCUUUGCUUUAGGUGAGAAAGAUAGAGGUAAGAUUGAGGUGGGCGGACCAAAUAAAAAGUAGGAUAUGAAUUAACAAAAGCUUCUGCACUCUUCCCAAAAAGUAAAAGCAAAGCCUAUUAACAUGAAGUGAUGAAACUAGUCCUAUUCAAGGCCCUAUUUGCAUAUUUGAUAUUUCUAUGAAUUUUUAUUUAUUUAUUUUAUUAAACUAGUCUAAUGCGACGACUUUUAAGUUAAAAUUAAUUUUCAAAAAAAUAUAAUUUAAAAAAUUAUUUCAAAUCUACAUAAUUAUUAUAUCUUUUACAAAAAUGAAAUCAUAAAGUUUUGAUUUUAGACUAAAAAUCCAAAUCCAACCCACUUAUCUAUGUACUUUAUUGGCAUGGAAGGAGAAAAGUUAAAAAAGUAAUAUCAAAGAUAAAAGAAAAUUUGAUCAUAUGAUAAAUAGUGAUCUUCCAAAGUUGGAGUCAAUGUGUAGUGGGUCUAAAAGAAAAAGAAAAGAAGUGGAAGUUAAAGUGGAAUGUUGAGGUUUGAAGCAAUUACCUUGGAUGCGAGAUGACAGGCACCUUAAACUGUGUAGCAAUUAUGAGAGAGAGGGAGCGAGAGGCAUUGCUGUGGGAUGGGAUGCACCAACUUUAAACUGUAGCAAUUAUUCAAUUUUGAGAGAGUGAGAGACGUUUAAGUACAAAAUAUUCCGUUUAGAAAGAAACGGUGAAGAAUAAUACCCCUCUUAAAAUAUUUAUUAAAUUAGUCUCUUUUAUCUAUCUAAUCAUCCCAUUCAUAAUAAAAAAAAUACUAUCAAAUCAUCCACAUUUAUUUGGGUGAUUUUAAAAGUUUCAAAAUUCCCUAUUUGAUUUUCGAGAAAAUCCAUGCAAAACCCUCAAGAAAAACAAAAAAAAAUUUGCUUUUUUUUUAUUCCCUAUGUUUUCUGGAUCUAUUCUAGAGGUCUCCAUCUCGUAUUCAAUUUUUGAGAAAAUUCAUCCUCGUUUGAUUUCCGAGAAAAUCUAUGCAAAACCUUAAGAAAAACCAAAAAAAUUACUUUUUUUGCUCAUUGUGUUUUUGGGAUGAGGAAGACCAAAAGGGCAAUUUUAGAAAUAUAAAUAAAUCUCAUAUUUUAAUUAUAUGAGUUUUUAAAACUAUAUAUUUAGCCUAUUAACACAACUUUUCCAAAAAUUAUUGUUGUGGGAUGACAUUCAACACUUUAAAGUGUAGCAGUUUACAGUGUAGCAAUUAUUCGAUUUUGACAGUGAGGGAGAGAGAGAGAAUUAUUGCUGUGACAUGGCAUGCAACAACUUUAAAGUGUAGCAAUUUUGACCAAUUAUGUUAAUGGGGUUAUAUCCUCAUCCAAAGUUCUCAACCCAUCUUAGUUACUUCAACAAAUUUUUAUUCUGGCCCAAACCUGUACUAGAGUAGAACAGGGUCGUAAUUUUUUUUGAAGUUAUAGUCAUCCUAUCUUAUUUAAUAUUUUCUGUUAUUUUUAUUAUUUUAAAAUUUUAUUUUUAUUAAAAUAAAUGUAAUUUAUGAGUAAAUAAAUUAUUUUUCAUAAAUUUUACAUCCUAUCUUGAUAAAAAGUAAAUUUGUAGCUUCAAUUUAAAUACAUUUAAAGAAAAGAAAUGGAAAAAGAAAUUAAAUUAUUUUUACUUAAUUUUAUUUAAAUAAUUUUUAUUAAAUAAAAUUAUAAUUAUAUUGGUGGAGGGCUAAUUAGCUGUGUUUUUAAGUGAGAAAGACACUGAUGAGGUUGAGGUGGGUCUAAAAAAAUGAAAUAAAAGAAUGAAAAAAAGAAAAAGAAAAAGAAGAUAGAGAUAAGAUUGAGUUGGGUCCUAAUUUAAAAAAGAAAAAAAAAAGGAAUGAAGAGUAGGAGGCAAAGUGACAAAAGCUUUUGCUUUCUUCGAAAAAAGUAAAAGGCUAGUGACAUCAUGUGAUCAGACUUCUAUGAUUUGUUUAUUAAACUAGUCUUAUACAAGGACUAAGUUAAAAAUAUUUAUUUUUAAAAUAUUAUUUAAGAAAUUAUUUUCUAAUCUACAUAAUUGCUACAUCUUUUCGACUCGAUUUUAGUUCAAUUUCAUUAAAAUGAAAUCAUUUAUUUGAGCCCAAAAAUCCAAAUCCAAAUCCAAAUCCAAAUCCAACUCAUUUAUCUAUAUACUUUAUUGGCAUAGAAUGAGAAAAGUUAUAAAGUUAAAGAAAAUUUGAUCAUAUGACAGAGAUUUUCCAAAGUUGGAGCCAAUUCAAUGCCUAGUGGGUAUAACAAAAAAAAAAAAAAAAAAAAAGGAGAGAGAGAAAGAUGUGGAAAUUAAAGUAACCAAAUUUUUGAGGUUUAAGGGAUGUCAGUGCACCUUCCAAAUAACUGCUUAAGAAUGUGAGAUGUCAUAGCAUUGAAAAUUGAUAUUAAAUCUCAUUGAGUAACUAUAAGAAUUGCUUUACUUAAAGACAAGUAAUAAAUAUAUCUUGCUUUUUCAUAAGGUUUAUGACCCUAAGUGAAUAAAAUUUUUAGAGUGGGAUGAAUGCAUUUCACAUGAGUCAUGUCAUAGAUAUAUUUUUAGAAUUUUAAGGUGGGUACAGUUCGAUAUCAUUCGUAAACAUAAUUCAAACCCAAUAUAUUUUUUAGGGAUUUGAAUUGAAUAGAUUCGCAUUUAAUUUAAAUUCAUGUGAAUAUAUAUAAUUCAUUUAAUAAAUAAAUUAUUUUUAAAUUAACUUAGAUAACCCACAUUUGACUUGGAUUAACUUAUUUAAUAAUGGUAUUGAUUAACCUAAUAAUAACUUUAAUUUAUUGAACUCAUAUUUAACUCAUUUAAGAUUUGUUUUUCAAUAAGUUUGGUCAUCAUAUAAUAUUAGAACAUUAAGCAUUUUAUUUCAUUCAACAUUUAACUUGAUUUGAUUAUUAAACAAUAUCUUAUUAUUAUUUCAAACAAUCAAGACACAGACUUUGAUGCAUCUCUGCCUUGGAUUCUUCCUGGUCAAAAGGAACAGUUGAAGUAUCUCCAUUGCUUCUCUGUUUCUUUGAGUCAAAAGACACAGUCUGCCUUUCUCUAUUUCUUCUAAUCAUUUUCAAAAUGCAUCAUUAUGAGAUCUACUGACCCUAUUUUUUUUUUCUUAAUAAUAGAAAACAGAAAAUAAUUUUUUAUUUUCUUGAUAUUUUGGAGAACGAAAAACUAUUAUGGAAAAUAAUUGUUAAACAAGCAUUAGAUGUUAGAUAAAAUUUAAAAAACACUUCUAAAAAUCUAAAAAAAUUACUUAUACUAUUUUUUUAGAAAAUCACUUAUAGUGUUUUCUAAAAAAUUACUUGAUAGAUAAUUUUCUUAAAAACAUUUCAAGUAAGAAUACUAUUAAACACAUUAUUAAUAUCAUUUAACCCUUGGAGUUAAAAAAUGAUUUAUCAAAUUCAACCUCAAUCGGUUUAAACUCUCCCAAACCCAUUCCCAUUUGUAAUAUCUGGUUUUGAAAAAAUAAAAAUAAAAAUAAAAACAUAAUAGAAAGAGUAGGAGGAAUGUCAAAUAUAAAAAGAGGGUUAAAAAUGUUUUGUAAUGGUUGGAAGUGUUUUUCCUACAAAUAAUGAUGCAUUUUGAAAAUUUUUAAAAAUGAAGAGAAUCACUUUGAACUUACAUUCGAUACACACUUUAUCUAAAACCAUUUUUUAAGACACUUAUUUUGAUUUGUAUCUAAAUGCUAACCUACAUUUAUAAAAAUGUCAAAAUAAUUUUUUUUUUAAAUCUUUUAAUUUAUUGUACUUUAUGAAUACAUUUUAUUUUUUGUUUGAUGCUUUAAAUAGUUUUUAUUAAAUAAAAUUAUAAUUAUAUUGGUGGAGGGCUAAUUAACUUUGCUUUUAAGUGAGAAAGAUAGAGACAAGGUUGAGGUGGGUCUAAAAAAAUGAAAUAAAAGAAUGAAAAAAAAAAAGAAGAAAAAACGAAGAAGAUAGAGAUAAGAUUGAGGUGGGUCCUUAAUUAAAAGAAAAAAAGAAAAAGAAAUGAAGACUAGGAGACAAAGUAACAAAAGCUUUUGCUUUUUUCCAAAAAGUAAAAACAAAGGCUAAUGGCAUCAUGUGAUCAAACUCUAUACAAGACCCUACUUGAAUAUUUUUAUGAUUUGUUUAUUAAACAAGUCUUAUACAAGGACUAAGUUAAAAAUAAUUUUAAAAAAAAUAUUAUUUAAGAAAUUAUUUUCUAAUCUACAUAAUUGCUACAUCUUUUUGACUUGAUUUUAGUUCAAUUUCAUUAAAAUGAAAUCAUUUAUUUGAGCCCAAAAAUCCAAAUCCAAAUCCAACUCAUUUAUCUAUAUACUUUAUUGGUAUGGAAUGGGAAAAGUUAUAAAGUGAAAGAAAAUUUGAUCAUAUGAUAGAGAUUUUCCAAAGUUGGAGCCAAUUCAAUGCCUAGUGGGUAAAAGAAAAGAAAAAAAAAGAAGAAAAAAGGAAGAUAUGAAAAUUAAAGUCGAACAAACAAAUUUUUGAGAUUUAAGGCGAUGUCACUGGACCUUCCAAAUAACUGUCUAAGAAUGUGAGAUGUCAUUGAUGAAAAUUGAUAUUAAAUCUCAUCAAGUAACUAUAAGAAUUGCUUUACUUAAAGACAAGUAAUAAAUAUAUCUUGCUUUCUCAUAAAGUUUAUGGCUCUAAGUGAAUAAAAGUUUUAGAGUGGGAUGAAUGUAUUUCACGUGAUUCAUGUCCUAGAUAUAUUUUUAGAAUUUUCUAGCAAGAUAUCAAAGGAAACUUUAUGGUGAGUGUUUUCUUUCUAGUUAAGGUGGGUACAUGUCAUUCGUAAAUAUAAUUCAAAACCAAUAUAUUUUUUAGGGAUUUGAAUUGAAUAGAAUCUUAUUUAAUUUAAAUUCAUGUGAAUAUAUAUAAUCCAUUUAAUAAAUAAAUAAUUUUUAAAUUAACUCAGAUAACCCACAUUUGACUCGAAUUAACUUAUUUAAUAAUGGUAUUGAUUAACCUAAUAAUAACUUUAAUUUAUUGAACUCAUGUUUAACACAUUUAAGAUUUGUUUUUCAAUAAGUAUGCCAUAAUUGGGUCAUCAUAUAAUAUUAGAACAUUAAGCAUAUUAUUUCAUUCAACAUUUAACUUGAUUUGAUUAUUAAACAAUAUCUUAUUAUUAAAUUGGUUAAACAGGUUAUGAUGUAUCACCUUGUUAAUAAUUAUAUAGUGUUUGAGUUUAUGUUUUUAAUUUUGAUUAUUAUUCAUAUCAUGUUUGGGUUGAGUUGUUUCGUGGAGUAUCUAACCUUUGAUACAACACAAACACAAUCCAUCAACAUAUUAAUAAAAAAUUACAAGAUAUUAGGAGAGUAAUUUUGGUAAAAGUUAAUAUUUAAUGAUUUAAGAUGAUUUUAAAUUAAAUUAUAUUGAAAUGGUUAAGUCAUAUCAAAUCAUUAACUUAAUUUAUCAAAAUCAUUUUUGAUUUUAUAUUAUAGUAUUAAGUUAUUUUAUCGAUCAUACUUAAUAUACUUAAGAACUUAAAUUUAAUCUUAUCAACAUUCUCUAGGGUCUUCUCAUCUCAAUUUUUAAUAUUUAUUUGAUACGUAUUUAAAAAUAAACAAGUCAAAAUGUAUUAUCUCAAAAUUUCUAAUUCAAACUCCUACAAGAUUUUAAAAUUCAUUAAUUAAUUUGAAAGAAAUUUGUUUUGGAACAUGCAAGUGAUGGACAUAUCACAUAUCUUAAAUUUCUAACUAAAAAACCUCAUAACAAAAUAAUUUGAUGAAUGUUUUUAAGUUUAAAAAACUUAGAACCAUUUCACAAUGAUUUUGGGAAGUUAGAAAUGUUUCCAAAUGCUUGAAAAUGUUUUUAUAACGAAAAUUAAACAUUUGAUAAAAAUUAAAGUUCACAUUCUAAGUAAUUGAUAGUGCUUCUUAUAAUUGUUUUUUUUUUUCAUUAUAUAUAUAUAUAUAUAUAUUCGUCUGUAAUAAUAAUAUAGUCCCACUGGUUCUACAGUUGGUGGACUUAUUAUGGUCCAACUAUUAAGAUAUAAGUUAACAGAUGUUCAUAUCCGUAACCAUGACAUCUGUAUUAAGCAAACCUUUAUCCUUGUUAAGAACCUUAAGGAAAAAGCCCUCUUAGGAAUACCCUUCUUAAGCUCUAUUUAUCCCUUGUGGGUAGAUAACCAAGGUAUAAGAACUAAGCUUUUUGAUAAGGAAAUUCUUUUUGAAUUUGCUAAUCCUGUUGAAAGCAUCACUCGUUGUGAUCAAGAGAUUAAUCUUGUUAGAAUUAAUGAUCCACCUAAGAUUUUAGGUACCCAAUUCAUUCAUAAUCUCAUUAUAAAUGAUAUUUUAAGCAUUCCUUUAUGCAUUUCAAAAUUUCAAACUGAUAUUUUGAAUCAAGGAAUUUUAAAAAUUAUUUUCACAUCUGAGAAAACUAUUAAGUAUAUAGCUUUCAAGUAUAAUUUAACUGAUUGGAUUAUUUUAAAACCUAAUUUUCAAAUUAAGCUUAUUAAAGGAGAAAGUUUCAUUCCUAAUCACUCAAUUCAUGGAACUUGCAGGAUUCACAAGAACAUGGCCCCCAAGAAAGACAAACAACCUCUUAGGUCCAUUAAUUCUAAGGAUUCCCAUUCAACUCUCUCUGAGAAACUCACGCCAUUUUAUGACCAUUUUGAAAUAGCAGAUUCUUCCAGCCACUUCAAUCAUCACAUUACUUCACCAUCCACUAGUAUGGAUAUAGACUCAAGCUCGAAAUCUCUACCUUUUGUGGAAGAUUCCUUACCCACAAAUCCAUCUUUUAACAAUGCUAACACUUUGUCUGAUUAUAUCAAUUGCAUUUUUGAAUGGCAGGGAAGGUAUGAGACUCUUGAAAGGAAACUUGAAUUAGUUGACUUUCAUAAGCUCAUGUUAAAAGCUCAAGCCUCAUUUUCCCCACUGAAAAAUGGUGAGAAUAAGCAUUCUACCCCACUGGUGAAUGAUAAAUUGAGUGAGGAAGAGUUGGGUUACCGUAUGCUAAGGAUGUAUCAUCAUAAGACAGAGAAUCUAUACUCUCUUAGGCCAGAUCUACGUCUCCUAAUUUGGGAAAAGGCUAAGUCCUCAGCAGAAGAAAAACAAACUUUCAUCUCUUCAUACCUCCAGGAUCUUCAUCUCUAUCUUUCUACCAAUAUUGGUCUUAAGGUCCCAGGUUUAAGCUUGGUUACUGAUAAGGAAGUUGAUGAUUCAAAAAUUUGCAGAAUGAUUGAAGAACCUUUCCAGUACCAAAAAGGCAUCAAGAAGUUGGUUUGCAACUGCAACAGAAAUUUCACAAUCAGUCGUGUUUGCUUAGACUUGCAAUACUAUUCACCAAUCAGCAUCAAAUUCAAGGGUGAAGAUUUAUUAUUAACUCCAGAAAAGCUUCUGGACCAUGGUCUGGUCCAUCAAAUCAUCUGUUCUGAUUCCAACCAAGUUUCCCAGUUUGGAAGAAAAAUUGCUCUUGGCCUAACCCUGGGAUUUAAAAUGAAUAAGAAAUUCGCAAACGCCAUCAUCAUCAGCAAAGCUCCUGAGUGGGUUUCUAAUGGCAAGCUUAUUCCAGCUCAACACAUUGUUUCUCUUCACUAUCAGAAUAGGAGACCUACUCAGCUGUCUUACCCUCUGCUAUUUUCUGAUAUUUGUGGUGAACCUAUUAUUAAGCAAAUCAAACACUGGAGGGCCAGAAUUAUUUGCAAGGAUUUUGAGGCUUUUCCAAGAAAUAUGGGACAUCUCAUUGCUGCAGAUUCUUGCCAUCAAAUUUUCUGUGGCAAGAAGUUAAACCAUCUUCCAACUAUUUCCAUCACUGAAGAUAUCAAGCUUCUUGAAGAUCAUAAGGAUUUCUCAUGAUGGCCAGUCAACAAGAAUAUUUCAAGCUUUGCAGUUUCUGAAUCAAAAGCAGCAAGCAUGUGUCUACACAGUUUAAAGCAACCUGCCAGAAGUCUUCUCAGCCGAAAAAGGGUGUUUCGGGAAAUUUCGGUAUAAAAGUGAAUCUUACUAUUCACUAUUCACUACGCACUAUUCAAGCACGGGUCUACUGUUCAUGGCUACUAUUCAAGAUUCCUUUUUUGCCUAUUUAAGGAGGUAAGGGCCUCAUUUGUAAGGACACUUCAAUUUUUAGUUCUGUUUCUCUCUCAAGCUUAUGCUCUCCCUUCUCUCUUCUUUCUCUCUCAUUAUGUAAGCCUUUCAAGCUUUCAAGCUUUCUCCAAGCUUUCUUCAAGCUUUCCUACCUUUGUCCAUUGUAAGAUAUUUCUCGUUAUGUAUAAUAUAAGUAUGUUUUGAUUACCUCCUAUAUGGAUGGUUUUUAAUUAAGUUUUAUUUUCAUUUUGUUUUUUAUUUUAUUUUAUGUUCUUGUACCGCCUACAUGGACGGUUUUAAUUAAGCUUUGUUUUAAGUUUAUGUUUUUUAUUUUAUACCGCCUACAUGGUCGGUUUUAAGCUUAUGAUGAACUAACAAGUUUUUUGGUUCCUUCUCUUUAAAUUUCUUUGUUGGAUAUCUUUUGUAUUUUCUAACCCUCUUCUUUGUUUUGAAUCAUGGCAUAAUUCAUUUGUUCAUUUGCAUAUGACCUUGUCUUGGGUGUCUAUGGUAUCAGAGCCAUGUGGGAGGGAAGUUGGGUCUUGUUUUGGGUGUUCUUGGCCUAUCCUAGGAUAGGUAGCAGUGUGCCUGGGAGCGCGAGCCCUGCCGGUUGAGCCGUUGUUAGCCGUGGAUAGGCGUUUGUUAGGCUAUAAGAGGGUUGGGGUGACGUCUCAUAAGGUUUGUCAAUCUACUAUUAGGCUCUAGAUCAAAAACCCUAAAAUGAGUUCAAUUUUCCGAACCAUGUCUAGGAGAUCCAGUGAUUCUCAAGAUACUGUUGUAAACAGUGAAGAGAUCAAUUAUCCUAAGAUUCAAAAUGAUUUAGAUGAUUGGAAGUUACCCAAGGUGUCUAAUCAAGAAAUUUAUAAGAAAGGAACCUUUAAGUUCUUCACAGAUUAUACCAUUAAGACCUCUAAAAUGUCAGUCAGCUUAGAACAAGACGACCAAGUCAUAAGACUUCUAGAUAACAGAUCCAUUGAUAAGCAUAAGAAAGAUGGCUAUAAUUUCAUACACUUUGGUAUGAUUCAAGUAGCAGCUAAGCCUUUGACAAGAUUAGGUUUAAACACCUCUAUUGUCAUGUGUUUAAGGGAUAAUAGGCAUCUCGAAUAUCGAGAUUCUAUUAUAGGCGCAGUCCAAGCUGGACUGAAUGAUGGCCCAGUAUAUUUCCAGUGCUAUCCUAACUUUACAGUUAGAAUAAGAGAUGCAGACAUCUUAGAUUCAGUUGUCCUGCAUAUUAAGACUCAUGGCUUUAAGAUCAAACCAGGAAACAGUCCUGUUUCCAUCAUAACCAGGUUUGCCUAUAAGAGUAUGAACACAAGCGUUGGAUCUGGGGCUCUUUGCACCAGUCCUAAAGGUGAGACCACCUAUUUUCACUCUGAUAUGCUAGAUAAGUCAGAUUUCAUCAUCCCCAAGAAGAUCUUGUGGAAAGAUGUUGAUUUCCCUGAAAAUUGGCAUUUUGCUAAUGCUGUUCCAGCCAUAGCACAGCGUUCUGAAAGUAUUAAACAAAUAGUUCAAUAUCCAGAUGGAGGAGGAGAACUGGUCUUCUCCAAAUCUUUCAGACAUUCCAGUAGCCCUAGAGUGUCUGUUUAUGAACCCUCUAGAGCUUCAAGCUCUUCCAUCCCAGUUAGAACCACUAGGGAAGAAGAAGGAUCCAGCUCAGGAAAUCCUAAGAAUAUUAAGCUAACAGGUGUUAGAAGUCACACCAACGUGGCUAGACCAUUUUACAGUGAAGAAAAUGAGUCUACUCAGGAAUCCCAACAGGAUGAGUCCCCUGUUAUGUCUCCUACCUAUUCCCAGAUGAUUAACACAAUAAGCCUAAGUGAUGAGGACUUUGAGAUCAACAAGGAUCUCUUAAGAAAGGACUUCUAUUCUGAAGUCAAUAAGCAAAGAAAUGAUUGGUUCUUUAGCAUUGUCCCUAAGGUCAUUAGAACCAUUUACCAAGAAGAAUUCUAUGCCUACUUAAGACAAGAAAAGAAAAAUAUUAAGUUUUGGAUCUGGUUUGAACUCUUCAAACAAGAGGAAUAUCCAGAUUAUCCCUUUAAGCGUAUAAAGGUUACCAGUAGUAAUAAUGAAAAUAAGCCAUAUGAAUUCUCUAAGGAUUUCCAAGAAAAUCCCUAAGUCAACCAAGCUUUUGUCGAUAGGAUUAAUCAGAGGAUUAAGGAUAAUCUUGUUACUCCUUUGACUGUUCAGCCUGAUAAGAGAAUCAACAUGGUUAAAGGUGAUAUUAGUUCAGAAGAAGAAGCUGAUGAACUAAUUAAGAUGUUUAAGGAACCCCAUGAUCAAAUUAUUAACAAUUUAGAAACCUUUAAGACUAGGAAUUACAAUUCUAGACCGACUUUCCCUGACAUGCAGUUUGAGGAAAGAAAUCAGUACACUCAAGCCUCAUACACCAGUGGUACUAUCUAUGAAUGGAACAUAGACGGUAUGACCGAGUAUAACAUACUCACUAAGCUUCAAGAAAUGACCAUGGUUAGUACAACCUAUAAAUUAAACAAUAGACUGCCAGAUCAUGCUGUAGCUCAGACCAUUGUUGCUGGGUUUACAGGUCAACUUAAGGGUUGGUGGGAUAAUUAUCUCACUUUUGAUGAUAGGAAUAGUAUCCUUAAGGCCUAUAGGAUUAAUGAAAGUAAUGAAGUUGUUAAGGACGAAGAUGGCCAAGAUAUUGAGGAUGCAGUGGCUACUCUAAUCUACUCAAUAUCCAAGCACUUCAUUGGAGAUCCUGCAAAAAUUAAGGAUAAAACUGCAGAUCUCUUAACCAACCUUAAGUGUCCCAAGCUUCAUGAUUUUAGGUGGUAUAGGGAAGUCUUUAUAACCAAAGUCAUGUUAAGAUCAGAUUGUAACCAGUCUUUUUGGAAAGAAAAAUUCAUCUCAGGUUUACCCAAGCUUUUCUCCGAGAGAAUUAGGAUCAAGAUAAGGGAACAGUAUAAUGGUCAAAUCCCUUAUGAUAAGCUAACCUAUGGUGAGAUUAUAAGCAUUGUCACAGCUGAAGGGAUUAAGUUGUGCAAUGACUUCAAGCUUAAGCAACAAAUGAAGAAUGAACAAAAGAUCUACAAGAAUGAAUUUGGAUCAUUCUAUAGCUAGUUUGGUUUCAACCAAAAGGAAACUAAGCCUCCCUCUAAGCAAAAACCAAGCAGGAAACCUAGCAAAGAUAAGUUUUACCACAGUAAAAGAGGUACCUAUGACAACUAUAGGAUGAAUGAUACUAAGCAGUCAAGGCACGUCCAAAGAAGGGUCAAUAAAGAUACCCAGAAAAAGGUAGAAACUCCUUUAGACAUCAAGCCAAUUAUCUGUUUUAAAUGUGGCAAAGUUGGCCAUUAUAAGAAAGAUUGUAAAGUUAAGCAAAAGAUUAAUAACUUAAGUGUCUCAGAUGACUUAAAAAAUAUGCUUUGUAAGGUAAUGUUAAACUCAAAUUCUGAAUCAAGGACUGAUUCAGAUAAUGAAGAUGAUAUUAAUCAACUAGAUAGCAGUGGCAAUGUUUCUAGCCAAUCUUCUAGUGACCAAGAUGUUUGUAUUAAGGGUAAUUGUAAUUGUCGUCCUAAAACCAUAAAUGUCAUAAGCCAAGAUCAGGAAUUCAUCCUAGAUACUUUAAGAAAAGUUGAAGAUGAAAAGACUAAGCAAAAUCUUUAUGAAGUAUUUAAGAAAUCUGUUGUUAAGGUAGAAGCCAAAAAGACUGUUAAUCCUUACAACCUUAAUGAUAUCUUAAACAGGUUUGACCAGCAGUCUCCCAAGGAAGUCAGCAUUAAGGAACUUCAUGAAGAAGUUAAGCAACAUAAGAAGGAGAUUAAAGAGUUAAGACAAUUCAUAAGUUUAGGUCUCUCUGAUCUCCAAGAUCAAAUCAAUAGAAUUGGCAACCAAGAAAUCCAUAUGGAUAUUCCAGAAUCUUCUCAUGUUAAUGAUAAUGAGACAGAUACUUUUUUGAAUACUGUGAGUAGGGUUAUCUUCCAGAGGUGGGAAGUCUCCCUUACUAUAGUAGUCAAAGAUAAAUUUGUCUUUGAUAUUAUUGCUUUGAUUGAUUCAGGAGCAGCUGAAAAUUGCCUACAAGAAAGUCUUGUACCUAUUCCUUUAUGCGAAGAGACUAGUGAGUCUCUAUUUGGUGCCAAUGGCGAAAGACUUGUCAUUAAGUAUAAGUUAACAGACGUUCAUAUUCGUAACCAUGACAUCUGUAUUAAGCAAACCUUUAUCCUUGUUAAAAACCUUAAGGAAAAAACCCUUGUUGGAAUACCCUUCUUAAGCUCUAUUUAUCCCUUGUGGGUAGAUAACCAAGGUAUACGAACAAAGCUUUCUGAUAAGGAAAUUCUUUUUGAAUUUGCUAAUCCAACUGUAAGCAUCACUCCUUUUAACCAAGAAAUUAACCUUGUUGGGUUAGAUGUCCCAAGUAAGCUAAUAAGCAACCAGUUCAUGCAUAAUGAUAUUUUAAGCAUUUCUUUAUGCAUUUCAAAAUUUCAAAUUGGGAUUUUGAAUCAAGAAUUUUUAUUAAAAUUUAUUUUCAAAGAUUUUGAAAAAAUUAAAUAUAUAACUUUUAAGUAUGAUUUAAUUAACUGGUAUAUUAUUUUAAAAUCUAAGUUUCAAAGUUACUUUAUUAAAGGAGAUUAUUUCAACCCUAAUCAGCUAUCUCGUGAAUUUUGCAGGGUUCAUGAAAUCAUGGCCCCUAAAAAGAAUACCCAAGCUUCUGGCUCUCAAAAACCCCAAUCCAGUCAAGCUAACCAAUCUCGUUCUACCCAUAAAAUGCUUUGGAGUCAACAAGUUGAAGAAGAAGAAGCACAACUUUUGGCAAAGCUUCAUUCUUCUAAACCUAUGCAUGAAUCCAGCCAUAUGCCUAACAAAAUAUUGACCUUAUACUAUGAUCCUUCUGAUCAUUCUAAACCAGUUAAGGCAACACAAUAUCCAGCUACCUCAGGGUCUCAGACCUUUAAGCAGGUUACUAUGGCUAAUCCCUCUCAAAAGGAAUUAGCAACAAGCUCUUCUUUUUCAAGCAAACAAAUUGUGGUGGCUGCCAACCCCACACCUCUUUCAACAAAAUCAAGAUAUUGGCAAAAUGAUUUAAAUCAAUCUCUUUUAGUUAUUGAAAGAGAAUUUUUCUCUGAAAACCCCAGAGAGAUUGCUGCAAAAGCAUUUCAAGAAAAUUUUCAUUAUCCCUCUAGUGAUAUUUUAAAAACAAGAGAGUUUUAUGAAGCAGUCCUUAUAGAAACUGGUUCUGUUAAGAUUAAGCAUAACGCUGAUAAAUUCAGCAAUAUGGGCUUGGCAUUCUCUACCUGCCAUAUCUAUAAGAUCCUUACAGUCAAGCAAUGGGGUGGAAAUCCUAAUCUUUCAAGGGAAUUUUCUGAACCAUCUAAGCCAAGGUUUUUUAAUUAUUGGGAUUAUCAGAGAGCAUGGUUUAAUGCUUUUCUGAUCCAGAAUAGGGACUUCCAUCAUUCAUGGAUGUUCUAUUUUCCAUCUAAGAACCAGCUUUCCUCUUUCCCAUUUUGGUUCUACAGUUGGUGGACUUAUUAUGGUCCAACUAUUAAGAUUCUUCCUAAGCCCAUUCUGGAUGGCUUUGAGCUAUUCAGAAGUUCUUUUAAUAUUCCCAGAGAACUUUCAGCUUUUCCCCCUUUACUAUUCUUUUUCAGCAAUUUUGGCCUGGCUUGGAUAGUCCAGUGGGACUAUAUUAUUAUUACAGACGAAUCAGCAGCCUUUCCAUCUCUGGGAAGGACUUUUAAAACUAAAUGGUGGGAUGCAUUGAAAAAUGAUGCAUCUACUAAUGCAGUCAAGCAGUAUUUCCUCAAGAACCCCUCACAAGUCUCUGCUAGUGAUGAUAUGUCUCAGUUUCUCCUCAAAAAGCAACAGUUACAAGCCAUGCUCGCAGCAGCCAAGACCCCUCAAGAGUUUCAGAAAAUCCUUGAUGAAGGAAGCUCAAGCUUCUCCCAAGAAAAUUCUUAUGCAGAAUCUGACGAUUCAACAAGCUACCUUCCAGACAAUGGUGAUGACUGUGAAGGAAUCCUUCCUCUAAUAAGAAGAUCUAAGUAAUCAUCAAGCCUUUUGUCUUCCAUCAAGAGUAUUUUUCAGGCUUUGCAGCUUCUGUUCCAAAAGCAGCAAGCAUGUGUCUUCAUAGUAUAAAGCAGCUUGCCAGAUGUCUUCUCAGCCGAAAAAGGGUGUUUCGGGGAAUUCCGAUAUAAAAGUGAAUCUUACUAUUCACUAUUCACUAUUCACUACGCACUAUUCAAGCACGGGUCUACUGUUCAUGGCUACUAUUCAAGAUUCCUUUUUUGCCUAUUUAAGGAGGCAAGGGCCUCAUUUGUAAGGACACUUCAAUUUUUAGUUCUGUUUCUCUCUCAAGCUUAUGCUCUCCCUUCUCUCUUCUUUCUCUCUCAUCAUGUAAGCCUUUCAAGCUUUCAAGCUUUCUUCAAGCUUUCCUACCUUUGUCCAUUGUAAGAUAUUUCUCCUUAUGUAUAAUAUAAGUAUGUUUUGAUUACCUCCUAUAUGGAUGGUUUUUAAUUAAGUUUUAUUUUCAUUUUGUUUUUUAUUUUAUUUUAUGUUCUUGUACCGCCUACAUGGACGGUUUUAAUUAAGCUUUGUUUUAAGUUUAUGUUUUUAUUUUAUACCGCCUACAUGGUCGGUUUUAAGCUUAUGAUGAACUAACAAGUUUUUUGGUUCCUUCUCUUUAAAUUUCUUUGUUGGAUAUCUUUUGUAUUUUCUAACCCUCUUCUUUGUUUUGAAUCAUGGCAUAAUUCAUUUGUUCAUUUGCAUAUGACCUUGUCCUGGGUGUCUAUGGUAUCUAUAUAUAUAUAUAUAUAUAUAUAUAUAUAUAUAUAUAUAUAUGUAUAUAUGUAUAUAUGUAUAUAUGUAUGUAUAUUAGCAUAAAAAAGGUUUCACCAAUUAAAUGGUGUCACAUAUACAUUUUUAUAUAACAUGAAUUGAAAAGGUUUCAUCAAUUAGGUAGUGUCACACAUAUAUAUUUCAGUCUCAUAGUUUAUACCAUUGUACCUCGGCCACAUUUGUUACCUUUGUUUAAUGAUCUAGAUCUCACUACAUAUAUUUAAUGGUUCAGAUCUAGACUUCGAUAGGUACCACUACAAAACCCUAUAUACAUCAUACUAACUACUUUUUUAUCAAAACACUUACAAUAGAAAUGCUACAAAUUAGAAGUGUUUUUAUCAAAAUAAUUUCCAAACCAACCAUAAUAUUUGCAUUAGCUUUAACAUAUAAUAUCUUUUACUUUAGUUGUUGAUAUAGCUACAUAUAAGACCAACCAUUCAUAUGAUAAUUAUUAUGGAUCUUAUUUUAAUUUGAUAAAAAUAUCUACCCAAGCAUUACACAGGGAUGACAAUGGGGUGAAAUAUGGACAAGUCAUUCCUAUCCCAACCUCACCCCAUUUAUUCAAAAUAAUUCUCAUUCUCGUCUCAUUGAAGAAAUUAAAUGGAAUGGGAUAGGUAUGAGAAUUUCCUGUACCCACCCCGCUUAACUCUUUUAAUUUCUUUUUUAAAAUUUUUAAUUUUUUUUUAAAAUUUUUUUUAAAUUUGUUUAAAUGCAUUAAAAUAAAUAUAUCUUAUAAAUAAUUUAAAAUUUAAAUUUUUUUAUAACUUAUUUAUUAUUAUUAUUAUUAUUAUUAUUAUUAUUAUCAUUAUUAAAAAUAGGAAAAUAACAAUUUAUAUCUAAUUGAGGUAGGACAAGGUAAUACCUAAACCUACCCCAAACCCGUCUCGAGUUUUAAAAAAAUUCUCAAAAAUGUUUUUAACUCGUUUAUUUAAAUUUCAAAUCCAUCUCAUUAGGGAUGGGGUGAAAACCCGUCUCAUUGUCAUCCCUAUAUGCAUGUCAUAAAUAUAUAAUAAGACAAAUAAUAAUAAAUUAGUAUCUAUUUAGAUAAACUUCUUGUUUUUUGUUUUUAAAAUAAAAAAAUAAUAACUUUUAUAUAAGAUAUAAGGAUACUUAUAUACUUAUAUUUAAAAAAAAAUAAUAGCUUUAAAAAUCAUUUAAAAAAUUUAAGGUAUUAAAAAUUUUUUACUAAACCAAAUUUUAAAAAAAUUUUAAAGUGAUUUUUAAAGAUAUGACAUAAAUUUAUAUUUUUUUUUGUAUAACAUGUUCUACUUUCAUAUAGAAAUUCUAAUUUUAAAAACAAAAAAUAACAGAUGUAUUAAAUGGACACUUUAGCUUCUUAUUUUUUUAGUGGUUCACCUUGCCCCUUAGAUAAGAAGAUUAUGAAAAUUUUCAAUAAUUAUGAAAAAGAUAAAAGUACUAAAAGUGGAAAGACUUUUGACAAAAUUAUGUGUGAGAUGGUGUGCAUCAACUUUAAUUUGGACAAUUAUGUUAAUGGGAAGAUGUUAUCCUCAUCUCAAUCACUAACUUUAAAUUGUAGUCCUUACUGUAUUUUGGAUAAUUAUAUUAACGGGUCAUGUCAUCCUUGUCUCAACUCAUAUUGAUUAUUUAAGUUAUAAGUUAUAGUCACCAUAUCUUAUUUAAACUUUUAUACUAUUUUUUUAUUAUUUUUAAAUAUAAAUCUUAUUAAAAUAAAUAUAAUUUAAGAGUAAAUAAAUUAAUUUUUAUGAAUUUUAUAUUAGCAUUGAUAAAAAUUAUAUUUUCAAUUUUAUUUUAAACAUGUUCAAAAGGGGGAAAACAAAAAAAGAAACUAAAUUAUUUUUAUUGAAUUUUAUAAAUAAAAAUGAUUUAAUUUUAAAUUUUAUGUAAUUUUAUAAAAAAAUUCUCAAAUAUAUCCCUAAUUUGUUUAAAUUUGUCCUAAAUCCUUCUAUAGUUGUCAUCUCUAAUUUUGACCAUAUAAAAAUUAAACCAAAAUGUAAGAAGGUUGAGGAAUAUCAAAUAUAAAGAGAGGUUGAAAAAAUUUAUAAUGCUUAGAGGUAUUUUUCUUACAAAUAGAACUUGUUUGGUCAUGUGAUUUAAAAACAGUUUUUUUUUUUUUAAAAAUAAAAAAUAAAAAACUGUUUUUAAAAAUUUCUAACAAUGUUUGACCAUUGUUAUUUGGAAGCAAUUUUUUAAAAAUAAGGUGAAAUAAAGAACAAUUUUUAGAGAACAAAUAUAAAUUGUUUUCAUUGAUUUUUAAAAACAAAAGGAAAAUAUGAGCCCAUUUGACCAUAUUUUCUUAAACUUGUUUUUAAAAACUUUUUUUAAAAAAGCACUUUUUAGAUUAAAAACAUUUUUUAGAAUCACUACCAAAAUGAUUUUAAGUAUUAUCUCACUUCACCUCAUUUAUAUAUAAAAUUAAGUAAAAAUAAUUUAAUUUCUGUUUCCAUUUCCCCUUUUUAAUCAUAUUUAAAAUAAAGUUACAAAUUUACUUUUUAUCAAGAUAGAAUAUAAAAUUUAUGAAAAAUAAUUUAUUUACUCAUAAAUUACAUUUAUUUUAAUAAAAAUUAAUUUUAAAAAAAACAAAACAAAAGGAAAAAUUGUGCCCAUUUGAUCAUAUUUUCUAAAAACUUUUUUUGAGUUAAAAAAUAAAAAACAAUUUCUAAAAACAAGUUUCAAAAAACAUGACCAAAUGAACGACUAUAUAUAUUUGUAUCACUUUGAAAUAGCACUUAAUAGACACUUACUUGAAUAUCAAUUUUUUUUUUCUUUUCUAUCAUGUAUCUUAUCAUCAAAAACGUUUUCAAACCACUUUUUUGGGUCGUAUCUAGGCACCAAUUAAUUCUUCACAAAAGCGCUUUUUUUCUACUUAAAAGAGUUAUUGAUGUAAAUGAUAUAGGCUAAAAAAAAGCAUAUAAAGCAUUUAUAAGAAUCAAUCCCAAUGGGUUUUAUAAGUUGUGUCAUUUAUGAAGAUUUUCUUGACUUUUUAUAUUAUAAUCUUUCAUAAUUAUGUAAUUCAUAAUCAUAAAUACCAAGAUGUAUACACAUGCAGGUAACACGUCCUCUUGACAAUGAUGUGAGAGGUGUAAUAGACAAGGAACAUACAUACCUGUAUUCCAAGGAAGUACCAGUGCAUUUGAUGACAUUGUUCUAGCCUAAAUUCCAAAUUUUAGCAAUCCAAAAUCUGUAACUUCUGCAAAAGUUACCUAGUUGUUGAGGGAACAACACAUCUUCUCUUCCCAUUUUCAUCUUAUGCACUACAUAUCCCAUGUCAACUACCACUUCCACUACACCUGAAUGAAGUAGGAAUACAAACGAACAUUUCAAGGCAUCAGAUUGUCUGAAAAUUAAAUUGGGAGAGGUAGAACUACCGAUGCUUACAUGGAACUGAGGAAAAGAAAAACAAAAGCAACAAAAAUGGAAGAGAAAAUGCAAAUCCAUAAGCCUGUAGCUGCUGUCCAAAGCAGCUUCUUUGUCAAUUGUCAACAAAAAGUCCACUACGAAAUUCACUGGUAGAGCCACAUAUAGAAUAUUGCAAUAUAGAUAGUAUAUUGAAUGUAGGGUUCUAAACAGUCUCUGACUAAACACCAUUGGAGUAUAGAUAGUAGCUCUUAGAGGGAAGUGAGGUCUUGGUGACCCUGGAAGGUUAAGGCUUCCAGAUACUGGAAUCUUUGUGUGGAGAUAUGUAUGAGAGAUGUAGGAAGGAAGAGGCAAGCUUGUGUCAUCUGAGCAGAGGCAUCCGGAAUCUUUGCGUGCCAUUAUUCAAUCCAAAGAGAUGUUGGGAGAGAUUUGUUCAGGAUUUAUGUGAGGUACAGGCUUUUUCACAAUCAUAAAUAUGAAGGUAUUUAAGUAUGGCAUUUUGGAAUAAGGUGAUCUACCAGUAACAUGGAAGAUAAGGUGAUCACAAAGGACUACACAGUUAUCAUGUUUGGAAUAGUUGUGGUUAGUUAAUUUCAAGCCCAAGUUUUAGCACCUAAAAACAUGCCCAUUUUUUCCAACCCUUUAGCGAGAUUGCACGGAAGCAUUCUCUGGUUGUUAUAUACAUGGUGUCCGCAUAUCAAUCAACACAUUUAGAUGUUUUUUUCUUAAAUUCCAUAUUAAAGUUAUACUGGACACUUGAAUGUGAACAUGUCUGAUUAUAUCUUUUCUUUCCAGACAUGUUUCAUCUCUCCAGUGCACUGGGUUAGGAUGAACCUUAAAGCUCAGCUACAGAAUGAAACUGGAAUAUUAGUCAUGUUUUCUGUUCAUAGAUUUUGAUAAAAAUGUUGAGUAAGAUCAAGAAAGUUGCUAAAUGGGAAGAUGAUUUUCUUACUGUCAGUUCGCAUUGAAAAAAUGGUAAUCAGAAAAGAUAUUUUGGAUAGGAUUCAGAAAGAAAAUAUGUCGAUUCAAAAGUUAAAGAUAUAGUACCCAAGGGGCUAUGAUCCUGUGUAUGGAUGUUUCAUGUUUUAAGAUUGUGCACGAAGUGCUGAUGUUAUAAGGGAUCAAGGGUGGUUUGUGGAGGAGUCCCCUCUUCAGAGUAUUGCAAGUAUGUAGAUAAUCCUGCAAUUCUGGAGUAGGCUUCUUCUAAUUUGCUCUGCACCCAAUCGUCCAGAAUAGUGGAAAGCUUCAUUUAGUUGUAAUAAUUUUAUUAUUUAGAUUGAAUCAUAUUCAUUGGGUUUGCAGAUCAGGAGAAAGUGUCAUGGCUUUGAAUGUUUGUCUCUUUGAUAAUAUCACAGUGCAUUGGUCCACAGAGUUAGCUGUAUGACAGUUGAAUGAAAUGACUGAAAUGUAGCAGUCAAGGGUAUAUAUCAUAUGAAAAUUUUUAAAUAGAGCAACCUGUUUGGUGAUUCUUCAUUUCUUCUUCAUUCCAUCAAGAGAACAGCAUCUCAUGCAUCUUUGUAUUGGGUUCCUCGCUCUUCUUCCACCCUAAGGAAAAACGGUAUCUUGCUUAGUUUGGACUUCUCGAUUUCUUUUGAUCAUUGUGAGAAACAUCAUGAGAAGAGGUACAAUAAAUGUGUUGUGCUGAAUUAUCCAAAACAUUAUUUUCACAAUCAUAAAUACCAAGGUGUUUAAGCAGCAGGUAAGGCAUCUCUUGACAAUGAGGUGAGAGGUAGAAACAAGCAACAUACCUGUAUUCAAGAGAAGUUCUGUUCUUUUGAAAUUUGACAACAUUCAUUUAGUCUGAACUCAAUAUCUGGGCAACUCAGUAUCUCCACCUUCAUUAGGAUUGCAGGAAGCUGGCUUCUUGGAAAGACAUGAAAUGGGGGCAUUUCAAAAUCUGAAAGAAUUUCAGAGACCUGUUGCAACUUUUGAAUUGCUCAAAUCAGUAACAACUCCAGAGACAUACAUAUCUGCCCCUGGGAAAUAGAGGUGUCCUAGGCAUGCAACCAUGGAAGAUUAGCUCCCUAAUAGGCUCAAGGUUGUGGUCAUAAAAAAUGCACUGAGUGGGUGACUUGCAAUCAGUUCUGUGAGUCCCUCUUGGUAGCUUCUCAUUUAUUGCACCAUAUGAAUUACAUAUUCCAACUGCCAAUUUCACCACCCCUAAAUGAAUUAAGAGACAGGCUGAAAGCAAAGUUAGACAACUCAUCAUAGAGUUAAUCCUGCAGGAAUACACCAAAAAGGAAAUCUUAUUAAUAUAAACGAAUUCAUCCAAUUAAAGGAUAAGGUUGUCUGAAAAAUUAAAUUGAGAGAGAUGGAUAAAGUGAUGCUUACAUGGGACUGUGGGAAGGAUCAACAAGAGAAACAAACAUUGAAUAGCAAAUGCAAAGCCAUAGAGCUUGCAACUGCUGUCAAAAGCUGCUCCCUAGUGAAGUCUUUUAACAAUAAAUUUCAGUGCAAAAUUCGCCUAAUUGCUCCACUUGUAGGACAUUUCAAUAGUAUGAAAACAGGAUAUGGUGAACUCUCCCUGCUUCUGCCAUCAGUGAACUAAUAUGGAUCAAAGGUGUACUCAUUGUUGUUGAUUUAAAGGUAGCACCCAAAGGAAGCCCAAGAUACUUGGAAGGUAACAACCCCACUUCACACCCCAAAAUAUCCACCAACUCCUCCAUUAUUGGAACCCUUCCAACUAAGAUUCGCUCACUUUUUUCAAGGUUGAUCUUAAGCCCAGAAAUUGCUUCAAACCACAUCAAGACCCAAUGAAGAUGCAAUAGUUGGUCCUUAGAAGCCUCACAAAAAAUCAAUGUGUCAUCCGCAAACAAAAGAUGAGACACCUCCACUCCCUUGCCACCUCUACUUCCCACCUUAAAUCCUGAAAUAAACACCCUCCCCUAAACAAACAAAAACUCUAUGUUCUUAUCUUCAAGAGUGGAAAGUUAUAGCAUUUUAACUUACAACCAUUGCUUCAAGGUGACUGAAGAUGCAUUCCAUAAAAUGUUAGACAAGUUGCUUAUCAUUUUCCUGACCCCGAAUGCUAUAGGUAGAAGAAAUAGGUAAAUGUGCUUACUAGUAGUGGAUGCAUUCCACAAAAUGCUAGAGAAGUGGUUGUUUCCUUCUCUCUAUCUCUUUCCUUACCUCCUUCCUCACCUCCCUCACCUUCCUAAAUUCCCUUUUCCCUUAUUUUCUCAAACAACUCAAUUGCUCCACAUGAUUUUUUCAUUUUUUAUUUAAAUAGGAAUGCUUCACAAGAUUCAUAUAUUACCUCCUUGCUAAUUUUAGUUAGUUAGGCACUGCCCCUUAAAAACUCAAAUAAUUCUACAUGAUUAUACCUUUGAUGUAGUUAUGAAUACAAGGAUCAUCCAUAACUCCUUCAAUUGCAUGACAUAUUUGUUGUAUUACUGAUUAUAAACUGGCACUAUCAUAACAUGAUCAGCAAAAAAAUAAAAAUAAAAAUAAAAGUUUCUUCUAGAAUUUGAUGGAUGAACCUUAUGGCUAUGUUUGGUUCCUAGAAAAUUUGAGGCAAAAUGCAAGGGAAAGAAAAUAAAAAGGAAAAGUAGAAAGAAAGAAAAAUUGAAGGAAAAUUUAAAAUAAAUUUAAAGUCAAUAAAUUAUUUUUAUAUGUUGCUUCAAACUUAUUUCACUUACUUUAACUAUUGAAUAUAAAAUUAAAUAAUUUGAAAAUUUAUAAGUUUCUAAUUAGUUUUAAUUAUAUUUGACUUUCUUUGGUAUUUUCUAUAGAACAAUCAAACAUGAGAAAAUCAUUUUCCUUAUUAUUAUUAUUUUUUUAGUACUUUUCAAUCUAUUGAGUUUGUCUAUGAUGAUUGGCAUGGGUUAUUUUUUUUAGGCUCAUUCACCAACCAAUUGGUUUGUGGUGUACUGCUAUACUUCUUUUCCAAUUUUAUUUUAUUUUAUUUUUUUGGUUCAUUUUAUGUUUAAAGAGGUUUUAUUUGAUUUGAUUUUAUUUGAUUUUUUUUUAUUUAUCAUAAUUCAUGUGUAACCGCAAUUUCUUUGUCACCAUCACCAUGUGACUCCAUUUAGUGGUUGGGAGAGUUAGAUCUUGGAACAGUUAUGGAAUAACUCCAUCAAUGUUGUGCAUCUUUCUUUGAAAUGUAGGAAAGUGGCUUUUUUAUCUUUUUAUUUUUUGAAUAUCUCCUUCUCAUAAAUAGGUAUGGUAUGCCCAACAACAUUUUAUUUUAUCAAAAUUCUUUGAUAACAUAGCUUAUCAAUAUGAUGAAAGGAUCAUAAUGUGUCUCAUCAACCUGAUUUCAUAUUGCACAAUGGAGCCUAGAUUUUGAAGUUCACUCAGUUAGGAAGGGAAAUCUUGUGUUGAUGUAAUGGUAGAUAUUGUUUUUGUAGUUGGGAUUCUUCAAGGGUUUGGGAGGUGGGAGGAGUUCUAGAGGGAGAGCACUGUGCAGAGAGACCAACUUAGCUGGCUAAUGGAUUAUUCGGCUUCAGAGAAAUGCUUGGAUACUUGAGAACAUGAGAAAAUCUUUCAUUGACUUGUGUGCUAAUAUCUAUUAUCUCACAACUCUUUGAAUACCUGUCACUGUAGAGUUCUUUAGGUUCCCUUUAAUGUAUAUACAUCCUUUUUUGGAUCGAGGAUCAAUAUGCCUCUCCCGUCGGAGAGUGCUUUUGCGCUGGAGGACGCACUGCCUGUGCUAUUUCUAGACUCCUGACUCUGGCCAGUCCACUCUGCACUUUUUUCAGUUUCCAGACACAAUAUGUUAUACAAUUAACAUACCAGCUUCUAUGUGAUCUAAUUCAGCUCCACCUCAAUCAUUGGAAAUAGCAGCAUGCCAACAAUUAUAGUGUGGGCACCAGUUUUUAGUUAUUCACCUGCCUUGCUUUUCUGGUGAAGUCAGGCAGCAUCUUUUCAUUUCAGAAUGCAGCAUGUUGUUGUUUGUGACUUUUUGGCCAUCAGAGCAAUUGUGGAUGGCCCUUCAAUAGAAAAAACUUUGUAGGUGUGUGUUUGUGCCAAAUCAAGGCUCAAGUUAUGAAUGAAAAUAUGAAAAUGAAAAGAGAAACAAAGCAGAAAUUCAUUUUACUAUGUCUCUGUUCUUUCCAUGAGGGAUUAGGCUUAUACCUCUUUGGAAGACUCAGAAUCUCCUUUCGGUAUCUCAAUGGCUCCUUUCUCCUAUAACAUGUUCAAGAAUGCUGCUUUAUUGUGGACCUUCUAUGCCUUUAUUGAAAAAGAAAAAGUGAUAAGAUAUUUCAACCAGUUGAAAAUAGAGGACCCUGAGGCCUGAGAUAGACUGAUGCUAGAUACAAAAUACAUAUGUAUGGAUAUUCAAACUUAUCUAGAAGAAAUAGAAGCAAAUGAUACAUUAUAAGUUAGUGUCAAAAGGUGAACUAAGUCUUCCACUAGAUAGUCUACUUAGAUGUCAAAAAUGUAGUGGGCUCUUUAGCCUCAAGGUAGCCUAAAGCUCAAGUUUGGUUGAUGUUACCUAGCAAACUCAAGACAGAUGGAAAUUUCCAGCCUUUUACAGGUCCAUAGAUGUGUGAUUAUUAGGGCUUUUUAAUGUCAUUUGUGAUGGGGUUUGCUAUUGAUGUGAUGCAGAGGUCCUGAAACUAUUAGAAGGGAUGUAAAUCUGGUGAAAGAGUUGGGUGUUUAUGAUCUUAUGGGGAAGGAGAAUUGAGCAAUGGUUCUCUCUUGCAUGUCACUGGGUCAAAAAGGGUCAGUGAGAUAAAACCACCAAUCCUUUUAGAGACAUUGGCUGAUCAUUUCUUGAAAGUCUAGAUCGAGAAAUCAAGAAGAUGAGAGGUUGAUUAAGAGAGAAGUCAUGUCCUAUGCCAACUUUGUUUGAGUGAGCCAUAUCAUAUACUUCUACCUGGGGUUAAUCUUUAAGGCUGGAGGGUUCAUUGUCUCUUCAUUUUUUUCCCUUUAUUUUUUUCCCCUUAUUGAAUCAUGUUCUUGUACAUCUACUUGUUUAAAGGAUUUCUCAUCCUUCCUUGUAAAUAACUGUUUGCAUAAUAUUAUCACACAAAAACAUAGAUCAUAGACAAGCUGAGAAUUUCUUAAGGAUCCAUAAUGUGAUCUUAUGUUUGCUUCUAGAUCUAUACAUAAUUAUUAGCUUUUAAUUAGCUUAUCUUCAUUGGACUACUUAUGUGGAGAUUUGUUUUAUCUGUUUCUCCGUGUUUCAGGCACAACUAAUUGACCCAGCACUAAAAGGAUUAAUGAACAUUCUAGGAUCUUGUGCAAAAGUUCCAUCAGUCAAAAGAGUAGUUGUAACAUCAUCUAUGGCUUCAGUUGCAAUCAAUGGGAAACCUCUAGCUCCUGAUGUGCUAGUUGAUGAGAGUUGGUUUUUAGAUCCAGUUUUCUGUGAGAAAUCAAAGGUUGCUUAAAUGAGAUGAUUUCCCAUCACAUGCUAUCUCUUUUGCAUGUUCUUGUUUGUGGCUUUACAAAAUGUUUUCUUUUCAUGGCUCUUCACUUCUUUUACCCUGCAGAAGUAGCUGCCAAUUUGUCAUGCCCUCUUGUUUUUACACUUCUGCUAGCCAGCUUAGGGUUAAAUAACACGAUGGGAAUGAGAGGAUUAUCCCUUUAUUUUGCUAAGCCUGCCAUUAGAUUAAAUAAUCCUUCCAUGUAUGUCUAAUAUUUCACUAAUACGGUGUUGGUAGCUGUCUGAUCCAUAAAGUCGCAUUCCUCAAACAAGAAAUUAAAUGAGAACUCUAAUUUGGAUAUUAUAUGAAUGAAAUGGAUGUUAAUCUCUGAUUGUCUUACUGUCCAUUAAACAUGAUGGGCUCAGAAACAUGGGUUGACAAAACAGUUGUGACAUAUCUAAUUAGUUUUAAUGUGAGUGUGUAUGCCUGCACAGCCUCUAUAGAUUUUGCUUGGGUUCAUAAGUUCAUUGCUUGUUCUCUAUGUUCCAUUAUCUACUAGAAAUGCUUCUCACUAUAUAUUUUCAAACAUGUUGGUUUCUACUAGCUAUGGUAUAUGCUUUCAAAGACAUUAGAUGAGGAGGCUGCUUGGAAGUUUGCAAAAGAGAAUGGGAUUGACAUGGUUACAAUAAAUCCAAGGGGGGGUGAUUGGCCCUCUCUUACAGCCUACUCUUAAUCUAAGUGUGGAGGAAGUUCUGAAGCCACUAAAAGGUACGCUUCAACAAUUGAUGAGAAUCUCUUUUUUAUGUUUAUCUUUCUACUCCAGUAGCAAUACAUGCUUCACUUCAAUAUUGAGUCAACUCUAUCCAACAGCCCUGCAAAUGGAAACUUAGAAGUUUAAAUCGAAACUUAUCAAUAAACCGUCACAAGACUUCCACAGUUCCACAUAAAAGGACUACAUAUGCAUUUUGAUAUAUGCUGACUAAUCUUCUAACAUUAAAAAAUUGUUCUCUUCUCUGGUCAUUAUAGUUAUAUCACCAAGAUACUCAUUUGGGAGAUUUGCAUAUGAGAUUAGAUGAAGAUAUAUUUUGUUUUGGUCUCCUAAGCCAGACUGGUUUGGAAGGACCCCUGGACUGUGAAAGGACUAAAAGCAUGCGUAUGUAAUUACUAUCUUGAACUUAAGGUAUAUUUGCAUGCAAGUUCAAUCCAAGGCCAAGAACUUCUUAAAUAACCCAUUAAUCCUUUUGAUCCACCCCAUCUAAAUAUUAUUGCAGCUCAACAUAAUUAGCAUAAAGUGGGGGUUCCCCACAUCCAACUCCAUUGCAAAUGAGUUGUUCAUGUGCAACUCACUUGAUCAGUAUUUUUAAAAACUUCUACUAACUUUUUUGGACUAUUUUACAGAUCUUAACAUUCUUUAAACAUUUAGAAUCAUUUCUAGUGGCUUUAUAGGGAAAUAUCAUGUUACUUUAUUGACAACUCUUACAAUAAUCAAUACUUCCAUAACUGUAUAGCCAAUAUGGUUUGUUUACUUACUAACCAACCUCUUCUGCCUCCAACUGACCUCCCAUGUAUCUUGCUUCAAUUAUGAGGGUGUUGCCAUUAGGUUGAGAAUUGGACAUAUGAUAAACCUGUGCCUUGAUGGUUGUACUCUGAUUCAUGGAUCCAGACCAUUGUAAUUGGGAUUAGACUUGUUGGUAGUUGCUUUAGUUCAAUGCUUGCAAUGACCAAAGUAAUUUGUCGUGCUGCUUUAGAACCAUUCGAUCUUUCAUAUGAAAUAAGAAAGGUAUUUUGUACAAAAUAAUGUUUUCACUUGUAAUUUCCAACAUUACAUAAGGCGAUAAAUAGAAGUGUAUUUGCUAAGUGUGAUUGCAUCAUUUUCUAAGCGUUUCCGUUUGAGACAAACAGUCUAAGAUGAAAAUGUGUGCUUCAAAAAUUUCUAGCUGUAAUACUUUUGAGAUUGUGCCAAAAGCUGGUGGUCGUUCUUCUUCUAUGAAUCAGUUGACAAUGACUAUAAAUAAAUAAAUGGAAAAACAUCAUAUUAUCACUGAGCAGAUUGCACACUAAACUUAAAUAGGCAACAGAAACUGAUGCUUUCAGUACACUUACAUAAUACUUGUGAUGUAAGCUUCUGAGAUUUGUUUGCUGCAGGAGAUACAUUUCCCAAUAAAGCACAUUGAUGGGUUGAUGUUAGAGAUGUUGCCAUGGCACAUAUUCAAGCAUAUGAGCUUCCAAUGGCUAGAGGCAGAUACUGUUUAGUAGGGAGUGAGCUUCCAAUGGCUAGAGGCAGAUACUGUUUAGUAGGGAGCAUUUUACACUGUUCUGAGACAAUGAAGAUUUUGCAGAAGCUCUACCCUGCUUUAAACCUACCUGAGAAGUAAGAUUUUAUUAUUUGCAGGGCAUUAUUUCUAGUUUGCGUUAGUGCCCUUUGAAAUCAAUAUUGCAGCUUAGGCAAUGUUACUUUUUUUUUUGUUUAUUUUGGGUUUUUCUUUUAUUUUUUGAUAGGCUUAAUAUAUACAUAUUCUGUAAAGAAGUACCUAGAAAAAGGGGCACAACUCCGGUGCAAGUAGUAGUAUGAAAGUAGCACUAAAAUGUAAAAAUUAAAAACAAAAGGAAACAACUACAUCAGGAAGGCAACAGACACAAUAAAACAAGUAACCUGCAUUGGAUGAAUAUGUGAUACAUUGAUUUCAUCAUUUGGUUGCACAGACAACACCAAUUGACGAUAGACUAAACUAAGAAACAGUUGUUCUAAUAAGACUGAAACAACACCAUCAACAAAUUAUUGAGAUUUUCACAAAAGGCAUUGCCUUGAGAAUCAAACCUUGGAGAGGUGAAUCCUCUCCAUCUGAAUGAGCUGGGAAGCUGCAAAUUCACCUACCUUGUCGGUCUGUGUUAUCCUCUAUGAUGUGCCAGUGAAUCCAGUAGGAUGUAGCUUGCAUUUACUUGGGCCAUGGCUGGACCACUGUCUUUAAAUACUGUUGUAUGGUUGAAAUAUUUCACAUGCAUGUGUAGCCUUUCUCCAUUCACGGUGGUCAUAAUGGCACGUCUAUGCUAUUUCAACACAUCGCCUUCUUAUGAAUUGCAUCCGAUUCUUAAUAUGUUAUCAAAGUGCUAAGGAUCUAAAAGUACUUCAGUGAUCGGGGCUAAGGAAUUUUCUGAUUUAUAUUAUUUAUUAUGUUUUGGCUUAUCAUAUCCACAAAUGUGUUUUCAAACUUCUAUCAUCAAUAUUGACCUUGGUGGAGUUCCUUCAGAUUCACUGAAUACUUUCUGCCAUUUAGGUCUAGUUAAACCCAUAUUUCAUUCUUCUAGUACAAAAGAACUAAUCCCCAUUGCUUGGGGAUCUUCUCAAUUACCCAAAGAGAUGUGUUUUAAGCUUCAGGUCCGUGUCCUGAGAGUUUUCUUUUCUUCAAUACCAGUCAUUUCACUGAUUGAUUAAGAAACUGUGUUUCUGUUUUAUUUGUGGCAGAUGUGCAGACGACAAGCCUUAUGAACCAACCCAUAUGGUGUCCCAGGAGAAAACUAAAAGUUUGGGCAUCGACUUCACUCCUCUGGAGGAGAGCCUGAAGGACACUGUGGAAAGCUUGAGGGAGAGGAACUUUGUCAGUUUCUGACACAUGGUAUAGCCAUGCAAAUGAAUCAUAAACAAAAAAUGGUGUCUUCUUGGUAACUUCAUUGUUAAGUGUGUUGGAGUCAUGUAUUUUCUAAUAUGUUCAUGGUAAGCAAUUCCCAAGACAUGCUACAAGUUCUCCAAAAGAAAAACAACGACAUAUAAAAAGCGGUAACUUCUAUUUCUGCUUCUGCUCAACAACAAAAGCUAUCAACUAUCCUAAAUGGGCUCCAGGGAGAUUCGUAGACCUUAGGUCCCUUCCAAACUAGAUUUUUUGUUUGGGAAGUAACUGAGGAAGAUUUUCACUUGUCAUUAACUUAUGCAGAGGUUGGUAGCUAACGAACUAUGUAAGGGCAAUGUUCUUGAUUAUACCAUAUGUAAGGACACAGUGAGCUCUGCCUUUAGAAAUGUAGGCAGUGAGGUGGCAUGGUCCAUUAACUUCAUUCUGUGAUUGGCUGCUCAACCAUUCCAAAACAAGGGAAAAUUAUGCUUACUGAAGUUUUACUUUCUGUUGGGUUUGAUAGAAUCUCUGCUCAUUUUGUUUCUUAGAGUACUGAAAUGAUUAGAGACAAUAAGAUUGAAACCCCAAAUUUUUUUUAAUAACUGUUGAAUAUAAAUAUGUUUUAUAAAAAAUAAUUCUCACUAAUAAACCCCGGUAGUGCUUUUAUCAGAAAUGCUUAAGUUUCAAAUUUCAUUAUUUUAUUCUAAUUCUAAAAUUUUGUGCCUUAAACUUGAAUAAUGUUGAUAUGAGACUCAAUAGUAGUGAAGUAGUUUUCAAACUGCAAACUUAGAAACAAAAUUAUCAACCAAACCAAAACUUAAAAAAAUGCAAGUAUAAUUUCCAUCCUUGCAUGGUGAAAAAUUAUAGUAGCAUUUCAGUUUGUACCAAGCAGAUGAUCCAGAAUCAUGGAAUGGAGAACCAGGACUACUUCCAAAAAAAUAAAAAUAAAAAGGGAAGUCAAAGGCAAAUGGAUAUCCUUGUGGGAUGAAAACCGAGGGUAAAAGCAAGGGGAUGACGGAAGCUGACAGUGACCAAGGAGGUCAAAACGCUGACUCAUUCGCAUACGCUAGCAUUUAAAUUCACGUACGCAUUCGAAAACAGGUCACACUCUCUGUAUAUUGUCUCUAUAUACACCAAGUGUACAAGUGGAUAGCAUAGAUUUGAAGGUGAAAGUGAGUGGUCCAGGGAGAUGAAUAGUGGAGAAGGGGAGGUGGUGUGCGUGACUGGAGCUUCUGGGUUCAUAGCUUCAUGGCUGGUGAAGCUCCUACUCCAACACCGUUACACUGUCAAAGCUGUUAAAAAAUCUGGAGAAAGGAACUAAAACUUUCAGAAAAUAUUAGAGUACUGAGUUGGAGAAAGACACACACUAUAUUUCACCAAAGAGAAUGCCUAUUUAUAGGCUUACAACCAAACUGAAAAUGCUAAAAACUCUCAGCUGCUAUGACUACUUCUACUAACAGAAAAACUGAAAAUCAGAGAUAGCAAAACAGAGACUAAGUCUAACUAAGACAUUUUCAAAGGCAAACUCUCAUGAAUUCUAACACUCCUCCUUGAGAUUUGCCUUGGACAUACCAAGCUUCAACCUUAGGAACUCCAGCCUUGAUUUAGGAAGUCCUUUAGUCAUUAUGUCAGCAAGUUGCUCAUCAGUUGAGCAAUAAUGCAGCUUAACAAGUGAAUUCUUUUCAGCUUCCCUUAUGGAGUGGAAUUUUAAAUUUAUGUGCUUGGUUCUGCCAUGAUGGACAGGAUUUUGAGCAAUGGAAAUGGCUGACUUAUUGUCACAGAAAAGCUCAGUUGGUGAGCUUUGUUCUUGGCCUAAAUCAGCAAGCAAUUUUCUCAACCAUAUUGCUUGAUUUGCAGCAGCUACUAAGGAGAUAUACUCAGCUUCUGUAGUUGAUUGUGCCGCUACUUCUUGCUUUCUUGAAUUCCAGCAUAUGACACCUGAACCGAUUGUAAAUACAUAACCUAAAGUGCUCUUCAUAUCAUCAACACUUCCUGCCCAAUCACUAUCAGCAUAACCAUCUAGCUUAACUCCUCCUGUCUUUAAAUACCAAAUGCCAAGAUUUGUUGUACCUUUAACAUACUUUAGCACCCUCUUUGCAACUCCCAUGUGAACAUUGCUAGGUAAACUCAUGAACCUUGAAAGCAAACUAGCUAGAAACAUCAAGUCAGGUCUGGUUACUGUCAAGUAUAGUAGGCUGCCCACCAAGCUUCUAUAUGCAGAGGGUUCCUCAAGUUUCUCACCAUCAUUCUUUGAAAUUUUCUCAUUUUGUGCCAGCGGAGUUGCUACUUCUUUGCAUGAUUCUAGCUUGAAUUUCUUGAGAAUAUCCAUAACAUAUUUUCUUUGUGAAAUGAAGAUACCCCAGCUGCAUUGGUAUAUUUCCAUUCCAAGGAAGUAGUUCAUGAUGCCAAGGUCAGACAUCUCAAAUACAUCUUGCAUUUCCAUUUUGAAAUCAGCUAGCAAUUUUACAUUGCUUCCGGUCACUAGCAUGUCAUCAACAUAAAGUGAUACUACCAGUUGCAAACCAUCAUCAUUUUGUUUCAAAUACAAAGUAGCUUCAUUUUCACUCCUCCUAAAUCCAAGUUGGAUCAGAUGAGAAUCAAUUCUGCUAUACCAGGCCCUUGGUGCUUGCUUCAAACCAUAGAGAGCCUUAUGUAGCUUGUACACUUUGUGUUCAUGGCCAAUAACCUCAAAGCCUUCUGGUUGUUGAACAUAAAUUUCUUCAAGAAGUAUACCAUUUAGAAAAGCUGACUUGACAUCUAAAUGGUACACUUUCCAUCCCAUUUGACCAGCAAGUGCAAGUAGUAGCCUUAUAGUGUCAUGUCUGGCUACUGGUGCAAAUGUAUCACCAUAGUCCACUCCAGCAACUUGAGCAAAACCCUUCACAACCAAUCUAGCCUUGUGCCUGAAGAUUGAACCAUCUGAAUUAAAUUUAGUUCUGAAAACCCACUUUACACCAAUUGCAUUCUUAGCUUCAGGUAGUUCUGUCAACUUCCAGGUUCCAUUUCUUUCAAUAGCAUCAAUUUCAGCUUUCAUGGCCUCAAUCCAUUCUAGAAAUCUUGCAGCUUCCGUGUAACAUGUAGGCUCAACAUGUACAAGAUUGCACCUCUCGUACACAUCAGAUAAUGGCCUCAUCUUAAGCACUGGUGUGUCUGAAGUUGCUUCAACAUCAAGUGGACCUUCAAUGAUUGUACUUUCUAUUGCUGGUUCAAGAAUAGAUGGAGUGGUUUGAUCACAUUUAUGAACUUUCUUCAAGUCCCAAUUCCAAUAGGAGUUUUCAUCAAAGUGCACAUCUCUACUUAUCACGAUUUUCAUUCUACUCAAGCUAUAAAUUCUGUAACCUUUUGAUUCUGCUACAUAACCAACAAAGACACCUUUCUCAGCUCUUUCAUCAAGCUUCCCUCUCUUGACAGAUGGCACAUGAAGAUAACAAAAUGAGCCAAAAACUUUCAGGUGCUUGACAGAAGGUUUUACACCAGACCAUGCCUCUAUUGGUGUUUUGCUCUGAACAGACUUAGUUGGUAGUCUGUUAAGCAAAUACACUGAGGUGUUGACUGCUUCAGCCCAUAGAAGCUUUGGUAGCUUCUUCUCGAAUAGCAUGCACCUUGCCAUCUCCAUCACGGUUCUGUUCUUCCUCUUAGAGACUCCAUUCUGCUGUGGUGAGUAUGGAGCUGUUAGCUGGUGUACAAUUCCAGCUUCUUGACAAAAGACACUAAACUCUUUUGAGGUAUACUCACCUCCAUUAUCAGUUCUGAGCACCUUAACAUUCUGGCCACUUUGAGUUUCAACCAUUUUCUUGAAGCUUUUGAACAUAGAGAGCACUUGUGACUUGGUUUUUAGAAAAUAAACCCAAGUCAUUCUGCUGAAAUCAUCAAUAAAUAGUGCAAAAUACACAUUGUUGCUCAAUGAGGUUGUGCUCAUUGGUCCACAAAUAUCUGAAUGGAUUAAUUCCAGCUUGUGAGUAGCUCUCUUGGACAUAUUUUGAGGGAAUGGCUGUCGUUGUUGCUUCCCUAGCUCACAACUUUCACAAGUUUGAGCAUUAACUGAGAUUUCAGGCAUGUCUUCAACCAUACCAGCUUCUUGCAUGAACCUCAGUGACUUCAAGUUGAAAUGACCAUAUCUUUUGUGCCAAACAACACUCUCAUCAAUCUUGGCACUAAAGACAUGACCUUCAACUAAAUCAAGCUUCAAAUAAAAACUAUUUCCAUUCAUUUUAAUUUUUGCUAUCUUUGUUCCGUGUACAUCAGAGAUAAAACAAAAAUUUUCUUUGAAAGAGACUGCAUAUCCAUUUCUUAGCAUUUGUGCAACACUAAGAAGAUUCUGAUCUAAAUCUGGAAUAUAAAGAACAUUAGUGACAAUUUUUGUACCUCUCUUGGUGCUGAUAGCAAUUGUCCCUUUUCCUUUGGCUUGCACAACUUCACCAUUUCCCAACUUGACCUUUGGUUGAACUGAUCUAUCAAUGGAGGUAAAUAUUGACAGAUGUUUGGUCAUGUGACUCGUGCAGCCACUGUCAAUGAGCCAAGUAUUCAGUUCAUGAGAACUGAGUGCUUGUGAUGCCAUAAAUAAAUGCUCAUCAUCAUUUUUGUCUUCUUCAGUCACACUUGCAUGUUGUUCUGGUUGGUGUUGAGAUUGUUUUUUUUUGGCUCUGCAAUACUUCUCACUGUGGCCAAGUUUAUUGCAGAAGUUACAAUUAAAGAGAGGUUUACCUUUGUGCCAACAAUCUUUCUCAGCAUGGUUGGUUCUUUUACAAUGAGAGCAAGGCGAAAAUUUUCCUUUUCUUGAAGACCCUUCAGCUUUCCCUCUACUGUUCUUGAAGAACUUCUUUCCUUGCAAGUUUCCAGAAUUCUUUCCCUUGUGAUUUGCUUGAAAAGCACCUUCAGUAGCUUCAUCACCUCUCAUUAAGACCCUUUGCUCCUGUGCAUGAAGCUUGCUGGUUAACUCUACAAUUGUGAGAGUUUGCAAGUCACAAGACUCUUCAAUUACAGAAAUCUUGGCUUCAAACUUUUGAGGCACUGAAACCAUGAUCUUUUCUACCACCUUUUGAUUUGUAAAUGCCUCACCAAGAAGCCGCAUUUGGUUUACAACAUCCAUUAACCUGCCAGAAUAAUCUUUGACAGAUUCGUCGUCUUUCAUCUUCAUCAACUCAAACUCUCUCUUCAAUGUGAGGAGUCUAACAUUUUUGACUCUUUCACUGCCAUCAAAUUCACCCUGGAGCUUGUCCCAUACCUGUUUAGGUGUUUCCAAGUUCAUGAUUUUGGUGAAGAUGUGGUCUGCAAGUCCUGAAUGUAGGCAAGUGAUGACUUUGUCUUUCUUGAGUUUUUCUUCCUCAUAUGCUUUCAUCUGAGCAACUGUAGGAUUUGCUCCCAAUGGUGGUGGAUCAGCUUCUGACAUCACAACAUUCCACAAACCUUGAGACCUUAAGUAAAACCUCAUCUUGACAGCCCAAAUGUGAUAGUGUUCACCAUUAAACACUGGAAUUACAGAGGAAAUAUUGCUAGAAGGAGUCAUGUUUGCACCACAGUUGCCUGAAAAAAUAGAUCACUCAACCUCACUAGUGUUUGCACUCAACCUCACUGUGUUUAGUACUCAAAACACUCAAAAACUUUGCCUCACAGCCCGUAGGAAUUUUGCUCUGAUACCACUGUUAAAAAAUCUGGAGAAAGGAACUAAAACUUUCAGAAAAUAUUAGAGUACUGAGUUGGAGAAAGACACACACUAUAUUUCACCAAAGAGAAUGCCUAUUUAUAGGCUUACAACCAAACUGAAAAUGCUAAAAACUCUCAGCUGCUAUGACUACUUCUACUAACAGAAAAACUGAAAAUCAGAGAUAGCAAAACAGAGACUAAGUCUAACUAAGACAUUUUCAAAGGCAAACUCUCAUGAAUUCUAACAAAAGCAACCGUUCGAGAUCCAAGUCAGUUCUCUAUCUCAACCUUCGAGGGCAUAUUCACUUAUAUGUGCUUCCAUUUAACACACUAGUUGUGCUUACAUUGAUAUGUAUAUAUGCGACAGAUGAUCCAAAGAAGACACAACACUUGCUUUCACUCGAUGGAGCUCAGGAAAGACUUCAUUUAUUCAAAGCGGACUUAUUGGAAGAAGGGUCUUUUGAUUCUGCAGUUGAGGGAUGUAAUGGUGUUUUUCAUACUGCAUCCCCUGUUGCAUUGGAAGACAUUAACCCUCAGGUUCAUCCUACACUACUUUAUAUCCAUGGUUUGAGGUUGUUCAUUAAUGAUCUUGAACCUUCAUGGUCUAUAUUUCAAUCCAUACUAAUGGUGUUUUCCACCGAUGAAUCACUUGACAAUAUCCAAGAAAAUGAAUGACAGAACAUCAAAAUAUUCACAAGCAAAUUGCAUACUUUAUAUCAAGAUAUUUGAAAUUUGUUUGUUGCAGGAGCUCAAACAUUUCCCAAUAUAUCAUCCUAGUGGGUUGAUGUUAGAGAUGUUGCCAAUGCACACAUUCAAGCAUAUGAGAUCCCAAAAGCUAGUGGAAGAUACUGCUUAGUAGAGAGGGAUUUACACUAUCUUGAGACACUGAAGAUUUUGCGCAAGCUCUACACUAGAUUACCUCUACCUGAAAAGUAAGUUUCUAUUAGUUAUUUCUAGUGCUCGUUAGUGCCAUCAUUAGAAGCAAGUGAGACCAACAUGAUAUUACUUCUUAUUGUUCCAUUGGAUACAUUGAAGAGUACCUGCCAUCUUGUUUCCCCUUAAAUAUUUAUGCCUUGGUAUCAUGCAAAAAAUUCUUAGAUGGGACCCACACGUCUUUGAUAAUUGGUUGCAGAUGCGCAGAUGACAAACCUUAUGCACCAUCCUCCCAGGUAUACCAAGAGAAAGCAAAGAGUUUAGGCAUUCACUUCACUCCUCUAGAGGUGAGCCUGAAGGAUACAGUUGAAAGCUUGAAGGGGAAGAACUUUGUCAGUUUCUGACUCAUGGUAUUUAAUGCUAGACUUGCAACUAAAUCAUAAACUAAUGGUGCUUUCCUGCUAAUUUUAUUGUUAUGAACCUCACUGCACCUAUGAUUUGCUAGGUUUUGGGGCUUUUAUCUUAUAAUAUUUGAUUGUAAGCAUUUCUUAUGCUAGAAAUUGGUAUCUGUAUCAACUAUAAGUUUCCCUGUUCAAGUUUCCUAUUCGUGUUAGAAUAAGGUGAAACUAAAUCACACUUAGGAAGAGGGAAUUAGUCCAAGUGGAUUAUAAGGGUCCAAGAAUGGAAUCAGUCGAUGGAAGUGGUAGAAUAUAUUGAACAAAAUUAUAUAUACUACAGUAAGACACAAAACCGAAAAUUGCUUCAUAUUAAUAAUUAAAAGACAUAGGAAACAACAGGCUUGUGUCCUUGAGCAUCAACCCCAUUAUUCCACUAGCCAUGUGAUACGAAAUCCCUGCUCCAACUCCUAUUUGCUUGUAGAUCAUAGUUAUGUGGGCAACACCAACUCCUAUUUACUUGCAGAUCACAGUUACAUGGGCAACACCUCAACACCUGGCUUGAAUUUCGAUUUGUUGCUACUUUCCUAGUCUUAGGCCACUAUUUGUGUUUCAGUUGUCUGUGCAUCUAUAAAUGCACCUGCAUGAAGUGAAUAAAGGAAAAAACUUCUAUCUCCUAUCUCUCUUGUCCUCUCUCAAAUUAAACUCAUCAUUUGGUAUCAGAGCCAGGUUUAUUCAUGGACACACAAGGGAAAACCAAUGUUGAGUUUCGCAAUAAGGUCAACGAAGCCUUGGCCCGAUGUGAGUCAAGUUUUGAUCAGGUGAAUGCCACUCUAUAGAUGGUUUUGAUGGAGCUCCAAGCUUUGCGAGUAACUCAAAGUUCCAGCCACCCCCAAUCAGAAAUCAACCCCUUUGCACCAGAGGGAUCAACCCACCACUUGCACACCGCUAUCGUAACCACCAAUACUGACCCAUAUCUUCAACAACACCUCAAGCUAAAUUUUCCCAGAUUCAAUGGGGAAGACCCAAUCAGUUGGAUCUAUAGGGCUGAAUAAUAUUUUGAGUUUCAGAAAAUUGCAGUUGAAACCCAAGUUCAGUUUGCCUCCUUCCAUUUUGAAGGAAUCGCACUCCAAUGGCACUGCUGGUUGAUGAAGUUUCGAGGACCCCUUUCUUGGAAUGAUUUCACCAAGACCAUUCUCCUCAGGUUCGGUUCUACCAAAUAUGAAGACCCUUCUGAAGCAUUGUCCCGCCUAAAGCAGACAACUACAGUGGCUACAUACUAGGAGGCAUUUGAGAGACUCUCCCAUCAGGUCGACGGAUUACCUGAGCCAUUUCUCAUCGAUUGCUUUAUUGCAAGGCUGUGUGAUGACAUUUGCCUAGACGUCAAGAUUAAGCAACCACGCACGCUUGUAGCCGCCAUUGGAGUGGCAAGACUAAUUGAAGAGCGCAAUCUCCUUCAAAAGAAAACAACAACUCCUAGUCGUAUCCCAAUGACGACGACGCUACAAAAUGGACCCAACCCUCCAGUGGGAAUUCUUGGCCCCAAUCCAACCCAACAGUCCAACAAUAGCUCAAAUCCUUCCUUAAUGUUAGUUCUUCGAAUCACCAGUCAGGAGGCUCAUGAGCGGAGGGAGAAGAGAUUAUGCUACUAUUGCAAUGAGAAAUACUUCCAAGGACACCGAUGCGAACGACCCUAGUUUUUCAUGAUCGUAGAUACACCACUAGAGGAGGAAGAAACUCUAGACGACAACCAGUAAGGAAUAAAAGAGAUUAACACCUUACCCGAGAUAUCAUUCCAUGCCAUUACCAGGGGUGAACACCUGCAGACUCUCCGUGUUCUAGGCCGAUUGAAGAACAAGUACCUAACUGUCUUGAUCGAUGACAACAACACUCAUAAUUUCAUCGAUCAAAUAGUUGUCUCCAGAUUCGGAUUGCUAGUAGUAAGGGAGAAGAAAAUCCAGGUGGUCGUGGCGAAUCAAGAAUGGAUCGAGUGUAUGGGGCAAUUUCUAGGACUUACGCUCAUCAUCCAAGAAAUUCCUGUCACUGCAGACUACUACAUCCUACCAAUGGCAGCUUGUCAGGUGGUCUUGGGGGUCCAGUGGUUGGAGACUCUAGGUUCAAUUGAAUCAGACUAUAAGGCUCUCACUAUGUCAUUUAAAUUGGGAGGCGCUAGGCACACUUUCCAUGGGGUAAGAUGCAUUGUUGUAAUUUUUAACAUUAAGGCUUUGGAUGACAGGGAAUGUACAAAUCUACGGGGCACAUGAUUUUUUUUUUCAAAUUAUUCCUGUCCAUAACCAGUCCCCUUCACAUCGACGAUCGCCAGAAAUGGAAGAGUUGUUGAACCAAUAUGCUCGGGUUUUCGAGAAGCCAAACAACCUGCCUUCCAAACGCCAUAUGAUCAUCGAAUUCCACUACUGCCCAACAUCGAACUAGUUAGUGUGAGACCAUACUGAUAUUCCUACUACCAGAAGGUAGAAAUAGAGCGGAUGGUGGUUAAAAUCCUUUGUUCAGGACUAAUUAGACCAAGUACUAGCCCUUUCUCCUCACCAGUGUUGUUGGUCAAAAAGGUAGAUGGAUCUUGGAGGUUUUGUGUCAACUACAGGGCUUUGAAUAGUAUCACCAUCAAGGACAAGUACCCUAUUCCAAUGAUUGAUGAGUUAUUGAAUGAACUCUAUGGGGCCAAGUUCUUCUCUAAAUUGGAUUAAAGAUUAGGAUACCACCAAAUCCGAAUGCAAGCAGAAGAUAUUCUGAAGACUUCCUUUAGGACCCACAAAGGACACUAUGAAUUCGUGGUCAUGCCCUUCGGGCUAACCAAUGCCCUAACAACUUUUCAAGGCCUCACGAACGAUUUUUUUUUGUUCCCAUCUCUGGAAAUUCAUCCUCGUAUUCUUCAACGACAUAUUGGUAUACUCCAAGUCUUGGAAGGAUCAUUUAUUGCAUCUACAGAUUGUUUUUGAUAUACUGUCCAUUAACCAACUAUUUGUCAAAGAAUUAAAAUGUCAAUUUGGAGUUACACAGGUCACCUACCUAGGCCAUAUUAUUAUAGAAAAAAGAAUAUUUGUUGACCCCAAGAAAAUACAAGCAGUAGUCACUUAGCCUAAGCCCACUACAACCAAAGAAGUACGUGGGUUCUUACGCUUAGCAGGGUACUAUAAAAAAUUCAAAAGCCAUUUUGGCAGCAUGGUAGCAUCCUUAACCAAACUCCUGACCAAGGACCAAUUCGAGUGGAGCAGUGAAGCAAAAGACGCCUUCCACAAAUUAAAAGAGGCAUUGACCAAUCCACCAACCUUACGUUUUCCAAACUUCACUCAACGGUUUGUGAUCGAAUGUGAUGCAAGUAGGACCGGGAUAGGGGCAAUUCUUACUCAAUACAACGACCCUGUGGCUUAUUUCAGCGAAACUUUAAAAAGAUCUGCUUUGGCACUAUCCACCUAUGAGAAAGAAAUCACUAUAAGAAAAAACGCUAACCAUGACGCUUUUUAAGUGUCAAGAAAUACAUUCAAUGGCGCUUCCCCAAAGCAUCAUCUACUAGCCUGUCAUAAUAAGUAUUUGCCUACAAUGACGCUUCUAGAAAACGUCAUUGAAAAGAACCUUGACGCGUAAAAAAAGUGUCAUCAUUAGUCAUAUCAAACUACAUUGACACUUUUAUAAGCGUCAUUGUUGAGUAGAAGAAACCUUGACACUUUCUAUAAGUGUCAUUGUUUAGCAGUUUCAAAUAUUAAAGUAUAAGGACACUUCUAGAAAGCGCCAUUAAAGAGAACCUUGACACUAAAAAAAGUGCCAUUGUUAGUUGUUUACACUACCUUGACACAUUUAUUAGUGCCAUUAUUGGGUUGUAUAAAUGUUAUUGAUGGUUACUCUCAUUCCUUGAAACUUAGUCAAAACAUCAAGGAAGAUAAUUGUUUAAUUUUAAAUUUAGUUUUAAUUUAAUAAUUGUUGCACCUAAUUUUUCACCUGCUAUUAAAAUAAUGCAUACACAUAAGAAAAAAAGUAUGUACCAAUGAAAUUAGUUGUUGCACCUAAUUUUUCACCUGGUAAUACAUUCCAAAUUGCAGUAUUUAAUCACAAAUAGAGAACUUGUAUUUCAUAAAUAAGAAACACAAAAAAAAAAAGCUAAAAUAUAUUAAAAAAACAAAAAAAAUUCACAACUUUAAUGUUUAGUCCCUUAACAUAGUCCAUUUUUUCUUUACAUGCAACCCAAUUGUGCUUUGCUUCAACAUACUCCUUCAUACUAGCUUAUCCAACUACAAGGUUAAUUUCCCAAAAAGAUGACCUACAUGCACAAAAAACCUAAAAUCAAUUACAAUUUUAGAAAAUAUAUAUAUAUAUACAAGUGAAUACUUCUAGAAAUAGAGAGAAAGAAAUGACAAUCAAAAUAUAAUAGGAAAACAAAUGUGUAUACCAAUUGAUAUAUGUGACACUAAGAAUAAUUACAACAAAAUUACUAUCAAUAGUUAAAACACAAAGCAAGAGAUUAAUCAAAUAAGGGACAAGAGAACAUCAACAUCAAUAAUCCAUUAAAUCUUUUAGCCCAAAAGAAAAUAGAAAAACAAACCAAGUUUGGGACAAGAGAAUAUCAACAUCAAUAGUCCAUUAAAAUAUUCAAUUAGACAUCAUCUAAUAGUAAUAGGCCUCAUCGAAUGCGCAACAUUGACAAAGAAAGGUUUGGGAAUAUGGUGUAACAUGAAAUAAAUAAGGUUCACACCAUGAUACUUUAUCAACUAAGUUUUUUGUUAAGUUAAAAGAAUUAACAUUUCCCACCAUCUGAGAUGCAUUGCAACAUUGCAUCCAAAAUAGUAGCCAAUUGUAUCAUACUUAUCAUUCAUCUUAUUUAUCACUAUCAAGGCUAGCAACAACUAUAUAAAUUCCACAACCUAAUAAUAAAUAAAUUGGCCUGUAUAAAAAAUGUAGAGAAGAAUAUCUGCAACUUAAUAGAAGAUAAACAUCUUCUAAUGAUGAACACAUAGUAUUCACAAAGCCAUAGGUGUUUACACAUACACAUAAAUAAAUAAAUAAGCAAAUAGUAUUCACAUAAACAUGAAAAAAUCCAAUGAAAAGUAUAGAUGUUUCUUCAAUGGGACUUCAAAGCCAUAGGACAAAUAGUAGACUAUAUCUUCUAUGUAAUUUUAACUGAAAGAAAAAUUGCAAAUAUCCUAUAACACAGUUGAAAUUCCAAGAUUGAUCCACCUACUAAAAUUAGUUAUAUUAUUUAAUAAUAAAAUUUUUUAAAAUAUACUACAUUUAUAGAAAUAUUAAACAAUUUUCCACUUCAUAAAAGUAGUGCAUAAUAUUUAUUAUCAAAAUAAAGGAGAAUAUUUUUUUUUACUUCUAUUAUAGAAAAUAAAGAUUACAUACAAAAGACUUGUCUUCUCAUCAAGUACCAUAUUUAGAUUUGUAAAUAAUCAAUUUUUUUUUAUAUAUAAAGUACCCAAUUAUACUUCCAAAUUCAUGAACAAGUUUGAAUCAUGUUUUCAAGAAAGAAAAAACCUAAAACAAAAAAACAAAAAAAACAACAAAAUAGAAAAGGCAUUGCUUUAUGAAAUAGUUUAGAAGAGUCAAUUCUUUCAAGGAGUACAAGACUCCACUUAAAAUAGCAAUAAUUUUUAAUUUCCAAAAACCCACAUAGGUCUUGACACAGGUUCAGCCAAAUGACAUAACCCAUGGCCAAUGAGAGAGCCCAGUUCAAGCCAUAUUGCAACUUUUUUCACAUGACCACAUGAAAUUUAAAAGCACUCACCUUCCUCAAAAUAACAACAUCAAGAUCGAUUUGCUCUAUUGUUAAUUCUUCAACUUCUAAAACAGCUUUUGGAAUAACUUGGUAAAAAAUUUGACAUAAUCUCUGACUGCACAUACAAUUUUAUUAUUCACUUAUUACAUGCCCAAAUUAACAACAUUAUUUGCAACAUGAAUGAAAAAAGAGAAAGAUGGAAAGGAACAAAGCCCAAAAAGAAACAAUACUAUAAAUCUUUUAAUGUCCUUAAGAAGUGAAAUUAUAUAUUUUAUUCAACAUCCCACACACAGAAAAAAUAAAACUGAAAAUGCAUUACUAAAAUCAAUUAAUCAUGGCAUAACCAAUUUUCUAACAGCCCAAUACAUAUUUAUGAUUCUGCAUUUUUAGAGAGAGAAAACGCAUGGAGUAGAAAGAGGGAAAAGUGUGUACAUUGUCAUUUAGAGAAGAGCAACAACAAAAGAUUCAAAUUUGGAUUAAGAGUAUGUUACCUAAAAAAAUAAAUCAAAUUAAAUACAAUGAGCUAGCACCCUUGUUUUUUUUCCCUCUGCUUCUUCAUUAAUUAUCUUCCAUCAUCCUCAUUGACUAUUGUGUGUCAUUUUGUUGACCUACUUUUUUUUCUCUCAAUAUUUUAGAAUUUAAAAUAACAAAUAAUCUACCUAUAAUGAAAGAAAAAUAAAUUCAUUUUUAUUAAACAAUAUAACACCCUUUAAAUCAUUUUUAUUUCUCAAUAUUUCUAAAAGAUUGUUUCUUGUUAUAAAAGAUUAUUAUGUUUCUUGUACUAAGGAUUAUUACGAAAUUCAUAUUAAUCCAAAGUUAAGAAAAGGAGGAUAACAAUAAUAUAAUGUUUUUACUAUGAGUGUGUAUCAAAAAGUAAUUUAUUAGGAAUCAAAAAGUAGUGUAUGGAAACAAAAUCUGACUACAAGAUGAUUGAAAACUUUUGGGGCAAUAAUUUAUUAGGGAUAGUUCAAGUCCCAUCUCUUACAAAUUAGAACAUUGAAUCAAAAUAUCUUGGAGGAAAUAAAUACAAUCAAAAUUAUCAUGACACAUGAGACAACACUAACAAAAAAUAGAGAGGUUUUGUAUUCAGAGCAGUGCGACACAUUAGACCACAAAAUAAGCAAGCUUUGAAAGUACUUCUCCAUGAAGUUCGUGCUUAUGUAGCCUCCAACAGCUCUCCUCUUCCAUGCCAUUGGUUAACCACCAAACUUUGCUAAAUUCAAAAGCUAAGAUGUGAAAGAAAUUGCUAACAUUCUAAAAAUUCGCCCCAACCUUUAGGAAUUCAACAAUUGGACUUAAAGUUAAAAUUAUUCUCUACAGUGUACUAGCCCACAUCUAAUCCACAGCAAAAUCACAAGAAAUGCCUACAAUAAAUUUGUAAGUAUAAUUGUUUUUUAUUUAUUGACUUAAAUAUACUUAUCAUUUAAAAAUCUAAAAGCAACAAGGUUUCAGUGAUUUUAGAAAAAGUGAAUGUGUUACAAGAAAUAACAAUCCAAAGUUUAAUAUAUAGUAAUUAAAUUUUACUUCUAAUAAUAAUAAAAUUCAUAAUAAUUUUCAUAUUAGAAGAAUUGGAGAUAGUUAAUAAAAAAAAGAAGAAAAGAUAUAGAUUAAGUUGGAUAUAUAAUUAAUAAGAAUAAUCUAUAUAGUUAACACCUUUAAAGCAAUUUAUUUGUGCAUAUACAUUAAUUGAAAUUAAUAUACUUAUAAAAAAGUCAAAUUUAAUUAAUUUCUUGUCUUAAAUUAAGUUAGAUUAAUGAGCAUUUCUUAUGCUGUAAUUUAUCUUUGCUAUUAUUUUGUUAUAUUUGCUUCAUUAUUUUAUGAAUAAAACAUAUAUAGCAUUUUCAUAGCUAAGGUUAUUAAUGUAUAAAAAGAGAAAAAGGGAAACACUUACAUAGCAACACGCUUUCUUUUUCAGUUUCACAUUAAAAAUCUAAUUGUUCACAGUACCCAAGUUUCAUAUGUAUUCCCCCAUCCAAGUUUCAUAUGAUAAAAGAAAAAAGAAAAGAAAAUAUAAAAUUAUAAAUUAUGCAUAUAGAUAAAUACAUCUGAAAACCAUAAACUUAAUUGAAGCAUAUGAAUGUUAUGUAGUUAAUCUAGGAAACUAUAGGAUAAAACAAAAAAAAAAAAAAAAAAAAUAGUUGGAGAAUAUUCAGUCCACCAUGCAAGGCUGCUCGGCAUUCAGGUAUCGUUGGAAUUGUGCUUCAACUAGAAUUUUUAGUUACCUUAUAUUGUCUAUACCACAAAUCAAUCCAAGUCCAAAAUCACCAAUGCUAAUGCACAGAUAUCUCGAUUUUCCAUGCCAUUCGUGCAUGUGAGGAAGUAUUAUUGGUCAUGUUUUUCAUAAAAAUAAAAAAUAAAAAUUCACUUGUUACUGUUUGUCUAUGUGUUUCAAAACCUCAAUCUUUCUUAAUUUCUUUUCACUUCGAUUUAACCUUCUCCCACAUUAUUUAGAGAGGGGAAGUUCCCUAAAAUAGUCCUAUUGCAUGCAAAAAUAGACCAAAAAUGCAUCAUUGAGGAGAAAUAACCUUAUUUGAAGUUAAGUUCAUGAUUGCUAGUGAAUUAUUGGAGAAUUAGACUUAAAAGGUCUCACCUAGAAAGCCUAGUUGAGAUUUUCUGUCAUUGACAUUUUGGCCAUAGAUAACCAACACAUCUCCAAAAUGUACUAUUUCUAUUGAUUAUACACAGUUGGCAAUAGAAGUGAAUAACAAAAUGCCCAACAUGUACCGGCUAGACUACUUGGCAUUAGCAUUGGAAAUAAACAUGGAAUAUAAACAAGAAAAGAAGAAAUAAAAAUAAAUUGAAAAUAAUGAUAUAACACAUAUAGAUACAUAUUUUGGGGUUAAAUGUGACCCAUCUUCAAACAGUGGAGGAGCAGCAAGAAAAGAAAGAAAAAAAAAAAAAAGAGGAAUCUGACGACAAUCAGGAGUGUUGUUGAUCUGCAGAGACAAGUGUUUAAUCUAAUAGUCAAAAAAAUGGUUGCUCUUAAGAAUAGGCUUCUGCUUGCUCCCCAGAAAUUAUUAAAAGUCAUAACAAGAUAAAUUUCAUCUACUUCUCAACAAAACACUAAAGUUGAAUUCUUUUUUCAAAAUAAUAAUAAUAAUAGUCAUGGAGCCUCAAAUACAACCAAAACAGAGGAUUGGGGUUGAAUUGGGAAGAUUGCAAUUCCAAAUUAUAUCUUCCCGAUUUUACUUGGAUUUCUUAAUAAUAAAUGAAAACAUUGACACAAAACCACAAAAGAAUAAAGAAAUGAAAAUGAUAAAUUAAAAGAACCAAGCAAUAGAGACUUUGAUUUCUCGAGUGCGAAAUUGCGAAGGCUGUGACACCAUCAGAAAAAAAAUAAAAAAUUAUAGAAGCUUUACCUUCAGAAAAGGGAUUUACUUGUGCUGAUUAUUUGAAGGAGUUCCCAAUAUCUUGGUGGUGGCAAAUCAGUUAGGGCAUCUCACUACUGGAGAUCAUCUAUGAAAAAGGGUUAGGGCUUCUUCAUUUGAGAUUUCUCCAGUGAUGAAGGUUGUCCGUGGUAGUUGUUUUCUGGUGAAAAAUCAUCACAAUACCCAGUAAACAUAGAGAUUCAACUUACCAAUAAUAUUUAUUGAGGUUAUCGACUUAAUAGUAGAAGGAGCAUUCCAACUGGUAGUUUUUGUCCCCGAUGAGGCUACAGAUGGGUGUCUACUGGUUGCCAUUGAGUUCAUCAGUUGUCUUUGUUAUGGCUGCUGUUGGUAGAUUGCAAGGCUAGGGUUCUUAUCUAUAAUAUCGAUGGUUUGCGAGGUGGGAGAGAUUGGGAAAAUAGAAGUGUAUAUAUAGGCAUAGAGAUAAUGACAUUUAUUACAAGCGUUAAGGUUGGCAAAUUUUACUCUAGCAGACAAUGACACUCCAAAAAAAACAUCUUAUUUAAAGCGCCAAUGAAACCUUUGAAGAAGUGCCAAUAUUUAGGUAAAUUUCGUAAGCGUCAAUAUAUUUAUUCAAGAAGCGUCAUUGUUAGCCAAAUUUCUAUAAGUGCCAUGAUUAAUACAAUUCCUUGACAUUUUUUACCAGCGUCAAGAAAAUGAACGUCAUUGAAUACAUUUUUUGUAGUAGUGAAUGCUGGCAGUUGUCAAGGCAAUAAAAAAGUGAUGUUCCUACUUGUUGGGUAAACCAUUCACAGUUCGCACUAACCACCGGAGCCUUAAAUAUCUACUGGAGCAACGGAUUACCAUUCCCGUACAGACACGAUGGCUGCCCAAAAUCCUUGGGUAUGAUUAUACCAUUGAAUACAAGAAAUGGCCAAAUAAUCAAGUUGCAGACUCUUUAUCUCGUAGAGAAGAAGUCUAUUCCAUCUCAAUUUCUGUUCCAUGUGCAGAAUGGUGGCCAACACUUCAGAGAGAGGUCCUCCAGGACCAUUUUUACACCAACUUGGAGAAUAGGCGUGCUUCACAUAAACUUGUGUAGCGCAACGGGGUUUGGUUCUAUGAUGGGAAGGUUUAUCCGAGCCCUUCAUCCACCCCGCUCUUGUUGAUAUUGGAAGACAACCACUCUUCCCCAACAGGUGGUCACUUUGGGUUUCAUAAGACACUACACCGAAUUGGCAGAAGCUUUGUGUGGCCUAAUAUGUGAUUAAUGGUGAAGAAGUUUCUACAAACUUGUGAGGUGUGCCAACAAUACAAGGCCAAUUGUAUGAAACCAACAGGUCUCCUCCAACCCCUGUCGAUUCCAACUCAAAUAUGGUCAGAUAUUUUGAUGGGCUUCAUUGAAGGGUUGCCCAACUCCAAUGGUCAUUCUGUCACCAUGGUCGUUGUGGAUCGUCUAUCAAAAUAUGCCCACUUCAUCCAUCUUAAGCAUCCUUACAUGACGGUCAUAGUUGCAAAACCGUUUGUCUCUGGUUCAACUCCAUGGCAUUCCUACAUCCAUCGUCAAUAAUAGAGACAAGGUCUUCACAAGCACCUUUUGGUAGACCUUAUUCCAGUUGUAAGGGACUAAAUUGAAUAUGAGCUCCAGCUACCACCCACAAACUGAUGGCCAAAUUGAAGUUGUCAACUGCACCUUGGAGUAGUAUAUGUGGUGUUUUGCAAGACUACAACCGAAGAAAUGGAUAGAAUGGAUUCCAUGGGCAGAGUUUAGUUACAACACCUCCACCCAUUCCUCCACCAAAUUCAGCUCAUUCGAAACAGUUUAUGGGGUGCCUUCCCCAAGCUUCCUUUCUUACAUACCGGGCACAACUCGUGUUAUGGCGGUGGAUGAAUAUCUCCAAGAUCGGGAUGCAAUCUUGAAGGAGUUACGUCACAAUCUUUGGAUGGCACAAGAUAUAAUGAAAAGCCAUACAAACCAACGUGAUGAGAUAUUCAGUUCAAUGUUGGAGACUUCAUUUAUGUGAAGUUGCAGCCUUACUGCCAGACUUCAGUGGCUUUCAAGAAGUCUUUAAAACUUUCUCCUAUUUUUUUUGGCCCAUACCAAAUUAUAGAGAAGGUCGGACCAGUGGCUUAUAGACUAUUUCUUUCCGCCGGGUCCAACAUUCAUGACCUAUUUCACGUCAGCCUCUUAUGCAAGAAUUUGGGGUCAAUCACCCCCACAUCCGCUCAACUCCCACCAGUUUUGGACGCAUCCACACUAUUGCCACAACCGGAGUCCAUCCUAGCUCAGCGCGUGAUUCAUAAAGGGAAGAAUAGACCUAGCACCGAAUUUUUGGUGAAGUGGUUGGGCGCACCAAUUGAAGAUGCCACUUGGGAGAACACGUGGCGAUUCUCCAAAGCAUACUCGAAGUUCCAUCCUUAAGGACAAAGAUGCUUCGAGGAACAGGGAAAGAUAGGAAAUCCCUGCUCCAACUCCUAUUUGCUUGCAGAUCAUAGUUAUGUGGGCAACACCAACUCCUAUUUACUUGCAGAUCACAGUUACGUGGGUAACACCUCAACACCUGGCUUGAAUUUUGAUUUGUUGCUACUUCCCUAGUCUUAGGCCCUAUUUGUGUUUUAGUUGAUGUUUCAGUUGUCUGUGCAUCUAUAAAUGCACCUGCAUGAAGUCAAUAAAGGAUAACAAAAUUCAAAUCUUCUAUCUUCUAUCUCUCCUGUCCUCUCUCAAAUUAAACUCAUCAGCAUGUUGCCAUAGAAGUGGGUAUAAGGAAGCAUAUUUCGAUCAUCCAAGGACAUUGGGUUUGACUUCACCAACAAAGCUCAGAGUUGAUACAACAAACCAUGUAAACUUAAACCUGUUACUUCAUUGAAUGAGUGCCAUAAAAAAUGGUAAAUUUUUAAUGAUAGGAAAAAAAAAACUUAUUAGGCGUUUAUCAUUUCAAAAUUUUCAAAGAUAAUUAUUUUAAAAAUAUUGAGCAAUGUUUCUAAUUCUUCUAAAAUCAAAUCCCAAAUAAACUUCAAAAUUAUGAUAGCAUGUAAAUGACUGUAGAAUAACAUACCAUUAGGAUAUUCUUAAUUUGUGUGAAACAAUAAAAAAAAUAUCACCAUGCACCCAUUUUGACUCAAUUGCUUUGGACAACUCAUGAGUUUUUUUUUUUUUUUUAAAUAAAAAAAACCCUUGUCUUUUAAAAGGAAAAAGAAUCCAUAAGCCUAAGUUUGAACAUCAUAUUAAUGAGAUGAACAAGGUUUUGAAACAUUAAAAUUUUACAAAUUUGUUGAAGUGUGCCCAAACUACCUCUCAUAGGAACAACAGUAGAAUGACAUAAAGAAAACUAGGACUGUUUCACAAAAUCGAAGGAAUAUCUUUGUGGGAAGAGAAUAAAGAGAACAAAGAGGAUGCACAUAUUCAAAAUUUGUGGCUGAGCUAUUUAAACCUUUCAUUGAUACUGGUUGAGCUUCUCUCUGUAUUCGUAGGGUGUGUCCCCUCCUCUUUUGGCACUUUUUAAUGCAUGUUCUUGUUGUCUAUCAAAAAAAAAAUAUAUUGGUUGAUCUUCUUAAGAUUGACUCUUAACAGUUUUUCUCCAUUCUUAAUUUAUAAUCAAAAGACUGGCUGAGCUAUUUCUUUGUUCUUAUUGAGUUUUGAGAUGAACCCACAUGUGUUUGUCACUCAUGGAAGGUGUGCAGAUGACAAACCUUAUGUGCCAGCCUUCUAGGUGUCCUGGGAGAAAACCAAAAAGCUUAGGUAUUCACUUCACUCCGCUGGAGGUGCCUAAAGUAUACUGUAGAAAGCUUGAAGGAGAACCAGCUCAUCAGCUUAUGAGUCAAUUAUUUGGCUGUCAUUCAAACAAAUCACUAAUUAAUAAUGUACCCAAAAUACUAUCAUUGUUAUGAAAUAAAUUUGUGGCUAGGAUAGGCUGAUAGGUGCUAGAAAGAGACUGCUUGGGAAGAAUACCAAUCAGCAUUAGUAAGGCAUCUAUUGGAAAAAGACAUGACUUCAAACUCUUUUUUUAAUAAUUUCCAAUAAACAAAGAUGAGUUUUAUGUUUGUUGAAAUACUCAAACCUCCAAGCUUGUGAUAUAAAAUCAAAACACAAAUUCAAAAACUAAUUUGCAUGGGAAUUCAAGUAAUUAGAACAGAGCAUUAGCACCAGUUUGUGACAGCAAUUUUGCAUAGACUCUUUCUAAUGAGAGUUUGUAGGGGACAUGACCAUAUGUUCUUCACAAAAUUUGAUCUUAAGAUUCUUCUCCAAUCAAACUUCUCAGACAAAGGAUGGCUUUCAAUUCAUUGUUAAUCAACAUGAUCAUUUGAAGAUGUAGCAAGGUAUCUACUUACUUCAACCAAAUCACCAACUCUAAAGAAUAAAGGGAAAAGAACUUAUUUACUCUCCUUCCUUUAACCUUUUUCUUUGUCCCAUUCACAACAAUGGUAUUUUGCUUACACAAGUCACUUGAUUUUGCGCACACAACAUUUCAGUUGAAUUACCAACGAAUAAAGGAAGAUUGGAGAGGCUUUAACGCCCUUCUUUGGAAUAAAACUAUUCUUUGUUAAAUAUUCCAAUUUCUUUUCCCUGGGUUUGUGAGACCCACUUUUUGAUUUCCCCAUAAUAACUAUGAGAAUCCAAGGUCUGUAACCAGUUUCAGACCAAUUUCUUUUGUUUUUCUUGUUUCUACUUGAGAUUCUCCCUCUCUUUCCUUACAAAGAAACCAUGGAAGUUGUUGCAGAGGUUGUUCUCCUUGUUUCCCUUGAAGUGUUGUUUAGAAAAUUGGCCUCUUCUGAUGUCCUCAAGUUUGCACCCCAAGAGCAUGUCUAGACCCAACUCAAAAAAUGGGAGAAAAAAUUGUUAGAGAUUAAUGAAGUGUUGAAUGAUGCAGAGGAGAAGCAGAUCACCAAGCAGUCCGUGAAAGCAUGGUUGGGUGAUCUCAGGGAUUUGGCUUAUGAUAUGGAGAAAAUCUUGGACGAAUUCUCCUAUGAAGCUUUACGAAAAAAGUUGAUAGUUGAAGGCAAUAGGAGCAAGGUACGCAAGUUCAUCCCUAUUAAGGCUAUGCGUAAUGUUAUGAUGGGGUCCAAGAUUAAGGACAUCACUACUCGAUUAGAAGCUAUUUAUGCCCAAAAGGCUGAGCCUGGUUUGGACAAGGUGGCUGAUAUAACCCAGUCUACUUGGGAAAGGCCACUCACUACAUCACUGGUAUACGAACCUUGGGUUUAUGGCAGGGAUGUUGAUAAACAGAUUAUCAUUGAUAUGCUGCCUAGGGAUGAACCCAUUCAAACCAAUGUUUCUGUAAUUUCCAUUGUGGCCAUGGGUGGUAUGGGCAAGACCACAUUAGCAAGGUUGGUGUACGAUGAUGCUGAGACAACCAAGCAUUUUAACGUAAAAGCCUGGGCUUCUGUAUCAGAUUAGUUUGAUGUAGUGAGAAUAACCAAGACAAUCCUCAGAUCAGUCACUUGUUCAAGUGAUGAUUUGCUAGACUUCAAUCAAAUUCAAGAUAGAUUGAAAGAGGAACUGAAGGGGAAAAAAUUUCUUUUGGUUAUAGAUGAUAUAUGGAACGAGAAUUAUGAUGAUUGAAAUUGCUUGCGGUCCCCUUUAUGGUCAGAAGCACCAUGAAGCAAAAUCAUAAUUACUACACGGAGUAAAAAUGUUGCAAAUAUGAUGGGAGGAAAUAAAAACUUUUAUGAGCUAAAACAUUUGUCUGAUGAUGAUUGUUGGUUGGUGUUUCAGAAACAUGCUUUUGAAAAUAGAAAUAUCAAUGAGCAUCCAAAUUUGGCAUUGAUUGGUAGGGAAAUUGUAAAGAUGUGUGGAGGCUUGCCUUCGGCAGCAAAAGCACUUAGAGGUCUUCUACGCCAUGAAGAAAGAGAAGAUAAGUGGAAUAUUAUACUGACUAGCAAAAUAUGGAAUUUUCCAGGUGAUAAAUGUGGUAUUCUUCCAGCAUUAAGAUUAAGUUAUAAUCAUCUCCCUUAUCCUCUCAAGAGAUGUUACAAUUACUGUGCGAUAUUUCCGAAAGACUGAAUUUGACAAGAGAGAACUAAUUCACUUAUGGAUGGCAGAGAGUCUAAUUCAACAAUCAGAAUGUUAUGAGAAACAAAUUGAAAUUGAAGAUUUAGGCCAUGACUACUUUCAAGAAUUGUUAUCUCCAUCAUUUUUUCAACCAUCAAGUAGAUUUGUUGCUGGAGAAAUAUGUUUUUCUUUGGAAGAGACUUUGGAAGAAAAUCAAAACAAACUAUUUCUAAAAAGGUUUGUCAUUCAUCAUUAAUUUGUAGUGAACAUGAUGUCUUCAAAAAAUUUGAGGUCUUUCACAAGAUGGAGUAUUUACAUACAUUUAUCCCAUUACCAAUUGAUGUAUCAUGGGGUAGUUAUUGGUUAAACAAUAAGGUACUUAAGGAAGUAAUGCCCAAGCUAAGACAUCUAAGGGUGCUUUUGUUGAGAGGUUACAAAAUAAGAGAGAUACCAACUUCAAUUGGUGAUUCGAAAUAUCUUAGGUAUCUUAAUUUAUCCCGAGCCAGAGUUGAAUGGUUACCUAAAUCAAUAGGUAACUUUUAUAACUUAGAGACAUUAGUAUUAUCAAAUUGUGAGAGGCUUAUUAGAUUGCCUUUGAGCACUGAGAACCUAAAUAAUCUUCAACACCUUGAUGUAACUGAUACAUAUCUAGAAGAAAUGCCUCCACCAAUUUGCAAAUUAAAAAGCUUAGAAGUAUUGUCUAAUUUUAUUGUGGGUAAAGACAAUGGUCUGAAUGUAAAGGAGUUAAGGAAUAUGCCCCAUCUUCAAUGGGGACUUUGCAUUUCAAAGUUGGAAAAUGUAGCAAAUGUUCAAGAUGCAAGGAAUACUAGUCUAAACAAGAAGCUCAAGCUUGAAGAAUUGAUGAUAGAGUGGAAUGCUGGAUUAGAUGAUUCACACAAUGCAAGGAAUCAAAUAAAUGUACUUGACUCUUUACAACCACACUUCAAUUUGAACAAACUAAAAAUUGAGUAUUAUAGUGGUCUAGAAUUACCCUGUUGGAUAGGAGAUGUUUCAUUCUCUUAGAUGAUGGAUAUAAAUCUAGUGAAUUGCAAAAAUUGCACAUCUUUGUCGUGUUUGGGGUGGUAACCCAUGCUUAAACACUUAGGGAUUGAAGGAUUGGAUGAAAUAAAAAUGGUGGGUAGAGAGUUUUAUGGAGAAACUUGUCUUCCCAAUAAGCCAUUCCCGUCCUUGGAGUCUCUAUGUUUUUUGAAUAUGCCACAAUGAGAAGAUUGGGAAAGUCCAUUUUUAUCAGAGCCAUAUCCUCGUCUCCUUUACCUUUCAAUCCGAAACUGCCUCAAAUUAAUUAAGAAAUUACCCACUUACCUACCUUCCCUGGUACAUCUCUUUCUGAAUUAGGGAUACAAGAUUGCAAUGAGGCGGUACUAAGAAGUAGAUUGGAAUUGCCUUCACUCACCAAGUUAAGAAUUCAUUCUAUGCUAGGACACCAAAUUACAUGAUUGUCGGGGCUUCAAGUUUUAGAAAUUUAUAAGCAUGAUGAAUUGACGUGUUUGUGGGAAAAUGGAUUUGAUGGUAUUUAACCAUUGCAAACUAGCAGCUGUCUCGAGCUUGUAUCUUUGGGAGAGACAGAAAAGCACGAACUGCCUAACAAGCUUCAAUCUUUGCAAAUAGAGUGGUGUAUUAACCUAGAGAAGCUUCCAAAUGAACUGCACAGGCUAACAUGCCUUGGAGAGUUGACAAUCGGUGGUUGUCCAAAGCUAGUGUCAUUUCCAAAUUUGGGUUUCCCGCCAAUGCUUAGACAUCUUGAUAUAUUUUAUUGUGAAGGUUUAAGAUGUCUACCUGAUUAGAUGAUGCUGAUGAAGGAUGGUAGCAAUAAUAGUAGCGACAUGUGUCUCCUUGAAUACAUGAAAAUAAAAAAGUGUCUAUCUCUCAUUUGCUUUCUAGAAGGGCAGUUACCCACCACCCUUAAGCAACUACACAUAUCCGAUUGUGAGAAUCUAAAGUCUCUCACGGAAGGAAUGAUGCACCGCAAUUCCAUUGGCAUAAACAACUUGGAAUACUUAAGCAUACGAAUAUGUCCAUCUCUCAUUGGUUUUCCAGAAGGUGAGUUACCCACCACACUCAAGGAACUCAAGAUAUAGAGGUGUGAAAAACUAGGGUCUCUACCAGGGGGAAUGAUGCACCAUGAUUCCAACACCACCAUCGCCACCAGUGGUGAUGUUCAUGUCUUGAACAUUUGGGAAUGUCCAUCUCUCAUAUUCUUCCCCAUAAGCAAGUUUCCUUCCACCCUUAAGAAACUUGAGAUUAGGGAUUGUGCACGACUGGAGUCGAUUUCAGAGAAGAUGUUUCACUUCAAUAAUAGUUCACUAGAAUGUUUGGUGAUCUCGAGGUAUCCAUAUCUCAAAAUCAUACCAGAUUGCCUUCACAAACUCAGAGAAUUGGAUAUUUAUAAUUGUGAGAAUGUGGAGCUGCUACCUCAUCAGCUGCAAAACCUCACUGCUCUUACAUCACUUACUAUUUCUCAUUGUGAGAAUAUCAAGACGUCUCUAUUCCAAUGGGGCCUUGCCACACUUACCUCUCUUAAACACCUCACCAUUGCUCGCAUAUUUCCACAAGUUGCCUCCUUUUCAGAAGGUCAAAGACUACCACUUCUUCCUACAAACCUCAUUUAUAUUUCCAUUAAAGAUUUCCAGAAUCUGAAAUCCCUGUCCUCCCUAGCUCUCCAAAUCCUCACCUCACUUGAAAAGCUAUGGAUCCAAUGCUGCCCUAAGCUUCAAUCAUUUUGCCCAAGGGAAGGGCUGCCUGACACCCUUUCACAACUAUAUAUCAGAGACUGCCCACUCCUAAAACAAAGGUGCUAAAAAAGGAGAGGACAAGAUUGGCCCAAAAUCGCCCACAUCCCCUAUGUGAAAAUAGAUAAUGAAAGUCAUCUUUGAUCAAUAGCAAGUUAAGAGAUUGCAGAACAUAGCAGAACAUAGAAGCAAACACCAUUCACCCAUCUCCCAUCUUCACAUUAAACAAGGUAUGCCUAUUUUUUCUCUUUCAAUUUCUCAUAUACAUUAUACUAGUUUCCCCUAUUAAUUAUCUGUAAGUUUCUUACUCAAAUUUUUGUUGAAAAUUUACCAGGAAGUGGCUUUUGAAAUGGCUCAGGAUUGAUAUUUUCUCUUCAAUCUGCCACAAUUCUAUGUAAGCACCAAUGUUUUUGUCUCUCCAAAUUCUAUUAUCAAAAUUUUAUCCAUAAACUCCAUUCUUAUGUAGUUCUCAGUUUUCCUUUUCCUUUGUUCUUUUUAGUUCUUUGUGAGCAUUGAAGUUGAUGAUGUGAUACUUACAACUAUAAAAGGAAAAGAGAGGAUUUAUUCCAUUUAAGAACACGUGGAAUAUUUGGCAAUGGCUACUGAUUAGCAGUGUCUUCUUCAGUUCCUCGUGAGUAUCAUCAAUUGUACUAUUCAAUUACAUUUUUUUAAUAUAAUUUUCUGAUUUCCAGACUAGAGUGCAUGGUGACAUAAACAGAACUAGAAAGAAAUGCAAUUUAUCAAAAUUAAAUAGUUUUGCUAACUAAAUGACAUUAUCAAUUCCCUUGUGCAGCCAUGACGUUUAAGUUGAACAUAUUAGAUGUCAUGUUAGAUACUAUCCAAUGUUUUGUCAUCUGGAUAUCAAUUUUUUACAUUUAUGAUUUAGGUUCUCAAAGAGGAUGGAACUUGGGUAUUAUAUCAAAGACUUCAAAGUAUGGAGUGAAUGCAGCCAAUUCUAGUUGUCCCUUGUUGUUCCUUUUUUUACUAUAUUUGAGUGUGAACUGGAGACAAAGAAUAACCCAACAAGACUAUGGUGAGUGACUCUCGAUUAUGUAUUUUGUUUAUUUAUAUUUAUAUUUCUAUUUUAAUGACUAUUUUUCUCGAGUUUUCUUCUUGUCCACGGGAUGCUCAUUCCCAACAUGCAAUUUUUCCUCUUUCUCUCCUUAAUACUACUUUCUAUUUCUCACACAUAUAUUAUUGCAAUUUGUUGCCAUUUUACUUGGCUACUUGUGAACAGUAAUAAUAAGUCCUAUAGUUUUAUGUACUAAAUUGUUUACAUUGAUGAUGCAGGUGUCAAAAGGAUGGGUCCAAAGAUCACAAGAGGUAAAUGUGGUAUUUUUAUUGUGUUGGCAGACUAGAAUUUUCCUCCUAUAUCAAAGCCUUAAAAAACAUAGAGUGAAUGUUUCAAGGAUCACUGGCACUUUAUUACUAAAUUUUAGUGCAACAAAAAGAUGAUAAAGUACAACCUAGCAAGAAUGUGGUGCAUGACUUUAAUUUAUAUAGUUGAUCUAUAUAUUUUUGUAUUCUAAGGACCAUCUUCUUAAAAUUUUCUUCUUUUAUGACUUGUGAUAGAUUUUUUAGUGCUUUAGAGAGGUUCACAGAAUCAAGAUUUAAUUUGCAUCUUUAAUCAACAAAAGCUUUUUUUCCUGCCAUCUUGGGGAAGCUGCUUAUAGAAUAAGGUUGCAUGGUCUUAUGUAUCAUUCAAAAGUUGAGAACCAUCCGGUGCCUGAAACUCUUGUCUUUCACAAGAACCGGUUUCAUAAUAGCCUAAUUAAUCUCGUCUUUAUGACUGGUUGGAGAUAUCAUUUGAUUUCUGAAAAAAUGUAAGCUACUAUCAUAUUUACAUACGCCUAGUUAUACAUAUGUGAGCUAAAAAAAAAUGGCUUUGCUUGUAGUUCCUCAAGUUUUUAAUUUGAUAAAAUCGUGUCUCUUCUUUUGAAUUUUGUAGGUCUUAUAGGUGCAUGUCCCGAGUGCCAUAGUAUAAGUAUUUUUCUUCUUGUUGAAUGGAAUUUGGGUUUUAUAUUUGGAGGCUCAAAGUUUAGUGAAUGUGGCAAAUGCCUGUUGUCACUUGUUAUUUUUGUUUCUAUUGUUGAUGUUGAGAGUGUAGAAUGAGGAUAAACAACAACAUAGCAAGAUCAUGGUAUGUUACAAAUUUUAUUUUACAUUUUUAUUGGUUUUUUUAGAUUCCUAUUUUUAUUGACUUUUUUUUUUUCCUUUAAAUUUUCUAUGUUUGUGACUUGAGUUGUUCCCUAAGCACUUGCUACAAAGAGGAUUUUGGCACUGAAAUUAUCCUUAGACAUUGCUUAGUUCAACUGUCUUCAGUAGACAUGAACCUUUUUUUUGUGCUAACUUGGAAAAGUUGCUAAUAAGACUGAAAAGUCACACAUCUCUUAGAGAGUUGAGAAUCACACAUUUCUUUGGGUUCUUUCUGAGGAUUGGUUUGCCAUCCAUGACAUGAAGUCUUGUGCUCAGUUGUUGUGAUGGUUUGAAAUUGCUCUCUGAUGGAACUAUGACCUAUAUAAACAACUGCUUCUAUUUGUUUUACAUUGAUGAAUUGCUUAUCUUUGUGCAUUAUUUUGCGGAAAGGAUUUUUAUGAGCACUACCUUUUUUUUUUAUAUAUAUAUUUCGUUUUAUAUUGAUGCAUUUCAUAUUACUCCUUUUAGGUGGAUGCGCAAUGCUAAUCUAGCUUUCCCCCUUUUGGAUGUCCUUUUAACCAUGGUUAGGAUUCAUUAAAAAUGACUUUAAUCAUACCUAUAAUUUUUUUUAAGGUCAGUUAUAACUUAUACAAAUUAACCUUAUUAUGUAACUCGAAAUGCUUAUUUUUAAACCAAUAUAUUUCUACUGGCAAUUUAUGUGUUUUUCACUACAUUUUUUCCCAACAAUGAGGAAGAGAGACAAUUUUCUUGGUAGCAUACUAUGAUUCACAGAGUAUAAACUCUUGCAGAUUGAAAGAGAGACAAUUUACAUAUCAUUCAACAGUGAUCGGUAAGCAUUCUUAUAUGUUUACAACUUCUUCAUUUGUAUGGUUUGCCUUUUAUGGCAUUUACUCUCUUGUUACUCACAUAAAAAAAAAAUACCUAAUUUACCUUUCAAAUAUAAAAUGCAGUUAUGCAGGAAGGCCACAAAUUGAAUAUGAUAAAAUGGGAAAUGUGUUUCGAGACAAUUUUAUGUUCUUGCAUUAUAAGGUUUAGUAAUUGUAUUUAGUUUUAUAAUAAACAACCAUCUAUUGACUUUGGAUUUGGAAUUUAACGCUAAUGAGUGUUUACUUAUUUUUAAUACCUUUUUUAGGAAUCUAGUUAAUGAGAUUUUGCCGACAAAAAACCAGAGGUUUGUUAACUCUCCUACUAUUAGAGACUAGUUCUCUUGCAUAAAUUUCAAGCAAAAUUAUAACCCUCUUCAUUGAUAGUCUUUUAUAUUGGAAUUAAACAUAUUGGUGUCUUUGAAUUAUUUAAAUAUUGGAAACCAAUUAAGAAGUCAUGCAAUGGCAAUGUGAAUCUUGAUAUACAUACAAAUAAGAUCCAUUAUGUUAUUUUUCUUGCUAAAGAAUCAAAACAGAUGCUUUUGAUUUGGACUGUUUCAGACUUCAUAUCUUUUGUUUCACUUAUGAUACUGCCAUCAGUUUGUGAAUUGGGAAUGUCAUUAAGAACUUUGGAGCUUAACCAUCUGGCCUUUUUCAGUUCCUUAAAGAUUGGUAAUAAUGCAAGGAUCAAUUCUUUUCUCAAAGUGGCUUAUGGUCGCAUUGGCAGAUGUGAAAUUAUCAGUGACUGUUCAUUGUAAAGAAAUCUUGUUACUGUGGCAGGAGAAUAGAUUGCAACAUAAUCUCAAAAUUUUGGGGGACUUUGGUAUCAACACCUUUCUGGAACUCAGAUUUCUAAAUGAAAUAAUGCAAGACAUCAACACAUUCUCAGAACUCUUUAAGCUUUCCAAAUGUGAUGUUGGUGUCUUAAUGAGAGGCUAACUUUCUUCAAUGUUGCUAAAAUUGUUGUCCAUAUAUCCUAUAUGGGAGUCCACCCAUGGACAAGAAAUGCAUGUUGGUCUAUCUUCGACUUUCACUAUUUCACACCCUAUUGCCUGAAGUUGCAUUACCUGCCAUAAUUAAACAUUUUUUUAUUUAUCAUUAUGACAAACUCUUGAAUUACCCUCCUCAAGCAUCUGGCCUCACCUCAGGCUUUUGGAAUUAUCUAGUUGAUCACCAGACAACCUUCCAACUACCCUAAGGACUUGGUACAAAGUAGACUCAAUGCAAGUGAUUCAGAGUUACCCCUACCUAAUCCAUCUCGAUGUGUUUGGUAAAAUGAGGUCCAUCAGAUUUUAUGGCCAUUAUCUCAUGGUAGUGGAUGUUUUGAACCAGAGUCUAAAACGAAGUCAUCACUGCAGGUUAUGGCCAUUAUCCCAUUGCAACAGAUGUUUUGCACUAGAGUUUAAAACCAAGUCAUUGAUAAAGUCCAUAGUGAUGUCAUUGAUUUUAUUCUAAACCCAUCAAAAACAAUAUGAGAUUCACUUUGAUUUCAAGUUAUGCAAGAUCUAUAUGAGCUCAAAUGUUUUGAGACUUGAUUGAUGAAUAUCAUGUGUGGACUCGCAUUUUUCACAUGCAUCCCCACUCAAUCGACGAGACUCGCUUUUAUUUGUGAAAAAUUACUUUUGGAAAAGUCGAAGUCGCCACUUAUUUUAUUUUAUUUUAAAGGGAAAAUAAAACAAGAAAUAAAACCCUAAAAAAAUGACUCCAUAGUUUUUGGAAAAGAGCGUUUUUGAAAAACCCGAGUCUAGGUUCGGGGAUCAGGUUACCCAUUAGGAAAGUACCUCUAAAAGGUAGCACCCCUCUAGGCCUUAUAAAGGUCUCUACUGACUAAGUUGAGGAAGAUGAGGCAAUUAAUUGAUUAAUUGAAGAUACCUAGGUAGACUAAGGUGAUUUCAAAAAAUAGCAUGCCAAACAAGAAAGUCUGACCAUAAGAGAGAGUCAAAGUGCAUACCUGAACGGCUUCUCAAGCGCCAUAAAAAAGCAUCAAAGGUUAGUUUGAAAAUAUGACACAUAACAUACAUUUUUAUCAAAGACGAUCAAACAAUCAAAUAAAUAUCAAGACAAUCAAGCAUGACACCAAACAAAGGCAUGGUACACAGAGACAUGGAUAUUCAUGGAAUUUUGAAAAUGGGAUGAUGAAGAACGUACGUGGACAAUGAGUUGAGCGCUAAAGUGAGGAACAAGGUUAGCUCAAUAAUAGAUGUAAAAUAAUCUCAUGUACCAUAAAAAAGGAGGCACAAUCGAUCAUAUAUCAAGCAAACAAUAUCGAAGAGAAUAUCAUGAAUGUUGGGCCCCCACCAAAGCCUUAAUUAAUUUUGCAUGAAUUGGUUCAGUGAAUUCCGUUGCUUGGAAUCAUGAAGUUUCUUCAUGCUUACUUAAAAAUGAAAAUCAAGAAAAUCAUUUGAAAACAGUGAAAAUGCAUACCAGAGGAAAACUUGGCAGCAACGAGUUUGUUAAAAUCUAGAUCUUACUGCUUAAGGAAGGACUGAGGACGAUUCUUUAAAGUAAGAAUUAUUUGGAUGAAAAUGAUUUUGAGAACACAAUUUAAAAUACGUAAAAACACGAGGAUAACAAGAGGGUGCAAGAGGAAGAGGGUAAUGUGCACCAGAAUGGUCGUGCUAGAGUGGGGCUUGGGGGUCUAGCUAUGACUACGUGUCUGGUGAUUGUAGGUGCUGCUAUUAUUCUCUCUAAAUUUUUCCAUUCCUACUCUCUUGCACGCAUUCAAAUACCUUACAUCACUGCAUUUUAGAGCCUUUUCUAAUUCCUUGAAAUCUCCUACAUUCGAACUUACUUCCAAGAGCUUUGGCAUUAAUUCCUCGUAUGAAUCUCUGAAAUUUGCUGAGAAAUUUGUUCUUUUUGGACUUCCAUUUCUGAUAGUUGAAGAACUGAAGGCUGAAGAAUCAUAUCCAAUUGGAUUCAGCUUGAGAGGGUAACCAUAGGUCGUGGUCAAAAAUGAAGUUGAUUUCCUUUUCCUCAGACCUUUCUGUAUGUCCAUGUUCAUCUGUUAGCAGCAUGACUUCCUCCUUAGGCUUGUGGUGCAGGGAAUUGCCUAAGUCCUCUACAUGCAAUUGAGCCAUCAGCGAGCUGUUAAUUUUUCAGCUCAUGAUAUAAGUGAACGUUAAACUAUUGAAGAUAUACUAGUCCUUCCACGUCAACACAUCGAUCCGCUUGAAGUCGCCCAAUUUCUUUGGCAAAUCUCCAUUUUUUUUAUGUCUCAAACUAUAAUUCAGUUUCUUUACUUCUUCUACCUCAGAACAAAACUUACAAAUCAGAAUUCUCCAACUGCAAUUUUAUAUUAGGAUUCUUCAACUUUCCUACUUUGUUCUCUGAAUCAAGUUUGGACAUCACCACCUGUUUCAAUUUUUGGAGACCAAUUUCAGAUCCAAAGGUAGGGCUUUCUAUCCCUCUUGUAAUUGAGAGUGCAAAUUCUGCAGAUUCUACAAUUCUCCUAGCAUCUGCUUCUGGUUUUCCUCAAGCUCCUGGACAAGGGUUUCAUAGUAACACUCCAUCUGGUCCAUUUUUCUUGCAAGGCUUUCCCAUUCAGCUUUAGACCCAUCAAACUCUCUCUUUGAAGUUCAAAGAAUUUGUCUUUUAUUGUAUUGGUAGCAUCUAGAGAAUCAGGUACAAUAGAAACUAGGCCAGAUACACUAAACAAUGAAGAAAAUCUUUAGGUUGAUAUAAUUCAGCAUCAAACCCAAUUCCUGAUACAAAUUGUUGUCUUUCUCUCAUCUCCUUUAUGUUUGCAGUUUCUGAUGGUAAGGCAUUGAACAUAGAAAUUGCUUGUCCAAUUCUUUGUUUGAGGUCCUUAGUUUGAAACUCUCGUCUUUUCCUCCAUAUUUAAAAGUCCUUUUAGCAAUCUCAGCUGUGAAUCUUCAAAUCUAUGAUCCUAAUCUGUCCGGAUAAUUUCCUUCCUAGCGAAUUCGGGAAUUGACUUAGAAUUUCUAAGAUGUUCAAGGUCCUCCUUGAGUUUUGAACACUCUAAUUUCAGUACAGAAACCUCUUCUACAAAACCUCUCCUGAAGCAAUCUCAACAAGAAGUUGUUCAGCGAACUUUUGUGUUUCAACACCUAUUUCAUCAACAUGACUUUAUAGAGAGCUUACCUCCAGCUUAAGCUCAAUAAUAGAAGACUCUACAACUUCCGAGCUUCUUCUAAUCCUAUUAUUCUCUUCAUAAGCAAUUGCCCAGUCAUUAUUCGCAGAAUAAUCUGGACUCCAUCCAUGGACCCAAUCAUUGCUUCCCUGUGCCAAAAACCUCUGAUCUGAUGGGUCCCCUUUCUCCGUCUGAGGGCUUUGAAUGUAGGAAAGUCCAUUUAAAUCACCAGAGAUUAUGCUUUUAAGGCUAUCGAUUUCAUGUGUGCUGGAGGUAUCAUGCUGUUCAGCACAUAAACUUUCUGAUGUAUUCAAUGAGCCAUCAAAUCCAAUAGUUGAGUCAAAAUAUUCAUCAUUUAAUCCUCCAUCUUCUUCGAGUGAAGGAAGCUCCGUUAAUUCUGGUUUGAAUCUAACCCUUGCACUGAUUUUAUCCAUGUGUUCAUUGACAGUUUCUUUGGAUGAUAAUGCCUCUCCUCCAUUAGAUCCAUCACGCUUAUUUUGUCUAGUGUUCAUCUGCAACCCUCUCUCUCUCAGUUUCAUCUGCUGCUCAAACUCUCUGAACCCGUUUUUAGAAGUUAACAUCUUCACAAUAACAUGUAAUACAGAUUCAGAAUUGCAUCCAUGAAGAGGCAGUGCAACAAUAUAAGGCUUUAGAGCAAUGGAAUAAUCAGCAAGGAUGAUAUUAGCCUCACCCAGGAUAUUAGACCGUGAAGAACCUAUUGCGACAAUAACUUUAUAGAGCUUCUCAUCGUACUGAUUGGUUAGUCUUGUUUGGAAGUUGAGCGUUCACAUCAACUUUCAUACGUCAAAGGAGGUAUGGCAUACUCAAGUCACGUAGGACUACUGCACACCUGUAAACGGUGGAUACUUGUAAUGGAGAAGCAUUGCCAUAGCCACCAACAAAUAUAGGAACUGCAAAUUCUGCUUCAAAUAUAUGCAACACUCUCAACUUCCCAGGGAAUAUAAAAUCGAACAAAGACCACAGCUCAGCCAACUUAUUCUGAAUUGACGCACCAGUCGUUAUUAUACGAUGAACAGUCUGUAACUGUUUAUGGAGUAUGGUAACUUCAGCAUUUGAAUUCCGAAUUCGGUGUUCUUCAUCUAAAAUUGCAUAACCCCGUUUGAUAUCAAGUAGCUUUCCAGCUUGCAACCGGAUUGGCUCAUAAGUAGUGAUAAGUAAUCUACUCUGUGACCUCAAAACACGGUUUAUACUUGGUUUAUACAUAUUACUGAAAUGCAAUGCUCCAAGAAAAGACAAUACAUGGAUAGUCUUGCCAAGUCCCAUCUCAUCUCCAAUAAUUCCACCUACUUGUUGGCAAUGCAGUUCCCACAGCCACUGAACCUCCACCUUUUGAUAAUAAAAAAGUUUGCUGAAAAUGCUUUCAGGUAUUCUCAGACCACCUUCAAGUGUUACAUAAGGGGGGUUCAAUAUCAUCUAUAUCUUCAAUAUCUUUUUGGUUUACUUCUUCAUUAUUGGAGGUCACUAAGUUGUCAGUUGUAUCUUUCAUCAUGAUCUGUCUCCUCAAAUUCUAAGAUUAAAGCACCUGUAGAAAUAUUCUAAGCUAUGUCUAUGCUGGAAGAUAGACAAGAUUGCCUCUUAACUUCACUUCGAACAAUUGGAAUUUUUGAACCCUUACGAUUUGGAUGGCAAGGUGGCUCUGAAGGGGGCCAAUUUCUAAUCAGACUGCACAGCCUUCGAAUCGCAGUUUUUGCUUUAAGAAGUGGAACAGAUUCACCAAGAGAUGCAAGGCUUUGAUCCAGUUUUAAUGUAGAAUUUUUAGAACCAGUCAUUGUCAAACUACUCACUAUACAUUCUGAUUCAAACAAAAUCCUUUCUAUCAAAUGAGUUUCAUUCCAUCGCCUACCUCAAUCCUUUUUUAAUUUUGAACAUGAGAGAAAGAGAGCAUUAUAAAUUUUGUUUUGAUUUUCCAUUUCAAAUAGCAUUUACCUCAGCUUUUGGAGAAUAGUUUCAUCAUCUGGCCUAACCAUUUGCAAUGCUUCUGGAAAUUCUUACAGCCUGCAUUAUCUUGAUCACUUGGUUUGUUGUGAAAACUGCUUGUUUCUAUGAGAUGAGCAAAUAUUGAUUCUGCACUCUGCGUAUAGGUGGCUACCAGAAACUCCACUCUUUCAUCACAAACUGAGUCUUAAUUAUGGGCUAAGUUAUAUUGAAGCAUUAGAAAUCCUCCACUUAAAAUAUUUGAGCAUUCCAGAACCUCUUGGCAGAGUAUCAUCCAGAACUAUGGGAAACAAAGGCGAAAUGCUUGGCUGGAUUUAGGGCAAUGUAAUCCUCCAGUAGUGUAGUGAUUUCGAUGUGUUCCUGGCUGAUUUCAAAAGCAUUCUGUUAUUCUUUGAGGUUCUUAUAGCUGUUUGAACAUGAUGUGCUGUUGUUCCGACUGAAAAUCGUUAAACCUAGAUGGUUGUCUCGGACGAGGUUAUGGCAUAACUCGUUGUUGGGACUUGAUGAAAUGCUGCUGCACACCAAAGAAAGUUGAAAUUAGGAGUUUCAACAGUUUCAGACCUUUCUGAAUUUGUUGUCAGAGUAGGACUAUCCUCAGAAGCACUCUUUUGCUUGUUUGCAGAUUCUUGUGCCCAAAUAUAAGGUCAUUUGAAUUCAAUUAUUGGUAUCUACUGUAACUCUUUGAGAACUGAGGCCUCAGAAUUACAUGUGCAUGGUUUUGAUCAAAUGACACUCGCAAAGACUCACCACCAUGUCCUAUCAUAGAAUCUAAUUGUUGUACAUUGAGAUUAUUCAAAUUGAAAUUUAUAGCUUCUGCAAUCUGCCUCUAUUUUCCAACCCACUGAUUAUAAUUUAUAGGCCAACUCUCACCAACAGCUUGAGAUUGAAGGUGGCCCUGGGAAGAAUUGUCAUGCUCAAAGGAAUUGCAAAUCCUGUCUUCGACUUCGUUACUAGGCACAGAUAAUAAAGCCAAAAAAAAAUUAGCUAGUUCUUCUUUUCCGUGAAUAGGGACUGUUAAAUAAUGUAGUUAGUUAUACUCAGCUGUAGGUAAUGUUAAUUUGUGUUAGGAUCUGCCACGUGUAUGGUUGUUUUUUCCUUUCCUUCACUAUAUAAAUGUAUCCCAGGCUCAUUUUGCAUUGAGUUGGAAUUCUGUAACAUUCUCUAUUUUCCUUUUUUCUCCAGUCUCUCUUUUCUCUCUGUUUUCUCUUUUCUUCUUGCCUGCAUUUCAUCUUGGUAUCAGAGCCAAAAAUGUCCAACACUACUUCCUCUCCGACAACCCUAACUGCAAAUCCCCAAAAUAUUAACCCAACUCCAAUCUCCAGUCCGAACAUUACCCAAACCAAUUACCCAUCUCUUUCUUAGCCUCUAACUAUCAAACUAGAUGAAACGAACCUGCUUCUAUGGAAAAAUCAGCUUCUGAAUGUGAUCGUAACCAACAGGUUGGAAGAUUUCAUUGAGGGAGAAACGCCUAUACCAGCCAAAUUCUUGGAUGAUGCCCAACUGCAGAUCAACCCACUCUUCAUACAAUGGGAACGAAUGAAUAGACUUGUCAUGAGCUGGAUCUAUUCUUCCUUAACUCUUGCCAUGGUAAGAAGAAUUGUAGAAUACAAGACUGCUCGGGAAAUAUGGGGAGCUCUGAAUAGAGUCUAUUAGUCUCCUUCGAUUGCUACUGUGGUAGGGCUGAACUCUCAACUUCAGAAGAUUAAAAAGGAAGGUAUUACUAUUUCUGAGUAUCUUGCUCGUAUUAAGGAAGUCUUUGACAAGUAUUCUGCCAUGGGUGAGCCAUUAUCUUACAGAGAUAAACUGAUGUAUACCCUAAAUGGAUUGACUGAGGAAUAUGAUGGAUUUGUGACCUCCAUCUAUAAUAGAUCUGAUAAGUCUUCUUUAAAAGAGGUUCAUAGUCUUCUUUACACUUAUGCAUAUUGGUUGGAGCAAAGGAAUACUGCACAACAGCUUCAGUUUUCUCAGGUUAACCUCACUGCUUAUUCCGGCCAAAACAAAUUUCACAAAAAUCAGCAACCCAAUUUUCCAAAAUACCCACAAAAUUCAUAUUCAUCUUUUCCAAACAAGCCUAUUAAUCUCUAUCAGUCCUUUCGUCCAAACUCCCAACCUAGCAUCCUUGGAAAACCUCAAGGACAACCACAAUCAUCUUCUAAAUGGUUUCAGAAACAAGGAACAGGAAAUUUUGGACCAAGGCCACAAUGUCAAAUUUGUGGGAAGUUCGGUCAUAUGGCCUUAAAUUGUUAUCAUCGAGCAAACUUGAACUACCAACCACAGUUUCCAAAUUCUCAACCCAAGCCUCAACCUCCAAAUCCCAUAGCUGCAAUGCUCACUACUUCAACAUCUCCCACUAUGCCCUUUAAUAAUUGUGAUACUCCUUGGUAUAUGGAUUCUGGAGCAACACAUCACUUUACACCAGAGUUUGGCAACUUAACAGAUCCUUGUGUGUUAACUGGUGAUGAGCAAGCUAUGGUGGGCAAUGGUAAGUCAAUUAGAAUUUCACAUAUUGGUAAUGCUAUGAUUUCAAGCCUAUGAAACCGAUUCAUUUAAAACAUGUCUUGCACACUCCUCAAAUCUCAAAACAACUCAUCAGUGUCACUAAGCUUUGUUCUAAUAAUCAAGCUUUUGUUGAAUUCUAUUCCUCUCAUUUUCUUGUGAAGGAUCAAGCCUUGGGGAAGGUACUUCUUCAGGGAAUACUUGAAAAUGGACUCUACAAAGUUUCAUUAUCAGUCAGUACUUCACCAUCUCUUGUUGUCUCCUCUUCAUUAGCUUCACUUUUAGUUCCUGCUACUCAAUUAUCCUUCAAUCGUGCUCAAGCCUUCAUCACUCAGCAUAAUAAUAUCAUAUUGUGGCAUAAUAGACUAGGACACUGAUUCAUGCCCAGUCGGGUGUUUAUCAAAAUAUUUAUAAAAACUACAACACCUUAUACUAGGGUAGAAAGACAAAGCUACUAUAGUAUAGUGGUUCUAGGAUCGUCCACAGGGAUGGGUUUUCUUUGUACACUUGACAUUAAUGAAAUGAGAAAUGGUGAUUGCCUUUUUGAAAGUUAGUUUUUAAAUGAAAAUAAGAUUGAUUGGAAGGGUUGAUUUUAAGUUAAACAAACAUAAACAACUGAAAUUACUACAAAGAGAAAAUCUCUUGGAGCUAUAGGUUACUAGGAUCAGGUUCCUAUUGCAAAGUGGAAAAUUUCGGAUCUUCUCCUCACAUUGGGGACAAUAACAUAAAGGAUGGUUAUCUACCAAACCGGAUUUGUAUUUAACAAAUAAGUUUUGAUCCAAAGGGUUCUUGAAAAAUGGUAAUUGCUUCCCAUUAAUGGCUUCAAACACUAAAGACCCUCACCUUGAACCACCUUCCAAUGACUCGUACUUGAUAACUAAUGGACAUCCAUGGAUCUAGCAAUAAGCAUCCAUAGAAUCCUAAAAGCUUACCAAGUAUUGGCCAUUCAAGGUGAUUCUAAGGGAUUAAAGCUUAAACUUGAAAUACAAACCAUUAAUAAUACACAAGUACCUUCAUUUAAAGCAAGGAAAACUCCCACCUUUGCAUCUGGGUCCUUUACCUAGCUUCCAUCACUCAAAGAAACAUGAAACUUAGCCACUCAUCCUCUGAAAAAUCAUCAUUAGAGGGUGUUUGGCUAUAGAGAAUGUGAAGAGAAAAUGAGAAAGAAAGGUGGAGAAAAACUCCCGUAAAUUUCCUUCAAAAAUAGUCUUUACAAAAUAUCAAAAACAUCACAUCCUUUGAGAGGUUUUCCAACCCCUAUUUAUAGUUCCUAAACAAACCCUAAUGUCAUUUAUCUAUUAUAAAAGGAGAAAAAGGAAAAAUUACAAUUCUGGAGAAAAAUCUCGAAGGUCGAUGCGCACAAAGUGAUUUUCGCAAACCUUGCCAAAUUUUGGCACACCUUGUGAAAUCGAUGAUUUUGUCUUGCGAAAUGCUCUGUUUUCCUCCAUCUUACUUUUGAAAGUUUUGGUAACCCCUUGCCAAGUUUGCCAAGGGGUUUUGAAGUGCUCCAAAGCUCAAAAUUUUCAUGUGAUUGAUCUUCAACUUGCCUUGCCAUAGCUUGCAUAAAACUCUCCCUCAAUCUUGGCCUGUUUCAAUGAUCAAAAAGCUACCAAAAACAAUAAAACUUACCAAAAAUUGGUUAGUAACAAUUGCUAGGUUCUUAACAUGCCAAAUGAGAUAUAAAGGUCUAACUACUACUAAAAAGUGCUCAAUACAAUUAAGUUUAAGCUUAUAAAAAUGCACUUUUUGAGUAGUAAUCAGACACCCUACUUCUAAUGUAGUUACUCAAGUUAUGAGGAGCUAUAAUUUGAAAUUUUCUAAAUCUUUUGAUUUGUGUUCCUCUUGUCAAUUGGCUAAGAGCCAUGGAUUACCCUUUGUAAUUUCAAAAUCUAAAGCAAUGAAACCUUUUGAUUUGGUUCACUCUGAUCUUUAGGGUUCUUCUCCUGUCUUAUUUGUCACUGGUGCUCGUUACUUCCUUCUUUUUAUUGAUGAUUACUCUCGUUUUACUUGGUUUUAUUUGUUAAAAAGCAAAGAUGCAGUUUUCUCAUACUUUCUAAAAUUCAAAAAUCAAUUUAACACAACUAUUAAGGCUUUGCAAACUGACUGGGGUGGUGAAUUUCGUCCACUUAAGCCUUUUCUUGAAAAUCUUGGUAUUCAUCAUCGCCAUCCUUGUCCUUAUACUCCCCAACAAAAUGGGCGAGUUGAGCGCAAAAAUCGCCAUGUUGUUGAAGUUGUCUUGCCAUGUUAGCCCAUUCUUCUAUUCCUAUUUCCUAUUGGCCAUAUGCAUUCCAAUAUGUUGUGUAGUUAAUCAACAGAUUACCUACUACUGUCUUAAAUAACAAAACUCCUUUUGACUUGCUUUAUGAUAAAUCUCCUUCUUAUUCUUCAUUUCGAGUGUUUGGCUUCUCUUGUUUCCCAUUUUAAAGAGCUUUGAAUCAAUAUAAACUUCUUGAAUGUGUUCUUCUUGGGUUUAGUCCUCACCAUAAAGGUUAUUUGUGCUUAAAUAGACAAAUAGGUUAGAUUUAUGUUUCUUGUCAUGUUGUUUUCAAUGAGUUUUCUUUUCCAUUCUUUUUUUCUUCUUCUUCCUCUCCUCAUCUAUGCUUACUCCUAAUCUCCCCAUUUCCCUUUCCUUUCCCUCCUCAACCACUCUUCAUCCCAUAUCUAUCUCACCUUCUUCUUCUUCUUUUUCUCUUCAUCGAUCUACAUUCCCAUUGUCUUCUCAUUCUCUUUCUUCUCCUCCCACAUCUCUAUCUCAUUGUCUCUCAUAGGACAUUCAUCCCACUACUUCAGUACAUCCAAUUCCAUUGGUCGUACCUAUUGACUUACCAGAAUCUGUUCUUCAUCGCCCUCCACCUCCCACCAACACUCAUUCCAUGGUGACUAGAUCCAAGGCUGGGAUUUAUAAACCUAAAACUCUUGUGGUAGCACUUGAUAUCCCUAUUGAUCUUGCUCUUUUUUAGCCUACCUCAUUUCACCAAGCAGUCAAAUAUGAUCACUGGCAAAGGGCUUUGACUACAAAAUAUGAGGCACUUAUUAGAAAUGAUACUUGGACAUUGAUGCCUCUACCACUUGAUCACAAAGUAAUUGGAUGUAAGUGGGUCUUUAAGGUCAAGCUCAAACCGGAUGGAUCCCUUGAAAGAUAUAAAGCCUGGUUAGUUGCUAAAGGUUUUCAACAAACACUUGGCUUGGAUAUUUUGAAACCUUUAGCCCAGUUUUUAAGCCCACUACUAUACGAAUUGUUUUAAGUUUAGCUCUGUCACUUCAAUGGCACAUCAAACAGUUGGAUGUCCAUAAUGCAUUCUUAAAUGGUGACCUAUCAGAAACUGUUUUCAUGGAGCAACCCCCUGGUUUUAUCAGUACUACUAAUCCAGGCUAUGUUUGAAAGUUGAACAAGGCUUUAUACGACCUUAAACAAAGUUCUCGUGCGUGGUAUACAAAGCUCAGUACUUAUUUGCUGCAGUGUGGUUUCCAAGGCUCCAAACAUGAUACUUCAAUGUUCUUUUUCAACAAAGGCUCUUCCAUUAUUAUUUUGUUGAUUUAUGUGGAUGAUACUAUUAUCACAGGUAGUCAUUCUGCCUUGGUGAACUCCUUGAUUGACCAACUACAUAAUCAGUUUGCUCUCAAGGAUUUGGGGUCUCUCUUAUUUUUUGGGUAUUCAAGUUACUUUUACUCUAUCAUCCUUGCAUCUAUGUCAACACAAGUACAUUGUUGAUCUCCUUCAUCGGGCUUAAAUGUUUGAUUGUAAGCAUGCUUCUACUCCUAUGAGCACCUAGUUUUCCUUGUCCUUGUAUGAUGGUGAGCCUUUUUCGGAUCCAUCUUCGUAUCGCAGCAUUGUGGGGGCUCUAUAGUAUUGUACCAUCACCCGACCUGACAUCAGUUUUUCUGUCAACUAUGUCUACCAAUUCAUGCAUUCUCUGACCACUCAUUGGCAAGCUGUUAAGAGGAUUCUUCAUUAUCUCAAGAGUACAAUUUAUCAUGGUAUUUCUCUUCAACCAUCUACUGAUCUCUCUCUCAUUUGUUAUACUGAUGUUGAUUGGGCUAGCUGCCCGGAUGAUCGAAAAAGUACAAGUGGCCAUUGUUGUUUCCUUGGCCCUAUUUUGAUUUCCUGGUCUUGUACUAAACAAAAAGUUGUUUCUCGUUCAAGUGUUGAGUCCGAAUAUAGAGGCCUUGCUAAUGCCGCUUCAGAACUUAUUUAGAUUGAAACAUUUCUCACUGAACUACACAUUCCGUUCUUCACUCCACUAGUCUUUUUUUGUGAUAAUCUCAAUGCCACACAUCUUGCUGCUCAUCCCAUUUUUCAUGCUCGUACGAAGCACAUUAAAAUUGAUUAUCAUUUCAUUCAUGAUCGUGUGCUCCAUAAAUCCCUAUUGGUCAAAUUUACACUUUCUGAAGAGCAACUUGCAGACAUCCUGACCAAGCCACUGCCUGCACCUCACUUUCAAAGUCUACGAAACAAGUUGACUUUGCUUCACAGCCCUCUCAGCUUGCAGGGGGAUGUUAACUAAUGUAGUUAGUUAUACUCAACUGUAGGUAAUGUUAAUUUGUAUCAGGAUCUGCCACAUGUAUGGUUGUUUUUUCCUUUCCUUCACUAUAUAAAUGUAUCCUAGGCUCAUUUUGCAUUGAGUUGGAAUUCUAGAACAUUCUCUGUUUUCCUUUUUUCUCUAGCCUCCAUGUUCUCUCUGUUUUCUCUUUUCUUCUUACCUACACAUUUCAUCUGGGACACUCGGAGUUGAAUACUAAACUGAAGGAGACUAUUUUGCGUGAUGAAACCAUAUGCUACCCAGACACUAAUUGCCCAUGACAUCUGCCAAGCCAUGUCUAUACUAUAGGUAACAUUAAUCUGAUCCAGCCAGUCUAUGCAAUUGGUCCUAAGCAUCAAGAACCUAUUCACAUUCUGACUCUUCAACUCUAGAACAAUAAUUGACCCAAAGAAACUCUCAACAUUGACUAGGUUAGUCAAGACAUAAUUACCCCCAACCUCCUUAGUGGCAAGCGAGACAACCAAGAAUAUAACACUAUCCUUAUCCUUCCAAUUCACAUAUGGGUUUGUAGCAAAGGAGCCUAGCAUAUUUUGAAUCAAUACUAAAAUAAUAGCAGUCACCCUUUCCUUAUAAUUCAUAACAAGUACUCCUGAAACUUCCCCUCAUUUUCAUCCUUCAUGUUGAUGACUUGAAAGAUCAAAAAAAGAAAGAGUCAAUCAUUUGCACUGAUACAAUACUGCACAACUAAAUAAUCCUCACUAGUUUCAUAUACAACAUUAGGAAUUGGACAGAUGUUGGACUUUGUAUGAUUGACAUCGUAUUGAAGAUAUAUAUGCGUCUCUGAGAGAUCUUGUCAUAAAUGUUCAUGAAUAUUUUCCUCCCGUAACUAAGUCUCCUGUACUCUUUUCAAUUGCAGGUCCAUAAAUUCCCAAACUUAUAUCUGAGUUCUCUAUGGCCAUAUUGUUUGAAGCAUAUUCAGAAUGAAUUUCCACUCCCAUGUGCUUGAACUAAGCUUUAAUUUCAGACUCUUUCAUAAAUAAUCAACAAAUUUAGGAAUUUUCUAUAUUCUGUGAACCAGAACUGACGCAUGAAAGAUACAAAAUUAGAUCAAUCAUUCGUCACUGAUUUCUACAGCAGCUGAAUUUAUUAAACCAACCGAACAGCAAUGAUCAUCUUUUCUUCGUCUUUGGAAUCCAUUUCAAUCACGACAUUCCCAUUAAAUUUCCCUGUUGACCCCUUAACAUCAUCACCCUUUAUUGAAGCAAUUUAUGUCAAUAGUUUCAGUGGCCAUGUCAAGAAUGGUGCUUCUUAAUGAAGAUACAAAAUGUAAAAGGUUAUCCACAAAAAUGAUUGAGGGAGCAAUUGCUUCAUUCAUUGUUACUACAUAUUUAUUUAUGAUAGAGAUACUGAAAUUAAGGAGACGUAAAUGACAGACCCUAUUGCCUUCAAGACCUCAAAAGCCUCUUCUAUAUGUACAAUUGAUCAUCACCAUGUCCUGAGCUUCCACUCAAUGAAUAUUGAACCAUCAUUUGCUCUGGUUGAACCGAUAAUCCUAUAUGCCCCUAUAUGCAGCCUCUGUGCUUAAAAUUCUGCGUCCAUGAUUUCCGACGAAGUAAACUAUUGUACUGGAUAGUUUUGGCUGCAAUUACUUCUUCACAGCUAUCAUCCAACUCCAAAAUCCAUAAAAAAAAAAAAAAAAAUGAUCAACAAACCACCAGGCCAACCUGAACUGAAAGUAACCAAACUCCAUGGAUAUAAAAGUCUCCAAUUCUCUCCACAUCCACGUUGACUGAAUUUAUGAUUUUCUCACUAUUUGGAGCCAACAUUCUUGAUCGAUGGAGGCUUUGUGUAAACUAAUACCAUGAGAGCUACCCGCACAGAUGCCUAUUUGUUGCCCACCUAAGUACCAUUGUCUUUGUAAUAGAGACUCCACAGUCUUUGCCCUUAACAAGAUCAAUGCAAGAACCAAGGAAAUUUAGUCUAAAACACCUCCACCAUCUCUCAUUUUUCUCAAAAAACCUGCACCAAAACCUGCAUCAUAAGCGGCCAAAAGAAUGCCAGAUUAAUAAGACCCAGAGAGGAAUCCAACAGAGCUCCCCAAUGCAAAAAUCUUUAAAACGCCACCAUGUCUGCAAUCUCUAGAUAUGUUCAAGUAUGAAGAAAGCAUAUGGAUGCACCCCUUAAAAAUGUUGAUGUGGAAGGCUUUAUGCUUUACAUGAAGUGAGUCCGGGGGCUUUGAUCUCGUGGAAGGAGGCUCUAUCCUUUUGAUUGGUAUGUAUAAAUGAAAAAAACACCACACAAUGUCAUAAUCAAAAUUUCCCAAACGACUCACUGCUCAUAACCAUUAUCCAUAGAAUUUUUCCUUGCAAAUCCAAAUUCUCAACUCCCCAUUGCAUCUUCUUAUUAUUUCCCAUAUUUUUCCAUAGUCCCCAAAAUUUCCGAAUCAAUGUUGUCAAUGUUGUCCUUGAUUUCAGAUUCAUGCAUCCCUCUAAAGAACUGAUUAGAACUGUUGCUGAAGGUGAAUGGCCCAGAUUACUUUCAGAUUCUGACACAUCCUCUAUGGGAGCUCGUAAUACAUCCUUCUAAUGCAGAAUGGGAGGUUUUUUUUUUUUUUUUUUUUUUUUUACGAUUUUCUAUUUUUAAUUUCAAAACAAAGAACAAAUCUUGAAGGCUGGGAAUGGAACUUGUUGAGGUGUGGGCUAGAAAUAGAAGAAAACAAAAACAAAAACAAAAAAAAAAUCCAAAAAGAAGUGGAAAAUAACCAACAAAAGCCACAAUUUCACAUUUCAAUCCAUUGGUUUAGAAUAGGAGAGUGAUUCAAAACAAAUUUUUAAUAUAAACAGGGCAGGAUUUCUACCAUCAGAUUCAAGGAAAAAACCCAGAUGCAUACUAUUUUCAGAUGAAAUCAAUGGCAUUAACAGAAUGAAAAACAUAGCAAGCAAACAAUGAACCAAUUUCAACACAACAAUCUGUGAACCUUUCCGUCCACACUAAUCAACAAAAUAAAUGCCCAAAACCAUCAGAGAAUCAUCAAGAAUCAAACAUAAGAUAAAUCAUAGAAGAUAGUUGAAAACGUACCUGGGUAGUCUCCACCCAAUUACUUAGUUAUUUUGCUACAGUUCCUCUCCGAAAUCUCUCAAAGAAAACCUAGUGAACCGUUCUCUCUUUUCCUUGAAGAUAAUCCCUUCUCAUUCGUUCUCACUCUUAUGUGCUUUUCUACAAAGACAAUCCUAGCAUUCCCCUUUUUCAGCAUCCUUUCUUACGUAUAUAUUAGCCCCCAAAACCCAAAUUUGUUCCAAAAAGGAAAAUCUCCCAUUUCCUUUCUUUUAUUUUCUUCAUUUUUGCAAUCCUUUUUUUUUUUUUUUUUUUUGUAUGUAUUUGUAUUAGCCUCCCAAAAACUCAAUUUUUUUUUUUGAAGAAAAUCCACUUUCUUUUCUUUUAUUUCCCUUAUUUUCGAAAAUCAAAAUGUUUCUCUCUUUCCAUGUAGGAUCUCCUCUUUCCAUAUGUAUGCAGCCACAUUAAUCCUCUUUUCCCUCCAAUAUAUAUAUAUAUAUGUAUAUAUAUUUACCUUCUUUGAGUGCACAUGCCUUAGUGAGAGUUGAUCAAUAGCUCCCAAUUCUCUUGUCAAACGAUAAAAAAAUAAAAUAAAAUAAAAUAAAACCAAAAAGAGUUAGCAAUCUUGCAACACAUAAAAGAAUAAAGUAGAAUAAAAAUAAAUAAAUAAAGUAAAACAAAAUAAUUAAAUAAAAUAAAACAAAAUAGUCAAUCCUAUGCGGGCCAUGCAAGUCAUGCGACUAUGUGAGUCAUGCAAGAAACACUAAAAAUGUCUAAUAGGCUAAGUGUUCCUAAGAGGGCCUAAGUGAACCUAGAUAGACUUAAGGUAUCUACAUGACCUAAGGUGGUGCCUAAUGGGUCGGGUAUACCUAUACGGGCCUAGGGUGAGACUAAGUGGGCCUAACUAAGUCUAACCUGAAGUGCACCUAAAUGAAGCCUAAUCUAAACUUGAAGGGCAGCCAAGGUCAUAAUGUGAAGCCGGAUAAACCCCUCAACUAAAGUCUCCGAGGUGGCUCAGAAAAAGUAAGCUACAUGAGUAGUAAUGGGCCAUCAAUGAACCACUGUGGAACCCUGGAAGUGAACUUAAAGACAUGUGCUAAAGGGACAAAAUGGAGGGUCUACACCAUGCUUCGUUGGUCAGGUCUUCUUUAUACAUAAACCUAUUUUUUGUGCUUAACUUGGAGAAGCUGCCAAUAAGACUGAAUAGUCACAUAUCUCUUAGAGAAUUGAGAAUCACACAACUCUUUCAUUUUUUUUUUUAGGAUUGGCUUGUCAUCAAAUCUUUUGCUCAGUUGUUGUGAUGGUUUGAAAUUGCUAUCUGAUGGUUAUAACCUAUAUAAACAACAACUUGUAUUAACUUAUCCUGAGCAUUAUUUUGCAAACAUGAUUUUUAUGAGCACUUCUAUUUGGAUGUCUUUCUAACAGUUGUUAGUAUUCAAUAAAAAUGACCUUUACUAAACCUGCAGAUUUUUUCAGGUGAUAUUUUUUUUUUUUUUUACAACAAGGAAGGGAGGCAUUUUUCUUGGCAGUGUAUCCUAAUUCAUAGAGUAUAAACCCUUGCAAAUUGAAAGAAAGACAAUUUACAUAUCAUUAAAGGGUGAUCUAUAAGCACUCUUAUAGGCCUACAUCUUUCUCAUUUGGAUUUGGAAUUUAACCUCUAGUAAGCGUUUACUUGUUUUUAAUCUGUUUUUUAGGAAGCCAGUUGAUGAGAUUUUGCCAACCAAAAAUAGAGGUUUGUUAGCCCUCCUAUCUUCAGGCUAGUUCUCUUGCAUAUGCUUGAAAAAUAUUGGAAACCAAUUAAUUAGUCAUUGCAGUUUCAUAGUCUUACAAGAAAUCUUGUUAUGGUGGCAGGAGAACAAACUACAACAUAAUCUCAUUUCCCUUCAUGAUUUAGACAUUGUAAAGAUAAAAAAAAAUAUAUGUUCUUGGUAAUAUAAGAAGAAGAGAAGCCAAAAAACAGGAACAAAAUGUAUUGGAACCUUGUGGACUUGAAUAGCUGAUAUUCAAGUGGCAAAAAUACAUAAAAAUGCACUUAACAAACUACUAACCAGCAGGCUAAGAUUCUACUUCUAAGAGACAGGUUUGUCAUCAAUGUCAAGAAGGCUCGCACUUCAUUUUUGUGGGACUUUGGCAUCAACAAAUUUCUAUUCCCAGAAUUCUUUCGUAAAUGUCAUCAUCCUGGCCAACUUUCUUUAGUGUUGAAAAAUAGGGUGAUACCAUGUUGCUAAAAAUUGCAGUCCAUAUGUACUAGAUAGACAAGAACUAGAACACUUGUAUUAGAAACAUCUCUGUUGCCUGGAUUUGCAUUACCUGCCAUAAUUAAGCACAUUUAUAUUAUUGUAGAACUGUGUUUCAAAGUCACCCAUACCUAAUCCAUCUCCAUGUAUCUCAAACAACUAGGUUCAUUGGUAGCAGAAGAAGAGCAACUUGAAUAGCUAGUCAUUUCCUUUUAUAAUUUAGGGAUAAAGGUAAAAAAACUACAACACUUGAAUAGAUGGUAUUCAAGUGGACAAGAACUGCAACACUUUUCUCAAAAAUAUGUAUGUUCUUUCUUCAACUCUUACUCUAUUUCCUGGAGUUGCAUUAUCUUCUAUGAGUAAUCGCCUCCUAUUUAUUCUUGUGGAGAAACAAGUUUUGGUGUAUGCAGAGACUAUACUAUUGUUGCACCUCUUGAUUUUCAAGACCACCCAGCCUCACCCCAAGCAUUUGGAAUUGUCAAGCUAAUUUUUGGCUAACCUUCCAAUGACCUUAAGGGCUUCAUACAAAGUAGAUCUAGUGCAAGAGAUUUAGAAUUAUCUCUACCUAAUCCAUCUCUAUUUCUUUAGAAUAACUAGAUGCUAUGGCCAAAAUCUCACAUAAGGCGUCAAGUUCAUGUUGGGGCUUAUUCACAAGAUUAAGAUGAAUAUAGCAGGGAAUGUUCUUGAUCUACCACCAACCAUGUUGUCAAGUUGUUUAAUGCCCUUAUGUUGACUAUGGCCACAAUCACAGUUGGGUGUCGUUUCCUAAAAGAAAUGUCAUUUUGAAACUUUUAAUGUCAACAACAGAACUUUCAUGUUUCUACAUUCAGGUACCCAUAAAAAAUUGAGUCCAUGUUAGCAUCCAAUGAUGGAAGUAAUAUACCUCCUAGAAAUUGAUGUGGAAGGUGGUGACUAACAACAACAUAGAUGUAUAUAAGGGAUUUACACUUAGUCUUGUGCAUCAAACAACCCUCAUUUAGUAUAAACCAAAAAUUUUGGCAACUCAUGAUCCAUAAUUUAGAGCAUGGGAGGAAGAAGACCUGUUGGCAAGACAGGAGGAGACAGUUAAAAACAUGCAAGAAUUCCAUAGAUGAGUUGUUGUUAUGAAUUAUUCAGAAUCCAUGGGAAAAUUUAAAGCCCAUUGAUUUUGAAUGAAGGACCUACUUAGCAUGGAUCAAAAACCUAUUUUGGAGAAAGAAACCAAGUCUUGAGGACUAAUUCAAUUACCAAAUCUCUGGGAAGCACUGAGGCUUUUUUAGUAGCUUCCCAAUUAGUGCAUAAGGUGGCAAUGCUAUUUGCUUUUAUGUAAGCUCUUCUUCUUCUAGUACCAAGGAAAAUUCUAUAAUCCUAAAUCUCCAUUCUCCAUGUACAGAUGUUUUCUUCGAUGCAUGCUGUCAGAGAAGAUGAGUAAGCUUCAGAAUAUUAGUUUACUGAUUCGAGGAUGUAAAUCCAGUCGGGUCAUUUAAUCAAAAACAUUUAUAAAACCUAUGCCCUCAUACUAGUGUAGCAAAGCUACUAUAGUAUAGUGGCUCUAGGGUCAAACUCUAGGAUGGGUUUUCAUUCUACCAGUGAUAUACUCAUGAUUAGGAAUUGAAUUUAAUGAUUUCCUUUAUCAAAAACAUAGAGUUUAAAAGAAAAUAAAAUUUGUUUUGAAAGUGUUUGAAACUAAAUUAACAUAAACUAAUUAAAAAUGGAAGAAAGAAAGUCUCCCGGAGCUCAGGAUUGCUAGGAUCAAGUUUAGAAUGCAAAGUGGAAAAUUCUGGAUUUUUCUCCUCGCAUUGAGGAUUUAACCUAUAGUUAUUUCCUGAACCGGUAUAGGUUUAACAAUGAAGAUUUAAUCCAUAAAAAUCAAUAGAAAUGGUAGUCAAGGUUCAUUAAUGGCUUUAGACACUAUGGGUCUUCACCUUGAACCACUUUCCAAUGGCUCGUACAUGAUAACUAAUGGACUGAUAUGGAUCUAGUAAUAAGCAUCCACAGAGACCUGAAGCUUACCAUGUAUUGGCCAUUCAAAGUGAUUCUAAGGGAUUUAAAGCAAAACUUUGGAUUUAAAAGCCAUUUAUGAACUUCAACUACCUGUAUUUAAGGCACGAGCGUUUUCCACCUUGCAUCUGGACUUUUCACCUAACUUCCAUCACUCCAAGAAACCAAAAGUUUAGCCUCUCAUCCUCUGAGAAAACAUCCUCAGAGAAAACAUCCUCAGAGGUUGUUUGGCUUCCAAGAAAAAGAAAAUAGUAAAGAGAAAAGGGAAAACGAGAGAGCUCUGUAUAUUUUUCUAAGUGUAAAACAUAACACGCGUGAUACCUCCAAGAGGUGAUUUCCACCCCUUAUAUAGUUUUUACAAAAGCAAAGCUUGUGAUUGGCUUGUUACAAGGAGAAGAAAGGAAAUUACAUCAAAAAAUACAAAAGAAAAUAUCUAAAGUGGAAUCGGCAAAAACAGAGGAAAAUUCGCACCACGCAUGGGGUGUGCGAAUUUUCGCACACCUGAGGGGGGUGUGCGAGUUUCGCACACCAUUCGCACAGCUAAGGGGGUGUGCGAAUUUCGCACACCAUUGGCACACCAUUCGCACACCUGGAGCAGUUGUCUUCCGAAGGCCAUAUCUUCCUCGUUUCAGCUCCAAAUCGUACACGGUUUAAAGCGUUGGAUUCUUGACUUCCUGAUCUUUGAAAUGGUAUAUAGCAUGUAAAAAAUGGACUUCGGGAAGUGCUCCAAAAGUGCCAAAGAAGACUGCAGCUGAUGUCCUCUGUUUUCCUCCUUGCUUCUCUUUGCUUCUCUUUGGUUUUCUUUGCUUUUCUCCUUUGGAUGGCUUGUCUUAAUGAUCUAAAAAGAUGUCAAAAACACUAAAACUAGCCACAAAUAUGAUUAGGAGUCAUUGCUAGGUCCUUAACAUGCCAAUUGGAAUAAAGAUGAAGAAUUACUAACCAAAAGUGCUUAAAACAUAAUGACUUAAAGGUGUGAAAUAGCACUUUUUGGGUAGUAAUCACUCCCCCCAACUGACACAUUGCUAGUCCCUGAGCAAUGAAGGAGAGAAAAAGAAAGAAAAAUAGAUAAUAAAAUAAUUUACAAAAUCAUGCUGAUCACUCCAAAAAAUAAUCAAGUGGCAUGAUUGGAUCAAACUCUCACAUGGCAAGUCAAGGAUAUAAAACUCAAUCAUCAACAAGAGUUAUCAAAUAACUUACCUAUCACAACUUGCUAAGAGCGGACAUUAUGCAAAUUUGAGUAUCAAAAUAAUUUCCACUCCCAACGGAUCAAUUCUUAAUCUUCCACAAAAAUCUAAGUGUUAAGGUGCUUAGUUUCCAGUUAUAGUAUGUCAAACUAUAUUCUUCCCCCCAACUAAGGUUUUUCUCUAACUUUAGCAACACUAACUCAUAUAUAAAAGGCUAAGAACACACCUUUUUUUUUUUUUUUUUAAAGGGACUCCACCCAUCCACCCAUGUAACGAGCAGUGAGGUCGGUGACUCCCAACCAGUAAAGGCUUAGGGCACCAGGCUUUAAAGAUUUUCACCAUAUACCCCUCGGACCUUGCUCGGGUUUCAAAGCAAGUGAAGCAAAAAUUAUUCAUAAGACACAUUGGCCUUUUAUAAGGUGUCCCAACACUAAUAGAAUGAAGUCAAUGGCACCAAGUCGAAAAUUUCCUAAGUUUAGGGGGGUGAGAAAGUUUUCCAUCUUAUAACUGGAAUCUAAUGUGUUCAGUGUGUGAAAAGAUUAGAGUGGAAGACUUAAGAUUGAAAUCAAAAGGAUCUUCAACAAUUUAUCAACUUAAAUAAGCAUAAUACAAACUCUGAGACUAUGGCAAUAAGAUAAGAAUUUAAUUUCUCCCAUUUACUUUUGAGAAUUUAUCUUUGAGAAAACAAAAAGAGUUUGCAAAAAAAUUUGUUAGCAAAAUAACUUAACCAAAAAUUCAACAAAUUACUUCCUCAACUCUCCCCCCAACUAGGAUGAACAUUGUCCCCAAUGUUCCAAAAGCAAGAGAUAAUAAAAGGGAGGAAGUGAUACCUCCUGAUAGUAAGGAAGUCUCGACAUGAAAGUCUCUCGAUCGGCAAUCGGAGUUGCCCUCAAUGGGCAAGCUGGGUCUAGGGCGCCUGGCGGAAGAAGGCUGAGACUGUGAAUCCUGAGGUGCUCUAGAGGACUCUCCUGGCUCUGAAGUCUUGGCUUUCUUUGUAGGGGGGGUGUGCGAGUUUCGUAGACCUCAAGGGGGUGUGCGAAAUUUUCGCAUAGGGUACUAUUCACCCGCGCGUUUGAAAAAUUGUGGCUUGUUUGAGAUGGUGAAAAUUUGUGGCCUUUGAGGGUGGGAAAAGCUGGCUUAGGUAUGAAAAAGAUUUGUCAUGGUGAAUAGGCUUGGAAAUUGGAGCUUUUCAAGAGGAAAAUUGAAGAUUGGGAGCUCCCAUGGCCGGCGGCAAUGGGUUUCUUAUGAAGAAACCAUGGCUUGAAUGCUUAUGGUUUAGGCUUUGGUUUGGUAAGAACAAGGUUGGGAUUGGAUUGUGGAUGGAUUUAGAGGGUUGGGUGAAGAUUUGAAAGGAUUUUGAUGGUGGAAAGAGGUGAAAUUGCCGAAAAUGGGAAGUGGUGAAUAGUGAAUGCGCGGCUAUGGAAUGGAGCUAUGGAGAUGGGCUGCCAUGGUGGUGUUGAUGAUGAGGAAUGAUGAAGAAGAGAGGCUUUAUGGAUGGAAAUGGGUGAUCGGAAGAGAGGUUUUAAGAGAAUUGAAGAAGAAGUUAAGACUUUGAAGUGGAGAACAUAGCUUUUAAAGAGAAAAAUGAAUUUCGCACAGGGGAAAAUGGUGUGCGAAAUUUUCGCAUACCUGUGAUUCUCCAAGACAGAGAGCAUGGUUUUGAAAAUUGGCGCAAAAAAUGAAUUCGCACAAGGUUCGCACAAGGUUCGCAUUCCUGUGAAAUUCGCACAANNNNNNNNNNNNNNNNNNNNNNNNNNNNNNNNNNNNNNNNNNNNNNNNNNNNNNNNNNNNNNNNNNNNNNNNNNNNNNNNNNNNNNNNNNNNNNNNNNNNAAAAAAUAGAAAUCAAACCACAUUAGAAUGAAAUUAAAGUCAAAAAUAGAAAUCAAAACAUGCAUAAACACAAGAAAACAUUAGAUUAAACUAAAAUCAACUUAAAAGAGAACAAAAAGAGGAUAAACUUUUUAGUCUUUGGAGAGACUAAGUUCAACCAUGAACCAAGUGUUUUCAUGUUGGAGGUGGAUCAAGGAGGAUGAAUUCCUCCUUGUCUCGGGAAAAAGAUUCGAUAUAGGGCUUGAGACGAUGCCCAUUAACUUUGAAAGUUCGAGUGCUAUUGAAGUUGAGUAGUUCCACUACUCCAUUUGGUUGCACUUCAUGAAUUAUGAAAGGACCCGUCCAUCUUGAUUUCAAUUUUCCCGGAAAAAGAUGAAGCUUAGAGUUAUAAAGCAAGACUCUUUGCCCCUUGGCAAAAUUCUUCUGAUUUACCAAUUGAUCAUGCCAUUUCUUCAACCUCUCCUUUGCAAUUUUUGAAUUGAGGUAAGCAUCAUUCCUCAUUUCCUCCAAUUCAUUCAAAUCCAAACAUCUUUUCAACCCGGCUCUUGUCAAAUCCAUGUUGAGUUUUUUGAUUGCCCACCAUGCUUUGUAUUCAAUCUCCACUGGAAGAUGGCACGCUUUGCCAUAAACAAGGCAAUAAGGAGACAUUCCAAGAAUGGUCUUGUAAGCGGUCCUAUACGCCCAUAAGGAAUCUAGGAGCUUAAUAGACCAAUCCUUCUUAUUCACAUUCACCACCUUCAUUAAUAUAUUCUUGAUCUCCCGAUUGGCUAACUCAACUUGGCCACUUGUUUGAGGGUGAUAAGGUGUAGCUACCUUGUGCUUAACCCCAUAUUUGGCUAGAAGAGUCUCAAAAGGUUUAUUGCAAAAGUGGGUUCCUCCAUCACUUAUAAUGGCCUUAGGCACUCCAAAUCUUGCAAAGAUGUUAUCCUUGAGGAAUUUAAGAACCACCCUAUGAUCAUUGCUCCUACAUGGGAUUGAUUCAACCCACUUAGAGACAUAAUCCACUUCCACCAAAAUGAAGGAAUGUCCAAAUGACAUUGGAAAUGGUCCCAUGAAGUCUAUCCCCCAAACAUCAAAGACAUCCACUAUCAAAAUGGGGUUCAAGGGCAUCAUAUUUCGGCGUGUAAGCUUACCAAGCCUUUGACACCGAUCACAUCCCUUGCACAUAGAGUAGGCAUCCUUGAAAAGAGAGGGCCACCAAAACCCUGAUUGGAUCACUUUCAUAGCUGUUUUCUGGGAGGCAAAAUGACUUCCACAUGCACUAUCAUGGCAAUGGGAAAGAAUUCCUGAUUGCUCUUGUUCAGGAACACAUUUCCUUAUGAUUUGAUCCGCACAAUAUUUGAAGAGAAAAGGCUCCUUCCAAUAAUAGGCAUGGAUCUUAGCAAAGAAAUGCCUCUUGUCUUGGGCACUCCACUCGCUUGGAACUUCCCCAGUAACCAAGUAAUUUGCAAUGUGAGAAUACCAAGGAGCUACAUCUAUUGACAUGAGAGACUCCUCAGGGAAGUCAUCAUUGAUAGGCAGACCAUGUGAGUCAUGUGCUAUCACAAGUCUUGACAAAUGGUCAGCUACCACAUUUUCUACUCCCUUUUUAUCCCGGAUUUGGAGAUUGAAUUCUUGGAGCAAAAGGAUCCAUCUUAUCAAUCUUACCUUGGCAUCUUGCUUGGUUAGCAAGUACUUCAAAGCGGAAUGGUCAGUGAACACCACUAUAGAGGACCCUACUAAAUAGGCACGAAACUUAUCCAAGGCAAAAACUACUGCCAACAACUCCUUCUCAGUAGUUGUGUAGUUCCUUUGAGCCUCGUUCAAAGUUUUGCUCGUGUAAUAAAUCACAUAAGGCUUUCCAUCCUCUCUUUGCCCCAAAACAGCCCCCAUAGCAAGAUCACUUGCAUCACACAUUACCUCAAAAGGUAAUUUCCAAUUUGGGGCUCUCACUAUUGGUGCAGUUGUGAGGAAUUGCUUCAAUUCCUCAAAACUCUUCUGACACUUCUCAUCCCACACAAACUUGGCAUCCUUUACCAAGAGUUCACAAAGAGGCUUUGAGAUUUUUGAGAAAUCCUUAAUGAACCUCCUAUAGAACCUGGCAUGUCCUAGGAAUUGCCUAAUUCCUUUAACAUUUGUGGGAGGUGGCAACUUAACAAUUAGCUCCACCUUUGCCUUGUCUACCUCAAUGCCAUUUUUGGAGAUUACAUGUCCUAAGACAAUGCCUUGUUGUACCAUAAAAUGGCACUUCUCCCAAUUUAGCACUAGGUCUUUCUCAAUACAUCUGUGGAGAACAGCUUCUAAGUGCAACAAACACUCCUUAAAAGAACUUCCAUAUACAGUGAUGUCAUCCAUGAAGACUUUCAUGAUGCGUUCCACCAUAUCACUGAAGAUGCUUAGCAUACAUCUUUGGAAAGUUGUAGGAGCAUUACAUAAACCAAAGGGCAUUCUCCUAUACGCAAAAGUACCAAAGGGGCAUGUGAAGGUUGUUUUUUCUUGAUCUUCCAAAUAAAUCUCUAUUUGGAAGUACCCCGAGUAACCAUCUAGAAAACAGUAGAAAGGAUGUCUUGAGACUCUCUCAAGGACUUGGUCCAUGAAAGGCAAUGGGAAAUGGUCCUUCCUAGUCACUGAAUUCAACCUCCUGUAGUCUAUACACACCCUCCAUCCUGAGGUAGGACGUGUAGAGACUUCCUCCCCUUUCUCAUUCUGGAUCACAGUGAUUCCAGAUUUCUUUAGAACUACUUGGGUGGGGCUCACCCACAAGCUAUCUGAAAUGGGAUAUAUGAUCCCUGCUUGUAGUAGCUUCAGAACUUCACCCCUCACCACCUCUUGCAUGUGAGGAUUCAACCUCCUCUAGGGCUGCCUCACUGGUUUUGCAUCUUCCUCCAUGUAGAUAUGGUGGGUGCACACCAAAGGACUAAUCCCUUUAAGAUCAGAAAUUUUCCAUCCAAUGGCUUUCUUGCAUUUUCUGAGGACUCCCAAAAGACUAUCCUCUUGAUCACUUGUGAGAUUUGAAGAGACCACCACUGGACAUUUCUCAUCUUCCUCCAAGUAUGCAUACUUCAAAUUAACAGGAAGUGGCUUCAAAACAAGCUUUAGAGGGUCCUCCAUAGCUGCUCCUUGUGAGUCCUCCUUAUUGAACAGUGGUAAGAUCUCUUCCCGUCUCCUCCAAGGAGACAUGAUAGCUAGCACAUCAGAGGGUUCAGGUAACCCUUCUUCAAACACUUCAAGGUUUUCAUUCAAGCUCUCUUCUAAGCUCUUGUCACAAUGCUCUUCAACCAAGGUGUUGAUCAGGCACACCUCCUCCAAUCCUUCAUCCUCAUCUGGGUGAAGAUGCCUCUUGCAAAGAUGGAAUAUGUUUAAUUCCAAGGUCAUGUUUCCAAAUGUGAGUUGCAUCACCCCAUUUCUACAAUUGAUGAUGGCAUUGGAGGUAGCCAGGAAAGGUCUCCCAAGGAUGAUUGGCACGUAAUUGGCUUCCUUAACAGUGGGAUCAGUAUCAAGCACAACAAAAUCCACGGGAUAGUAGAAUUUGUCCACUUGAACUAGAACAUCCUCUAUCACCCCCCUUGGGAUUUUGACAGACCUAUCAGCUAAGGAGAGAGUGAUGGUUGUGGGCUUCAAUCCUCCAAGUCCCAGUUGCUUGUACACAGAGUAUGGGAGCAAAUUCACACUUGCCCCCAAGUCUAGUAAAGCUUUCUCCACAAGUGUCCCUCCAAUGUUGACUGCAAUGGUGGGGCAACCCGGAUCUUUAUACUUAACUGGAGACUUACUCUGAAUGAUAGCACUUACUUGCUCAGUGAGGAAUGCAUUCUUUGUCACAUGUAGCCCUCUCUUAACCGUGCACAAGUCCUUUAGAAACUUUGCAUAUGUGGGGACUUGCUUGAUCAUAUCAAGUAAGGGUAUAUUCACCUUCACUUGUCUCAAGACUUCAAGAAUUUCUGAUGAAUUCUUGAUUUCCUUUUUUCCAUGUAAAGCUUGAGGAAAAGGGGGAGGCAUAUGUUUCUUCAUCAUAUCUUCUUUAAUCACUAUCUCGGCUCUUCUUCAAUGCUUGAUUUGGAUGCACUUUUCUUCCCACUCUCCUCUUCUUGGUUAUUGCUCUCUUUAACCAAGGUUUUCUUUGACAAGAGUUCUUCAUCUUGCCUCACCUUAGGCAAGGGUUGAUCAACCUCCUUUCCACUCCUCAAGGUGAUCAUAGCUUUGACCUCCCUCAACUUUGAAGAAUCCCCCUCUUGGGUUUCAACUUCAUGAACACCCUUAGGAUUUUGGCUUGGUUGAGAGGGGAACUUUCCUUUCUCAUUCACUGUGUUGAGGUUGGUAAGCCUAGAGAUAGAGUAUUGAAUAUUAUCUAUCUUCUGAUAUAGAUCAUUUUGCAUCCCAUCCAUUCUCUUAUUUAGAGAACUCUCAACAUUCUCAAUCUUUUGGUGCAAUUGGGAGUUGAUUGCCCUUUGUUCACCCACAAAGUCAUUCAUGACUUUACUUAGGUUCGCAAUGGCUUGCUCCACUGAAGAGGUUUGUUGAGGUGCUUGAGUUUGGGCUUGUGGUUGGUAUAGAGGUGGUCUUGGUUUCCAAGAAAAAUUUGGAUGGUUUCUCUAGCUUGAAUUAUAGGUGUUUCCAUAAGGUGCAUUGUUGUUAGGCCUAAAUUGCCCCACAACAUUGGCUUGAUCACCUAACAUCUCCCUCACAGCUGGCAUGGUUGGGCACUCAUCUACCACAUGAUCACAUGAUUGGCAAAUGGUGCAUGGCAUGGCAUGGGCUUGAGUCUCGGAAAUGGCUUGGACUUCAUGCAUCUUUUUCAACUCAAGUUCUUCCAACCUCCUUGCUAUUGUUGCCACCUUAGCUUUCAUGUCCAUGUCUUCACUUAACAUGUACAUUCCACCCUUUGGAUUUACAGGAGCUUUCAUCCUUCCCAAUUCCUUUGAGUUGGGCUCAUCCCAUCCUCUUGUUACCUCAGAUACAUAACUUAAAAAAUCCAUGGCUUCUUCCGGAUUCUUACUCAUAAAAUCUCCCCCACACAUGGUUUCAAGAAUUUGCUUCAUGGAGGAAGACAUCCCAUCAUAGAAAUAGCUCACCAAGAGCCAUGUAUCAAAGCCAUGAUGAGGACAAGCAUUGAUGGCCUCCAUAUACCUUUCCCAACAUUCAUGGAACUUCUCAUUUUCUUUUGUAGAAAAUUUUGAGAUUUGUCUCUUCAACCCAUUGGUCCUAUGGGUGGGGAAAAAUUUCUUCAAAAACUCGGCCUGAAGAUCAACCCAAUUCCUUAUGCUCCUUGGCCUUAAAGAAUUAAGCCAUAUUUUUGCCUUGUCCUUCAAAGUGAAAGGGAAUAGCUUGAGUCUCAUCAAGUCUAUUGAAGCUCCUCCCUCUCUAAAGGUAUUGCACACCUCCUCAAACUCCUUGAUGUGGGCAUAUGGAUUCUCACUCUCCAUUCCAUGGAAAUUUGGUAGAAGGGGCACAAUAUGGGGCCUUAUAAUCAGCUGCUCAAGAGGAGGUAUGAUGCAUGAGGGUGCACUCAUCCUUGGUGGGUGCAUUCUAUCCCUCAUGGAUAGAUAUGCAUUUGGAUUACCCCCUUGACCUUGUUGAGAAUUCUGAUCCUCUUGUGGAGGGUCCAUGAUGUUUACACAGAUAUCCAACUCUGUGUCUUGAGGAUUCUCAAUCCUUACUAAUCUUCCCUCUUGGUCCUGAAUCCAAUAGGGCAUGCACAAAUCACUACUUGCCUGAAAACAAAACAAAGACAACAAAAACAAAAGAAAACUAGAAGAAAGUUAAAGUUAGAAAGAAAACAAAAGAAAUUCUACAAUAAAAAAAAAAGGAAAUAAAGUUAGUGAAAAAGGAAUUCACCAAACUUGUGAUGAAAAUCACAAGUAGCCUCUAAAAGGUUGUAUCACUGUAUCGUGGCACCAUCCCCGGCAGCGGCGCCAUUUUGAUUCGCGUAUGUAAAUCUAGUCGGGUCAUUUAAUCAAAAACAUUUAUAAAACCUAUGACCUCAUACUAGUGUAGCAAAGCUACUAUAGUAUAGUGGCUCUAGGGUCGAACUCUGGGAUGGGUUUUCAUUCUACCAGUGAUAUACUCAUGAUUAGGAAUUGAAUUUAAUGAUUUCCUUUAUAAAAAACUUAGAGUUUAAAAGAAAAUAAAAUUUGUUUUGAAAGUGUUUGAAACUAAAUUAACAUAAACUAAUUAAAAAUGGAAGAAAGAAAGUCUCCCGGAGCUCAGGAUUGCUAGGAUCAAGUUUAGAAUGCAAAGUGGAAAAUUCCAGAUUUUUCUCCUCGCAUUGGGGAUUUAAUCUAUAGUUAUUUCCCGAACCGGUAUAGGUUUAACAAUGAAGAUUUAAUCCAUAAAAAUCAAUAGAAAUGGUAGUCAAGGUCCAUUAAUGGCUUUAGACACUAUGGGUCUUCACAUUGAACCACUUUCCAAUGGCUCGUACAUGAUAACUAAUGGACUGAUAUGGAUCUAGCAAUAAGCAUCCACAGAGACCUGAAGCUUACCAUGUAUUGGCCAUUCAAAGUGAUUCUAAGGGAUUUAAAGCAAAACUUUGGAUUUAAAAGCCAUUUAUGAACUUCAACUACCUGUAUUUAAGGCACGAGCGUUUUCCACCUUGCAUCUGGACUUUUCACCUAACUUCCAUCACUCCAAGAAACCAAAAGUUUAGCCUCUCAUCCUCUGAGAAAACAUCCUCAGAGGUUGUUUGGCUUCCAAGAAAAAGAAAAUAGUAAAGAGAAAAGGGAAAACGAGAGAGCUCUGUAUAUUUUUCUAAGUGUAAAACAUAACACGCGUGAUACCUCCAAGAGGUGAUUUCCACCCCUUAUAUAGUUUUUACAAAAGCAAAGCUUGUGAUUGGCUUGUUACAAGGAGAAGAAAGGAAAUUACAUCAAAAAACACAAAAGAAAAUAUCUAAAGUGGAGUCGGCAAAAACAGAGGAAAAUUCGCACCACGCAUGGGGUGUGCGAAUUUUCGCACCACGCAUGGGGUGUGCGAAUUUUCGCACACCUGAGGGGGGUGUGUGAGUUUCGCACACCAUUCGCACACCAUUCGCACAGCUAAGGGGGUGUGCGAAUUUCGCACACCAUUCGCCCACCAUUCGCACACCUGGAGCAGUUUUCUUCCGAAGGUCAUAUCUUCCUCGUUUCAGCUCCAAAUCGUACACGGUUUGAAGCAUUGGAUUCUUGACUUCCUGAGAUUUGAAAUGGUAUAUAGAAUGUAAAAAAUAAACUUCGGGAAGUGCUCCAAAAGUGCCAAAUAAGACUGCAGCUGCUGUCCUCUAUUUUCCUCCUUGCUUCUCUUUGCUUCUCUUUGGUUUUCUUUGCUUUUCUCCUUUGGAUGGCUUGUCUUAAUGAUCUAAAAAGAUGUCAAAAACACUAAAACUAGCCACAAAUAUGAUUAGGAGUCAUUGCUAGGUCCUUAACAUGCCAAUUGGAAUAAAGAUGAAGAAUUACUAACCAAAAGUGCUUAAAACAUAAUGACUUAAAGGUGUAAAAUAGCACUUUUUGGGUAGUAAUCAUUUACAAAUUAAUUGGAGCAAUGGAAUUGGAACAGGACACAAACUUCAAAACAUUAAAAAUCAGUAAUGCAGAUAAGGGCAUUUAUAUGUACACAUAUUGAUCAGAAAAUGAACUUCAUCCUUUACCAACCUAAAAACUCAAAAGAAAGAAGUAUAAUUUCAGAUAUGCAAGAUUUUGAUCUAUUAAAGCCCAAAUCAUUUUAUGUUCAUAGAAAUGAGAAGACAAAAUGGCAGCCGACUUUUAGGAUUGAAAGAAAAAUGAAUUGAUGCUACUUCCCAAUGCUAAUGCCAUUAAUUUGUUAUUACUCUUUGUGGCCAUGUCGAGUCUGUCUAUCAAAUAAGAUAAUCCCUUCUUUUUUUCUUCUUUUUUUCUUUACAUAGUCAAUCAUCUUGUUUCAUGUUUGCCCUAUAGUUGGUCUGCUGAUGAUAGGCUUUUUUUUAGUGGAAGCAAGUACUCUAUACUGAAGGUAAAUUAUGGGAACUAUGUCUUUUUGUGGUAUCGACGGGGUUAUCAUAUAGCUGAAUGAUUCUAUACUUCCUUAUAGCUUUUCAAGGCAUUAAAAAAGAAAAGAACAAAGGUAGAACUAGGAAAAAUAUUUCUUUUUGAUUUCAAGUAUACUCUUUCCUUAUGAAGUUUUAUUUUGGUAAAUUACAGUUAGAUAUAAUCACAUGGCAAUAUUUUUUUCUUCCAAGUUUAAACAGUAAUUCAAGAGAGUGUAUUAUGAAAAUAUACUAAAAUAAAAAAAUCCCAUGAAUGCAUUCUACUUUGGAUAUUUCUUAUGAAUCUUCCCCUAUACUCCUGGCCAUCACAUACACUCCCAUCACACCAAUCCUUGUAGUUGUUCUAAAUUGUUUCAAAUCUGUCAUAAACCGAUUACUAAUAUUAAGGACUGCCAUGUCUACUAAUUUGGGGCUAGAAUUUUUAGAGCAUGUGGGAAAUUCUGGUUAUAGUGGGAAAUGUGAGUGCUACUGUUUUGCCAAAGUGGCUUUCCUUAUUCAUGCUAACAUCAACAACAUAGCAAUGAACUUGAUUUAAUAUUAUUUAUCAUAUAAGCUUGAGAUAUCUGGACACAAAAGUUAAAACAAGAUCUUCGAGGCUUUGAAGAUGAGGUAUUUUCCUCCUCUUAAGUACUAGUUAAUAUUCUUCUUUUGACAUUGUACUUGGUUUAAUUAAUGUUUUCCUUUUUUUUCGUAUUCUAGAAAGGUUUUUGUUGUUGAUUUGAGUCCAUAUGGUGAGAAGGUAGUCUCCGAUGGUACGAAACAGAGUACUCAAUUUAUGGAUGGCUUGAUGGCUGAAAAAGGAAGAGAUAUAUGAAAUGAAGAUUGACAUGAUUCUUCCACAACAUGAUGGACUUGGUAGGCACUCAAUUUUUGCCUACAGCUAAUAGUCUACCAUAUGUGUAACUUAAAGGUUGUGCACUAAGUUAUUAUGUUAUGAAGAAUCAAGGGUGGUUUGUGCACUAAGCUCUUCUAAAAUGUUUUUCUUUAUUGAGCUGUAAUGAUUGUAUUAUUUGGAUUUAAUUGUAUUCAUUAGGUUUGCACAUCACGAUAUAAUUAUUUUCCUCUUUGAUCAUGUAAAGUUGGGAAACAGUUAUGGGUUAUUGUAAUAGCGUGGUAUAUUGAUGCACACAGUUUGUGGCAUAACAGUUUGAUGAAAUAACAGAAGUGUAGCACUCAUGGGCAUAUCAUGUGAACCUUAUUCAAUGUGGCAUUGACAGUUAGCUUAAAUUUACAUGGGUGUAAUGUCGCACCAGUAUCUUCUAAUGAACCUUGGAUUCUUUUUUCUCCAUUUCUUCCUCUCUUGGUCAAACCAAACAAUUUAUCUUCAUGACUUCCUCAUGUUACCAAAAAACAACAUCUUGUGUUCUCCAUCUCUUUAUCCUCUUAUCAAGACAUAGCAAUCUAAUGCAUCUUUGCAUUGGGUUGCUUCCUCUCCUUCCCUUCUCCUUCCUCCUUAUAUCAUUGCUUAGUUUUGGCUACUCUAUUUCUUUGAUCGUUAUGGUAGAGCAUCAUUGCAAGAUGUACAAGAAAUGUGUUGUGGUGCAUUAUCCCCUUCUCUACCACCCGAAAUAUGUUUUCCAUGAUCAUUAAUACCAAGACGUUUAAGCAUCAAGUAAGGCAUCUCUUGACAAUUAUGUGAAAGAUAAGAGAUAAGCAACAUACUGGUAUUCAAGAGAAGUGAUGUUCUACAUUUGCAGUUGACAACGUGCAUUUAGUCUGAACUCCAAAUUUGGGCAACUCAGAAUCUCCACCUUCAUUAGGAUUGCAGAAAGUUGGCUUCUUGGAAAGAUGUGGAAAUGGGGCAUUUAGAAAUCAGAAAGAAUCCCAGUGGCCUGUUGCUACUUUCGAAUCAUUCCAAUCAACAACAACUCUAAAGAUAUAUAUACAAAUCUGUCCCUGGGAAAGAGAUCCAUGUUUCUUAGGCAUGCAACCAUCUCUCUUAACAGACUUAGGGUUCUACACCCUCUUGGUGUUUCUUAUAUAUUGCACCAUCUGAUUUGUAGAUAUCCAAUUGCCAAUUUCACUACACCUGAUGAACUAGAAGCUAUGCUAAAAGUGAAGUUAAACAACCCAUCGUAGAAAGAAUCCUAUAGGAAUACACUAAAAAGAAUAUCUUAUUAACAUAAAUGAACUCAUCCAAUUAAAGGAUAAAGUUGCAUGAAAAUUGAAUUGGGAGAGAUACAAAUACUGAUGCUUAUGUAGGACUAUGGAAAGGAUCAAAAAGAGGAACAAACAUUGAAUAGUAAAUGUAAAGUCAUAAAGCUUCUAACAUCUGUCAAAAGCUACUCUGUAGUGAAGUUUUUUUAACGAUAAAGGUAACUGAAAAAUUCACCAAAUAGCUCCACUUGAAGGAAAUUUCAGUGGUAUGAAACUAGGAUAUGGUGAACUCUCCUUGCUUAUACUAUUGUUGUGAGCCAUUAUAGAUCAAAGAUGAAUCUCACCAUAUGUUUUCACACAGAAGAUGUGGGCUAUCUUUGGGUCAUCUCUCAUCAUUGGAUUUAGGAGUUUGGUCUCUCAUAUAUAGUUUCACUUGCCAACUACAAAUGGAGCUUAGUAGAUGUCUCCAUGAUGUGGAGACUGAGCAACAUACAUAAUUCAAGGGAUGUGCAGUUGUUCUUGUGAAUCACCCAAUCUUCAUCUAAUAUAUAUAGACGCAUAAAUUUUAGCAACUUAUAAUCUCCAUAUUUUAGAGCACUGGAGGAAGCUAGCCUAUUCAACAAACAUAACAUAAUUAGAAAAAUGCAAGAAUUCCAGAGACAUGUUGUGCUAUCAUGUAUUCCAAUCAGUAAGGAAUCAAAGUGCUAUAAUUUUAAACUGUGCAAUAACAGACCUAUCUUAGGGAAGUAAAUUGUCUUGAGCACCAAAUCAAUUGUGAGUUCUUUGAGAGACUUGGACACCAACUCAAUCAAAGCUGCUAGUUGUUUAUGUGGCAGCUUGUAUUCGUCCACUAAUACUGGAGAAAAUGCUUUUGAAAACCCUUAAUCUUUAAAUCACAAAGGGAAAUUAAAUUAUGUUGUUAUUUGAUCUCCAAUCUCUUUGACACAAAUGGAUGAUUUCCUUGCUACAAACAAUGUCUAAUUCUAUCACUUGUACUCUAGCAUGUGAUUUAGGAGGAGAAUUAAGCUUUGGAAUAUUGCCAAUAAACAAGGAAUUGAGAAAGACCAAGUGGGCAGCCACCACAACUAGUUCACGAACAAAUGGAACCAUUGGGAGUGGAACAUGACACAAAAACAAAACAUGUUUUCCAUAUUCAUAAAUACCAAGGUGUUUAAGCAUCAGGUAAGACAUCUCUUCACAAUAAUAUGAGAGAUAGAGACAAGUAGCAUACCGUUAUUCAAGAGAAUUGGUGUUCUUCUUUUGUAUUUGACAACAUUCAUCCACUUUACACCCCUAUUUUGGCAACUUAGGAUAUCUCCACCUUCAUUAGGAAUAUUGCAGGAAGUUGACCUCUUAGAAAUACAUGAGAGGACAUUUAGAAAUCUGAAAGAAUUCUAGAGACUUGUUAUUGCUUGAAUUGUGAAUCAUUCCAAUCAGUAACAACUGGAGAGCCCCUAUACACAAUUUUUAAUUAUUAGCCUUCUUACAUUGGAUGAAAAAUCUAUCCCUAGAAAAGAGACAUGUCUUGGGCCAUGCAACCAUCAAUUACUCUCGAAGAGGCUUGAAGCUGUGCACCCUCUUGGUAGCUUAUCGUUCAUUACAACAUAUAAAUUCUAAAUAUCCAAUUGGCAUGUCACUAUAAUUGAACAUAAUAGGAAACACGGUGAAUAGGAAGUUAGAAACCCUGUCAUAAAAAGAAUCUUACAAUAAUACACCAAAUAGAACAUCUUGCUAAUUCAGUUAAACUAUUGUGUGAAAAUCUAAAUUGGGAGAGAGAAAACAUCAAUGCUUACAUGGGACUGUGGGAGGGACCAACAAGGGGAACAAACAUUGAAUAGAAAAUGUGAAGCCUUAAAGCUUGUAAUUGCUGUCAGAAGCUGCCCCCUAGUCAAGUUUUCAACAAAAAGGUUCAAUGCUAGGAUUCUCGCUCAACUUGUAGAAAAUUUCAAUAGUAUGACAAUUUAUACUCAAAAAGAAGAUAAAAUGUAAGAAUUAUGUGUUGGGAAUAGAUCACUCUUACUGAAUAUAUGGAUAGAAUAAGGUGAACUCCACCUGCUUCCAUUUUUGGAAUCCAAAUUAUUAUGGAUCAAAGAUGAAUCUCUCCAUCUAUUUACAAAUAGAACCUAUGGGCAAUCUUGAACUGAUGUCUCAUCAUUGGAUUUAGAACUGGUGUAUAGCUCUGAAACCAUGGCAUGGUUCUCCUUUAGUUGCCAAAUACCACUAGAGCUUAGGUGAGGUCUUGGUGAUGUAGGGAAGUCAUGGAUUCUUGAAUCUUUACAUGAAAAUAUACAUGAGAUACAUUGGAAGAAAGAGCAGGCCAUCUAAGAAGAAACACAUCUUAAAGUAUACCAUCAAUCAUGAGUUGUUUGAGAGUGAGGAGUCUUUGAAGGCCUCACUCAGAUAAGGGAUGUCUUUGACAUUUCUCACUCUUCAAUCUCAGGAAGGUACAUCAUCAAUUAGAACCUUAGGAAUGUGAGUCAUCAUGGGACAACUUGUUUAUGUUCUUUAUUCUUUUCUCACCAGAGGGCAUUGAAGGAUAUGUAGUUGCAAGGGCAAAAGACGUAGCCAGUAGUGAGAGCAUUGAACAAUCCUUCUCUAAUGCAGACCACCAAUUUUAGUAACUCAUGAUCUCCACAAUUUAAAGCACAAGGAAGUUGGCCUAUUGGAAAGAUGUCACAUGACAUUUAGAAAUGGGCAAGAAUUCCAUAGAUCAUUCCAAUCAUUAAGGAAUCCAAAGCCUUAUAAUUUGAAUAGGGCAUCUACUUGGCAUGGAUAAUGCACCUAUCUUGGGACAAAGACCACAUGUUGAGCACCAAUUCAAUUAUCAACUCUCUAUGAAACUAGAGAUACAAGGUAUUAAUGUUAGUACAAAUUAACUGGUAACUCUUCUUCUUUUACUGGUAUUGGAGGCAAAGCCUUGCAAAAACCCUCAAUCUACAAAUUACCAAGGACAUGAGAUCAUGUUGUAAUCUUAUCUCCAAUCUCCAACGGCAAAUAGAUUAUUUCUUUCAAUUAACAAUCUUUAAUGCUUUCGCUUCUAUCAUAGGAUAUGCAAUUUGGGAAAACAAGUAAGUUUUAUAAUAUUAAGAAUAUGCAAGGAAUUGAUGAAGGUCAUGAAUCAACUUAAAAUCAAAAAAUAAAAAAUGAAAAAACAAAGAUUUUUUCACCCAUGAAUACCGUAACCAACUUCCAAAAAGCAUUAGGUUUUGCAAUAACCAAAUGUUCCUCAGGUAUUAAAGUUAAAGUUCAAAGUUACCAAGAGUGCAUUUUUUUACCCGUGCAUAAAAUAAAAAGAAAAUAAGAACGCAUACCAUAUAACUCACAAUUGUGUCAAGUAUGAGUUCAGUUUAUGUUCAUGCAUAAUUGCAUUAAGUAUUUGAAAGCUAAAUAAGACUAUGUGUAAUUCAAAGAAUACCUACAAUGCUCACAGCUUAUCAUAGAAUGAGAACUCAAUUGUCUUUCUUCCAGUCAUAAGAGUUUGUGCUCUUUGAGCCUCUGACUUGCACAACUCAAGAUGGCAGGACGUGCCAAAAAGUCUUCUUCACCUUAAAUGUUAUUCAAAUCUGCAAUAUAAAUCUUGAUAAGAAAAUUUUCUACAAAUAUAACAUGUUACAAAAAAAAUAACAAUAUGUUAGUUUAAAAUUGAAGAGCAUUUCAAACCAAACAAAGUAGAAAAUUUUUCAAUGUUUAUCACUGACCUAAAAACUUGUAUGUUGGAUAAAAUUCAUGCUAAUGAAUCCUGACAAUUGCUUGCAAUCAAAAUUUAGUAAUGACUUAUAAAAAUAAAUUACAAAAUUCUUUAGCAAUGUUCCAUGAAAAACACAUUGUACAUUGAUUAAGAAAUUCAUAUGAAAUCCACUAAUUUGAAAGACACCAAAAACCAGAUGUUGUCUUAAGUUCUCCAUGUAUCAAAAUAGAUGCAAGUUUCUAUUCGAGCCACCACAAUCACGGAGUACGAGACUUCUUAGCAUGGAAGGCAUACUAGAUUUCAAACAAAGUUCUUAACUUUCCAAGAGACAUAAGAACAUGGUGUGUUGCAUAAACUGUAGAAUAAAUAAAUGGAAGUUAAACACACAUGCACUUGCUACUUAUUUUUUUUAAUCAUCUAUGAAAUAAAUAAAGAGGUGUUACUUGCAUUCAAUCCAAACUUGUGGUCUUCAAUGUGAAAUCCAAAUCUCAUUUUGUCAACACAAUAAGAGCAUUAAACAUACAACAAAUUGAAUCCUUCCCUUUAACAAUGUGAAAACCUGAAAGAAAUGACUUGGGAUCAUAAAUAAUUAUACGAUAAAGAAAACUUUCAUUAUUUUUUCUAAAAGAAAAAUCUGUUAUUUCCUUGAUUACGGAAGAUAGAUAUUAUUAAGGUAAACUUUGUGCAUUAUACAUUGAAAUUAGAAAAUUGUAUUUAAAUCCAGUUAGAAAGGUGCCACAAAAAAUGCAUAAUUGAAAUGAAGGCAUCCAUGCCAAUUUGUGACUGUUGUCAAAUAACAGCCUCCCUUGACAUUUUGGGUCCCAUGCCUGCAUGUCAAAUCUCCAACUAAGACUACUCAAAGAGCACCUAAAAGAAAAUUACCAAGAUUUCAUCACAUGCAGAACUCGAGAUGCUAACAUGGAACCAUGGGAGAAAUCGAAAAGAAACAAAAUACUCACCCAUAAGUUUGUAAUUUUUGUACUCAAAACCCGUUUCCUAGUCAAACUUUCAACACAACUCCAUAGAGACUUUCACAAAUAGUUAAGCCACUAGUAGAAAACAACAUCAAUAUGAGAAAUUGACAAGGUACUGUGUAGAUAAAAAAGUAUAAAUAUGUGUUGAGAAUAAGAGUUACCUUAAUGAAUGUAAGGAUAGGAUAGGGUUGAAUUAGCUCUGCACCUAUUUUUGCAAUUUGAAUUUGUGACGGUUCAAAUAUGAGAUUAUGAUCUAUCCUCACUUUAGGGGAAGCGGGCAAUCUCCUUGAAACAUCUUUGAUUUAGAGAUUCGAUAAAACUCAUCUUGAAGCACCUUAUUACUGAUGAAUUGAGCACCAAUAAAUCUUGGUGUUGAUAUAGCUAUGAAUGUGCGCAAGUGCUCCUUCUUAUAAAACCUUUCAAACUUUUUAAAUGUAUCAUAAUUAUCACAAACAAGUGAUGAAUGACGAGUACUUUUAGGAAUGAGAUAUUACAAAUUCUUUUUGAACUCAUCAUCCAAAUGCAAGCAUGUAUCUCUAGCAACAUAUUUAGCUAGAGCAUGGACAAGGUCAUGCAUCAUGAAUCGUGAUCUAUUGCUACUCGACGAUUGAAAAAAUGACCUUGACAAUAGCUCAUCAAAAUACUUAUCACCAAGAUCUUCCAUUUUCCUAUUAUCUUUUGAUUGUUAAAUUAACCCCUCCACCAUCCACAGGAGGAUUAACUCUUGCUUUGUAAACUCAUAAUCCUGUGAAAAAAUUGCACAAUAAGUAAAACACCUCUUUAAAUGUGAAGACAGAUGAUAGUAGUUCAAUCUCAAGGCAGGGAUGAUGUCAUAUUCAUUUUUCGUGAAAUCCCAUACUUUGUUGUACAAUACUCUUUCUCAUUCAUAUUCACGUAGUUCAGAGCGCAAAAGGCCACCAAAGGCUCUUGCUGCUAAGGGUGAACCUCCACACUUCUCUACAAUUCUCCUACCAAUUGAUUCCAAAUUUGGGUGCUCAUCGAUAUUCAUAUGUUCAAAAGCAUGUGUUUAAAUAUCUUCAAACAAUCAUCAUAAGGUAACUAUUUGAGCUUAUGUAAGUUCUUGCGUCCUCUCAUCUUGUUUGCAACAUUAUUAUUUCGAGUUGUGACUAGAAUUUUGCUUCCCUCUGCUCCCACCUAGAAAGUGGAGAAUAGCCUGUCCAACUCAAAGUAAUCAUCAUUCCACAAAUUAUCCAAAACUAUCAAAAAAUAUUUUCCCUUCAAUUCCUUCCUCAAAGUUUCUUGAAUUUGAUGCAGUCUUGUGAAUCACUGCUUUGAGAAUUAGUCACCAAGUUGAGAAUUGCCUUUGUUAUUCUCACUGCAUCGAACUGAUCUGAGACACAAACCCAGGCUAUUUUAUGAAAAUGCUCGGUUAUGGUCUUAUCGUCAUCGUACACUAGUCUUGCUAGUGUGGUCUUACCCAUCCCACCCAAGGCCAUGAUGGAAACUACAGAACAAUUGGUUUUAGUGGGUUCAUUCCUAAGCAGCAUAUCAAUUAUAAUAUCUUUUUCUGUCCCCCUGCCAUAAACCUGAGGUUCAUAUCCUAGAGAUAUAGUGAUUGGCCUUCCCCAAGCAAAGUUGGUUAUCGCAGCCACCUUUUCUAGAUGAAGCUUAGAUUUUUUAGCCGAAAUAUUGAUUACUACCAAAAAGUGCUAUUUUUUAGACCUAAUUAUAAUGGUUUUAAGCACCUUUGAGUAGUAAUCAUAUUCAUUUAACCCAAUUAAUUCAUUAAGGUCCUUAGUAAUUGGUUUUAACCAUUUUGUGGCAAGUUUACAUGUUUAUAUCAGCUUAUGAAUCAAUUCAAGCAUGCCAAAUGAUGGAGGAGCUACUUGGACAAGUUAAAGCAAGCUUUUAGCUACACCAAAGCAAGCCAACAAAAGGAGAAAAGCAAAGUGAAGCAAAGAGAAGCAAAAAGAAGCAAAGAGGAAAACAGAGGACAGCAGCUGCAGUCUUCUUUGGCACUUUUGGAGCACUUCCCGAAGUCCAUUUUCUACAUUCUAUAUACCAUUUCAAAUCUCAGGAAGUCAAGAAUCCAACGCUUCAAACCGUGUACGAUUUGGAGCUGAAAUGAGGAAGAUAUGGCCUUCGGAAGACAACUACUCCAGGGGUGUGCGAAAAUUUCGCACAACACCUUCCAAAUUCGCACACCCCCUUGCGUGGUGCGAAUUUUCCCCUGUUUCUGCCGACUCCAUACGAGAUCUUUUCUUUUGGAUAUUUUUGUAUAAAUUUCCAUUCUUCUCCUUGUAAUCCACCAAUCAUAAGAUUUCUUAGCUAGGAAGGUUGGAAAAACUUCUCUCUAUAUAUUCCCUUGCAUCCGGUGUAACAGAUAUCGAUCAAUAUAUAGAAUUUUUACAGAGCUCUCCCGUUUCUAUUUUCUUAGUAGCCAAACAGCCUCUGAGGGUUUUUCCUCAAAGGAUGAUUGGCUAAAACUUUUAGUUUCUCAAAGUAUGGAUGUUAUGUGAUGGCUUGGAUGCAAUCCCAUGGAAAUUUCUCGCACCCGGAAGGUAAGGUAGUCGUUUUUCAUUAAAGGUUCAUUAAUGCAAAGUUUGGUUUUUAUUUCCUUUGGACAACUUCCAACGGCCAAUACUUGAUAAGCUUUUAGAUUUCUAUCCAUUAGUUAUCUCCUACGAGCUAUUGGAAGGUGAGGUUUUCAAUUCCAAGUUUUGUAUUAAUCCGUUAGAACCAAUUUCAAUGGCCAUUGAAAGGUGAGUUUAUCACCUGGAAUGACUUUGAGUUGCCAAUAUUUGGUAAGCUUUUGGCUUUAGACCAUUAUUUAUCUCUUACGAGCCAUUCAAAGGAAGUCUAAGGUGAAUAACCAUUGAUGAAAUUCACUACCAUCUGUUUUGUCAUUUUAAAGGAUUAAAACUUGAUUUGCUAAAUCCAUACCGGUUCGGGAAGCAAGCAUCACCAUAGUUGCAACCCCAAUGCGAGGAGCCUAUCCUGAGAUUUCCAAUUUGCAUAAGAACCAGAGCAUAGCUAUCCUAUCUUUGAGAAACUUGUUUUUACACCCUUUCAUUUUAGUCUUUAAUGUUAGCUUAGAUUAGUUUAAAUCUUUCUAAAACAUUUACAUCUUCUUUUAAAGCUAACAUCCAUAAGAAAAUCACCUAUUUUCCUAAUUUGAAUAUCACUUGUGUUUGCGAAAACCCUUCCCAGUGAACGAUCCUAGAACCACUAUGCUAUAGUAGCUUGGCUACUUUAGUAAUAGUAUUCAAGGUAUAAAUUUUGUUGAUACGCCUUAAGCUAAGCUACCAUGAGUCGAAUCAAAUAUCUCGUAAGCGGCGAGUGAUUUCCAACACCUUGGACCUCAUGUUAAUAUAACGAAUAACCUCAGUAGGAUUGAAAAUGCCAAGACAAGUGGAGAUGAGCUUGCAUACCUUGCUUGGCCUGCCUUGAUGAUUAGCUUCGUUGGUCAUGAGCUCCCGUUGCAAAGCUUCCUAAGCGAACUCAUCCAAGAUGUCCUCCAUAUCAUAAGCCAAAUAUUUCAGAUUGCCCAACCACUCUUUCAUAGGGCAAUUCAUGAUCUGCUUGUCCUCCGUGUCAUUAAGCUCUUCACGAAUAUCUGACAAUUCUAUCUCUCAUUUCUUGAGAUCAGAAUACGUCCAUUGUUGGCGUGCAAAGUCAAGCAAAUCAGUGGAGGCCAACUUGUCAAACAAGAGGUCGAUGGUUGUAGAAAGAAGAGCCUUUCCCACAGCUUCCACCGCUGGUUUGUACUUUGUUUGCAGAGAGAGCAAAUCAAGCAAUGGGUAAAAAAAUAAAGCAGAAAGAAGGAGGUCUGCUCUGUGAAGGCUUUAAAUAUUAGAAACUCAUAAAACAUUUGUAAAAAAUGUUAUGCUGAUCAUAGAAGGAGACCCCUAGAGUUCCAUAUAGGAGAUCACGUGUUUUUAUCUGUAACACCUCGGAGAGGCCUAUUUCGAUUUGGUAAAAAGGGAAAGCUUACUCCAAGAUAUAUUGGGUCCUUUGAAAUCCUUCAAAAGAUUGGAGAGGUAGCAUACAAUUUAGCCUUACCACCACAGCUAUCAGGUAUACAUGAUAUGUUUCAUGUCUCCAUGUUGCGAAAGUAUGAGCCUGAUACCACACAUGUACUAGAUUGACAUGAUUUGAAUUUGCAAGAAGAUGCAACGUAUGAGGAAGGGCCGAGAGAAAUUUUAGAUAAGAAAAAGCAGGUACUACGAGCCAAAACCAUACCUCUAGUGAAAGUGUUAUGGGAUCAUCAUGUAGUGGAAGGAGUUACAUGGGAGUUGAAAUCAAAUAUGAGAAACAAGUACUCAAAACUCUUUACGGUUCGCUUUUUUAAAUUUCGAGGACGAAAUUUUUGUUAGGGGGAGUGGAUGUAAUACCUAGUACUAAUAAAUUAAAUAGGCAAUAAUGAUUAUCUUAGUACUUAACUUUAAAUGUGCUUAAUUAGAUGUUAAAACUAGUUUAGUGCUAAUCUUAUUUAAUUAUGAAUUAAACUUUGAUUAAGGUUAAGUGGGAUUAGUUAAUGACUUAAGCAUGCUUAUUAGGUUCUUAGGGGCUGAUUAGAGUUAUGAAAACCUAAAGGACUAAUGGGCAAUUGUAGGUUUAAUAUUGGCUAAUUUGGAGGACUGAAGUGCAAAAUUGGAAAGUUGGGGUUGAUGGCAGCCAUGUGGCCUGCCAUCUCCUACUUGGCUGCAUGGAGACCCCUUUAUAAGGGUUUGCAGCUCGUUUUGCAGCAUUUUACCUAUAGCAGCUUGGGUUAGAGAGAGGAUCUAGAGAGAGAAAGUGAAGAUUUGAGGUAAGCAAAUUGUUUAAUUUAGUAAUUUUGGUUUAUUUUGGUUCCUAAUAGUAUGUUGAAACAAAUUAACAAUAAAAUUUGUAUAAAACUUGAGUGUAAUUAGCUAUAAACAUAUUUUAGUUAAAAAUCACAAUUAAUUAAGGAUUAAAGUGUUUUACCUUAAGUAUUUUAUUAAUGGUGAGAUCAACAUAAAUCUUUGUUUAGUUUGGUUUGAUUGAAAAAGAGAUUGGUAAACAUGUGAUUAAUUAGGUUAUUUGGACAUCGAGACUUGUUAAUGGGUUAGGCUUUAGGAAAAAAAUCAAAACAAUUAGUGUUUGGUAAUUAUUUGGAGAAUAUGAGAAUUAAAAAUUAAUAAUAGUAAAUUGUUAAAAAUUAGUAAGAAAUGAAAAUUUCAUAAGUUUUAAUUGAAUAAAUUUUCAUGGUUAAGAAACCUAAAUUAUGUUAUUUUAUUUCAGUUCCUUGUAAUAGGUAAAGAUCACCUACAUAGAAGAAUCACAAAGGGCAAGUCAAUGUAAGGUAGGGAAGUUUAUGUUGUUCCAUGGUGUAUCUAAUUUCUUUCCUUGAAACAUUUAUUGGAAUUUCAUGUCAUUUCUAUGAUUUCAUAAAAUGUUUUAAUAUGUCAUUGCAUCUCGGUUUAUUGUAUUGAAAUGUUACAAUGAUAUUGGAACGUAUAUUGGUAUGAAGAUUCAUGGUUCUGUGUUGUGGAAAUGGUUCAUAGUGUGGCUGCAUUGCAAGAAGGAUAUGGAAUAAUCACAGAUGAUAUUCAGAGAAUUGAUUGUUGGGAAGUGUUUAUGUGAUGCUACAUGCAUUAUCCUUUGAUAUAUUGUUUAUGCGGGACCUUGGGUCCUUGGGUGAAAGUUCCUAAAGCCCUUGAGGAAGACACUCCAAUGUGGGUGUAUAGGGUUGGUCCUGCCACUAGGUUUUAGUCCCUAAAGACAUGGGGUUGGUCCUGUCCCUUUGUUUUAGUCCUUAAAGACACGGGGUUGGUCCCGCCCUUGGGCAUGAGUCCUAGAAAACACGGGGUAUGACUUACCCUUGGAUGAUGUCCUAGAAUAGUCAUUAUUAUAUUGACCGAGUAUCUUGUGGAGCAUUGAUAUCUGAUGUGUAGAUUGGUGGGGGUUAACAAUUUAUCAAUUGUGAAAGGAUAGAUAAGAAAAAGCAAAGAUGAAACUAGCAAACACAUGCAUACAUGUUUGACAUGAUUACAUAUUUGUUAAUGGUUAUGAAAUGUUUAUCAAGCAUGUUAUUAUACAUUUAAUUCAAGGUUUUUAAGGGUAUGCUUAGGAUGGUUAUAAACUUUCCUACUGAGUUGUGAACUCAUCCUAUCCCUUCCACCUUUAGAUGCAGGUCAGAAGACCUAUGCUGGAAAUAAUGUUUAAGCAUUGCUUUUAUGUUGAUUGGAUGUUGUUUGCUCGCAUUGAAAGUGUUUUGAGGCUUUGCCUUUGUAUUAAAGACUAAAUCUUUUUGAAGUAAUGAUGUAAUGUAUAUUUGUUCUGUACACUUGUAGUAUGGGCUACCCGUAGUGAACCAUGGGGUUUUGGUAUAUGUAAAUUAACGUAGUAUAAGUUUCUUUUGUGAAAAGAAUCAUAUUUUGUUAACUACUAGUUACAAAGUUUAAUACAGGAUGUACUCUUUAUAAUAGGUUUUGCAUAUUCUCUUUUUGUGCAAAAUCAAGCUGGAACUCAACAUUUAAAUUUUUCUAUCCCCAUAUUUUGUUUGAGAGCACUUAUGUUGUGAUUGAGUAUCAAUUGUUAUGUUUGAAAGAAAAAAAAUGGGGGUGUGACAUUUAUUAACUUAGGUUUACAAAUUAAAAGUAGGUUGAUCUCCUACCUAUUCUUUUUAAAUUAAUCUUAAGAUCAAUAAGAAUCAUACAGACCAUAAUCAUUAGAAGUGCCAAAACAAAAAUCGGUUUGAUAUUUAAUUAGUUCAUUUUAUUAACUAUAGAAGAUGUAAAAUUUGUUAGGAGGUGUCUUAAAUUCCAAAUUAUAAUAUAUUUUUUUCUUUUGUAAGAAGAAUAUUACAUAGAAUAUUUCCAAAGUUUAUAUGUGAUUGUAAUUAAAUUGAAGCUAAUACAAAUAUAUUAAUAAAUAUUUUAAGACAUGAAGAGAAAAAGUUAUGGAAGAUAUGAAAAAGAUAUGUGAUCAAGAGUGAGAGACGUUGAUAGAAUACGAGGGUUCACUAAGGAAGGGUGUAGAUGUGAAGAAGAAUGAGAAACACUUAGUGGAGCAAAAUGAUUCAUGGUUUAUGAUAGAGAUACAAAGAGCAGGAAAAGUGGGAUGUUUGGGCCUUUGUAGUUGUCUAACCUUUGUAUGUGGUUUGCUUUAUUAAUGUGUUCUUCCUUUAAUAUGUUUAAAUUGAGGUUUCCGCUUUCCUUUUGGUCCUAAGAUGGAUUUUUUCAUGUAAUCAAUUAUGCUCAUUUCCAAUUUCAUUAGAAACUUGUGUUCUACAAUUUGGCAAACGAAAAUAAUUAUUUUUGUAUAAUUUUGUUAGUUAAUAAAAAGUAGAAAAUAGAUAAUAUUAGUGUAGACCCCCAUUUUGGGGAGACAUCUCUACAGCCCGAUUAUGAAAAGUGUCAUCGUCUGGGAUGACCACGUGUCACUCCAGGACUGGUUGAUAAGGUAUCAAGUUAGUGGUUUUGAUGGUCAAUGGAAGCUUGACACGUGGAGAUUUCUUUCAGCAGAAAAAGCUGAAAACCGUUGAGGCUGGCAGCUGCAGGGUAGUGGGGGGCAGAGGCUCGGCCGUUAGAGGGUGAGAGAGAGGUAAGUUUUUGGGGAGUUGAGAGAGAUUCUUGGAGAAGCAAGCUGAGAGAACCAGAGUGCUGCCUGGAGAUUUUUGUCGGAGGAAAGAGGGAAAAAGAGAGAUUCUGGAGGAGCAAGCUGGAUAUUCAGAGGUGAGGGAGGCAGCUACAGGGAAGCUUAAGGGAGGAGAAAAUAGAGGUAUGACUGCCCUGUAUCCGGGGAUUUUCUUUAUCACACUAUAGUCUUAUUCCCUUUUUCUUGAUAUUUUCUGUGGAUUUGUUCGAUUAUACGUUCAGUUUUACGAUUCCUGUGUGGUCCAUGGAUUUUAUUAUGGCUAUUUCAUCUAUUUUCCUUGGGGUGAUUUGAGAAUGAUACUACUCUGUUUUAGUUUUUACUACGCAUCAUAUAGGAGUCUUAUUUUGUUCUUAUCUCCAUGGAACGUAUUCUAGAUCACUCACCUACAGCCAAGCCUGUUGAUCUAAACAUGAAACAUGGCUCUGGUUGUUUUAUUGGUUUCAUUGGUUUGUGCUCUGUUUUGUUUUGCCAUUCCCCUGUUCUUGGUAUCCUACCUUGUUGUACAUCAGGCUGUAUGUCCCUACCUGAGGGAUUCAGGUAAAGCUAUCGUAGAACUAAGCUUAUGAGGGUUAUGGAUGAAUAAAGCUCCUCCAGAUGGUUUGGGUUUGCGCAAAGAUCUCGGAUAGGAAAGAAGCAGGGUAAUGCUCAAGUUGUAUCUUGAGGAAAUACUACAGCCGUGGUUGAUCUGGAUCAGUUUGUCACUAAGGAUAUUAUACCGAUCAACGAGAAAGAAGUCGUGUUGCCAUUAACUCAAGAGUUUCCUAAUUUCUACAAUAAGGAGUACCUUGCCUUGCCUAGUGAACUAGAGCCAUUUUCAGAGAAAGCCUCCUUCAUGACUGCCAUUGACUAUGUCGUUUAUGAGAAGAGUGAUAUUUUCAUGCCAUCUCAUGCCGGAAAUCAUGUGCUCUGAGUUGUGAGUUUUAUUUCAUAUAUGAUUGAUUUUGGUUGACGAACCAGAUGCCAUUGCACCUUGCCGUGAGUGCACUCUUGCUGCUGUCUUCACCGAACUGCUCCAGUUUAGCUGACCUUGACCAUUCCGAAUGAAUAUUUGAGAAUGAUACAAGUAUUUGGAUGCCUUGUUCACUGCUGCAGGAGGAUCUCGGGUCUGGCUGAUACCAUCCGUGGCGCUAAGGAAGCUCAGAGGAGCAACAGUCGCGAGUUUCGUCUCCGGCGACGCCCACUGAAGAAGUCCAAUGUUUUUUUUCUCUUCAGAAUCACCCCGUCUGCACCACCGCUGCCGUCACCACCGCGAGCAUCAGUCGUCCAUCCACUCAUCGGACGAUCAGAAAUCUCAUGGCCUGGGACAGAGCCUCUCACCUCUGCUUGAGCGCACUCUAGUCUUUCAAACCAUCACUCCAAAGAUUGGCUGCNNNNNNNNNNNNNNNNNNNNNNNNNNNNNNNNNNNNNNNNNNNNNNNNNNNNNNNNNNNNNNNNNNNNNNNNNNNNNNNNNNNNNNNNNNNNNNNNNNNNGCUCUUUUGCUUGAACUAGAAAAUCUCUGCUCUGUAGGUUCCAAAAGUAUUUUAUUUAGCCAGUGGACUGCCUUUCUCGACCUCUUGCAGAUUCCCCUUUCUCGGAGUAACAUAUCAUUUGUUCGUCUGGAUGGAACUCUGAAUCAGCAGCAACGGGAAAAAGUGAUUAAACAAUUCUCAGAGGAAAGCCACAUCCUGGUCUUGCUAAUGUCAUUGAAGGCUGGUGGAGUUGGAAUAAACCUAAUGGCUGCGUCCCAUGCCUUUGUUUUGGAUCCAUGGUGGAAUCCAGCUGUAGAGGAACAAGCUGUUAUGCGCAUUCAUCGUAUUGGACAAACAAAAAGGGUAAUGAUCAAGCGGUUCAUUGCGAAGGGAACAAUACAGAGGAGUGCAUUGAUUGCUUCAAAGAUGCAAAGUAGAGCAACAUGAGAAAAUGCGCACUGCAUGGCCACCUUUCUGAGCCACGUGCCACCCCCCAAAAUUCUUUCCCUUUAGUUUCAAAAAUAAUUUCCUAACUCCGUUUUCAAAUGUUUUUCUAGCUUAUGUCAUUAUCAUUAUUAUUAUUAUUAUUAUUUUAUCUUUUUAUUUUUUUAAAGCGACUUCAAAUCAUCAAAUCUCUCAUCUUUAGAGUUUUAGGUAUCAAAAAUCCUAUUUUCAAUAAAAUUUGGCCGCCACUUUCUUUUUGGCGAGCCACCUUCGAAUUUUUCAUAAUUUUAAAAUAUUUUAAAAUAAACAUGAAUUUAAAUUCUGUAAUUCCGAGUGAUGGAAUUUACGGAAUUAAUUCAUGCAAAAAUAACGGGCUUUGGUGGGGGCCCUACAUAUGUGAUUUCAUGAUUGAUUUACUGAUUAGUUGAUUGGCUUUCCCGACAUGAUUGAUUUGCUCUGUUCUUGAUAUGCGCUUAAUUAUAUCUGUUCAUAAUUCACUAACCCUGUUCCAUGUUAGCGCGUUGCUGUUUGCUUCCCAGGUACGCAUCCGCUCAUAUUCUGGUUAUUUUCUAUACAUAUUCUGAUUCUCAUAUGUGCAUGAUUGAUUUGAGUAUUUAUUGAUUUCCUCAUCAUUGCCACACCAGCUUCAUUCUAUUAGUAGAGACCCGACAUUAGGGACUUAGAGGGAUGCUACGGUCCGUACCGUACCUUCCCGAUAAGUAACCUGACCCCUGAACCCGAUCCGGUUUUUCACAAACCGCCUUUUCCAAAAUAAGGAGUCACACUUAGGGUUUUUCUUUCUUAUUUUGUUUACCCUUUUAAAAAUAAAACAAAAAUAAGUGGCGACUCCAAGUCAUUUUUGAAUAAAUAAAAUUCAUUUUUCAAAUAAAAUAAAGAUCGAGCUCGUCAUCGAGUGGGAAACGCAUGAGCACGAAAUGCGGGGUCCACAAUUAGCCAUCAAAUAGAAAGAUAAAUAUGACAAUUAAUGUAUUUUCAAAUCAAAUUUGUACUUAGAUGGUUUUGCUUAUAUGAAGUAAUUUAAUGCAACUAUGAAGAUUUAUAUGUAGUAAACUUUAUAUAAUUUUAGAUUUAAUAAUCAAUUAAUUUUUAUUUGAAGAUAUAAAAACAUAAAAUAAAAGUCUUGUUUGAAAACUAUUAUUGAAAACAACAAGAAAAAUGGGGUUUUUUCACUUAGAAAUAUACAUUUGACAAACUUCUAAUAUAAAACAAUUUAUUUUUAGAAUUUAUUCUUAAAAUAAGUUAUUUUUUAGAACAAAAUUGAAAUGUUUUUAUUUUUUCACAACAAUUUAAAUAAAAAUUGAAGAUAUAGAUAAUAUAUAUUUUGGAAAAUUUUGUAUCAUAUUUAAGUGUACAAUUCCUUUGUAAAGAAUAAAUCGAAACGAAUAAUAGCUAUUUUCAAGAAUUUUGAAGAAUUAUUUUCACAAAUGUUGUGAAAUAAGCUCAAAACUUUCUACAACAUUUGUAUUAAUCUUGAAUUCGAUCAAAAUCUUGCCACAAUUGAAAAGAGAAAAAAAAUGUUAAUUAGUUGGUUAAUUUUUACAAUCCUAAUAAUAAUAAUAAUAAUAAUUCAAAAGUUUUAAAAUAAAAAUCUCACUAGCUAAAAUAAAUAUUAACUAUCAAAAUAAAAGAUUAUAUAAUAUUUUUCUAUUUUUGACUCUAUAAUCAAGAAUGUUCUUAUAAUUUCUUUUACAAUAACAAUAACAUACUAAAGUAGAAAGAGAUUAAAAUGGGAAAAAAAAUUAUUAACAAUAAAAUUCAUAAAAAGAAAUGAAAAUUAAGAAGAUUUCAAUCCACUUCAAAUGUAUUUCAAUGAAAUAGUAUUACAUUUAAAUUAUUGAAGGUCAUACCAAUUUAUUUUCUUCCUUUUUUAAUACUUAAUUUUGUUAUCAAUCAAUGAAAAUUUUAUUAAUCAAGGAAAAUGAGAAAAUAAAAUAUUUUUCUUGAAAGGUGAUGAAUUUGUUAAGAAAGGAAAACAAAAGGUCUUUUAUGGGAUACUUUAUUAAAUUAAGUUAAUAACUUAAUUUAAAUCAUUAAAUAAAUUAAGUAUGUUUAGUAAAAUAACAUAAUUGAUUUAAAUCAUUAAUAAUGUUUAUAUGAAAGCUUCUGGUAGCAUAACUUAAAGAAUGAAAGAAAUAUUUAAGUUAUGCAUACUUUCUAGAAAAUAUCAAGGAAAGAAAAAUAUUUUAAAAAAUAAUUUUUUUUAUAUUUGGGUUUAUCAUAAAAAGUAAGAAAGAAAAUCGGAUAUAGUUAAAGUUAAUUAGAGAUUAAUUUAUGCUUUUUAAAAUUAUUUAAUCUUUACACAAAAAUAUUAAAGUGUAAUGAAUUUGAAAUAACACAAAAUAAUUUAUUAACUUGAAAUCUAUUUUUUAUUUUUCUUUAUUUUUUCUUUCUUUCUAAUUUUCUCUUUGUUUUCUUUUUCUCUAACUCCCUCAAAUUUUCUAGAAACCAAAUAUAGUCUUAACAUGUGUUGGACAAUAAACUUGUUAUUUUAUGAACUUCAAAUAUUCAAAUUUCACGGAGAAGGAAUCUAAUAUCUAUCUCAAUUUAUAUGCAUCCCAUUUUUACCACUAGCAAACCUUAAUCACAACUUUGUUUAAUAAUGAAAGAACUUGUACAAGUAAAAAUAGAAUUUCUAUAAGAUGCAAAAAAAAUUUGGCUUCCACAUCUACUCAAAUAAGCAUAGAACUUUUUCUUCAACUUUUAAGUUUUUGACUUCUCAAAAAUCAAUUUAAAUUGGAUUGAUAAAUUAUAAAAGGUUACAAUAUAAUAUUACAAUGUAUAAAUAUUAUUUUUUCUACUAGAUUUUCCAUGAAAUUAUUUAUUUAUUGAAAUUGAAAUGUCCUUUGGUAUUUGUUUGUACCUAUAAAAAUUAAAGAAUUAUUUUAAAUCUUAGGUAUGGUGAUGCUUAAGUAUUUAAUAAUUUUAAUUAGAUAAUUACAUUUUACAUAUAAAAUAAUUAAUUACAUUUUUGUAGACCCUCGUUUUGAGGUCUUUGGUUUUAUUUUGAGAGCCUUUUUUGGGUGGGGCCACUUUGGAGGAUUUUUGGGCAGCACCACUUUUGAAAAAAAAAAACCGGGCAGCAGCUGGUUGUUUUUUGGGGGGAAAAAUAGAUACUUUUAGGAUAGGAGCAGCUGGGAGAUUUGAGAAAAAAAGAAGAGAAAACAGGGGCAAAAAGAAGAGAGGUUUUUUUUUGGGGGGAAAAGAAAAUCUGGAGAGAAAAACGGGCAGCCAGCAAGGGAAGUUUUUUUGGAGAAAAAAAAAAUCUGGAGAGUUGAACUGAAAACGGGCAGCAGCUGGGUGAUAUUUUGGAAGCGGAUUAGUUCAUGUUGGAAGGAGCAUUUCUGGAGGAAUCAAUCUCCGGAAGCAUUUGCCUCCAACAAAGAUCUGGUUUGUUUUUCUUCAUUUAAUCUUUUAGGGUUUUGAUAUCUUUGAGUAUCAGAGAAAUGUACUGAACAUAUGAAAACAUUUGUACUGCCUAGUUCUUAUUCGUGCUUUGCAUAGUGGUGAUUUUUCAUGAUAUUGAUGUUGGGUUUUUAUCUUGUUUCUCCAUGAAUGGUUUGGUUUGGAUUUGCUGAAUGAAAUAUUACCCUUCAGUGCAUUUACAGUGGCCACGUGUCAUUUUUUUAUUUUAUUUUUAUUAUUUUAUUAUUUUAAUGUUAAAAGUUUUGUUUAUUUGAUUAUUUUAUUUAUUCUUUUUCACGUAUAUAUUCUCCAAUAACUCUUUAAAAUUUCCUAAAAUUUCAAAGUUCCAAAUUUAUUUAUUUAUUUAUUUAUUUUAAAAAUACCAUUCUCGAAAUAGUUUUCUAAAAUUUGAUUUUAAAUUUAGUUUUCAAAACUUUAAUUCUCGACAUUCACUCUUCCAAAACUCUAUUUUUUAAAAUUUAAUCCUUUAAAAUUCAAUUCUCGAAAUAAUUUUCUAAAAUUCUAAUUUUAAAUUUAAUUUCCCAAGAUUCAAAUUUUUAAAAUUUAAUUUUCCGAAAAUUCCACAACCCCAAAUUUAAUUUUUAUUUUUAUUUUUUACUUUUUUUAUUUUAUUUUAUUUUUUUCUAUUUUUUUUAUGCCACCUUCAAAUAAAUUAUUGAAACUCCAAUUCCUUUUUAUUCAUUUACUUAUUAAUUUUUAAAAUUCCAUCUUUUAGAUAAUUCUUCAAAAUUCCGAUUUCCGAAUUUAAUUCUCAAUUUCUGAAAUUCCAAUUUUCUAAUUUCCGAAUGUAAUUUCUAAUUUUUAAAAUUCCAAAUUCUCAAAUAAUUUUCAAAGUUUCAAUUUCUUUCAAAUUUAAUUUCCGAAAUUCCAAUUUUUAAAUUUAAUUUGCGAAUCUCCAAUUCUCGAUUAAUUUUCGAAAUUCCAAUUCCUUUCAAAUUUAAUUCCCAAAAUUCCAUUUCUUAAAUUUAACUCCCAAGACUUCAAUUUUCAAAUAAUUUUCGAGACUCCAACUUUCAAAUAAACUUCAAAAAUUCAGUUUUCACCCGAACAAUUUUAAUUCUACUUUGAUUUUCAAAUAAUCUUCUUCUUCUCUUGAUUUUACAUAAGCACGAAUGCAAUUUUCAUAAUUCCUGAAUAAUGGAAUUUGUGAGACUAAUUCGUGCAAGAUAGAUCGAGCUUUGGUGAGGGCCCCACAUACGUGAUUUUAUGAUCGAUUAAUUGAUUGGUUGAUUGGAUUGUCAUGCGGAAUUGAUUUAUGCUAUUCUAUAAUAUGCACAUGAUUAUUCUAUGUUGGUUCACUAACCUUGGCUUCCCAUGAGACAAAUCUGUUCUUCACUUAGGUACGUUAUUUGUCUCUCCUAUUCAUUCAGUUAUUCUGUUUUGAAUUAUAUUUAUUGGUAUCCAUGCUUGAUUAAUCAAUUGCCAUGAUUACUUCAUUUUAUUAGUAGAGACCCAUUUUAGGGGCUUAGAGGGGUGCUACGGUCUUUACCGUACCUUCCCGAUAAGUAACCUGACUCCCGAACCCGAUCCAGUUUUUCACAGACCAUCUUUUCCGAAAUAAGGAGUCACACUUAGAGUUUUUCUUUUUUAUUUUGUUUACCCUUUAAAAAUAAAACAAAAAUAAGUGGCGACUCCAAGUCAAUUUUUUUUCGACCAAUUAAAUCAUUUUUCAAGUAAAAAUCGAGCUCACCAUUCGAGUGGGAAACGCAUGAACCAAAAUGCGGGGUUCACAAUUUUAUAUUAUAUUAUUUAAUUAAUGAUAUUUAAAUUUUAAUUAGUUUUUAAUAAUUUAAUUAAUAGUUAAAUAAUUAGAUUUAUUUAUGUUUAAAUCUAAUUAACAAUAAGUUCAAUGCAACAAGAAAAAAAAUAGCUUAUCGUUAUUAUUUUGAAGUGGAUUUUGAUUUUAAAUUUUACUAGUAGAUUUGCUUGACUAACCUUAUAAAUUAGUAGAAUUUAACAAGUUACAAAUAGUUCCCCCACCUAAUCUUUUAAAUUAAUCUUGAUGUUGACAACCAUAAUUAUAAAAAGACAAAUAAGUUGAGUUAAUUUACUAGAUUGCAAGUGGGUGCCCUUACCUAAUCUUUUAAAUUAAUCUUUAUGUUCACAAGCACUUUGCCAACCAUAAUUAUAAAGGACAGAUAAGUCAAGCUGAUUUUACUAAAUUGAGAUUAAUAAAUUGCAAGUGGGUGCCCUUUACCUAAUCUUUUAAUUUAAUCUUCAUAUUGAUAAGAACCAAAUCGGCCAUAAUUAUAAAAACAAGAAGACGACAAACUAUGAUUACUUUUAUUAACUAAAAUUUAAUAAAUCACAAAUUCUCUUACCAAACCUUUAGAUUAAUCUUGAUAACUUUGCAAUAGUAAUUAUAAAAAGAGGAAGAUGACAAACUAAUUUAAUUGCUAAUUUUAUUAACUUAGGUUUAAUAAAUUAAAAGUAGGUUGAUCUCUUACCUAUCCCUUUUAAAUUUAAUCUUGAGAUCAAUAAGAAUCAUACAGACCAUAAUCAUAAGAAUAGCCAAAACAAAAGUCGAUUUGAUAUUUAAUUAGUUAAUUUUAUUAACUAUAAGAUAUAAAAAAAAUUGUUAAGAGGUGUCUUAAAUUCUAAAUUAGAAUAUACGAUUUUUUGGUGAAAAGAAUAUUACAUAGAAUAUUUCCAAAGUUUAUAUGUGAUUGUAAUUAAAUUCAAGCUAGUACAAAUAUAUUUAUAAAUAUUUUAGGACAUGAAGAGAAAAAAUUAUGGAAGAUAUGAAAAAGAGGUGUGAUCAAGAGCGAGAGACAUUGGUAGAACAAGAGGGUUCACUAGGGAAGGGUGUAGAUGUGAAGAAGAAUGAGAAACACUUAGUGGAGCAAAAUGAUUCAUGGUUUAUGAUAGAGAUACAAAGAGCUAGAAAAGUGAGAUGUCUAGGCCUUGGUAGUUGUCUAACCUUUAUAUGUGGUUUGCUUUAUUCAUGUGUUCUUCCUUUAAUCUUUUUAAAUUGAGGUUUCCAUUUUUCUUUUGUUCCUAAGAUGGAUUUUCUCAUGUAAUCAAUUAUGCCCGUUUCCAAUUUCAUUAGAAACUUGUGUUCUACAAUUUGGGAAAUGAAAAUAAUUAUUUUUGUAUAAUUUUGUUAGUUAAUAAAAAGUAUAAUAUAGAUAAUAUUAGCCAUCAACUAUAAAGAUAAAUAUGACAAUUAAUGUGUUUUCACAUCAUAUUUGUACUUAGAUGGUUUUGCUUGUAUGCAGUAAUUUAAUGCAACUAUGAAGAUUUAUAUGAAAUAAGCUUUAUAUAAUUUUAGAUUUAAUAAUCGAUUAAUUUUUAUUUGAAGAUACAAAAACAUAAAAUAAAAGUCUUGUUCGAAAACUAUUAUUGAAAACAACAUGAAAAAUGGGGUUUCUUCACUUAGAAAUAUACAUUUGACAAACUUAUGAUAUAAAACAAUUUAUUUUUAGAAUUUAUUCUUAAAAUAAGUUAUUUUUCAUAACAAAAUUAAAAUUUUUAAAAUUUUUUCACAAUAAUUUAAAUAAAAAUUGAAGAUAUAGAUAAUAUAUAUUUUGGAAAAUUUUGUAUUGUAUUUAAGUGUACAAUUCCUUUGUAAAGAAUAAAUCGAAACGGGUAAUAACUAUUUUCAAAAAUUGUUUUGAAGAAUUAUUUUUUGAGAAUUAUUUUCACAAAUGUUAUCAAAUAAGCUCAAAACUUUCUACAUCAUUUAUAUUAGUCUUGAGUUCAAUCAAAAUCUUGCCACAAUUGAAAAGAGAAAAAAAAAAAGUUAAGUAGUUGGUUAAUUUUUACAAUCCUAAAAAAAAAAAAUAAUAAUAAUAAUAAUAAUAAUUAAAAAAAUUUUAAAUAAUAAUCUCACUAGCUAAAAUAAAAAUUCACUAUCAAAAUAAAAUAUUAUCUAUUAUUUUUCUAUUUUUGACUUAUAAUCAAGAAUGUUCAUAUAAUUUCUUUUACAAUAACAUACUAAAGUAGAAAGAUAUUAAAAUGGAAAAAGAAAAUGAUUAACAAUAAAAUUCAUGAAAAGAAAUGAAAAUUAAGAAGAUUUUAAUCCACUUGAAAUUUAUUUCAAUGAAAUAGUAUUGCUUUUAAAUUGUUUAAGGUUGUGAAAUCAAGGUUUGGUUAAUCUCGGUUUUGAUGAUAACAAAACAAGGUUUAGAACUAAUGACUAUAUUUCAAGUGUGAUUAGGCAAGACGAUUUCUAAAGUGGCAAUCACAAAGACAAUUCAAGCUAAAGAGAAAUCAUGAAGAAGAAGACCACCUCAAAGAGAAGAAUUUUUUCAAGACCAAAGCUUCAUAAGAUCUCUUUGUAAGGUUGUUGGUGCACUAGGAUUUUCAUGCAUUAUUUUCUUUACUUAUGCACCUAAAUCAUCCAAGAGUUAUUUUGUUUUAAAUAUUUUUAAAAUUGGAUGAUUUCAUGUUUUCAACUAAAACCUUGUGUCAAAUGUUGUUUCAAACUUGUUUAAAAGGUUUUAAAGUUGAAAAAAUUGGUUUUUGAGCCAAAAACGGCUCAAUCGACUAAAUCGGGUUAACCGGAUGAACAGUAACCGAUCGACCCCUAGCUCAACCGGUUGAGGUAUGAACAAUACCGGUUGACCCAUGAACAGUCUCGGUUGACCGGUACAAAAAUUUUCUCUCUCUUCCAGAAUGCUUGUUCAACCGGUCAAGGUUGAACCUCAACCGGUUGAGGUCCAGUUGAGGCCCAACGGUCACCUGCCAACAUUAAAUGCUAACGACUAGUCAACCAGUCGACCCCUAGCUCGACCGGUCGAACCUCCAACGGCUAGUUUAGUUUUUUUCUUCUAUAAAAAUGCUCUAAUCUUCAUUGUUUCAUAAGCUUAACCUUCUCAAAUUAUUCUUGAUUAUAUUUGAGUCUUGGAAGAGUAUUUUUUAGUGCACUAUUAUUCCAAAACUUGCAUAUCUUUAGUGCACCAUUCAAUCCUAGUUUUUCUUGUAUCAUUUGAGCUUAAAAGUUUUGUACUAGGAUUUUGUGAGAUAUUUAUUUGUAAACCUUUGAGAGGAAGUUUCUCAAGCGUGUGAUAUCACUUGAAGGGUUGUUCAAGAGUGGGAUAUCACUUGAGAAGUGUAAAGGGUGCUUGGAGCCAAAAGUCCAAGAGGGUGAAUUGGAACCAUAAUCCAAUUGUAUAGCUUGAAGGCUUGGUUUGGAAGCCUUGAAUUAGUGGAACCUCAAGCUCGGGAUUGAAGCUAGAGGAGAGUGGAUGUAAGUCGGGUUGCGUUGAACCACUAUAAAUCUUGUGUUUGCAUUCUCUCUUCUCUACUCUUUUAAAUUAUAUGCAAUUGUCAUUCUAUUGUUUAUUAUAUACUUGCAUAUAAUUGUUUCUUACUUUCACUUAGUUUAAAUUUGCAAAAAGAUACCAUCACCCUAUUCACACCCCCCCCCCCCCCCCCCUUUGGGGGAUUACCAUAGGGUGGAUUAACCCAAAUUUCCUAAAAAAAGGCAUACCAAAGGAUUUUCUUUCUUUUUUAAAACUUAAUUUUUUUAUCAAAAAAUGAAAAUUUUUCUAAUCAAGGGAAAUGAGAAAAAAAAAAAUUUUUUUUGAAAAUUUAUGAAUUUUUUAAAAAAAGAAAAAAAAAAGGCUUUUUUGGGAAACUUUUUUAAAUUUAAAUAAUAAACUAAUUUUAAAUUUUAAAAAAAAUAAAGAUGUUUAAAAAAAAAACAAAAAGGGAUGAUUUAAAAAAUAAAAAAAACUUUUAAAAAAAAAAAAAAAAAAAUAAAUUAUUCUUAAANNNNNNNNNNNNNNNNNNNNNNNNNNNNNNNNNNNNNNNNNNNNNNNNNNNNNNNNNNNNNNNNNNNNNNNNNNNNNNNNNNNNNNNNNNNNNNNNNNNNGUAGAAAGUUUUGAGCUUAUUUUGAUAACAUUUGUGAAAAUAAUUCUCAAAAAAUAAUUCUUCAAAACAAUUUUUGAAAAUAGUUAUUACCCGUUUCGAUUUAUUCUUUACAAAGGAAUUGUACACUUAAAUACAAUACAAAAUUUUCCAAAAUAUAUAUUAUCUAUAUCUUCAAUUUUUAUUUAAAUUAUUGUGAAAAAAUUUUAAAAAUUUUAAUUUUGUUAUGAAAAAUAACUUAUUUUAAGAAUAAAUUCUAAAAAUAAAUUGUUUUAUAUCAUAAGUUUGUCAAAUGUAUAUUUCUAAGUGAAGAAACCCCAUUUUUCAUGUUGUUUUCAAUAAUAGUUUUCGAACAAGACUUUUAUUUUAUGUUUUUGUAUCUUCAAAUAAAAAUUAAUCGAUUAUUAAAUCUAAAAUUAUAUAAAGCUUAUUUCAUAUAAAUCUUCAUAGUUGCAUUAAAUUACUGCAUACAAGCAAAACCAUCUAAGUACAAAUCCCCCCCCCCCCCCCCCUUUAGGGUGAUUACCAUAGGUUGGAUUAGCCUAAAUUUCCUAACAAAGGUCAUACCAAUGUAUUUUCUUUCUUUUUUAAUACUUAAUUUUGUUAUCAAACAAUGAAAAUUUUACUAAUCAAGGAAAAUGAGAAAAGAAAAUAUUUUUCUUGAAAGUUGAUGAAUUUGUUAAGAAAGGAAAACAAAAGGUCUUUUAUGGGAUACUUUAUUAAAUUAAAUUAAUAACUUAAUUUAAAUUAUUAAAUAAAUUAAGUAUGUUUAAUAAAAUAACAUAAUGGUAUGAUUUAAAAUAUAAAAAAAACUUUAAAUAAUAAAUAAAAAUAAUUAACUUAUUCUUAAAUUCAUAUUUUUAUUUUACCUUUUUAUCCCAAUUUGCCAUAAUUACCUUCACAAUCUCCUUUACUAUUCCACGACCUUUAUUUUUACACGACCUCAUUUACCCUAAUUAUAAUUUAUGAGGAUAAAUAUGUCAAUUUGAUCAUUUAGAAUUAAUCAUAAGUUAUUUUUAUCACACAAUCUUAAUACUUAAAAUAAGAAUUAAACAAUAAGUUUUAAGUUAACAAUUUAAGUUUAAUUUAACUAAAAGCCAACUUAAAUCAUUAAGUAAUUAGUAUUAAGUUUUAUCAAACACUUCCAUAUAAUUAGUUAAUUUUGAUUAAUCUAAUAAUAUAGAAAGUGAAAUAUACACAUUUUUUUAUUGGUAAGGUUGGUCUUGAACUUCUUUCACCAAAUCAUUUUUAUUAAUCUUAACAUCAUCAUUAGUUAAUUAUAUUUAAAGAAAAGAAAACCAAAAAAAAAAGUCAAUUUGGGUGACCAAUUUUUAUUGAAAAUUAAAACCAAACAAAAGUUGAUCAAUACAAAAGAAAAAAAAAUGAAUGGUAUGAAGUAGACAUUUUGUCUUUAUGAGAUUAUUGAUGGAAGUGUAAUAGACUAUAAACAAGUCUAUGAGAAUCAAUUCUAAUGAGUCCUAAAACAUAUCUAUAAGAAAUAAAAUAAAACCAUGAUAUAAAGAAAUGAUAUUUAAGUGUUUAUAAAUAGGAAUCGGAUACAUAUAAAUAAAAUUUAGAUUAAUUAUAAAUGAAACUAUUUUUAUUAUGUGGUUGUUUUUAAUGUACCACCAAUUUUUAUUUUUAUUUAUUUUUAUUUAUUUUUAUUUUUUUAUAUUCCAUAGAAAAAUUAAUUUCCAAUACCAUAGAAUCACCCUAAUUUCAAAUUGAGAUUUACUAUCUUAAAUUUUAAAUUUUUAAAAAAAUAAUUUUUAAGAGCAUGAACCAAAUCUAUAUUUUUUGUUAAGAAUUUCUAUUCUUUAUAUAGAAGUUUUUAUCAAUUUUUAUUUUUAAAAACAAAAAAUAAGUACUUAGAGUGCGUUUGACAAUAAUUUUAAGAAGUGUUUCUAAUAUUUUAAAUACUUGAAAAAUAAAUUUUUUUAUAUAUUGAAACAAUUGCAAAAUGCACUUUUAGUAUGUAAUGAUAUUAAUUUCUUCGAAGAGAGAGAUUUACAUUUUAGAUAAAAAUAAAUAAAUAAAACAAUACAAGGAUAAAAAAUUAUUUAAAAAAAAACUUUUAACUUCGUGUACUUUAUUAUUACACACUUUUUUCAUUAGAUGCUUUAAAUAAUUUUUUUGAAAUAAAAUUAUAAUUAUAUUGAUGGAGGGCUAAUUAACUUGGCUUUAGGUGAGAAAGAUAGAGAUAAGAUUGAAGUGGGUCCACAUCUAAAACAAAAAUGAAAUAAAAAGUAAAGAUGAAGAUAAGGUUGAGGUGGGUUCACAACUAAAAAAAGAAUGAAAUAAAAAGUAUGAGAUGAAUUGACCAAAGCUUAUGCCUUCUUCCAAAUAGUAAAAGCAAAGCCCAAUAGUAUAAAGUGAUGACACUAGUCCUAUUCAAGGCUCCACUUGCAUAAUUGCUACAUCUUUUGACUUGAUUUUAGUUCAAUUUCACUAAAAUGAAAUCAUUUAUUUGAGCCCAAAAAUUCAAAUCCAAAUCCAACCCACUUAUUUAUAUACAUUAUUGGCAUGGAAUGAGAAAAGUUAUAAAGUGAGAAAAUUUGAUCAUAUGAUAAAUAGUAAUUUUUCAAAGUUGGAGCCAAUCCAAUGCCCAAUGGGUAUAAAAGAAAAAUGAAAGAUGUGGAAAUUAUAGUGGAAUCUUGAAACAAAUUUUUGAGGUUUGAGGUGAUGUGACAACCGUUUCCAAGUAAUUGCCUAAGAAUGUGAGAUGUUAUUGCAUUGAAAAUUGAUAUUAAAUCUCAUUGGGUAACUAUAAGAAUUGCUUUACAUAAAGGCAAGUAAUAAAUAUAUCCUGCCUUUUCAAAAAGUUUAUGACCCUAACUAAGUGAAUAAAAUGGUGAAUAAAACUUUUAGAGUAGGAUGAAUGCAUUUCACGCGAGUCACGUCCUAAAUAUAUUUUUAGAAUUUUCUAGCAGGAUGUCGAGGAAAACUCUAUGAUGAGUGCUCUCUUUCUAGUUAAGGUAGGUCCAAUUUGGUGCAAUUUGCCAACAUAAUUCAAACCCAACAUAUGUUUUAGGGAUUUGAAUAGAGUAAAAUCAUAUUUAAAUUAAAUUAAUCAUAUGAAUCUACAUAACCUGUUUAAUAAAUAGAUUAUUUUUAGGUCUAUUUGGAUAACUCACAUUUGACUCAAAUUAACUUAUUUAAUAAUGGUAUUGAUUAACCUAAUAAUAACUUUAACUUAUUGAACUCAUAUUUGACUCAUGUAAAAUUUGUUUUUCAAUAAGUAUGUCAUAAUUGGGUCAUAAACAUGUCAUAUUAGAAUAUUAACCAUAUUAUUUCAUUCAACAUUUAACUUGACUUGAUUAUGAAAUAACAUCUUAUUAUUAAAUCAGUUAAACCGGUUAUAAUGUAUCACCUAGAUAAUAAUUAUAUUGUGUUUGAGUUUAUGUUUUAAAUUUUGAUUAUUAUUCAUGUCAUGUUUAGGUUGAGUUAUUUAGCGGAGGAUCUAACCUUUGAUAUAACACAAACACAACCCACUAACAUAAAUUGUCAUUCUCACUUCUACUAAUAAGUGAUUUGUUUAUUACAAUUAAGAAAAUUGAGAAGAUAUAAUUGUUUUAAAAAUCUUAAAUGCAUGAUUAAAAUUAAUUAUAACUUUUAAAAGUUUUAUAAUUCAUAUUCCAUCCAAACUAACAAAAUAUUAGAAAUCUUCAAUGGUUUUGUCUACAAUAAAUGUGUUGUGCUAAAUUAUCAACUUCUCUACUAACCAAAACAUGUUUUUUCUCAAUCAAAUAUCAACAUGUUUAAGCAGCCGGUGAGGCAUCUCUUGACAAUGAGGUGAAAGGUAGAAACAAGAAACAUACCUAUAUUCAAGAGAAGUGUUGCUUCUUCAUUUGCAUUAGACAACAUUCAUUUAGUCUAAACUUGAAGGUGGAUUGCUAGAAUCUGAGCUCUUGGAAAGACAUAAGAGAAGUACAUUUAGAAAUCUGAAAGAAGCCUAGAGACUUGUUGCUACUUAUGAAUCACUGUAAUCAGAAACAAUUCCAGAUAAUCCUGCAAUUUUGGACCUUUGAUUUGCUCUGUUCCAUUUUGCCAAGGACAGUUCUAAAAUUUUUCCUUUAUUGAGCUGUAAUGAUUUUUUUAUUAGGAUUUAAUUGUAUUCAUUAGGUUUGCAAAUCACAAAAAUGGUGUCGUGCGUAUGUAUAUUUUCCUCUUUGAUCAUGUAAAGUUGGGAAGCAAUUAUGGAAUACUAUGAUAGCACAAUAUAUUGAUCCACAGUUUGUGGCAUGACAGUUUAAUGAAAUUACAGAAGUGUAGCACUCAUGGGUAUGUCAUGUGAACCUUUUUCAAUGGAGAUACUUGUUUAAAUUUACAUGGGUGAAUUGUCACACCAAUAUCCUCUAAUGAACCUUGGGUUCUUUUUUCUGUUUCUUCAUCUCUUGGUCAAGACAAACAAUUUAUCUUCAUAAGGACUUUGUGUUACCAAUAAGCAGCAUCUUGUGUUCUCCUUCUCUUCAUCCCCUUGUCAAGACACAGCAAUCUGAUGCAUCUUUGCAUUGGGUUACUUCCUCUCCUCUCCCUUUCCUUCCUCCUUGAGGUAAAAUCGCAUCAUUGCUUAGUUUUGACUAUGUUUCUUUUGAUCAUUGUGAGAGAGCAUCAUUGUAAGAUGCACAAGAAACGUGUUGUGGUGCAUUAUCCCUUCCUCUACCACCUAAAAUCUAUUUUACACGAUCAUAAGAACCAAGGUGUUUUAAACAUCAGGUAAGGCAUUUGUUGAUAAUGAUGUGAGAGAUAGAGACAAGCAACAUACCAGUAUUCAAGAUGUGAUGUUCUUUUGCAUUUGACAACAUUCAUUUAGUUUGAACUCCACAUUUGGGCAACUCAGAAUCUCCACCUUCAUUAGGAUUGCAGGAAGUUGACUUCUUGGGAAGACAUGGAAAGAGAGCAUCUAGAAAUUUGAAAGAAUUAUAGAGGUUUAUUGCUACUUUUGAAUAAUUCCAAUUAAUAACAACUCCAAAAGAUAUAUACAAAUGUGUCCCUAGGAAAGAGAUGUGUCGUAUGCAUAUGCAACCAUCUCUCUAAUAGACUUAGGGUUAUGCACCCUCAUGGUAGUUUCUUAUAUAUUGCACCAUAUGAAUUGUAGAUAUCCAACUACCAAUAUCACUACACCUGAAUGAACUCGGAGCUAUGCUGAAAGUGAAGUUGACAACCCAUCAUCGAAAGAAUCUUGUAGGAAUACACCAAAAUGAAAAUCUUAUUAACAUAAAUGAAUUCAUCCAGUUAAAGGAUAAAGUUGCCUGAAAAAUUGAAUUGGGAGAGACAAAAAUAUUAAUGCUUUCAUAGGACUAUGGAAAUGACCAACAAGUGGAACAAACAUUGAAUAGUAAAUGUAAAGCCAUAAAGCUUGUAACUACUGUCAAAAGCUGCUCCCUAGUGAAGUUUUUUCACAAUAAAGGUAAGGGCAAAAUUCACCUAAUAGCUCCACUUAUAGAAAAUUUCAAUGGUGUGAAACUAGGAUAUGAUGAACUCGCUUCCGCUAUUGCAGUGAACCAUUAUGGAUCAAAAAUGAAUCUCACCAUCGGUUUUCACAUGGGAGAUGUGGGCUAUCUUUGGCCCAUAUCUCAAUAUUGGAUUUAGGAGUUCUGUCUCUCAUAUAUGGUUCCACUUGCAAAAUACAAAUGGAGCUUAGCUGAUGACAACAUAUUUAGAAAAAUGCAAGAAUUCCAUAGACAUUUUUUGUGCUAUCAUAAAUCAUUCCAAUCAAUAAGAAAUCAAAGUGCUAUAAUUUUGAAUUGUCUUAGGGAACAAACCCCAAUUCAAUCUUGUGGAAGUAAACUAUCUUGAGUACCAACUCAAUUCUGAGUUCUUUAGGAGACUUGAGACACCAAUUCAAUCAAAGAUGCUAGUUGUUUCUGAGGUAGAUUGUCUUCCUCCAUUGAUACUAGGGAAAAUGCUUUUGAAAACCAUUCAUCUGCAAAUUACAAAGGGGGAUGAGAUUAUGUGAUUUAGGAAGAGAAUUAAGCUUUGAAAUAUUGCCAAUAUGCAACCAACAAUUUCUAAUUCUAUCAUUUCUAUUUUAGCAUGUGAUUUGGGAAAAGGAUUAAGCUUCAAAAUAUUUCCAAUAUGCAAGGAAUUGAGAGAGGCCAAGUGGGCAACCACCAUAGCUAGUUCACAAACAAAUGACAGCAUUGGAAGUGGAACACAACACAUAAACUUCAAAAACAAAACAUGUUUGCCACAAUCAUAAAUACCAAGGUGUUUAAGCAUGAGGUAAGGCAUCUCUUGACAAUGAUGUGAGAGAGAGACAAACAACAUACCAGUAUUCAAGAGAAGUAGUAUUCUUCUUUUGCAUUUGAUAACAUUCAUCUAUUCUGCAUCCCAAAUUUUAGCAACUUAGGAUCUCCACUUUCAUUAGGAUUGCAGGAAGCUGGCCUCUUGGAAACACAUGAGAGGAUAUUUAGAAAUCUAAAAGAAUUCCAAAGACUUGCUAUUGCUUGAAUUGUGAAUCAUUCCAAUCAUAAAUACCAAGGUGUUUCAAGAUCAGGUAAGACAUUUCUUAGCAAUGAUGUGAGAGAUAGAGACAAGCAACAUACCAGCAUUUAAGAGAAGUAGUAUUCUUCUUUUGCAUUUGACAACAUUCAUCUACUCUACACCCCAAAUUUUAGCAACUCAGGAUCUCCACCUUCAUUAGGAUUGCAGGAAGUUGGCCUUUUGGAAACACGUGAGAGGACAUUUAGAAAUCUAAAAGAAUUCCAGAGACUUGUUGUUGCUUGAAUUGUGAAUCAUUCCAAUCAUAAAUACCAAGGUGUUUCAGGAUCAAGUAAGGCAUCUAUUAGCAAUGAUGUGAGAGAUAGAGACAAGCGCCAUACCAGUAUUUAAGAGAAGUAGUAUUCUUCUUUUGCAUUCGACAACAUUCAUCUACUCUACACCCCAAAUUUUAGCAAUUCGGGAUCUCCACCUUCAUUAGGAUUGCAGGAAGUUGGCCUCUUGGAGACACGUGAGAGGACAUUUAGAGAUUUGAAAUAAUUCCAAAGACUUGUUGUUGCUUGAAUUGUGAAUCAUUCCAAUCAGUAACAACCCCAAAGCCCUAUAUACAAUUUUGAACCAUCAACCUUCUUACAUUGAAUGAAAAACCUGUCCCUAGGAAAAAGGUGUCUUGGCCAUACAACCAUCAAUUAUUAGCUCUCGAGGAGGCUUAAAGUUGUGCACCUUCUUGGUAGCUUCUAAUUCGUUACAUCAUAUAACUUCCAGAUAUCUAAUUGACACGUCACUACACCUGAAUGAAGUAGAAAACAUGGUGAAUAGGAAGUUAGACAACCUUUCACAAAAAGAAUCCUGCAAUAAUACACCAAGCAAAACUUCUUGUUAACAUAAAUGAAUUCACUCAAUUAAAUUAUUGUGUUAAAAUUUAAAUUGGGAGAAAUAAAAAUACAAAUGCUUACAUGGGACUAUUGGAUAACCAACAAGAAGAACAUACUUUGAAUAGAAAAUGUGAAGCCAUAAAGCUUGUAAUUGUUGUUAGAUGUUGCUUCCUAGUAAGGUUUUCAACAAAAAGGUUCAGUGUAGGGAUUCUCUAGUAGUUGAAUUGGUAGAAAAUUUUAACAGUAUGACAAUUUAUACUUGUAACAAGAAGAUAAAAUGUAAGAAUUAUGUGUUGGGAAUAGAUGAAACUUGCUAAAUAUAUGGAUAGGAUAGGGUGAACCCUCUCUACUUCCAUUUUUGGAAUCCAAACUAUUAUGGAUCAAAGUUGGAUUUCUCCAUAUAUUAAAUACAAUUGGAGCUUAGGUGAGGUCUUGGUGAUGUAGGAAAUUCAUGGAUUCUGGAAUCUUUACAUGAAAAUAUACAUGAAUGAUACAUUGGAAGAAAGGGCAGGCCUUGGUCAUCUGAGAAGAAACAAAUCUUAAAUAUACUAUUAAUCUUGAGUUGUUUGAGAGUGAUGAGUCUGUGAAGGCCUCCCUCAGAUAAGGGAUGUCUUUGACAUUUCUCCUUCUUCAAUCUCAAGAAGGUACACCAUCAACUAGAACAUUAGGAAUGUGAGUCAUCAUGGACAACUUGUUUAAGUUUUUUAUUCUUUUUUCACUGAAGGGGAUUAAAAGAUAUGUAGUUGUAAGGACAAGAGAUGUAGCCAGUAGUGAGAGCAUCAAACAAAUCCUUCUCUAAUGCAGACCUCAAAUUUUAGCAACUCGUGAUCUCCACAAUUUAGAGCAUUGAAGGAAGUUGCCAUGUUGGAAAGAUGUGACAUGGCAUUUAGAAAUAUGCAGGAAUUCCAGAGUUCAUUCCAAUCAUUAAGGAAUCCAAAGCCCUAUAAUUUAAAUAGGGCAUCCCCUUGGCAUGGAUAACACACCUAUCUUGGGAAAAAGACUGGGCAUCAAUUCAAUGAUCAACUCUCUAUGAAACUUGAGAUACAAGGUACUAAUGUUAGUUGCUUCCAUGGCAGUUCUUUUACUGGUAUUAGGGCAAAGCCUUUUGAAAACCCUCAAUCUACAAAUUACCAAGGACAUGAGAUCAUGUUGUAAUGUCAUCUCCAAUCUCUAGCUACAAACAAAUUAUUUCUUUCAAUUAACAAUCUUUAAUGCAUUCACUUCUAUCAUACGAUAAGCAAUUUCGGAAAACAAGUAAGCUUUAUAAUAUUAGGAAUAUGCAAGAAAUUGAUAAAGGCCAUGAAUCUACCUUCAAAAAAUAAAUUAUUAAAAAAAAGAUUUUUUCACCCAUGAAUAUUGUAAUCAGCUUCCAAAAAACAUUAGGUAUUGCAAUAACCAAAUGUUCCUUAGGUUACCAAGAGUGUUUUUUUUACCCAUGCAUAAAAUAAAAAGAAAAUAAGAAAGCAUACCAUACAACUCACAACUGUGUCAAGUAUGAGUUCAAUUCAUGGUCAUGCACAAUUGCAUUAAGUAUUUGAAAGCCAAAUAAGGUUAUGUGCAAUUCAAAGAAUACCAUACAACUCACAACAGAAUCCUCACAGCUCACCAUAGAAUGAGAAUUCAAUUGUCUUUCCUCUAGUCAUAAGAGUUUGUGCUCUUCGAGCCUUUGACUUGCACAACUCAAGAUAGCAGGACAUGCCAAAAAGUCUCCUUCACCUCAAACAUUAUUCAAAUCCAUAGUAUAAAUCUAGAUAAGAUAAUUUUCUACAAAUAUAACAUGUUGCAAACAAAUAACAGUAUGUUGGUUUAAAAUUGAAAAGCAUUUCAAACCAAACAAAAUAGAAAAAAUUUCAGUGUAUAUCACUCACCUAAAAGCUUGUAUGUUGGAUAAAAUUCCUGCUAAUGAAUCCUCACAAUUAUUUGCAAUCAAAAUUUAGUAAUGAUUUAUAAACAAAAAAAAAAUCACAAAUUUUUUUAGCAAUGUUCCAUGACAAACACAUUGCAUAUUGAUUGAGAAAUUAAUAUGAAAUCCACUAAUUUGAAAGGCACUAAAUACCAUAUGUUCUCUUGAGUUCUCCAUGUAUCAAAACAGAUGCAAGUUGCUAUUUGAGCCACCACAAUCACGGAGCAAAAUACUUCUUAGCAUGGAAGGCAUACCAUAUUUUAAACAAUGUUCUUAACUUUCCAAGAGACAUAAGAACGUGGUGUGUUGUAGAAACUGUAGAAGAAAUAAAUGGAAGUUAAACAUAUGCACUUGCUACUUAGUUUUUUAAUCAUGUGUGAAAGAAAUAAAGAGGUGUUACUUGUAUUUAGGCCAAACUUGUAGUCUCCAAUGUGAAAUCCAAAUCUCAUUUUGUCAACAGAAUAAGAGCACUAAACAUAUAGCAAAUUGAAUCCUUCCUUUUGACAAUUUGAAAACCUUAAAGGAAUGACUUGAGAUCAUAAAUAACUAUACGAUAAAGAAAAUUUUCAUCAUUCUUUCUAAAAGGAAAAUUUGUCAUUUCCUUGAUUACAGAAGAUUGAUAUUUUAACAUAAAGUGCACUUAUUAAGGUAAACUUUAUGCAUUAUAUAUUGAAUUAGAAAAUUGUAUUCAAAUCCAAUUAGAAGGGUAUCACAAAAGAUGCUUAAUUGAAAUGAAGACAUCCAUGCCAAUUUGUAACUGUUAUCAAAUAACACCCUUCCUUGUCAUUUUACGUCCCAUGCUUGCAUGUCAAAUCUCUAACUAAGACCGCUCAAAGAGCACUUCAAAUAAAAUUACGAAGAUUUCAUUACAGGUAGAACUUAAGAUGCUUACAUUGACCAUGGGAGAGAUCGAUAAGAAACAAAAUACUCACCCAUAAGUUUGUAACUAUUGUACUCAAAACUUGCUUCCUAGUCAAACUUUCAACACAACUUCUUGGAAACUUCCACAAAUUGUUGAGCCACUAGUAAAACACAACAUCAAUAUGAGAAAUUUACAAGGUACUAUGCAAAUAAAAGAGUAAGAAAUGUGUAUUGAGAAUAAGAGUUACCUUAAUGAAUGUAAGGAUAGGAUAGGGUUGAAUUGGCUUUGCACCCAUUUUUGCAAUUUGAAUUUAUUAUGGUUCAAAAAUGAGUUUAUGAUGUAUCCUCAUUUUAGGGGAAGCGGGCAAUCUAGGGCCAAUCUCUAUCAUUCUCCUUGAAACAUCUUUGAUUUCGAAGUUUGAUAAAACUUAGAAGACAACCUUUCACUUGGUAAGAAGGACUAGAACAAGGCAUCCCUCAAUCUCUACAAGUUAAAGAAAUGAAGUUUUGAAGACCAAGGGAGGGGGCUAGGAUUUCAAAUUUGACAAUAUUUUCAUUGAAAGAUCAAUGAGUUGUAGCAAGAAAUCCUGUCAAAAGGAAAUUGCAUUUAACAAUGUACAAUAUAAAAUGAAUGAACUGAGUUUUUAGAGAGGUGAAUCUUUGGAGGCUCCACAAAGAUAAGGGGUUUUAAUACCCUUGCAAGUGUAUUCGUGAAAUUAUUUCCUCAAAGGAAACCUGAACCUGGACAAUGUGCAACACAAAGCUGUUAAAGAGAUGUAAGACUCUAAAUCUGAUGAGGUAGGACUUGAGAUCCACAUUUUCUUAAGUGAGGAAUUCUGAGGUUGUAAACACACCAGUAGUUUCCAGAUUUAAAUACUUCUCUUCAAAUAUUUGUAUAACGUACAUCUUCUUUGACAUUGCUGCUCCAACAGGAUGUCCAAUAGGAUGUGCAACCUAUUUGGGCAUACUACAUGUACAACAAAAAAUUUCAUUAAAACAAAAAACUUUUACUAAAACAAAAAUAUGAAGUUAAUGUAUAAGAAGAUAAGAUUUAUAUAUAGUGAAUGAGCAUGAUUGAUUUUAGCACAAAGGGAAUGACGCUAAAAUUUAUAAGAAUAUCAUCACCAUAAGUACCUAAUUUGCAUCAUUAAAAAUUCCACAAGGAUUUGAUGAUUAGGCAAUAAAAUAAUUCUAGUAAAUGAGUUAAAAUCAGCUGCGCUAAGAAAGAUUAAAUCCAAAUAAGCAUCAAUCAUUAAAGAAUUAACCAACUACAAAAGACUUCAAAUGACUUUGACUUUUUCUCCGUAAUUUCUUUUCCUAAUUGGCCUCAUUUGCUUAUACCAAAAUAUUAUUAAUUUGCUUUAAAGGAAGUGGGUGACUCAUAUCUCUGAAAGGAUGUGAGAGGUGGAAAUCCCUCGAUCUCUAGUGAUUCAAGAGGAUAAUUCAUAUGGCUAUUGUUGUCAUCAUACAUCAUUCAACUAGCUAUAGACCACAAAAUUGAACAAUCAUGAAUACGUUGAUGCUUAAAUAUGGUAUGUACUUUAACUAGUGGAAAAUCUUAUGAGACUUGGACAUCUCGAGAUUUCCAGGAAUUAAGAUAGAUACAAGUUGUUGCUUCCUGUUAUAAUUUAUCUGGAUUGCAAUCAUCAAGCACUAACUCCAUUCACUGCAUGUUUUGAGCCUUCAGCAUAAAACCCAAAUUCCAUUCUAUCAACUAAAAAUAAAAUAAAAAAAUCACUAAUAACUCCUUUGGAAACCAUUUUAUGUUGCUCAGAUUAUAAAAUGUAGGAUUUAACUGACUUCCAUCAUUGAAAAUGAAUUGAUAUAACUUUACAAUACUAGUAUAUUCAGCUUUUGACAUGGUUGAAACUGAUCCUGGAAUCAAAAAUCACAUACACAAGUAGAUAUUUAACAGAAGAGGAUCCAAAAUCUCUUCAAUUGAUUAAUGUAUAAAUGAAUUAAUAAAAAAUUUUCAAGAUAAUUAUGGGAAAAUGAACCUUGUACCUCUGAGUUUCUUAUUCUUCUUGAAUAGAGCAAUGAGCAUCAAGUGUUGAGCACCCAGGAAUCUCCCUUCCUCCACAGGCAAAGUCUGAACAAUCUAUCCUUUCUUCAUAUUCCACUUCCUUGCAAAAGUCAAAACAUGAAGAAAAUAUCAUCAAAAUUGAGACAAAAAUAAGUGCAUCAACUAUCUUAAGAAGAGAUUUAUGCCUACUGCUUACCUUUUGAAGAAGUCCACUUGGUUAGAGCACAUUUUACAUGGACGCCCAAUCACUGCAAGCUGCUGAACCAAAGGAGAGUUCAAGCAUCUAAAAAAUUUGACGAACUCAAGUAUCAUAGAAUACUUCAUAUGAAUUCUAAAUGAUCUCAUAUCUAAAAAACAUUGGCAUAAAAUUACUGUUGUUUACCUUACAUGUUUCUUCCAUGGUCAUAAUCAAAACUUUGUUUAUCAUAAGAAAUCUUCUAUGCUCAUCUUGAUUACUUACAAUGAACACUGAAAUGAAAAGAAAAAAAACACAAAAAAUGAUGAUUAGUUUGGUUUGAUAAAUUUAGCAAACAUAAUUUCCUUUUUCUUGCAUGAGAAAGGAAAGAGUAAUAUAUAUAUAUAUAUAUAUAUAUAUGAAUUUAAUAAUUUUUUAAAAUUAGCAAUUAUAAAACUAUUUUGGUUCUCAAAAAAUUUAUGGGAAAGUAGGGAAAAAAAAAUUAUAAACUUCUUUUCGUGUUUGAUUAUUUAUCGGAAAAUUAAGGGAAAAACAAAAAUCUAUGAGAAAUUUAUUUAACACUUCUGAGGAACCAAAAAUGUUUUAGAUGUUGUCAAAUCGAUAAUUUAAACGUGUUUAAUUCCAAUUAAAUGAGUUUAAUCAAACACAUGAAAUUGUGAAUAAAAUUAUUUAAAAGCAUUGAAAUUCAAGUCAUUAAAUAGAGAACACUUAUAAGUGGUUCAUUUCAUUUUUGCAAACUGCCAAAUCAAAAUAGAGCAUGAAAAUGUGUUCAAUAUUUGUUUCAGGCUUGAAGCUUCAAGAAAAAGAAAAUCUUAAAUCAAAUAAACAGGACUAGCGAAUGAAUGGGAACUUGAAAGAAAAGUUUAAGCGCAAAAGAAUUACCUGACUGUGUAUUGGCGAAGUGGCACUUUGAUUAGGAAUGAGAUCUAUAUAACGCCAUUCUUCCCCUUUCUCCAGUAAAUGACCUGAUUAGAACUACAAUAAGUGAAGUGAUAAUGUCAUCUAAUUAGUAAACCAAACCAAGUCAAUAAACUACAACUUCCUCUAGUAUAGCCUCGAUGUAAAAGAAAUUUAAAAUCUCAUUUAUUGCACUUGGCAAGGUAGAAGUAGUAAUGCUCAUUUUUUAUUGUGACAGAUUAUAGAGAAAAUUAGACACUGCGAAAAUACCAAGCCAAGAGCUGCUUUCUUGUUAAAAAUUAAGUCCAAUUAGAAAAUUACAUAGCGCGUAAGAGAAAUUCAAAGUGGUGUUGAGAAGAGAAAGAGGAAGAAUGAUGUGUUGGGAAUGAGAUGUAAUACCUUCUUUAUUACUCAGAUGGAUUAGUCAUGUAUGUCCACACAGGGGAUGUGGGCAAUCUUAAGCCAAUCAUCUCCUUCCUCCUUCGAGUACAUUUGUGUUAGAUGUGGGCAACGCCGCGCAUGCAGUCGUGAAAGGGUGUCAGGCAAUAGUCCUUCCCUUGGCAAAAUCGAUCGGAGCUUAGGGCAAUCGUAGAUUUCUAGCUCUUCAAGAGAGGUGAGGGUUUGGAGAGACAGGGAGGCUAGGGAUUCCAGAUUCUGGAAUCGUGAAAGGAUAAGGGAGGUGAGAGUUGUAGGAAAAAGAAUCGAGUGGGGGUCAUCCGAAAAGGAAGUUGCAUCUGGAAACAUGCCACUAAUCCAGAGGCGUUUAAGAGAGGUGAGUCUGGAAAGACCCCAUUGGGAUAGGGGGGUCUUGAUAUUCUCGCAAUCUUGAAUGAUAAGCGAUGUAAGACAAGUGAGGUUUUUUAUCUGAGGAAGCAACAAUUCCAGAUUUUCAGAAUCUUCAAUAACUAGAUAUGUGAGGGUGUUGAGGCAAUCUGGUAGGGUUUUGAGAUUAGGAUACCUCCCGAGGAUUAAAGAUUGAAGUGAAUUAUUAGUAGAGUGAAACAUCCCCUCUGAAAUUGACUCGAGGUGUUUACAACCCCGAAUGUGAAGUCGCUUAAGAGUAGAGGGAAACUUACCUCUUGGGAAGGAUGUGAGAGAUGGACAUGUACAGAUUUCCAAGGCUUGGAGAGCAGCAGCAUUGGUGGAAUGUUGGUGCAUUAUUCCCUCUGGUAGAGACUUUAGCCUUCUACAAUCAAAUAUAAUGAGCAUCUUGAGAGUGGCGGGUAACCCACCUUUCGGUAAUCCAAUAAGAGACGGACACCUCACUAUAGUUAACUCUUCAAGGGCACACAUGCCCAUCAUUCCUUCUGGAAGAGACUUGAGAUCGUCACAAAACUUUAUGCGUAGACUCUUAAGGGUGGUGGGUAAUUGCCCUUUUGGAAAGCAAAUGAGAGAUGGACAGUUCCAUAUACUUAAGCAUUCAAGAAGACACAAGUUGUUGCUGUCAGUACUGUCGUUCCUCAUCUUCAACAUCAUGCCAUCAGGUAGACUCUUUAGACCUUUACAAUUUCCAACAGUAAGACUUCUCAGCUUUGGUGGGAAACCUACAUCUGGAAAUGACGCUAGCUUUGGACAAUCCCUGAUUGCCAAUUUUUCAAGGCAUGUUAGACUCUGCCAUCCAUUUGGAAGCCUCUCUAGUUUAUCACAUUUAAUUAUUUCCAAAGACUGAAGAUUGCAUCCCAAGGAUACAAGUUGGUCACAAUCUCUAAUCUCAAGAGAAUGAGAGUUUUCCGAUCCAAAACCAUCCUCCCACAAAUAUACGAGUUCUUCGCAUUCCGAUACUUUCAAAACCCGAAGCCCUUGCAAAACUUGCACAAAUCCUUCAUGCAAUUUGAUAAGCCCUGAAAUCUCAGAAAUUGUUAACUUGCUCAAGACCGCCUCAUUACAUUGUCUUACUUGUAAUUUCUUCAGCAGUGGAAGUCUUGAAAGUGGAGACUCCAAUUUUGGACAGAAGUGUACAGAGAGCUUUGUAAGAGAAGGUAGGUAAGUGGGUAGUUUCAUAAUCAAUUUGGGGCAAUACUCAAUUAUAAGCUCAUGGAGACAAGGGAAUAAUGACUCUGUUGAGGAAGACCAGUCCUCCCAGUGCUCCCAUUCUGACAUGCUUUUAAAAUGUAGAGACUCUAGUGAUGGGAAAAACUUACCUCCAGAAACACGAGUCUCUCCAUAAAACUCUGCACCCACUUUUUUUACUCCAUCCAUUCUUUGGAUCCUCAACUGUUUGAGCGAUGGCAACUGCCCCAAGCACGGUAAAGACGUGCACUUUCUGCAAUCUAUGAGACUUAGAUCCACCAUCUUGGAGAACAAGGCAUCUCUUAUCCAACGUGGGAAUUCUGGACCACCAUAAAACUGAAUGCAGAGUUUAUUUAGAUUCAAACAAGGUUGUAGAGAGUCAAGGACAUCCAUUUGAUUCCGCUCAUUCCCUGAACCAUCCAGCUCAGAACUCCACUGCAUUAUCAAGCUUUCAAGGUUACGCUUCAAUUUUAAAUCGACAUCCCUUGCAUCUUGAAUAUUCACCACAUUUUCCAAUUUCGAAAUGCAAAGUUCUCCUCGCAGAUGUGACAUGUCUUUCAACCCUUUGAUUGUCAAACCGUUGUUUUUGUCCACAAUGAAAUUAGACAAUAUCCGCAAAUCUUUUAGUUUGCCAAUUUGUAUAGGCAUUUCUUGUAAUCUUAUUGCACCAGCAACAUCAAGAUGUCGAAGAUUGAUUAGGUUACCGAUGCUAAUAGGCAACCUAAUAAGCUCUUUACAGCAUGAUAAUUUCAAUGUCUGAAGGUAAAAAAGAUUACCAAUUGAAUCGGGUAACCAUUUUAUACUGGUGUAGGACAAAUUAAGGUAUCUCAAAUGUUUCAACUUACCAAAUGAAUCUGGUAUCUCACUUAUCGUGUAACGAGCCAAUGAGAGCACCCUUAAGUGCCCUAACUUUGGUAUCAAUUCUUCAAGCACCUUAUUACUUAUAUAGCAACGAUUUGGACUAGUUGGUACAUCAAUCGACAAAGCUAUGAACGUGCGCAAGCGCUCUUUCUUAUGAAACCUUUCAAAUUUUUUAAAGAUAUCACAAAAAUGACGGAUGAAUGAUGAAUGACGAGUAUUUUCAGAAAUGGGGCAUUGCAAAUCAUUCCACAACUCAUCAUCCAAAUGCAAGCAUGUGUCUCCAGCAAUAGAUUUAGCUAGAGCAUGGACAAGGUCAUGCAUCACGAAUCGUGAUCUAUUGCUGCUUGACGAUUGAAAAAAUGACCUUGACAAUAGCUCAUCAAAAUACUUAUCACCAUGAUCUUCCAUUUUCCUAUUAUCUUUUGAUUGUUCAAUUAACCCCUCCGCUAUCCACAAGAGGAUUAACUCUUGCUUUGUAAACUCAUAAUCCUGGGGAAAAUUUGCGCAAUAAGUAAAACACCUCUUUAAAUGUGAAGACAGAUGAUAGUAGCUCAAUCUCAAGGCAGGGAUGAUGUCACAUUCCUUGUCUGUUAAAUUCCAUACUUUGCUGUACAAUACUCUUUCCCAUUCACAUUCACGUAGUUCAGAGCGCAAAAGGCCACCAAGGGCUCUUGCCGCUAAGGGAGAACCUCCACACUUCUCUACAAUUCUCCUACCAAUUGAUUCCAAAUUUGGGUGCUCAUCGAUAUUCAUAUGUUCAAAAGCAUGUGUUUGAAAUAUCUUCAAACAAUCAUCAUAUGGUAACUGUUUGAGCUNNNNNNNNNNNNNNNNNNNNNNNNNNNNNNNNNNNNNNNNNNNNNNNNNNNNNNNNNNNNNNNNNNNNNNNNNNNNNNNNNNNNNNNNNNNNNNNNNNNNCCCCUAGCAGAGUNGGUUAUCGCAGCCACCUUUUUCUAGACGAAGCUCAGAUUUUGAGCCGAAAUAUCUCGUAAGCGGCGAGUGAUUUCCAACACCUUGGACCUCAUGUUAAUAUAACGCAUAACCUCAUUAGGAUUGAAAAUGCCAAGACAAGUGGAGAUGAGCUUGCGUACCUUGCUCGGCCUGCCUUGAUGAUCAGCUUCUUUGGCCGUGAGUUCCCGUUGCAAAGCUUCGUAGGCGAACUCAUCCAAGAUGUCCUCCAUAUCAUAAGCCAAAUCCUUCAGAUUGCCCAGCCACUCUUUCACAGAGUGAUCCGUGAUCUGCUUGUCCUCCGCGUCAUUAAGCUCUUCACGAAUAUUCGACAAUUCUAUCUCCCAUUUCUUGAGAUCAGAGUACACCCAUUGUUGGCGUGCAAAGUCGAGCAAAUCAGUGGAGGCCAACUUGUCAAACAAGAGGCCGAUGGCAGCAGAAAGAAGAGCGUCUCCCACAGCUUCCAUGGUUGGUUUGUACUUUGUUUGCAGAGAGAGAGAGAGCAAAUCAAGCAGUGGAUAAAAAGGUGAAGCAGAAAGAAGGGGGUCUGCUGUGUGAAGGCUUUAAAUAUUAGAAACCCAUUUUCAUUUUAAUUUAUUUGAAGGUCCUUGUAGAGACAGCUGGAUCAUAUUGGAGUUUGAGAUGGCCCGACUGCCCACCUGCAUGCCACUGUUGGUUUGUUUGUGUACUUUAAUUUAAAAAUGUCUCAAUUUUAUUAUAAAUUUUUUUUUUUAAUGUAACUAUAUAUAUAUAUAUAUAUAUAUCCCUCUUUUAUUAUUUUUUUAUUUGCAUGAUAUUUCUUUCAUACCAAUCAAAACUAUGAAGAGAUUUUUCUUAAAAUUCAUAAAAUAUCUUGUUUUUGUUGCAUCAAUAUGUUUCAUUUCAUUGUAAGAAAGCCCAGUAAAAUGUGAUAUUUUCUAAUUUCUGAUUUGUAACAUUUUUUUUUCUUAUUUAUUCCAAUCUUAUAUGCAUAUUACACUAUUAGGCAAAGUUGUCAAUGACAAUGAUUGUUAUUUAUAAUGGCUUGAACUUAGAAGCAUCCUAGCUUAUGAUACUCAAUUAUAUUCACCUCUACAACUUAAUUUCAAAAUGUUGGAAUGCAUACCAAAUUCCUAAUUAAUCAAGGUUUAUUUUUUUGUAAAAAAAUGUUGUAUAGAAUAUUUCCUAAGUUGAUACAUUAUUAUAAUAUUAAAUUUCCUUCUAGAAUAAGGAAUAUUAUUAGAAAUAUCUCUAUAAAUAUUAUAGGUAAAAGUGAACAUGAGCUUUUAGUGACUCUACGAAGUUAAUAAAGAUACUCAGUAAAGUGAGAGGGCUCGUGGUUCAAGGUAUGGAUACAAGGAGUGACACAAAAUAAUUUAUUAACUCAAAAUCUAUUUUUUAUUUUUCUUUAUUUUUUCUUUCUUUCUAAUUUUCUUUUUGUUUUCUUUUUCUCUAACUCCCUCAAAUCUUCUAGAAACCAAAUAUAGUCCUAAUGUGUUGGACGAUGAACUUGUUAUUUUAUAAACUUCAAAUAUUCAAUUUUCAUGGAGAAGGAAUCUCAUAUCUAUCUCAAGUUAAUUAUAUGCAUCCCAUUUUUACCACUAGCAAACCUUAAUCACCUUAUUAUAUGGAAAUUGGGUAUAACUAGAUGUAAUAAAAAACAAAGUUUUGUGAAUAAUGAAAGAACUUGUACAAGUAAAAAUAGAAUUUUAAUAAGAUGCAAAAAAAUUUUGGCUUCCAUAUCUAGUCAAAUAAGCAUAGAACCUUUUUCUUCAACUUUUAAGUUUUUGACUUCUCAAAAAUCAAUCUAAAUUGGAUUGAUAAAUUAUAAAAGGUUACAAUAUAAUAUUACAAUGUAUAAAUAUUAUUUUCACUUCUAUAUUUCCCAUGAAAUUAUUUAUUUAUUUAUUUAAAUUGAAAUGUCCUUUGUUAUUUGUUUCUACCUUUAAAAAGUAACAAAAAAAUUAUUUUAAAUCUUAGGUAUGGCAAUACUUAAGUAUUUAAUAAUUUUAAUUAGAUAAUUACAUUUUCUUUUACAUUUUACACAUAAAAUAAUUAAUUAUAUUUUAUAUUAUAUUAUUUAAUUAGUGAUAUUUAAAUUUUAAUUAGUUUUUAAGAAUUUAAUUAAUAGUUAAAUAAUUAGAUUUAUUUAUGUUUAAAUCUAAUUAACAAUAAGUUCAAUGCAACAAGAAAAAAAAAUAGGUUAUGGUUACUAUUUUGAAGUGGAUUUCAAUUUUAAAUUUUACAAGUAGACUUGCUUGACUAACCUUAUAAAUUAGUAGAAUUUAACAAGUUGCAAAUGGUUCCCUUACCUAAUCUUUUAAAUUAAUCUUGAUGUUGACAAGCACUUUACCAACCAUAAUUAUAAAAAGACAAAUAAGUCAAGUUGAUUUUACUAAAUUGCAAGUGGGUGCCCUUACCUAAUCUUUUAAAUUAAUCUUGAUGUUCACAAGCACUUUGCCAACCAUAAUUAUAAAAAGACAUAUAAGUCAAAUUGAUUUUACUCAAUUGAGAUUAAUAAAUUGCAAGUGGGUGCCCUUUACCUAAUCUUUUAAUUUAAUUUUCAUAUUGAUAAGAACCAAAUCAGCCAUAAUUAUAAAAACAAGAAGACGACAAGCUAUGAUUACUUUUAUUAACUAAAAUUUAAUAAAUCACAAUUUCUCUUACCUAACCUUUAGAUUAAUCUUGAUAACUUUGCCAACAGUAAUUAUAAAAAGAGAAAGACGACAAGCUAAUUUAAUUGGCUAAUUUUAUUAACUUAGGUUUAAUAAAUUUAAAGUAGGUUGAUCUCUUACCUAUCCUUUUUAAAUUAAUCUUGAGAUCAAUAAGAAUCAUACAACCAUAAUCAUAAGAAGAGCUAAAACAUAAGUCGAUUUGAUAUUUAAUUAGUUAAUUUUAUUAACUAUAAGAUAUAAAAAUUUGGUAGGAGGUGUCUUAAAUCCCAAAUUAGAAUAUACUUUUUUUUUCGUGAAAAGAAUAUUAUAUAGAAUAUUUUCAAAGUUUAUAUGUGAUUGUAAUUAAAUUCAAGUUAGUACAGAUAUAUUUAUAAAUAUUUUAAGACAUGAAGAGAAAAAGUUAUGGAAGAUAUGAAAAAGAGAUGCGAUCAAGAGCGAGAGAUGUUGAUAGAACAAGAGGGUUCACUAGGGAAGAGUAUAGAUGUGAAGAAGAAUGAGAAACACAUAGUGGAGCAAAAUGAUUCAUGGUUUAUGAUAGAGAUAUAAAGAGCAGGAAAAAUGGGAUGUUUGGGUUUUGGUAGUCGUCUAACCUUUGUAUGUGGUUUGCUUUAUUCAUGUGUUCUUCCUUUAAUAUGUUUAAAUUGAGGUUUUUGUUUUCCUUUUGGUCCUAAGAUGAGUUUUGUCAUGUAAUCAAUUAUGCCUGUUUCCAAUUUCAUUAAAAACUUGUGUUCUACGAUUUGACAAAUGAAAAUAAUUAUUUUUCUAUAAUUUUUUUUAUUAUAAUUUUGUUAGUUAAUAAAAAGUAGAAUAUAGAUAAUAUUAGCCGUCAAAUAGAAAGAUAAAUAUGACAAUUAAUGUGUUUUCACAGCAUAUUUGUACUUAGAUGGUUUUGCUUAUAUGAAGUAAUUUAAUGCAACUAUGAAGAUUUAUAUGAAGUAAACUUUAUAUAAUUUGAGAUUUAAUAAUCGGUUAAUUUUUAUUUGAAGAUACAAAAACAUAAAAUAAAAGUCUUGUUCAAAAAUUAUUAUUGAAAACAACAUGAAAAUGGGGUUUUUUCACUUAGAAAUAUACAUUUGACAAACUUCUCAUAUAAAACUUCUUAAAAUAAGUUAUUUUUUAGAACAAAUUUGAAAUGUUUUUAAUUUUUUCACAACAAUUUAAAUAAAAAUUGAAGAUAUAGAUAAUAUAUAUUUUGGGAAAUUUUGUAUUGUAUUUAAGUAUACAAUUCCUUUGUAAAGAAUAAAUCGAAACGAGUAAUAGCUAUUUUCAAGAAUUGUUUUGAAGAAUUAUUUUCACAAAUGUUGUCAAAUAUGCUCAAAACUUUCUACAUCAUUUAUAUUAAUCUUGGAUUCAAUCAAAAUCUUGCCACAAUUGAAAAGAAAAAAAAAUGUUAAUUAAUUGGUUAAUAUUUACAAUCCUAAAAAAAAUUAAAAAAAAAUAAUAAUUCAAAAUUUUUUAAAUAAAAAUCUCGCUAACUAAAAUAAAAAUUCACCAUCAAAAUAAAAGAUUAUCUAAUAGUUUUCUAUUUUUGACUCUAUAAUCAAGAAUGUUCAUAUAAUUUCUUUUACAAUAACAUACUAAAAUAGAAAGAGAUUAAAAUGGAAAAAGAAAAUGAUUAACAAUAAAAUUCAUAAAAAGAAAUGAAAAUUAAGAAGAUUUCAAUCCACUUCAAUAUUAUUUCAAUGAAAUAGUAUUGCAUUUAAAUUAUUGAAGGCCAUACCAAUUUAUUUUUCGUCCUUUUUUAAUACUUAAUUUUGUUAUCAAACAAUGAAAAUUUUACUAAUCAAGGAAAAUGAGAAAAGAAAAUAUUUUUCUUGAAAGUUAAUGAAUUUGUUAAGAAAGGAAAACAAAAGGUCUUUUAUGGGAUACUUUAUUAAAUUAAAUUAAUAACUUAAUUUAAAUCAUUAAAUAAAUUAAGUAUGUUUAACAAAAUAACAUAAUGGUAUGAUUUAAAAUAAAAAAAACUUUAAAUAAUAAAUAAAAAUAAUUAACUUAUUCUUAAAUUCACAUUUUUAUUUUACCUUUUUACCCCAAUUUGUCAUAAUUACCUCCACAAUUUCCUUUACUAUUCCACGACUUUUACUUUUACACGACCUCCUCUACUCUAGGUAUAAUUUAUGAGGAUAAAUAUGUCAAUUUGAAAAUUUAGAAUUAAUCAUAAGUUAGUUUUAUCACACAAUCGUAAUACUUAAAAUAAAAAUUAAGUAAUAAGUUUUAAGUUAACAAUUUAAGUAUAAUUUAACUAAAAGUCAACUUAAAUCAUUAAGUAAUUAGUAUUAAGUUUUAUCAAACACCUCCAUAUAAUUAGUUAAUUUUGAUUAAUCUAAAAAUAUAGAAAGUGAAAUAUACACAUUUUUUUAUUGGUUACGUUGGUCUUGAACUUCUUUCACCAAAUCAUUUUUAUUAAUCUUAACAUGCGCCAUUUGAUGCGACUGAUGGUAGCUUAGCUUUAAAGGCGUAUCAACAAAAUUUAUACCUUAAAUACUAUUAUUAAAGUAGCCAAGCUACUCUAGCAUAGUGGUUCUAGGAUCGUUCACUGGGAAGGGUUUUCGCGAACACUAGUGAUAUUCAAAUUAGGAAAAUAGGUGAUUUUCUUAUGGAUGUUAGCUUUAAAAGAAGAUGUAAAUGUUUUAGAAAGAUUUAAACUAAUCUAAGCUAACAUUAAAGACUAAAAUGAAAUGGUGUAAAAACAAGUUUCUCAAAUAUAGGAUAGCUAUGCUCUGGCUCUUAUGCAAAUUGGAAAUCUCAGGAUAGGCUCCUCGCGUCGGGGUUGCAACUAUGGUGAUGCUUGCUUCCCGAACCGGUAUGGAUUUAGCAAAUCAAGUUUUAAUCCUUUAAAAUGGCAAAACAGAUGGUAGUGAAUUUCAUCAAUGGUUAUUCACCUUAGACUUCCUUUGAAUGGCUCAUAAGAGAUAACUAAUGGUCUAAAGCCAAAAGCUUACCAAAUAUUGGCAACUCAAAGUCAUUCCAGGUGAUAAACUCACCUUUCAAUGGCCAUUGAAAUUGGUUCUAACGGAUUAAUGCAAAACUUGGAAUUGAAAACCUCACCUUCCAAUAGCUCGUAGGAGAUAACUAAUGGAUAGAAAUCCAAAAGCUUAUCAAGUAUUGGCCGUUGGAAGUUGUCCAAAGGAAAUAAAAACCAAACUUUGCAUUAAUGAACCAUUAAUGAAAAACGACUACCUUACCUUCCAGGUGCGAGAAAUUUCUAUGGGAUUGCAUCCAAGCCAUCACAUAGCAUCCAUACUUUGAGAAACUAAAAGUUUUAGCCAAUCAUCCUCUGAGGAAAAGUCCUCAGAGGCUAUUUGGCUACUAAGAAAAUAAAAAUGGGGAAGAACAGGAGAAGAGAGAAAAACAGAGCUUUAUAUAUUUCUAAGUUAAUGUACAGAGGAUCGAUCCCCCAAUAUCUUUUGGAGGCGUUGUGCACCUCUAUAUAUAGCAAAAUUACAAGAUAAAGCCUUAUGUCAGCUGAAUACAAGGUUACAAAAGGAAUUUACACGAGAAAAUAUCAAGCUAAAAAUAUCUGGGAAGUCGGUGGUGCGUGCGUGGAGAAACAGAGGAAAUUUGGCAAGGUAAAAGGUUACUUGCGAAAUUUUGGCAAGGUAAAAGGUUACUUGCGAAAUUUUGGCAAGGUAAAAGGUUACCUUGCGAAAUUUUCGCAAGGUGAAUUACUCAUGAUGCGAAGUGCCAUAUUUUCGCAUCAUGAAUAAAUUCACCUUGCCAAAUUUGGCAAGGUGCAUUUUCACCUUGCGAAAAUUGCAUUUUGGCAAGGUAUUUUGCCUUGCCUUGCGAAAUGGCUAUCCCUUUGUUUGUGCUCGUGUUUCCACUUGAAAUUCAAGCCUGUAAACUUCCAAAAUCCUUGCUUUAACUUGUCCAAGUAGCUCCUCCAUCAUUUGGCAUGCUUGAAUUGAUUCAUAAGCUGAUAAGAACAUGUAAACUUGCCACAAAAUGGUUAAAACCAAUUACUAAGGACCUUAAUGAAUUAAUUGGGUUAAAUGAAUAUGAUUACUACUCAAAGGUGCUUAAAACCAUUAUAAUUAGGUCUACAAAAUAGCACUUUUUGGUAGUAAUCACAUCAACAUUAGUUAAUUAUAAUUAAAGAAAAGAAAACCAAAAAAAUAAAAAUAAAAAAGUCAAUUUGGGUGACCAAUCUUUGUUGAAAAAUUAAAAACCAAACAAAAGUUGAUCAAUACAAAAAAAAAAAAAGAGAAAAAAAUUGUAUGAAGUAGACAUUUUGUCUUUUUGAGAUUAUUGAUGGAAGUGUAAUAGACUAUAAACAUGUCUAUGAGAAUCAAUCCCAAUGAGUCCUAAAACAUAUCUAUGAGACUAUUGUUGAAUAGAGAUUUAAAAUAAAAUAAAACCAUGUCAUAAAGAAAUGAUAUUUAAGUAUUAAUAAAUAGGAAUUGGAUACAUAUAAAUAAAAUUUAGAUUAAAGAAGAAAUGAAACUAUUUUUAUUAUGUGGUUGUUUUUAAUGGACCGCCAAUUUUUUAAAAAAUUAUAUAUAUAUAUAUAUAUAUAUAUAUAUAUAUAUAUAUAUAUAUAUAUAUAUAUAUAUAUAUAUAUAUAUAUAUUCCAUAGAAAAAUUACUUUCUAAUACCAUAGAAUCACCCUAAUUUCAAAUUGAGAUUUACUAUCUUAAAUUUUAAAUUUUUUAAAAAUAAUUUUUAAGGGCAUGAACUAAAUCUAUAUUUUUUGUGAAGAAUUUAUAUUCUUUAUAUGGAAGUUUUUAUCGAUUUUUAUUUUUAAAAACAAAAAAUAAGAAGCACUUAGAGUGUAUUUGACAAUGAUUUUAAGAAGUGAUUCUAAUCUUUCUAAUACUUGAAAAAUAAAAAUUCUUAUAUGUUGAAACAAUUGCAGAAUACACUUUUAGUAAGUAAUGAUAUUAAUUUCUUCGAAGAGAGAGAUUUACAUUUAGGAUAGAAAUAAAUAAAUAAAACAAGGAUAAAAAUUUAUUUUUUAAAAAAACUUUUAACUUCUUGUACUUUAUCAUUACACACUUUUUUCAUUAGAUGCUUUAAAUAAUUUUUAUUAAAUAAAAUUAUAUUGAUGGAGGGCUAAUUAACUUUGCUUAGGGUGAGAAAGAUAGAGAUAAAAUUGAAGUGGGUACACAUCUAAAACAAAAAUGAAAUAAAAAGUAAAGAUGAAGAUAAGAUUGAGGUGGGUUCACAACUAAAAAAAGAAUGAAAUAAAAAGUAUGAGAUGAAUUGACCAAAGCUUAUCCCUUCUUCCAAAUAGUAAAAGCAAAGCCUAGUAGUUAAAGUGAUGACAUUAGUCCUAUUCAAGGCCCCACUUGCAUAAUUGCUACAUCUUUUUGACUUGAUUUUAGUUCAAUUUCACUAAAAUGAAAUAAUUUAUUUGAGCCCAAAAAUCCAAAUCCAAAUCCAACCCACUUAUUUAUAUACAUUAUUGGCAUGGAAUGAGAAAAGUUAUAAAGUGAGAAAAUUUGAUCAUAUGAUAAAUAGUGAUUUUUCAAAGUUGGAGUCAAUCCAAUGCCCAAUGGCUAUAAAAGAAAAAGGAAAGAUGUGGAAAUUAUAGUGGAAUCUCGAAACAAAUUUUUGAGGUUUGAGGUGAUGUGACAACCGUUUCCAAGUAAUUGCCUAAGAAUGUGAGAUGUUGUUGCAUUGAAAAUUGAUAUUAAAGCUCACUGGGUAAUGGUAAGAAUUGCUUUACAUAAAGACAAAUAAUAAAUACAUCCCACUUUUUCAAAAAGUUUAUGAGUGAAUAAAACUUUUAGAGUAGGAUGAAUGCAUUUCACGUGAGUCAUGUCCUAGAUAUAUUUUUAGAAUUUUCUAGCAGGAUGUCGAGGAAAACUCUAUGAUGAGUGUUUUCUUUCUAGUUAAGGUAGGUCCAAUUUGGUGCAAUUCGUCAAUAUAAUUCAAACCCAACAUAUGUUUUAAGGAUUUGAAUUGAGUAAAAUCGUCUUUAAAUUAAAUUAAUCAUAUGAAUCAACGUAACCUGUUUAAUAAAUAGAUUAUUUUUAGGUCAAUCUAGAUAACCCACAUUUGACUUGAAUUAACUUAUUUAAUAAUGGUAUUGAUUAACCUAAUAAUAACUUUAACUUAUUGAACUUAUAUUUGACUCAUGUAAAUUUUUUUUUUUUCAAUAAUUAUGUCAUAAUUGGGCCAUAAACAUGACAUAUUAGAAUAUUAACCAUAUUAUUUCAUUCAACAUUUAAUUUGACUUGAUUAUGAAAUAACAUCUUAUUAUUAAAUCGGUUGAGCCGGUUAUAAUGUAUCACCUAGAUAAUAAUUAUAUGGUAUUUGAGUUUAUGUUUUAAAUUUUGAUUAUUAUUCAUGUCAUGUUUGGGUUGAGUUAUUUAGUGGAGGAUCUAACCUUUGAUAUAACACAAACACAACCGACUAACUUAAAUUGCCAUCAUCACUUCUACUAAUAAGUGAUUUGUUUAUUAUAAUUAAGAAAAUUGAGAAGAUAUAAUUUAUUUUUUAAUUUUAAAUGCAUGAUUAAAGUUAAUUAUAACUUUUAAAAAUUUUAUAAUUCAUAUUCCAUCCAAACUAACAAAAUAUUAGAAAUCUUCAAUGGUUUUGUCUACAAUAAAUAUGUUGUGUUAAAUUAUCCCCUUCUCUACUAACCAAAACAUGUUCUUUCACAAUCAAAUAUCAACAUGUUUGAGCAGCCGGUGAGACAUCUCUUGACAAUGAGGUGAGAGGUAGAAACAAGAAACAUACCUAUAUUCAAGAGAAGUGGUGUUUCUUCAUUUGCUUUAGACAACAUUCAUUUAGUCUAAACUUGAAGGCGGAUUGCUAGAAUUUGAGCUCUUGGAAAGACAUAAGAGAAGUACAUUUGGAAAUCUGAAAGAAGCCUAGAGACCUAUUGCUACUUGUGAAUCAUAGUAAUCAGAAACAAUUCCAUAUAAUCCUGCAAUUCUAGACCUUUGAUUUUCUCUGUUCCAUUUUGCCAAGAACAAUUCUAGAAUGUUUUUCUUUAUUGAGUCGUAAUGAUUUUAUUAUUAGGAUUUAAUUGUAUUCAUUAGGUUUGCAAAUCACAAAAACAGUAUUGUGCCUAUGAAUAUUUUCCUCUUUGAUCAUGUAAAGUUGGAAAACAGUUAUGGAAUUCUAUGAUAGCACAGUACAUUGAUCCACACGAUUUGUGGCAUGACAAUUUAAUGAAAUUACAAAAGUGUAGCACUCAUGGGUAUGUCAUGUGAACCUUUUUCAAUGGAGCUACUUGUUUAAAUUUACAUGGGUGAAUUGUCACACCAAUAUCCUCUAAUGAACCUUGGGUUCUUUUUUCUGUUUCUUCCUCUCUUGGUCAAGCCAAACAAUUUGUCUUUAUAAGGACUUCAUGUUACUAAUAAGCAGCAUCUUAUGUUCUCCUUCUCUUCAUCUCCUUGUCAAGACACAACGAUCUGAUGCAUUUUGCAUUGGGUUGCUUCCUCUCCUCUCCAUUUCCUUCCUCCUUGAGGCAAAAUUGCAUCAUUUCUUAGUUUUGAUUAUGUUUCUUUUUAUCAUUAUGAGAAAGCAUCAUUGUAAGAUGUACAAGAAACGUGUUGCGGUGCAUUAUCCCCUCCUCUACCACCUAAAAUCUGUUUUACACGAUCAUAAGGACCAAGGUGUUUUAAGCAUCAGGUAAGGCAUUUGUUGACAAUGAUGUGAGAGAUAGAGACAAGCAACAUACCAGUAUUCAAAAUACAUGAUGUUCUUCUUUUUCAUUUGACAACAUUCAUUUAGUCUGAACUCCACAUUUGGGCAACUCAGAAUCUCCACCUUCAUUAGGAUUGUUAGAAGUUGGCUUCUUAGAAAGACAUGGAAAUGGGGCAUCUAGAAAUCUGAAAGAAUUCCAAAGGCUUGUUGCUACUUUUGAAUCAUUCCAAUUAAUAACAACUUUAAAAGAUAUAUACAAAUCUGUCCCUGGGAAAGAGAUGUGUCAUGUGCAUAUGCAACCAUCUCUCUAAUAGACUCAGGGUUGUGCACCAUCAUGGUAGUUUCUUAUAUAUUACACCAUAUUAAUUGUAGAUAUCCAACUACCAAUAUCACUACACCUGAAUGAACUAGGAGCUAUGCUGAAAGUGAAGUUGGACAACCCAUCAUCGAAAGAAUCCUGUAGGAAUACCCCAAAAUGAAAAUUUUAUUAGCAUAAAUGAAUUCACCCAAAUUAAGGAUAAAGUUGCCUAAAAAGCUUGUGAGGCAUGUACCGGAUAUUCGGCUCAAUUUAAUCUCUGUUGGAAAGUUAGAUGAUGAGGGCUACAACAACAAUUUCAGUGAUGGAAAAUGGAAGCUCUCCAAAGGUUCUCUAGUGGUAGCAAAAGGAAAGAAGACUUGUUCUCUUUACACUGUGCAAGCAAAAAUCUGCAAGGGUGUUGUGAAUACCUUAGAGAAUGACUCAUCCACCGAUUUAUGGCAUAGAAGGCUUGGACAUAUGAGUGAGAAAGGAUUGCAAGUUUUAUCCAAGAAAGAGCUUCUAGCGAGGAUAAAAGGUACGCCUUUGAAAACAUGUGUUCAUUGUUUCCAUGGUAAACAAAAUAGAAUAUCAUUCCGUAGAAACAUUGCAUCUAGAAAAUCUCAUGUUCUAGAUUUGAUACAUUCUGAUGUAUGUGGUCCUUUGAAAGUUAGGACACUUGGUGGUGCUUUAUACUUUGUCACUUUUAUUGAUGAUCACUCGAGAAAAGUUUGGACUUAUACACUGAAAACUAAAGAUCAAGUUCUAGAUGUGUUUAAGCAUUUUCAGGCCAAGGUUGAAAGAGAAACUGGUAGACAGUUGAAAUGUGUCCGCUCGGAUAAUGGUGGUGAAUAUAUUGGACCAUUUGAUCAGUAUUGCAUUAAUCAUGGCAUCAGGCAUGAAAAGACAGUAAAAAAGACACCUCAACAGAACGGGGUUGCAGAGAGAAUGAAUCGCACCAUUCUUGAGAGAGUCAGAUGUUUGCUCUCACAUUCUAAAUUGCCAAGAUCUUUUUGGGGUGAGGCAAUGAGGACAGUAGUUGAUCUUAUCAAUUUAUCUCCUUGAGUUCCGUUGAAUGGUGAUGUGCCAGAGAAAGUUUGGACAAGGAAGGAAGUCUCCUAUGAUCACUUGAGGGUAUUCGGCUGCAGAGCUUUUGUUCAUAUUCCAAAAGAUGAGAGGUCCAAGCUUGAUCCAAAAGCAAAGCAGUGCAUAUUUAUUGGCUAUGGGCAUGAAGAAUUUGGCUACAGGUUGUAUGAUCCAGUUGAUAAGAAAGUUGUCAGAAGCCGAGAUGUUGUUUUCUUGGAAUAUCAUACUAUUGAAGACAUUGACAAGCUUGAGUCAGCUGAGUCUAGUACUAAUGAUCUUGUUGAUUUAGAUCCUCUUAAUCCACCUGUUAUUCAUGAUAUUGAUGAGGAAGUGCAGACACCUCAUGAUGAUGCAGCGGAAGAUGAUGUUGAGCCAGAGAUUGAGGGGGAACAGUCAGCCCAAGAGCCACUACCACAGACACCGUUGAGGAGAUCUACCAGAGAAAAACAGCCAUCCAGAAAAUAUUCUUCAAAUGAGUAUGUGAUGAUAUCAUAUCAGGGGGAGCUAGAGACUUAUCAAGAAGUCUUGAAGCAUGAGAACAAAACUGAAUGGCUCAAGGCAAUGAAAGAGGAAAUGAAGUCUUUGCAUGAGAAUCACACCUAUGAUUUGGUGAAGCCGCCUAAAGGGAAGAAAAUUUUGAAAAAUAAAUGGGUCUUCAGACGAAAGAAUGAUGGGAACAGUUCUCAACCGAGAUUCAAGGCACGACUUGUUGUGAAAGGUAUUGAUCAGAGGAAGGGAGUUGAUUUUGAUGAGAUCUUCUCACCAGUUGUGAAGAUGUCCUCCAUUCGAAUUGUGCUUGGUAUAGCUGCGAGUAUGAAUUUAGAAGUUGAGCAGCUUGAUGUGAAGACCGCAUUUUUGCAUGGUGACUUAGAAGAGGAAAUUUAUAUGGAGCAACCUGAGGGCUUCAUAGAUAAGGGUAAUGAUCAGUUAGUUUGCAAAUAGAAGAAGAGUUUGUAUGGAUUGAAGCAAGCACCGAGGCAGUGGUACAGAAAAUUCGAUUCUUUCAUGACUGAGCAUGGGUAUUCAAGAACCACUUCAGACCAUUGUGUGUUUGUGAAGAAAUAUCUAGAUGGUAAUUUUAUUAUUCUCUUGUUUUACGUUGAUGAUAUGCUUAUUGUGGGCCAAGACACGAGCAAGAUUAGCAAGUUGAAGUCAGAGUUGAGCAAGUCCUUUGCCAUGAAGGAUUUGGGUCCAGCAAAGCAAAUUCUUGGGAUAAGAAUUGUUCGCGACAGAUCACAUGGGCUGAUUUGGUUAUCUCAAGAGAAUUAUGUUAAAAAGGUUCUUGAGAGGUUCAAUAUGGACAAAACAAAGCCUGUUAAUUGUCCACUUGUAGGCCACUUCAAACUUAGCUCAAGUCAGUGUCCUACAAGUGAUGAAGAGAAAAAUGAGAUGCAGAAAAUUCCCUAUGCUUCAGCAAUUGGUUCUUUGAUGUAUGCCAUGGUUUGUACUCGACCGGAUAUUGCUCACGCAGUUGGGGUUGUUAGUCGAUUUCUGUCUAAUCCGGGAAAAGAACACUGGGCAGUAGUGAAAUGGAUUCUGAGGUAUCUUCAGGGCACUUCAAAGAUGAGUUUGUGUUUUGGUAAAGGCGAGCCUAUUCUUGAUGGGUUCAUAGAUUCUGAUAUGGGUGGUGAUGUUGAUAGUCGAAAAUCUACUUCUGGUUAUUUGAUUACUUUUGUAGGGGGGGCAGUGACAUGGCAAUCAAGAUUAUAGAAAUGUGUUGCUCUCUCCACCACAGAAGCUGAGUUCAUCGCCAUUACAGAAGCCUGCAAAGAAUUAUUAUGGUUGAAGAAAUUCUUACAAGAGUUGGGUUUGAAACAAGAAAGGUAUGUCCUUCAUUGUGAUAGUUAGAGUGCAAUCCACUUGAGUAAGAAUUCUUCAUUUCAUUCGAGGUCGAAACACAUUGAUGUUAGAUAUCAUUGGAUUCGUGAUGUCUUGAAUGAUAAGUUGUUGCAACUUGAAAAAGUUCACACUGAUGAUAACACUUCGGAUAUGUUGACUAAGGCAUUGACUAAGGACAAGCAUGAGAAGUGUCGACUAUUGGCGGGAAUGGUCGAUUCCUCCACAUAAGUCGGGAGGGGGAGAAUUGUUGGGUUUCCCUCCUUUGUGGGAUUCUUAAAUUUACUAAAUAUGGUUUUGCUAUUUUGGCCAACACCUUGGUUAGCACAUGACUCUUGGCAUAUUCAAGAUUGGUUUGAAGUCUUCAAGGAAAGAAAAAAAAAACUACAAGUCUUUUGUCUUUUCCUUUGGUUCAUCAUCUUGGUCGGCAAGAAGACUUUUGGGAUACCUUUUUGGUUCAAAACAAAAAUCAGCCUUCUUCUUCUCCAUUUUUUGGUGCUACACAAUCGGCAAGUUUGUUCUUCAAGUAGGUAACGUUUCUUCACUUGAUAUUUGGGGUUUCUUGCGGUUUGUUCUUGGAGAUUUGGUUUACUUUUGUGAGGUAUUUUCCUCUUGUGAUUUACACCUUGGUGUGUUUGUAAGGCUUAUGCCUUUUGGCCACUUUGUAAACUCUUUUGGUGAUAGUGGAAGAAACUGACCUCCCGGUCGUCGUGGACGUACCUCAAGUUAUUUGAGGGAACCACGUAAAUCUUGUGUGCUCAUUUAUUUUCUGUUAUUCUAUUUAUAUUGCUUCCAUUGAUUUACACUUGUGGGAAAGCCUAUUUUUUUUCAACAAAUUUGACCAACUAUCAUAAGGAAUUUCUUUCAAAAGAGAGAUAAGUAAUAAAUAUCUGUUAUUUAUUGGAAAAAAAAUAUUAUCAUACUAUUAAUGUGUUUAAUUUUUAUUUUUUUUUUAAAUAGAGAUUGUUAUAUCUUUUUGUAAAAAUAAGUUUCCUUAUAAAAUAAGAAAAAGUGGUAGAAGUAUUUCUAUAAAUAUUUUAUUAAGAGAAAAAACUAUAACAUGAAGAAAAACAUGUAAAGUUUAUAUUUAAAAGAUAGUGAUAUGGGAAAGAGUGGAAAACAUUCCUUGGAAUGACGACAUGUGAUUCAAAGUAAAAUCUCAUUUUUGUUUUCUAUAGUCCUUAUGACUUUUGGUUUUUCUAUUGAGUGCCAAUAAAUAAAAGAAAAAACCCUCCUUUUUUGAAAGUUCAUUUGAACAGUUGUUUGAAGAAAAAAUCUUUAUUAAUCCAAACCCUAUCAACUUAUAUAUGACCUAUUACAUGACUAUGAAGUUUUUUAAAGUAAUUUUAAAGACAACCAAAAAAAAAUUGAUAUGAUAAAUGAUUAAAACCACUUUAUAUUCUAAUAGUAUUUUCUAUCAUAUAACAUCUUAGUGAAAUGUUUCAUAACAAAAUGAAUUAUUCUAUGAAUAUGACUUUGGAUUCCAAAUUUUGAACUUUCUAAUGCCUUAACUUAGUGGUGAGUCUCAUAGAAAAUGAAAGUUAUGGAGAAGUAGAAUGUGGACGUACUUUUUGACUUAAUAAACUGAUGUUACAACACCUUCAAGUAAUUACCUUAAAAAUGAUAUGUCAUUGCAUUGAAAAUGAUAUUAAAUUUAAUGGAGAGAUAAUUUAUAAAAAUAUCACUAAUUUUUUAAAAAGAAUAAUGUGACCUUACUGUUGUGUUAGGUUGGAAAGAAAUUUAUGCUGGUGUUAAUUUAUUUAUUUAUUUUGCAUAUUGUAAGGUCUCAAACUCGUUUAGAAAUAUGAACAAUGAUGAAGAGUUAAAAAUUUAAAAACAUUAAAUGUAUGGUUAAAGGUAUGGUUAAAGCUAUGUUUAGAUAGUUGAAAUUGCAACCAAAAAAACAAGAAAAUGAAAGAAGUUCAAAUUUUAUUUGAUUAUCUUAAAAAUAUGAAAUAAAUUACAUAUAAUGAAAAUUGUUUAGAGUUUUAUAUACUUUUAAUAUUUACUCUUUACAAAAAAGAAAAAAAAGCAAGUCAAUUUUAAUGAACUUAUGGAAAAUAUUAAACUUAAGCUUAAUUUUUUAUUUUUCUUGAUUUUUCUUUCCUUCCAUAAUUUUCCUUCACAAUCUUUCCCACUUUAUUCAAACUUUCCAUGGUCUAUACUUUAUACAUGUUUUAUCUCCUUUUUAAUUAAAAAAAUUUAAAUUUUCCAAUUAAAAUUCCAAGAUAGGCUAAUAAAAACUUAAAAUUAAUAUUACAUUUUAAACAAACUAGAUUGAUUUGAUAGAUGAUUCAAAUCAAACCUAAAUUCAAACUUAACCCAUUCAAAUUUAGCCUCUAAUGUGAGGUAUUUGACCCAAACUUAGCUCAAACUCAUUUUUACCUACUAAAGUUAGGCUUAAAUUGACUCAUAGUACUUUUAGUUGAGUUGAUUAGGUUGUAUGAUCAUAACUAGGUUUGGUAAGGUUGAGUUAGUUUGAAACUAUUCAUAAUUUUUUUUCUUUUUUAUACUUCUUUUAUAUCAUAAUUUUAAAAAUUAAAUUGGAUAACUUUUCAACAUAAUAACAAAAAUAAAUCAAUUUAUGUAUCCGUCCAACAAAAAUGAAAUAAUACAAUUAAAAUUCAACAUUUUUCUUUAAAAACUAAAAAAAAUAAAAACACACACACAUACAAAAUAGGUAUCAUUAUAUAAAAUAAUAUAAAUUAUAAAUAUAUAAAAUUAGGUUUGGGCUAGCUUGGGUUGUCAAACCUUAGCCUAAGUAGUUUCACGAUUCUCUACUACUUGUAAAAGUUUUUGGUAAAUUUUAUUAAAAUUAAUAAAAAAGAAAAAAGAAAUAAAAUGUUUUUAAAAAAUAUAAAUGCAUAAUUAAAAUUAUGCUAAUGAAACAAAGGGAAGCAAACAAGAUCAAAAUUUUUCUCUCAAAAGGUGUAGUGUAAUGACUUCAAUUUUUAAGUUUUGAAGGUCAAUCUGCCUUCAAUUAUAGAGAUAAGAAGCUUGUAGAGAAUAAAAAAUAUAUAGCAAGUGGGUAUAUAUAGAUAUAAAAUAUAUAUAUAUAUAUAUAUUGUAUGCAUCCCACUUUUGUCACGAGCAAACCCACUAGUAAACCUUUAUCAUCUUAUUAUAUAACAAGUGGGUAUAACUAGAUAUAAUAAAAAUAGGUCCUUGUUUAUUAAAUUCAAAAGUUUAUGAUCAUCACUUAGCAUUUAACAAAGUGGUACAAAUGAAGGUAAAAAUAGUAGUAUAGUCAAUAUUUUCCUACAAAAAAAGUUACUUAAUUUAAAGAAUAUUAUAAUUGAUGUGUGAUUUUUAUUUUUAUUUUUAUCAAGAAGCGAUUUUAGAGAUAAGUUUUUAUCAAGAAACAAUCUUCAAUGUUAAUUUACCAUCAUUAUCUCUAAUAUUGUACCAUUGAAUGCAAUUGCAAAACAUCUAUGUAAUUGUUAGUAAAAAAAUUUUCAUGCUUAUUAUGCAAUAUUUGUUUUAAUUUUCAAGUUGCAAUUAUAUAGUCUAAAGGUUGAGGUUCUUAGAUAAUUAUUGUUUUGAUGAGAAGUCUAAUCAUGUUGUUGUUGCUCAUGUCACUUUAAUUAGACCAAGUUUAAUGAUACUUUAGACCAUAUUUAAGGAUCCUUUUCAAAUAUCUAUCUAACCUUUGGUAUGCAAUUUGAAAAGAGGAUGGAGAGAGGAUGGUUGUUCUCCAUAAUCCAUUAAUAAAUAAAUAAAAAUAAUUAUAUUUAGCAGGAAAAUGAAAAAUUAUUGAGAUCAUUAACAAGUAAUUUUGGUAAAACUUGAUAUUUAAUGAAGUAAGAUGACUUUAAGUUAAAUUAAUUGUAAUUAAGUCAUUAAGUCUUAGUUAUUAAGACGAUUUCUCAAAAUCAUUUUUAAAUUUAUUCUUAAAAUUAAGUCAUGAAAUUGAUUUAUCAUCACCCUCUAAAGUCUUUUCAAUUUUGUACAUUUUUAUGAUACAUAUUUAAUCAUGCAUAAACAAUAAAAAAAAGGUGUUACCUCAAAAUUUUUAAUUCAAACUCCUCCAAGAUUAUUCAUGACUAAAAUUCAUUAAUUAAUUUACAUUACAAGCUUUGAAAGAAACUUGUUUUAGAACAUAAAAUUGAUAGAGAUAGUACAUAUUUUAAACUUUUAAUUAAAAUAAAAAAAUCACAACAAAAUAAUUUGAUGGAUGUUUUAGUAUUCGAAAAUAUCAUAAGUCAUUUGGUCAUGAUUUUAGAAAAGUUAGAAAUGUUCUAUAAUGCUUAAAAACAUUUUUGUUACAAAAAUUAAGUAUUUGAUAAAGUUAAAAUUCAUUUUCUAGGUAAUUGGUGGUGCCUAUGAAAUAUUUUUUUUGGUUAUACAAAUUUAUUAGUGUGAGAUGAUAUGCAACAACUUUAAAGUAUAGCAAUUAUUGAAGUUUGGACCAACCAUAUAUGUUAAAGGUGCUUCACUCCACCUUCUCAUUUUGUAUAAUCUUGUACCCUAAAAGAUUUGAAAUGAGUCUUAUUUAUAAACAUUAUAAAUAAUGUUGUGGACCCCGUAUUUCAGCUCAUGCGUUUUCCACUCGAUAGCGAGCUCGAUUUUUGUUUAAAAAAAUGACUUGGAGUCGCCACUUAUUUUUGUUUUAUUUUUAAAAGGGUAAACAAAAUAAAAAAGAAAACUCUAAGUGUAACUCCUUAUUUUGGAAAAGGUGGUCUAUGGAAAACCGGAUCAGGCUUGGGGGUCAGGUACAUCAGGAAGGUACGGUAAAGAUCGUAGCCCCCCUCUAAGUCCCUAAAGUCGGGUCUCUACUAAUAAAAGGAAGCUGACGUGGCGAUCAAUAGGAAAAUCAACAUAUACUCAAAUCGAUCAUGCACACAUGAGAAUCAAAACAUGCAUAGAAAAUGACCAGAAUGGGAAUGGAUGCAUACCUGAGCCACGAACGAGCAAUGCGCUAUCAUAAAAAUGGGGUCAGUGUAUAAUAAAGAGCACAAAACUUAUCACAUGCGUCACCAAAUAGAAAUGAAAACUGUUCGAGGGAAAAUUGAAUUUUUGAAAAUUGGAGUUUUAGAGAUUAUUUGAAAAUUGGAGUUUUAGAUAUUGUUUGAAAAUUGGAUUUUUAGAAAUUAAAUAUAAGAAUGAGAAUUUUAGAAAUUAAAUUUGAAAGAAAUUGGAAUUUUGAAAAUUAUUUGAGAAUUUGAGAUUUUUUUUUUAGAAAUUAAAUUACGAAAAUUGAGACUUUAGAAAUUAAAUUUUGAAAGAAAUCAGAAUUGAAAGUUAUUUGAGAAAUAGAAACUAUGAAAAUUGAAUUAUAAAAAUUGGAAAUCUUGGAAAUCGUUCGAAGGCAGAAUUUUUAAAAAUAAAUGAAUAAAAUGAUAAUAAUAAUAAUGAUAAUAAUAAACAAGUAACGAAAUAAAUGCGAGAAUUGGAACAUUGGAAACUGAAAAAAAUUAAGUUCGGAAAUUGGAAAAUUGGAAUUUCAGAUAACUAAAUUUGGAAAUCGGAAUUUUGAAGAAUUAUUUAAAGACGAAAUUUUAAUAAACGAAUAAGUGAAUAAAUAAAUUAAUGGAAUAAUAAUAAUGACGAAAUAAUAAAGAUUAGGUAAAUAAUUGCGAAAAAUAAAAUUUUAGAUAUUGGAGAUUGAAUUUAGAGAUUGAAAAUUUUAAGAAAUUAUUUAGAGAUGAUAUUUUUAAUAAAUGAAUAAGUGAAGAAAUAAAUGAAUGGAAUAAUAAUAAUGACGAAAUAAUAAAAAUUAGAUAAAUAAUUGCGAAAAAUAGAAUUCUAGAGAUUGAAAUUUGAAUUUAGAGAUUGAAAAUUUGAGAAAUUAUUUAGAGAUGAGAUUUUAAAUAUAUGAAUAAGUGAAUAAAUAAAUGAACAAGAUAAUAAUAAUAACGAAGAUAAUCAUUUAAACAACUGAAUGUGAAUAGUGAGAUUUUUUAGAUUGGAAAUUAAAUUUGGAAAAUAGAAUUCUAAAAAAUUGAACUUUAAUUAUUGGAAUUUGUAAAAUAAAUAAAUGGAAUGAUAAUAAUAAUAAUUAAAAUAAUAUUUAAACGAAUGAACAUGAAUAGUAGAAUUUUUUAAAUUGAAGAUUAAAUUCGAAAGUCGGAUUUUUGAAUAAUUGAACUUUAAUGAUUUGAAUUUUUAAAAGAAAUAAAUAAAUAAAUAUAGAAUAAUAAUAAUAAUAACCAAAAUAAUGUUUAAACGAAUAAACAUGAAUAGUGGAAUUUUUAAGAUUGAAAAUUAAAUUUACAAAUCAGAUUUUUGAAGAAUUGAACUUUAAUGAUUAGAAUUUUUUUUUAAAAAAAAUAAAUAAAUAUAAAAUAAUAAUAAUAAUAACAAAAAUAAUGUUUAAACGAAUGAACGUGAAUAAUGGAAUUUUUUAGAUUGAAAAUUAAAUUCGAAAAUCAUAUUUUUUAAGAAUUGAACUUUAAUCAUUGGAAUUUUUAAAAGAAAUAAAUAACUAAAUAUGGAAUAAUAAUAAUGAUAAUAAAAAUAAUGUUUAACGAAUGAACGUGAAUAGUGAAAUUUUUUUGAGAAUAAAAAUUAAAUUCGAAAGUCAGAUUUUUGAAGAAUUGAACUUUAAUGAUUAGAAUUUUUAAAAUAAAUAAAUAAAAUAAUAAAAAUAAUAUUUAAACGAAUGAACGUGAAUAGUGGAAUUUUUUAUAUCGAAAAUUAAAUUCGAAAGUCAGAUUUUUGAAGAAUUGAACCUUAAUGAUUUGAAUUUUUUUAAAAUAAAUAAAUAAAUAAAUAUGGAAUAAUAAUAAUAAUAACAAAAAUAAUGUUUAAAUGAAUGAACGUGAAUAGUGGAAUUCUUGAGAUUGAAAAUUAAAUUCGAAAAUCAGAUUUUUGAAGAAUUAAACUUUAAUGAUUGAAAUUUUUAAAAGAAAUAAAUAAAUAGAAAAUAAUAAAAAUAAUGUUUAAACGAAUGAACAUGAAUAGUGGAAUUUUUUUAGAUUGAAAAUUAAACUCGAAAGUCAGAUUUUUGAAGAAUUGAACUUUAAUGAUUGGAUUUUUUUUAAAAGAAAUAAAUAAAUAAAUAUAGAAUAAUAAUAAUAACAACAGAAAUAAUAUUUAACGAAUGAACGUGAAUAGUGAAAUUUUUUAUAUUGAAAAUUAAAUUCGGAAGUCAAAUUUUUGAAGAAUUGAACUUUAAUGAUUGGAUUUUUUUUAAAAGAAAUAAAUAAAUAAAUAUGGAAUAAUAAUAAUAACAAAAAUAAUGUUUAACGAAUGAACGUGAAUAGUGAAAUUUUUUUUAAAUUGAAAAUUAAAUUCGGAAGUCAAAUUUUCGAAGAAUUGAACUUUAAUGAUUGGAAUUUUUAAAAAAAUAUAUAAGCAAAUAAAUAAAUAGAAUAAUAAUUAAAUAAAUAAACAUGAAUAUUGGAAUUUAAAAAUGUGAAUUUUAGACAGUUACAUGAUAACAGAAUUUUUUUACAAAAACUAUAUUUUUAACAUAUAAAGAAGAAGAAUCAAGAGGGCCAAACACUAGGCCAAUGGGGUCUACACCUAACAAGCAACGGACUAGGUCCAUAAAAACCAAAUAGCCUUCAGUAAAGCCCAAUCAUAGAGGGCCCAAAUGAACAUUACCAAUCAAGUUCAAGGUUCAUCAUUCAUCAUUGUGAGAAAUCAAAUGUGCCAAAGAGAGGCACACAGAAGGUUCAUUGAGUUCCAUUUCAUAAGAGUGUUUGUUCCACAUUCUAUCCCAGUCCACUAACAUGAUAAAACAACAGCAAAAACAAUAACGCAAGUCAACAAAUCUGAAUCUUCAAUCCUAAAAAAAAAACCAGACCCCUAAAAGGGGAACUAAAAUAAAGCCCCCGUUGAAAGCAGCUUGGUCCAUUCUCUGAAGACAAUAAACGAACAAACACAGAACUCAAAAUUUCAAGUUUGCUUAACGAACCUCUGUCUUCUCUCGCUGUGAUCUUCCCUUCUGGUCGUUCUCGUUCUCCUUCCUGUUAUGGAAUCUGCUUCAGCUCCAGGAAUCUUUUUUUUUUUUUCAGUUCCCUUCCCUCUCGUUUUCUGCAACCCUUCUCUUCUUGAAUCAGCCGACCCACAAUCCCUUCUCAAGAUACUCCAUUUUCAGUUCAGUUUCUCCAUAAAUAUCUCUCUAUUUCUUGCUUUCCUUUCGCUCCCCGAAAAAAAAUUCCUAUGCGCUCAACUCUCCAAAAAUUCCCUAGAACCCUCAAUCUCCGGAACUGAAAAUCUCCUCUGUUUUUCUUAUUCCUUCCUCAGCUGAAAAUCCCCCGGUCCCGAACCCAAAAAUCCUCCACCCAACUCUCCUUUUUUUUUUCUCAAUCUCCCCUUUUUCCCGCUACUUCUCGUCCUCUUCAGCCGCCCAAAUACUGCUCGCCCCGUCCCAUCUCAUGGCCGCCCAAAGCAGUCCAUUCUGUCAUCUCUGGCCGCCACCAACGGCUGACCCUCGGUGUGGUAAAAAGAGGGAAAAAAAAAAAAAAAAAAUUCUGUCUCCAAAGGGGUCUACAAAUGUAUUUAAAUAUUUGUUUGAUUCUUUAAAGAUAUUAUUUUUUAAUUAAUCAAAUAGGAAGAUUUGAAAAUUUAUAUUUUGAUAGUCUUAAUUAUUUUAAAUAUUAUUUUUUAAUUAAAAAUAAUAUUUAAAAAGAUUUAGAAGAUUAUAUUUAAAUUAUUUUUUUAUAGGACUUGAUAAUUACUUUUUUUUAGUUAUUGAAUUUAUCAAUUUUUGUUUUUUCUAACCAUUGAGUGUGUGACUCAUGUUUUAUAGAUUUUUUGUUUAAAUAUUAUUUAAAAAAAAAAAAGGGUAACCUACAAAAUAUUAAAGGUUCUACCAUAAAAUUGUCAACUAAAAUUUGUCUUUUCAAAAGAUGAGUUCAAUAUAAAAAAAUAAAUUUACAUUUUUCAUUGAACUCAUUUUUUAAGAGAUGAGCUUAAUAUAUAAAUACUAAACUCUUCUUUCCAAAAGAAAAGUUUGUUGAAAGAUACUAUACUUGUAUUUUCAUAAAACAAAUUUCAUGUAAAAAUGUUUAACUUGUUUUUUCAAAAGGCGAGGUUUAUAUGAAAAGAUAAAUCUUUUUUUUUUUCUUGAACUUAUUGUUCCUAAAAGGUGAGUUCAAUGUUGUUGUUGUUUUAAUUUAAUUUAAUUUUUUUUUACCCCACACUAUACAUGACAUUAUAGAUUUUAUUGACAAGAGAUAUAUACUAUGUGACAAUGUUCAACUUAUCAUAAUUAAAUUUAAAUAUUGAUAUUUAAUUUCUUAUUAGUUCCAUGAAUAAUUAACUUAGUUUGAAUAUACAAUGAUUUCAUUUGGAAUAACUUUCUUUUUUUCACUUUAGUGGGAAGCUGAAGUUAUAAUUUCUCAAUGAUAAUUUUGGGCAAUAUAAAAAUUUUAUUAAUCAUGAAAGAACUUAUAUUAGUCAAAAUAAAGCUUUCAUAAAAAGUAAAAAACAAACUUAGCUUCCGUAUCUUCAUUUUAAACCAUAAGCUCUCUGAAGAAAAUUUAUCAAAGAGAGAUAGAAGUCCUUGAGCUUAUGAAAGAGUUUUUGACUUCUCAAAAAUCAAUCCAAAUAGGAUUGAUAAAUUGUAGAUGGUUAUAAUAUAAUAUUGCACAAUAUAAAUGUUAUUUUCGCUUCUAUAUUUUCCAUGGAAUUAUUUAAUUAUUUGAAUAAAGAUUUUUCCUUCGUUAUUUUUUUGUGCCUUUAAAAAAUAAAAAAUUAUUUUAAAUCUUAGGCACGAUAAUGCUUAAGUAUUUAAUAAUUUUAAUUAGAUAAUUAAAUUUUAUUUUAUAUAUAAAAUAAUUAAUUAAAUUUUAUAUUAUAUUUUAUAUAUAUAUAAAUUUAAUUAAUAAUUCAAUAAUUAUAUUUAUUUAUGUUUAAAUCAAAUUAACAAUAAGUUCAAUGCAACUAGAAAAAGGUAGCAUAUAUUUAUUAUUUUAAAGUGGAUUUUGAUUUUAAAUUAUUGCAAGUGUAUUUACUUAACUAACCAAUUAGUUGAAGUUCACUCAGCUAAUCCUUCAAUUUAAUCUUGACGUUGACAAGAACCUUGCCGGCAAUAAUUAUAAAAAGAAAAAUGCAUCAAGCUAAAGCUAAUUUUAUUAAUUCGAGUUUAAUAAAUUUUAGGUGGGUGCCCUUACCUAAUCUUUAAAAUUAAUCUUCAAGUUGAUCAUAAGAACUAAGCCAACCAUAAUUAUAAAAACAAAAAAAACGACAAGCUAAUUCCAUCAAUUUUAUUCUCUCAAAUUUAAUAAAUUGUAAGUAAGUUCUCUUAUCUAAUGUUUUAAAUUAAUCUUGAUAUAGAUAAGAACCUUGCCAACCAUAAUUAUAAAGAGAGAGAAAUGACAAACUAAUUUAAUUGGCUAAUUUUAAAUAACUCAAGCUUAAUAAAUUGUAAGUAGGUUAAUCUCUUGCCUAACCUUUUAAAUUUAAUUUUGAGAUCAAUAAGAAUCAUAUAGGCCAUAAUUAUAAAAAGAGGAAGAACACAAGCUAAAGGAAUACAAUCACAAUCAAUUGUAUAUGAUGAUAGUGAUUACCUUUUAAAUCUUCACAAGGUUAGAUCUUGAACAUGAUAUGUAUUUACAUGUGGUAAUCAUAAUGAUGAUAUUAAACAAACAAUGGUAGUCAUUUUUUCAAAUCAUUAAAAAAUACAUAAUACAAUAUUAUAUAUAUAAUUGCACAUAUUAAAAGAAAAUAUAUUAAGGGUGAUAGAAGUAAGCAUAUAUCAUUCAAGUUCUUUUAUAUUCAUAAACUUCAAAAGAGUAGUAAGAUCAAUAUUCAAAAAGUAAAAUCAAAUUAUAAUUUAGUAAACUUAUUCACAAAAGCAUUGUCAACUUCAACUCUCAAGAAGCUUAUAGAUAAUAUUGGAAUGGGACAACUCAAAGAUCUUUACAUUGGGUUACUAUGAAUAUAAUCAUGUCAACAUGAGGGGAGCAGAUAAAUAAGGAUGUUUGUAACAUCCUAUGCCCCUAGGCUAGGGGCAACCUUAUCAAUUUCACAUAUCCAUAAAAAUAAUGAAAUCACAAUCACACACAAGACAAUCAAUUUUACGUGGAAAAAUCUCUUGCUAAUAUGGAGAUACAAAACUAUAGGGUCUAAGAUCUCUAAUCUAAUAAUCCACUAUAUUAGAUCAAAGUACAUAGAUUUAUCUGAUAGCUUUACCCUAAAAACUCACUCCUACCUAUAACUUGAUUCAUGUCUCAAUGCUCUAGUGAAUUCACCUCAGCCUUUAGGAAGAUGCAAGUCCUUGUAACAAACCAAAAUUCGAUUAGUGAAUUCUUUGUUGAGAGUUUGUGAAUGAUAGAGCAAGUUGGGGUUGAUUAUAUCAAAGCAUCCAACCCCAAAACAUAUUUAGGUAAAGUAUAUAUAAGCCUAAGAUCCUAGAUGGUUGGAAAUGAAAUUUUCUUAAAAAAUAAAAUAUCAAAUUUUCAAAAUUAAUUAAGAAAAGAAUUUUUGUUUAAAAAAUAAAAUAUCAACUUUCUAUAAAUUAAUUAAGAAAUUCUUAAAAAAAAUUCUCAAAAUUGCCAAAAUUUAAUUAAAAUAUUUUAACUCAAUUAAUUUUAAAAUUUCAUAUCCAACUCUACCUUAAUAUAAAAAUAACUUGCCUUUAAUAAAUAUUUUUACACUUACUUGUAACAAUAUGGUUAAAUGAGUAGUAACAUUUAAUCUUCAAUGGAGUAAAAAAAUUCCUAUACUAGAACAAAAAAGAUUUCUUACUGGAACUAAAAUCAAAUUGACAACAUCUAACAAUUAUUAUAGACUUCAAUAUAUUUUUAAAAUUAUUUUAUAAAUAUAUUCUAUUAAGUAAAAGAGCCCCAAUAAUUGCCACGUAUCCGAGCCAUCUCUUACCAAUAAUUGCAUACAAGGGCUCCGCUUGCAGACACCUAGCUAGCCUACACCCCAUGUUUUUUCCUUUUUUUAUUUCCCAUGAAAGAAAUGUAUAGAAUUAUGGUUUUAUUUUAUUCUAUGGCAUGUACCAAGAGAUGGAAAGAGAUUAUCAGGAAAUUGACUUUCCUUUAAUAUUAUAGAAAAUGUGAGAGCAAAAUUUUUUAUUUGGCAUGUCUCAAAUGGUAUCACAUGUUCACGCUCAAAUCUCAUUUGUUUACAUUAAAGUCUCAUUUAUUUGUCUUUUUAUUUCUUGAUCCAAAUUAUUUAUAUUUUUAUUCAAUAAUCUAAUUUUAUCACUUGAUGGCUUAGUAUUUUCCUUUUAUCUUUAGAGGCUACAAUAUUUUCAAUAACUCAACUUCCAUUUUCUAUUUCAUUGUCCUAUCUCAAGACCCAUUUCAAUGAUAUCUCUUUCUUUUGAAAAGAAAGUUAGUCAAUCAUUCAUCAAAUAAUUAUAAUUUUUUUAUAAUAGAUAAAAAUAUCAUUAAUAACACUUAAUUGCAAAAUAUUUUAAUAAGAAGUGAAAAGAUUAUAUCUAAUUUGUUUCUUUGUCUUAAAUUUAAAUAGAUCUUUAUUGAAUUUUAAAUAGAACUUAAACUCAUUAAGAUUAAAUUGUUUAUUUUUAUUAAUAUUUAAAUAUUCUUAAACAUUAAAUUACUUGUUCUUAUUAAUGUGUUAAUAUUGUUAUGUGUUAAACAAAUAUUUUUCUAUCCUUAAAAUAAUAAUUUGUAUCUUCUUAGUUUUUAUAAAAAGAUAAAUCUAAGGUUAUUAUAAUAUUUUUAUGUUAUACAUCUUUACGAAAGAAUUUUCAAAGUCUUGGACCUUUUUUGGAUCCUUGUCAUCUAUUUAUGCCUUCUUUGAUAAUUUUUUGGAGCAUUCAAAUAUAUGUAAAAUCCAGAUUAUUAAAUAAGAAUUUUGACCGUUCAAACAUAUAUAAAAUCUAGAUUAUUAAAUAAUGAUAAAAUAAAAAUACUUAGAACUCUUAUGGUACGUUUUAUAAAAAAUAAAAAAAAAGGAAAGAAUUUGAAUAUCUUAUGGUACGUUUAAAAGAAAAUAAAAAAUGUGGACAUUAAAGUGGAAUGUAAACACAAUUUUAAAGUAAAGUGAGAUGAUGUUAUAGCUCCUUAAUUAAUAUGGACAAAUUUUAUGGUGUAAAAAUUAGAACGACACAAUGGUGGUGGGCCUCCCACCAAAAACUAAAAAAUGUCAAAUUAAGCAUAUGAUCUGCUUGGAAGUGGAGCACUUAACCUAAAUUAUUUGUUUACAUCUUUGUAAGUUUCUCCCAUAUAUUUGUAACUUAUUUCUAUAUAUUAUUGAAGGAAAAGAUUUUGGAUCAUGCAUGUAAUCGUUAGAGAGGGUUUCCAAUCAAGAUUUAAAUUUGGUUGUUGCAUCCUUAAUGUAAGAAGUUUAAAAAACCUGGAACUAAUCUAGUUCAUUGGAUCUUAACAAUAUAUAUAUAUAUAUAUAAGAUUUUAAAAUUGUUUAGAUAAGUAUAAUAAUUUGUAAAUAAGAGUUAAGUGUAUAAAAAAACAAAUGAGCAACUACUUUGAUUACUUUAAUACAAAUUUUCCACGCAAUGACUUGUAACUUCAAGAUAAUUAAUUGAAGUUGUUGUAACAUCACAUCAAAUCUUAAUAAUUGUGUUUAUAUUUUACUUUAAUUUUCAUUUUCAUUUGGACCCAUAACUAGCAAGGAUGAAAAUUUUCAUAUAUAUCGGCAAAAUAUCUCGGAUAUAUCGUGUAUCAGGAGUGCCAAUAUAAAUUUUCACUGGCCCAAUUUUUCCAUUUUUAUUGUCGAUUCACCAAUAUAUCAAGUUGCUGCUACUAGGCCUCGGUCAAACACGGUAAAAAAUCAAGCUGUUGUUGAGGGGAUUUGAACCUGACAAUAACCGCUAGAGCAAGUUGCUCUUUGAUAAAAGUUAUACACCAAAUUGUAUAUAUAAGAACAUUAAAAAUUAUUUUAUUAAAUAAAUUAAUUUUAAUUAUUUUAUUUUUGCAUUUGAUUUAAUUUAUUACCAAAAAUGUAAAAACAUAAUUUUUUAUAUUUUUUAUGUAAUCUAUAUAUUUAUCAAAUAUAAAAAAUAUAAAUAUUAAAAAAAUUAUACAUAUUUUAUUAUUUAUUUGAUAUAAUUGAAUACAUUUAAAUUAAAAUUGAUCCUAAUUUUAAUAUUUUAAAAUUAAACAUAUUAUCAUAUUAUUGUUGUAAAAGAAUGUUGUGCAACUUAAUAAUAAAUGUAUGGUUAUAAAAUAUAUUUUUUUAUUGAUGCAUACAAUAUUAUUAUCAAAUAUGAUAAAUUAUAUAUAUAAAAAAUUUUUGAACAAAAUAAAUUUAAAAUGUCUAUUAUACUUUCAAAUUCAUUUUUAUGAAGUUUUUCUUAUAUUUUUAGGAGUUUUGAUAAUUUUAAGUCUAUUAAUAUUUUUUUCUAAAAUGUCUAUCGAUAUAUCUCUAAUAUAUCUAUAAAAUCAAUAUAUUAAUAUAUCCGUUAUUACCGAUAUUUUCAUAAUUCAUCAGUAGCAAGUUCGAAUUGACUCAAACAUUAGGAUCCAAAAGUCACCAUAGAGACAUUGCAUUGACACAACCUAGAGAAGCUUCCAAGUGGACUGCACAUGCUAACAUGUCUUGGAGGGUUGAAAAUCAAUGGUUGUCCAAAGUUGGUGUCAUUUCCAGAGUUAGGGUUCCUGCCCAUGCUUAGACAUCUUGUUAUUGUUAGUUGUGAAGGUCUACAAUGUCUAUCCAAUUAGAUGAUGGUGAUGAAGGAUGGUAGUAUUAACAGUAGCAACAUGCGUCUCUUUGAAUACUUGGAGAUAGAUACGUGCCCAUCUCUCAUUGCUUUUCCAGACGUUGAGUUACCCACCACGCUUAAGGAACUCAAGCUAUGGAGGUGUGAAAAACUGGAGUCUCUACCGAGGGGAUGAUGCACCAUGAUUCAAACACCACCACCACCACCAGUGAUGGUCUUCAUGUCUUGGUCAUUGGGGUAUGCCCAUCUCUCACAUUCCUCCCCACAGACAAGUUUCCCUCCACCAUCAAGAAACUUUAUAUUAUGAAUUGUACACAACUGGAGUCAAUUUCAGAAAAGAUAUUAUUACAAGGAAAAAUGGAGAGAAAAAUUGGCAGAUUCUCUUUUCAUUGAUUGAAAAAAUGAGCUGUAUAGAGAGCACCAAAACAGAGUAGCAAAAAUGUCUUUUAUAAUAGAAGUCACGCAUAAGGAGUUGUAGAGCUCUGUAGAGAAAAAACAACCUAACCAACUAUUGGUUAUAACAGAAAAAAUAAAAUAAAAAUAAAAAACUAAAACUAAUAUGCUAAAAUUCUCCCUCAAGAUGGAGAAUAUAGAUCAUGAAUUCCCAUCUUGCCCAAGAGACCAUGAAAUUGAUUGGGAUGGAAAGCCUUAGUAAGAAUGUCAGCAAGUUGGUUUUGUGAGGUAACAUGUAGAGUCUUGAGAAUCAUAGCUUGAAUCUUCUCUCAAAUGAUAUGACAAUCAAUCUCAAUAUGUUUGGUGCGCUCAUGGUAGACUGAGUUUGUUGCAAUGUGGAUAGCAGCUUGGUUGUCACAAUAAAGAACAGUUAGCCCAUGAUGGGCUAUCUUCAAGUCGUGAAGAAGAGACAAGAGCCACAGAAUCUCACAAGUAGUGUUGGCCAUGGAUUGGUACUCGGCUUCAACAGAUGAGCGAGAGACAAUCGGUUGUUUCUUGGACUUCCAAGAGAUGAGGGAGGUCCUAAGAAACACACAAAAACCAGAAAUAGAACGAUGAGUGUCAAGACAAAAGGCCCAAUCAGAAUCUGCGAAGGCUUUGAGUUGCACUUUGGAAUUUGAUGAAAAGAAAAGUCCUUGGUCUAGGGUUCGCUUGAUGUACUGUAAAAUGUGAAAAACAACCUGAAGAUGUGGCUUGCAAGGGGCUGCUAAGAAUUGGCUAAGACGAUUUAUAGAAUAACUAAGGUCAGGACGAGUAAUAGUAAGAUAUAGCAGCUUACCAAUGAGUUACCUAUAGUUGGUAGGAUUUUCAAUCAAGUCACCAUCAUCUUGAGAUAGUUUCAAAUUAGGAUCCAUGGGAAUGGUGGUAGGUUUGCAACCCAAAUGUUCAGUGUCUGAGAGCAAUUCCAACGCAUACUUGCAUUGACAAAUAGAGAUACCAACAAUAGAUCGAGCCACUUCCAAGCCUAGAAAAUAUCUGAGUGGCCCCAAGUUCUUCAUCUUAAACUUGUAGUUGAGGCGAUGCUUUAAAGUAUCCACAAUAAGUUGAUCAUUACUAGCAAUAAUGAUGUCAUCAACAUAGAUCAAAAGAGCUAAGAAAGAAGUACCUUGAUGUUUUGUGAACAAGGUGUGAUCACUAGUUGAUUGAACAAAACCUUCUGAUAAGAGAGCAUUGGAGAACUUGUGGAACCAUUGAUAGGAGACCUGUUUCAAACCAUAGAUAGACUUAUGCAGCCUGCACACAGCAUUAGGAGGCAAAUGUUCCCCCUCAUGGCAAGUGUAUCCAGGGGGAAGACUCAUGUAAACUUCCUCCAUAAGGUCACCAUGAAGGAAUGCAUUAGUGACAUCAAGUUAAGUGAGAGACCAACAAUGAAUUGCAGCUAAAGAAAACAACAUUUUAACAGUAACUAGCUUGGCAACAGGAGAUAAGGUAUCAAGAUAAUCAAUACCUUCUUGUUGUGCAAAUCCCUUAGACACAAGGCGUGCUUUGUAUCUAUCCACAGUGCCAUCAGCUCGAAACUUGACUUUGUACACCCAUUUACAACCAACCACUUGUUUGCUAAUGGGAAGAGAGCAAAUGGACCAAGUGUCAUUGCUUUCCAAUGCCUGCAAUUCAAUAUUCAUAGCAUCGCGCCACACUUGAGACUCAAUGGCCUGAGAGAAUGAUGUUUGGUUUUGUUUGAGAACUAAUGGUGAGAGCAAGUUCAUGGUAUGGCCUGGAAAGCUUGUGGUAACUCAAGCAAGAGGAAAUAGGAUAUAGAGAAGGCUUAGAAGAAACAUGUCCAAUGAGGUAAUAGUGAUAAUUAGACAAGUAAGUUGGUUUUGUGGUGACACGAUGUGGACAUAAGGCUGUUUGAAUUGGGGCUAGUGAGGAAAUGCACUCUGGACUAUGGGAAGAAGACAUGUUGGGCUGACUAUAAAAAGGCUCGGAGAUGGACUGAAUUGGCUUAGAAAAGACACGAUCAUUAAACAAAUCAAUUCAUGAAAAAUGACAUUCCAAGAAAUGUAGAUCUUAUUGCUUUCUAAGUCAAGUAACUUGUAACCCUUAUAACCAAAAGGAUAGCCAAGAAAAACAGAAGCUCGAGCACGAGGGACAAACUUUGUACGUUGGUUAGAAAGCGUGGAAGCAUAACAUAGACACCCAAAAAUGCGAAGAUGGUUGUAGGUGGGUUUGUUGUUAUUCAACAACUCAAAUGGGGUUUUAUUGGAUAGUAAUGGAGAGGGUGUACGAUUGAUUAAAUAAACAACAGUCAAAACACAAUCACCCUAAUAACAAGAAGGAACACAAGAUUGAAACAAUAAGGCUUGUGCCACAUUAAGUAUGUGUUGAUGUUUACGCUCUACAACUGAGUUUUGUUCAGGUGUAGCAACACAAGAAUGAUAAGGAAUAAUACCCUUGGUACGAAAAAAAAAUAAUGGAAAGCUAAUUUAGGGGCAUUAUCGAAAUGGACAUAUUUAAUUGCAGUGUUAUAUUGAGUAGAAAUCAAAUUGAAAAAUUUAGGAAAGAUAGUGAGAACAUCAGUUUUAGCACAAAGAAGAUAUACCCAAGUAGCACGUGUGCAGUCAUCAACAAUAGUGAGGAAAUAUAUGUGUCCAACUAGUGUACUAACAUUAAAUGGUCCCCAAAUGUCAAUGUGAACUAUAUCAAAAGGAUUAGUUGACAUAUUAUUAUGUGAAACAAAAGGUAAACGUUUUUGCUUGGCCAUAAGACAAAUUUUACAGUGAGAAGACAAACGGGAUAAAUAAUUGGCAAUGUGUAAUUCAUUGUGAAGAAUUUGAAUUUUUACAUGAGAUGGAUGUCCAAGGCGAAAAUGCCAAAAUAUCACUUUUCGACAUUACAGAAUUUAUAAAAAUAGAAUUACAAAAUUCAUUCCCUGAUUCUAGAAAAUAAAGGUUCUUUCGUCUUCUACCUUUCCCAAUCGUCAAGCCCCGAGUGAGGUCCUGAAUGAAACAUGAAUUUGAAAGGAAAUUAACACUACAAUUAUGGCUAAGAGUAAGAGCACUAAUGCUGAGAAGAUUGAAAGUGAACAUGGGGACAAACAAGACAUUAUCCAAGUUCAAAGUAUCAGACAACCUCACAGAACCUACACGAUUGAUUGCAACAGCAUGACCAUUAGGAAGAGUGAUUGUGGUAUUAUGAACCAGUCUGGAAUGAGAAAACAAAGAAAUAUUGCAACAGACAUGGUGGGUGGCCUCUGUGUCAAUCACCCAAGCAUGGGAAGGAACAAAAGGAUGAGAAAAAAACUGAGUAGAACAAUUGUUACCAUAGAUUUGAGAAAUUGAAGGUUCUGAUGUCGAUGGAGACUCAAGUGGGUUGAUAGUUUGUUGUUGAAGGUGCGUGCUAAGGUAGGCAAUGAGUUGUUGAACUUGAUCCGAUGAGAGAUAGACUGGUGGUGGGGAAGAUCCCACUGUAGCAACAGCAGCGGAAGGGAAAUAAUGAAUGCCCUUCAAUGGUUCAGUAAAGGAGCUUGGUGAAGUAGAUUGGGAUUGAAGGGGGCUUGUCUAGGCCAUUUAUGUUUGGGCUUUCCCUUUGGGCUUAUAACCUGGUGGAAAACUGAUUACUACUCAAAAAGUGCUCUUUGAUAGCUUGUAAUAAACUCUUUUAAACACUUUUGAGUAGUAUUUAUUGCCUUUUAACCCAAUUAACAUGUUAAGGACCCUUUAAAUCAAUUCUAAUCAAAUUGUGUUAAGUUUUAGUGUUUUGAUAGCCUUUUGAUCACCAAAGCAAUCCGAGAUUGAGGAGAGUUAUAUGGAAUCUUGGGCAAAGCAAUUGGAAGCUCAGAAACAUGAAGAACUAAAGCUUGGAAGUCCUUUGCCAUGAGUAAAUCAAGAAUGCAAGGAGAAGAAGUAAAGAGAAUCUGCCAUGAAGCAUAUUCUUGAUGACAGUCGUGUUAGCCACUUUUGGAGCACUUUUUGAAGUCCAAUUGAUGCAUGCUAUAUACCAUUUCAAAUCUCAGGAAGUCAACAAUCCAAUACUUCAAACGGUAUGCAAUUCGGAGUUGAAACGAAGAAGUUACAGCCACUACAAGUCAAUCACUCUAAGCUGAAGGAAGCAUUUUGCAAAGUGUUGCGAAAUCACCCUUUUGUUGCGAAAUGAUUUUGCAGCUUUUUUGUACAGUGUUGUGGAUUUCCACCUGAAGUUUCCCGAUAUAUGCCGCACGUUGGAAGGUGAGAACCUCAAGAUGAAAGCCAACUUCGCAGCCCUGCGAGAAUAGCCUUUUGCUGCGAAAUGAUUUCGCAGCCCUUUUUGUAUGUCUGUGAAAUCUCGCAGACAUCAUUUUCUCUUGCGAAAUGGUCCUUAGUGCUUCCCGAUAUUUGCUACCGACAUUGGGAGAUAUUUUCCAUUAGAUUUUUGUUGUCUAAAUCCCAAAAUUCUCCUUGUAAGCCACCAAUUACAAGAUUCCUUAGCUUUUAAGUUAGUAAAAAGAAUAAAUAUCCAUGUAAUAAUUAGUUUUGUAUUAUGUUCAUAUAUAUACUCCUCGAGAGCCUGUUCUCGAAGGAGGAGACUGUUUGUAAAUUUUUGGGGAAAGCAAGUAAAGUUCAGGUCCUUUGUUUAGCCUUACCUUCCCACUUUGUAUUUUUUAUUUCUUACUAAGUUAUGCACUCUCUGAGGAAUUUUCCCUAGAGAAUGAGUAACUAAACCUUUAGUUCCUUGGAGCUAAGGUUGCCGAGGAAGGUUCCAAGUGCAAGAAUGCAAAGCUUUGUGGUUUCAGCCAUUAAUGAAGAGGAAGUGAAAUCCUUUAGUGAUUUCUAUGUUUUUAGUUAACUUAAAACACCUUAGAGUCACCUGGGCCAACACUUGGUAAGGCAAGUGAUCUCCAACCAAGGAGAUGCACUAGUUUACCCCUUGCGAGCCUCUGGGAGGUGACUUUAAGGUAGGAUUUUCUGGAAUUGCCAACACUUGGUAAGCUUUUGGACUCCAAGGAGACAUCCAUUAGUUAUCUCUUGCGAGCUUGAGAAGGGAAAUCCAAGGUUAAAGAUCACCUUGAAUGGUUAAGGCUUAGUGAGAGGCUUGAACUAUUGCAAGUUGCAUCAGUGAGAGAAUUAAAGUUGAAAUCUAAUUAAAGGAUGUAUCUGUAUAACACCGGUUAGAGAAUUGACUAUAUGUUGAAUCUCUAACGCGAGGAAAUGAACCAUCUGACCGGAGCUAUGUCUUUUGCAUGAGGAACCACCUCAGUGAACCUGACCCUCCAAGGAAUGUUUUUCUUCCUAAGUUAUUCCCAUUACUUGUUUUGUAGUUAGUUUAAAUCUAAAUCUUUACCAAUUAAAGUUUGUGUUUUAUUUCUUAAGCUAACCUUGAAAUGAAACAAGACCAAUUCACUUUGAAUUGGUAUCAUUGAUAAUUUGCUAAUCCUUCCCAGUGAACGAUCCUAGAGCUGCUAUACUAUAGUAGCUUUUUCUUUGCUACCCUAGUAUAUGGUGUAAUAGGUUAAAAAUAUUGUUGAUUACUCCCUCAUCCAAGGAGCACCAACUGGACACGAAUCAUCUGAGACACCAAUUGGGCAUGAAUCAAAUGGCGCCGUUGCCGGGGAAGGUGUCAAGUCUAUAGUGAUACCAUUUUAGAGCACUUGUGAUUUUUUAUCACAAGUUUGGUAACGUUUCUUUCACUUUACUAAUUCUCAUUCUUUAUUUAUUUAUUCAUAAUCUAAGUUUAUCUUUUAAAUUUAGCCUAGUUUAAUUUUUUUGUAGCCCUGUUUUCUUUUGUUGUCCUUUAUUUUCAUUUAAGUUGCAGAUAGAUACUAGUUGUGUAUGCCAAAGUGGAUACGAGACAGUGGAGGAAGGCUUGUUAAGUGUGAUACAUCUCAUAACAAAGAAUUCGAAUUGAGCUUGAAUAUCAUGGAAGCUACACCUGAAGAUCAGCAUAGUCACCAAGGUCGUCAAGACAAUCUCAAUGAAUUCAGAUCAAUGAGGGACCGCAUGCAUCCACCUCGUAUGAGUGCACCAUCAUGUAUAGUGCCCCCUACAGAGCAGCUAGUGAUCAGACCGUAUCUUGUUCCACUUCUACCAACUUUCCAUGGGAUGGAAAGUGAGAAUCCCUAUGGACACAUCAAGGAAUUUGAAGAUGUUUGUAAUACAUUCCAAGAGGGGGGAGCUUCAAUUGAUUUGAUGAGGCUUAAGUUAUUUCCUUUUACUUUAAAGGAUAAGGCCAAAAUUUGGCUUAAUUCUUUAAGGCCAAGGAGUAUCCGCACUUGGAUUGACUUACAAGCUGAAUUCCUCAAGAAAUUUUUUCCCACUCAUAGAACAAAUGGCUUGAAAAGGCAAAUUUCGAACUUCUCAGCUAAAGAGAAUGAGAAAUUCUAUGAGUGUUGGGAAAGGUAUAUGGAAGCUAUAAAUGCUAGCCCUCACCAUGGCUUUGAUACUUGGCUAUUGGUGAGCUAUUUUUAUGAUGGGAUGUCUUUCUCAAUGAAGCAACUCCUCGAGACAAUGUGUGGAGGAGAUUUCAUGAGCAAAAAUCCGGAGGAAGCCAUGGAUUUCUUGAGCUAUGUAGCUGAAGUUUCAAGGGGAUGGGAUGAACCAACCAAAGGAGAAGUGGGUAAGAUGAAUUCUCAACUGAGUGCUUUCAAUGCUAAGGCUGGGAUGUAUACCCUGAAAGAAGAUGAUGAUAUGAAAGCAAAGUUGGCAGCUAUGACAAGAAGAUUGGAGGAGCUGGAGCUGAAAAGAAUACAUGAAGUGCAAGCUGUUGCUGAAGCACCAGUGCAAGUGAAGCUGUGUCCUAAUUGUCAAUCAUAUGAACAUUUGGUGGAGGAAUGCCCUGCAAUUUCAGCUGAAAGGGAAAUGUUUAGAGAUCAAGCAAAUGUUGUUGGACAAUUCAAGCCCAAUAACAAUGCACCUUAUGGAAAUACUUACAACUCAAGUUGGAGGAAUCAUCCAAAUUUCUCAUAGAAGGCCAGAGCAACUCAAUACCAACAGCCGGAUCCACCAUCUCAACAAUCUUCAAGUCUUGAACAAGCAAUAGCGAAUCUCAACAAGGUAGUGGGAGAUUUUGUUGGAAACCAAGAAGCCACCAAUGCUCAAAUCAAUCAAAGAAUUGACAGAGUGGAGAGUACUUUGAAUAAAAGGAUGGAUGGAAUGCAAAAUGAUAUAUCCCAAAAGUUUGAUAAUAUCCAAUACUCAAUUUCAAGGCUCACAAAUUUGAACACAGUGCAAGAAAAUGGAAGAUUUCCUUCUCAACCCCACCAAAACCCCAAAGGUGUCCAUGAAGUGGAAAGCCAAGAGGGAGAAUCAUCACAGAUGAAAGAUGUCAAAGCCUUGAUCACUCUAAGGAGUGGUAAAAAAAUUGAGAAGCCAACACCCAAGCCACAUGUUGAGAAAGAAGAAGAGAUAAAGAAAGGGGAAGAAAUGGAAGACAAAGAGAGUGAGAUCAGUGGAAAGAAGAAAGACUAUGAUUCAACAAUGAAUGAAAUUCCAGAGAAGGAACUUCUGAAGGAAGAAAUGCUGAAGAAAUCAACUUCUCCACCUUUUCCUCAAGCAUUACAUGAGAAAAAGGGGAUUAGAAAUGCAGCUGAAAUCCUUGAAGUAUUGAGACAAGUGAAAGUCAAUAUCCCACUGCUGGAUAUGAUUAAACAAGUUCCAACGUAUGCAAAAUUCCUAAACGACUUAUGUACUAUCAAAAGAGGGUUGACUGUAAACAAGAAAGCCUUCUUGACUAAGCAAGUAAGUGCAAUCCUACAAUGUAAGUCUCCAUUGAAGUACAAAGAUCCGGGAAGUCCUACCAUUUCAGUCAUGAUUGGAGGAAAGGUAGUGGAGAAAGCUUUGUUAGACUUGGGAGCAAGUGUGAAUUUGCUUCCAUAUUCCAUCUACAAGCAAUUGGGACUUGGAGAGUUGAAGCCAACGGCAAUCACUCUAUCUCUAGCAGAUAGAUCAGUAAAAAUUCCAAGGGGGGUAAUUGAGGCUGUCUUGGUUCAAGUGGAUAAUUUCUACUAUCCAGUAGAUUUUAUUGUUCUUGAUACAGAUCCUACUGUAAAGGAAGCUAAUUUAGUUCCUAUCAUCCUUGGAAGGCCAUUUCUUGCUACCUCAAAUGCAAUCAUCAACUGCAGGAAUGGGCUGAUGCAACUCACUUUUGGCAACAUGACACUUGAUCUCAAUAUUUUUUAUAUGUCUAAAAAGCAAACCACUCCGGAAGAAGAAGAGGGUUCAGAAGAGCUGUGCAUUAUUGACACUUUAGUGGAGGAGCACUGUAAUCAGAAUAUCCAAGACAAGUUGAAUGAAAGUCUUGGGGAUUUUAAGGAAGGGUUGUCUGAAUCCCCUAAUGUGCUUGCUACUCUACAAAGUUGGAGAAAGGUAGAAGAGAUUCUACCUUUGUUCAAUAAAGAAGAAGAGGCAGCUGCUGAAAAAGAAAUUCCAAAACUCAAUCUGAAGCCUCUACCUGUGGAGCUGAAAUAUAUAUAUCUUGAGGAAAAUAAUCAAUGUCCUGUUGUAAUAUCUUCAUCUCUGACCAGUCAUCAAGAGAAUUGUUUAAUAGAAGUUCUCAAGAGGUGUAAGAAGGCAAUAGGAUGACAAAUAUCUUACUUGAAAGGCAUUAGUCCUUUAGUUUGUACUCAUCAUAUAUAUAUGGAGGAGGAAGCAAAGCCAAUUCGUCAACUUCAAAGGAGAUUGAAUCCUCAUUUACAAGAGGUGGUGCGAGCUGAGGUGCUGAAGCUACUUCAAGCAUGCAUUAUUUACCCUAUAUUUGAUAGCCCUUGGGUGAGUCCUACUCAAGUGGUACCAAAGAAGUCAGGGAUUACAGUGGUUCAGAAUGAAAAAGGAGAAGAAAUUACUACACGCCUCACUUCAGGUUGGAGGGUGUGUAUUGAUUAUAGAAAGUUGAAUGCUGUAACCAGGAAAGGUCAUUUUCCAUUGCCAUUUAUUGACCAAGUGCUGGAGAGAGUCUCUGGACAUCCGUUCUAUUGCUUCUUAAACGGGUAUUCAGGGUAUUUUCAGAUUGAAAUUGAUGUGGCAGAUCAGGAAAAUACUACUUUUACAUGUCCAUUUGGAACAUAUGCUUACAGGAGAAUGCCUUUUGGUUUAUGCAAUGCACCUGCUACAUUUCAAAGAUGUAUGUUGAGUAUUUUCAGUGAUAUGGUGGAGCGAAUUAUAGAGGUUUUCAUGGAUGACAUCAUCGUAUAUGGAGGUACAUUUGAGGAAUGCUUAGUCAAUUUGGAAGCAGUUCUUCACAGAUGCAUUGAAAAAGACCUGGUGCUCAACUGGGAAAAAUGCCAUUUUAUGGUACGUCAAGGAAUUGUCCUUGGCCAUAUCAUCUCUGAAAAAGGCAUUGAAGUUGAUAAAGCAAAGGUGGAGCUUAUUGUCAAAUUACCAUCCCCAACAACUGUAAAAGGAGUAAGGCAGUUCCUUGGCCAUGCAGGGUUCUAUAGGAGGUUUAUAAAAGGUUUUUCAAGUCUUUCAAAACCUCUUUGUGAGCUGUUAGCUAAGGAUGCUAAGUUUAUAUGGGAUUAAAGAUGUCAAAAUAGCUUUGAUCAACUGAAGAAAUUUUUAACAACAACUCCAAUAUUGAGAGCCCCUAACUGGCAACUAAUUUUUGAACUGAUGUGUGAUGCCAGUGACUUUGCUAUAGGAGUUGUACUUGGCCAAAGAGAAGAUGGGAAGCCCUAUGUGAUUUACUAUGCGAGCAAAACACUGAAUGAAGCUCAAAGGAACUACACAACUACAGAGAAAGAAUUGUUAGCUGUGGUAUUUGCCUUGGACAAAUUUCGUGCUUAUUUAGUGGGGUCUUUCAUCAUUGUUUUCACUGACCAUUCAGCCUUGAAGUAUUUAUUGACAAAGCAAGAUGCAAAAUCAAGGUUGAUUAGAUGGAUUCUUUUGUUACAAGAAUUCGAUCUCCAAAUCAAAGAUAAGAAAGGAGUGGAAAAUGUGGUAGCUGACCACCUUUCAAGGUUAGUUAUAGCACAUAAUUCCCAUUCCUUACCUAUUAAUGAUGAUUUUCCUGAAAAAUCACUCAUGUUCCUAGUGAAAACUCCUUGGUAUGCUCAUAUUGCUAAUUAUUUAGUAACUGGUGAAAUUCCAAGUGAGUGGAAUGCACAGGACAGGAAGCACUUCUUUGCAAAAAUUCAUGCUUAUUAUUGGGAAGAGCCCUUUCUUUUUAAGUAUUGUGCAGAUCAGAUCAUAAGGAAGUGUGUCCUUGAAGAUGAGCAGCAAGGGAUUCUAAACCAUUGUCAUGAGAAUGCAUGUGGAGGCCACUUUGCCUCUCAGAAAACAGCCAUGAAGGUGUUGCAAUCAGGGUUUACUUGGCCAUCUCUUUUCAAAGAUGCCCACAUCAUGUGUAGGAGUUGUGAUAGAUGUCAAAGGCUUGGAAAUCUAACAAAAAGAAAUCAAAUGCCUAUGAACCCCAUUCUAAUAGUUGAGCUAUUUGAUGUAUGGGGCAUUGACUUCAUGGGGCCUUUCCCAAUGUCUUUUGGUAAUUCUUACAUCUUGGUGGGGGUGGAUUAUGUUUCUAAAUGGGUUGAGGCAAUCCCCUGUAAACAAAAUGAUCACAGGGUGGUUCUCAAGUUUCUUAAAGAGAACAUUUUCUCGAGGUUUGGGGUGCCCAAAGCCAUAAUCAGUGAUGGAGGUGCUCAUUUUUGCAACAAACCUUUUGAAGCUCUAUUAUCCAAGUAUGGAGUGAAGCAUAAGGUUGCUACACCUUAUCAUCCUCAGACUUCCGGGCAAGUUGAGCUAGCUAAUAGGGAAAUAAAGAACAUAUUGAUGAAAGUGGUGAAUUCAAGCAGAAAAGAUUGGUCUAUUAGGCUUCAUGAUUCAUUGUGGGCGUAUAGAACAGCUUAUAAGACUAUUCUUGGCAUGUCUCCCUAUCGUUUUGUAUAUGGCAAAGCAUGCCAUCUCCCUGUGGAGGUUGAAUACAAAGCUUGGUGGGCAAUUAAGAAGCUGAACAUGGACUUGAUCAGAGCCGGAGCAAAGAGAUAUCUAGACCUUAAUGAGAUGGAGGAAUUAAGAAAUGAUGCUUAUAUCAAUUCCAAAGUUGCAAAACAGAGGAUGAAGAAGUGGCAUGAUCAACUAAUCUCCAACAAGGAAUUUCAAAAAGGACAAAGGGUUUUACUGUAUGACACAAGACUCCAUAUCUUUCCUGGAAAGCUCAAGUCACGGUGGAUAGGCCCGUUCAUUAUUCACCAAGUAUAUGCCAAUGGAGUGGUGGAAUUAUUGAAUUCCAAUGGCAAAGACACCUUUAGAGUCAAUGGAUAUCGUCUCAAGCCAUUCAUGGAGCCAUUCAAACCAGAAAAUGAGGAAAUCAACCUCCUUGAGCCACAAAAAGCCUAAGCAAAUAAGGGUUUGGUGGACGUGGUUUUACCACAGUCCAAAAUUUUUGUAAAUUUUGUAAAUUUCAAAGUUUUUUCCAUACUUUUGAUCUUAGUUUUUUUUUAUCUUAAAUCAUGUUUUUAUUUGUGUUUUAAUCUUUUUGAAUGAUCUCAGGUGGAAGAAAAUGCAAAGAAAUUGAAAGGAAGAAAUCGAAGCGAAAUCGGAGCAAAAACAGAGUGAAAACAGAGCAAAAACAGGGCUCUGCGAGACUUCGCAACCUAAGGAAAUCUUCUGCGAAAUUAGCACUUUGCUGCCAAACCAUUCCGCAACUCAUUUGACUCCUUUGCGAGAAUUUUGGUAGCUGCGAAACUGAUUUUGGCACACGAGUGCCACUUCGCAACACAGGAGCCCCCAUUUCGCAUCUGCGAAAUGGAUGCGAAGCGAUAAAGCGUGAAAAUCCCUAAUUUCGCAACCAAAGUUCCAUUCUGCAGGGUAUUUCGCAAUUGCGAAAGCAAUUUUGGCACACGUGUGCCACUUCGCAGCACAAUGACACUCAAUUCGCAGCUGCGAAACGGAUUAAGAAAAUGGGCUGCGAAAAUGGCUUUUUGCUACGAAAUUAGCCUUUUUCUACGAAACUCAAAAUGACACUUAAUCUUCCGUUAUUUUUAUUUAUACCGGUCAUUUGAGCUGCGAAAGGGUUUCAAAAAUAGAGCGCGCCAUACUUGCAGACUAUUCAUUUCCUUGCUCGAGCCCGACACCGCACAAACCUCCGUUCAUCUUCUCCGGUCGUCACUUCCGGCCAAAUUUCGGAAUUCCGAAAUGGCGCGAACCAGAGGAGCUAAAUCUUCCUCUCCUUCAAGCCGCAAGAGAGACCUGCGAGGGGAGCCCAUUCUAGAUCCCACCUCUGAGCCUCUACGACCUAAAGCAGUUUCUCCUCCGGUGAAGCCCGCGCCGCAGAAGCCUCCGGCGAGGCGUUAUCUCACCAGGUCAGGGGGUCGGCCACUGCAAAAGAGAGCCAGGGUUGAAAGAUCAGAGCCCAUUGAUCUAACAGAGUAGUCCCCAGAACCCUCGCUGGUUCCAUUUCCAGUUCUAUCUUUGGUGCCAUCUCUGGCGCCGCCAAUAGAGCCUAAGGAGCCUCAGCCGCCACUUCCCAAACUCCAAAAUCCAUCUGAGAUAGCCCCUAAAGCAGUAAUCAGGCGGCCGAUGCUGACUCAACCUUCAAUUGAGGGGAAUUUGGACUGCAGAGCUCGGCCAUUCCACUCCGAGCUGUGCUUUGACACAGCCACGUUCCAAUUGCGGCCGAAGCUUGCACAAUCAUUCCACCUGCUGCGAAGAUACCACAUGGAGUAGCUGUUGGCUCCAAGAGACUUCUUCUACCCCAGGGUAGCCAUGGAUUUUUAUCAGUCCAUGACUACCAAACAGGUAAGGGAUCCUACUUUAAUCCAUUUUACCAUUGAUGGGAGGCAUGGCAUAUUGGGAGCUCGCCAUAUAGCUAAGGCCUUGCAAAUACCAUAUGAGCCAACUCAUUUUGAGGAUUUCAGAGUGUGGACCAGUCCUACUGAGCUGGAAAUGGUGCAUAUCCUAUCUAGAGGAGCUUCCACACGACCACAUCUAUUGAGGGGGGAGCUUCCUUCAAUCAUGUUUCUUAUUGAUGCAUUUUUGCAUCAUAACCUCUACCCACUGCAGCAUUGGACUCAGAGGAGAGAAGUGCUUCUAGAGGCCUUAUUCAAGAUUUCUGAGGGAUAUUUCUUCGACCCUCACCAUCUGAUUAUGGCUUCCAUUCUCUAUUUCGAAGAGAAUGUGCAUAAAAAGAAGCUGCAAAGAGCUGAUGCCAUUCCUCUUCUCUUUCCAAGGCUGCUGUGCCAAAUUCUAGAGCACCUGGGGUAUCCAUCAGAGCCUCAGUUGGAGCGCAAGCGCAUUUGCCGAGAGGUAUUUACUCUCGACAAAUGGAACAACAUGACAGUCGAUAGAGUUGAGCAGUCAGAGCACCCACAGCCAGCUACUAAGAGAGCAUCCCCACGACACAUACCUGAGGGUAUGCCUAUUGCUGCUCCUGCCAUUCCCAGAGCUCCACCAGUUACUCCAGCUUCAGCUGAGCCAUCCACUUCAGCUGAACCAAGGAUGGCCAUUCCCAUUUCUGAAUAUAGAGAGUUAUGUCGUUCAUUGCAGACCCUUACAGCAUCUCAGAGUAGCCUUGCUCAGGAGAUGGCAGCCAUUCGAGCAUGCCAAGAGCAGAUGUUGGCCACCCAGGCUCAGCACACUGCCAUCUUGAGGCAACUCCAGCAUCAUUUCGACCUGCCUUCAGCUGCUGAGCCCUCCACCUCCACCACUGCAGUGCCACACUCUCAUCCCACAGAGCCUCAAGCCCAUUCUGGAGCAGCUACUGAAGAGGCAGACCCAUCUGCCUAGCCCCAACACCACCCACUCAUCAGAUCAUUAUAUAUAUCUACUGCAUAUGUCUUUUAUGUAUUUCGUUUUUAGUUUUUUUUUAAAAAAUCCCAUUAUUUUGGUACCAUAUAUGGGAUUGCUUGUAUUGUCUUCUUUUUCAUUGUACUCAAAUGGAUUCAAAGUAAUACAAGUCUAAUAUUUUUUUUUGUUAACCUUUAGCAUUAAUUUAUUCUUAUUUCCUUUUCUCACAGCUUUUAUUCUUUUUGAAACAUGUGGUUUCUCCAAUUAGUAUUCGAAAUUGAUAUCACUCAGGAGGUACCACUUCCUCCCUUUAAUUGCAAUCACCCAUAUCACAUUGAGGACAAUGCUCAGUUUGGUUGGGGGGGAGAAAUGAGAAAGGAAUGAAGUAUGAUAAGUUAAAGGCAGUAUGCUAAAUCUUUUUGGUAAUGCAAUUAGGUUGGUAAUCAGUUGUAGUUUUUGCUUUUUACCCUUUUUAUUCUAUUCUCCAUGGAUUUUGAGGAAAAAUUUUCAAAUUAAAAUAAGAGAAAUUGAACUGUUGCUUUUCACUUGACUUAGAGUAUGGAUUAUGCUUACUAAAGUGGUUCAAUUGUUGAAGCUUCUAUUGAAAUCAAAUUUAGUUCUUCCACUUUAAGCUAUUCACACACUGUGCACAAUAGGUUCCGAGUAUAAGAUGAAAAACUAUUUCCCUCUUGACUUAGGAAAAUUGUGGGACUUGGUACCUUUGACCUCAUUUGAUAAAGUUGAGACACCUUGUGAAAGGCCAAUGAGCUUUUGAAAUAAAGAAAGAAAGUGUUUGCUUGCCUUGAAACCCGAGCAAGGUCUGAGGGGUAUAUGGUGAAAAUCCUUAAAGCCUGGUGCCCUAAGCCUUAAUUGGUUGGGAGUCACCGACCUCAAUGCUCGUUACAAGGGUGGAUAGGUGGAGUUAGCAUAUGGUAGGUGCAUGGGUAUUAAAAAUUCAUUCUCAAAAGUCCGGGGAAAAAUCCGAGGAGUUAGUGGUUGAAAGAUCCUUAAAGCUUGAUGCCCUAAACCUUAAUUGGUUGGGAGUCAUCGAUGGACCCCCGUUAUAUGGACAAUUCAGAAAGAAUACCCCUUUAAGCCUCCUUAAAAAAAAAAAAAAAAAAAAAAAAGUGUGUUCUUUUCUUAUUGAUUUUGGUCAGUUUGCUAAGUGUUAAAGAGAGAUAGGUUGGGGGGGGGGGGGGGAGAUUAGUUUAGCAUAUUAUAUUCGGAAGCUAAGGAACCAAUACACAUAGAUUUUUGUGGAAUAAUAAAGUUUGGUUCUUUGGAAGUGGAAAUGAUUUUAAAACUUCAGUUUGUAUAAUGCAUUCCCUUGAUUGACAGUGUUUAGCAUAGCUUGUUAUAACUCUUGUUGAAAUUUGGGUUUGUAUUUCUUUGAUGUCUCAUGUGAGAAUUAGAUUAUCAUGCCAUUUGAAAAUUGUUUUUCAGCAUGAUGUUGUAAAUUAUAGUUUAGUUUGCUUGUUUUAUCUCUCCUUUAUUGCUAAGGGACUAGCAAUAUGUCGGUUGGGGGGAGUGAUUACUACUCAAAAAGUGCUCUUUGAUAGCUUGUAAUAAACUCUUUUAAACACUUUUGAGUAGUAGUUAUUGCCUUUUAACCCAAUUAACAUGUUAAGGACCCUUUAAAUCAAUUCUAAUCAAAUUGUGUUAAGUUUUGGUGUUUUGAUAGCCUUUUGAUCACCAAAGCAAUCUGAGAUUGAGGAGAGUUAUAUGGAAUCUUGGGCAAAGCAAUUGGAAGCUCAGAAACAUGAAGAACUAAAGCUUGGAAGUCCUUUGCCAUGAGUAAAUCAGGAAUGCAAGGAGAAGAAGUAAAGAGAAUCUGCCAUGAAGCAUAUUCUUGAUGACAGUCGUGUCAGCCACUUUUGGAGCACUUUCUGAAGUCCAAUUGAUGCAUGCUAUAUACCAUUUCAAAGCUCAGGAAGUCAACCAUCCAAUUCUUCAAACGGUGUGCAAGUCGGAGCUAAAACGAAGAAGUUACAGCCACUGCAAGUCAAUCACUCUAAGCUAAAGGAAGCAUUUUGCAAAGUGUUGCGAAAUCACCCUUUUGUUGCGAAAUGAUUUCGCAGCUUUUUUGAACAGUGUUGUGGAUUUCCUCCUGAAGUUGCCCAAUAUAUGCCGCACGUUGGAAGGUGAGAACCUCAAGAUGAAAGCCAACUUCGCAGCCCUGCGAGAAUAGCCUUUUGCUGCGAAAUGAUUUCGCAACCCUUUUUGUAUGUCUGCGAAAUCUCGCAGACAUCAUUUUCUCUUGCGAAAUGGUCCUUAGUGCUUCCCGAUAUUUGCUACCGACAUUGGGAGAUAUUUUCCAUCAGAUUAUUGUUGUCUAAAUCCCAAAAUUCUCCUUGUAAGCCACCAAUUACAAGAUUCCUUAGCUUUUAAGUUAGUAAAAAGAAUAAAUAUCCAUGUAAUAAUUAGUUUUGUAUUAUGUUCAUAUAUAUACUCCUCGAGAGCCUGUUCUCGAAGGAGAAGACCUUUUGUAAAGUUUUGGGGAAAGCAAGUAAAGUUCAAGUCCUUUGAUUAGCCUUACCUUCUCACUUUGUAUUUUUUAUUUCUUACUAAGUUAUGCACUCUCUGAGGAAUUUUCCCCAGAGAAUGAGUAACUAAACCUUUAGUUCCUUGGAGCUAAGGUUGCCGGGGAAGGUUCCAAGUGCAAGAAUGCAAAGCUUUGUGGUUUCAGCCAUUAAUGAAGAGGAAGUGAAAUCCUUUAGUGAUUUCUAUGUUUUUAGUUAACUUAAAACACCUUAGAGUCACCUGGGCCAACACUUGGUAAGGCAAGUGAUCUCCAACCAAGGAGAUGCACUAGUUUACCCCUUGCGAGCCUCUGGGAGGUGACUUUAAGGUAGGAUUUUCUGGAAUUGCCAACACUUGGUAAGCUUUUGGACUCCAAGGAGACAUCCAUUAGUUAUCUCUUGCGAGCUUGAGAAAGGAAGUCCAAGGUUAAAGAUCACCUUGAAUGGUUAAGGCUUAGUGAGAGGCUUGAACUAUUGCAAGUUGCAUCAGUGAGAGAAUUAAAGUUGAAAUCUAAUUAAAGGAUGUAUCUGUAUAACACCGGUUAGAGAAUUGACUAUAUGUUGAAUCUCUAACGCGAGGAAAUGAACCAUCUGACUGGAGCUAUGUCUUUUGCAUGAGGAACCACCCCAGUGAACUUGACCCUCCAAGGAAUGUUUUUCUUCCUAAGUUAUUCCCAUUACUUGUUUUGUAGUUAGUUUAAAUCUAAAUCUUUACCAAUUAAAGUUUGUGUUUUAUUUCUUAAGCUAACCUUGAAAUGAAACAAGACCAAUUCACUUUGAAUUGGUAUCAUUGAUAAUUUGCUAAUCCUUCCCAGUGAACGAUCCUAGAGCCGCUAUACUAUAGUAGCUUUUUCUUUGCUACCCUAGUAUAUGGUGUAAUAGGUUAAAAAUAUUGUUGAUUACUCCCUCAUCCAAGGAGCACCAGCUGGACACGAAUCAGCUGAGACACCAAUUGGGCAUGAAUAAAAAACCAUGCAAUUUAUAACACCUAUCUACUGUAUGCCCUGUGAGCCCACAAUGGGUGCAAAUUGGGCAUUCACGUCUAGGCUUUUUGUGAGAUGAUGCACUAGCUACAGAAGGAGUGGAGAAGAGGCAUUGAACACCAUGGAAUUCGAUGGAGCGGAGGACCUAGAUCCAAUAAACCGUUGGCAUUCUUCUUGAACAACAAGAUUGAAUACUUUCGCCACAAGAGGGAGCGGAUCAAGCAUUAGAAUUUGCCCUCUUGUGCUAGCAUAAGAUUCGUUCAAACCCAUUAAAAAUUGCAUCACAUACUCCUGCUAUUGAUAAUCCAUCUAAGUUUUCGUACCUCCACAAUGGCAGACGGGAACUGGUUGAUAGUUUUUGAGUUCAUCCUAGAGAAUCUUCAAUCGAGUAUAAUAGGUAUUAACAUCGAGCGAGCCUUGUGAAAGACCAUGUAGUCGUUGCUUGAUUUGGAAAAUUUGUGGAGCAUUGCUCUGAUGGAAGCGUUUGUGCAGAUCUGCCCAAAUAGCAUGGGCACUCUUGAGAUAGAGAAGACUAUCAACUAUCUCUUUUGAGACAGCAUUGAGGAGCCAAGAUGUGACCAUGUUGUUGCAUCGGGACCAGAUUCCGGUUGUAGGGUCAUCGGUCAUGGGCUACAAAAGAGUGCCAUCAAACAAAUCCGAGCUUAUUCUUUGCAUUGAGAGCCAUCAGCAUAGCCCAACUCCAUGUAUUAUAGCUUGAACCAGUGAGGAGAUGCGAAAUGAGCACCAAGCCUGGAUGAUCACCACUAUGUAAGAAAAAUGGGUUAUUAGUGUUCUCCAUGAGAGAUUGAUCUGAUUGUGUUAUCGUGCUACUAGAGGUAGGAAUGUCAGGGGCUAAAAUCUAUUAUCAUUGUUAUGCUAACCACCAUGAGCCAUUUCAGUGAGCGGCAGAGGUAAGAAGCUCUGAUAUCAUAUUACAAGGGAAAAUGGAGAGAAAAAUUGACAGAUUCUCCUUUCAUUGAUUGAAAAAAUGAGUUGUACAGAGAGCCCCAAAACAGAGUAGCAAAAAUGCUUUUUAUAAUAGAAGUCACGCAUAAGGAGCUGUAGAGCUCUACAAAGAAAAAACAACCUAACCAACUAUUGGUUAUAACAUAAAAAAUAAAAUAAAAUAAAAAACUAAAACUAAUAUGUUAAAAGAUGUUUCACUCCAAUAAUAGUUUACUUUAAUAUUUGAGUAUUGGAGGUAUCCUUGUCUCAAAAUCAUACCAAGUUGCCUCUACAAACUCAGAGAAUUGGAUAUUGAUAAUUGUGAGAAUAUGGAGCUGCUACCUCAUCAGCUGCAAAACCUCACUACUCUUACAUCACUUACUAUCUCUUAUUGUGAGAAUAUCAAGACGCCCCUAUCCCGAUGGGGCCUUGCCACACUUACCUCUCUUAAAAAACUCACCAUUGCUAGCAUAUUUCCACAAGUUUCAAAUGCUCAAAGACUACCGCGUCUUCCGAAAACCCUCACCUUUCUUUGCAUUAAAGAUUUCUAGAAUCUGAAAUCUUUGUCCUCACUGGCUCUCCAAACCCUCACCUCACUUGAAGAGUUAUGGAUCCUAUGUUGCCCUAAGCUUCAGUUGUUUUGCCCAAGGGAAGGGCUGCUUGCCACUCUUUCACUACUAUAUAUCACAGACUGCCCACUCCUCAAACAAAGGUGCUCAAAGGGGAAAGGACAAGAUUAGCCCAACAUCGCCCACAUUCCCUGUGUGGAAAUGGAUAAUGAAAAUGUCUUUGAGCAAUAAUAAGAUGAGGGAUUGCAGAACAUAGAAGCAAACACCAUUCAACCCUCACCCAUCUUUUAUUUAAAUAAGGUACGCCUGUUCUUUCUUUUUCACUCCUUAAUACUGCAUUCAAUUUCUCAUAUACGUUAUAGCAGUUUCCCCUAUUAAUUACUUGUAAGUUUCUUACUGGAAUUUUUGUUGAAAAUUUGCCUAGGAAGUGACUUUUGAAAUGGCUUGUAGCUUGGUUUUCUCUUCAAUCUGCCAUAAUUCGAGGUAUCACUGUCUCUGCUUCUCCAAUUCUAUUUAUGAAAUCUUGUCCAUAAUCUCCAUGGGGUACUCAUUUUUCCUUUUUCCUUUGUUCUUUUUAGUUCUCAGUGACCAUUGAAGUUGAAGAGGUGAUAUGUGAUUCUUACGACUAUAAAAAGGAUAAGAGAUAAUCCAUUUAUUCCAUUCAAGGACAGGUGAAACAUUUAGCAAUAGCCACUAGUUAGUAAUGUCUUAUUCUAAUUUUUAUUCCAUCAAUUGUACUAUUCAAUUGCAUUUUUAAAUAUAAUAUUCUAAUUUCUAGAAUAUUGUUCAGGCUGACAUACAGAGGAGGCUAUACUAGAAGCAAAUGUAGUUUAUUAAUAUUCAAUUAUUGUGGUAAUUAGAUAGCCUUAUCAAUUCCUUUGUGCUGCCAUGAUUUUUUUAGUUCAACUUAUUAGAUGUCAUCAUAACUACUAUACAAUGUCUUGUCAUCUUGUUAUCAAAUUUUUACAUUUGUGAUGCAGGUUCUCAAAAAGGAUGGAACUCUGAUGAUUAUAUCAAAGACUUCAAAGUAUGGAAUGAAUGCAGCUAGUUCCGGUUGUCCCAUGUUGCUUUUUUUUUUUCUUUUUCUUUUUUUCUUUUUUUGUUUUUGAGUGUCAACAUGGGACAAAGAAUAACCCAGCAAGACUAUAGUGAGUGACCGUUAUCUAUAUAUUUUGUUUAUUUAUUUUUCUAUUUUAAUGACUAAUUUUCUUGAAUUUUCUUCUUGUCCACUGGAUGUUCAUUCCCAACAUGCAGUUCUUCCUCUUUCUCUCCUUAAUACCACUUUUUAUUUCCCAUACACAUGUUAUUUCAAUUAGUUGCCAUUUAGCUUGGCUACCUCUUAACAGUAAUAAUAAGUCUUAUAGUUUUUAUGUACCAAAUUGUUUACAUUGAUGAUGCAGGUGUCAAAAGGAUGGGUUCAAAGUAUCAUAGGAGGUACAUGUGGUCUUUUUAUUGUGUUGACUGAUUGGAAUUUUCCUCCUAUAUCAAAGGCUUGUUGGCACUUUAUUACCAUUUUUUAGUAUGACAAAAAGAGGAUAAAAUACAAUCUAGCAAAAUUGUGGUCCAUGACUUUCAUUUAUAUAGUUGAUUUUAUAUAUUAUUGUGUUCUAAAGACUAUCUUUGUAAAAUUUUAUUCCUUUUAUGACUUAUGAUGGAUUCUACAAUGCUUUAUAAAGGUCCUUUGAAUGAAUAUUUCAUCUGCAUCUUUAAUAAAUAAGAACCUUUUUUCUUUCCCUCCUAGGGAAGCUGCUCAUAAGGUUGUAUGAUCUUUAUAUAUCCUUCGAAAUUUGAGGACCAUCCAGUGCAUGAAACUCGUCUUUCACAAGAAACAAAGUGGUCUUUUCUUUGUGACUGUGAUAGCCCAAAACUACGUAAUGGAAUUAUGACAUAGCAACAACAGCAACUUGUAUUUGUUCUAAUGUAUCUAACUUGUUUCCAAAAUGUGAGCUACCAUCAUAUUUACAUACGCCUAGUAGUACAGAUUUGAGCAAAAAUAAAAUGGUUUUGCGUCCAAUUUCUAAAGUUUUUAAUUUGAUGAAACCAUAUCUCUUCUUUUAGAGUUUGUAGGCUUUAAAGGUGCAUGUCCUAGGUGCCAGAGUAUAAGUAUUUUUCUUCUUAUUGAAGGGAAUUUGGGUUUUACAUUUAGAGGCUCCAAGUCUAUAGUGAUUGUGGCAAAUGCCUAUUGCACUUGUUAUUUUUGUUUCUAUUGUUGAUGUUGAGGGUGUAGAAAGGGGAUAAACAAAAGCAUAACAAGAUCAUGGUGUGUUACAAUUUUAUUGGUCUUUUUAGAUUCGUAUUUUUACUGACUUUUUUUUUUUUCUAAAUUUUCUAUGUUUAUGACUUGAGGUGUUCCCUAAACACUUGCUACAGAGAGGAUUUUGGCACCAGAAUUAUCCUUGGACAUUGCUUAGUUCACCUGUCUUCCAUAGAUAUGAACCUAUUUUUGUGCCAUUUUGAAGAAGCUACUAGUAAGACUGAAUAGUCACACAUCUCUUGGAGAGUUGAGAAUCACACAUUUCUUUAGGUCUUUCUGAGGAUUGGUUUGUCAUCCAUGCUAUGAAGUCUUAUGCUCAGUUGUUGUGAUGGUUUGAAAUUACUCUCUGAUGAAACUAUGACCUAUAUAAACAACUGCUUGCAUUUGUUUUACACAGAUGAAUUGCUUGUCUUUUUGCAUUAUUUUGCAGAAAGGAUUUUUAUGAGCACUACUAUUUUUUUUUUCAUAUCCUUUUAUAUUGAUGCAUUUCCUAUUACUCCUUUUAGGUGGAUGCACAAUGCUGAUCAACUCUCCUCCUUUUGGAUGUCUUUCUAACCAUUGUUAGGAUUCAUUAAAAAUAACCUUUAUCAAACCUACAGAUUUUUUCAAGUCAGUUAUAACCAAUGUUUUAAAAACCGGACCGGUGAUCGAACCGGAAAAGUUACCGGUUCACGGUUCACUGGUCGGACCGGCGGUCGAACCGCUAUUGAACCGGUGAUGUAAUAAAAAAUUAAAAAUAUAUAAAAUUACAAAUUUUAAUAAUGUUUGAUUUUUAUAUUUGGUAUAUUAAAUUAAAUUAAAUGAUAAAGUUUAAUAUUUUAAAUUUGAUUAAAUAGAAAUAUGUAAUAUUUAAGAAAGAAUAUAUAUUUAAGAUAAAAAAAUUUAUAAUAUUUAAUUUUAUCUUUUUGUCUUUGUAUUUUAUUGUUUUAAAAUUAUUAUAUUAAUUAAUUUAUAUUAUUUUUUAUAAUUAUUAUUAUAAAAAUAAACAUGAAUUUAAAUAUUUACAUUUUUUUUAAAAGAUUUUAUAGGAUAAAAAUUUGAAAUAAAAUCAAAUUUCGUGCGUCCAACCCUCAAGAGGCAAUGUUUUCCUCUAAUGAGUCUCAUUCCCAAUCCCACAUUGGAAGCACAUGAAUUUUAUGUGCUCCAUGUGCUCUAUAAAUAGCUUCCCACUUGCCUUCUAUCCCAACUAGCCAGCAAGCUGGGCCUGGAAGCAUGGCCCAAGUUGAAGUGUUAUUUUAAAAUAAAAAAUGGCAGCAAAUUGGGCUUCUGUGGGGCAUGGCCCAUAUAAAGUGUUAAUUUUAUCUUUGGAUAAGGUCUAGGGACCUGGAAAAAGGAAGACCUUAGAUUGGGCCUGGAAUGGGCCUUUUACAUGGUAAACAAAAAAUUGUUUCUAAGGUGUAACCGGUUUGCAGAAAAUUGGACGAUUUGUCCGGUUCGACGGUUCAACCGUCGGUUUGACCGGUUCAAUGCCGGUUCGACCACAAACGGUUCAUUGAAACGGACCGAACCGGAAAGUUCACUGGUCGACAGUUCAACCGGUUGGACCGGCCGGUCCGGUCCUGUUUUUAAAACCAUGGUUAUAACUUGUACAAACCUUAUGUAACUCGAAACACUUUAUUUUUAAAACAAUCCAUGACUACUGGCAACUUACAUGUUUUUCACUACAUUUUUUUUCAAUGAGGAAAUGAGGCAUUUUUCUUUAGUAGUAUAUUGUGAUUCACAAAGUAUAAACUCUUGCAGAUUGAAAGAAAGACAAUUUACAUAUCAUUCAACAGUAAUCAGUAAGCACUUUUAUAUGUUUAUAGCUUCUUUUUAUAUGGUUUAUCUUUUAUGGCAUUUACUCUUUUGUUAUUCACAUAAAAAAAAACACUUGAUUUACCCUUCAAAUAUAAAAUUCAGUUAUGCAGGAAGGACAUAAAUUGAUUAUGAUAAGAUGGGAAAUGUGUUUCAGGACAACUUUGUGUUCUUGCAUUAUAAGGUUUAGUAAUUUUGUGUAGUUCUACAAUAAACAACAUUCUAUUGACUUUGGAUUUGGAAUUUAACUCUAAUGAGCAUUUACUUAUUUUUCAUACAUUUUUCAAGAAUCCGGUUAAUGAGAUUUUCCUUACAAAAAACUAGAGGUUUGUUAACUCUCCUAUAAUCAGAGCCUAGUUCUCUUGCAUAAAUUUCAAGCAAAUUUAUAACCCUCUUCUUUGACAGUCUUUUAUAUUGGAAUUAAACAUCUUGGUGUCUUUGAAUUAUUUAAAUAUUGGAAGCCAAUUAAGGAGUCAUGCAAUGGCAUAUUGUGAAACUUGAUACACAUAAAAAUAAGAUCUAUUAUGUUAUUUUUCUCGCUAAAGAACCAAAACAUAUGCUUUUGAUUUUGAAUGUUUCAGACUUCAUGUCUUCUCUUUCAUUUAUGAUAUUGUCGUUGGUGAAUUGGGAAUGUUGUUAAGAAUUUUGGAGCUUGACCAUCUGGCCUUUUCCAAUUCCUUAGAGAUUGGUAAUAAUCCAACGAUCAAUUGUUUUCCCAAAGUGGCUUACGCUAGCAUUAGCAGAUGUGAAAUUAUCAGUGACCGUUCAUUGUAAAGAAAUCUUGUUAUUAUGGCAGGAUAAUAGACUGUAAUUCAGUCACAAAAUUUUGGGACUUCGACAUCAACACCUUUUUAGGACUCAGAUUUCUAAAUGGAAUGAUGCAAGGCAUCAACACAUUCAUAGAAUUCUUUAAGAAUUCUAAAUAUGAUCUUGGUAUCUUAAUGACAGGCCAACUUUCUUUAAUGUUGCUAAAUAUACUAGAUGGGAAUCCACCCAUGGACAAGAAAUGUAUGUUGCUCUAUCCUCACCUCUCACUGUCUCACUCCCUAUUGCCUCAAGUUGCAUUACCUGCCAUAAUUAAACACCUCUUUUAUCAUUGUGACAAAACAAGUUUUGCCAAAACGAUAUGAGAUUCCCUUUGAUUUCAAGUUAUGCAAGAUCUAUAAGAGCUCAAUUGUUUUGAAAACAUGAUUCAUAAAUACUAUGCUAACAUUCAGUUCAUGAAUACCAUGUACCAGAAGAAGGCUCUAAGAAAUUUAUGUCAUUUACUUUCAGGAUUCUAUCUUCAACUCUAGUUCAUGCUCAAUUGUUUUAUUAACUACAGUUUCUUUGAAUGAACAUGUCGAAGUACAAGUACUAAACUAGUUCAUUUCCAGUCAAAUUACUAUCCCUAAUUUACAGAGUAUAAACCCUUGCAAAUUAAAAUAAAGAAAAUUUACAUAUCAUUCAAUAGUGAUCUGUAAGCACUCUUAUGUGUCUACAUCUUCCUCAUUUGGAUUUGGAAUUUAACUUCUGAUAAGCGUUUACUUGUUUUUAAUUUUUUUUUAGGAAUCCAGUUAAUGAGAUUUUUCCAACCAAAAAUAGGGGUUUGUUAGCCCUCCUACCCUCAUGCUGGUUCUCUUACAUAUGCUUGAAGAAUAUUGGAAGCCAAUUAAUUAGUCAUUGCAGUUUCAUAGUCUUACAAGAAAUCUUGUUAUCGUGGCAGGAAAACAGACUGCAACAUAGUCUCAUUUCCCUUCAUGAUUUAGACAUUGUGAAGAUUAAAAACUUGUUACCUGAUAAUAGAAGAAGAAAAGCAGCCAAAGAACAUCAACAAAAUGUAUUGGCACCUUGUGGACUUGAAUUGAUGGUAUUCAGGUGGCAUAAAUAUACAAAAAUACACUUAACAAACUACUAAUCAGCAGGCCAAGAUUCUACUUCCAAGAGACAGGGUUGUCAUCCAUGUCAAGAAGGCCCAAACUUUAUUGUUGUGGAACUUUGGCAUCAACAAAUCUCUGGAAUUAUUUCAGGUUUCUAAAUGGAAUGGUUCAAGUCAUCAACACAUUCCCAUAAUUCUUUUGUAAAUGUCAUCAUCAUGGCUAGCUUUCUUUAGUCCAUAUGUACUAGAUGGACAAUAACCACAGCACUUGUAUUAGAAACAUGUCUGUUGCCUGGAUUUGCAUUACCUGCCAUAAUUAAGAACCUUUUUAUUAUUGUAGUAGAGUGUUUCAGAGUCACCCAUACCUAGUCUAUCUCCAUGUCUCUCAAACAGCUAGGCCCAUUGGUAGCAAAAGAAGAGCAACUUGAAUAGUUGGUCAUUUCCUUUUCAGGAAUUAAUUGUACCGCAUUCCUAUACAUAGUGACUUUACCCUUUCUCUUCUUUGUUUUUUUCAAUCUAAAUUGGAGUGGUGUGACUGUGUCACUAUUGCCAAAUUUAAAUGUUAAUGUCAUAGAAUGCAUUAAUAGUUUUCUAUUAGAAUAAUAGAAUGCAAUUCGACUAGAUACUAGACAUAAGUAAGCGUAGAAUAUAGAGCAAAUGAUAAAUGAAAUGAGGGAAACAAAUGAUUCUAAGAAGGGUUAUUCAUCUUCCUAGUCUUCUACAUAAGAAAGGAAUUUUCUACAUCCCUUUCUUGUGUAUAAAUAAUAAUGAUCCUCAACACCUUUGUCAAAAAUUCCUAUUCUUAGCUUAGAUUUUUUUCUAGGUUUAUCAUAAUUUUAUAUUUAUUAUGUAUAAGAAGUAGUGGACAAACAAAAAAAAAAAAAAGGAAAUUUAUUGAACAAAUAGAACUUCUUCAAUGAAGUUAUAAAAAAAAAUUUCAACUUUGAUUAGAUACUAAAAUAAAUAAAGUAAGAAUCUAUUAGUAUAGAAAGGAUUUGUAUGAUAUCCGAUAUAGGGAAAUAUAUAUAUAUAUUAUACUGUGUCAUCACAAAAAUUGAGUGAUUCCUUAUUUCUUCUAACUUUGAAAGGAUCGAUAGAUACUAUCAAGGAGCAAAUGUUCUCAAUCAAUCAAUCAAGUUCGUUUUUCAAAAACAUCAUCAGAAAAAACAAUGAAAUGGAGUUUUUUUAAACAUUGUAAAAGAAGAUUUGUUUUAUCUGGCAUUUAUACGAAUAAAAUCUUAUGAUUAUUAAGAACUCAAUAGGACCUUCCCUCUCGAAUCAGAGCCAAAGAGGGGGUGGGUCCCAUUGAGUUCUUACGUUUUCAUGUCGACAACUCAAUUCAUCCAAUUACUAUAGGGAACCAUAAAAGAAAAAGCCUAUUAAACCAAUCACAGGAAUUUCAGUUAUAGUACCUAUUAGCCAAAGAGGAAUCCUUCCAGUAGUAUCGGCCAUUUACCCCACUUUCCUCCACAUUUCAUCAAGUGGUCAUACUAAAGACAUAAAUAGUCAUGGAUAAUUAUGAAAUGAGAUCCUUUCGAAUAAGAUAAGAGAAUUCUUACUAUUAUUAUUUAUUUUAUUAGUCUCUUUCGUUCUCUUAAUUCUUAAUUGAAAAAAUAAUUGGAAAAUAAAACAACAAGUACAAAAAUGAGUAAUAACCCCCAGCAAAGACCGGUACGAUUCAAUUCAACAUUUUGUUCGUUCGGGUUUAAUUGUGUCAUAGCUCUAUAAUUUGGAUUAGGUUUAUUGUUCGAUGAACUGCAUUGUUGAUAUUGACCCUAAAAAAGAAACGGUAGGUAUAGCUAGUCCGUGAACAGCCAAUCAUCGCACUGUAAAAAUUGGAUAGGUUCGAUCUAUGGUCAUUGGGGCCUCCUAAAAAGAUCUACUAAAUUCAUCGAAUUGUUCCAAAGGACCAAAAUGACUGGUUAUUAAUGGAAUUCCUUGUUGGCUCUCUAUAAAAUACUCGUUCGACUGAGGACUUCCAAACACAUCGUAAGCUAAACCUGUGCUGAUGAAUAACCAACCUGCAAUGAAUAGGGGAGGUAUAGUAAUGCUAUGAAUGACCCAGUAUCUAAUACUGGUAAUAAUACAGACUACCCAUUUCAAUUGUUGUGCUUUCUUAAAUUGCAUACCUAUACAAGGGUUCAAGUUUCGAUUGAUAUUUGGGGAGUUGAUCAUCCCUCUCGAAAACGAAGAUUUGAAGUGGUCUAUAAUUUAUUGAGUACUCAAUAUAACUCACGCAUUCGUGUACAAACCAGUGCAGAUGAAGUAACACGAAUAUCUUCGGUAGUAAGUCUAUUUCCAUCAUCCGUCCGGUGGGAGCGAGAAGUUUGGGAUAUGUUUGGUGUUUCUUCCAUCAAUCAUCUGGAUCUACACCGUUUAUCAACAGAUUAUGGUUUCGAGGGUCAUCCAUUACGAAAAGACCUUCCUCUGAGUGGAUAUGUGGAAGUACGCUAUGAUGAUCUAGAGAAACGUGUGGUUUCUGAACCCAUUGAGAUGACCCAAGAAUUUCGUUAUUUCGAUUCUGCUAGUCCUUGGGAACAGCGUAGCGACGGAUAAUUAAGAAUUUAAAUAGGUCCAGUCCAGGGGACAAAGAAAUAGGAAAUGUUAUUUGCUUCGUCAGAAUAAGUUCUAUGAAAUGAAAGAGUUUCAUGGGAAUUGUCUUGAUCGUUAGAUAUCAUUGAGAAAUAGUUAUCGAACAAUUUCCUGUAAUUCUUCCCAGUAUGGAAUGAGUAAAGAAUCAAGCUGUAAGUCUCGAUCUAUAUGAAACGCACUGGGUUUUUUUUUUGUCUUUCUUUAGGUUUCAUUGAUAGUGGAAGAGCCUUGUCUUACUCUAUAGGGGUGCUAGCACUUUACUUUAUAUUAAAAGUAAAGGGGCCUAAAAAAACGUAAUAGGCUGCUACUCUAGGCUCGCUUCGCUUCUUCAAGCUCCGCCCCUUAUUUCAAACUAAAGCACUAACGCGCCUUCUAUUAUUUAGUAAAGCAACCUUUAGCGCUAGGCACUCCUUUUUUUUUCUGGGUGGAAGCUAGCGAUAGGGCUGCAGAACAUGCAAGGCGAUAGAUUCUAUGAGACUCUUCUUGAAUGGGAACCUGUGAAGGAAAACCGUGAAGCUCCGCCGCUAUCGGAGAACCCUCAACCAUCAACCUCUCCAAAGAAAUGGCAACUCUUAAGAUCUACGACCACCAUCUCCUCUUCUUCAAAAAACAACGAAGGUAUCCAAGAUCAGAUGACAAAUUCGAUCGACGUUCCUAAUCAGCAACACGAGGACUUUCUUCAGAUUGAAGGAGAGGAAUGUGCUUCUAGACAUGCCAAGCUCCACAUAUUCUUGUACAGUCAAAGGACGAUCGAUUUCGUAAAAAAUGAGAUCAAUAAAUAGAAAUUCACUGAAAAUGGAUAUUUGUGAGAUCGUCAAUAUUGUACCGAGGAUGUCUUUAGAGUAUACUCAAUCAGUAUAGCUAUCCUUCUUCUACCAUAGCAACACAAUUUCAAAAACUACAGCAUUUGAAUAGCUUGUAUUCAGGUGGACAAGAACUACAACACUUCUCUUAAAAAACAUGUAUGUUCUUUCUUCAACUCUUACUCUAUUGCCUAGAGUUGCAAUACCUGCCAUGAUUAGUCAUCUCUUAUUUAUUCUCAUGGAGAAACAGGUUUUGGUGUAUGCAAAGACAAUAUACAAUUGUCGCACCUCUUGAUUUUUAAUCGUGUCAAACAUUUGGAAUUGUCAAGCUGAUUUAUGGCUAACCUUGCAAGGACAUCUAGUGCAAGAGAUUCAGAAUUAUACCUAUCGAAUCCAUCUCCAUUUCUUUAGAACAACUAGAUACUAUGGCUGAAAUCUCAUGUAAGGUGUCAGGUUCAUGUUGGGGCUCAUUCACGAGAUUAAAAUGAAUAUAGCAAGAGAUGUUCUUGAUCUACCACCACCCAUGUUGUCAAGUUGUUUAAUGCUCUCGUGUUGACCAUGGCCACAGUCACAGUUGUGUGUCCUUUCUCGAAAGAAAUAAUCAUUUUGAAACUUUUGUCAACAACAUAACUUUCAUGUAUCUACUUUCAAGUACCCACAAAAAAUUGAGUCCAGCUUAGCAUUUAAUAAAGAAAAAGUAAUAAUCUGAACAAGGGAACAAAUGUUUUCCUUACUCUUUUUCAGUAGGAACCUAGUUUAUUUCUAAAAAAUUGAAGAAAAAACUAAUUCUAAACAUGGAAGCCAGGUACUUGAUUUCUGUUUAACUAGUGGAACAAUUCGAACGUAUUUAUAGCUUUAGCAUUAGAAAAGUUUAACAAAAUCACUAAUUAACCCCCAAACCCCCACCCACCAUAGAGAUAUGUUACAAAGAUUCCUCUACUCUGCAUUGAAACAAAGUGUAAGGGGUUUUUUCCUUUCUUCAUCGUCAAAUGAAACAGCCAUUUUCAAUAAAAUAAUAUGAGAAAUUGAGAGUUAAAACCAUUUUAUUUCAUUGUACUCUCUAUUCCUCUGCUUCUUCCUAUCUUAGUCAAGCCAAAUAGUCUGUGGUUUCUCCGUUUCUUCUUCACUCCACAUCAAAAAGUAGCAUCUUGGGUUCUCCCAUCUCUCUAUCCCCUUGUCAAAACACGUAAUUUAAUGUAUUGUUGUCUUGGAUUCCUCCUAGUUAAAAGGAAGCUUGAAAUAUCUCCACUGCUUCUAUGUUUCUUUGAGUCAAGGGAUAGAGUCUUGCUUUUCUUUGUUUAUUUGAGAUGCUAGAAGAGGUUUGUAUAGAACUAAUGUGAUGUCAGAGAGGUAGGUAGUAUCUGAAUUCCCUCUAGUCAUGCAAAGUAGCCUUAGAGAUUUUUGGAGGCUUGGGUAUUAUAGUAUAUUAAGAUAUUCAAAAUGCAUUAUUGCACAUCUUCUUGACUUGUAACUGAACUUGUUUUUCACAAUCAUAAAUAUGGAGGUAUUUAAUUAUGGCAGGUGAUAUACCUCUUAGAAAUUGAUGUGAAAAGGUGGAGAUUAAGGGAUGUGCACUUGGUUUUGCGAAUCAAACAACCCUCAUUUAGUAUAAACCACAAAUUUUGGCAACUCAUGAUCCACAAUUUAGAGCAUGGGAGGAAGCAAGCCUGUUGGAAAGAUAGGAGGAGACAGUUAAAAACAUGCGAGAAUUCCAUGGAUGAGUUGCUCUUAUGAAUUAUUCAGAAUCCAUGAGAAAAUUCAAAGCUUUUUUUUUUUUUUUUUUCCUUUACAUAGUUAAUGAUCUUGUUUGAUGUUGGCCCUAUAGUUGGUCUACUGAUGGUAGGCUUCCUUUGAGUGGAAGCAAGGACUCUACACUAAAGGUAAAUUGUGGGAACUAUGUCUUUUUGUGGUAUUGAUGGGGUUAUCAUAUAGUUGAUUGAUUCUAUUGCUUCCUUAUAGCUUUUCAAGGCUCUAAAAAAGAAAAGAACAAAGGUAGACCUAGGAAAAAUAUUCUUCCUAAUUUCAGUUACUCUUUCUAUAUGAACUCUUUAUUUUGGUAAAUUACAGUUAGAGAUGAUCAUGUAGUUGAACUAGGUUUGCUUCCUCUCCUUUCCCUCUCCUUCCCCCUUGAGGAAAAUUUUUAUCAUUGCUUAGUUUUGACUACUCUAUUUCUUUUGAUCAUUAUGGAAGAGCAUCACUAUAAGAUGUGCAAGAAACGUGUUGUGGUGCAUUAUUCCUUUCUCUACCACCCAAAAUCUACUUUCCACAAUCAUAAAUAUCAAAUUGUUUAAGCAUUAGGUAAGACAUCUCUUGAUUACUACUCAAAAAGUGCUAUUUGAUAGCUUGUAAUUAACUCUUUUAAAAACUUUUGAGUAGUAGUUAUUGCCUAUUAACCCAAUUAACAUGUUAAGGACCCUUGCAAUCAAUUCUAAUCAAAUUGUGUUAAGUUUUGGUGUUUUGAUAGCUUUUUGAUCACCAAAGCAAUCUAAGAAUGAGGGAGAGCUGUAUAUAGUUCAUGGCAAAGCUUUUGGAAGCUCAAAUUCAUGAAGAACCAAGCUUUGGAGCCUCACAGUCCUUUGCCUUAGUCGUUCAAAGUAUGCAAGGAAAGAACAAUAGAGAGAGGAAAAACAAAGUGAAGAAAAUAGAGGACAGCAGCUACAGUCUUCUUUCAUACUUUUGGAGUACUUCCCAAAGUCCAUUUUCUACAUGCUAUAUACCAUUUCAAAGCUCAGGAAGUCAAAAAUCCAAUGCUUCAAACGGUGCGCAAUUUGGAGUUGAAAUGAAGGAGUUACAGCCAUUGCAAGCCGAUCACUCCAAGCUGAAGGAAGAAUUUUGCACAGCACUGCGAAAUCACCCUUUUGUUGCGAGAUGAUUUCGCAGCCUUUUUGUACAGUGCUGUGUUUCCCCCCUGAAUUUUCCCGUCACGAUGGAAGCCGAAUACCACAAGUUGAAAGACCACUUCGCAGCGUUGCGAAAUUAGCCUUUUGCUGCGAAGUGAUUUCGCAGCCCUUUUUGUGUGUCUACGAAAUCUCGCAGACCUCGUUUUCACCUGCGAAAUGGUCCUUAGUGCUUCCCGAUAUUUGUGCACCGACUCUUUUAGAUCUUUUCUUCAGAUAUUUUUGUAUAAAUUUCCAUUCUUCUCCUUGUAAUCCACCAACCAUAAGAUUUCUUAGUUAGGAAUGUUGGAAAAACAUCUCUAUAUAUAUUCCCUUGCAUCCAUUGUAAAAAGGAUCGAUCAAUAUAUAGAUAUAUCAUAUAUAGAAUCAAAGAACAGAGCACUUGCUCUGUUUUUCUUGUUUUCUCGUUAGUUUUCUUUCUAGCCAACCAAACUUUGAGGAUUUUUCCUCAGAGGAUGAGAGGCUAAGCUCUUUGUCUCUUGGAGUGAAGAAAGCCGGGUAAGUUUCCACAUGCAUAAAUUGGAAGUUUUGUUGUUUUAGUUUUUAAUGAAGAGAAAGUGUGACCCGUUAAUGGUUUUUAUCUUUUUAGUUAACUUAAAACGCCUUUAAAUCACUUGGGCCAACACUUGGUAAGGCAAGUGAUCUCUGUCCAUGGAGAUGCACUAGUUUACCCCUUGCGAGCCUUUGGGAGGUGGUUUGAAGGUAGGAUUUUCUAGAAUAGCCAACACUUGGUAAGCUUUUGGACUCUAAGGAGACAUCCAUUAGUUAUCUCUUGCGAGCUUUUGACGGGUAAUCCAAGGUUAAAGAUCACCUUGAAUGGCAAGUGUUAGGUGAGAGGUAUGAGUCAUUGCAAGGUGCAUCAAUGAGAGGGAUUUAGUGUUUGAACCCAUUAAUGGGAAGCAUCUGUAUAACACCGGUUGGAGAAGGAACUAUAUGUUAAUUCUCUAAUGCGAGGAAAAGAAACAAGUGACCGGAACUCCCUUUUUGUAUGAGGAAUCUGAGCCUAGUGAUCUGAAACUCCAAGAAACAACUUUUCUUUGUAAGUAAAAUCAGUUACUAUUUUUGGUUAGUUUAAAACCGAACCUUUUUCAUUCGAACAUCUUUAUGUUUUCUUUUAAAGCUAACCUUGAAAUGAAAAGGCACCAAUUCAGCUUUGAAUUAAUAUCAUUUGCAAAGUGAAAACCCAUCCCAGUGAACGAUCCUAGAGCCACUAUGCUAUAGUAGCUUUGUCUUUGCUACCCUAGUAUAUGGUGUAAUAGGUUAUAAAUUUUGUUGAUUACUCCCUCAAUCAAGGAGCACCAGCUGGACACGAAUCAGCUGAGACACCAAUUGGGCACGAAUCAAAUGGCGUCGUUGCCGAGGAUCGAACCCUGAAUCAAAUGGUGUCAUUGCCACUGCCGCUGUUAGGGACGAAUCAUCUCUUGAUAAUGAUGUGAGAGAUAUAGACAAGUAAUGUUACUAAAUAACAAGAAUAUGCAUAAAAAAAAAACAAGAAUACACAUAUUUAUGUGGAAAACCUUAGAUGGGAAAAACCAUGGGUAGAGGAGAAGAAAAUUCACUAUAUUAAAAAAUUGAUACAAAAUGGGAGAGAUGCGAGCGACUACUUUAUAAGCAUAGACAUCAUAGUCCUAAUCUUAUACAUAAUUGCAAAUAUAUAUAUAUAUAUAUAUAUAUAUAUAUGUGUGUGUGUGUGUGUGUGUGUGUGUGUGUGUGUGUGUGUGUGUGUGUGUGUGUGUGUGUGUGUGUGUGUGUGUGUGUGUGGGAGAGUAAUAAACAUCAUAACCCUAAAUUCUAUUAGCCCGAUCCCUCCGCUACCACCACAGACUCUCCAAAAAUCUCACAAAUUUUUCUUCACCACAUAUGUCGCAUCACGAGCUUUUUGGGUAAAACUAAAUAGAAUUCGAGUUACCAAACUCUAACAAACAACAUACCAGUAUUCACAAGAAGUGAUGUUAUGCUUUUUCACUUUACAAUAUUCAUUUAGUUUGAACUCCAGAUUCAGGCAACUCAAAAUCUCCGCCCUCAUUAGGAUUGUAGGAAGCUAGCUUCUUGGAAAGACAUGAAAAUGGGGCAUUUAUAAAUAUGGAAGAAUCGCAAAGGCCUGUUGCUACUUUUGAAUCAUUCCAAUCAAUAACAACUCCAAAGAUAUAUACAAAUUUGUCCCUGGGAAAGAGAUGUUUCCUGGGCAUCUAACCAUCUCUUUAAUAUACUCAGGGUUGUGCACCCUCUUGGUGAUUUUUAUAUAUUGUAGUGAACCUAUCACACCCCAAACCCACUCCAAGGGCAUUACGGUCAUUUCACACCUCAAGCCCAAAGGUUCAAAAUGGAAACAAUACAAACAUUCGUAUUGUAACUGAAAAUUUCCCAAUUACCAAAUUCCUAUUCAGAGUAGUAGGACAAAAUUCUAAAACCUCUAAGUAUCAACUUUUUUUUUUUUUUUUUAAAAAAAAAGAACUAAUAUAUCAACCAAAGUGUUAUUGUCCAAAUAACUCCAAACUUAAAAUAAUUCAAAUGAGAAUUAAAUUUUUAACAUUUAAACAAUGUCCAAAAUAAAAAGAGUUUAAACAAAUAUCCUAUUAAAGCCAAAUUUCCCUCCUAACGAUCACUCAUCGCUCGAACUGAGGUUACAUGAAAGAUUAUCAACAAAGGGGGAUGAGCUCAAAACCUAAUAAGAAACAUUAAUAUAGUUUCAUGGAUCAAACAUUUUCAAUCAUCCUUGCAAAUAGGAGAUAUAACAUAUACUUAUUUUCAUAAAAAAAAAAAUUUUGAGUUCAAAAUGUUAAUACAUUCAAACUUUUCAACAAAACUUUCUCAUAUUCAUUUCAAAACCAAAUCAAAUACAUUCAAAAUAUCUUUACUCAAGUUAUCAAAUGACAAAUGGUACCCAAUUAGGUGGUACUUCACAAUUGAGCAACUAGUUUCAAAUUUGUUCCAUUUAAGGUGAACGAAACCAAAUGUCAACAAUUACAACUUGUUGACUAGGGUCAUAUAAUCCAAAGUCAAACACUUUAUUUCAUUAAUUCAAACUUACAAAACAAAAUAUCGUAUCUCCUCAAUAUUACUGUUGUUACUGUUGCUCCUCUUCAGCAUCAGCAAGUACAAAUUUGAAGCAGGACAGUGUGUCCUUAUGCUUCAUAAACUCCUCUUGAACCAUACAUCUCUACGAAAACAAAAUACCCUAACUUCAUCAAAAGAUUGUCAACAAUAUUACUGAAUGAAAUUUGUUCAGCCAUCUUUCAAAGGUCUAAGGGAAAAUGAAAGGAGUUUUAGCAACAGAAAAAAUGAGAAAAGCCAAGUGAGGACUGAAGGGUCUGAAUAAACUUGGGUGUGUUUGCUCUGUUCAAUUCAAGUGGGAUUAAUUACUUGACCCUCAUGAUUGACCUACCCACCAUAUUUUUCAUUUUUUUUUCUUAUUAAAAUUUUCAGACAAAUAAAAUUACUUGAAAAUUAUUGGAUAUUACUUAUUAUUUAAAAAUUAAAAUAAAAAUUGCUAACCUUCUUGUAAUAUAAUUAGUAAACAUAUUUUCAUUUUAUAAGCUAUAAUCAAACUGGUUUAUAUAUCCUAUUUUUAAAAAUAACAAAGACAGAAAAUUGUCCAUUGAGCACCUAAAUAUUUUAAACUCAUUAUAAUGAAAAAAAAAUGUCCAAAAUAUUUAUUAAAAAAACUAGUUUAAUUUUAUAAUCAUUUUUCAACCCAUAAAUUAUCCAAAAAUAAACUAAAAUCUUUAUCAAGGUUUUUCUAAGUAGAAUUUAAAAAAUGAGAAAUUAAUAUUUGAAACUCCUAAAAAUCAUUAAAUUAAAAUUUAAAAAAAUAAAAUUUGUUUGAUUGUAUUAGAAUCGACAAUAGAAAUGCAAACAUGAGUUUAUAGCUCUUAACAGAUUAGAUUAUGAAACUAAAUGUAUUUUAGAUAGUGGAGUUAGUUCAUACAACAGAAAGGAUGAGGUAUCCAAGAUGUCAAAUAAGGUUGGGGUUGAAGGAAGUGAAGGGAAAUUACCAUAGAUGUGAAAUCGAAAAGGUUGUGAUCCCAUAAGACAUCACUUGACAAUAUCCAAGAAAAUGAAUGACAAAACAUCAGAAUAUCAACAAGCAGAUUGCAUACUUUAUAUCAAGGUAUUUAAUCGUUCUGAUGCAAGCAUUUGAAAUUUUUUUGUUGCAGAAGCUCAAACAUUUCCUAAUAGAUCAUAUCGGUGGGUUGAUGCUAGAGAUGUUGUCAAUGCACACAUUCAAGCAUAUGAGAUCCCAAAGCCAGUGGAAGAUACUGCUUAGUAGAGAGGGAUUUACACUAUUCUGAGACACUGAAGAUUUUGCACAAGCUCUACCCUAAUUUACCCCUGCCCAAAAAGUAAGUUUCUAUUAGUUAUUGCUAGUACUCGUUUGUGCCAUCAUUAGAGUACUUGCCAUUUAAUCUUCUUUUUUUAAUCUUUUGUAAUAUUGUUUGUUGUAAUAGUAGAAUGAUUGUUUCUAUCCAUUAGAUGUAAAUAUGGUGAGACAAACCAUAUUUAAAACCCUACAUGCGUCAUAUUAAUAAUUUAUUUUUAAUCUUUAUAUUAAUGCAUCAAUAAAUGGUAUUGAAGAAAUUACUAGUACAACAAAGGUUACAAGAUUAUAAGUGGGAUCACUCUGAUACAAUGAUGGGAUAAAAGAAAUAGAUGGGGUUAUUGAAUGCAAACCUCCAUACAUAAAUGAUAGAGACUUAACUUGUUCAAUAUAAGUUCCUUGAUGUAAAAUAUCAAUUUUGUUUUCCAAAGUCUUUAUGGCUAUUGGCUUUUCCAUGGAAUACCAAAGAAAGAAAAAAAAAAACAAACCCUCCUUACCUGAGAGUUCAUUUGAACCUUGUUUUUAUUAAUCCAAACCCUAUUGAUUUAUAUAUGACCUAUCAUGGGACUAUGAAGAGUUUUAAAACAACUCAAAGAUAACAAAAAAAAAAAAAUUGAGGUUAAAUAGUGAAAACUACAUUAGAUUCCAAUAAUAGUUUUUACGAUAUAAUGUUGCAUUGGCAGGUUUCAUAAAAAAAUGAAUUAUUCUAUGAAUACUAUUUUUGAUUCCAAAUUUUGAAUUUUCUAAUUCCUUAGUUUAGUGGUGGGUCCCAUAGAAAUUGAAAGUUGUGGAAAAGUAGAAUAUGGACACAAUUUUUUACUUAAUGAGUAGAUUUUACAACACCUUCAAGUAAUUACCCUAAAAAUGAUAGGUCAUUGCAUUGUAAAUAUAUUAAAUUUAAUUGAGAGAUUAUUUAUAAAAAAUAUCAUCAUUUUUUUAAAAGAAUAAUAUGAUCUUACCAUCGUCUCGGGUAGGAAAGCAAUUUAUGGUGGUGUUAGAUUUUUCUUAAUAUAUUCUUGUUCCUUUUUCUUUUUUUCUUUUUGGUGCAUAUUGUAAGUGUGGACCCCGCCCUUUCGAUUGCUCGAAUGCGUUUCCCACUCGAUGGCUAGCUCGAUUUAUUAUUUUAUUUCAAAAAUUGAUUUUUAUUGAUUAUUUGAAAAUGACUUGGAGUCGCCACUUAUUUUUGUUUUAUUUUUAAAGGGUAAACAAAAUAAGAAAGAAAAACCCUAAGUGUGACUCCUUAUUUUGGAAAAUGUGAUCUACGAAAAACCGGAUCAGGUUCGGGGGUCAGGUUACUUAUCGGGAAGGUACGGUAAAGACCGUAGCACCCCUCUAAGUCCCUAAAGUCGGGUCUCUACUAAUAAGAUGAAGCUGACGUGGCAGUCAAUAAGAAAAUCGAUGAAUACUCAAAUCGAUCAUGCACAAUACGAGAAGCAAAACAUGUAUAAAGAACGAACAAAAUAUGAAUAGAUGCGUACCUGGGCGGCAAUCACGAAUGCGCUAUCAUGAAACAUGGUGAGUGAACAAUGAACAUAUAUAAUUAAGCGCAUAUCAAGGAAUAGAGUAGAUCAACCAUGCAUGACAAAUAAAUAAAUCAAUCAGUCAAUCAAUCAUGAAGUCAAGUAUGUGGGGCCCCCACCAAAGCCCGAUUUAUCUUUGUAUGAAUUAGUUCCAUAAAUUCCACUAUUUGGAAUAACAGAAUUAAAUUCGUACUUAUUUUAAAACAUUUUAAAAGUCCAAGAAGGAUUUAAAAAUUGCUUACCGAAUAGAAAAUGGAAGCAAAUUUGAUUAGAAAGGGAUUUAUUGUCUUUAAGAUUACUAAGGAAAAAAAUAAAAUAAAAUGGAAAAUAAAUAAAUAAAUAAAUGAGAAAAUGAAAUAAUAAAAUGAAAAUAAUAGAAUAGAGUGAAAUAACGGAAAUAUUAAGGAGUAGAGAAAACUGUUUGAAAAACGAGUUUUUGAAAUCAAUUUUUGGAAGUAAAGAUGGAGAAAUUAAAAAAAAUGAAAUCCACUUGUUUUAAUAAUGGCUCACCCAAGGAGGCCAUGCGCGCCAUGCAUAAGUGGGUCUUAGGGAUUUGCGUGGCAGUGGGAAAUAAGAGAUUUUCAAUGCGUCAAACUGAUAACUUCCACAAUGGUUGAAAUGUCAUUCGUUCAUGCUACCCGCCAUCUAUAGAAGGAUGAUCCCGGCCGUUCGUUUUGACUCAAAUGCUUUCUUGUAGAUUCUGUUAGAUUAAUUUUUGUAAUUAAUCUAUAAUUUGGGCCACACAUGUAAAUAAUUAAAAUGUGUGUGCUAUCAUUUAAUUAAGCCUAAAUAUAGUGAUCUAAUUAAUAAUUGAUUAAUUGGCUUAAGGGUAUAAUUGUCAUGAGAUUAUUGUGUAGAUACCAUUAGACAAUUAUUAUUUCUAUGAGGGGCAGAAAUAUAAUUGUGAUAAAAUUAAAACUGCCCUAGCAGUUUAUAAAUAGGGUUAUGGUCCCCAUUCUACGACUACGCAUUCCAAUUUCUGAAAAUCCUCUCAGAGAGAAAUUGACACAGAAUCUAGUGGCUAGAAUUGGAAGACCAUCUCAAAGGGUUUUUUUUUCUAUAAGGUUUCUCCUUCAAUGGAUUCAGGUAUGCUUCCGCUAUUAUUUUUCUACUCAUUGUUUUUAAUCAGGAGAUUCCAGUGUAUAUAUAAAUUAAGGUAUUCACCUUGUUAAAUAUUUCAGUACAUAUGUAGUUAGGGUAUUCACCCUAUUAAAUAUUCCAGUACAUAUGUAGUUAGGGUAUUCACCCAGUUAACUAUUCCAGUAUAUAUGAAAUCAGGGUAUUCAUCUUGGUUGAAUACUAACAAGUGGUAUCAGAGCCUACUCCUUGAUUAAUUCUUUGAGUUAUUAUUUUAAUAUAUAUAUGUCAAUGGAUUAAGAUUUAUGAAAUAUUGAGUUGAUAAAUUUUUAUUUUAUUAUUAUUAUUAUUAUUAUUAUUAUUAUUAUUAUUUAAUAGCAUUUUAUGAUAUUAAUAUUUAAGUUAUUGAUCUAGCAUUUUAAAUAGGCUAAUUAAAGCGGAAAAUCACCAAAGUGACAUCUUCCGUGUAGAUUAGUCUGUUCGGGGUGUUAGAUAUUUGUGUGUAUGUGAUUCAUGCGGGUAUUGACUGGCCCAAAGGAAAGUUAAUAUUUGGUUAAAUUGCAUACAUACUUGUGGUGAUAAAUAUGUGAUGAUUAUAAAGGUAACUUAAUGUGAAUAAUAAAUCAAUCCAAAGAUAGAUUUAUUAUUUGACAUAACUUAUCAUCAAUGUUUGAUCACUACAACAAGAGUACCACUUACAGUUAAUAUUACUGUCCAAAGACUUAAUAUUAAUGUUGUGCUAGGUAUCUUGAAAUGUCAUAAUUUGCUUUUAAAUUUAAAGAUUAUGUGUUUAAUUGCUUAUUUUAUGUGAGCAUGAUGGUUUAUUUGAUUCAUUUNNNNNNNNNNNNNNNNNNNNNNNNNNNNNNNNNNNNNNNNNNNNNNNNNNNNNNNNNNNNNNNNNNNNNNNNNNNNNNNNNNNNNNNNNNNNNNNNNNNNNNNNNNNNNNNNNNNNNNNNNNNNNNNNNNNNNNNNNNNNNNNNNNNNNNNNNNNNNNNNNNNNNNNNNNNNNNNNNNNNNNNNNNNNNNNNNNNNNNNNNNNNNNNNNNNNNNNNNNNNNNNNNNNNNNNNNNNNNNNNNNNNNNNNNNNNNNNNNNNNNNNNNNNNNNNNNNNNNNNNNNNNNNNNNNNNNNNNNNNNNNNNNNNNNNNNNNNNNNNNNNNNNNNNNNNNNNNNNNNNNNNNNNNNNNNNNNNNNNNNNNNNNNNNNNNNNNNNNNNNNNNNNNNNNNNNNNNNNNNNNNNNNNNNNNNNNNNNNNNNNNNNNNNNNNNNNNNNNNNNNNNNNNNNNNNNNNNNNNNNNNNNNNNNNNNNNNNNNNNNNNNNNNNNNNNNNNNNNNNNNNNNNNNNNNNNNNNNNNNNNNNNNNNNNNNNNNNNNNNNNNNNNNNNNNNNNNNNNNNNNNNNNNNNNNNNNNNNNNNNNNNNNNNNNNNNNNNNNNNNNNNNNNNNNNNNNNNNNNNNNNNNNNNNNNNNNNNNNNNNNNNNNNNNNNNNNNNNNNNNNNNNNNNNNNNNNNNNNNNNNNNNNNNNNNNNNNNNNNNNNNNNNNNNNNNNNNNNNNNNNNNNNNNNNNNNNNNNNNNNNNNNNNNNNNNNNNNNNNNNNNNNNNNNNNNNNNNNNNNNNNNNNNNNNNNNNNNNNNNNNNNNNNNNNNNNNNNNNNNNNNNNNNNNNNNNNNNNNNNNNNNNNNNNNNNNNNNNNNNNNNNNNNNNNNNNNNNNNNNNNNNNNNNNNNNNNNNNNNNNNNNNNNNNNNNNNNNNNNNNNNNNNNNNNNNNNNNNNNNNNNNNNNNNNNNNNNNNNNNNNNNNNNNNNNNNNNNNNNNNNNNNNNNNNNNNNNNNNNNNNNNNNNNNNNNNNNNNNNNNNNNNNNNNNNNNNNNNNNNNNNNNNNNNNNNNNNNNNNNNNNNNNNNNNNNNNNNNNNNNNNNNNNNNNNNNNNNNNNNNNNNNNNNNNNNNNNNNNNNNNNNNNNNNNNNNNNNNNNNNNNNNNNNNNNNNNNNNNNNNNNNNNNNNNNNNNNNNNNNNNNNNNNNNNNNNNNNNNNNNNNNNNNNNNNNNNNNNNNNNNNNNNNNNNNNNNNNNNNNNNNNNNNNNNNNNNNNNNNNNNNNNNNNNNNNNNNNNNNNNNNNNNNNNNNNNNNNNNNNNNNNNNNNNNNNNNNNNNNNNNNNNNNNNNNNNNNNNNNNNNNNNNNNNNNNNNNNNNNNNNNNNNNNNNNNNNNNNNNNNNNNNNNNNNNNNNNNNNNNNNNNNNNNNNNNNNNNNNNNNNNNNNNNNNNNNNNNNNNNNNNNNNNNNNNNNNNNNNNNNNNNNNNNNNNNNNNNNNNNNNNNNNNNNNNNNNNNNNNNNNNNNNNNNNNNNNNNNNNNNNNNNNNNNNNNNNNNNNNNNNNNNNNNNNNNNNNNNNNNNNNNNNNNNNNNNNNNNNNNNNNNNNNNNNNNNNNNNNNNNNNNNNNNNNNNNNNNNNNNNNNNNNNNNNNNNNNNNNNNNNNNNNNNNNNNNNNNNNNNNNNNNNNNNNNNNNNNNNNNNNNNNNNNNNNNNNNNNNNNNNNNNNNNNNNNNNNNNNNNNNNNNNNNNNNNNNNNNNNNNNNNNNNNNNNNNNNNNNNNNNNNNNNNNNNNNNNNNNNNNNNNNNNNNNNNNNNNNNNNNNNNNNNNNNNNNNNNNNNNNNNNNNNNNNNNNNNNNNNNNNNNNNNNNNNNNNNNNNNNNNNNNNNNNNNNNNNNNNNNNNNNNNNNNNNNNNNNNNNNNNNNNNNNNNNNNNNNNNNNNNNNNNNNNNNNNNNNNNNNNNNNNNNNNNNNNNNNNNNNNNNNNNNNNNNNNNNNNNNNNNNNNNNNNNNNNNNNNNNNNNNNNNNNNNNNNNNNNNNNNNNNNNNNNNNNNNNNNNNNNNNNNNNNNNNNNNNNNNNNNNNNNNNNNNNNNNNNNNNNNNNNNNNNNNNNNNNNNNNNNNNNNNNNNNNNNNNNNNNNNNNNNNNNNNNNNNNNNNNNNNNNNNNNNNNNNNNNNNNNNNNNNNNNNNNNNNNNNNNNNNNNNNNNNNNNNNNNNNNNNNNNNNNNNNNNNNNNNNNNNNNNNNNNNNNNNNNNNNNNNNNNNNNNNNNNNNNNNNNNNNNNNNNNNNNNNNNNNNNNNNNNNNNNNNNNNNNNNNNNNNNNNNNNNNNNNNNNNNNNNNNNNNNNNNNNNNNNNNNNNNNNNNNNNNNNNNNNNNNNNNNNNNNNNNNNNNNNNNNNNNNNNNNNNNNNNNNNNNNNNNNNNNNNNNNNNNNNNNNNNNNNNNNNNNNNNNNNNNNNNNNNNNNNNNNNNNNNNNNNNNNNNNNNNNNNNNNNNNNNNNNNNNNNNNNNNNNNNNNNNNNNNNNNNNNNNNNNNNNNNNNNNNNNNNNNNNNNNNNNNNNNNNNNNNNNNNNNNNNNNNNNNNNNNNNNNNNNNNNNNNNNNNNNNNNNNNNNNNNNNNNNNNNNNNNNNNNNNNNNNNNNNNNNNNNNNNNNNNNNNNNNNNNNNNNNNNNNNNNNNNNNNNNNNNNNNNNNNNNNNNNNNNNNNNNNNNNNNNNNNNNNNNNNNNNNNNNNNNNNNNNNNNNNNNNNNNNNNNNNNNNNNNNNNNNNNNNNNNNNNNNNNNNNNNNNNNNNNNNNNNNNNNNNNNNNNNNNNNNNNNNNNNNNNNNNNNNNNNNNNNNNNNNNNNNNNNNNNNNNNNNNNNNNNNNNNNNNNNNNNNNNNNNNNNNNNNNNNNNNNNNNNNNNNNNNNNNNNNNNNNNNNNNNNNNNNNNNNNNNNNNNNNNNNNNNNNNNNNNNNNNNNNNNNNNNNNNNNNNNNNNNNNNNNNNNNNNNNNNNNNNNNNNNNNNNNNNNNNNNNNNNNNNNNNNNNNNNNNNNNNNNNNNNNNNNNNNNNNNNNNNNNNNNNNNNNNNNNNNNNNNNNNNNNNNNNNNNNNNNNNNNNNNNNNNNNNNNNNNNNNNNNNNNNNNNNNNNNNNNNNNNNNNNNNNNNNNNNNNNNNNNNNNNNNNNNNNNNNNNNNNNNNNNNNNNNNNNNNNNNNNNNNNNNNNNNNNNNNNNNNNNNNNNNNNNNNNNNNNNNNNNNNNNNNNNNNNNNNNNNNNNNNNNNNNNNNNNNNNNNNNNNNNNNNNNNNNNNNNNNNNNNNNNNNNNNNNNNNNNNNNNNNNNNNNNNNNNNNNNNNNNNNNNNNNNNNNNNNNNNNNNNNNNNNNNNNNNNNNNNNNNNNNNNNNNNNNNNNNNNNNNNNNNNNNNNNNNNNNNNNNNNNNNNNNNNNNNNNNNNNNNNNNNNNNNNNNNNNNNNNNNNNNNNNNNNNNNNNNNNNNNNNNNNNNNNNNNNNNNNNNNNNNNNNNNNNNNNNNNNNNNNNNNNNNNNNNNNNNNNNNNNNNNNNNNNNNNNNNNNNNNNNNNNNNNNNNNNNNNNNNNNNNNNNNNNNNNNNNNNNNNNNNNNNNNNNNNNNNNNNNNNNNNNNNNNNNNNNNNNNNNNNNNNNGAGCAAAUUUUGAGCUCAUAAGGUUAAACACAUUUAUUUGAUUACAUAUGCAUGUGGCCCAGUGGGAGAUUGUUAGAUUAAUUUUUGUAAUUAAUCUAUAAUUUGGGCCACACAUGUAAAUAAUUAAAAUGUGUGUGCUAUCAUUUAAUUAAGCCUAAAUAUAGUGAUCUAAUUAAUAAUUGAUUAAUUGGCUUAAGGGUAUAAUUGUCAUGAGAUUAUUGUGUAGAUACCAUUAGACAAUUAUUAUUUCUAUGAGGGGCAGAAAUAUAAUUGUGAUAAAAUUAAAACUGCCCUAGCAGUUUAUAAAUAGGGUUAUGGUCCCCAUUCUACGACUACGCAUUCCAAUUUCUGAAAAUCCUCUCAGAGAGAAAUUGACACAGAAUCUAGUGGCUAGAAUUGGAAGACCAUCUCAAAGGGUUUUUUUUUCUAUAAGGUUUCUCCUUCAAUGGAUUCAGGUAUGCUUCCGCUAUUAUUUUUCUACUCAUUGUUUUUAAUCAGGAGAUUCCAGUGUAUAUAUAAAUUAAGGUAUUCACCUUGUUAAAUAUUUCAGUACAUAUGUAGUUAGGGUAUUCACCUUAUUAAAUAUUCCAGUACAUAUGUAGUUAGGGUAUUCACCCAGUUAACUAUUCCAGUAUAUAUGAAAUCAGGGUAUUCAUCUUGGUUGAAUACUAACAGAUUCUUGAGCUACUCCUCUCGUGUCCUCUCAAACGCAUCGUAAUCCCCCAGGUAAGACUUCAGUCAUAAAACAUCAUGAAGGUCAAGAAGAUUCAUGGGUACAUCAAGUCGUAAUGAAUCAGGUUCUAUACACGGUGCACGAGCAAGAGCAAUUCGCGUUUGCCAACUUUCAGAAAAGGUUUUCUUGUUGCUCUAUGCCGCAUUCUAGGAGUGAAACCGAGAUCCACAAGAACGGAGCCUGCACGGGACUUAGCGGAGUAUGCAUCAAUGAACUCAAUCCUUUUGUAUGUCUCUUCAAGCCUUUGUCCAACAACAUCUUUGUCAAUAUCCCCAUUCAGUUUCUCUUGGCUCUCUAGUCUGCUACUCUCUGGAUCUUGGCGAAGGCUGUAAACGAUUCUACUGCUCAGCGUUCCAACUGAACCUCCUUUCCAUAGCAGCCAUUUUGAGUGGAUUCUCCUUUCUGCUUAGGUCCAUUAGCAUCAUGAAAGGCGUGACUUUUGCUGAAGGUGAUAGAAGCCAAUGUCGGGAAUCUUCUCUAACCGGACCCCAUCAAUACUUAAUAGCCCGAUUCCAAUAAGCCUUGAGUUCCGAGGACUGGGCGCGCUUUAAACAGAUUGAAAAUUCCCCGACUCUGUGAUUAUGAGGAUUGCCCUGUAAACUUGGAAAAAAUAACAUAGUUGAUGACAGAUUCUAAGUCUAGUCCCAGAAUAGAAUCUUUCUUGAAGAAGGUCAUGCCACCCUAAGGCCUUUAAGCAACUUGUGUGCUGUUGUCAUUACAAUAUCACAGGGCUUAAAGGGGUCAGCAACCACGGAAGCAGCAACAAGUCCAUUAAUGGGAGCCAUAUCCACCAUGAGAAAAAUCAUCAACGCCACCUGUAGAUUCAUCAAUUCGAUAAGGCAUAGACUCAAAAUGAAUUGAUGUGUCUGAUGCCCGUCUUUUAAGAGUCAUGAGACCAUGAGACAAGUGGCUCUAUGAGGUGAAUUUAAACCCAAGGCUCUGUCAUGUAGAUUAAGAAGGGCAGUAUACGCUUCAAAGUUAGCUGGAGAGCCAGAUAAUGCUUGAACAUUGAUACCCCACUUCCUAUCGUCUAAGUGAAAUGCUGCCAAAACCCUCUUCUGUCAGAGUGUUCCCAGCUCAUCAAUGAGCUCGUUAUCACCAUAAUACUUUUUACCAAGCAAUCCCUCAGAACAUUUGUUUGGUGAGGCAAGGAUCAAUGGCUUCCAUCAUUGUCCGGGAUGUAAAAUCCUCUGAAGCAAUAAACUCUAAACUCUUCAUUUGUUGUUUUUUCCCUCAGGAAAUCCCCUUCAUGAAACCGUCUUCUGGUCCCGAGCUUUGGAAACCGUGCCCAUAUGAAAACCCGAGGCUCAUGCUGGACCAAAACCCUUCUCCUUGAGGGUAUGAAUGGCCAUCGAGAACAGAGUAUAAACAGCAAGGGAGCAAAUACAAAAACAGAGUAUCAACUGAACCAAAGAAAACACUAACCCGAGCUCCAUUUCAUAUUGGAGCCAGUGGGCUUAUGCAUGGGUGGGAAAAACCAGGGGAAACUAAGAUCUCAAAGAUAUGACUCAAAUAUUCAAAUGAGAGUUAUAAAGGAAUCAGAUUAUACUAAAACAAUUUUUCAAUGAAGAGCAAAGCACGGAUACAUUAUCACAAAGUAACAGCAACCCAAAUGACAUCAAUGGAAAUCCAAAAUGUGGUCUAGCAAACGUACCUGAGGAUGUUCCUUUUCUUCCCUUUAUUUUCUUUUAAUUUCUCUCUGGUUUUCCUCUCGAACUCACCCACAAAACCAGUCUGCUCCUCUCUGUUUUCUCUCCAGUGUUUUUCCCCUCAAACGCUUUCUCUCAUCCUAAAAGCACUCUGGUUCUCUCAGCCUCCUUCUCCAGAAUCUCCCUUCUCUCACCUUAGCAGCCUGCUCACUGCAAAAUCCGCCACCAAAAGCCCCCACCACUACUCUGCAGCCUUCUCCUCUCUUUCAGCUCCCUGCUCCUCUCCAGCUUGCUCCUCCUUUUUCUCUCACUCUCCCUGCAGCUGCAUCCUCCCUCUCUACCCAAAGUAACCCAACCAAAAACUCCUGCCCCCACUCUAAUGGAAAAGCAUCUCCCUCUCUCAUCCGCUCCUCCCUGCAGCUGGCAAAACGGUUUGCAACUUUUGCAGAUUCCCUCACACCCCGUGUCACCUUCUCAUUGGCUCUUAAAACCACUAUUUUGAUUCCACAACAGCCAAUCUCAGGACAGCAUGUGGACUCCUAGGAUGGUGACAUCUGGCCAUAGCUAGCUGCAAGAAAGGAAACGUGAGAAAAAUCACAGCUCCCCAAAAUGGGGGUCUACAGUAAGGUUUCAAGUUCCUUUAGAAAUAUGAACAACGAUGAAGAGUUAGAAAUUUUGGAACAUUAAGUACAUAGUUAAAGCCAUGUUUAGAUAGUUGAAAUUCCUAUAAAAAAAAAAUACAAAAAUGAAAAAAUGAAAGAAGUUCAAAUUUUAUUUGAUUAUCUUAAAAAAUAAAAGAAAUUACAAAUAAUGAAAAUUGUUUAGAUUUUAUAUACUUUCUAAUGUUUACUCUUUAUAGACAAAAAAAACAAAUAAUUUUUUUUGAGGUUCUGAAAAUAAUUAAACUUAAGCUUAAUUUUUGUUUUUCUUGAUUUUUAAUGCCUUUCAUAAUUUUCCUUUACAAUUUUUCCCACUUAAUCCAAAACUUUCCAAGGUCUAAAUUUCAUAGGUGUUUCAUCUUCUUUUUAAUUAAGAAGUUUUGAAUGUUUCAAUUCAAAUUCCACAAUAAGGUAAUAAAACCUUAAAAUUAAUAUUACAUCUAGGUUGACUUGGUAAUCAACUUGAACCAAACCUAAAUUAAGAAACAUUCAGUCCUAACCUAACCAAAUAUAGCCUCAAAUAUGAGGUGUAUAGUUAAAACUCAACUUAUUUCUAUAUAUUAAAGUGAGGCUUAAAUUGACUCUGGUAUACUUGUAGUCGAGUUGAGUUGUUUAAGUUGUAUAAUCAGAGCUAAGUUUUGUAAGAUUGAAUUGGGGUGAACUCAUUCAUAAUGUUUAUUUUUUUUAACUUCUUUUAUAUCAUAAUUUAAAUAGCAAAUAGGACAACAUUUAAACAUAAUAAAAAAAAUGAGAAUGAAUUUAUGUAUCUUUCUUACAAAAAUGAAAUAAUAUAAUUAAAAUUUAAUAUUUUUUUAAAUACUAAAAAACAUAAAAUAGAUAUUAUUAUAUAAAAUACAAUAAAUUACAAAUAUUAUAAAAAUAUAAAAAUUAGGUUAUAUAUGUAUGUAUGUAUGAAUGUAUGUAUAAAAUAGUAGUGUGAUAGGUGUUUGCUACUUGUAAAAAGUAUUUUUGCUCAUUUUUAAAUUGAAAUUAAUAAAAAGAAAAAGAAAUAAAAUGUUUUCAAAAAUAUUAAAUGCAUAACUAAUAUUAUGCUAAUGAAGUUUUUUGUUCUUUGUAAUUUAGAGUUGUCUCAUUCAUAUUUUAAGGUAAACUAAUAGAACAUUAAACUCCCCAAUAUUGUAUCCAUCUAGAAUUUAUCACCAUUUUAUUUUAUAUCAUAUCACAAUUAUAUUAAUUAGUGGCUUCAAGAAAAAAAAAAAUUAUUUAUAUGUUAGACAACAUGGAAAAGAUAUAUUUUUUAAUGCUUAUUAAUAAUUUUUAUUUCAAAUUUUAAAACAUGAAUAUAUAAAUUUUAACAAUUAUGAAAUAUUAGUCUAAAUAUCUUUUAAUAUUUGGUUAUGUUUGCAAAGCAUUUUUAAUAAAAAUUAUGAAAAACAAUUUUUGAGAGUAAUUUACAAAAACAUUUUUUAUUUAUUUUUAAAUAUAUUUUAAAAAUAACUUUAUCUCAUAUAUAGUACUUUAUUUUAAUCGUUCUCUAUUUAAAAUAACUCUAUGAAAAGAAACGAAAAUAAUUAAAAGAUUUAUCUUAAAACAUUUUAUUUUUUUAUUUUUAUGAAUAGAAAACUUUUUUUUUUUGUCAAAUGUGUCUUCUUGUUUUUGUUUUUGUUUUUUUAAAAAACAAAAAACUGUUUUAAAAAAUAAUUACCAACCAUGCUUGAACACAAAGCCCGAAGCUCCCGUGGGGCUGGUUUUGGGCCUUUUAGGUUUGGGAAAAACAGUCGGGCCUGGCUGAGCACAAAUUCUUCUCUUUUAAAUCCAAAAAGCCCGUCUCAAGCCCAAACUUCAGGUUGGGCCGGGAAGCUCCUGGCUUAACACAAAUUAUUCUCUUUUAAGUCCAAAAAUACAGUCUGAAGCCCAAAAUUUCGGGUUGGUCCGGCCGGGCGGGCGGAUAUGAAAUAUAAGAAAAUAAAUAGGGAAAACUGUGUUUUGGUCCGCCCAUUUGGGCCUAAUAGCUUUUUGGUAACCCAACUUUCCAUAACCCAAAAAAUGUCCACUGUUGCCCAAAAAAAUAUCCCUUUCAUGCACUAUCCACUGUUUUAUAAUUUCAUUUCCAAAAUUACCCCUCCAGCCUUCCAUAUCAGCAGCCAUCUCCCUCUCCAUGUCACGGGUUGUGCUUUCAAAUAAACACAAAAAUCUUAAACAAGUUAGCAAAACCCACGCAAGACCUGACUCUGAAAUUUGGGAAACCAGGUUAGGGCAAAAGGAGAGAAAGUCACAGAGAGUCCUUAGCUUCUUUCUCUUCUCUCUCUUUUCUCUCUGUUGUGUGAAUUUCUCAGUGAAAAAUCGAAAGCUUGUAAGCUGUAAUCGAAAGUUAGGUUCAGUGCUUUUUUGGUACUUUGUCGGAUGGCCCAAGCAGCCAGUAGCAGAUACUCAAAUUUUAUGCUUGGGUUUUACUUGAAUGCUCAUACAUUAGCUGUCAUCUUCAAGGUCCAUUUGGUUUUAAUGCAUCUGGAUCACGCAGCUGAGCAGAGGAAAGAGGAAAUGAAUCUGUUACUGGUUUGAUAUUUUUGGGGCUUAGGUGCUUACGAGCUGUACGGUGUAAGCAAAAUCCUCGUUAAAAGUCUAACUUAAGACAACUGGCUCUAAAUAGCAUAUGGCCCGGCGUUGAAAGUGGCUGUAGCCUACAAUCUCAAAUCAAGGGGUAAGUCCCAUACCAUUUAAAAGAAUUGUGACCUUCAGUGUCAGAAAUUUUCAGUUAAAUACAAAUGAAUUGCAUCUUCUUCACUGAAUUUUCAGCCUCCGGUUUCAUCUUUGCGAGGUGAGAUUCACAUUCAUUUUCCAUUGAUCGAAUUCCCCCUCCUCUGCCACAGCCUGGCUAGGGACUCGGUUAAGUUAAGAUGCUAACACUGAAUGAAAAUUGAUUCCAACAAUUUUCAUCAAUCAAUUCCUCAAGUACAAAAGCAGAUGGUGUAUGGUGGAUUGCAGUAAUAGAUGAAGUUGGUUUAGUUUAUCCCUCCUUUGAUGGGCACAAGGAUAAAACCAUCUAUUGCUGGGCAAGGUAGCUAGAUGCAGCUUUCCCCAGAAGGCUCGAGGUAGCAGAAUGUCCAUUUUGGUCUCAAGUCGUUCAACAUUGCUGAAGUUCCUUUGCAAUCCUAAUGGAGACUGCCAUUGGGCAGUUUGUCUUAAUUGCGUUGGAGGCAAUGUGUGACCUGCUAACAGCAUAUCCCUCCUGCAACAACCAAAUCCAACAUAUGGACUGCAUCAGUUUCUGUAAACCAUUUGUUGGAGCUCCAGACCAUAGCAAAUAUCUCCAACUUCAAUUGGGAGUGAUCAGCUUCUAUAGAACAAUAAAAUGCCAUACCAUAUUAUAAUUUCCCCUUAUAUUUUUCCCAUUCUCCUAAGCUGGGGCUUGAUGAGUUUUUAGACCAAAAGACUUGUGCAAGUAAACAUCAUCUGGAUUAGGCAACAAAAAAAAAAAUACCUGACUCUGUUUCUUGGCUAAUGACAAUUGAAAAGCCUCUAAAAGAGAACACUAGGAGGAUACCUUGUUCAGGGCGCUCAUCAUGGUCAUGAGGGGAGGAGAGUUUAUUUUUGCACGGCUUGCUACCUAGGAACAUAAGAGGAAAAUCAAUAAUGAAAUUGCAUUCAAUUUCCAAGCCAUGCAACAGAGCCUGAGAAUUAAUUCACAACCAAAUCAAGAAUCUAAAACACAAAAUUAUGUUAUUUGCAAGUAAACCUCAUCCAAUUUGAUGUAUCCAAAUGGUAAUUUAGGGUCACUCUCAUCGAUCAUUUGCUUCAGAAGUUUUCCCAGAUGAGUUUCAGUGUCAUUGCCAGUCCAUCCCCAUUGCUCAGCUAAAUUUAGCAUUUCUGUAAGGUAGGAAGCAUUAUGGCAGAGAUUAUCAAAUACAGUGGUUUUGCUUUUAAGUUGCUUAGGUAUUACCUUAAUGACCUUUAGGUACUACCUUAGUGGCCUUCAGGUACUACCUUAAGGGCCCCUAGGUACUACCUUACCAAAACUUCAACUCAACCUCUCCUAAGCCUCGGGUUUUCCUUUGUGACCCUUAGACCAUGCCAUUAUAUGCUUCUCUUGAGUCCUCAAGUGGUCCACCAAUGGUUUUAUGCUACUGUUCCUUAGGUACUACCUUAGUGCCCUUAAGGUACUACCUUAGUGGCCUUCAGGUACUACCUUAAGGGACACUAGGUACUACCUUAGCAAACUUCAACUCAACAUCUCCCAAGCCUCGGGUCUUCCUUUGUCACCCUUAGACCAUGCCAUUAUAUGCUUCUCUUGAGUCCUCAAAUGGUCCACCAAUGGUUUUUUGCUACUGUUCCUUAGGUACUACCUUAGUGGCCUUAAGGUACUACCUUAGUGGCCUUCAGGUACUACCUUAGUGGCCUUCAGGUACUACCUUAAGGGACCCUAGGUACUACCUUCGCUAAACUUCAACUCAACAUCUCCCAAGCCUCGGGUCUUCCUUUGUCACCCUUAGACCAUGCCAUUAUAUGCUUCUCUUGAGUCCUCAAAUGGUCCACCAAUGGUUUUUUGCUACUGUUCCUUAGGUACUACCUUAGUGGCCUUAAGGUACUACCUUAGUGGCCUUCAGGUACUACCUUAGUGGNNNNNNNNNNNNNNNNNNNNNNNNNNNNNNNNNNNNNNNNNNNNNNNNNNNNNNNNNNNNNNNNNNNNNNNNNNNNNNNNNNNNNNNNNNNNNNNNNNNNNNNNNNNNNNNNNNNNNNNNNNNNNNNNNNNNNNNNNNNNNNNNNNNNNNNNNNNNNNNNNNNNNNNNNNNNNNNNNNNNNNNNNNNNNNNNNNNNNNNNNNNNNNNNNNNNNNNNNNNNNNNNNNNNNNNNNNNNNNNNNNNNNNNNNNNNNNNNNNNNNNNNNNNNNNNNNNNNNNNNNNNNNNNNNNNNNNNNNNNNNNNNNNNNNNNNNNNNNNNNNNNNNNNNNNNNNNNNNNNNNNNNNNNNNNNNNNNNNNNNNNNNNNNNNNNNNNNNNNNNNNNNNNNNNNNNNNNNNNNNNNNNNNNNNNNNNNNNNNNNNNNNNNNNNNNNNNNNNNNNNNNNNNNNNNNNNNNNNNNNNNNNNNNNNNNNNNNNNNNNNNNNNNNNNNNNNNNNNNNNNNNNNNNNNNNNNNNNNNNNNNNNNNNNNNNNNNNNNNNNNNNNNNNNNNNNNNNNNNNNNNNNNNNNNNNNNNNNNNNNNNNNNNNNNNNNNNNNNNNNNNNNNNNNNNNNNNNNNNNNNNNNNNNNNNNNNNNNNNNNNNNNNNNNNNNNNNNNNNNNNNNNNNNNNNNNNNNNNNNNNNNNNNNNNNNNNNNNNNNNNNNNNNNNNNNNNNNNNNNNNNNNNNNNNNNNNNNNNNNNNNNNNNNNNNNNNNNNNNNNNNNNNNNNNNNNNNNNNNNNNNNNNNNNNNNNNNNNNNNNNNNNNNNNNNNNNNNNNNNNNNNNNNNNNNNNNNNNNNNNNNNNNNNNNNNNNNNNNNNNNNNNNNNNNNNNNNNNNNNNNNNNNNNNNNNNNNNNNNNNNNNNNNNNNNNNNNNNNNNNNNNNNNNNNNNNNNNNNNNNNNNNNNNNNNNNNNNNNNNNNNNNNNNNNNNNNNNNNNNNNNNNNNNNNNNNNNNNNNNNNNNNNNNNNNNNNNNNNNNNNNNNNNNNNNNNNNNNNNNNNNNNNNNNNNNNNNNNNNNNNNNNNNNNNNNNNNNNNNNNNNNNNNNNNNNNNNNNNNNNNNNNNNNNNNNNNNNNNNNNNNNNNNNNNNNNNNNNNNNNNNNNNNNNNNNNNNNNNNNNNNNNNNNNNNNNNNNNNNNNNNNNNNNNNNNNNNNNNNNNNNNNNNNNNNNNNNNNNNNNNNNNNNNNNNNNNNNNNNNNNNNNNNNNNNNNNNNNNNNNNNNNNNNNNNNNNNNNNNNNNNNNNNNNNUUACUUUUCUUUAUGGCUUUAUUGUGGUGAAUAUUGGAAACAGCUUGGAUUUGUUUAAUUUCCAUGGAAGGUCCAAAUAGUCCAUGAGACAUGUCUUUGUAAUAUGAGUUAAGAGAAUGUUGACUUGUUAGUGUUAGUGUUGGACGGCCCAUCCAAAUGGCAUGUAUUUAAACUUGCCAUACAGGAAUCAUAGAGACAUGUCUUUAUUUUCCCUAUAAAGUCCCAUGUCUGUUCUGAUUAACUUUCCAUGGUUUAUAAUCAAUGAAGGUGUUCACUACUCACCAUUGGAUGGUUCGGAUAUACAAAUUAAAACCUCCGAAGAACAGGAUCCGUGUAAAAACAAAGAAAUCAAAAUCGGUAUGCAUGAUAAACACCUGUAGAUUGUAUUCGUUUCUGAUUCAGUGCAAAAUUACCCACUGACCUUUUGUUGCCUCCUCCCUUUGCAGAAAGCAAGCUCCACAACCAGCUCAAAAAAAUAAGUGGAAAAAAAAAAGAAGAAUCCCUGGCAAUGAAAGGCACUUUCAGAAGAUGUUGUCUCCAAUCAGUUACUUGUAACCCACAUAUUUAAUAUCCAAAACACUAAUUUGUUCUCUUAAAAGUAAUUUCUACAGCAAUUUUAUCGUGGUCAAUCCCAAACAGGCCUUUAUUAUGAUUUCUAUAUCCAUAUCCUCUCUUUUCAAUUUCUUCCUUUCAUUUUCCCUCUCAUGUGGGAUGGGUAAACUUUGCACUUUCUAAAGUCAUCUUUAAUGUUCUAACUGAGUGGUAUCCUACAUAAAUAUUUUCUACAAACUCAGAAUGACCUCAGCGACAAAAGCCAACCCCUUGAAGUAGAGGUAUAGAAGUAAAUUGCAUUCACAGCUAAUUUUGUCCCCUAUUUUCAAUCAAGUCACAGCUAACAAUUUUAUAUAUAGCAUUCAAAUUGCAUUCCACUCCACAGACUAUACAACAUUCAGAUGCAAAAUUGUCUUCUUACCCUUCCAGAAAGCCUAUAUCUCAACCAAUCAUUCAAAACUAGGACAUAGAAAUGCCAAAAGUGCAUAAACAGAAUGCCACCUUAUGAAUCUCCACAGUAAAAUUAUCAAUCUUUUCUCAUGUCAUUCAACAUUGUUUUCAUAAUUUUCUCACUUUCAUACAAGGAGUAUAUAUUCAAAAAACAAAGAAACAGAAAAAUCAAUUAAAUAGGCAAGAUUAAUUGGACAGAGUUUCUACUGGAUAUGAGGUAGUUGGCUGAAGAAGAGAAAAAUUGAUCACUGAUAUCUGCACACUUUCUUUGAGCAUAGAAACUCCCAAGCUUAAUUAAUCUUCCAAACCAUCGAUCAAAUACACUAUUCUGAGUGAGACCGUGGAAAGGGCAUCUCAGCGAAAAAAAUCCAACAACAAAUUUUACUAUACAGGAGCUAUAUUUUAUUCCAAAAGGAGACGGUCUUUGAUCUUGAAGCCCAAAUCAAUAUAUAUAUAUAUACUAGGAGCUUCUGACUUCUCCCUGGUGUAAUAAAAAGUGAGCUACAAAAUGACCCAGAGCAGGUCCCACCUCAGAAUUACCUUCAUCUGGUCAUUUUCUUGACACCUCAUAAUUGUUACAGUUUCUUAGGCAGGUUGUAAUUUUUAUUGAGAAUGCACAUACCAUUACUGUAAUAUAUAUUACAGUCCUCAAGCUUCCUCUAUAUUCAAUGGAAUGUGUCUUAAAAUAUAGAGGGAACUAAAGCCUAACUACCCUUAUCCAAAUAACAAAAUAAACCAAGGAGCCUAUUGUGAAGUCUUCAUCUUUGAUAUCUCCUCCAACAGUAAUCUGGAUUUAGCUGCAAAAUCAACUGCCACAACAGCCUUGGCUGUUAUCCACUGCCUUUUCUCAUUCAUGUAUUCAUGUUGUGCAACACUAAUCCGGAAAAGAUGAGGGACCCAAAUAGCUUCCUUCAAUUUCUGCUGGAAUCGGUUCUCCUCUCCCUCCUGCAGAGAAAAUUGGGUUUUUAAAACAUCAGAUUUUGAAUGCCAGAAGUUCAUCAUUUUUUUCUUCCAUAGAACCCAACUAGGCUACCAAAUAAGUAACCAACUACAUAUGAAUUAAUGCAUCAAUGAGCAACUCUUUCAAGUUAACUAAGAUUUGGACAAACUCCUAGAUAUUUCAAUAUUGCCAAGAGUUUACCUGUGAUUUAAGCUUAUCAAGCUCAUCAGCAGAGCACCCAAAUAUUCUCUCUGCUUGUUCAUUAAACAGAGCAAGGCAAGCUUCACCACUAUCAUCUGAAACUUUCACUACCAUUAUGUACCUGGAAAACAUAACAGAAUGUAACAAAGAAACAUCAUUCAUAGGACAACUUUUCCUAUUUUAAAUACUAUCACUGAAUUCUUAUUGAUUCAAAUUCCAUGAAUCCCUCACCUUCAACUGCACUCAUCAUCAUUCUUUUCACAUCCUUCACACCAAUACCCAGAUUCAAUAGCAUCUGUGACUUUCUUGUUGCAUGUCUUACAAGCCUGGUACCACAUUGUUUGCUCAGGCUUGAUGAAGCUUAUGUAUGCUCUGAUGCUAAAAAAUGAAGGCUAUACAGAGACAAGCCCACAUUAUCAAAACUUAAAAUGAUUUUAACUUAAAACUUUGGCUAAGACCAGUUUGAUCAUGUUAGGUUAUUUUAAUGACAGUAAUUAUUACCUUGUCUUCACCCAAAGAUGGGUUGCUGGUUACAUGAGAAAGGGAAACCCUGUCAUAGUACAUGGACCUCACUCCACCCUUAGAUGAAGGACUGAUAUCAGACCCAAUAGAAGCUAAUCAUGAUACCUGUGAACAAGAACAUGUGGUCAGAAACUCUUACUAGAAGAACUAACAAGGUAAUAGGUCACUGGAUGAUUCCUUACCAGGAUCUCAACUUUUUUUAUUCCGGUGUAUCUGGAUUUACCAGUGCAAUACUUUUACUCAAUGUUGACAGUGACACACCUAAAACAAGAUAUGAAGAGAACAUUACAAAGAGGACUUCUUAUCAUUCUCAAGUUUUUGAGAAUGUGCUUAAUUGCCAUAAUAAUACCAAACUUCAAGAAAACAAGGGGAAUUACCUUGGAAGUCUCCAACUUUGAGAGAUUUAAUUGCAAUAAUUGGAAAUUUAUCAGCAUUAUCCAACAAUUCCUACCCUACAUUAGUAGCAUGAUCAUUCCACAAAGAGACCACAACACUUUUCUUCCUACAAUUGAAACGUCCAUAAGUUCAAUAUGAAGCAACAUUAGACCAAAGUGACCAGUGCAAAAAAUAAAAUAUACACUCACGUCUUGUCCGCAAUAGUAAUAUCACGCUUAGGAACAAUCUCAUUGUUAUUCUUCCUUCGUAUCCUCAUUGUAGGAGAGACACUUUGAACAACUCCACUAACAUCUGGAAUUAAUAAUGAUAUGGGUCAUAUUACACAAAAGCACCUAAUGAAAUUCACAUCACAACAAAAAAAGGAAGUCAAUAGUAUAAUGAUAGCUCUUUCACAUGAUACUAACAACUUUAACAUACAGAUCCAAACCAUCCAAGAAAUGAGAACUUACAACUGGCAUGUGCAAGUGAGAUCGCAUUAAUGAGGAGAACCUUGGUAUUUUCUUGUUCUUCUUUUCUCAGUGCUUUCCCAGCUUACGAACCACCUCCAGAUUCUGCACCAUUAAAUUUCCACUGAUAAAGCCUACAUGCUCGAAUAUACAAACAAUAAGCCUCUAUAUUUUUCAGCAUAUAUAAUUCUAGUAUAAAGUUUUUAGUAAUAACUAUCAAAAUCACUUGACAAGGUACUUAUCACACAAAACAUAAAUUAAUAAAUAAAAUACUUCACGGGAUAUUCAUUCUAAUGUGCGUCUUCUCUUAUCAAAACUCGCAAGAACACUAAUAAAUGGGAGCUUGAUAUUUACAAUAUACCUUAAAUUGGAUUAAAAAAGUACACCACUAUAUGGUUUUCAACAAGAUUAGCCUACUAAGAAAUGAAGCAAAAGGAAUUAUGAUAAAAUUCUUGAUGUAAUAUUACCCAUUACAACACACCAAUGAUAAGUGUUACAUAUGUGUUCUUGGUUGGUAACAACCUUUAGAAGAGUGUUCAAAACAUGUAAUGGAUAUACAAAAAACACAUAGUUUCAGUCAUGGAAGAAUGUGACAGCAUUGCACUUAAGCCAAAGGGUUGUUGCACGUUUUCCUAUUGUGCCCGGAAGUAUGACAUCUUGAGCAAGAGACAGUCCGUUUAUCUUGCAAUUGGGACUCAAUGCGCUUCUUUCUUGGUCUGCCGGGAGGCCGCUUGGUAUGGGGUGGGUUAAGAGAGAAGAAAACUUCACCGGUGAUAGAUCGAACCAAACCAUCAUUAGCGACCAUUGGCAUGUCAUGGGUCUCUAUACCGGAGAAGGAGCCCGAGUAAAUCAGCUCUUGCAUUGGGAAUUUGUACCAAUCUUGAACAAAAUCAACAACAUUCUGACCGAUGGAAAGAAUAACGGCUGCCGCAUGUUCACAAGGGAUGCCCAACAUUUCCCAACCCCUACAUGUGCAAGUACGCUUUAUAAUGUCCACAUUCAAGAAGGUGGUUCCAAUAGAAACCCCAAAUAUUCCGUUCAUGAAAGGAGUGACCGGAUACACCUCACCCUUGGCAAUUUUCUGCUGAACUUUUUCUUCAAUUUUUGGCCCUAUGCAUCCUUUCCAAUUGUUUGAUUCCUCUUUAUGUUUGACAAGCAUAGAACCUAACUUAGCCAUAUGCUCCAUUAGAAAUGUACAAAUGGAGUGAUGUCUUUCAUUCCUUAGCCAAGCAUUAAACGACUCGGCAAGGUUUGUGGUCAUUUUAUCCCAUCUUUGUUUUGGGAAUUUGGACAUAGCCCAAUGUUCGGGUUCAUUUUCUUCAACCCAUUUGGCCAAAGCGUCAUUGUAUUGUCGUAGUUCAAACAUGGAAACAUUGUAAUCGUGCUCUAACCUUGCAUAGGCUAUACUAUCAAGGAAUUGGAGUGCAUUUUCUUUACCUUUGUUCCCUCUUGUGUUAUGUUUGCUCAAGAAAGAGCUGAAAUUUUCCUUCAAGUGACAGUAACAGUAGGCAUGGUUUUCAAGCCCAAACACUUUAGGAACACUACGAAGGAGGGCGGGAUGUCUAUCCGAGAUAAUAACGACUUCCUUAUCUCCAACAAGCUUCUUCAAAUUUUGCAAAAACCAAGACCAAUCGUCAUAAUUUUUUGAGCUCAUCACGCCAAAGGCUAAGGGGAACAUGGCAUCAUUAGCAUCGUAUGCGGUCGCCGAAAAUAACGCACCCCUAUAUGGCCCACUCAUAUGGGCGGAGUCAAUAGCUAUGAUUGGCCGACACCCCAUUGCAAACCAUUGGAUAGAUACCGAAUGAGCAACAAAGAGUUGCUCAAAAUGUCCAUCACUUGAAUGUCCCAACUCAACAAUGCUUCCCGGAUUUGUUGCAACCAUUUUCUCACACAUCCAAGGCAACAAUUUGUAAUAAUAUUUGGGUUCUCCAUAAAUGCGCUCAUUUGCCUUCUCCUUGAUAUUCCAUGCUUGAAGAUACGUCAAUUGCAUCCCAUGUUGCCUUUGAAAGUCCUUACAAAUUUGGCAGGGUUGGUAAUUGGGAGUGGACCGGAUGACAUCAUCAAUAAGCAAUGAUGCCCGAUUAGAUCUCACUAAAGGUUGGCAUGCAGCAACAUCUUCCAAACUAUGAUUAUGAUGGUUAUGAAAAGUGUGAACCUGGAUGAUGUUCGAAUCCCCAAUUGCACGAGCUGUGACUUUCCAAGGACAUUGAGUAACUGUGCAAACAACUGUCAUGUGUUUCAUAGUAUUCCUCUUGAAGCGAUAACGGAAUCUACCAGCAAUUGACAUCAAAUAAACGGCAUCACGGAACUUGGCAGCAUUGGAGAAGGUAUGUCCACUACCCAUAAUGGAAUUUUCAAACCGCCUUGAGUCACGUUCGAGUAUAUUUGCUUCCGCACAUCUAUGGGAAAACCCAUAUGACUCAAUUGUAAGAGAGUCAUUACAAAUAUUAAUUGGCAGAUCGCCACCGGAUGGAAGUAAGUGUGCAGAAUUCGAACCAACAAUAGGAGAAGGGGCACUACAAAGGAAGAAAAAAAAAAUCAUCCAUCUACAUAUAUUUGAAGAAAAGUUAAUAGACAUAGUGGAUGAGAUGUUGGGAAGGCUAUCAAUACCUAGUCGGUGCUAUAUAGCCUUCAACAACUUCACUUGAUGAUGAGACAUAGACGUGACAAAACAUUUCGUUGAAUCGAAACAUCUUAAGUAGGGCUGCAUCAUCAUGCAACGGUAGUAGACAUGAUGGCUCAAACUUGACCGUGAAUUCCAAUUUGAUAGAAUUCUGGUCAAAGUGCAAUGCAUCACACAGUUUUGAAACAAAAUCACUAUGUGACAUAUGUCGACUAACAACCAUCGAUUCGCUACGACCACCUUGAUAUUGAACAGACCCUCCAACACAUUUAACUAGCUGACCGCCUUCAUGAAUGUAACAGAACAUGUCCUCUUCCAUCACCUUAAUUAAAUAAAAACUUGUUACAAAAAAAAUGACAACAAAAGUAAAUAGGGAUUAUGUAUGAAUAUAAUGAUGAAGGAAAGAGGAGAAGAGAGGGUGGAGAGAAAGGCCAUAAAGGGGUCAUCGUCGGGCCAUGUGAUGGUAAUCGAACGUCUAAGAUUUUUUUCUUAGUGACACAUAAGAUGAAGAGGAAACGAGGGAGCAUGGAUUGAAGGGCCCCUUUCUAUAUUCAAAUCCUUAGUAUAUACAUGUAUCCAUAAUCUAAUGCCAUGAAGUUGCUUAAGGAAUAUGAAUGUUGGCUUCCUCCCUACCCACAUUUCCCAUGUCCUCAUCUACAACCGAUAUUCUAUGUUUCUUUCCACUUCCAUUCCUCAUCAUCCUAAAAACAUAAUUACAUCUUAUAACAGUUAUCGAAAAAAACCUUUUACAAGGGACAAGACAUUAAUAGUUAAAUGAUCGCACAUAUCGAAGAUGGACAUUAUUUUGAUGCAAGUAGUUUAUGACUCUCACUCUCACUCUCAUGUACAUAACUUUCUAUCUUAACUUUGUAGGUGUAUACCUAGGCCUAAUGUGUUUAUACAUGGACCUUGAUUCGAAAGUGAAAAGUCCAUCGUAUCUUCACAAAGAUCUCAAUAAAUCCCAUAUUAUAGUUUUGUUCGAAAUCAAUUUGUAUAAUGCAUCAAAUUCGUUCAUAGAGUUAAUAUUCAAUCACCUCAUCCUUUGAAGGUAAGAAAUUGAAAGCAAUUUUGGUAAACAAAGACAAAGCAAAAAUAUGUUGUAAACAAUGAGUGAUUAAUGGGGCUGACUAUAAACAAAUAAGUUACUGUCUUAGUGAACUUAAGAAAUGAUAAUAGUUGCACAGUUUGGAAGAAAAGUUGAUUGCAGAAACAUCACAAUAAUUAUGGGUUUUCCUUACAUUUGCAUGAUGUUCUCGCAAGAAAAUGAGGGAGAGACGGAGACAGACACACAGAGAAGAAAGAAGAAGGAGCAUAGGAAAAAGAGAAUACCUCAAAAACAGUUCCCAAGUAAUCUAUGAAUGCUACAAAGUUGGUUUCUUCAAAAAGUCCGUAUAUAUAUGUAGUCCAACAAGGAGAAGCUGAGAAUGGGAAGAGAAAAAGGGACAUUAGAGGAAUGGAAAAGCUUAGAUAUAGUACAUAAUGAAUAAACUAAGAAGGAUUAAUGUUUAUUGUAAAUAACAUAGGGCUUUUCUGGUAUGUUUGAACAAGAAGAAGUUAAAGUCACUUAUGUUUGGAAAUAAAUAUGACAACAAAACAAACAUUUUAUAUAGGUAACAUUUUUGCCCUCUCCUAAAAAUUAAAAUGGAAACCUACAACGAUCCCACCCCAACACUUUGCUACGCCAACCAGGUUUCAAGGGCUAUGAAAAGGGAGGCCAAAAUAAGCAUUGAAGACAACUUUUAAGAAGCAAGAACCAGCAAGAAAGAAUCUGGAAGCUAAUAUAUCACAAUAAUUAUUGUUUUACCGUAGAUGCGCUUGAUGUUCUACCAAGAAAAAGAUAGAUAGAGACAUAGACACACAUACAGAGAACAAAUAAGCAGCAACAUAGGAAAAAGCAAAUACCUCAACAACAAUUCCCAAGUAAUCUAUGAAUGUUGGAAUCUUGACUUUUGCAAACAGUCUAUAUAUAUCUGUAAUCCAACAAUGAGAAGUUGAGAAUGGGAAAAGAAAAAGGGACAGGGCAGAAAUUUCAAAGCUGACAUACAAUACAUAAUGAAAAAGCUAAAAAUCAUUAAUGCUUAUUGUAAAUAACAUAGGUUUCUUCUUGUAUGUUUUAACAGGAAGAAGUUAAAGUCACUUAUGUUUGUAAAUAAGUAUCACAACAAAAUAAACAUUUUAUAUAGGUAACAAUUUUUUCCUCCCCUGAAAAUGAAAUUGGAAACCUACCAGCAUCCCACCCCAACACUUUGCUACUUGAACCAAGUAUCAAGGGUUAUAACAAGUGGCAACAUAAUAAGCAUUUAAGACAACUUUUGAGAAGCAAGAACCAGCAAGAAACAAUCUCGUAGCUAAUAUAAACAAAUCUGAAUAAAAUUACAGCAUAUAAUUUCAAAUUAAAUAAUUAAAAUUGUAUUUUUGUAAUGAUGAACCUUAACAAAUUUAAAAUAAAUAUAUCUUAUCAAAGAGUAUCAUAGUCCAAUGGUAGCAGUGAUUGAACCCAACCCAUGGUUUUCAUUUAAUAAAAAUUAAGAUGGAUAAGAACCCAAGCUUUCGAUUUUUCACUGAGAAAUUCACACAACAGAGAGAAAAGAGAGAGAAGAGAGAGAAGCUAAGGACCCUCCAUUUGGCACAAAGUAAGAAAACCUUAUUUGCUGUUUGAUGUGAAGCUCUAUGCAUUAAAAAAAGGAAAAACAAAUUAUAAACUUAAUUUUAAAAUAUAUCAUAAAAAACAGCUCUCUAGGUGGCAGGAGAGGUGGGUUUUGGUUCAAAUAGCUUAUACUGCCUCUGGCAUCUGUUCUUGAAUUCUCCAACUUUGUCUCCCAAACAUGUCCUAAUUCCCAAGAGCUCAUAUUGCCACACCUACUCAUUAGGGUUUGCAUCAGUUUCCAUUAACAUUUAACUAAAAAGAGUUUAAAAAUUCAAUCAAGGUCAAACAAAAUCAACCAUCCCACAGAGCAGAAGUUACAUAGAUAUUCGAGAAAAUAAGUCAUGUCACAAACUAAGCAUCUAAUCACACAGCAGAAGUUCAGAAGUUCAGCUUUCCUCAAUCCAACCAGCUUUGAAUACAUGCUUAUAGGCUUAUAUAAUCUGCUCCUUACCACCUUUAAACAAAACCCUUGAACGAAUUAAACCAAAAAACCCAGAAAAAAAGAAAAGAAAAAAAAAAGCACAGAAAAUUAGGAUUACAAUCAAUCAAUCCACACAAAGUGCUAAAAAACAUUAAUAAACAAACACCCAACAUAAAAACAGCAAGCUUUUAUUAAAAGAACACAAAAACAAAUAAAAUAAAAACAUACCCACAACUUUAUCUUACCUCAAGAACCAAAUCCAAGAGCAAAAAAAGAGUUUAAAAAUUCAAUCAAGGUCAAACAAAAUCAACCAUCCCACAGAGCAGAAAUUACAUAGGUAUUCGAGAAAAUCAGUCAUGUCACAAACUAAGCAUCUAAUCACAGAACAGAAGUUUAGAAAUUCAGCUUUCCUCGGGUGCUAAAUUGCAAUUAAAAAUAAAAACACUAAUUAAUUGUCAAUCUCAAGAGAACCUAAAUCCCAAAAAUUAGGCCAGAAACCUAAAUUACGUGCACUGAAUAGUUCCAGAUGCAUGAAAUCAAUGAAAAAAAUUACCAAACAAAAAUAGUAAUCAGGAAAGACCAAGUAAAGAAUACACAAAAAUGUACAUAUUUAUCGUUCGUUCGUGUGGUCGCCGGAAGAAAAAAAACGGGAAUAAAGAACAAAGCUCAAGAUUUACAGCUGCGCCUAAACAUUUGCUCUCUUUCAUUGCAAAGAAACCAACAACAAUAGAAAAAAAAAUAAUCAUAUAAGUUUCGCCUCAUAUUUUCCUCAUUUACCUCAGUUUUCUGAGCAACCAAACAGAAGCUAAAAGAUGGACUAGAAAGCGAAUCUAACUUGAAUAGUGUAAGAGAGCUCAUAACAGAGUGGAAAUCUCUAAAUGAAGGCGAGAACCUGGAGAUGAAAUCGCUUUAUCUGAAGAAAUUUGCGGAUCAGUAGUACGGCGACACGCGUGAAUCGAUUACAGCUUACAAGCUUUCGAUUUUUCAUUGAGAAAUUCACACAACAGAGAGAGAAGAGAGAGAAGAGAGCGAAGCUAAGGACUCUCUGUGACUUUCUCUCCUUUUGCCCUAACUUGGGUUCCCCAAAUUUCAGAGUCGAGUGUCGCGUGGGCUUUAUUUGAAGAAAUUUGCGGAUCAGUAGUAUGGAGACACGCAUGAAUCGAUUACAGCUUACAAGCUUUCGAUUUUUCACUGAGAAAUUCACCCAACAGAGAGAAAAGAGAGAGAAGAGAAAGAAGCUAAGGACUCUCUCUGACUUUCUCUCCUUUUGCCCUAACCUGGUUUCCCCAAAUUUCACAGUCGGGUGUUGCGUGGGUUUUGCUAACUUGUUUAAGAUUUUUGUGUUUAUUUAUUAAAAGCACAACCCGUGACAUGGAGAGGGAGAUGGCUGCUAACAUGGAUGUGGAGGGGUAAUUUUGGAAAUGAAAUUAUAAAACAGUACAUAGUGCAUGAAAAGGAUAAUUUUUUGGGCAACAGUAGACAUAUUUUGGGUUAUGGAAAGUUGGGUUAUGAAAAAGCUAUUAGGCCCAAAUGGGCGGCCCAAAACACAGUUUUCCCUAUAUUGUAUCAUAAGAAAAAGAAAAGAAAAAAAAAGAGUGGAGGGGGAGGGGGAGAGGUGGGGGGCUAUGUUGUAAACAACAGGGUAGCCUGUGUAAAGCCCCCAGUUUUUACUUAGAGACCUCAUUACCCAUUAGGAAAAGGGUCAAUGACCUAUUAUUAAUAAUGCAAAAUUACCCAAAGAUGGAUAUUUGAAUUUUUUUUUUUUUUUGGAGAAUUUAAGAAUUGUUGACACAAUAUAGUGAAACUGCAUAUACAAAUAUUGGGGUCAUUAGUUCACUUGACUUAAGCGAUUAAGAACAUUGAAGAGGAGACAUGUUGCUUGAUAAGCCCACCUGUCUACAUCUUGAGCAGCCACAGUUUGUUGCUCAUGAGACUUUUUGGAAGACACCUCCAGGGAUAAGAUUGAGUAAUUUAAAUUCCAUUAACAGAGUUCCUCUCUUUCAUUAGCCUUUAGGCCCUUAGGAAUCAAGCUUAAACUCGAAAGAUUCUAAAAUCUUACUCCCUUCUAACCUCAGGAAAGUUUUGAGAGCUCAGGUAUCCACAAAUAUCUUGGUACAUUCUAACAAGUCCUAUACCACUUUCCACCAUUCAAUUUAUCCCAAAAUAGCAUAAAUGUCAAGGGGAUACAGGAGACCAGAACUAAUAAAGGCAAUGACAUUAAACGGGAGAAAAAAAUAUCAAAGCAUGAUAGAAGAGUUAAAUACUUAAACAAGUUAGUGUUGGUAUUUUAAUUAUAGUAUUCCAUUAAUACAGUACCAAAAUACUGGAUGCCAUAUACUUUUGUCUAACAAUGGAUGGAAUAAUAGAUAUACAAGCACAAGAAAUAUGUUUCACUAACAUGAAAAUGAAAUUUAUGAAAGGCGGCUAGAUUCGAGAAAUACAAACAGGAUAGAACACCUAUGAAGCAUGAAAUAUUUUUGAACACAAACUUUAACAAAUCCAUAACAUGAAUAAAUGUUUGGAACCACCACACUAGAUCAGCAAUCUGUAGCUUCUCAAUAUCAUAACUGUUACAGCUAUAUUCGACUUCUAACCAUAUAAGCUAAGCCUAUGUUUUGUUUCUAGAAAGUUUUAAGGAAAAAAAAAUAGAGCAGAGAAAUAUAAGAAAAAAUUAUAAAAGUUUUCUUUUAUUUGAUUGUCCAUUGAAAAGUUGAAGGAAAGAAAAUUAAAUUGCUAAAGAAUGUAAUUUCCACUAACUUUCCUCAUUUUUUGUUAAGGAAAAUGGACACCACCACCACCCCAACCCUUUUCUUUCGUUUUUUUUUUCUUCAUCUUUCGCAUGGUACCCAAACAUGAGAAAACCAUUUUCACUAGCAUUUUUUCCUUUCCUUUUCUUAUUACUUUCCAAGAACCAAACAUAAGGUAAGUUUAUGACACCCUUUCUAACACAACCAUUAAUAGACGGCUCAAGGUACUUCUAACAGUGAAAGAAGAAUUUCACAAAUACUUAUUGUAAAUUACAGAAUAAGCCAAAAGUGAAGAUAACAUCUAUUAAUACCUGCCUUUUUCAUCUUCCAAAUUCUGAAGAUGUUUUUCAUCUUCACUUAAGUCCAAUGCAACUUGGACGUAGGAAAAAUUAGAACAAAAAAAUAAUCAAGCAUUCUUUUCUCAGCAUCAUCAUGCAAAAUUUUCCACCAUAGCAUAAAAGGAAAUCAUGAAGAAAAAUAAAAAAUUAAAAAAUAAUACGCAUGCUCUCUACAAUAAUCACAAUAAAGGCAAACUACUCCAACAAAUUAUUAGAAAAAAUUGGAAAAAAUAAAAUUCAGAGAAUGGAAAUCCAUUUUCACCUCCAUAUAAAAUACACCAUGAAAAACAUUGGAAUCUAGUAAAGCUCUAGGUAAAAGAGGUAUUUCAGGCCAAUUUAAGAGCUCUAUCAGAAAUUCAAAUGUCCAUUCUGAAAUAGAAAAUUUAAAACCUAAUUGAAACUUAACUAUGUAAUCCGAGUACCAUAAAAACAUUGAAAAAGUCACACAAAUACUCGCAUAAUCUUAUCAAUCGAAAGGUUAUAAUACAAGGUGCAAAACACCAGAAUCAGAAAUAAGUUUCACAUUCUACAAAACUUACACUAAAAAGAGAAAGUUAAAAGGUCACAGACAGUCGAAAAUAACCAGAAAAUAAAGGAAAAUAAAAGAAAAGGGACCUGUUUGGCGAUAAGUUCUCUCUUAGAGUGGGAUGGGAGUUGGGAGACACUCAUCUAAUAUAUAGGGAAAGUUGUGUUUUUUUUCCCUCCCUCUGUUUUCUGGAUCUAGGGGUCUCUUUGCUUUUGUGCCAUUUGAAUUAAAUUUCACAAACCCUAAACCCACGAUUUUUUAGCCAGGCUGAAAAAUACCACCUUUGCCUGCAAAUCGUGAUCAGAUUACCAAAUAGCAUCUUAUUGUGCCAUUGGAAUUAAAUUUCACAAACCCUAACCCACGAUUUUUGAACCAGGCUCAAAAAUACCACAUUUGCCUGGAAAUCGUGGUCAGAUUACCAAAUAGCAUCUUAUUGUGCCAUUGGAAUUAAAUUUCAAAAACCCUAAACCCACGAUUUUUGAGCCAGCCAGAAAAAUACUACCUUUGCUUGCAAAUCGUAAUCAGAUCACGAAAUAGCAUCUUAUGUUUUUUUAAAAAAUAAAAAUCAAAAAGCUUGGACAGCUCGUGAACAAUGCAAAACAACAUUUAGCCCAAAUUUUUUCUCAACAGCCAAACAAAUUGUUAAAUGGAAACUCACCUGCGAUUACUCCAAAAGGAAGACGAAGCUCCACCGCCGAUUCCAGAAACCACCCAUGAAAAUGCAGGCAAAAGGAGAGAAUAGGGCAAAAAGCGAGGAAGUCAGAGCGUUUCCCCAAAUUUUUGAGUCGGGUCGUGGGUUUUGCAAAUCCUAACUCUAAAGCUUAAUAUUUUUGUGUUCAAUUAUUAAAAACACAACUUCCCGUGCUGACACGGAUAAGGAGAUGGCUGCUGACAUGGAAGGCUGGAGGGGUAAUUUUGGAAAUUAAAUUAUAAACAGUGGAUAGUGCAUGAAAGGGAUAUUUUUUUGGGCAACAGUGGACAUUUUUUGGGUUAUGGAAAGUUGGGUUACCAAAAAGCUAUUAGGCCCAAAUGGGCGAGCAAAACACAGUUUUCCCCAACUUUAAAGUGUAGCAAUUAUUCAAUUAUGAGAGAGAGAGAACAACUUUACAGUGGAGCAAUUAUGAGAGAGGGAGAGAGAACGACUUCACAGUGUAGCAAUUAUGAGAGAGAGGGAGCGAGAGUUAUUGCUAUGGGAUGGGAUGCACCAACUUUAAACUGUAGCAAUUAUUCAAUUUUGAAGUGUAGCAAUUAUUGAAUUUUUGACCAAGAGAGAGAGAGAGAAAAUUAUUGUUGUGGGUGGCAUGCAACAUCUUUAAAGUGUAGCAGUUUACAGUGUAGCAAUUAUUCAAUUUUGACAGUGAGAGGGAAUUAUUGCUGUGAGCUGGCAUGCAACAACUUUAAAGUUAGCAGUUAUUGAAUUUUGACCAAUUAUGUUAAUGGGGUUAUAUCCUCAUCCAAAGUUCCCAACCCAUCUUGGUUACUUCAACAAAUUUUUAUCCCGUACUAGAGUAAAUAAAUUAUUUUUCAUAAAUUUUACAUCCUAUCUUGAUAAAAAGUAAAUUGGCAGCUUCAAUUUAAAUACGUUUAAAGAGGAAGAAUGGAAAAAGAAAUUAAAUUAUUUUUACUUAAUUUUAUUUAUAAAUGAGAUGGAUUGAGAUAAUACUUUAAAGUUUGUUUGACAAUUAUUUUAAAAAAAUGUUUUUAAUUUAAAAAAUAUUUUUUUUUAAAAUAAAUUAAGGGUAUAUGUGACUACUUUCGAAAAUAGUUUUUGAGAAUAGUUGUUUUUUAAUAUUUUGUAUAAUAAAAGUUUGUUUGAAAACUUAAAAUAUUUUUGACCAAUUUUUAAUAUUUUUAAAUAUAUUUUAAAAAUAAUUUUUAUAUCUAAUAUUUUAUUUUUAAUCAUUCUAUAUUUAUAUAAUUAUUUUUAAAAACAAUCAUUAAAAAAUAAAUUAAAAAAGUAAAAAAUAACUAAAAGAUGUUAUUUAAAAGUACCCUAUUUUUUGUUCUUAAUAAUAGAAAAUGGAAAACAAUUUUUUAUUAUCAAAUGUGUUUUCUUGAUUUUUUGUUCUGGGGAACAAAAAACUAUUCUAAAAAAUAGUUGCUAAACAAGCAUUAGGUGUUAGACAAAAUUUUAAAAAAACUUCUACAAAUCUAAAAAAUCAUUUAUACUAUUUUUUUUAGAAAAUCACUUAUAGUGUUUUCUAAAAAAUUAUUUGAUAGAUAAUUUUCUUAAAAACACUUCAAGUAAAAAUACCGUCAAACACAUUAUUAAUAUUAUUUAAUCCAACCUUGGAGUUAAAAAAUAAUUUAUCAAAUCCAACCUCGAUCGGUUUAAACUCUCCCAAACCCAUUACCAUUUGUAAUACCUGGUUUUGAAAAAAUAAAAAUAAAAACAUAAUAUAAAGAGUAGGAGGAAUGUCAAAUAUAAAAAGAGGGUUAAAAAUGUUUUGUAAUGGUUGGAAGUGUUUUUCCUACAAAUAAUGAUGCAUUUUGAAAAUUUUUAAAAAUUAAGAGAAUCACUUUGAACUUACAUUCGAUACACACUUUAUCUAAAACCAUUUUUUAAAUUAUAUUUCUUAUGAUCAAAAACAUUUUUAAGACACUUCUUUUGAUUUGUAUCUUAAUGCUAACCUACAUUUAAAAAAAUGUCAAGAUAAUUUUUUUAUAAAAAAAAUCUUUUAAUUUAUUGUACUUUUGUGGACCCCGUAUUUCGGCUCAUGCGUUUUCCACUCAAUGGCGAGUUCGAUUUUUAUUUGAAAAUGAUUUCAUUUAUUAAAAAAAAAUGACUUGGAGUCGUCACUUAUUUUUGUUUUAUUUUUAAAAGGGUAAACAAAAUGAGAAAGAAAACCCUAAGUGUAACUCUUUAUUUUGGAAAAUGUGGUCUAUAAAAAAUCGGAUCAGACUCGAGGGUCAGGUUACUUAUCGGGAAGGUACGGUAAAGACCGUAGCACCCCUCUAAGUCCCUAAGUCGGGUAUCUACUUAUAAAAUGAAGUUGACGUGGCAAUCAAUAGGAAAAUUAAUGGAUACUCAAAUCGAUCAUGCACAUAUGAGAAUCAAAAUAUGCAUAGAGAAUGACCAAAAUGGGAGUGGAUGCGUACAUGGGCCACGAACGAGCAAUGCGCUAUCAUAAAAAUGAGGUCAGUGUACAAUAAAGAGCACAAAACAUAUCACAUGCAUCACCAAACAGAAAUUAAAAUUGUUUGAGGGAAAUCUGGAUUUUUUGAAAUUUAUUUGAAAAUUGGAGUCUUAGAGAUUAUUUGAAAAUUGGAGUUUUAGAGAUUUGAAAAUUGGAUUUUUAGAAAUUAAAUGUAAGAAUGAGAAUUUAGAAAUUAAAUUUGAAAGAAAUUGGGAUUUUGAAAAUUAUUUGAGAGUUUGAGAUUUGAAAAAAUUAAAUUACGAAAAUUGGGACCUUGGAAAUUAAAUUUUGAAAGAAAUCAGAAUUGAAAAUUAUUUGAGAAGUAGAAACUAUGAAAAUUAAAUUAUAAAAAUUGGAAAUCUUGGAAAUCAUUCGAAGGCAGAAUUUUUAGAAAUAAAUGAAUAAAAUGAUAAUAAUAAUGAUAAUAAUAAGUAAGUAACGAAAUAAAUGUGAGAAUUGGAAUAUUGGAAAUUGAAAAUUAAGUUCGGAAAUUGGAAAAUUGGAAUUUCAGAAAACUAAAUUUGGAAAUCGGAAUUUUGAAGAAUUAUUUAAAGACAGAAUAUUUUAAAUAAAUGAAUAAGUGAAUAAAUAAAUGAAUGGAAUAACGAAAAUAAUAAUGAUUGGAUAAAUAACUACGAAGAUAGGAAUUUUGAAAAUUGGAAAUUGAACUUAGGGAUUGGAAAUUUAAAAAAUUAUUUAGGGAUGAAAUUUUAAAUAAAUGAAAAAGUGAAUGAAUAAAUGAAUAGAAAAACAAAAAUAAUAAAGAUUGGAUAAAUAAGUGGGAAAAGUAGAAUUUUGGAAAUUGGAAAUUGAAUUUAAGGAUUGGAAAUUUAAAGAAUUAUUAAGGGAUUAAAUUUUAAAUAAAUGAAUAAGUGAAUAAAUAAAUGAAUGGAAUAAUAAUAAUGAUGAAAUAACAAAGAUUAGGUAAAUAAUUGCGAAAAAUAGAAUUUUAGAGAUUGGAGAUUGAAUUUAGAGAUUGAAAAUUUGAGAAAUUAUUUAA